CUGGGAUUCAAACGUUGCUGAACUUUUGGAAAUUAAAAUGGCUGUAGAGGUGUUCACAGAGACAGAGUGAUCUCACAAGAUGUGUCUUAUUCAAAGUUAGUUUUUAACUGGGUCUCAAACGAAUCUGUUGAAUAAAUUACGAAGUAAGUCAUAUAUAAUUAAAAAAUUUAUUAAAUUUAGUUUUAAAUGCAUUAAAAAAAUAUUAAUUUUGAGUUUUAUAUAUUGAAAUAUAUUUAUUUUAGUAAAAGAAUUACAGUUAUUUAUUUUAAUAUAAGUGGUUUAAAAAAGAAUUGAUUAAUUUUUGAUAUAUUAAAAUGAUUUUAAAUAGGUAAUUAAUUAUUUUAAAAAAAUUAAGUAGUGAAAUUGAAAGAAAAUAAAUAUAAUUUUAACAUUUUAUUUGAUUUUGAACUUAUAUAUUUUUAAAUAAGUGAAGAUUUUAUUUAUUUGUUUUCAAGAUGAUAUUGCAUCUGAUUUGAGGGUAUAACAUCUAUAAAUAUUUUGUCUUAUGUUAUUUGUAUAAGAUUUUUUAUAUAUUAAUAUUUUUAUUUAAAAUAUUCUCACGAAGUUAAUGGUAUUAAAACUAAACUUUUAUUUCUUUUGAUAUUUUUCUAGUUGGGUUUCAUAUGGAAGGAAAAAUGCUUUGGCUCAAUAUUUUUUGAGCCUAAGAAGGAUUUUGCGGCCCACUAGUGCGCUUUGGGAUCAGAUCCGUCAAAGUGGUAAAAUUGUCAAUUCAUAAUGCCUGAUGCCUUCUAAAACCCAAACGGGACUCCGAGUUGAUAUAACAUUGUAUCUCAAGUCUGGCAGCUGUUUAGCCGAAUCCAGAGACUACAGGAGCUUAAGCAGCAGCCAUGGGUACGCCAUUUUCUUUAGCUUUUCAUAUCUAACAUUCAUGAUUUAAUAGCUAGCUAGCUCUUAUUUUCUCUAUUUUUUUUUGUUAAUGGGAGGAUUUAAGUCUGGAAUCUGUUUAUUUGUUUUUGUAGAGUGAUGAGUUUUUCUUUGCUUUAUUUUUUUUUCCUUUAUUUGAUUAAAUCUAGAAACUUAUUGAAGGUUUGGUUCUGACUUAUUAUUAGUUUCUCAUCUUUUUUAUAUAUUUUAUAACUAUAUUUGCCACAUUAAAAAAUUAGAUGGUAAGUGGUAGAAAUGGGCUUUUAGUUGACUGGAAGUCUUUUAAAAUGACAAGGGUUAUAUUUGAUUGCUUUUUUGUAAAUAUAUUUAGAUGGAUCAUUGUUUUGGCAUUUUGGGUUCUGAUUUGUGAUGAUUUUGUUUUUGCUGGGUUUUUUGGGGAAAAUAUGGGCUGUACGUGUCAGAGCUAUGGAGGACGAAGCGAUCUGAUGUGAUGAGGUUCUUGCAGAGGGUCAGGUGUUGGAAGUAACGCCAGCACCCUUCCAUUGUUCGAGUUAACCACCCAACUCGCCCUUACAAGGCUCGUCGCUUGGGUUAGAAAGCCAAGCAGGUGAGCUGAUUCAUUGUUUCUUUGAUAUUGCUUUCUUCCGCUGCAUUUUUAUGAGGUUUGGUAUUUUAUCUUUGAAUUUUUGGCUUAUCCUAUUUGCUUUAUUGCAGUUGUAACAUAUUUUAGUUAUAUGAUUAUCCUUUGGUCUGAAAAACUGCAUUGCAAAAAUGUUUAUGGCCGGACAUAUUGUAAAUGUGAGACGACUCAUAUGUUGCCAAUAUAGUUGAAAUAUAUAUAUUUUAAUUAUAUUUACGAAUAAAAUAAUAAAUUAAACGAUGUUAUGAUUGGUAACAAUAAAAUUAUUAUGAAAGGUAUAAAGAAAUUUUACAUAAUAUUCAUGUAACAAUAAUAGUUGUUAUAAUUAAUUAAAUUGAUUGUGUUAAAAAUUUUACAGUGAUAAAAUUUAUUGUUAUAAUUAAAAAAUUAUUGCAAAAAUAAUUUUUACAAUGACAAUGACAAAUAUGUAAAAGAUUUUUUAAUGAUUAUAAUCGUUGUUAAAGUUAUUUAUUGAAAUGACAAAAAUCAUAAUGUUAAACGUAAUUAGCAACUAUAUAUGAUUAUGUUGCUAAAAGGUUUUUGUAUUUGAAAUUUAUGGUUGCUAAAAUAAAAUUAAAUCCGAAACAUUUAAUCAUUACAAAAUAUUNNNNNNNNNNNNNNNNNNNNNNNNNNNNNNNNNNNNNNNNNNNNNNNNNNNNNNNNNNNNNNNNNNNNNNNNNNNNNNNNNNNNNNNNNNNNNNNNNNNNNNNNNNNNNNNNNNNNNNNNNNNNNNNNNNNNNNNNNNNNNNNNNNNNNNNNNNNNNNNNNNNNNNNNNNNNNNNNNNNNNNNNNNNNNNNNNNNNNNNNNNNNNNNNNNNNNNNNNNNNNNNNNNNNNNNNNNNNNNNNNNNNNNNNNNNNNNNNNNNNNNNNNNNNNNNNNNNNNNNNNNNNNNNNNNNNNNNNNNNNNNNNNNNNNNNNNNNNNNNNNNNNNNNNNNNNNNNNNNNNNNNNNNNNNNNNNNNNNNNNNNNNNNNNNNNNNNNNNNNNNNNNNNNNNNNNNNNNNNNNNNNNNNNNNNNNNNNNNNNNNNNNNNNNNNNNNNNNNNNNNNNNNNNNNNNNNNNNNNNNNNNNNNNNNNNNNNNNNNNNNNNNNNNNNNNNNNNNNNNNNNNNNNNNNNNNNNNNNNNNNNNNNNNNNNNNNNNNNNNNNNNNNNNNNNNNNNNNNNNNNNNNNNNNNNNNNNNNNNNNNNNNNNNNNNNNNNNNNNNNNNNNNNNNNNNNNNNNNNNNNNNNNNNNNNNNNNNNNNNNNNNNNNNNNNNNNNNNNNNNNNNNNNNNNNNNNNNNNNNNNNNNNNNNNNNNNNNNNNNNNNNNNNNNNNNNNNNNNNNNNNNNNNNNNNNNNNNNNNNNNNNNNNNNNNNNNNNNNNNNNNNNNNNNNNNNNNNNNNNNNNNNNNNNNNNNNNNNNNNNNNNNNNNNNNNNNNNNNNNNNNNNNNNNNNNNNNNNNNNNNNNNNNNNNNNNNNNNNNNNNNNNNNNNNNNNNNNNNNNNNNNNNNNNNNNNNNNNNNNNNNNNNNNNNNNNNNNNNNNNNNNNNNNNNNNNNNNNNNNNNNNNNNNNNNNNNNNNNNNNNNNNNNNNNNNNNNNNNNNNNNNNNNNNNNNNNNNNNNNNGUGAAAUUCCAUGGGAGAUUGGGAAUCUUAUUUCAUUGGAGAUAUUAAGUGCAUCAUUUAUGCGCUUAAAUGGGCUAAUUCCACAUAUCAUCUUCAAUAUUUCUUCUUUGAAAAUAAUCUAUCUCACGAACAAUAGUCUAUCAGGUAAUUUCAUUAUAAACAUUUUAUUACUUUUGAAUUUAAAAUUGUUUACUUUAGUUUCAAAAAAGUUUAGUUUAGGAUUAUAAAACAAAUAAUCAUAAAAUUAUGAAAACUGUUAAACAAAUGAAGUGUCAUUGAAAGGCUUGAAAAAUGUUUUUUCAAACCUCUUUUAUCUUAUUAAAGUCAAAUAUUGUUUCCAAUUAAAUUAGAGAAAAGCAAAACAAAGACUCAAAAGAAUUUGAAAACCAAACCUAAAAAUGAAAAUUUCCAUCUUUUGGAAAAUAUUUUAAAUUUUUUUAAAAAACAUUUUAUGAUGGAAUCAUGCCCCUAACUAGGAUGCGCACCACUAGCUAAGUCUACAAAGUCGGCCAAUGUGGAAAAAGGAUAAGUACCCAAAACUCGUGAUGCAAUAUGGCUAUUAUUUAUUAUCCCACUGCAAUUAUAUAUGAAAAAACUAUUUGAUUUGUUUUAUAAUGUAAUAAAAAGUAAUAUUAACGUACUUUGUUACUCCCAUAUUAAUUUAAUACCGACUUAAUUAUUGUUACAUCUAACUUAAAGUAGUAUUAUUAUAUUUUAUAUGUUUAUAUUUAUUUAUCUGCAAAUAUUUAAAAUUUAUAUUUUAUGUAAUAAAAAAUUUAACAAUAUAUUUUAUUACUUUUAUAUUUAUUAAUAGUGUGUAUACGCAUGGGGUAGUUUUAUUGGCUAUAUGUGAAAUGUUUCAUAAAAAUUAAAUCAUAAGGAUAUCAUUAAAUUGAUUAAAACUGUUAAGUAUAUAUAAAAAGGAUUGUGAAAUUCAAAAUUUCAUUACGAGGGAUAAAUUAAAUAAGAUUCAAAUGAAUAUAUAUGAUUUUCAUGGAAGUUAUAGAAAACAAUAAUAUUCAGAUUUUAUAGGUAUAUUAAAAAAUUUAUAUACUGUAAUCCAUAUGAAUAUAUUUGAUUAGCUCUUAAUAAGUUGUUAAAAUGAUGAAAUAUGCUAGUCACAUACAGUAAAAUUUGAUGGGAGGAAAGAAUUGAUCCAUGGAGCUAUUUGUUAAUUAUCCAUUUUUUUAUUGAUCAAUUUAAAAAACAAAAAAAAAAAAAAGGAAAAAAAAUGAAAGAAAGAAAAAAGAGAAGUGGAAAGAGAUAUGAAUUCUAGAAAUGAAAAUAUGAUAAAAUAAAGUACAUGUAAAAACGUGUAUUCUAAAAUAAAAACUUGCAUAAAAUAUUAUAAUUAAAACCUUUAUUGUAAUGAUUAUUUAAUUUGAAGUAGGAAAGAAAGAGUCUUUCCAUGUCAAUAAAACCAAACUAAAAACCUUUUAGUGUUUAUUCCCUCAAAUAUUUUUCUUUUAACACCGAUUUAAAGUUUCAUUAAAUUGUAACUGAUCUAUUUUGUAAUUUUUUAAUAUUAUCUAAUAAUAUUAGAUCAAUUCAUUUUUUAGUUUUUUUAAAUUUACUAUUUAUUAACAACAUGUAAUAUUGUAUUAAAAUUAACAUAAUUUUAUUAUUUAUUAACAAGAUGUAAUAUUAUAAUAAAAUAUUAAAUUUAAAUUUUCUAAAAUAUAAAAUUUUAUUGAACGGAUAAGGUAAUUUUAAUUUGAGCAUUAUUAUAUUACAUAUAAAUAAUAAAUUUAAAUAUGGAAAUUAAAAAUUAGAUUAAAAUUAUUAUAGCAUUAUAUAUUAAGCCCACUCUUCUAAUACAAAAAUUAAAGUUCAUACGUUUGCUUAGCCUAUAUUAUUUUUUACUAAGCUCAUUCUUUUAAGAUAAAUGAGUAUAGUUUAUAUGGUAAUUGAGGACAAAGCCUAUGAUUUUAUAUUUAACAAAAACCAAUUUCAAAAAAAAAAAUUAAAAAAACCAUUGUUUUAAAAUAUAGUAUUGAUGAUUUUUUUAGUCAUACUCCGUUUCAAAAAAAAUAAACAUUAAAAAAUUAAAAAAAAAUUAUUCACCUACCCAACCACAUGUCAAUUCUCAGUUCGCCCCCAAGUAACAUACUUUUGUCGACCACCAUGUUUUUGUCACAGGAUUGUUUUAAUAUAAUGUAUACAUUUGUCUAAAGUUGUUUAACUUCUUAUUUAGAGCAUUUCAGUUAUAAAUUAUUUUAUUAUAAUAUUACAAUUAUUAUCUAAUCACAAUAAAGUAUUGUAUAAAGAUUAUCACUCAUAAAUAUGGGUUACAUAUAAAUUUUAAUAAAAUUUAUAUAAUUUUAAAUUAUAAUUAAUUAAUUAAAUUAUAAUAAUUAUAAAUUAAAUACUCUCUUUUUAUUAUAAGCACUAAAAAUAAGUGCUGCUUUUACCUUUUUUUUUUUGUCAAAUUAGGAAAUUUAAUUAGAAACGGCAACAAGUUGGGUCGGGUCGGGUCGAGUUAGAAUGAGUUUUUGUUCAUCUCGAACUCGACCUGAUCUGAUAAAUGUUUUAUUUUUUUUUGUAAUAUCUAAAUCCAACUCAAUCCGACAUUAUAUAAAAUUGUAUUGUAUUCAAUCCGAUUCGACCGAAAAGUAAUAAAAUAUUAUUUUUAAUAUAAAUAUAAAAUUAAUUAAAUAUAAAAAAUGCAUAUAAAUAUAAAAUUAAAUAAAUAAUAUUAAAAAUAAUUAUAUAUAUAUAUAUUAGAUCGAGUUUAUUUAAAACUUGAUCUUGUCUUGGCCUUGAUUUUUUAUUAUUGUUACCCGACUUGAAAUCCAAUUUUCAUAACAAAUAAAUCGACCCUAUGAGAUAAUGUCGGGUCAAAACUCGUCAAGGAUGAAUUCGGUAAUCAUAUCUAAAUUUAAUUUUUUUUUUACGAAAUAAAAAGCAAUAGUUAUGUAAUUUUUUUUUGCUAAGACAUUUUUAUUAGAGAUCAAAUAAGUGAAAUACAAGAGUCUUACCAAGAAACAUAGCCUCUUCUAGAAAAGCUCUAUUUCGAGAAUGAAUAUCUUCAUCCGAUAAGUGCUCUUGAACAAUGGAAACUGGAGGUGUCUUUAUCUGGCGAGACUUGCGUUUGGAUCUUGUCCAAUAUUUUGCCUUAACUUUUUUCCUUCUUUUACGUGCUCGAAUAGUAACAAGGUGAAAAUUUUCUUCAACGUUGAAAAGUUUCUCAGCUCAUAAGCUCAACAGAAACUCCUGACCAAGUUCCAGAGAAAAUAACAUACUUUCCUUGCUUUCAAAAGUCAAAAGAACCAUAUUCUCACCCAUGAUAGCGACAGAACAAUCAUCCAAGUCCUCUGACAAGAUUUGAUCAAUGGCAUUUGUAGUAUAGGAUAUCUAACUAUCCCAACAGCAUUCCGUGUAAUCCCACCAAAUCUAAAUUUUCAAGAAUGCAUUCAAGGAUGUCAAGCGAUUUUAAAACCUCUUCUUUUUGACCAUCUGAUAAAAUGUUAUCCUUUAACUCAGUGGAUUUGACAGACAUAUGAAUUAACCACCUCUGCAUUUGAACAUAUAGAGUGGAAUACCUCAGGUGCAAAGUAUUUAGAAAUUUGGUAGCCCUCAAUGCAUCCCGUAGAUCAAGAUAAUGGACAACCAAAUAAGACAUUCUUGGCUCUCUUUUGAUUUUUGGGACAUAAAAAUCAACCACCCUCCCACAUCUGACAAAACGUUGCUUGUGAUUAAAGAGACUACAACCUGGAAAAAUUCCAUCAACAAAUAGUGUAACAAAAUUUUUUCUCCGUAGGUAAUGUUCUUGUGUGGCCUUCAUAGCAUCCAAGAAGAGCUUUUUGACUUACGUUUACUUCACCCACUAAAUCGGACUAAGGCAAGGCUUUUCACCCUCUAAUGAUUGUGUAAUUAAAAGCAUCAUUUUAAAAUCGUUUUCAUUAGUUUCACAUUUUUUGUCAUCAUAUUACUAAAUUUUUUAUUGUAAUUGUAAAAUGUAUACAGUAUUUCUCCAACAAACCUCCAAUGAACCUCCUCUGGUAGAGGACUCGCAAGGUUCUAUCAAAACUUAGGGAAGUAAAAGUGAUUUUCAAACUAAAGAGAGUACAUGUACUUUUAUCAUUUCUCUUGAGUCUUUUUUCCUAAAAUGGCAUAGAUAAAAAUUCUAAUUUAUUUCCAAAUAUUUACACUUUCAGAUUUUUCUUUUUCUUGCCUGAACAAUUUCAUCAUCCAAAGUUUCUUUAAUCUUUUUUUAUCAUUAAAGCAAUUGAGAUAAGUUAAAGAAAAUAAAAUUCUCACAUAAACGGAAAACACUUUAAGCAUAUACUAGAAAACUUAUAAUAUUUUCUUUUCUCCCUUCCUUUCUUCUAUCUUCUUUUUUCUUUUACUUUUCUUUUUCCUCUUUUGUACUUUAUUAUAAGUAAGCAUGGAGCCUUUGAAUCAUUAUAAAUAUGAAAAAAAUUUAUAUUUUAUAUAUAUAUAUAUAUAUAUAUUCCACAUCAUCAAACAAGAAAACCUUGAAGUUGUUUCGUAUUUAUAUUUGUUAGAAGGCUUCAUGUUUCUCCUCACUCAUGUUAGAAUAUAUAAGCAUUGCAUUCACUUCAGCUUGCAUCAUAGAUACAUAAAAAACACAACAAAGCAAAACAAUUAAUUUAUUUCUUGUAUGGAAAUAUGCUAAACAAUUAAUUUAUUUCUUGCAUGGAAAGAUGCUAACUUCUUUUUUUUUUUCCUUUUAAGGUAAAUUACCAUACAUGAGCUUUGCUUCAAAUCUUGAGAAGCUUCACUUGUGGAGCAAUAAUCUCAGUGGAAAAAUUCCUGAUUCUAUCUCCAAUGUUUCUAAGCUCACAAUCUUAGAAUUACAAGGAAACUCAUUCUUUGGCCUUAUUCCAAAUACACUUGGCAAUUUGAGGUUCCUUGAGAAAUUGCGCCUUAAUUCGAAUCAUUUGACCACCAAAACUUCUACUCAUGAGUGGAGCUUUCUCUAUUCCUUGGCAAAUUGCAGGCAUCUAAGAAUUUUAGACCUAUCAAUCAAUCCAUUGAAUGGCCUUCUUCCAACUGCUAUCUCAAAUCUUUCCACAUCACUUCAAAAUUUAAGGGUCGUUGAUUGCAAAAUUAAAGGCAGCAUUCCCAUGGAAAUUGAUAGCUUAAGCAACGCUAUAUCGUUAGACCUUUCCUCUAAUAAAUUGACUGGACCUAUUCCAACAACAAUGGGAAGGCUAAAAAAUCUCCAACUUUUGAAUCUUUAUGGAAAUAAGUUACAAGGCUCUGUCCCACCUGAUCUUUGUGGUUUGAAGGGAUUGUACAAAUUAUCAUUGGGUGCUAAUGAGCUUGAUGGACCAUUACCAACAUGUUUAUGUGAGUUGACUUCUUUGAGAUAUCUAAACUUGUUCUCCAACAAAUUGCAUUCGCAAAUACCUUUAAGUUUUUGGAGCCUUAAAGAUAUCUUAGAAGUAGACUUGUCAUCAAACAAUCUUAGCGGUUCACUUCCACUUGACAUUGGAAAUUUGAAGGUACUUAUCUCUUUGAAUUUGUCAAGGAAUUUAUUAUCAAGUGAUAUUCCAUCCACAAUUGGAAGUUUCCAUGAUCUGCAAGUUUUGGAUCUUUCUAGAAAUAGAUUACAAGGUCCUAUUCCAAAAUCAUUGGGCGACUUGAUGAGUUUGAAAAGCUUGGAUUUAUCUAACAACAAUCUCUCUGGAGUCAUUCCCAAGUCUUUGGAAAAACUUUAUGAUCUCAAUUAUUUUAAUGUGUCUUUCAAUAGAUUGGAAGGAGAAAUACCAAGUGGAGGGCCCUUUUCGAACUUCACAGCCAAAUCAUUCAUAAAAAAUUAUGCACUAUGUGGUUCACCUAGACUACAAGUCUCACCUUGCAAAAAUAAAAUCCAUCGAAAUUUCAAGAAGACUGCUCGUCAUUCUUUGAGGUAUGUUUUACCAACAUUUGUUUCAACCAUAAUAGUUGUAGCCUUCAUAGUUGUCUACAAAAAAUGGCAGCACGGGGGUAUAAAUUUGGCAAUUGUUGAAGAUUUAAUUCCUCCUAAAAAUUGGGUAAGAAUUUCUUAUAAUCAACUAUUGGAAGGGACUAGUGGAUUUAGUGGAAGCAACUUACUUGGUUCAGGAAGUUUUGGCUCUGUAUACAAAGGAAUACUGUCAGAUGGGACAGAUGUUGCAAUAAAAGUUUUCAAUUUGCAAAUAGAAGGAGCAUUUAAGAGUUUUGAUGUUGAAUGUGAAGUGAUGAGCAAUAUUCUUCAUCGCAAUCUUGUCAAGAUCAUUACUUGUUGUUCUACUAUUGAUUUCAAAGCUUUAGUGCUUGAAUUCAUGCCUAAUGGGAGCCUUGAGAAAUGGUUAUAUUCUUACAAUUAUUUCUUGGAUAUCUUACAAAGAAUCAACAUAAUGAUAGAUGUUGCAUCAGCAUUAGAAUACCUCCAUUUGGGACAUCCGGUUCCUGUAAUCCAUUGUGACCUAAAGCCAAGUAAUAUCUUACUUGAUAAAGAUAUGGUUGCGCAUGUUGGAGAUUUUGGAAUUGCCAAGCUAUUGGGAGAAGGAGAUUCCAUCAAACAAACAAUGACACUAGCUACUAUUGGCUAUAUGGCACCAGGUGAUGUUUACAUUUUUUAUUUUUUCUCUAUUAUAAGACAUGUAGAUAUUAGUAUUUUAGCAUUUUAUUGAUGAUUAAUGAUGCCCAAUGGCAUAAGAUCAUUUAAUGAUUCAAUUAUAUUUAUAAUACAGAAUACGGAUCAACAGGAAUUAUUUCGAUAAAGAGUGAUGUCUAUAGUUAUGGUAUUCUAUUAAUAGAAACUUUCACGAGAAAGAAGCCUACAGAUGAUAUUUUUGUUGGAGAAAUGAGUAUGAAGCAUUGGGUGAAAAGGUCAUUAUCUGAAGAAAUAAUUGGUGUAAUAGAUUCUAGUCUGGUGCAAAAAACGGAUGAAUAUUUUGUUACUAAAGCAAAUUGUAUAUCGUUGAUCAUGAGAUUAGCUUUGGAUUGUUCAGCUGAAUUACCUGAAGAUAGGUUAGAUAUGAAAAAUGUUGUCUCCAUGCUGAAGAAUAUCAAAAGAGAAUAUCUGAACAACCUUGAGCAAGAUUAAUAUAUAUGGUAAGGAAUGCAAUUAUAUUUAUAUAUAUAUAUAUAUAGUUUAAACUUAUAUAAAAGUACAUAGUAUUUAUCCACUUUUCUUUUAAGAAGUAUUCCUUUAAGCAUUAUAUUUUCUUGCAGAUUAAGGCUACUGCUACCAUAAUACGUAUAUUGGUUCAAUAAUCAAGGUACUUUCAUCACUUUUGAAUUUUGGUUCAAUAAUCAAGGUACUUUCAUGACUUUACUUAAAAGUGAAUGUUAAUUAAUUAAUUAAUUAUUUACUUUGAUAAAAUAGAUUAAGACAAAUAAUACAUAUAAGCCACUAUUGAAUUUCUAUUGAUUCGGUUUCCUAUCGAUUUAUAAUGUUAGGUUUUUGAAAUGACUGGAGUUGGUCAAUCACCACUUGUAUGUACUCAUCUAAGUUUAUAAAUUAUUGUCUCCUAUUUUUAUAUGGUAUGAUGUUAUUAAUUUAUCAAUUAUUAGCAUGGGCAUUUUUUUCUAUCAUUCACAAACCCAAUUUAGUAAUAUGAAGAAUAAGAAUAAUAAUAGAGGUAGGUGCAAGCUUCUUGAAGUUCAUUUUUUUUUUCAUUAGAUUAUUGUUAGAAAUUGAUUUUCAAAAUAUGAAUGCAAGCUUCUUGCCAAAAAAAGAAGAAGACAAAAAAAAAGAACUGAUGCAAGUUUUGUAACUUUAUUGCAGUAUGUAACUUAUGAAUUCAGCAAGGAAUAGAUAGUGCUGUUUCUUCUCUUAUUGUGAUUGCAUGAAGCUUGGGUGAGAGGUUUAUGAUGUGUUUGUGCGUUGGAAGUUCACAUUCCAAUGGUUUAGAAUGUCUAAGAAAGUUCAUGAAGUCAUGGCCAAAAGUGGUGUGAUGUUUCUUCUCGAGAAAUGCAAUCAUCUUUCUCGCAAUGAUUUUUUAUUUUUAAUUUCUAUUGGACAGAAACAUUAGAGUGAUAUAUUAUAUUUGGAAUCCAUAGUUUUAAUGAAUCAUAUUUUUAAAAUAAAACUAUGCAAAGUUUAUUUAACUUCAUGCUAUUGGUUUUCAUGUGGCUUUAUUCUCUGAAGGUGUCAAUAUUUUUUAUUCAAUAAAAUGUGAGUAGCUAAACACAAGUAAUUCAAAUAAAAACAUAAUAUAAAAUUGUUUAUAUUUUUGCAUUCAGAAAGUUGUCAACUUUUUCUCAUUCUAGAAGAAUUAGUUUCUUUUCUUGAUAUACUUGAACUCUUGAUCGGAAGUAAGGAUUUGAGGUUAAAUAGUCCAAAGACCCUUUUUGCUAAAAUGUUUGUGUACAACAGUUGCUAAUCAUUUUUCUAUGAUUUCGCCUAUGCUUUCAAUUAUCAAUUUUCUAUCAAAUUAUUUAAUAAAUUGAAAAUAAACCUUUAAAAGAAAAAAAUGUCAUUAUCGCCAUUUGGUUUAAAAUAAAAAUUGUUCAUGAAAAGAUCACUAUUUUUUUUUUUUUUUGAUUUCAUAAAUGAUCGGGAGAGGAAAAAGCAUAAAAUUAAUGAUUUGAAAAUAAUGUGAAUUUUUUGUAGUUUUUAAUUAAUGAUUUGAAAAUAACAUUUGAAAAAAAUAUACAAAUAAAUUUUAUUUUUAAAAAAACUUUUGAUAUCCUCAGUAACUAUUGAGCUUGAUUAAAAAUAGGUAGGAAAAUAACAGUUAUAAAAGUUAUAUAUAUUAAUUCCAAUUCUUUCAUAUUUUAUUUAGUUAAUUAUUUUAAAAUAAAAUUUUGAAAUAAAAUUAUAUUUUAUUAGCUAAUGCCUUGAAAAUAAAUUUUUAAAAUGAAAAAAAUGAAUCAAAUUUUAUUUAAAAUUUUUUUCAUAUUCCACUAACCAUUACCUCAAACUGAAAUGACAGUUGAAACAUUCCAUAAAAUCUGAAGGGCUUGGAUUUAAAGAUUUUUUCAAUGGGAACAAAAUCUAUAUCAUCCAACGUAUUUGGACUUUUGUCGAAAGUGGGCUCAAUUUGAACUCCUUGGAUCGAGGCCUAUGCUCUUAUAAGAGAAACUAUUUGGCAGGUGUUUGAAACUCAAAAUUGUAGUUAGAGUUGGAGAAAACUACUACGGCUGCGCUUAGUUUACAACCCAAAACCGUAAAUCAAAAAUAUCAAAUGCAUAACUAAUUUUGAAAUUCAAUAUUUCUUUAAAUCUAAUAUCAAACCCAAAAAAUUUGAUAAAAACUAUCAAACUAAUAACAACUCUACCAAUAUUCAAAACCUUUGUUUAGGGUUUAGCACUUUGAGAAUUUACGUUUUGAAGAUAUUAUUUUUGUUCUUUUUUUCUUAGCAAAUAUAUCAACACUUUCAGAUAAAUCAAAACCUAAAAAUCAAUAAAAAAAAGUAAUAAAAAAAUCUCGUAAUUAGCAUAACCUUUUUCUUAGAUAAGAAUUUUGUUCGCUACAAUAGUGGUCUCAAAAGAUGAUGGUGAUGGCUUGCUUGUUGUGCUCAUCGAUCAAGCCAUCUUGGUGGGUAGUGGUGGUGGCGAAAUAUGCUUAUUACCAACAAUAGGUGAAAAUGAAAAAAGAGAAGGAAAAAGAUGAAAGAAGAAAAAGAAAGUAGGAAAAGCAUAGAAAAGAAAGGGAAACGAGAAGAAACUAAGCCAUCGACAAAGGAUUUAAGGCCCCUCGUGGAGGAAGACAAUGUGAGAGAGAUUGGGAUUUUUACAUUUUCGCUGAUGAAAAAAAAAAGGGGAGAAAGAAACAAAGGAAAAGAGAAACGAAAGAAAGAGGAGAGUUACUAUGGACAAGAUAAAAGGUCAACAGAAGGGUGUUGGUGAGAAGAGGUAAUAGUGAUGAAAAUGACAGAAAAGAAAGAAAAGAUUAUGUUUAGAGCUUUUUAGGAUUAAUUUUAUUUAUUUUAUACCAUAACUAUAUUGGUCCGGUGAAGAGAAAAAACAAAAGAAAAAAUAGAUAAGAAAGAAGUGGUUCUCAAGUGCCACAAGACAUUAAAAAAUGCUACGUUUUGACACGUGGCAUGGAAUUUUUUUGGACUUUGGACGAUUUUUGGCGUCGACAAGUGAUGUCUAACGGUGAAGAAUGGCGAAUAUGAUGGUGGCUGAUGCCGAAAACUGGUUAAUCUGGGCGGCUGAUUCUGUUUUUACUUGGGAUAGUAUUUAUAGGAGGGUGGAUUUUUAAAGAGAGAAGUAAAAAGGGUAAAACGAAUUGAAAAAAAAAAAAGAUUUUUUAUAUUGUACUAAAAAUGAAAAAAGGAUCAACGCGUAAGCUCGGAUUCUGACCCGAAACUCAUGUGCCCGUCUCAAACACCCAAGACACGGAACAUACGUGGCUGUCCCGAGGACCUAACACCCAAAGCAAACUAAACACCUAGUCCACUUAAGGAGCCCAAUUUGACUAUGUACGCCUUCCAGAAUGCAUGAAGAAUAGGGGCUGAAAUCGUGCAUAAUGAUAUGCAUCUCUCUCCCACACUGGCCAGAUUAGUGUUUAUCAUCUUGCCUUCUAUGAGAUGUGUUGAUCCUCCUUUUUUUUUGGAUAUGAUCUAGUUCACGAAUGUAAUUAUUAUUAUUAUUUUUUGCCAUAUUAACCUUCCUUGAAAGAUAUAUGCAUGAUAAAGAUUAAUUAAAGGAUAAAAUAAUUGCUAUUUUCAACUUAGCUGUUUAUUGUUUGAAAAAGAAAAGCUUUAUUUCCUUAAAAGGUUCAUUCAAAUGCAUCUUUGAGUGCUGCAGUUUCCAGAAAAUUUGAGUUCAUUGUCCAUGUCUGAACAACAUAUUUCUAGGAAAGUGUCAAAUUUUCAUAAACUCUAGAUGCUUUGUGACGUUAAACUUCAAAUCUAUAUCAUAUCUGAUAUCUUCAUUAGAAUAUUGUCUUAAAGAUGAAUUAAUAGGAAAUUGAGAAGCUUGGAUCAUAAAAAUACUUAUCUAUUAAUAGUGUAGCUCGGUUAGUAAGUUGGAGUACUGGGGAACUUGUUGGCCAGCAUCAUAGCUUUAUAUCCUAGUAUAGCAUCUUGCAGCAUUUACUCAACACCUCGUUUCAAGCAAGGCAGCAUACUAUAAAAAAAGUGCGCUCCAUGAAUACUAUUAAUAGUUUUUCAGUGUAAUUCCAAUAAAAAAGGAAUGUGAUCAUGGCUAAUAUAGUAGUGUAAAUAAAACUGCAGCCAUAAGUUCCGUAGGUUCGAUUAUGAAGCUAUAUUUGCAUGAUGCCAUGAUCUGGCUGCUUUUAAGCUAGGCACGGUCCCCAUAUGUUGAUGGCCAAAAAGGAAUUUGAUUGUCUCGCAAGCACUCGUUUGUUACAUGCUUGCAGUUAAUAUAUGAAAAAUGGUAGCAGGGUGCCUAUAAUAUUCUCUCUAGGAUUUAUGUGCUUUCAUUAGGUAUGAUGAGUAUAGUAAGUUUGAACUUAAAACUUUUUGCGGGAAUGCCAAGGAAGGCUGAUUAAGUUAAUAAGGCUUGAAUACUUCAUUAUAAGUCUUUGGUUUGAAUUCUAUUACCAGCCGUCUCCUUUGGUGGGUAAUUUUUAAAUUCAAUGUAAGUCCCUAACUUCGCAACGAGAAAACCUCCUUCAUCCUAAUCUUUUAUAUAUAAAGAAACUUUUGGUGGAACUAAUAUGUGACUUGGUACAUAUUUUGAAAGUUUAUGGGUACAUUAUAUAACUUUUUUUAGUUUAUAUAUCAAUUUAUACAUUUGAAUAUAUAGUUCAUGAACCAUACUAGUAAUUAAUUCUUUCAAAAAAUUGUCCAUUUCUCUUUUAAGAACUCUGAGUUGGCGUUGGGCAGGGUCGGUUUGAAUUCCGUAGCGCUGUCCAAAAUGGCGCAGCCCAGAUUUGCUUACCAGUUGAAAAAACCAAAAGGAUAAUAAAAGAAAAAAAAAGGAAUAAUGGGAAAGGAAAUCCAAUGUUUUUAAACAAUAAGGUUGGUUUGAUGGAUAAAUUGCUUCAGCUUUUGACAAGUAUCCAUGUAUAACAAUGCUGCUUUGUAAGGACAAGACUAUAGCAGCAAUGAAUUUUUUUAUAUUUUCACAAAAUGGACUGGAAAUCUUCAUGUAUAGCAAACCAUCCACAACUUUUUCCAUAUAGCUUGGAGAGGAGAAUUGUCCUAGGGUGUUCAAUUCUUCAAUCUUUGUUAUCCAAAUGUUCGAAUGAGAAAAUUAGUGUUUAAAUAGCGUUUAUCUUUUUUUUUUUUUUUGGUUCUACCGAAAUGGAGUUCCUCCAAAGGUUUGUCACCCCUCAUAAGGAUCUUUCUUUAUUGAAGAUAUAUGACGAGAAGCUAAGCCUUUCAAGAUGGAUUGCAUAUAAGCUGAAUAAGUAAAAUUUUUUGUCAUUUUUUUAAAGGCUUUAUCUCAAUGACAAUUUUUCUUUUCCUGCCUUACGAAAUUCAUGAAGAAUGGGGGCUGAAAAAGAACAGAAUGAUAUGCAUCUGUCUUCUAUUUUGGGAUUUUAAUGUUAUGAUCUUAUUUUGUAUGAGUUGUGCUGGCUGGCUACUGCCACUGCUUUUUUGUUUUGAUCAAGUUCACUAAUGCAUUAUCCUUUUUGCCCUACAUGUAAUAUGAUGGAGAUUCAAGAUAAGACGAAAAAGUACGAAAUAAUUUACCCUUUUUCAGUUAGCUUUUUAUAACCGAUAAACUGUUUGAAGAGGAAAAGCAUUAUUUCCUUGUUAGAAGAGGCGCAAACUGAAUUUUGAAUGCUGUAGAAACUGAAUUAUCAAAAGCACUAGUUAUUAUCGUUUUGAUUCCAUGUCUAUUCAGGGGAUUUUAGAACCAUGAAUUCUUCCCUGAACAUCCCAGAUGGCUACCUCCAAAACCCAUCUUAUUGUUUCAAUUCUAGUGUUCAAGUCCCUGCCACUGUGCGUAUAAGGUCUUUUUAUUUAUUUAUUUAUUUAUUUUUAUGCUUGGGGAUAAAGGAAAGAGUUGCAAAUAUUAAAAUUUGAAUUUCAAAUCUACUGGAUACCAUCUUUUGAGGAUGACUGCAUGAACCAACUAACAACUUCUGCAUUAGGUCUUAUUUGUUCUAAAGCUUUUCAGAGAUAGGCUGACAUUACACAUUUGUAUAUUGGGAGAGAAGCAACUAAUAUUAAAAAGGGGUUCUAUAAGAGCACUGGGUUUCUGUGUUAAAAGUGUGUCCUUUAUUCACUCUUGUUGAUGUACAUACUUAUUCACAUUGUAAGAGCUUACUAUUAAGAGAGAGAUGAGCAGCUUAUCCUGUCUGUUCAUCUUUAUGUACAAGGUCUAAUCUUAUUCUAGGAUUAAAUUUGAACUACAACUACUAGCUAAGAACUUAUCUGAAGGAAUUGAUAACCAUUUGAAUAAGUCCAAUAGUUGAAUCAGCUAAGUCUUGUUUGAAUCCUUUGAGCAGGUGCCUUUUCUGUGAACUGCAAUCUUCAAGUCUGGUGUAGGAGCUGCUGCUGCAAGUGUCUGAAGUAGAACCAUCUCCUAAGCUUGCACCAGCUGAGUUUACUGAGUUUGAAUGGCUCUUUAUGCCCCCUCAAGAUGGUGGAGGCAUCAAUGACACCGGUCUUGGAUCGAAGAAAGAGAAAUCUUUGUUUUGCUAGUGGUUUAGUGAACUCAUCAGCUAGCUGAUCUUUGGAAGAGACAUAGGAGACCUUGAAAUUUCCUAAGUGAAAUGUUGCCUGACAAAGUGAUAAUCCAUAGCUAAAUGCUUCAUCCUUGGAUUGGGACUCAGAUAAGUGACACCAAUAUUGUCAUAGAACAGCACAGGCGAAUGGUGCUGUGGAAUAAAAAGCUCAGUCAGCAAGUUUUUGAAAGAGAGAACUUCAGCAGUAGUAUUAGCAAGAGUUCUAUUUUGAGCCUUUGUUGAUGACAUGGCCACUGAUUUUUUCUUUCCUAAUUUCCAAGGAUUAGUGCCUAAAUACAGUAUAUAACCUGUCGUUAAGAUUCUAUCAUCUACACUUCCUACCCAGUCAGCAUUAUUGAAAGCAGUAAGUUAUAGAGAAGUGUUUCUUGAGAAAUAAACCAUGGUUGAUUGUGCCCUUCAAAUACCUGAGAAUUCUUUUUGGAGUUGUCCAAUGCAACUGUGUAGGGGGUGCAUGAAUUGAGAAAGUUUGUUGACAGCAAAGGCAAAAUCAGGCCUUGUUAGGAAGAGAUACUGAAGAGAGCCAACAAAUUGUCUGUAUGCAGCGCCAUUUGUUGAACCUGUUCCAUCAUUCAAAGUGAGUUCGGUCAUCAUUGCCAUUGGGGUGAUAGUGUCCUUGGCACUGGACAUGUCAAAUCUGUCAAGAAGUUCUCUGAUAUGCUGUGAGAAAAGCAAACCAGAUAAUGUGGAAAUAACUUCAAUGCCCAGAAAAAAAAUUCAAAUCACCAAGAUCUUUGAGAGAACUGUUUAGAUAGCUGAGUUUCAAAACUGGUGAUAGCUUGCUUGUUAUUCCCAGCGAUGAUAAGAUGAUCAACAUAGACUAGGAAGUAGAUGAGAACAGAAUUGUUAGCAUAUAGCAAUAGUGGGCCAUUGGAAGUAGUGUUGAAAAAACCAUAUUGUUACAGAAAAGUACUCAAUACUUGAUACCAGGCUUUUGGAGCUUGUUUGAGGCAAUAAAUGACUUUAUGCAAUUUACAAAGAUGUGUAGGACGAUUUCAUGAGCCAAUCUUGUAUAGAGUUAUGACUGGGCAUAGAUUGUCAUGCGUCAUCCAUGUAUAAGGCCAUGACCAAGUAGAAGUGCCAAUGGGGAGGGUAGAUCUCAUGUGUUAGGAAAAGUGUCCCUAUUUUAAGCAUUGUAAUGGUUAUAGGUAAGACAGCUAUAAAAUCUCAUUUGCUCUUUAGAGGGGAUGAGUAGUCGACAUAUUAUUGGGCUGCCUUACUGGUUAAGGUAUGUAUUAAAUCACCCAUCUAGGGCUGCCCCUCUAGCUUGACGAUGAUGGAAAGACUCAAUGUACUCUUCUUGAUAUUAAUAAAAUAUAUUUUUUUAUAUAUAUGGGAAAGCCGAGGUCACCUUGGUGUGCUCCCAUUUUGCCUCGAUAUGUCGUUGUGUACGCUUAAGACUGACUUAUGGCUUCUUGGUUUCUUAUUCAGAUAUCGAGCUAUCUUUGGCUGACUUGUGUGGAAACGUCCAUUCAAGUGCCGCACGAUCUAUUGCUUCAUUGAGAAAAAGCGUAGCCCAUGACACGUGGUAUCAGAGCACAGUUUAUAAGUGCUAGAAAAUUGAUAAAAUGGCAAUAAGUGGUGGAUUUAGUGACUAACAAAGGAUUGAGGAGUUUAAGGCCGCGGUGGCUGCCCUAAAAGCUCAUGUGGUAACUAAUGAUCAAUUAAGGGAGAUUGAGACAACCUAGCGGGAGUUGUCUGAUACUCUACAUAACUUGGGUGAAGAGACCAUAGAUGCUUUGAAUAUCUCCAAAGAGAGUUUGAGGAGCUUAGGGCCUAAGUGAGUGUUUUGCGAAUGGCUGUGGCUAGGUCGGAUGCUAGCUCGAUGGAAAAAAAGAAAAGGGCCAAGGUGCCAAAGCCUAGAAGUUAUGAGGGGGCAAGAGAUGCCAAAGAGCUUGAGAAUUUCUUAUUUGACAUGGAACAAUACUUUCAAGCUGUGCACACAAAAUCAGAAGAGAAUAAAGUUGCAAUGGCUUUAAUGUACCUUGGCAUUGAUGCCAAGUUAUGGUGGCAUUAAAAAUUUGUAAAUGAUGAAUGCCUUAUUAAAACUUGGGCAAAUCUUAAGCAAGAGUUAAAGAACCAAUUCUUUCAUGAGAAUGUGGAGUAUAUAACCUGAAGGAGGCCUUGAGAAUUAGAGCAAAUGGGAACAGUGCGGGAGUUUGUGAGGAGCAUUUCUACCAGGAUAUUGGACAUUAGAGAUAUGUUCAAAAAAGACAAAAUAUUUUAUUUUCUUAAGGGCCUAAAACCAUGGGCCAAGGCAAAAUUACAAAAACAGAAGGUAUAAGAUGUGGCCACGGCCAUGGUUGCUACCAAACGUCUUCACGAUUUUGUUGAUGGUCUUUUAAAAUGAAAGAAUCUUUCAUCAGGUAGCAGUAACUCCAAACUUUGGGAAUAGGAUAAAAAUGGCUAGAGUGGAUAGACCCUUUAGUCGGGGAUUUAAUAAGAGGCCUUUUGAUCGAGACAAUACCCAACCUAGGGCAAACAAUGUAUCAUUUUUCAAACUAAGGCAACCACUAGCUUACUUUCUAUGUCAGGGGCCUCAUCGGAUAGCCGAAUGCCUAUAUAGAGUUAUCUUUAAUACUUUGAGAGUCUUAUCUCAAGAGUCCAUUAAAGUGCCGAAAACAAUUGAAGAAGUUACAGAGGAGCCAGCUAGGAUAGGCUCAAUACAAUUCUUUAAUGCCUUUCAUACUCAACUAAACGUGAUAAAGAAAAAACCUAUGAGAGGUCUAAUGUAUGUGAACCUAAUAGUAAAUAGGAAGAACACAACGGCCAUGGUAGAUACAGGCAUAACUGAUACCUUUAUCACACUAGAUAAAGUAAAGAAGUGUGGUCUCAAGGUUAAUAAAGACUGUGGACAAAUGAAAGCAGUUAAUUCACCAGUCUUUGUGAUCAGUGGGAGCUUCAAGAGUGAGAAUACCAAGUUGAGGCCAUGAGAAGAAAAUGUAGACUUCACGGUUUCCCCCGUGGAUGAUUUUGAUGUUGUCUUAGGAUUGGCCUUUAUGAUGUUGGCUUAGACGAUCCCAAUCCCCACUGCUAGUUGUCGUUGUUCUUGGAAGAAUGCUCAUGUGUUGUACCAGCCACGAUCCUUCCUAAGAAUGUAAAGAAAAUGAUUUUAGCCUUACAAUUCAAGAAAGGGGUAAAGAGAGGGGAGCCCUCCUAUGUGGCCAUACCAAUCUACAAAGAAGGGACUAAGCUGAAAGAGGUACCAAUGAGGUGAAAAAUGUAUUAAAAGAAUUUAAGAGUGUGAUGCUAGAGUAAUUGUCUAAAGUCUUACCUUCUCGAAGAUUAGUGGACCAUGAGAUUGAGCUUCUUUCGAGAGUCAAGCCACCAGUUAAAGCUCCCUAUUACAUGGCUCCACUCGAGUUGGCUGAAUUGAGAAAACAAUUAAAUGAGCUUUUACAAACUAGGUUCAUUAGACCAUCAAAAGCACCAUUUGAAGUUUACGGUUGUAUGUGGAUUAUAGGGCCUUGAACAAAGUUACUGUGAAGAACAAAUAUCCCAUCCCACUUAUUGUGAAUUUAUUUGAUCAAUUAAACCAGGCUAAGUACUUAUCCAAAUUGGACUUAAGAUCUGGCUAUCAUCAGGUCAGAAUUGCUAAAAGAGAUAAGCCAAAAACCACAUGUGUAAUAUGGUAUGAUGUAUUUGAAUUUCUUGUUAUGCCUUUUGGAUUGACUAACGCCCUUGCCACAUUUUGUACCUUGAUGAAUCAAGUGUUCUAUAACUACCUUAACAAGUUUGUGUUCAUUUAUUUAGAUGAUAUAGUGGUUUAUAGUUCUACCCUGAAAGAGCACCAAAAGUAUUUACAUCUUGUAUUUCAAAGACUACAAGACCACUAGUUGUAUGUUAAAAGAGAGAAAUGUAUAUUUGCUCAGACAUGAAUCCACUUUUUAGGCCACAUUGUUGAAUAAGGCCAUAUUCAAAUGGACAUAAAAAAAGUUAGGGCUAUCAAGGAGUGAGCAACACCAAAGAAUGUCAAUGAACUUCACUCAUUUUUGGGAUUUGCUAAUUAUUAUAGGAGAUUUAUGAAAAUGUACUCUAAUAGAAUCAUGGCCCUCACAGAACUAUUAAAAAAAGAGCAUAAAUGGUGUUAAACAAAUGAAUGUCAAGAGGCUUUUAAAAGAUUAAAAGAAGCUAUAAUGAAAGAUCAUGUCUUGGCUAUCUCUGAUAUUGCGAAGCCUUUUAAAGUUCAGAUGGAUGCAUCUGAUUUUGCCAUUAAGGGAGUACUCAUACAAGAAUGGCACCCAAUAGCCUUUGAAAGUCAAAAAUUGAAUGAAGCUAAAAAGAGAUAUACGGCUCAAGAGAAGGAACUCCUAGUAGUAAUUCAUUGUCUAAUAACAUGGUGACAUUAUUUGUUGGGUUCAUAAUUCAUCGUGAAGACGGACAAUGCGACAGUUAGUAAUUUUUUCACCUAGUCAAGACUCAUAGCUAAGCAGGCUAGAUGGCAAGAAUUUUUAAUUGAAUUUGAAUUUUGUUUUGAGCAUAUAGUUAAAAAAACCAAUCAAGUAGCAGAUGCAUUGAAUAAAUGAGUUGAGUUGGCUACCCUUAGAAGAGUAGCCCCAAUGAUGGCUACUAAAGUCAUGGUAAAUGUUUGCAAGCAAAUUGAAGAUAAUAUGAGGAAAGAUCUAUAAGCUAGUACCAUUUUAAAACUAAUAGAAAAAGAAAAGUCUAAAUACUUUUGACAGGAAAAUGGGGUCUUACUAAUAAAGGGUCCUCGAUUGUUUGUGCCAAAAACAUGAGGUCUAAGACAAAUGCUAAUGAGAGAAUGCCAUGACACACCAUGGGCGGGUCAUCCUAGUUGGCAACAUACUUUGGCUUUAUUGAAACAACGUUAUUAUUGGCCUUAUAUGCGGCAGGAUAUGAUGGACUAUACUAGGACUUAUUUUAUUUACCAAUAGGAUAAAGUUGAAAAGAAAAAACCAAUAGGCUUGCUUGAACCACUAUCUAUGCCUACUUGACCUUGGGAAAGUAUGUCCCUUAACUUCAUAUUGGGUCUUCCCAAAGUUAGCGAUUUUGGGUCCAUUCUGGAGGUGAUCUAUCACUUCUCGAAAUAUGCCAUGUUCAUUUUCACCAAAAAGUAUUGCACUGUAGAAGACACAGCCCGGUUGACGUUUAAACAUGUAAUUAAGUAUUGGGGCCUUCCUCAAAACAUUGUUAGUGAUAAGAAUCCGAGAUUCACUAGGUUAUUCUAGAGAGAACUUUUUAAGAUCUUGGGAUCCUAACUCAACAUCUCUUCAAGCUAUCACCCGUAAAUCAAUGGUCAAACUGAACGAUUUAAUGGGUUGUUGGAAGAGUACUUAAGAUAUUUUGUUCAAGCUAAUCAGAAGAAUUGGCUUUUAUUGUUGGAUGUAGCUCAGCUUUGUUUUAAUUCUAACAAAUGUUCUUCCACAAACAAAAGUCCAUUUGAAAUGGUCAUAGGACAACUACCAAGACUACCACAUACAUCCCUUGAGUCGUAUGGAAGGAAAAUCCAUGAGCAUUCAACCUCAGCAAAGAAUGGAGAUAAAAUACAGAAAUUACACAAGCAUACUUGGAGAAAGCAUCAAAAUGCAUGAAGAAGUGAGCUGAUAAAAGUUGAAAGGUACAACAAUUCAAAGUUGGUGAUCUUAAUCUUGUCAGACUAGUGCUUGAACAAACCAGGUUCCUAAAGAAGCAAGAUCAUAGGUUGAUCUGUAAAUAUGAGGAUCCAAUAAAGAUCCUUUCUAAGGUGGAGAAUGCCUCUUACAAAAUUGACUCAUCAAAAUGAAUGAAGGUGCAUCAAGUAUUCCAUGUGAGCAACUUCAAGCCAUUCCAUGCAAAUCCCAUAGAUGCAAGUCGUAGGGAGUCAACCAAGGCUGCUAUCACCAUGAAACCACCAUCAGAACGUCAAGUUGAAGAGAUUUUAGCUAACAAGGUAUCCAGGAUAUCUCAAAGAAUAAUUCAUGAAUAUUUAGUGAAGUGGGAAAGCUUAGGACUAGAGGAAACUAGUUAGGAAAAAGAUCAUGACCUCUGAGCAUCUAAGUGAAAGAUUGAAUAAUUCCAGGCCAACAAGUCGACGAGGACAUCGAUAGAAUAGGUGAGGGAGGAUGUCAUGAGCCAACCUUGUAUAGGAUCACGACUGGGCAUAAGUUAUCAUGAGCCACUCAUAUAUAGGGCCAUGACUGUGUAAAGAUGCCAAGGGGGAUGGUAGAUCUCAUGUGUUAGAAAAAGUGUCCCUAUUUCAAGCAUUGUAAUGGUUAUAUGUAGGAUAGCUAUAAAAUCUCAUUUGCUCUUUAGAGGGGGUGAGCAAUCGACAUAUUGUUGAGCUACCUCACUGGUUAAGGUAUGUAUUAGAUCAUCCAUCUAGGGCUGCUUCUCUGGCUCAAUGAUGAUGGAAAGACUCGAUGUACUCUUCUUGAUAUUAAUAAAAUAUAUAUUUUUAUAUAUACGGGAACACCGAGGUCACCUUGAUGUGCUCCCAUUUUGCCUCGAUAUGUCGUUGUGUACGAUUGAGAUUGAUUUAUGGCUCUUGGUUUCUUGUUCAGAUAUUGAGCUAUCUUUGGUUGACAUGGGUGAAAGUGUCUAUUCAAGUGUCGCACGGUCUAUUGCUUCAUUGAGAGAAAGCAUAGCCCAUGACAACGAUUCUGAUCGACAAAUCCUACUGGUUGAGCAAUAUAUACUUUAUUAGUGAGACGACCUUGUAAUCCAUCAAACAUACUAGUGGUAGGAUUCCAAAAAGAUAUGCGAGAUUUGAUAGGAUCACAUAAACAAAGUAAUCCAUCAUAGACACAAAAUGUAGGAUAUAAAAAGUCAAAAUCCUAAGGAAUUUCUGGGAGCAAAUCUUGGUAAGAAACAAGUGUUUGAUCAAGAAACAAGCAAAUAACAACUUUGUCAACAUAAUAAUGGUAUAUGAAAGGAUGGUUGUUAUUCUUGCUAAUGCUAAGAUGUUGAGAAACAAAACUUGGAUAUUCAAAGAGAGAGUUCCAAGAUUUUGCUACGUACCUAAAACGAAUGAUCCACUUAACAGAGCUUGAGGAGAAUCUUAGUCACCAGAUGUUCAGGCCAAUGCUCAUUGCUUCUAUCCAUUCCCUCUCUUUCUAAUUUUUCUAUUUCAAUUCCUACCAAACUCAAUGUUGAAACAAUUAAUGUUUUUCAUAAUUAGAUAUUCUAAUUGUUGGCUUAUUUGUCAAGAAAAAAAUUAAUAAAAAAUACAAAGAUACACGAAAGAGACAAAAAUUUCAAAUAACAACAAAACUUGAUUUAAUAGAACAAUAACAGCGAAACAAAAAAGAAAAAAAAGCAGAGCUUUAAUACGGUAACAAUGAUAGAAAGAUGAAGAGAUCAGUGGAGUCAAAUAAUUUCAUCAUGAAUUUAAUAUCCCCAAAACCUAAUAAUCGAUUCAAUGGCUAGAUAUUGUUUAUUGAUUUAUUACACAAAGAGAAUGAAGAUAUGAUGAAAACAAAACAUAAAGGUAUAUAAACAAUCUGCUAUAUAUAUUCAUAAGAUAACAAAUUAAUUAAUACCCCUUCAAAUAAUCUCCUAGGGUUUGGGUUAAGAGAUUUAGGGAAUUUUUUCUGCUAGAGCUUGAGAGAGCGACAGGAGGUUUUUCCUUUUAUUUUUUCUCCUGUCAGACGAUUUUUUUUUUUCAAUCAGAAUGGGCUUUUUCUAAUGGGCUUUAAAAUGAAUUUUUUAUUGGGUUCUUUUUUUCUUUUUGCCAGUGAUAGCAAUUUUUAUGGGGUUCAUUUGUUUUUUGAACCGUUCUCUGUUAAGGAAUUCUUAAGAAUAUAGGAAGCUUUUGAUUUUUGAUGUAUUUAUAUCCAUUUCAUACGCUAUGUUCAUUUUAUGUAAAAAACAAAGUUAUAACAAAAGAAAUUGGCAACGAGAUUUUGAAAAAAUAAUAAAUAUAUUAUUUUAUAAUACAGGAGAUGUUUUCUUAUAUCAUCCCAUUUUCUUAUCACCCACAUCCUUUUUUGUGCCAAUAUGGAAAUGAUGUAAUUUUGAUAAAUUUUUUACUAAUUUAAAAUAUUUUAUUGUCAUGCUUACGUAAGUUUAAUGGAGUACUUAUUUUAAUAAAAGUAAUUGUAUUAUUUCUAACAAAAAUUUUCCUUUUCAUUGGAAUAAUUUUACAAAUUUGAAUUUUUUACAAGAACUUCCACAAAAAUUUUAUCGUUAAUGAGUUUUUUUUUACCAUAAAACAGAUUUUUAGGGACGAAAGUUUUGUCGCUAAAAGUUUGAUUUCAAUUCUUUAGCAAAUAAGUAUACUCUUAAAAGUGAAGACAUCGUGUACCAAAGAAUAUAAUAAUAAAAGCUUCAUUCUAGAAUAGCUAAUACCUAUAAUUUGAAUUUUGAUACUAGGUUCCCAUUAUAAUUCUAAGAGAAACUUUCUUUUUAUUUUUGGUAAUGAGACAAGGAACAAAGUUUAACCAAAUUACAUUCUAAUUAAAAGACCAAAAAAGGAAAAACGAUUGCGUAGAGGUGUUAAGGCCAGUUGAAUGGAGUCUUGAUUUGUGAUGGGCCUUCAACCAUUUUGGACACUUCUCUUGCUAAUGGAUGCUAUUUCAUUGGUGAAUGUGAAUUGCAUACCAUUUGCCUUUGCUUUGUGAAUGUCAACAAGUACUGGUUUGCGACCCUGAAUUAUGUUCUUCCACUUAUUUUUCUUCAAAUUUCAUUGUUCAACUCAACCUUAUGAAUCUUAUAGCCUCCAAAGCAUUUUGAUGUUUAUGUAAAUCUUAUUUUCUUUUUUCUUCUCAACUGCGGUGACAAUGUGGGAUUGAAAAUCAAAUGGUUGCUAGAUAGUUAAAAAGAGAGAAAAAAAAAAAGAUUUGUGAGAAAGGCAAAUGAUCAAAAUGAUUUCGGAAGGCAAAGGAUAAAAAUAUUUUUUUUUCUAAAUUAAGGAGUCAAAUGCUUGUGUUUGCUCUUUCUUUUUUUUUUAAUUGAUAUUUUUUGAACCCAGUAUCUUGAUUCAUUUUCUUCCAUUCAGCCACAAAAUCAGAACUCCUUUUAAUCUGUGUUAGGAUUUUUACAUGAAUUUUUUAUGAAUUGAAAUUGUUUUACAAACUAACAAUAAAAAAAAAAAGGAAAACAUAACCACUUGAUUUUCUAUCCAUAUAAGUCCUGUUAGAGAUUAUUCUUUAAGCUCUAUUUUUAUUUCAUUCCAUAUGUAAUUAUUGUCUUUUAAUUCACAGUCAACUUUUGGGAGUCCAAACAUAGAAAUCCAUCAAUUCCGGGCCCAAGAUUUUCCGUUAGACCCUGAGUUUGCUCUAAUUGAUUUCCAAGCAUCCAUAUAUAUUUUACUUUUAAUUUACUUUUUUUUUUAAUAUUUUAUGCAUUCAUUUAAGAGUUCAUAAAAAAUCCACUGUUUAUCUACCCCAAUUCCGCUUCAACUUGAAGUUAGCUAACUAUCAACUACCGAAGAAAAAUAUAUAUAAAGAAAAGGUUUACCAAUGGAAAUAAUCCGGAUAUGGUUAUCCCUGCUUUACUAGGAUUUGGUUUCUUUCCCCUACUAGGAUUUGUUUUUCGUUAAAAAAGUUACGUAUAAAAAAGAUCACGUUAAGCACAAAUUGCAAAACUAAAUUAAUCAGCUCUGCCAAUUGCCAUAACUUCAAUUGUCUUCGUGAUCCUACUGUUCGCCUAUAUAAUUACUUUUUUUUUUUCUAAAACAAAUAUAAUGUACAUGUAGAAUUAGCUUUUACUAAACCUUUAUGUUUUGAUUUCAUGAAACCUUCACGCUCUUUUUGUAAUAAAUAAACAAACAAAAGCUAGCUAUUGAAUUUGUUUAUUGGGAAAUUAAAUUCAUGAUGAAACUGUAUUUAAUAUUUAUUUCGCUGUUAUUGUUCUAUUAAUUCAAGCUUUGUUUUCACUUGUACAUUUUGUAAGUCUCGGUCUUAUAUUUUUUCUAAUAUUUAUUGAUCUUUUUUUUUUUUUUGGAAAAAUAGGUCAACAAUUGUCGGGCCCACGCAAGUUAAGAUCCAGCUUUCCUCUUUUGUCGCUGAAACAGAAGUGAAUGGAGCAGCAAAUAGAGAUGGUGAGGCUCAUAAUAGGGUUAUGAAAUGGCGGUUUUAUGAUGAGAUAGAUGAGAAACUUAUGGGCAGAAAAGAAAAAAGGGUAGAGAGGGGGUUGUUGCAAACAAAUGGUCAAAAGGGUAAGAACGGAUUGCAAACGAACCAAUUUCUGAAGGGGAUUUUCAGAAUCGGUAAAGAGUGCUGUGCAAGAGAGAUGUAGAUAAGGAUCUACGUAGGGAAGAAGAGGCCAUUUGGAAAGUGGGUAAGCAACUAGGAAUUACUUAUCCAACUGGAGAUGAAGAAGCGGUGAUUAGAAGAAUUCAGAGAACGGAAGAAUAUGCGAUGCAACAUCAGGCCUGGCUUGGAUAAUCCUUAAUUUGUCUUUCAUUUUCCUACUUCUUUUGAGGCGAAUUUUGAGAUGGUUUUCAAUGUGGUGUGCUUUCUAAACCGUUUUGAUAGAUGAUGGGAAUUAUUAGGUGUUAUGGAACUUUGGUGAAUGGUGUAAAAUGAGGACUGUGACGUAGAACGUUCGAGAUAUUGCAGGUGGUAUUAAAAUUCAAACCGUAAGCAGGAUGAAAAGGGUUGUCAAUCUGGAAAUGGUCAACCUAAAAACGGUGUUAUUGCAAGAAAUCAAUUUUUUGAGUAAGGACCGUGUGUAACCCUUUACCUUUUUAUGGAAUAAAAAAAUUGCUUUCACUAUGUGGUGCUGCUAUGCGGGCGUACUGUUUAGCUAGAGAUGAGACGGUGGUUUGAGGAGAAAGGGUGGGAUGGAGAGAUCUUGUUCCUAAUGCUGAAAUCUAUGGCUAUCAAAAUGCAUAUUCAUUGCAGACUUUAAGGUGGCUAUUAGCAGGGAGUGUAAUAAGGAAUAUUAACCUGGGAAACAAUGGAAGAAUUUUGGAGAGAUUGAUAAGAUAAAAGAUGUAAUUGCAGUGGCUGACUUUGCACACAUAGGGAAGCUCAUGUAUUUGCAGACUCUAGCAAAAUUGGGUGUGGAUAGUGUGGAUCUUCUUAAUGUUUAGCGGUAAAAUUUUUGACGGUCUGAUUCUGUUUAUUACGAUUUACUGCAAUCUAAAACUUAAUUGCGGUCAGGGAUAAACUUAAUGUCUGAAUUUUUUAUAUUAAUGAAAUCUUCAUUAGUGACUGAGAAAAAAAAUUAGAUGAUCUCAGUAUCAAUAAGCUUAGGCUUUGAAAUAGAAAAAUUAGAAAGAGAGAAGGAAUGGCCACAAGAAACAAUGAUCAAUGUUGGCAUGAAGAUUUGGUGACUAACAUUCUCCUCAUGCUGCCUGUCCAGUCAAUCAUUCGCUUCAAUUGCGUAGCAAAAAUUUGAAAUUCUCUAUUUGAAAACCCAAGUUUAGUUUCUCAGCAUUUUAGCAUUAGCAAGAAGAACAAUCUUCUUCUCGUAUACCAUUAUGAUGAUUAUAUUAAUGAAGUUGUUAUUAGCUUGUUUCUUGAUCAAACACUUGUUUCUUACCAAGAUUUGCACAACAAGUUCCCAGGAUUUCGGCUAUAAGUAUCCUACUUUUUCUGUCUAUGAUGGAUUGCUUUGUCUAUACCAUAACCAUCCAUCAAAUCUAGCUUAUAUCUAUGGAAUCCUGCUACAAGAGAAUUCAAACUUAUCUCACAAUGUAAUGAAAACAUUCCACCUAAGAUAGAUACUUCUAUAAAUAAUUUUGGCUUUGGGUCAAAUUUUGUGCUAAAUGAUUACAAAGUGAUCUAUAUUCGGCAUUAUGUGGAUUUGGAAACCAAUAUUUCAGGACAUCGUCACUAUGCAGUUUACGACAUGAGCACAGAUUCAUGAAGGGUAUUCAAAGGCGAAGAGAUUGACUUCUUUGAAGACCUAUCUUUUUGUAAUAACCAAAACAACGCAUGUGUAAAUGGUGUUUAUUAUUGGGUGGCACUCAAGUUUCUUCAAUAUUCUAAGAUCCUUGCAUGUGACUUGGACAAAGAAGUUUUUCAAUUGAUAGAGUGACCGCCUAUUCUCGAAUCUCAAUCAAAUGGGCUGUUACUUCCACUACCUAAUAAUCUUACCUCUUUAUGGACUUCUCAUUCUUAUGCAACCAGAUGAAGUAACGGCAUUUGAGUGUUGAAUGAGAAAAAAAAAGUAUUGGACCAAAUUGUUAAGGAUUGGCCCGCUAUCAAGGGUUCAAGGAUGUUUGGUUUUUGGAGUAAGAAUGGUAAUGAAGUAUUUGUUGACUCUGUAACUGGACAUUCAUUGCUUUACGACCUUGAUACCUAGAAAUUCAGAGAUAUUGGGAUUAAAACCAAGAAAGUUAUGGAUCUUCUUGAGGCUUACACUUAGAAAGAAAGUCUUGUUUCUACCUCGAAUUGCAAAUACUACUACAUAGAGUUUGACUUUUUUCCUAGUUAUCUAGGUCAAGACUAUUUAUAAUAGUGAUUUCGUGCAUGCAUGCAUGCAAUAUCUAGUAAACUUUGGAUUUCCUAUAUUUUUCUUCUUUAUGUAAAAUGACUAACUUAAAUAUAUUUAUAAACUUUAUUAUGAAUUACUAACAAUUAUAUCCUUCAUAAAUUUAGAAUUUAUUAGUUUAUUAAUUUAAUUUAAAGCAACUAAAAAUAUUAGAGCAUAACCAAACUAAUUAUAACCAUUACUUACAAUAGAGAAGAAUAUAGAGAUCAUAACUAACGGGUUAUAAUUAUAAGAUCAAAAUCACUUAAUUUAGUUUGUUAGCUUUAUUCAAAAUUUUAGUAAAAGUUAGUUUUGGCGAUUUAAUUACAUAAUGAUCUUCAAAUGUUUAGUAAUAUUUUUCUACACAAAUAAUUAUAAAAAAUUUUGCACUACUCUUUUUCCCAAUAUAUAUUCAUUAACAUAUUAAAAAAUACAAAAGGGAUAAUAUUUGAAUGAUCUCUAAAAUUAUAGUUAAAUAUUCAAUUUGAUACUUAAAUUUUUAAAAUAUCUAAUGUGAUAUUUAAACUAUCAAUAUGUUAACUAAUGUAAUUGUAGAUAUCCCUGAGAUCUUAGUCAAUUGGAUUUGAUUUAAUUUCAAACCCAAAGUCCAAACCAAUUGGGCUUGAAUUUUAUUUGAGCCCAAUAAUUUAUUUAUUUAUUUACAUUUUUUAUGUAUAUAUUUUUUAUUUAUUUAUCCUAUUUAUUAUUUUAUUUUAUUAUUAUUUUAUGUUUUAUGUUUUAUUUUUUUAUUUGGUUUGUUACCUUAACUUAAUCUUUAAUUGUAAUUAUCUUUUUAAGAUAGUUGAUUAUUUCAAAAAUAAAAAAAAAAAGAAAAAGGAAAAUAGGAAGUUGACUUGUUGAUAAGCCAAAAAAAAUUGAGUUGAUCUAAAAUUUCUUAAGCUUGUGCUAUAAAUAGACCUGAAUUCAAAAUGCAGAAAUGGCAACAAAUUAGAGAGACGCGCAAAAAAAAAAAAAAAACAGAGCCAAUUCAGUAGCCACUUUCAAUUUAGCCAUCAUUCACUGUUACCCACUACCUAAAUCAGCCACCUAAUAGGGUGUUUGGAUUGAGGGGAGAGGAAGGAAAAGAAAGUAAAGUAAAGUAAAGGAAACAAAACCCCUUUCCUUUGUUUGGAUAAAUAUUUAAUUUAAAAAAAAAAAAGAGGUGAAAAUUAAAUAACCUUUAGUUUCCCUUGUAAACCCUAUUUUUUUACUACCCUAGUGAAAUGAAAGUUAAAAUUUUUUUUUAUAAAAAAACUAUUAUGUCCAUCUUUUUAUUAAUAUUAAAAACCAAAUAAAAAAAAACCUAAACAGAUCAUAAUCAUCUUGUAAUUUUUUCAAAGCUAUCUCUUUUUCAAGUAACUUUCAUAUAUAUCUUCCAAUAUAAAAAUUUUUUUAUAAUUUUUUGGUGAUUUAAUUUUGAUGAAUGGUUGAAUAUAAAUAGAUAUAUUUUUUAAGUUUAUAAAAUGUCAGACUAGCUCAAAAUUUAUCAAUGCAUAUUUGUAAAAUAUCUUCCUAUUUUACUUUAUUAAAAACCAUCGAUAUAACAAUAAUUGUAAGGCCAGACAAAAUAGUAAAUAUAUCAUGAUUCAAGAGUGCUCUAAAAUCACAGGUAAUGAAAGGUUAUAAUUAAAAAAAUUAUUAUAAUGAAUCAUUUUCCUUCUUUUUCACUCUUUAUACAAACAAUAGUUGUUAGAAUUUCUUUUCUUUCUUUUCAUUUAUUAAUUUUAAUUAUCCAAACAAAGAUUACAUGUAUCAUUUUCUUUCUUUUAAGAAACUUUAUUUUCUUUUAUUUUCCUUCACUUUCCUUUUCUUUAUUAAUAUUUAUCCAAACGUAGCGUAAGUCAUCCUAUCCUACCACCAUUUGAACCAUUGUGGUGUGCAAUUCAGUCUGAAACCACCCACCAGCUUAGUUUCCAAUCCCAGUAAACCUUUUUUUUUUUAAAUUUUAUAUGUUAAAUUUUGUAAGAAAAUAAGAUUAGUGUCCACAUCUCACCCUUAUUUGGCUUUUUUUUGUCUUUUUCUUUAUUUUUUUUAUUUGAUAAAUUUUGUAUGAAAAUUAGUCAAUAAAGAUAAGGAUGAUAAAAUAAUCUAUUUUUGAUGGAUUUGUUGUUUUGAAAAUUGAGAUCAAGUCGAGGCAAUCUUUUCUUAUUUAAAAUUGAAAUUAGGUCAGAGGUAGAUUUAAGAUGUUUCAUCUCGUUUCUUCUCUAGAUAUAUAUAGAAAUAGAUAUUUUAUUAUUUAUUUAAUUUUAUAUUUAUAUAUUAUAUAAUAAAUUUAUUAUUUAAUACCUAAAUAUAAUAAAAAAGAUUACAUUUAUAUAUAAGUAAAAUAUAAUUUAUCUUAAAAAAUAAAUCUAUAAUAUAAAUAUUACAAAAAAAACUUACCAUUACUAAUAUCAUCAUGUGUCAACUCAAUUUUUUUUCUUUUCUUUUUAAGUUUUUUUUCUUUUUUAAAUUAAAUAAAUUUUAUAAAAAAAUUCAAACAAAAUAUCCGCCUGUCACUCUAUUUCUAUUUAUGUAAAAGAAACAUAAAAUAAAAGAAACAUAAAAAAUAAGUAAACAAUAAAUAUGACAGUCAUACGUACUAUCUUUAUGUCGGAUAAACUAGUUUCAUAAUAAUGUAUGGAUAUCUAAAGUCUAAAUUUACAUGCACUUGCAUUUGCAAACUGCCAAACUCCCAAUCUGAAAUGUAAAACGUACCUAUUCUUUCUCGUCUCCUUUUUUAUUAAUCCAAAAAUGGAAUGAUUUUCAUUCUCCUUUUUCAUUCUUCUUGUUUGCCUUCUAAAAUAGCACAAAGAAGUUUCUAAAAAUUAUUUUGCUCUUAUUGAAGUUAAAAAAAUAAAAAUAAAAAUGACCCUAUAAUUAGCAUUUGGAAUAAUUAAUUACCAAUUAGCCAAUUAAAACCCAAUUAUCAUUAAUCACUUGUAUUGGGUCAGACCUAAUUUGAACUUUUAGUAUUAAAUUUUUGGCCCAAAUUCUCUGAUUAUUUUUAAUCUCAACAGUUUCUACAAAAUUUUCUUCAAAAAAAAAAUCGAACUUCUAAAUAGAAUUUUAACAUGUAGGUAAAUCUAUUUAAUUAGUAUGACGAACUUAAACUAAUUCUUUUGGAGCAUUCAUUUUUAAGAAAAAAAAAAACAACUACAAAAUAUUUGUAAGUGUACUUAAUUAAUUAGCUUGGUAAAUAUGAAUAUACCCUUCCAUAAUUAAUUUCAUUUAUAUUCAACGUAGCAUUAAUAACAGGCCUUAGUAUCCUUGCCUUUUGGCCAAAAAAUUGAGCCACUUGGCAACCAUUCUUUGAUGUCAAACCACUAUAAUCUUGUAAUAGGUUGAUUGUUUGAAUUCCAGGGUUAGCUUGAUGCAAUUAUUUUUGAAAAAUAAUAUAUAAUAAAUUUUUAAUUUUAAUAUUUGUAAUCUUUUCAGUAUUUUUAGAUUAUAAUCUCCUCUAAACAAAAAUAACUUGAAUGUUUCAUAGAAUGUUUAACUUCCUCGUAUAAGCCAAUACGAUUGUAUGAUAAAAAUGUUAACAUGUGUUUAUUGGUACGGAUUAAGAUGAUAGCUAUAAAAAAAAGUUAUAAUUCUAUAUUAUAUCUGCUUAAAAAUUUGAUGAGAAAGCUAUAUUAAAUAAAAAUACCUUUUCUAAAAUAAUAAUUUAUCUAUUUUUAAUAGGUAAAUUAAAAUAACCAUUAAAAGCAAAUCCAUUUGCUAAGACAUUUCAAGCCAUAAUUUUUUUCAUGAAUCCAAAAAUCAAAUUUUAAUGCGUAUUGACUAAAGUCUUAAUCAUGAAAUAAUUACUUUUGAAAAUACAUUUAAAAUGAUGACAAUUUAAAAUCAAGUUAAUCGGUUGAAGCUAAAUUUUGUGGUUUAGAGUCUUGGACGGUACAUCGAAGCAAUUAUAGAUUUAUAUUUUGAGAUUUUUAAUUAACUUUUGUAUCUGUCUUGUAACUGUUUUUUUUCUUCUUUUUUUUUUUUUCUUUUCAAGAGAUUAGAUCUAUCAUCUCUUUGUGACCAUGGAGGUUAUCUUUGUCAUGUACUUGUUGUUGGCUUACUUAGAUUUUUUUUUUUCUGGGUUUUGUUAUUAGAUUGGUACUUGAUUUUAUUCCCCAUUUUUGCAGGCUUAACAUGGGCUUCUUUACGAGUUUAUUUUGUAUUAUUAUCUAAUAACUUUUUUUAUUAAUAAAACUUCAUGCCUAAUUUCAAAAAAUAAAUUAAUAUGUUAAUAAAUAUAUAUUUUGCUAAAAAAAAGUGAUCAAUGAAAAAUAUUUAUAAUUAUUGGUAUUGAAAAAGAUAACAAAGCAUUUGAAGAUUAUUACGCCUAAACUUUUCCCCAAAUUUUGAAUAAAGCUAACAAACUAAAUUAAUUUUGAUAUAUUAAUUAUAAUUAGAUAGUUAUGAUCUCUAUCUAAUUAUUUUUUAUUAUAUGUCGUAUAAUAUAUAAAAGAGCAUAUCACUUAUAAUUCUUUUUAUUACAAUUAUAUAAUUAUCUAAUUAUAAUAAAAAAUUAUAUAAAAAUUUAUGUGAAUUUCAGAUAAAAUAUUAAUGAACUCCACAAAAUUCUAAAUUAUGAUUAAUUGAUUGUAGUACAAAAAUAAUUUUAGUGUUAAGUCAAAUUCUUCCAUGCAAUGUUUAGGCUUCUAAUAUUUUAUUGGUUUAAAUUAAAUAAAAUAAUAGAAUUCUAAAUAGAUAAAAGAUAUAAUUCCUAGUAAGUCCUAAAACAGUUUAUAAAUAAGAUUCAACAUCUACCUACCGAGGUAGAUUCUGUACUGCUUAAAGACACCAGGCAUUACCCUUUGUGAUAAGGCAAUGGACUUGAGGUUACUAUGUUGUAAGUUGUCCUUGUUUGUCUCAACAGAACAUUUCACAUCUGCCACAAGUCGCCAGCAAAGAACUGUGCUUCCGGAUCAAGGACCAUGUGCACUUUCUCUAUGAGCUGGAUUUUCGCCGGAUGAUGCUGCCGGAGGAUUAGCAUGUUCGGGGAUAUUAAUUCCAAGGCUAGCAAAAUACUCUUCAGACACUGAUCCAUGAUAAACUGUAAGUCCACCCUUUGCUAGAAGUAUCAAAUCAUCAAACAUCCUGAACAAGGUAAAACUGAAGUGCAACAAAAAGAAAAUCCGUAUCCAUUAUUUUCAGCUACACACUUAUGAGUAAUAUUGGCGUAUUAACAUAUGUUUACUCCUUCGUAAAACCAUCAUAUUUCAUAAAAUUCAACAUUACAGUGAUAAUGAACUCACCGUGGCUGGUAAAUGCAAAUGUUUACUCCUUCAAAUGCUUCACACCCUAGAGCUCGAAGUAGUAAAUGGGAAGAUGAACUGUCUAAACAAGAUGUUGGUUCAUCUAAUAUCAAAAGUGAAGGUUCCAUGACCAAUUCCAGUCAACAUUUAACUGUUUCCUUUGACCCCUAGAGGUUUCCCUCUUCUCCACUGUCCCACCCAUAGAAUCCCUCACAGGCUGCAGUGCCAACCCGGCUCCAGCUCUAUUAACCAGUCUUGGACCGGUCCAAUUGAACUGCAUACUGAGCCGAAGACAGACCGUUGAAUUAUUGGGUAGACCACUCCAAACUAUUCCGAACCAUCUGUGAACAUCACCAAACCACUUGAAAACCACUUUAAACAGGCUGAACUGCCUGCACUAAUUUAUGGACCGUUGAUCAAUCAUUUUAGGUAAAUUUUAUUUAUUUAUUUAUUUAUUUAUCUUUAUUUUUAUUUUUAUUUGUUUAUGAUAAAUUUGCAAUUUUCUUAUUCAUGCAUAUUUAAAAUUUUAGACCCUUGGAAUAAAUAUUUAAUAUUGUUAGUAAAAAUAAAAUUUAGAUUCCAAAAAUGGUUAAAUUCAGUUUGCACUAAAAAUUUUCAGGAUAAAUAAAAUAAAGCAAAACGUUUUCCGAUGACAGAAUUCUAUGAAAUUUCAAGUAGUGAUUUUUGAGAAAUUCUUAUAUGAGAAAAAUUUUCUAAAACAUUACAAAAAAUAUUGGGGUGCCUAGAAAAUUUUUCAAUACAAAAGAUUUCCUAUUUUCCUUUUCUUUUUUCAAGAAAAAUUAUUAAAUUAUAAAAAUAAUAAAUAACAAAAAUAAUGAAUAAUGAGCAAAAACAAUUAAACAAGAUAAUUUAUAAUAAAUAAUAGAAAAAAAAGCAAGAUUAUCAAGACAAGUGAAAUCACAUGCAUAUCAUAUUUUAUUAUUUGCAUUUCAUGUAUAUAUAUAUAUAUAUAUAUUAAUCUUGAAAAUAAAUGAAAAUUUUUUGAGGGUGAGAUAUUAAAGAAAUACGAGUAGAGAUUUCUUAAAGAUUUCAAGAUAUUUUUAUAAAAUAUUAUCAAAGUAUUAGAGUAUUUAAAAAAAAUUCAAUACAAAGGAUUUUCAUUUAAUUAAUUUUUAAUUAAAAAACAAGAAAAUAAAAAAAAUGAGUUUUUGUUGGAAUUAGAUUACAUACAAUAAUACAUUAAUAUUAUUUGUAUUAAUUAAUUAUUAGACAUAGGCAUCCAAGGAUGGGAUUUUAAAAAAAUUUGUAUAGUGAUUCCUAAGAAAUUUUUAGUGAAAAAAUUUCUCCUAAUGUCACUAAUGUACAUUUUGAGAAAUUUUCAAUAAAAAUGUUUCAAUUUAUUUUUCAAAUAAAAAUGAAAUAAUAAUUUUUCAUUAAAAGAAAGAGAAAAUUUCGUAAAAAACUGAAAUGAAAAAUCAAAAUUAUGGUAAAAUAAAGGAAAUUAAAGAAAUUAUUUUAAAAAUCAAAAUUAAGACUUUUUUUGUCAAAAUUAAAUGAUAGCAUAAGAUUAAUUAGUACUGUCCUUUGACGGGUGCUGUGGAGGUGCUAAUCGUUUCUCUUACAUAAUUGUACUCCUAAACUAAAUUUGUUCUCGUAAACCCAAAAAUUAAUUUUUAAAUAAAAUUUUAAUUAAUUCUAAGAUUUUAUUAAAAAUAUAAGUUUUAUUAGGUGAUCAAUCAUACCUAGUCAGAAAAGAUUGGUAAUGACUCAUUUUAUUUUUCAAUUCAUCUAACGACCCCCAAAACCGUAAUGAUAAGAAGGAAGGAAGAACCCUUAAGGGUUUUAGUUUGGGUGUUUUAGGAAGUUUUUGGGUUUGAUUUUUGAAGAAGGAGAAGACUAAGAGGAAAGGAAGAACAUUACUAUGAGAAGGGAUUGGUGCAGGUGGCAGAAGUAAGAGUUUUGGAGUGUUUUUGCCUGAUUUUGAAGGUGUUGUAAUGUUUUUUUGUUAGGGACAACUUUAUCACUAGACUUGAUGAAAUUUGGAGUCAUCACCAAUCUUUUUAUAGGAAUGCAAUUGAUCAUGCAAAAUAUCAUCUUUUAAUAAAAAUCUCAAAAUUCAUUGAGAUGUAUUAAAAGACGUUUUAAUCUACGAAAUCAAGAUCAGAUUUGGGAGUACAGUUACGAAUGAAAAAUGUAUUAACAUCCCUAUAUUGCUGUUCAAAGAACAGUACCAAUUAAAUAUAUGUUAUCCAUUUGUUUUUGAUAAUAUGGUCUUUUUUAAUAUUUAAAGUUAAAUUCCUUAAAAUUUUAUUUAUGAAAAUUAUUUUUUAUUUUAUGAAAUUAUUAUUAUUUUUGCAUUCUAUAAAUUCUCCAAUGCUUUGGUGGAAUAUAUACAAAAAAAAAAUCAUUCAAGAAAAUUUGGAAAAAUUAACCAUUUAUAAAAUUUUCAAAAAUUCCAUCAUAAGAUAUUUUAUUAUUUAUUAAAGUUGAUUUUAGGAUUAUCCUAACUCUUUGGUGAAAUCUUUAAAAAAUCAUUUCUCUUGGCAAUAAUUAAAAAAAAUAAGACUUUUCCAAUUUUUCCUAAAAUUCUUUCUCAAGAAAUUUAAUUAAAUAUUUAAUUUAUUUAUUAUUUAUUAUUUAUUAUUUUCAUCAUUUUUCUUAUUAUUUAAAUAAAUCAUUAUUUAGUGAAAAUAAUUUUUUGGAUUAUUUCAACUCUUUGGUGAAAUCCAAUAUAUAUAUAUAUAUAUAUAUAUAUAUUAUAAUAAUUAAAAGAUUCAUUUAGACAAACAUUUUAUUUUUUUAUUAUUUAUUGUUUUUUAUAUUAUUUAAAUAAAUAUUUAUUCUAGUAAAAAUAAUUUUUAUAUUAUUUCAACACAUUGACGAAAUCUAAAAAUAUUUUAUUUGCAUUAAUUAAAGAAAAUUAAACUCUUUCAAUUUUCUUUAAAAAUUGCAUUCUAAAUGAUUUAUUCAAAUUAAUCAAUUUUUUUAAAGCAAAAAUAAUUUCUUAAAUAUCCCAACACUUUAGCGAAAUUCAAAAAAUAUUACUACUUAUAAAAUUAAGAAAACAUAGAAUUUUUUUCACUUUCAUUAUUAUUAUUAUUAUUAUUAUUAUUAUUAUUAUUAUUAUUAUUAUUAUUAUUAUUUUGUUUAUCAUUUUUAUUUAAGAUUAAAAGUUACUAUUUCUUCUUGAUUUUAUUUUUUAUUAAAAUUAUUAUUCAUAAUAAUUAUUUAUUUUGUUGCUUAAGUUAAAAAACAACAAAAAUAAUAUGAAAAUAAAAUGAAAAAGAAGAAAUUUUACCAAACUGGUCGAGUUAGAAUACAAGUUGGCUUGUGGGUUGCCGAGUUGAGCUGAAUCCCUUAAUUCCAAAACGACGACGUUUUGAGUCACAAUAUAAGGCCCUUUUUUGGUUUUUUUAUUCUUAAUUUUCUCCUCUGCUCUUUCUUUCUACAAACUAGAGCCUCUUUCUCUAAAAAUCCCUUCCUUUUGUCAACAACUAUGGCAACCUAAAUUUCAACCAAUUAUAAUCGUGCCGUGGUUGGAAUCUUCAACCGACAUCGGUAAAUUCAAAAUAUUCCCAAUUCCCAAUGAAAUACCUAGAUUUCAGUCGUUGAAAAAGUCAUACACCCAUUAGAAAAUUUAAAUUUUUUCAAAAUUCAGUGAAGCAAAAUUUUUUUAAAAAAAACCCUAAAAAAUCCCAAACUUAUCCCCUUUAUUUCCUAAACACCUUUUUCAAACUUUUUUUUUUUUAAAUUCGAAACCACCUAGAUCGAAACUUUUGCUCUUGAUUAUUCUUAUUAUUAUUUUACUAAUGGUUCCUUCUAUGAAGAUAUGGUGGCUUUGUUUGUUAAGUUUUUUGAUUUUUUGGUGGUUAAGUGUGUGUUAUUUUUGGUAGAAUGACCGUAGGCUCCUUCUAUCAGUCGAAUUUUUGGUAGAAUUUAUUUUGACAUAAUAUUUGAUUUUUUGGACAAAAUAAAUGUUUACAAAGAGUAGAUCUAGGAUUAUUGGGGUUGAUUCUUGAAAAUCUAAGGUUGGAUCUAAAACAAAGGGGUUAGGAUAAGUAUACAGUGAAAAUUUAGGGUCAAAAAGUGAUCGGCCAGCACUAAUUAGCAUGUGUCAACAACAACACUCAGUUGAAUUUAGGAUACAUAGGUGGUUCUAGGUUUUUUGUUUGGGAGAGUUGAGAGAGUUGUGAGAGAUUUUUUUGGGAGAAUGUUGGAAAUGAAGUGAAAAUUUUUUUGACUUUUAUAGGCCUAAAAAACUUUUCAAAAGACCUGCUUGGCGACCUGAACCAGAUCCUAGUUUUAUGUGCUCGACCUACUUUUGACUAUUGUUGACCAAUCCUGGAUCGGUCCAACCAAGUCAUUAUUGUACCAAUUGAACCAUUCUUGAACAGGUCGAAACUCUUUUAGCACAUGAAAUGACCAACCAAAUCGCUUUUGAACCUAGCCGAAUCAUCACCAAACCACUUACCAAGAUUGACUGGCCUAUUUGGGUAAUUUUUUCAUUUUUUAGUAAUUUUUAAAAUUUUCGUAUAUAUAUUUUUUUAAAUUAAUUAUUUUCUUGUGUAAAAAUUCUAGAUUCCUAUAAUAAAUAUUUAAUAUCUCUUUUUUCUUUUUUGAAAAAAAAAUAGUGUUAACAAAAGUAAAAUAUAGAUUUCAAAAAUGGUAAAAUUCAAUUUAUGCUAAAUAUAAAAGCAUAAAAAAUUUAUGAUAAACAAAAAAUGAGAAAGGAAAUGUUUUCUGACGAGGGGAUUUUUUUUAAUGGAAGUCUUAGUAGUGAUUUUUAACUAAGUGAAUAAAUUUAUCUAAAAUGCCAUUAAAGUACUAGGAUGUCUACAAAAAAUUUAAAUAUAAAAGACUUCCCUUUUUCUUUUGAAGAAAAAUCAUUAAAUUAAAAAUAAAUAAAUAAUAAAAAUGAAUAAAAAGAAAUUGGACAAGAUAAUGGGUAAUAAAUAAUAAAAAUUAAUAAGCAAGAUUACCAAGACAAGUAAAAUUACAUGCAUAUCAUAUCUUAUUACUUGUAUUUCCCACACACACACACACAUAUACUAAUCUUAAAAAUAAAUGUGAAUUUUUUAUGAUGGGAUUUUAAAGAAAUUCGAGUAGUGAUUCUUUAAAAAUAUCAAUGUUGUCGUAACGUCUAGAUCCGGGGAUCUAUCGCUAGACAUUAACUUUAGGGAGUCGCCACCAAUCUUUUUUGUCUAGGUGCGAUUGGCCACCUAAAGAAUCUGUCCUUUCAGGGAACACCUAAGUUUAAGGGCCCCUAAAAGAAUAGGUUCAGGUCUACAAACCAGAACAGGGUUCGGGAGUUCGGUUACGUGUGAGGAAGGUUAUAGCACCCUCACAACGCCCAUCAAAAGAUGGUACCAGCUUAAAUUUGUGUUAUCCAAAAGCCUUAAAAUUUUACCAAGUAAUUAAUUAUUGGAAAUUUUCUCAAUUGACUCUAAUACUUUUAGCAGAAAAUUGAGAAAAUUCCCUCACCUCAAAAGUAUGCAAGAAAAACUACUGUUUCACUUGCAGAGGCUCCGUCGUCGGAUUAUUUAAAGAAAAAAAAUAAAAUCAAAAUUAAGAUAGAAAAGAAGGAAAGAAUGAAUUUUUUUUAGGGAAAAUUGAUACUUUCAACUUUUCCCCAAAAAUAUUUUUUGGAAAUUUCGAUUUUCAAGGAAAAUUGAUACUUUCAACUUUUCCUCAAAAACCCUUUUUUUGAAAAUUUAUUUCUAAGGAAAAUUGAUACUUUCAACUCUUCCCCAAAAAUAUUUUUUUUGAAAUUUUGAUUUUCAAGGAAAAUUGAUACUUUCAACUUUUCCCCAAAAAUACUUUUUUUGGAAAUUUAUUUUUCUUUUAAGGAAAAUUGAUAAUUUCAACUUUUCCCUAAAAAUAUUUUUUGGAAAUUUAUUCUUAAGGAAAAUUGAUACUUUCAACUUUUCCCUAAAAAUAUUUUUGGAAAUUUAUUCUUAAGGAAAAUUGAUACUUUCAACUUUUCCCCAAAAAUAUUUUUUGGAAAUUUAUUUCUAAGGAAAAUUGAUACUUUCAACUUUUCCCUAAAAAUAUUUUAUUUUGGAAAUUUAUUUCUAAGGAAAAUUGAUACUUUCAACUUUUCCCUAAAAAUAUUUUUUUAGAAUUUUUUUAUUCUUAUUUAAAGAAAAUAAAAUGAUAAAAAAUAAAUAAAAAGAAUAUUACAUAAACCUAAUCUAAUAAAUAAAAAAUAAACAAAUAAAAUAAACAAAUAAACAAAGAAAAAAAGAAAAAAAAAAAAAAAACCUGGAGCGGCUCGGCUCGGCUCGGCUCAAGGAAGAGAAAACGGCUCAGGGGAGCGGCUUGGCGGCUUGGCUCGGCUCGGCUCGGCUUGGAGUGGGCUGGUACGCGCGGGUCAGAAAGCGGGUCGACGCCCGGGUCGGGUCGGGUUACGGCAAAACGCGCGGAUCCUCUGGGUUACUUAAGGCCAAAACGACGUCGUUUUGGGAGGGUAUAAAAGGCACCUUCCUCCGUUUUUCGGCAGAACGCUCCUCCCCCUCUCUCUCUCUUCUUCCUUUUUCUCUCCCUUCUCUCUAGAAACCGAAGAACACCGGUGCCGGAUUCUGGAAAUUUUCGUCGGAAUCUGGAAAUUUCACCGGAAGUUGGCCGGAAGAUCGCCAGUUUCUGGGAUUCUUCGCCGGAAACUGGGUAGGUCACCGAAAACUUCAAUGGUUGGCCGGAAUUUUCGUCGAAAAAUUCAAACUUCGUCGGAAUUUCGCCGGAAUCUGGAAAUUUCCCAGAAAUUUCCAGAAAAAAUUUUCGCCAAAAAUUUCUAAAAAUUUUUUCUCACUCCCAGAACACUCCUAAACUUUUCUUAGCUUCCUAAACGCCUCCUUUCUCUCAAAUCAGUAGCUUUGCUUACUGUUUUCUGUGUUUCUGAACUGUUCCAGGAGGUGCUUUAUAUAGGGAUUGAUCAGGAGUUUCUGAUCAAUCCCAAUUCCUCCUUGGACAGGAAUUCAAUCUUUGAAUCCCACUGGACUCUUCUGAUUGAAUUCCCACUUCCAAUGGGAUUCUUCAGCCUUCAAUCUCAGCCCUCCGAAAUCAAAAUAAAAAAAAACUAGAUAAUUAGAAAAGAAAAUCAAAAAUUAAAAAUUAAAAAUAAUAUCAGAUAAUUCGAGAAAAAGAAGAUAGAAUUAACAGAUGAUUAAAAAAAAUAAUAACAAAUAAAAUAAGAUAAACCCAAAAAUAUAUUACACAAAAAAAAAUAAUAAUAAUAUAUAACUGUAUAAAUAAAAUACAUAUAAAUCUAAUCUGAAUAAAAAUAAAUAAAUAAAUAAAGAUAUACAUAAUAAUAAUAAUAAUAAUAAUAGAAUACAUAAAAUACAAAAGAAGAAAAAAAAUAUACAGGAUUGAAAUGGGCCUUACCCAUUUGGGUCAGGCCCAAUUGAUCUGGGCCCGGACCCAAUUGGGUGUCUACAGCUGCCCCUCUUUGCACAUUUUCUAUGAAGCAGAAAUUGCGCAAAGACGUAGACACCCAAUCAAGACUCAACUCAACAUUUUUAUUUUUGAUUUUUUUUAUUUUUGUUUUUAUUUUUUUUAUUUUUUUGAUUUUUUUGAUUUUUUUGUUUUUGUUUUUUUGUUUUUUUUUGUUUUUUUUUUUGGCCGAAGCUCCUCUAAACAGAGACUCAACGACUUUUGAAAGUAAAUUACUCCUCUAAAGAGAGGCAACGGACUUUGGAAAGUAAAUUGCUCCUCUCAACAGAGGCACCACGACUUUGGAAAAAUAAAUUGCUCCUCUCAACAGAGGCACCACGACUUUGAAAGUAAAUUGCUCCUCUAAACAGAGGCACCACGACUUUGGAAAAUAAAUUGCUCCUCUAAACAGAGGCACCACGACUUUGAAAAGUAAAUUGCUCCUCUCAACAGAGGUACCACGACUUUGGAAAGUAAAUUGCUCCUCUCAACAGAGGCACCAUGACUUUGAAAAGUAAAUUGCUCCUCUCAACAGAGGUACCACGACUUUGAAAAAUAAAUUGCUCCUCUAAACAGAGGCACCACGACUUUGAAAAGUAAAUUGCUCCUCUCAAUAGAGGUACCACGACUUUGGAAAGUAAAUUGCUCCUCUAAACAGAGGCAACGGAACUUUAAAAAAUAAAUUGCUCCUCUAAACAGAGGCAACGGAACUUUGAAAAAUAAAUUGCUCCUCUAAACAGAGGCAACGGAACUUUGAAAAAUAAAUUGCUCCUCUAAACAGAGGCAACGGAACUUUGAAAAAUAAAUUGCUCCUCUAAACAGAGGCAACGAACUUUGAAAAAUAAAUUGCUCCUCUAAACAGAGGCAACGAACUUUGAAAAAGUAAAUACUCCUAGACGAUCAUGUCCGAAGGAGUUGAAAGUUGUGUUUGAAGGGAUUCAGGAGAUUAUGCCAAAGGUCUUAUAAAUCACCCCGAUACCAAGAGACAUCUAUUUCAAGGAUUAAGAACUUACCUGACAAGUUUCUUCUCAAACUUGCAAAGUCUUUUCAUAUCUGUCUUUUUCAUGUGAGAUGUUGGAACACCCCUGCUUCUUGAAUUUGUACACUAUACUUUCCUGAAAGUAGUGUAUGCUAUGCAAAUGCAUAUGAAUUUCAAUGCAUGCUAUGCAAAUGUUGGCCAAUUAAUUCCUGUUCAAUGUAUGGUACUCAAGUUUCUCAAGCUCUUUUUUUCUUGGGUGUCAAGCCCUUUGAUUCCUCAAGGAUCCAAUUGCACUGCUCUUUUAAGAUCGAACCAGUGUGACUUUUAAUUAUUUCUUCCAUUCAUAUUCUUCCUGUAACAAAAAAUUUCUUCCCAAAUUCGAUGUCCUAAUCAGGAGCUGAACAUCUCGAUUCUGCCUUUAUCACUCUCGAUUUAUUCAAUGUAAUGUAAAAAUCUUUUUAUGUUGUUAUUCAUUCAUCAAUCAUUAUUUUCAACUCAGAAAGGGAGAAUGCAUUUACACAUUCCUUUCAUGAUGGGGUAUUAAGAAGAAAGGGAUAUGAAUGGUAGGGAAACAGUCAUCAGAAAAAGGAGCAAAGAAUGAAAUAAAAUGUUUCUUUAUUAGCAAAUGUCGGUAAACUUUGGCCAAGAAAGAAUUACAAGGAUAGGUAUGGGGGACAAAGCCCAAAAUGAACAAUAAGAUAAUCAUGAUAACAUAUCUCAAAGUUUUUUCUGAAAACUCAACCCUCUGAUGUAUUUAACAACUUGGAACUCUUCUGAAUUUGCUAACCUCCAUAUCAGCAGACUUUCAGAUUCGAUGCUGUAUUCUUCUUAUCUAAGCCGCCUUUUCAGGUUUUCAACUUAGACAAACCCCCUAUGACUCAAACCGCCCUUUUGGGGUUUUCGCCUUGAGUCCUCCUUGUUCACUUUUUCCUUUUUUUCCAUUUUUUCUUUUUUUCAUUUUUUCAUUUUUUUUCAUUUUUUCAUUUUUCAUUUUUCCAUUUUUUCAUUUUUUUUUUAUUUUUUCAUUUUUCAUUUUUCCAUUUUUUCAUUUUUUUCAAGCAUAGUAUUUCUUCACAGCAUCAGAAUUUACAGGAUGGGGUAAAUCAUUUCCAUCCAUUUCAGUCAAUAUCAACGCUCCACCCGAAAAGGCCCGUUUCACCACAUACGGCCCUUCCCAAUUCGGAGUCCAUUUUCCUCUACUAUCGUGCUGGAUUGGGAGAAUUCUUUUCAAAACCAACUCUCCUUCUCGAAAGCAACGAGGUCGAGUUUUCUUAUCAUGAGCCCUCAUCAUUCUUCUUUGGUAUAGCUGAGCAUGGCACAGUGCAGUCAAUCUCUUUUCUUCUAUGAAAUUUAACUGCUCAUAACGUUCUCGAAUCCAUUCAGCCUCUUCUAACUCAACUUCUUUUAAGACUCUCAAAGAGGGGAUCUCUACUUCCACUGGUAGUACAGCCUCCAUCCCAUAAACCAACGAAAAUGGGGUUGCCUCAGUAGAGGUACGAACUGACGUUCGAUAUGCAUGCAAUGCGAAUGGCAACUUCUCAUGCCAAUCUUUGUAAUACCAGGGUUUUCCAUCUUCUUGCCCUUCUACAUUAGAACAAUACACUGGUAUAUCCUUAACAUCUAACUUUAUGGGCUGAAUGUCAAUGUUCUCAUUAAUUCGAAUCAUUGCAACCAGAGUAGCCAAUGCAUCAGCAAUCACAUUUUCUUCUCGAGGUAAGUGAUCGAACUGGACAUCUUCAAAUUGUUUCAUCAACUCUAGAAUAUACUUAUGAUAUGGAACGAGUUUUGAGUCUCUCGUCUCCCAUUCUCCUUUCAACUGGUAUAUAACUAGAGCUGAGUCUCCAAACACUUUUAGUGCUUUCACUCUUCUUUCUAUAGCAGCUUGCAGGCCCAUAACACAUGCUUCAUACUCAGCGAUGUUAUUUGUGCAAUUAAAAUUUAACCUCGCUGUUACAGGGUAGUACUGUUCUUCUGGAGAAAUCAAAAUUGCCCCAAUUCCAUGCCCCAAGGCAUUGACAGCUCCAUCAAAAUACAUUCUCCAACAUUUUUCUCCAUGCUCCCUUUCUUCUAGUUGAGAAAUAGCCAUCAAGUCUUCAUCAAGAAAUUCUAGCUUCAUCGGCUCAUACUCUUCAGUAGCACGAUCUGCAAGAAAUUCUGCUAUAGCACCCCUUUUAUUGCUUUUUGGCUCACGUAUAUAAUGUCGUAUUCCGAGAGCAUUACUUGCCAUCUAGCGAUUCUCCCAAACAAAGAAGGCUUCUCGAAGAUGUACUUAAUGGGAUCCAAUUUCGCUAUGAGCCAUGUAGUGUGAUAGAGCAUGUACUGUCUAAGUCUUUUGGUAGUCCACGCUAAUGCACAACACAUUUUCUCCAAUGAAGAAUACUUGGAUUCGUAUUCAGUGAACUUUUUACUCAGAUAAUAAAUAGCUCUCUCCUUUCGACUAGCCUCAUCUUGCUGCCCCAGCACACAUCCCAUUGAAUUUUCACAUACAGUUAGGUACAAAAUUAAAGGUUUUCCUGAAACAGGUGGCACCAAUACUGGAGGGUUCGAUAAAUAUUGCUUGAUUUUAUCGAACGCCUUUUGACAUUCUUCAUUCCACUUUCCAGGAUUAUCUUUACGGAGAAGCUUAAAGAUGGGAUCACAUUUGUAGGUAAGCUGAGAGAUAAACCGAGAAAUGUAGUUCAAUCUCCCCAAAAAACCUCGAACUUCUCUUGGUGUGCUGGGAGGCGAUAAAUUCUGGAUGGCCUGUAUCUUAUCGGGAUCAACUUCAAUUCCUCUUUCACUGACCACGAAACCUAGCAACUUCCCUGACUUUACCCCAAAGGUGCACUUGGUUGGGUUUAAUUUUAGCUGAAAUUUUCUCAACCUCUCAAAUAACUUUCUGAGGCUGGUGACAUGAUCUCCAUCCCUACAAGACUUUGCAAUCAUAUCAUCUACAUACACUUCGAUUUCUUUGUGCAUCAUAUCAUGAAAGAGUGUUACCAUGGCCCUUUGAUAUGUUGCCCCAGCAUUCUUUAACCCAAAAGGCAUGACUUUGUAGCAGAAAGUUCCCCACAUGGUCACAAAAGUAGUCUUUUCCAUAUCAUCUGCAGCCAUCUUUAUCUGAUUAUACCCUGAGAAACCAUCCAUAAAGGAGAAAAUCGAAUGCUUAGCCGUGUUAUCUACUAGUGUGUCAAUAUGAGGCAAAGGAAAGUUAUCCUUUGGGCUAGCCUUAUUCAAGUCCCGAUAGUCCACACACAUUCGUACUUUUCCAUCUUUCUUAGGAACUGGGACUAUAUUGGCUACCCAUUCUGGAUACUUGGCCACUUGUAGAAAACCUGCAUCAAAUUGUUUCUUCACCUCCUCUUUAAUCUUUAGCAGCAUUUCGGGCUUCAUCCGUCUCAGUUUUUGCUGAACUGGCUUACAUUCUGGCUUUAGGGGCAAUCUGUGCUCCACUAUCUCUGUGCUCAGUCCUGGCAUAUCCUGGUAAGACCAAGCGAAUAUAUCUACAAAUUCACGAAGUAGAUCUGCCAACCGUCGCCUAUCUUCAGAUGUAAGUGAAGUACCUAUUCUGACCUCUUUCUUAUUCUCUUCAUCUCCUAGAUUCACUAAGUCCACUACCUCCUGAUGAGGCUCAAUUGGCUUAUUCUCUUGUUCAACCAUCCUCAUUAGGUCCGGAGGCAUAACAUAUUCUUCAAAAUUCUCUUCAUUAUCAAGUUCAUCAGUAUUGAUUGAAUUCUCAAAGCUAACCUCUUGAUUGUUAUCAUGAUUAUCUUCAUGUUCAUUUAAAGACCUGCAAUUGAAUGAAAUGGGGAUAUGUUGGCAAGAUGUGCUUGGAGAGAUGAAAAAAAUGAAGACACAAGAAGAAAUGAAUGAAAAUGCAUACUUCCUAAUUUUUAUUAAAAAUAAUAAAUGAUGAAUGGCCCAAACAAAAAGAUCACCCCAUAGCCUUGGGCAAAAGCUAUUGAGAUGUUACUAUUACAUUGAAUCAAAAUCAAAAGUCAGAGGCAUUUCAAUGGCACUCCAAUUGUUCAGCUCAUAGUCUUGUGGACAAAGGCGAACCCACUCCUCUUGAUUAGCUCCCAUUUCAUCUUCAACAGCAUUAAUGGCUAACUGGGCAAAAUCGUCUUCCACACUUUCCUUUGCAACUGGGUACAUGAAUCCUCCAGGUCUGAAGGUUUCAUACAAGUGUGGGAUAAACAUCAGUCUAGCUGUUUUUCUUGAUGGCCUUCUUUUGACUUUCCACUCUGCUAUCUCAUAGCCUAGGCCCACCCUGUCGCUAUUGUCUGCUAUUGUUGGAGGUUCUUUGAUUCCUUGUAAAUUUUUGCCUAGCCCUAGUCCUGGACACCAGCCUUUGUUGAUGACUUGGCUCACCACUAUCUUUGAAAAAAGCUGACUUUGAAAUCCUUCACCUACAGUAUUGACCAAUUCAAAAGAUCGAUAGGAGCAUUCCAAUGCUUCUUCGACAGCCUCUACAUAUGGAGUGUUCAAUGGUUGGGUCACUAGCAUGUCUUCCUCCCCAACUACCACUACUAAUUGACCUUUCACAUUGAAUUUGAUCUUCUGAUGCAAAGUAUAGGGUACAGCUCCUGCCAUGUGAAUCCAUGGCCUUCCUAACAGACAGCUGUAGGAUGGAGAGAUAUCCAUCACUUGAAAUUUUAUAUUGAAGGUGCACGGCCCAAUUUGUAAGGGCAUCUCAAUAUCCCCCAGGACUUCUUUUCUGGUUCCAUCAAAGGCUCUCACAAUCAUCUGACUAUCUCGCAUAUGAGAAUAAUCGAUGGGUAGCCUUGCCAAAGUUGACAUAGGCAUGACAUUGAUGGCAGAACCAUUAUCGAUAAGGACUUUAGCUAUGAUAUGGCUCUGGCACUUUACUGUGAUAUGCAAGGCCUUAGCAUUUCUCUUUCCCUCUAAAGAAAUCUCAUCAUCACUGAAUGAAAUGUGAUUUGGCAUGACUAAGUUUCCAAGCCAAGUGAUUCACAUAUUCGACAGACACGUUAUGUGCCACGUAUGCUGAUUCAACACUUUCAGCAAGGCAUUUCGAUGUGGCUCUGAAUUAGCAACAGUGAUAACAAUGAGAUUCGAGCUGCAUUUUAUUCAAACUGUUCCCAAUGAAUAUCACAAUAUGUUUUCCAGUUCAGGAAUUCCAAAUUUCUGAUUGGCGCUGUUUCUCAGCUCUAUCUCUGGAUUAUUUCUCUUCUCCUUCAGCUUCUCUCUUCUAAGCUUUUCUAGCAUUUUGUGGGUAUAACAUCUCCACUUCGAGUAAUGCACUCUAUAAAUAAUGUUAGAAGCAUCGGCUUUGGAGACCUCUUCUUUUUGCCCUGCACUACACGUCACAUCAUAUCUCAGGGUGCUUUAUACUGUAUGAAAGGAGUCGGGACUUUAAAAGUUACCGGCCUAGGGAGGAGCUUGUCUAUGACUGAUUUUGGUUUGUUUCCACAUCGAAUUGUCACUGGUUUGGGAAACAGCUUUUCAGGCCUAUCAUUCAUGCACACCUCAGCAUUCUUCAAGCUUUCUUUUUCUUCGUAGACCUCUAUCUGAUGUGAAUUCAGGAGUUUUUGCACCUCUCGGUGAAAUUGUUUACAGGUCUCAAUGGAGUGGCCUCUUGCCCCACUAUGAUACUUACAACUAGUACCAGCUAUAUAUACUCCAUGAUAGCUGUGCGGACUUACCAGUUGCAUCAUGUCUGCCUUUCGUAAGACAUCAAACAAUUGAUCGAGAGGUGUCUUAAUAUCUACCACUUCUUUCUUCACAUGGCGCUCAUGCUCUUCACCUAUAGCAUUCACAUUAUGAUUUGGCAAAGGAUUGCCACUAACAUUUGGUGCAGUCAUCCCUCUAGUGUCAAAGCAGAUCAUCCCAUCCUUAAUCAAUCGUUGCACUUUAUAUUUCAGGGUAGUGCAAUUUUCGGUGGAGUGACCAGCAAUCCCAUAAUGGUAGUCACAGUGGGCGGUGGGAUCAUACCACUUUGGGUAAGGUGGCUUGAGGGGUUCCAAUUUACUUGGAGCAAUCAAAUGAUUGUUGUAGAGCUCCUUGUAUAAUUCCGUAUAGGUCAUGGGAAUAGGGUCAAAAACAGGUCUUUCACGAGUGGUUCGUUGCUCCCGCGAGCCACCAGCAGCGUUAGUUGGGCGAAUUUGUGGUUUUGGGGUGGGUUGAAUGUUAGAACUGUACAUGGUGUUUUGGGGUCUAUGAGAGGUUUGAUAGGUUUGGGGGUAUGGUGGUUGGUAUGGGUGAAAAGAAGUGUUAUUUACAGUGGGGUGAUAGGGCAGAUAUUCUGGUGGGGGGUAGGGCGAAUAACCCCUAAGUUGCUGUCUAUCAAAGCUCACAGCCUGAGCUUCAGUUUCUUUUUUCUUUGGGAUUCUUUUGCUAGAUGCUUCAUUCCCUUCUAGCUUGCCAUUCUUGAUGGCACUCUCAAUGAUUUCUCCCGAAAUUACCAUAUCGGCAAAAUUCUUUGUUGCAUUCCCUAUCAUCUUUUCAUAAUAGGGAGGUUUUAAAGUGCUAACAAAUAGCACUGUAGUUUCUUUCUCGGUCAGAGGAGGCUGUACCUGAGAAGCAAUAUCUCUCCACCUCUGGGCAUACUCUUUAAAAGAUUCGUUUGUCUUUUUCUCCAGAUUCUGUAAAGACAAACGAUCUGGAGCUAAAUCGAUGAUAUGUCGGUAUUGACUGAUAAAGUCAUGCGCCAUAUCGCUCCAAGAGUGAAUGCGAGUCCUGUCCAGUUGAACAUACCAUCUGGCCGCAGAACCAAUAAGACUGUCUUGAAAAACAUGCAUCAAGAGUUUCUCAUCCUGUGCAUGAGCUGCCAUCUUCCUGCAAUACAUGGUGAUGUGGGUUUUGGGACACUUUGUACCAUCAUAUUUUUCAAACUUCGGUACUUUGAACUUAUAGGGGAUAACCACAUCAGGGGACUAGGCAGAGCCCAGCAGCAUCUACUGACCCAUAAAAGCUAAAUCCUUCCACAGCCCUUAGCCUUUGCUCCAGCAUACUAAUCUUGGAACUUUUCUCAGCUUCCACCCUCAUCUUUUCUUUCUCCUUCUCUUUUAAGUCAUCUAGAUCAGGAAUUGGUUCUGCUGCCUUUUCAGUGAAGACAAGAUUUAUAUAGCUGUUAUACUGUCCUGGGUUGAAAGCUGAUGGCAUUCCAGGAUAUGUAAAGUGUUGUGGCGGGACCUCUUGAGCAGACUGAGCCUGAGGUGGGCCAAAACCUGAAGGGUGCAAAGGGUCAGCCACAUCUUGCUGGCUUGUAUUUCCUUCAACUCCUUUUCCUUUGUUCAUGUUAUUAAGAGCCUCCAGAAUUUUGCUUAGUUCACUUUCAAUCUUCUCCUGAGCUUUUUCUAACUUUUCAAAUCUAUGAGAACUUUCUUCCUCCAUUUGCCUUGCUCUGGAUCUUGUGUUGUAUGGAUGAGCAGGAUUUUCGCUAGAUGGAGCUAUUCUGGGACCUUGAGUACCAUACUUAUGAUUAGAAAUGUUAUGCUGUGCCUUUAUGUAUGAUGCUUUGAUACACAAAUGAAAUGUACAUUUUUCUGAAUGAAAUCUAGUAUGAAAUGAAUGCAAAUGAUUGUGUUAAAACAUGAUCAUGAAAAUAAUACAGAUGCAUACAAUCAGACAAACAACAUAGUUAGUUCCAUGGAUGAAAUGAAAGUGAUGCUGAUGCAUAGUGUUACAUAUGAUAAAAAUAAUACACAAAGUUAAGCAAUCAAAAUGAUUAGAUAAACACCCUUUUUGUGUCUUAAUUUCAGGGUAUAUCUAUCAUUGGGUAGAAAGGGCUCUAUCCUAGGUGUAGGCACUCUUAAGGUUCACUACAUGUGAUUUUAAAGUCAGAGUCUAAAGGUCCUCAAAUUGUUCCUUACAUCCUUGUCCAUCACAGACUAGUAAGGCACCCUAAUCCUCACCCAUUACAGGCUACAAGCGGAAAAGGUUCAAUUUGAGUGGGAGUAUUUCGCUAGCCACUACGGAGGCAUUAGACCUCACGAAAGCAAUAGGUACUUUACUCCCUCCUAGAGGGACAGAGCUCGGGUGUAGAGCUCAUGUUAUGCACAUGCACAUGAAUGACAUAAUUAACAGGUAAAUAAAACAUGAAUGAAUAAUACACAUAUAUACAAAAAGGUUCAAUUUUAUUAGGCUUUUGGAUAACACAAAUUAUUUGCUGGCCUGACUCUCAAAGUCCCCAGUGGAGUCGUCAAGCUGUCAUAACGUCUAGAUCCGGGGAUCUAUCGCUAGACAUUGACUUUUAGGGAGUCGCCACCAAUCUUUUUUUAUCUAGGUGCGAUUGGCCACCUAUGGAAUCUGUCCUUUUAGGGAACACCUAAGUUUAAGGGUCCCUAGAAGAAUAGGUUCAGGUCUGCUAACCAGAACAAGGUUCGAGAGUUCGGUUACGUGUGAGGAAGGUUAUAGCACCCUCACAACGCCCAUCAAAAGAUGGUACCAGCUUGAAUUUGUGUUAUCCAAAAGCCUUAAAAUUUUACCAAGUAAUUAAUUAUUGGAAACUUUUCUCAAUUAACUCUAAUACUUUUAGCAAAAAUUGAGAAAAUUCCUCACCUCAAGAGUAUGCAAGAAAAACUACUGUUUCACUUACAGAGGCUCCGUCGUCGGAUUAUUUAAAAAAACAAAAUCGAAAUUAAGAUAGAAAGGAAGGAAAGAAUGAUUUUUUUUUUUUAGGGAAAAUUGAUACUUUCAACUUUUCCCUAAAAAUAUUUUUUUUGAAAUUUAUUUUGAGGAAAAUUGAUACUUUCAACUUUUCCCAAAAAUAUUUUUUGAAAUUUAUUUCUAAGGAAAAUUGAUACUUUCAACUUUUCCUUAAAAAUAUUUUUUUUGAAAUUUAUUUCUGAGGAAAAUUGAUACUUUCAACUUUUCCCAAAAAGUAUUUUUUGAAAUUUAUUUCUAAGGAAAAUUGAUACUUUCAACUUUUCCCUAAAAAUAUUUUUUUUUGGAACUUUUGAUUUUUUUAUUUAAAGAAAAAUAGAAAAAUAAAAAAAAAAUAAAAAAAGAAAAGUAAAACAAAACUAAAAAUAAAAUAAAGAUAAAAAGAAUAUUAAAUAAACAUAAUCUAAUAAAUAAAAAUAAUAAAUAAACAAAUAAACAAAUAAAAAUUCAAAAAAAAAAAAAAACCUGGAGCGGCUCGGCUAUCGGCGCGGCUCGGCUCGGUUCAAGGAAGAAAAACGGCUCGGGGGAGCGGCUUGGUGGCUUGGAUCGGCUCGGCUCGGCUCGGAGGGGGGCUGGCACGCGCGGGUCAGAAUCGGGUCGAUGCUCGGGUCGGGUCGGGUUCGGCAAAACGCGCGGAUCCUCUGGGUUACUUAAGGCCAAAACGACGUCGUUUUGGGAGGGUAUAAAAGGCACCUUCCUCCGUUUUUCGGCAGAACGCUCCCCCCUCUCUCUCUCUUCUUCCCUUUUUCUCUCCCUUCUCUCUAGAAAAUGAAGAACACCGGUGCCAGAUUCUGGAAAAUUCACCGGAAUCUGGAAAUUUAGCCGGAAGUCUGGGAUAUCGCCAGCUUCUGGGAUUCUUCGCCGGAAACUGGGCAGGUCGCCGGAAACUUCAAUGUUGGCCGGAGAUUUGCCGAAAAUUCAAUUUCGCCGAAAUUCAAUCGGAAAUCUGGAAUUUCCAGAAAUUCCCAGAAAAAAAAUCGAAAAAUCUUCAAAAAAUUUUUUUACUCCCAAACACUCCUAAACUUUUAGCUUCCUAUACGCCUCCUUUCUCUCAAAUCAGUAGCUUUUUUCACUGUUUUCUAUGUUUCUGAACUGUUCCAGGAGGUGCUUUAUAUAGGGAUUGAUCAGGAGUUUCUGAUCAAUCCCAAUUCCUCCUUGGACGGGAAUUCAAUCUUUGAAUCCACUGGACUCUUCUGAUUGAAUUCCCACUUCCAAUGGGAUUCUUCACUUCAAUCUCAGCCCUCCAAAAUCAAAAUAAAAAAAAAAAAAACUAGAUAAUUAGAAAGAAAAUCAAAAAUUAAAAAUUAAAAAUAAAAUAUCAGGAUAAUUCGGAAAAGAAGAUAGAAUUAACAGAUGAUUAAAAAAAAACUAAUAACAAAUAAAAUAAAGAUAAACCCACAAAACUAUAUUACACAAAAAAAAAAUAAUAAUAAUAUAUAACUGUAUAAAUAAAUACAUAUAAAUCUAAUCUGAAUAAAAAAAUAAAUAAAAUAAGAUAUACAUAAUAAUAAUAAUGAAUAAUAUAAUAAUAGAAUACAUAAAAUACAAAAGAAGAAAAAAAAAUAUACAGGAUUGAAAUGGGCCUACCCAUUGGGUCAGGCCCAAUUGAUCUGGGCCCGGGACCCAAUGGCGUGCUCUACACAAACUGAUAUUGGAUAUACAUUAAUAUCUAUAUAAUAUUCACAUUUAAUAAAGAAAAAUCAAACGUUUCAGUAUGGAACUACAACUUUUGACUUAUGCACAAUGUGAAGAAACUGUUUCAGAGCAGGAGGGCUUGCAGGAACGGUAGCAAAGUAUUUCAGGUGCAGAGUAAGAAGAAACUGUUGUCAACCUGGCAUUUAGAAAGUAAAAGAGCUGACCAUGUAAACAAUCUUGAUGAUGAAAGCUAAAAUAAGGUUUAUCAUAAAGCAACGUCAAUACGAUGAAUUGAUGAUUAUAUCAGCAGUACCUGAGAGGAUAGCCCUGCCUUGGUAAUCGAUGACCUCGAUGUAGGAAUACCAGUGUAUUUGCAAGAAACUCAUCAUCAUCAUCUCUCUACUGGCCAUUCUUCCCAAAUGAGAAUGAACACUUUCAUAUCAAACAAUUCCUCUAGGGAAAAUGAAAAUUACAGAACAUGGGAAUAUAUAUACAUAUCAGCAAAAGACCUCAUGAACCAGUUUCCAACUGACAAACAUUACAGCUCACUUAUAUAUAUAUAUAUAUAUAUAUAUAUAUUAGUAAAAUACAUCAAACAUUCAUGAUUUUUGUACAAUAAUUUUAUUCUCAUCCACGACUUUUAAAAUUUAAUUUUAGGAUUAUUGACCUUUUAAAAUGUUUUAAAAAUUCAUAAAUUUCGUCACUGUUAAAAAUUCAAUAAAAUAUAUCAUGUUAAUAUUACAUGAACAUUCAACUUAUAUAAAUUUAAAUCCAAAAAUCAAACGUGUACAUUUCCUUGUCAUGUGAAAUGUUCACAUGAUGUUAAAGUAGAAAAUUCCAGUAUAUUUUAACUAUAGUUGAUGAAAAUUGAUGAAAUAGUUCAAGUUUGCAUAAUAUUUUGUCUUAUCCAAAACUUGAGUUUGAAAAAUAUUAUAAAAAAUCACAAAAAUGCGGUGUAAUUUUCUCAAAACAUUUUAAAGACUGAAUCUAUAAUUGGAUAAGACAGAAGCAACGAGAACUUUCAAGUAGAUUUUAAGAGCAACAGUAAAAUUUAAACGAAAACAGAGCACGUUGCAAGGACAGUGUCAAAUUAAUUUGACCAUGAACGCAAUAUCAAAUAAGAUAAUAUUUGUGAUAAAAAAAAAAAAAAAAACGAUGAUCGUGUGAUUUGUUCUCUAGCGUAAAGUUGCAUGCUAUCUAAUUGCUUUCGUGAAAUCUUUGCUUGUUUUUUGCUAUUGCUGUUGUGAUUACAUUUUAUUGCAAUUGCAACGUCAAAUUAAUCAAUCUUAAAUCUAUUUGUUUAACAAAAUUUUUAUUCAAAUGUUAUUAUAAAUAUAUUAUAAGUUACGAUAACAACAAUGUACUUUAUUAACGAAAUAUUAAAAUUAAAUUGCUAAUAAUUUUAAAAUUAUUAUAUUUGUUGCACUUACAUCCUAGUUAAUACAAUAUUUAAGCAUAUUACUAAAAGUUAAUAAUCGACAAUGACUGUAAUUUAUACUUGUAUUGUAAUCUUAUAAAAUAAUAUAUUAUCAGGUGUAGGCAAAUGUAUAAAACUAUAGUAUCUUAAGAAAAAAAAAAUGGUAAGUAGGUGGCACAAUAACUUCAAAUAAUACAUAUUGGGCAUGUAAAAUUUAAAGUACUAUUCGUCAAAAUUUUUUAUAAUAUUUUAUUUUGCCUGUAGGAUAUACAGUGAAACGAAACAUUUCAAAAAAAAAUUUUAACUUCAAUAAUUAAAACUCGAAAUUUGACCAUAUUAAAUAUAAAAAAAAUAAAUAUUUUAAAUCUUAUCUCAUGUUUAUGAUUAAUUUUUACAUUAUUUUUAAUAUAAUUUUAAUCAGGAUAUAAAUUUUAUAAUUCAUGACUGAAAGUAAAAUAUAAUUUUAAUCACGGUAUAAAUUUUAUAAUUUAUGAUUGAAUGUUACACAUGCAACAGUAUUAAUAAAUAUAUUAAAAAGUAAUAAAUAAAAAAAGUAAAAGAUUUUUGGAGGGUCAAAUCCCAAAUUAACUCAUCAACAGUAUUAAUAAAUAUAUUAAAAAGUAAUAAAUAAAAAAAGUAAAAGAUUUUUGGAGGGUCAAAUCCCAAAUUAACUCAUCAAGGAUUCCAAUUCAUUAUUUUUCCUCCUUAAAUAAUCAAUUUUCAAUGUAGCUUCAGCGUAUUGGUGAGAAAAAACAAUUCUUGCGAAGCAUUAUUUUAUCUGAAAAAACACUGUUGAACUUGAAAACUCAGAUCCUUCCAAGAUAAAUUAUCAAACCAUCUUCACAAGAAAUUAUUCAUCAAAGAAAACCCUUCAAAAUCCGUCCUUUUUAUCAGCUCACUCCCACUACUUAUGUUUCAGCCAUGGCAUUCUACUCCUUGAGUGAUACAAUUUCGUAACACCACCGAUAUUUUGACUCAGCUAAAGGUAUCUCUUUCAGAAACCCUCAAUAUCUUAUAUCCAUUCUCCGGAAGAUUUACUGAUAACAUGUUCAUCCAUCAAUUAUAUAUGGGUGUUCCAUUUUUAAUUAUCAUCUGGAAUCAAAUGUCGAUUAUCCUAAUUUCUCAAGCAUCAUGAAAUUGAGUCAUUGAACAAAUUGCUUCCAUGCCAGCCUUUCUCCAAGGAAGCAAAAAAUGAGGUUCCCCUCUUGGUUUGUCGAGUGACAAUUUUUGCUCGUGGUGGGAUAGCAUUAGGCCUCUGCCUAUCUCACAAAAUCACUGAUGCAAAAACAGGCUUGAUUGUCUGCAAUGUUUGGAGUAGAAUCUCUCGUGGAUCCCAUCAUAAAUUUGUUGGUCAUCCUAGUUUAGCUGAGGCAUCCUUUAUGUUUUCACCAAAAAAAUCGAAUGCCCCAAAAUUAAUUGUCGCUGAUGUAAAACUUGUGAUUCAUGGAAGCUAAUUGCAUUACAAAGAGAUUUACAUUUGAUGCGCAAGCAAUAGUCAAACUAAAGGCUACAGUUAAAGAGGAAGGUGAUGCUGCUAUACCGACACGAACUGAAGCUGUUUCAGGUUUCGUCUGAAAAUGUUCUAUGCUGCGUCUAGGGUGAUAUCAGAAUCCUUGAAACCAUCUAUAGUAGUCCAAGCUGUGAACAUGACGCCUAGAGGGAAGUCUAAUUCAUUGGAUGGUUCCAUUGCAUAUGUGUUUUGGUGGGCAAGUGCACUUUCGAAUCCAGCUCAGACAGGCACCAAGUUAUCCGAAUUGGCUACCUUGAUGAAAGAAUCCAUUGCAGUUUUUGAUGAUGAAUCCGUGAGUUCUUUACAAGGUGAAGAAGGGUUUCAAGCCAUACAUGAAUACUUUAACCAGCUGGAAAUGAUGUUUUCCUUGGAAAAACCCGAUAUUUUGGCCUUCACAAGCUGACUAAAUACUGGCUUUUACAAAGUAGAUUUCGGAUGGGGCCCUCCUUGUUCACUUGCUCUAAUUGGAAAAGUUGGUCAUGAGUUUAGAAACCUCACUGUUUUUGUUGAAACAAAAUGUGGCAAAGGAAUUGAGGCUUGGAUAACCUUAGAUGAAAAGGGAAUGUCUGUCCUGGAAAAAAAUCCUGAAUUCUUGAAGUUUGCUUCUCUAAAUCUGAAGAUUUCAGGCCUUUGAUUGUCUUUAAAAAGACUUAGAUGAUCAUUAUAAUCUCCUCUAAUCUGCUUCAUGCGUAUAUAAGUGUUAAAUCUGCCAAAAAAUGGUCUCUUGCUAGCUGGUUAGAGUCUUUAGUGUUUAGUCUUUCAGUGUUUUGAAGCAUUAUUGUCAGCUCAGCUGCCACGCUUGAUCCCCUAUUAUCAGUAUCAGUUUGUAUCAGUAAUCUACUAUUUGGUGAAAAUCAUUUUCCAUGUUCCAUAUUUAUUUAUCCACAUUAGUAUCCCUUGUUUUCAUACUUCUACAAAUUCAUUAUAAUUUAUGCUAACCAGGGAAUAAGCCAAAUUGCUUUGCUGCUUUGAUUUUCUAUACAUGUUUUGAAUAAUUUUGGAAAGUAUAAUUUUUUAGUAAAGGCUAAAAGCAGGGUUUCCAAUUAAUUCUCUGAUAGUUUUCCAAUUGAAUACUCCUUCGUAUAAAGCAAUUCCCAAAGCAUCACGAAAAAUUCCGUUUGGGACAGUGAUAAAAUAAUGGUGGCAGUUGUUCUGCUAGCUGUUCUCUGAUCUGUGGGCCUGCCCUCUAUCCGUCCUUUUUUCUUUCAGGUAUAUCCUGCAAUGAUAGCAAAAAAAAAAAGUUAUCAUAUGUUUUUUUCCGAGUAAAAGAUAUAUAUUUGUUUUAGUUAAAUGCAAUCUUGGCUGUGAAGAAAGAUGAAAAUAGAUAAUAACGAAAAAAAUGUAGACUUUACAAAAUAAAAAAAUAAUUAUAAUAUUUAAUCAUAAAUAAUUUUUUCAUCCACUAAAAAUUUUCUUUCUUGUUAUCAAAUAUUUACGCGCUUGACUUUGCAAUGAUUUUGUCUUAAAUAAUAUCGUGAUGUAUACUUUCUUUUUAACAUUUUUUUCUUUAAAAAAUUUAUUCGGCCUAUGGUUUGAAUUUUUUCCUUUUAACAGAUUUUUUUUUUAUUUCUAAUCUAUUAUUAACUUUUAAUCUUUAUCCGUUGGUCUUCUAAUCUACAACUCUCAUAUCAUGCAUGUUCGUAAAAAGUAGCAUAAAAUAAUUAGUUCAAUUAAUAUAUUCACUUUAUUCAAUCAGAUCAUUUUAAUUCAGUAAAAAUUAAAAUGACAUAUGAAAACCUGUGGUUAACAGUAAAAUUUAGUGACUAGAUAUCAAAUGAUCAGUAUCUUUUCGCCAUCACCACCCAAAUCUUACCAAUAGCAUCGCCAAAUAUUAAAAAAAAAAAAAAAAAACCCACAGCCACGCAGCCUACCAAAUCGAAAAGCCAAACACCCGUUUCCACUUCCAAAAUCAUACCUAAAAAAUCAACGAAAAAAUAUCACAAAACAAAACACAGUCCUCGCCGUAGGGAGGAAUCCAGCGCCAUAACCACCAGAGCUAAAGCCAUCUUGCAAACAAAGAAACAAAAAAAAGACAAAUUUAGUUUCAUUUUCUUUAAAACAAAAAAAAAAUCAAAUCAGUUUCUUUAAAAAAAAAAAGAGAGGAGAAAAAGAGAAGUGACGACGGCGAAGCCUGGUAUCGGCGGCUGGCGGCGAGAAGGGUGGCAGCGAGGCUCGCUGACGCCAGAACUGGGCACGGCUGGGGUGGGGCACCUGCCUUGUGGUUUCUUUUGAAGGAAAGAAGCAAUGUUUUUUUCAAUAGGGAAGCUGAAAUGAAUUUUUUUUUUUUUAAAAAAAAAGGGGCAAUGAGGGAACCCGGCGGGUCAGCCCGGACCAUGACCAAGAUACAACCCGACCCGUUCUUGACAGGAUCCAACCUGCGACCCAGAUCCAUCUCACCUUAUGUUUGGGCCUGUCCCCCUUACUGGACUCCUCUUUUUAGCAAGCCACAGAUAAGAUCCAAGUCAGCCCACCUCUUUAGGUUCUUUUGUUGAAUUGGAUCAACUAACGGUAAAUUUAUUUUAAUUUAACUUAUUCAUUUAUUUAUUUAUUUUUUGAUUUUUUAUUUAGAUAUAUAUUUAAUUAUUUCAUAUUGUUGAUAAACAAUAAAUAAUAAAUAUUUUUAUAUUUUUUAUGAAAUUAUGUUUAUAAAUAUAAUGAAAAUAAAAAAAAUUUAUUAUUAUAAAAUUUUCUAUGAAAGGAUUUUAGGAAAUUUAAAUAGUGAUUCUUAAAAAUUUUUUAAGUGAAAUUUUCUUUUAAAAAUUAUUAAAAUAUUAAAAAAAUAUUUUUAAUAUAAAUAUUUUAUUUUUUUAAUUUAAAUAAUUUUCUUAAAAAGAUGAAAAUAAUAUAUAAAUAUUUAUAAGAGUAUAUAUUUUUAAAAAAUUAAUUUAUAGAUAAUUAUAUUAUUAUAUAAUUUUUAAAAAUUAAUAAUAAAGUUAAUUAAAUGAUAAUUUUUUAUGGUGAGAUUUUGGAUAAUUCGAGUAAUGAUUCUUAAGAAUAUCUUAGGUGAGAGAAUUUUUUAAAAUAUUAUCAAAAAAUCAAAAUAUUUAAAAUGAUUCUUAAUAUGAAUAAAUUUUUGUUUAUUUUUUUUAAUUUUUAAAAAUGAACUUUCAUAUAAUAAUAUCACGAAUUAAUUUAUGUACAUUAUUUUUAUAUCAAUUAUAAAAGUAAACGAAAAAUUUUCGAGGAUGAAAUCUUAAAAAAAUUCGAGUAAUGAGAGGUAAAAAAUUUAUCUAAAAUGUUAUAAAUGUAUUUGAGUAUUUAGAAUAAUUUUUGAUAAUGAUUUCUUGUUUUAGUAUAAAAAAUAAAGUAUAGAAAAUAUUAUUUGAUAUUCUACAAUCUAUUUAUUAAAUAAAAGUUUUGAUGAUAAAUAUGAAACAUUGAUAAUUAAAUUUUUAAAAAUUUCGAGUAGAGAAUCUUAAAAAUUUUUUAGAUGAAAAAAUUCCUCUUAAUAUUAUUAAAGUAUUAAAAUAUUAUCAAAAAAUUUUCAAUAAAUAAUGUUCUUAUUUAUUUCUUCCAACUAGGAUACAAAAGAAAAAUAUGUUUUUUUUUUACAAUAAAAUAUAAGAAAAUUAAUUUUUAAAUAUCAAAAUUAAGACUAUUAAACAUAAUUAAUUGAUAUCGUUUUAAACCAAUAUCAUGAGGGUGCUAAUUUUUUUCACGCGUAAUCGACUCCCAAAUUAAAACUGUUUACACAGAUCUAAAAAAUUAUUUUUUAAUAAAUUUUAAUUAAUUUUAAAAUUUAUUAAAAAAAUAAAAUUUAAUAGACGAUCAAUUACAUAUAGCAAAAAAAAAAAUGAUGAUGAUUCUUUUUUAUUUUCAAAUUCAUCUGGUGGUUUGAAAAACCAUUAUAGCAAUUAUAUCACUCCAAUCUUACCAUUAAAUUAAUUAAUCUCAUUAUUAUUAUUAUUAUUAUUAUUAUUAUUAUUAUUAUUAUUAUUUUAAAUUUCAUCAAAACCAAUCUCAAUAUAAAUCUAAAUGUCCUCUUUAUCAUUUGAGCUUAAUAGGUUUUAAUCAUGCUCUCACCUCAAUCAUGAUCCUCUCAAAUUAGCCUUAUGUUAAUCUAACAUCGUUUUGUCUCAUUAGCAAUCCCUCCUGCUUUGCUCCUAUUUCUUAUGACGAUCUUCCAACGUUUCUUCUAAUUAACAACUCAAUUACAAAUCUUAGUUUACAUAAAGUUUCAUAGUCAAGAUUUGAAUUGUAGCGUAAACCCUUCCUUUUUGAGUGAAGACUUUCAUAGUCAUGAACUCUGAUUUUUUUUUUUUCCAUUCAAUUUUUUUGACGAGAAAAAUAUUUUAUCAUGCUGAAAAGCAAUUUUUUUAACCAAAAACACAAAAACCUUUUUUUUUUUAACUGAUUAAAAAAAUUGAUAAUAGAUAAAAAAAAAAGAAAUUACUGUUUCCAUAUUUUACAAUAAUAUAAACUUUUUUUUUUUCAUUAGCAUAACGUAUUACAUUCAAAUUACUUUCUUUAAUAUUCUUUAAGAAACCCAUUUUUUUUUCUUCAAAUAGUAAUGUCUUAUUUGUUUUUUAUUCACCUCUUUUUUGACUUUCUUCUGUUUCUACUAAGAGUAGUCUCCAUUUCACAUGUAAUUUGUAUAGUCUUUUUAUAUGUCCGUAUACCUCUUUAAAUAUGUUCCAUUAAAGUUAUGAUUCUUCUGUAUUAAUUAAUUCUUUAUCUUACUUUAAUUUCUUUAUUGUGUUCAUCAACAUCUUUAUUUCAAUCAUCUCUUCUCUUUUGUAUUUAUUAUUUGUAAUGUUUUUACUUUAUAAAUUUUGGAAUUUGAUUUUGUAAUUGACAAAGUGAAAGCCUUUUAUGCCUGUAAUGAGAAAGAAGUUUUUUAGAAUUGGAUAGGAGCAUCUCUUUUCAAGUUUGAUAAAAUAUUUUUAUUUUUACAAUUCUAAAUUAAAUUUGAUAAUUUAAAAUACGAUACGAAAAAAAUAUAAAAAAAGAUAUAAAAGUGAUAUGAUUUAAAAUUUUAAUAAAAUCAUAUCACUUUACGACAAAAUAAAACAAAUUUUAUGUUUUUAUGUUGACAUGAAUUGUGAUAUAUAAUUUUUAUAUAAUAUAAUAUAAAUACAUGAACUAUUAGUAUUUUAUACUAUCAAUACUUUAUAUGAUAGAAAUAUAUAAAUUGUUAGAUCUAUUCUGAAUAUUAAUGAUACAAUUAAUUCAGAAAUGGUUAACUAUAUACUUUUUUUUCUACUACUAUUGCAUAAUUAGAUUUAUAAUUUCAUAAGAAAUUUCAUCGAUUGUGUAAAUUUAAUUUUCAAAACUUAAGUAUUUGACUCAAUGGUAUAUAUGUACUCCACUCAAAGAAUGAGUUCGAAUAUUCGUAAAUAAAAAAAUAAAUUAGGUAGUUCAUCGAAUUAUAAUAGUAACUUCUAUAUAUCAAAGUAUUUUACUGGCUUGAUUAUUUUAACUUACAUAUUUGUAGAGUGACUUAGUAAUUAGAUGGUCAUGAAACUAUAUGGAGAAAUUCACUACUAGCUUGAUGAAAUUAAAGUGGCUUUAACUACACUGUUCAAAUUUCUUUCUCUUCCUUUUAACUUUGUUUGUGUCCACAAUCACUCUUAUAAUAAAAUGAAGAAAACUGCUUUUGCUACUCGAUUAAACUUCUAUACAAUCACCUUUAUGAGAUCAUGGAGAAAUAACUUCCUAGUUCAUACUAGCUGGGAUUAAAGUAUCUUUAACUAGACUGAUUUUUUUUUUUAAUUUGUUUUGUUGCUUGUGCACAAUUACUUUAAUGACUUAAAUGAAGUGCAAAUUAAGCUUGUACAGGAAUCAGAGAUAAAUUUUUUCUCUAUUUUUGCUUGGCCUUCUUUAUUUUAUUUAAUUUUGUUUUUGUUUUCUCAUCAAACCAGUUUUGUUGCUCAUCUAAAUCAGUUCCCUUUCCAAUCUCUUCAUUUUCCUUUAGUGACGGAUAUAUCCUGCUUGAAAAACCAAUGGAUAAUUCAUGUUAAGUACUUUCUGCUUUGCCCUGUUCUAUUCACCUUGCUCUCCAAAUGUGCUUUGGCCUUGAGGAGUAACGAAAAUGACAAACUGGCUUUGCUUGCUUUGAAGAAACAGCUCGUUGGUGGUUCUUCUGGACCUCUAAGUUCAUGGAACACUUCACUCCACUUUUGUGAGUGGGAAGGUGUUCGAUGUGGUCGUCGGCACCAAAGAGUAAUCAGCUUUAACGUGAGUAACUUGAACUUAGUCGGCAUCAUAUCUCCUUCAAUCGAAAAUUUAACCUUCCUCAGAGAAGUUAACUUUUCUCAUAAUAGGUUGCAAGGAAGUAUACCCAGGGAACUUGGUCAUUUGAGGGGCUUCGUUUCUUGCUUUAAAGCAUAAUAAUCUCCAAGGCAUAAUCCCUGUAGAGCUUCCAAUUGCUCAAAUCUCCAAGUGAUUAAUUUAAAUUACAAUAACCUUAAAGGAGAUAUUCCUUUCCUCUUAGGGAAUAUGAAGAAUCUCAUUGAACUUCAGCUUUCUUUCAAUAAUUUGAUUGGGGGUAUUCCAUCUUCUUUUGGAAAUCUUUCAUCCUUGUUUGUCCUCUCUUUUGAAGGUAAUAAUUUGGAGGGAACUAUACCUAAUGCUCUGGGGCAGAUUCUCUAACUUGAAAAUACCUUUAUAUUGGUGGAAAAUAACCUGUUCGGUUCAAUUCCUUCAAUUUAUAAUCUUUCUUCAUGAUGGUUAUUGAUCGCGUCAGAACAACAAAUUAUCUGGGAGGCUUCCACCCGAAUCGGCCUUUCUUGUCAAAAGCUUGAAGCACUAUUUAUCGGAAUUAACCAGCUCACUGGAGCAAUUCCAAGGUCAAUAUCCAAUAUCUCUAGCUUGCAAGUAUUUGACAUUGCCUUAAAUGGUAUCAGUGGAUCAGUUCCUAAUAAUAUGGGAAACCUUAAGAAUCUUCUGGUGCUGACCAUUUCUGCCAACGUCCUUGGAAGUGGGAAAGCAGGAGACCGUAACUUUCUCUCUUCUUUAAGCAACUGCAGCAGCUAGCAAUCUUUGGCUAUAGAUUUCAAUAGAUUUGGGGGGUGAUUCCGAACUCUAUAGCUAAUUUUUCAACCUGGCUCGAAGAUCUUUUAUUGGGAGGAAAUCAGAUCACUGGAAGUAUUCCUGAAGGAAUUGGCAAUCUCGUCAACCUCGACAGGUUGGAUAUGGAGGGAAACUUUCUUGUUGGAGAAAUUCCUAUUUCCAUUGAAAUCUUCAAAAUCUUGAAGUAUUGUAUCUUGCUUCGAAUCGCAUAACUGGUAAAAUACUAUUCUCCAUUGGCAAUCUCUCUAGAAUAUCUGAGCUUUAUUUAUCCAAUAACAAAUUUGAAAGGAGCAAUUCCUUUAUCACUCAGGGAUUGCAAAAAAUGCAGAAGUUAGACCUUGACCAAAUAAACUCAAUGGGAGUAUUCCAAAUCAGCUAUUGGGUGCUUUUGAAAGUUUGAUUUAUCUUAAUGUCUCUCACAACUCUUUCACUGGCCUCCUUCCAUCAGAUUUGAGUAAUUUAAAGAAUCUCGUAGAAUUAUACGUUGAUAAUAACAGUUUCUUUGGUGAAAUUCCCAAGGCACCUGGUGAGAGUUCAGGACUAACAAUCCUCUCAUGCAGAAAAACUCAUUCCAGGUAACAUUCCUCAAUCUUUUGCCUCCUUGAGAUCUCUUGAAUGCUUAGAUCUCUCCCAAUAACAAUUUGUCUGGCACCAUACCACCUGAACUUCAAAAACUUCCAUUUUUAGUGAGUUUAAACCUUUCUUUCAACCAACUAGAGGGUGAAGUGCCAAAAGGAGGGGUUUUUUAAAAAUGUUAGUGGAUUUUCAUUUUUCGGAAAUGAAAAACUUUGUGGGGGGAUUCCAGAAAUAGAGCUUCCAAAUUGCUUCACAAAGGCAAGGCAAAGGUUUUGUCAACCAAAGUCAUUAUUGCUAAUGAUAUUCACCAUUCUACUUGGCUCUAUUUUGGAUGUGCUUCUUGUUUAUCUUCCUGGAGAAGGAAGUGUGGAAGUGCACUUAUCCCGUAGCUCUGUUCGAUGAUGGCUUCCUGCGUCUAUCCUACAAGGAGCUUUCUUCCAAGCCACCCAAGGUUCCGCUUCUUCAAACUUGGUUGGCAGUGGAAGUUUCGGCUCUGUUUAUAAAGGAGUUCUUCAUCAACAAGAAAAGCCUGUUGGCAGUGAAAGUAUUUAACCUUCAAAAACCGUGGGGCUGCGUGGAGUUUCAUGGCAGAAUGUAUGGCUUUAAGAAAAGUUCGACGUCGAAAUCUUCUCAAGAUUAUAACUUCUUGCUCAAGCAUUGAUUGCCAGGGCAAUGAUUGCAAGGCUUUAGUUUUUGAAUUCAUGCCUAAUGGAAGUUUAGAAAGCUGGUUAUAUGAGCAAACAUGAGUCAAGGUAUUUGAACCUUGUUCAAAGGUUAGGCAUUGCUACAGAUGUGGCGCAAUGGAAUAGAUUACCUUCAUUAUGAUUGUGAGAGGCCGAUUGUUCAUUGUGAUUUAAAGCCUACUAAUGUCCCUUGAUGAUGACAUGGUCGCACAUGUUGGUGAUUUUGGAUUGGCUAAGCUUCUGUCUAGUGACAUCGGCAAUCUGGGUACUGAUCAAACAAGUUCCUCAAUGAUGAAAGGAACAUUGGUUACGUUCCUCCUGGUAAGUUUUUUUGUCCGUAUGUAGUUUAUCAAUUCGGAAAAUAUCUCCAUCAGAUUAUUAUAGUUGGUUAAAUUAAUUGGCUUUAAUUAGAACUUCUGUAGUAUUAAGGGUGGGGUGAAUGCACGUGGUUUCUAUUCAAAGAUUUUUGAGUUUAUAACAAAUUAUUGGCAGAAUAUGGCAUGGGUGGCAUGGUAUCUCCAGAAGGUGAUAUUUUACAGCUAUGGUAUUCUACUCUUGGAGAUUUUCACAGGAAGGAGACCAACAGAUGAUAUCUUUCAUGAUGGCUUAAUCCUUCAUAAUUUCUGUAAAAUGGCACUGCAAGAAGGGUUGAAGGAGAUUCUUGAUUUUCGCCUGCUUGAAAAAUUUAUCAUACGGGCAGAGACUUAGAAGUCGACCAAACUUGGAAGGACAGAUAUGGGAGUGCCUUGUUUCUUUCACUAAAGUUAGACUGGUAUGCUCUGCAGAAGUACCUGGUGAUAGAAUGAGCAUAAAAGAUGCUAUCAAGAACUAAAUGCAACUAAGGCCAAGGUUACUUCAGGACGGGUUUAUAAAGGGGACAGCAAAAAUCAGGAACAGAGGCAACACUCUGAAUUGGAAUCAAGGUUGUUACUCCAUCUCACAUCGAAUUAUGUUUUGUAUUCCAGUAAUUGAUAUAUUUUCCAAUCGUAGUAAUGGGUUUCAAACGUAAUUUAAAUUAUUACUGUAACGCAGAGACAUUUACGAGAUUGGGCUUUAGAAAAAUGAAAUAUAUAUAUAUAUAUAUAUUAUAUUCUGUGUGUGUGUGUGUGGUGUGUGGGUGUGUGGUUGUGUGGUUGUGUGAAAGUGGUCAAUGUUUCCUUAGCAAACAUUUUUCUUCUUUCAAUAUACACUCACUGAAAAUGUCAUCUUAUGCCAUUUUUUCUUAUGAGAAACAAUUAAAAAGAUACGCAGAGGACCUUGAACUAAAGUCACAUGCAUGCCCUGUCCUAGACUGCAAUAAACAAGGAAGUCUUCUCCUCUUUAGUCAUCAUUGUACCAAUAUAAACAUGAACUACAACUCUAUUUACCAUUCUUACUGAUCCUCCUGCAGCAGCUGUCAGUUUCAUAUAAUAACAUCUUAAGGAGACCAACGACCUUGCUGGACUCCUAGUUUAAGUGUUCAUGGUUCAAAUUGAAUCCUGGUAGCCUCAACUACCCCAAAAAAAAGAAAAAUCUAGAACUAUCAUUUGCUCCUCUGAACCAACUUAAUUUCAACAUCACAGAAAAAGUUAACAAUCAUAAUUAAUGUACAACAGCUUUUAAUGAAACUUUGUUUCAAUUACCCUAAAAUCCACCAUCAGAAAUCUCCCCAAAACAUCAGGAGUCAUCUGCUUAAGCUAAAGCUAUCAGUCAUUUCAAAGCUGUAAUCUUUCGGCUAAAGCUAAGGGAAUCUAGAAACCAGUUGCAUCACAAUCAAAUUGCAAAAAUCAACCACCAAAUUCACAACAAUAUUUGAUCAAAUUAAUCACUUCACUAAAGCAAAAAUUCAACUUUAUAUAUAUAAAAAGGCACAAAUUGAUAAUCUGAUCAUUACCACACAGAUAGAGUAUUUUCACCUUACAUAAACACAAAACAUUAAAAAAAAAAGAGACGACAGAAUCACAACACUCAAUUACAUAAAUUUAAAUUUAGAAAAGGAAAGGAAAAGAAAAUGGAUCUGACCGUCGGAUCAUGAUCAUUUGCUAAACAACGAUCUCAGAAUCCGUAACCGAUCUGGAGGACUAACUAUGGACCAUUUGAUCGAGUUGAUCCAGUUCUUCUCUUUCUACGAAGCAAUCAAUCAGUCUCCUUUGGUUCAACUCUAAGAUGAAGUCAGCACUCACAACACCGCAACAAUUGAAAUUACGUUUCCUCUUUCAAAUAGUACUUAACGAUUUAAUCUCGUGAUGGCAUUGAGGGCUCUAGGCCCAAUCUUUAUUUCCCUUUGGUGGUUUUGAUUCUGUAAAAACGUGUGUUUAAAGGAGCCCAAACUAAACAUUUUUUUAUAUUGAAAAAAUAUUUGAUGGGUGAUUAUGAAUUAGAAAUUCUCUUACGAAAAAACGGCAGUUUUACGAAUAAAAAAUUUAAAAAUAUUAUUUUUAAUUUUUAAUUUAUUAUUAUUUUUAAAUAAUUAUAUAAAUCAAUUAAAUUAUACUCAAAAAUCAUUUUACCGACUCCCUUAAUCGAAUAAAAAAGAGUUUCAAUCCAAUCACUUUGGUUUGUGAUUUUAAAAAAUAACAACUUCAUAAUUUCAUGUACUUAAAAAAAGAAACACUAAUUUCUGUUGACAUUCAAUCUAAGCGCGACAGCCAUAUCACUUCCAGGACAAUGUUUCUCUUUUUUUUUUUCGUGAUUUGUUUUGAAAAAAUGCCUAAUGGCGUGUCCAAGCUGUAUCAGAUUAAAAAAAUUAAUAAUUUUUUAUGAAUCCGAUUGAGUCAGAAAACGUAUUCUGGCAUGUGAAGAUCGGGACACCCGGCACGCAGAGUUCAGCAGUGUCAUUGCUUCCUAUUUUGCAAUGGCGACAAAUAUUCUGGUGGUUUGCAUUUCUCAUCAUCAGUUCUUAUUAAGUAUGGACUUUUUCUCUAUUCUCCGGAGGAAGGUAUAGUGGCUUACUGUUAGCUCAAGUUGAACAAUAACAUCUUCGUGUCUUGAUUUUAAAUCCAAUUUUAUCUUUAUAUUAAUUGACUUUUAUCUCACAUAGGCUGAGAAAAAAUUUAAAAAACAAAAAUUAAUUUAAAAUUAUAAUGUUCAAAUUAAUUUUCUUUAUAUUUGAUUCAAUUUAUAUUCAGAUAUUUUAUAUUUUAAUAUAAUUCAAUUUUUUGGAUUUGAAAGUGAAAAAAUAAAAAUAUGUGGCAUUAAAUCAAAUUAUUUUUUUUAUUAAAAAUUUAUAUUUGAUGCACAGUUAAUAUAUAAUUUUAUAUAUACUGUCAANNNNNNNNNNNNNNNNNNNNNNNNNNNNNNNNNNNNNNNNNNNNNNNNNNNNNNNNNNNNNNNNNNNNNNNNNNNNNNNNNNNNNNNNNNNNNNNNNNNNNNNNNNNNNNNNNNNNNNNNNNNNNNNNNNNNNNNNNNNNNNNNNNNNNNNNNNNNNNNNNNNNNNNNNNNNNNNNNNNNNNNNNNNNNNNNNNNNNNNNNNNNNNNNNNNNNNNNNNNNNNNNNNNNNNNNNNNNNNNNNNNNNNNNNNNNNNNNNNNNNNNNNNNNNNNNNNNNNNNNNNNNNNNNNNNNNNNNNNNNNNNNNNNNNNNNNNNNNNNNNNNNNNNNNNNNNNNNNNNNNNNNNNNNNNNNNNNNNNNNNNNNNNNNNNNNNNNNNNNNNNNNNNNNNNNNNNNNNNNNNNNNNNNNNNNNNNNNNNNNNNNNNNNNNNNNNNNNNNNNNNNNNNNNNNNNNNNNNNNNNNNNNNNNNNNNNNNNNNNNNNNNNNNNNNNNNNNNNNNNNNNNNNNNNNNNNNNNNNNNNNNNNNNNNNNNNNNNNNNNNNNNNNNNNNNNNNNNNNNNNNNNNNNNNNNNNNNNNNNNNNNNNNNNNNNNNNNNNNNNNNNNNNNNNNNNNNNNNNNNNNNNNNNNNNNNNNNNNNNNNNNNNNNNNNNNNNNNNNNNNNNNNNNNNNNNNNNNNNNNNNNNNNNNNNNNNNNNNNNNNNNNNNNNNNNNNNNNNNNNNNNNNNNNNNNNNNNNNNNNNNNNNNNNNNNNNNNNNNNNNNNNNNNNNNNNNNNNNNNNNNNNNNNNNNNNNNNNNNNNNNNNNNNNNNNNNNNNNNNNNNNNNNNNNNNNNNNNNNNNNNNNNNNNNNNNNNNNNNNNNNNNNNNNNNNNNNNNNNNNNNNNNNNNNNNNNNNNNNNNNNNNNNNNNNNNNNNNNNNNNNNNNNNNNNNNNNNNNNNNNNNNNNNNNNNNNNNNNNNNNNNNNNNNNNNNNNNNNNNNNNNNNNNNNNNNNNNNNNNNAGAUUAAAAUAUGCCAUAUUUCUUUCUUUAAUUAAUUUUUUUAUUUUUUAAAUAUAUCUUCAAAAAUAUGUUAUUUUUUUAAUUUCCAAUGUGAAAUCUAAAAAUUUUAUUAAUGAUAGAUGAAAUAAUUUUUUACAUUUUAUUCGUACUAAAAUGUAUAUCAAAUUACAUAACUUUUAGCCGACAAAACCUUGUUAUUAUGUUCAAUUUAAAAUGUAAAUCAAAUUGCAUAACUCUUAGCCGACAAAACCUUAUUAUUAUGUUAAUAACAAGGAAAGGGACGUGGAACCUUUAUGCUCUAGGUUUCAAUCAUAUAUGUAUAUAUUAAUUAAUUUGGUCAAAUUUUAUAUUAGAUGAUUGGUUUUUUUUUUAUUAUUUUUUUAUAAAAUAAUUGUCUCUAAAUUCAUCUCAAAUUUGACUGGGCUGAGAGAUAGUGUUUCUCCAUAAAUUCUUGUAAAUUUACAUGUACUUCUCUUUUGAGGUCGAACCUAAUUAAAUUUGAUCAAAAUCACAUCUAUACCGAUCUAUUAACACAUUUACUAGCUAUUAGCAACUUUUAAUAACUUAAUUUGUCUUAGACCAAAUUAACGAUUAGAGGAAGCCAAGUGGGUGGGUUGAUGCAUGUUUAGGAUUGAGUUGUUUGAAAUUUUUAGAAGAUCACAUUGGAUCAAGUCAAUUGUUAUCGCCUAAAUUAGUGUUACUAUAUUUUGAUUAUGUGAUAUAUCCACGUUAGUUGCUGUACCACGUGAUUAUGUUCAUGUAGUAAUAAAAAAUUAAAACUUUUUUGCAUUAUUAUCACAUGAUAAAAUAGCUGACAUGCAUAUGUCACCCGACUGAUUUGUUAUCGAUCAAAAUAAUAAUAUUAAAAAUUUUUAGUGACCAAAAUAUUAUUUUUUAUAGUUGGCUAAUUUAGAUAAAAUAAUUUUAAAAAAUUAGAUGACCAAAAAGGUAAUUUUAUAAAAUCAUUUAAUAAAUUAGCCAUUAAAUUAUAAGAAUUCGGAAACAGACCCGUACAAUUGACUAAUAAAUUUAGCAAAAUGCAAUCAAGGGGCAGUGUUUAAUAAAAACAAAAUCCUCACCUUGAUUUUAUCCUGGAUAAGGAAUUGCUCUAGCUCUAUUUUUUUUUUAAAAAAAAACGAUAUAUUUUCUGUGUUAAAAAAAAACCCAUAUAUUUUCUCUUUUUUCUUGCAUUUCUUUUUUAAGGUUUCAAUUACAGGACCUCUUCGUGCCCAUCCAUAUAUAAAUAUAUACAUAAAUAUAUAUAUAUAUAUAUAUCAUGAAAAUUUUUAAAAUUUUAAAUAAAAUUAAAAAAUAUCAUAUAUCUUUCCUAUUGUUCUUAAUUUUUUAAAAAAUUUAAAAUUGUAAGAUUCAAAAACUAUGAAAAAUUUUUAGAUUUCUAAAAAAAGUUUUGCAAUUUUUAAAAGAUUAUAUUUUUUAAAAAAAUUAUAAGUUUUUUGUAAAUUUUUUUUAAUUUUAAGAAAAUUUUAUUUUUAUGAAAAACUUAUGUUUUUUGAAUUUUUUGAAAUCGUUUUUCCAUUUUUUUAUUUUUUUAUAAUUUUGAGAGUUUUUUAAAGAAUUUAAGUUUCUUUAAAAUUUUGAAAUUUUAAAAAUUUUUGUAGAAUUUUAAAAAAAUUUUAAAAGUUAUUUUGAAUUUUUAGAACAUUUUCAGAAUUUUUAAAAUUUUUCAUAAUUUUUCUGAAAUUUUGAGAAUUUUUUAGAAAAUUUCUUUUAGUGAUGAUGAGGCAUUGAUGAUAUGACACUAAUUAGACUUUUUGACAUAUAUCAGCAUAUUAUUGGAUGUUAAUCCCAUAUCAAUAAAACUGACUAAAGAUAUUAGCCCGAGAUACCAAUGUAAUAAUAGAAUGAAAGUUCAAAUACUAAUCUAAUAGUUUUAUUUCUUUAGAUACCAAAUUAACAAAAAAAUGUAUACUUCAAGGGCUAUUUUUAUAUUUAACUCUUAAUCUUUUUAAGCUUUAAAGUUAUUUAUUAUUCAACACACAUUUUGCAAAAACAUUUCCCAUAAGAUACUUAACAUGUGGUAAACAAAUGUAAUUUUUUACCAAUGUACAAAUAUAAUUUUUGUUGUUGGACAAACUUAAAUUAUCAUUUUGUUGAAUUUUAUACAUCAUUUCACUUUGAUGAAUAAAUAUAAUCAUUUGAAAUUUCUGACUGUACCACUUAUCUUGCAAUCCAAAAUGAUCCCACUGUGAGAGCAAUUUUUAUGGUGAAACUUUUUAAUUGACAAAUGAUUGGUGAAUUAAAUGCAAAAUGAUUGGUGUUUCAAGUGCAAGCAGGACAUCAUGCUUAAUUUCCACAAACAUCAAACCAAACUAAGAAAUUUUUAAAACCGUUUUCUAAACGCAAGGAUGGAUCAAGUGGUCUUAGUUUCACAAUGUCAAAGCAUGGUAAUAAAUUUUAAGUAAAGAAAACUAUCAAAUGCAAGGAUGAAUCAUAGUCUUCUUAUUCUUAUCAUACCUUAGAUAGGUAAUUAAAUAGUUGAGGUUAAUUGGGUGUAAAAGCUUCUAAUUUCUAAUUUGUUUUUUCUUAAGGUAAGGAAAAUUAAAAUCUUAAAAAAAAUGAAAUUACACCAGCAUAUGUCUUAGCAUAAUUAAAUGCACUUUUAAUAUAAUUUUUUUUGUUAUUUGACAGUUCUCUAAAUAAUAUGGUUUUUUUUAUAAAUAGUAAUAUUAAUAUGAGAAGGGAUUUAUUUAUACUAAUGUAACUUUUUCCUUUUUUACUCUUGGAUGAAAAUUAAAUUCAUGAUUCAUUUGAAUUAAAAUAAUAUUUUUAAAUUUAGUAAUUUUGAUCUAAAAUUUCUAAAAAGUGUAAGAGUUACACUAGUGUAAAUGGAUCCCUCUUCAUAUUGACAUAGCUAUUAAAAUAUUAAAAUAUUUAUUAUUGAAAUAUUAAAAAUAUUAAUUUUAGUUAUUUUUAUAAUAAUAUUUAAUAUUAAAUACUUGAAAAAUAGUAUUUAUUAUUAAAAUGUUUUUUAUAUUAAUAAUUUAAAACAUUUAAAAUAUCAUUAUUAUUAUCAUUAUUAAAGUAUUAUUUUAUUAAAAUUAAAAUUAAAAUAGCAUAUUUAUUAUUAAAAUAUUAAAAAUAAUAUUUAUUAUUAAGUCAUAAAAAGUAUUAUUUAUUUUUAUUAUUAAAAUUGUAAUAUAAAAAUCGAUGAAACCUUAGCUUACCACUACUCUUAAAGUCUUAGGUUUAAGUCCCACUAUGUGUGGGUUUGGUGAUUGUUUAGUUAGAUUCUAAUUUGUUUUUUGUUGAUUGAUUAUGAUUGCAAAUUCUUUUAUGUUUGUAAUUUAAAAAAAAAAUGAUAUAAAAACAUUUGUCAUUAAGAUAUUAAAUGUACAAUAUAUUUUAAAUUUAAAAUUACAAAGUUUAACUAAGUUAGAACACGGACAAAUAGAAAAUUGAAGCAGCAACUGGUUUUUUAGCAUUGAGAGGAUGAAUUUAAUUUUCCUUGCAGAGAAAAAAGGUUUAGUCGUGGAAAGAAAGAGAUAAUAGAAAAAAGGGGUCAAAGAACCGACAGAAAAAAAAGAGGAACAUAUUUAUAUUUUUAUUAAUAUAAAAAACCUAACCUAAUAAACAUAAAAUUUCUAUAAUAACUCUAUUUCAAUAACCCUUUUUUUAUAGAAAGCUCCAAUCAAGCGAAACUUAGAUUCUAGAUAUGUCAGUAUUAAUUUCUUUUGUUACAAUUGCUUGAAUACAUAAGCACCAAUCAUCGGUGAGUUUUAUAUAAUAUUUUAUUUUUAUUUGUGACUUGUAAAACUUAUUUUUAGAUCCGUAAAUUUAAAACUCAAUGGGAGUAAAAUAUUUCAAAUCCAUCCUUUAAUUUCAUUAACAACCAUAAAAAUCAAUGAAAUUUGCUACCUUAGUGUCACGUAGCUGUCCACGUAACAUAAAUCUCAAUUCAAAAGGUCAAAGAGAUUCAAAAUUUUUUUACCGUAUGGACAUUGUUCAGGCUUAUUAUCACAUAUAUUUGUUAUCAAUUACUUAAGGGAAAUAUUAUAUACGUAUAACAACUACACAAAUUUCAUAUACAUAUGACAAUAUAGGGAUUGAAUUAAAAAAAAAAAAACUUGAAACACGCAUAUAUGUAUAAUUUUUGUGUAUGAAAUAUGUGUACGUAGUAUUCCUUAGGGAUGUGAAUUUUACCCAUAUUCAAUGAGAAAUUUAAUUUUUUUAUUCUGAAUAGGAAUAAGGAUAAGUAUUACAUUGUGGAUAUGAAAAUGCAUAUGAUUUUAAAUUUUUAUUUAGUAUGGGGUAGGGGGAUGGGUAAUAUAGUAUCUUCCUCGCACCUGUACCCUACAUAUAUAUUUAGUAUAUAGAUAUUUAAUUAAAUAAUAUAAAUUAUUAUUUUAAAUUAAUUAAAAUUAAUAUAUUUUUAUUAAAAAAAUAUAUUAAUAUAUAUUUAUAAAAAAUUAUCUAAAUACACAAAACAAAAAUUAAAAAAAAUUUGUGUUUUUUAUUUUUUUAAGCUAUGGAUAUAGGAAUCUCUAUACCCAUUAAAUACCUGUGAAGAUGGGGAUAUGGAUAAAUAUAAAAUACUGGUUGAGUAUGGAUACAAAGAUGGGUAUAAUAUAAAAAUUUUAAAAAUAAAAUUAAAAAAUUCUCUAUCCUAUUCAUACCUUAACCAUUAAUAUUUCUAGUUUCUCAUUAGUUAAUUUAUUGUCUUUGGUAAUUAUUUUAAAUUCAUAUCUAUACUCACUUUCGUUCUUGAAAUUUGAUACUCAUAUUCAUCUUUUUUGAGUUAAAAAUUAAAUUUUUUGUUAAAUAUGAAUAAAAGUGAUAUUUUUAAUUUCAAGUGCGAGCAAGGAUCAAUCAAGUCAUCUUAUUUUCCACAAACAUAAAAGCAAAGAAAGAAAUAUUAAAAUAAGAAAAACUAGCAACCGUGUUUCAAGUGCAGGGAUCAAUCAUGUCAUCUUGCUUUCCACAUAUCAAAGCAUAUUUUAAGUCAAGAAAGCUAUCGAGCGUGUUCUACGUGCAUGGAUAAUCAAGUCAUGCUGCAUUUCACAAACAUCAAAGCACACUAAGAAAUUUUAAGUCAUGAAAGCUAACGACAGUUUUCUAAACGUAAAUCAAUCAUCUUAUUUUCCAAAAACAUAAAAGCAGAGAAAGAAAUAUUAAAAUAAGAAAAACUAGCAACCGUGUUUCACGUGCAAGGAUCAAUCAUGUCAUCUUACUAUCUACAUAUCAAAGCACAUUUUAAGUCAAGAAAGCUAUCGAACGUGUUCUAAGUGCAUGGAUAAUCCAGUCAUCCUGCUUUUCACAAACGUCAAAGCAGACUAAGAACUUUUAAGUCAAGAAAGCUAUCGUGUUCUAAGUGCAUGGAUAAUCAAAUCAUCCUGCUUUUCACAAACAUCGAAGCGGACUAAGAAAUUUUAAGUCAAGAAAACUAAUCACCGUUUUCUAAACGCAACUAUCAAUCAAGUAGUCUUGGUUUUACACACAUCAAAGCAGAUCAUUCUAUUGUCGUACCCUAGAUAGGUAAUUAAAUAUUUGAGGUUGGGUGUAAAAGCUUUUCAUUUCUAAUGAUUUUUUUUUAAGCAAAGCAAAUUAAAAUCUUUAUUAUCAAUAUGGCAGAUGAGUUCAUUUUUUUAAUGUAUUUAAUUUAAUGAUUUAAUUUUAUUAUUUUAAAAAAUUAAUAUUAGUGUUAAUUUUUGGAAACUUUUAACCAAAAAAAUUGUGAAAAUUGGAAGAAGAGAAAAAGAUUUCUAUUGCCACGUUGACAAUUUGCCGUGUAAACACUGCCAUAAUGAUUGUAGAAAAAAAGGGUUUAAUUACAUUACAUGAUGCUCCCAUAACUUAAAAUACCUGUUUUGAAGAAAUAAAAUGGAACUACACCUAUUAAAGAAUAAAGAUUUUAUGCACUGCACGUAGGAAAAGAAAAAGAAAAAUGCUCCACUUCUAAUUAGUAAUUUUUUAAUGAUUUUAAGUAAAAAGAAAAGUGCCUACACCAAAAGAAAAAGGGCUAUUAACAAUUGAAACCAAAUGAACCCAAACUAAAGAGAAGACAUUUCACACGGAUGAAUUAAAAUGUUUAGACAGUUUUUUAUUUUUUUCUUUGUGUAUUAAUCUAAUAUAAUUUUUGCAGGAAUAAUUAGAGUCACUAAUAUGAAAGUAUAAUGGGUUUUGAUAAUCCAUAAAUAGCAAAAAUUAUUUUAUAUAUGUUUUAGUUUUUAUUAAUCUCACUGCCUAGCUACUAACUUGUUAUUUUAUUUUUACGAAUUAUGAGUCAAUGAAAAAUACAUGAUGCGUACUAAUUAAAUGUGACAUCAUAUUACUUAAGGAAAAUAUUAUAUACACGUAACAUCUACACAAAUUUCAUAUAGAUAUUAGAAUAUAAGAAUUAAAUUAAAAAGAAUAAAUUUGAAAGAAAAAAAAUAAUGCGUAUGUGUACAAUUUAUUUGUAUGAAAUAUAUGUAAAUGGCACUCCCAAUUUGAAAAUAUUUUUAAAAUAUGAAAAUAUGAUUAUGUAAAUAACUUAAUCAAAAAUAAAUUAAGUUAACAAAUAACUUAAGAUAUGGUUCCUAAGAUAAAAAAUAUACUUAAAAUGAUCAUGUUAAAAUGACUAUAUAUGCAAGCAAUUGACUGCCAUGCUCAGGAGAGUCCAUUGCCUUAGACUUUUAGGAAAAGCAGUCGAUUGCCAAGGGCAUAAAGUCGACUACUUUGUCAAACAUAAACUAAACUUAGAUUCUAUAUAAAUAGUAGCCGACUAUUAGCUUAGAGCAAUUGAUUGGUACGUCCAAAAAGCGAGUGGACUGAUCCCAAACCCUAAUCCAAUCGACUGCCAGUAGAUGAUAGUCUUAUGGGAAUUUAUCUAUGCUAAAUGCAUUUAAUUGCUAUUAAAGAUGAGUCGACUACUCUAUAGGAGACCAAAUGUGGAACCUUUCUGGAAAUUGAAAGGAGUCAUCUGUUCACUCGGAGAAUGCAUUUUAUAUGAAGAAAUGAGUCGACUAUUUUAUAGAGGAGUAGACUAACCUACUAUGAAAAGCAUUUCAAAAAUUGAAAAAUACAAAGAAGCAAUCGUUUGCUUUCUUGGAGCAAUCGACUACUUUGCAUGAAAAAUUGUAAUUUCCAAAAACAGGAUAAAUGGUUUCUCUUAGAAUGAAAAUUUUGAUUAUUUAAAUGAAUAAAUAUGUUUGUAAUCUCUCAAAGAUACAUUUUUAUAAUCAAAAGGAAUUUAUCUUUAAUUGAAACAAUAUAAUAAAAAAAUCACAAUCUUAGGAUUCAAUAUCUAUGAAUAGAUAUUGAUGUGAGUUCAUUUUGUAAUCUAAUUCAAUUCAGAAUUACUUUCUUCUUUCUCCCAAUCUUUUCUCAAUUAAAAGCUUAUUGCUUUGACAUUGUUUGCUGCAGAAAACCUUGUAAAGACAAGAUAUUUUCAUUCCUACUAAAGUAUGUUUAGUGGUUUGUUAUAUUAGUGCAAAGUAUAAACAAACAAGGCUUCAUUUUAUGCAUUUUGGUUCAUCCCUUUUGCAUGCUAUAACUAGUUGGGUUGAUAUAAGCAUUAAGAAAAGUGACAUUUAUAGCACACUUUGAAGUAAUUUUGUUCAUAUUUGAAGGUCCAUGAUUGCUCAACUCUAACUAUUCAUCAAGAAGUUAUAAGAAGUUCUUAAAUUGUCAAAACAUUUAAGUAUUUACAAAUUGUAUCUUAUAGCUUUAUAUUACAAUAUUUUUCUAACAUUCUUAAGGUUUUGUUUCAAGCAAUAUGGACAAGUUCAAUUCCAUAAAAGAGAUGACAACCAACUUUUAAAUCUUGGACUGGUUUGAUGGAAGCAACAUCCUGAGGUGGCAAUUGUAGAUGCCCUAUUUAAUUUGAAAUCAUUUGUAAAUUCCAAUUUUUGUUUUUAUUUGUUUAUUUAUUUAUUUAUUUUAUUUUAUCUCUUUUUUGUUUGCACUUUCAAUUGACUCCUUGAGUUAUAGUGUGUAGUUGAUUGUGGGGCAUAACAUUGUGGCUCUUGUUGGAUUAUUGGGAUAAAGUUGGCCCUUGUUGGAAUUCUUGGGCUGUGAUAGGUUCUAAACCAAGCCUAACUCCUAUUUUUUAUGAAUUUUAUUUUUUAUCUGAUUUAUCUCUUCUGUAAAAAAAAAAAAUUUGAAAUUGAAAAGUCGGGAAGAUAAACAAAAUGAUAAAUAAAGAGAAGGAAAUCAGAUGAAUUUUGAUAAUGAUUUCUGUGAAGAUAAGUUGAAUCUUUUAAGAAUAAAGGAUAAGAUAAUUUUCAAAAUUAACCCAAUCAACAUUUUGUUUCGAUUUAGAUUCUAAACGAGCUGGGACUAAAGGCUUAUAUAAGCAACAAUAAUUGAAUACAAUAUACACAACAAGUAAAGGCAAUGGCAGAAGUAGAAAGCAAGUAAAAAAAAAAUUUCGAUAGUAGGCCAUGGGUUCUUAAUUUGAAGAUUUUUUUUUUUGCAAUUUUAGUUAUUUGAAUCAGUUUAAUUUGUAAAAAUUAGUGUUAUUAAGGGAUUAAAGAGCGCACAAAGAUCCAAGUUGAAUUUUUAGCAUUUUUUUUUGAAGAAUUUAGAAAAUUUUGAAUUUUUUGACGAAUUUUAAAGUUUUUAGUGAAAUUCACAGUUUUUAGUGAAACUUGAAUUUUCCGAUGGUUUUGAGCAUGAUUGGUUCACUGCGAAUCAUUUUCUUGGAGAUAGUUGUGUUACAAACCAAUUUUGCAGUUUGUAAUCUGAGUAUUACUGUUACAAACUAAUUUUAGCAUGAAUGGCGUGUCCUGGCUUUAUCAUUUACUCUCUUUGUUUUAUUUUUUUUUGGGUUUAAAAUUUUUAUGAAUGUUUCGAAAUUUUAUAUUUUUUAAUAUCUAAAAUUUUUAUUUUUUUAUUUUUUAAAAUUAUUUAUUAUUAUUUAUUUUUUACAUUAAAAAUAAAAAAUAUUAAUAUUAAAUAUAUUAAAUUAUUUUUUUUUUUUAAAUUCUGUGAAAAUCAAUCAUCAUUAUUCUCCAGAGAGAGAUGAUAAUGAAUGGAAUGCAAUCAAGCUCGGUUUUUAAUUCAUUCAUCAAUCAUCAAUCUGCUGGACGUGCUCUAUUAGCACUUGUCUUUUGUAUACUGUUUCUAUGACAUGGUUUCCCAUGUUAAGGGUCCGACCAACAUUCUACCUAUUAUGACUCACUGUCACUUGUAAUUAUCUAUACCCUAUAUAAAAACUAUAGCCUUACUAAAAAAAUUGUUCCCAUAUUAUUUUUUAAAAAUUUUUUCCUAGUUUGAAAUAAAGGAUAAUAUUUCAUUGAAGCUAGAGGUGAGAAAAUUAGUUCAUUUUGAGUUGGUUCAUUUUGGAUAAAAAAAUGAAUUAUUUUAUAUUUGAAUUAAGUUGAGUGCAAAUUAAAAAAUGAUUGUAUUAUGUUGAGUUUGGAUCAAAUCAAGUUCAAAUUAAAAACUUUGAAUCAUUUCAAUUUUGAGGUAUUUCAAGUUGAUUGGAUUAAUUAAGAUUUAGAUCAAUUUUAGUUCAAAUUAUUUGGAUUUCGGAUUUGACUCUCGAAUUAUUGAGGUUUAAUAUUUUAGUUAUUUAUAUUUAAUUUGUUAACAUUUAAAAUUUAAUAAAUAUAAUUAAAUUUAUAAAAAUUAAAAUAUCAAAGUUAAAUGAUUCAAAAGUAAUUUGUUAAUAAUAAGAAAUUAUGUCAUGUUUAAUAUAAAAUUAAUUUUAUUCAUGAUAAAAAUUUAUUAAUGACUUUUAAUUUAUUAAUAUUCAAUAUUUAUUAUUAGUAAUUUAUAUCGAUAUUUUGUAAUCAUACUUGUCCACGUUAUUUAUUAUAUAUGAAUUAAAAAUGAGCAAAUAACUAAAUAAUUUCAAAAAAAUUAACUUUCAAAAUCAUCACUAAUAGUACGAUAAGAUAAAAAAAUACUAUUAAUAUUGAUUACUUAAUUAACAUAAUGAUCUAAUCUUAAAACAAUUCAAAAAUAUCAAAAUUACUUAGACAUAAUAUUAAUAUAAUUUAAAUAAUUGAAAUUUUGAAUAGUAUAUAGUACAAAUGUGUAAUAAAAAAUGAAGAUGCUAAAAUUAUCUACUGUUAUUUGAUAGUAGCAUGGUAUAACACGACUUGACUCGUUGGCUGGAUUUUAAUUUUUAACUUUUAAGUUGUAACAUUUUAUUUUGAGUUUUAAUUUUAUAUAUAAUAAAAAUAAUAAAAAUAUAAUUGUAUAUAUAUUACAAACUAUUGUUUUAUAUAUUUUUUAAAAAAAUUAUUCAUAAAAGACUUAAGAAGUUUAUUUGUUUAAUAGAACUAAUCUUAAUAUUACUUAUAUAUUAUAAGAUUAUUAUAUUUAAUAAUUAAAAUAAAUAAAUAUAAUAAUAUUAUUAUACCUCUAAAUUAUAUUUUAUUAAAAUUAAUAUUUAAUUGUUUAUAUUUAUUACUUAUUAAUAAGUUAAUAAAAUUUGAUAUAUUAAAUUAAAUUAAUUAAUUGAUCACAUUUGACUUUUGAUAUUUUCUUUCUAUCUAAAAGUAAAAAAUGUAUAAUUUCAACAAAAAUAGAAAAAAAAACCCUUCCAAUUUAAUUCUAACCAUUUAUUUUAAAGUCUAGCUAUUUCGAGUGUGAGUUAAUUUGAGUUUAAAUCAUCGUUGAAUUAUAAUGCAAUAAUUACAGGUGAUAUAUCUCAUGAUUUAAUUCUUUGCCCUGAAACAAUAAAGAACCAGUAGCAGAUAAUUAAGUAAUACAGAACUUACAUCAAAAUUUUAAAAACACAGAGAUGUCUCCCUUCAUCUCCUCUUAUUCUGAACCAAGUAGAGCAUGCAUGUCCUUGUAAACCAUCCUCUCGUUCUAUCACAAACCCAUCUCCCUUCGCAUAAUCCCAUAGGACUAAAAGAAUGGAGACAUUACUGAACUAGCACAAGGCACCACAGUUUGUAUUUACAUCUUCAUAGAAAUGAAUAUUUCCAUCACAUUAUGUUGUAAAAUGUGCAAUGCUGUCCUCAGUGCUAUUAAAGAAUGAUGGUCAGCUCCAUAGCCACCAUGGUGGAAAGUGCAACCCGUUUUUAAUAUCAGUUGCUACUCCACCCAAUUUACAAAUGUCUAAUGUCAGCCUUUCUUUGAAAAGCUUUGGAACAAAUAAGACCUUAUAUAGAAGCUGGUAGAUGGUUCAUGCAGUUAUCCUCAAAAAAUGACAUCUAAUAGGUUUGUGGUUUGAAUUUCAGUACUUACAACUCCUUCUCUUAUCCCAAAUGCAAAAAAAAAAAAAAAAAGAGACCUUAUAUGCACGGUGGCAGGGACUUGGACACUAGAAUGGAAACUAUAAGAUGGGUUUUUGAGGUUACCAUCUGGGAUGUCUAAGGAAGAAUUCAUGGUUCUGAAAACCCCUGGAUAGACAUGGAAUCAGGAUGAUAAUAAUUUGUGCUUUUGAUAAUUUAGUUUUUGCAGCACUCAAAAUUCAGUUUCUGCCCUUCUGACAAGGAAAUAGUGUUUUUCCUCUUCAAACAGUUACUCUGGUCAUUUAUUCAGUAUAAAAAACUAACUCAAAAAAGGUAAAUUAUUUCAUACUUUUUCGUUUUAUCUUGAAUCUCCAUCAUAUUACAUGUAGGCCAAAAAGGAUAAUGCAUUAGUGGACUUGAUCAAACUAAAAAAGCAGUGGCUGCAGCUCAUACAAAAUAAGAUCAUAACAUUAAAAUCCCGAAAUGGAAGACAGAUGCAUAUCACUUUGUUCUUUUUCAGCCCACAAUUUUCUUAUGAAUUUCAAAAGGCAUGAAAAGAAAAAUUAUCACUGAGAUUAAGCCUUUAAAAAAAUGAUAUGAAAAUUCACUUAUUCAGCUUAUGUACAAUCUAUCUUGAAAGGCCUAGCUUCUCCUCAUAUACCUUUAAUAAAGAAAGAUCCUCAUAAGGGGUCACAAACCUUUGAAGGAACUCCUUUUCGGUAAAAAAGAAAAAAAAGAUAAACACUGAUUUUCUCAAUCAAACGUUUGGAUAGCAAAGAUUGAAGAACUUAACACCCAAGGACAAUUCUCAUCUCUAAGCUAUAUGGGAAAAGUUACGGAAGGUUUACUAUACGUCAAGAUUUCCAGUCCAUUUGUGUUGACAUAUAAAAAAAAAUUCAUUGCGACUUUAGUCUUGUCCUUAGAAAGCAUCAUUGCAAUACGGAUACUUAAUUCCACAAAAUGUUUUUUAUAUAGAAGUUUAGGAUGAAGCGAGGCUUUCCCAUUCCAAAGUCAGGGAUUUAUAUUGGAUUUAAAGAUUAUUGUGUCAUAAUAUAUAAAUUCGUAAAUUUAUCACUAGAUACAAUUAAAAGAGUCAUCAUCACUAUUUUUUGAUUAAAUAUGAUUGACCACUUAGGUGAAUCUAUUUAUAUUCAUUUUAAGGAUGUCUUAAACUUCACUAAGGGUCCUUAAAAAAAUGUUUUAGUUUACCAAUCAGAAUAGGGUUUGAGAGUUCGAUUACAUACAAAAAAAAUUAUAGCAUCCUCACAACUCUCAUCCUAAGAUGAUACCAUUUAAUUUUAAAUUAUCUUAAGGAUUAUUGGUUCAAAUGAUUUUUUAUUAAACUUUAAUAUUUAAAUAUUAAAAAUAAUUUUUAAAAUUUUUUCAUUAAUUUGACAGAAUUCUUAAAAUAUACUUCCUCAACAAAAGUAUUUAAAAAUCGUAUUUAUUUUUUUAAAGAGGUUCUAUCGUAAAAAAAAACUUAAUCAUUUAUUUUUUAUUUUGCUUUUAUUGAAAAUAUAUCUAAUUCUUCCACCAUUUAGGCUAAAAUUAAAAAUAUUUUUUCACCUAAAAAUUUUUUAAAUAAUCAUCCAUUUGUAAUUAUUAGAAAUUUCAUCCUCAUAGUUUAUUCUUUUUAUUUUGUGUAAAUUUUUUGUAUCUAAAUUUCUAUUGUAUGGAGACAAAUCUAAAAUUUUCACCAUUUUAAAAACUUUUAGAAAUACUUUUUUUACCUAAAAAUUUCUAAAAAAAAUCAACCAUGCUUGAUUUCUUAGAAUUUCAUCAUCAACAUUUUUUUAUCAUUUCCAAAACUUCUCAUUUCUACCCUUUUUAUUUACUACAUUUAAAAAUGUAAUUAUUAUAAUUUAUCUAAUUUUACCAUCAUUAUGGUAAAAUUUUAGAAAUAAAUUUAUUAUCUAGAGUUUCUCAUCUUGAAAUUUUUUAGAGGAUCAACCAUUCUUGAUCUCUUAGAAUCCCAACAUCAAAUUAAUUUUAUAUUUUUCUAUUUUUUAAGAUUUAUUUUUGUUAUUUCUAAAACUUUCUAAAAUUAUUUUUUAAAUUUUUUAUGAUUUUAAAGCAAAUAUCAAUAUUGUUAUUGAAAAUUUUAUCUAAAUCUCCAGUUUGAAGAUAUUAAAAAAAACUUCUCAUUUAAAAAAAUUCUAGAAAUUCAACAAUUCUUGAGUUCCAAAAUUUUACUAGUUGGUAAUUUUCAUUUAUUUUUAGGAUUAUAUUCUUUAUUCUUAUUUUCAUAAAUUAUUUUUAUUAACAUUUUCAUAUAAAUUGUCCACCAUUCUAGAGAAUUUAUAAGAAAAUUUCUCACUUAAAAAUUUCUAAAAAUCAACCAUUCUUGAUUUCUAAAAUUAUCUCAUUAGGAUAAUUGCCAUUUAUUUUAGAGUUUUUGUUUCAUUUUUUUUUAUAUUUGGUGUUCAAUUGACGAGAAAUUAAAUUUAUUUUUUAGGUUUUCAAGUAAAUUUUCCACCAUGGAGAAUUUAAAAGAAAUUGCUUAUCUAAAAAUUUUUGAAAAGUAAAUUCCUUACAAAAAAAUUUUCACUUAUAAUUAAAGUUUGAAUUAAAUUACAUGAUCCAAAAAAAAAGUUAUUUAUCUUCAAGAUUUAUAUGAAAUACAUGAUUCUGAUAAUAUUUUAAUUAAAGAAAACUACUAGUAUAAAUAUAUUUUAUUCUACCAUAUUUUAGUUUUUUAAGUGUGAAGCAACUAAACAUUUUUCUAGUUUAAGAAUGAAUGCUUUAUAAAAUGUAUAACAAAGUAAAUAAAUGAUUAAAAAAAAAAGAACCAGAAAAUUAAAUAAGGAAAAAAAAAAGAUGAAAACCUGAAAUUUGAGUUACAACUCAAAUCCAAGGCAGGCUAGCCUAAGCUAAAAAGUAAGGAAAGAGAGAAAAGAAAAAUGUCACAAAAAGUUGAGGCAAAGUAAUGAGAAUUCUUUUGUGAGGAAUGCGAUGAAAAAAGAAAAAAAGUAGUGAAAUGAUAUGGGGGCAACAUGCCAAGUUGCAUUAAAUGAUGAAAAAUGAUCCUUUAAUUUUGAAUCCUUUAAACACAUGUUUUGAGUCUAUUUUAUCCAUUUCUUUUAUGACCUCUCACCAUGGCCUACAUUACAACCUUGAAAAAUUUAUUUGGAUCAAGUGUGAAUUGAAUGACCUUAUAUUGGGCUAAGGCAUGCUUGUGAUAGAACGAUGGAAUCAUGCUUCGUUGCUCUAGAGAUUGAUGUGUGUCAUAACGUCUAGAUCCGGGGAUCUAUCGCUAGACAUUGACUUUUAGGGAGUCAUCACCAAUCUUUUUUAUCUAGGUGCAAUUGGUCACCUAAAGAAUCUAUCCUUUCAGGGAACACCUAAGUUUAAGGGUCCCUAAAAGAAUAGGUUCAGGUCUACAAACCAGAACAGAGUUCGGGAGUUCGGUUACGUGUGAGGAAGGUUAUAGCACCCUCACAACACCCAUCAAAAGAUGGUACCAGCUUAAAUUUGUGUUAUCCAAAAAGCCUUAAAAUUUUACCAAGUAAUUAAUUGUUGGAAAUUAUUCUCAAUUGACUCUAAUACUUUUAGCAGAAAAUUGAGAAAAUUCCCUCACCUCAAGAGUAUGCAAAAAAACUACUGUUUCACUUGCAGAGGCUCCGUCGUCGGAUUAAUUAAGGAAAAAUCAAAAUCAAAAUCAAAAUAGGAAGGAAGGAAAGAAUGAUUGUUCUUGUGUGAGGAAAAUUGAUACUUUCAACUUUUCCCCAAAAAUAUUUUUUGGAAAUUUGUUUUUAAGGAAAAUUGAUACUUUCAACUUUCAAAUUGAUACUUUCAACUUUUCCUCAAAAAUAUUUUUUUGAAAAUUUAUUUUUAAGGAAAAUUGAUACUUUCAACUUUUCCUCAAAAAUAUUUUUUUUUGAAACUUUAUUUUUAAGGAAAAUUGAUACUUUCAACUUUUCCUCAAAAAUACCUUUUUUGAAAAUGUAUUUAUAAGGAAAAUUGAUACUUUCAACUUUUCCCUAAAAAUAUUUUUUUUUAAUUUAUUUUCAAGGAAAAUUGAUACUUUCAACUUUUUCCUAAAAAUAUUUUUUGGAAAUUUUGAUUUUCAAGGAAAAUUGAUACUUUCAACUUUUCCCUAAAAAUAUUUUUUUUGGAAAUUUUGAUUUUUUUAUUUAAAGAAAAUAGAAUAAUAAAAAAAAUAAAUAAAUAAUAAAAAAUAAAGAAACGUAAAACAAAAAUAAAAAUAAAACUAAGAUAAAAAGAAUAUUAAAUAAACCUAAUAUAAUAAAUAAAAAAACCAAUAAACAAAUAAAUGAAAAAAAAAAGAAUUCAAAGAAAGAAAAAAAAAAAAAAACCUGGAGCGGCUCGGAUCGCGGCUCGGCUCGGCUCGGCUCAAGGAAGAAAAACGGCUCGAGGGGCGGCUUGGGGAAGCUCGGCUCGGCUCGGCUUGGCUCGGAGGAGGGGCAGCACGCGCGGGUCAGGAAAACGGGUCGACGCUCGGGUCGGGUCGGGUCACGGUAAAACGCGCGGAUCCUCUGGUUACUUAAGGCCAAAACGACGUCGUUUUGGGAGGGUAUAAAAGGCACUCUCCUCUGUUUUUCGACAGAACGCUCCUCCUCUCUCUCUCUCUUCCUUCCCUUUUCUCUGCCUUCUCUCUAAAGGCUGAAGAACACCGGUGCCGGAUUCUGGAAAAUGUCACCGGGAUCUGGAAUUUUCGUCGGAAGUUCGCCGGAAGUGGGCCGGAAGAUCACCGGUUUCUGGGAUUUUCAUCGAAAACUGGGCAGAUUGCCGGAAACUUCAAGGUUCGUCGGAAUUGUUGUCGAAAAAUUCAAAUUUCACCAGAAUUUCGCCGGAAUCUGGAAAUUUCCCAGAAAUUUCCAAAAAAAUUUUUCGCCAAAAAUUUAUAAAAAUUUUUUCUCACUCCCAGAACACUCCUAAACUUUUCCUAGCUUCCUAUACGCCUCCUUUUCUCUCAAAUCAGUAGCUUUGCUUACUGUUUUCUCUGUGUUUUCCAUUCUGUUCCAGGAGGUGCUUUAUAUAGGGAUUGAUCAAGAGUUUCUGAUCAAUCCCAAUUCCCCUUUGGACGGGAAUUCAAUCUUUGAAUCCAGUCUGGAUUCUUCUGAUUGAAUUCCCACUCUCAGUGGGAUUCUUCAACUUUCAAUCCCAGCCCUCCAAAAUCAAAUAAAAUAAAAAGAUAGAUAAUUAGAAAAAAUAGGAAAAAAAAUCAGAUAAUAAAAAGGAUCAGAUAAAAUUAACAGAUAAUUUAAAAAAUAAAAUAAGAUAAACCUAAAAAUAUAUUAUAAAAAAUAAUAAUAAUAAUAAUAUAAUAAUAAUAAUACAUAUAUAACUAUAUAAAUAAAUUACAUAUAAAUAUUAACAAAAAUAAAUAAAUCAAUCAAUCAAUAUAUACAUAUGAUAAUAAUAAAAUAAAUAAAACACAAAAGAAGAAAAGAAAAAGAAAAAAGAAAAUAAUAAUAAUACAAGAAAAAAUUGCAUCGGGCUUACCCCAUUUGGGCCAGGCCCAAUUGGUCUGGGCCUGGACCCAAUUGGGUGUCUACAGCUGCCCCUCUUUGCACAUUUUCUGUGAAACAGAAAUUGUGCAAAGACGUAGACACCCAAUCAAGACCCGACUCAACAUUGUCAUUUUUUAUUUUUUGUAUUUUUUUGUUGUUUUUUGUUGUUUUUUUGUUUUUAUUAUUUUUUUUUGUUUUUUAACCAAAGCUAGAGGCACCAUGACUUUGGAACUAAAUUGCUCCUCUAAACAGAGGCAACGAACUUUGAAAAGUAAAUUGCUCCUCUAAACAGAGGCAACGAACUUGAAAAAAAAAAAUUGCUCCUCUAAACAGAGGCACCACGACUUUGAAAAAGUAAAUUGCUCCUCUAAACAGAUGCAACGAACUUUGAAAAGUAAAUUGCUCCUCUAAACAGAGGCACCACGACUUUGAAAAGUAAAUUGCUCCUCUAAACAGAGGCAACGGAACUUUGGAAAAUAAAUUGCUCCUCUAAACAGAGGCACCACGACUUUGAAAAGUAAAUUGCUCCUCUAAACAGAGGCACCACGACUUUUGAAAAGUAAAUUGCUCCUCUAAACAGAGGCACCAUGACUUUGGAAAGUAAAUUGCUCCUCUAAACAGAGGCAACGGAACUUUGAAAAGUAAAUUGCUCCUUGACAAUCAUGUCCACAGGAGUUGAAAGUUGUGUUUGGAGGAAUUUCAGGAGAUUAUGCCCAAAGGUCUUAUAAAUCAACCCUGAUACCAAGAGACGUCCUAUUUCAAGGAUUAGGAACUUACCUGACAAGUUUCUUCUCAAACUUGCAAAGUCUUUUCAUAUCUGUCUUUUCCAUGUGGGAUGUUGGAACACCCCUACUUCUUGAAUUUGUACACUAUACUUUUCUGAAAGUAGUGUAUGCUAUGCAAAUGCAUAUGAAUUUCAAUGCAUGCUAUGCAAAUGUUGGUCAAUCAAUUCCUAUUCAAUGUAUGGUACUCAAGUUUCUCAAGCUCUUUUCUUUCUUGGGUGUCAAGCCCUUUGAUUCUUCAAGGAUCCAAUUACACUGCUUUUCUAAGAUCGAACCAGUGUAGCUCUUAAUUGUCUCUUCCAUUCAGAUUCUUCCUUGUUCUGUUUUUCAAUACUUUGGAAUAAGCUUCAUCAAUCGAUCAUCACUUGACCAUCAUUCAAUGAAUUUCUCAGCACUAACCAAUUUUAAAACAAGUUUCAUCCACCAUCACUGAGUCAUUGCUCACAGGUGUCUCAGCAUUAACCAAUCCAAAACAGACUUUGUCCACUGAUUGUUCUCAUCAUUCAAUCAUAUCUUGCAAGUCAUAUCGACCAAUUCAUCCUUGUACUCAUCACUUUUCAAGAUUUGUCCCAUUAUAUUCUUCAUUCGGUCACAUCAUAUAUCCUUCCAAAUCAUCAUUUCUUCAUUUUGUUACCACCAUCAUCUUAGAUUUCUUUUCAAAUGAAUGCAAGACUCGUUUAAGCGCAUAUUCAUUCAUUCAUUAUCAUUUCAAAUCCUGACAAAUACAAUGCAAUCAAGCAUUUUCUCAAUUCAUUCUAGGGGUGAAACAAUAAGAGAAAACAAGGUGAAUUAUCAAUGGAGAUCUAUUUUGGUAUAAAACAAAUGGGAAAAGAAAUGAAUUGGAUGUCAUUGAGAUGGAUGGUAUGUCCAAAUGAUGAAUAUUCAGACAAUUCUCAACAUUAAUUUAGGAUUCUUUUUCAAAAACUCAUUCCAUUUACUGUUGAAGUCAUCUUGAGCCUGGCGAACUUUGCCCCAGUCUUUGAGGGAUCUUUCAUUCAUGUGAGUCAUUUGACUUGGAUCUUUUUCUAUCAACCUUUCAGGUUUUCAAUCUCAAUCUUUUUUCAUUUUCUUUCUUCUUUCUUUCUUUUUUUUUUCUUUUUUCAUCAUCUUUCUUUUUUUUUUCAUCAUUUUUUCUUUUUUUUUUAUUCAUUGUUGAUAUCUUUCAUACAUCAAACUCUAGAGCAAUGUAGCAUGAUUCCAUUACUACAUCAUGAGCACGUCUUUGUUCAACAUAUGACCAUUCAAGUUGAGUAUUCACACUUGAUCCAAAUGGACUUUUCAAGGUUGUAAUGUAGGCCAAGGUGAAGGGUCAUAAAAAAUGGAUAUAAUAGGCUCAAAACAUAUAUUAAAAAGGUUCAAGACCGAAGGAUCAUUUGAUGCAGCUUGGCAUUUUGCCCCCACAUCAUUUCACUACUUUUUCUUUCCUCACACAAAGGAUUCUCAUUACUUUGCCCCAAGUCAUGUGUGGCAUUUAUUUUUCUUUUGCUUUUCUUCCUCUUUCCAUCUUUGAGACCUUUUGUAGUGUCUUUUCUUUUUUUUUUUUCUUUUUUUUUUUUCAAAAACUACCCUCCAAUGUAGAGGGUGAUCCUUGGUUGGGGUUCUUCAGAAAAAAAUGAUAGGCUCAAAGGGGUAACAAUAAAUGGUUUUUCAAAUGGUAAAAGAAAAAUGGCCAUUUUUCAUCUCAAUUGUGAAUACCUUUCUUGAACAUCAUCCAUUGAACAAAGCUCAUGAACUUGUAUAAAAGAUUGUACAUCUUCAAGACAUAUCUAUUUCACCUCCAGUAACAGCUUACUUUUUGCUCAAAUCAUCUUCCCAUAUUAAUGUGGAUGAGUUCUCAAAAUUAAAUCCUAGAAUUACUGUCAUCAUUGUCUAAAUAUUCAUCAUCUGAAAUUUAGGAAUGGGAGUAUAAAGUUAUGAAAGGUAACGGAGCAUGGAGUAAUGGUCAAGUGAAAGAGAAAAAUGUAAUGAAAUGCAUUGACUUACCUUUAUUAAAAUGAUAACAAGUGAAGUCAUAUUACAAAAAGAAAUCUAACAUUAUUUGAAAAGAAAUCCUAAAAUGACAGAAGAAACCUUCAACCAGCCUUAUCUCUAUUUUUUAAAAUUGUCCCCCUAUACGAUCAGGUGAAGAAUCUCUAUUGACAUCUUGCCCCCCAAUUCAUUGUGACUCUUCGAACCCUUUCUGUUCUUGACUUUCACUCAGAGCGCUAACAUUAGAUGUUGUUGCUUUUCCUUGAUCAAAACUUACCAUUCCAUCAUUGAUCAAUCGUUGCACCUUAUACUUUAAAGCAGUACAAUUUUCAGUAGAAUGGCCAGUAAUUCCAUAAUGGUAAUCACAGCAGGCUGUAAGAUCAUACCACUUUGGAUAGGGUGGUUUAAGCGGUUUCACAUGGCUGGGGGCAAUCAAGUGGCUAUUAUAGAGUUCUCGAUAUAACUCUGUAUAAGUCAUAGAGAUUGGAUCAAAUACAAGUUUUUCUCGAGUAGUCCGUUGUUCUCGUGAGCCACUUGCUGGGUUAGUAGGGCGAACUUGAGUUCUUACAGGAGCUUGAAUGUUAAGGCGGUAAGUAGAUGAAUAAGAUGGUUGUGGAGCUAAUUGGUAUGGGUAGGAUGAGGCAUUAUUCACAGCAGGAUAGUAUGAAGAGUAACCUUGGGAUGGAUAGGGUUGAUAACCCCUGAAUUAUUGUCUAUCAAAGCUCACAGCUUGAGCUUCAGCUUCUUUUUUUCUGAUGUCUUCUUGGUUUCUCCUCCUUUCAACUUACCAUUUUUUAUGGCACUUUCAAUAAUUUCUCCAGAGAUCACCAUGUCGGUAAAAUUCUUCGUUGCAUUCUCUAUCAUCUUUUCAUAAUAGAGAGGCUUCAAAGUGCUGACAAAUAACACUGUAGUUUCUUUCUCUGUCAGAGGAGGUUGUACCUGUGAAGCUAUAUCUCUCCAUCUCUGGGCGUAUUCUUUAAAAGACUCGUUUGACUUUUUCUCCAGAUUCUGUAAAGACAAACGAUCUGGGGCCAAAUCGAUGAUAUGUCGAUAUUGACUGAUAAAGUCAUGGGCCAUAUCGCUCCAAGAGCGAAUGCGAGUCCUAUCCAGCUGAACAUACCAUCUGGUCGCAGAGCCAGUAAGACUGUCCUGAAAAACAUGCAUCAAGAGUUUUUCAUCAUGAGCAUGAGCCGCCAUCUUCUUGUAAUACAUGGUGAUGUGGGCUUUGGGGCAUUUUGUACCGUCGUAUUUUUCAAAUUUUGGUACUUUAAACUUAUAGGGGAUAACCACAUCAGGAACUAGGCAGAGUCCAGCAGCAUCAACUGACCCAUAAAAGCUAAAUCCUUCCACAGCCCGUAGCCUCUGCUCUAGCAUGCUAAUUUUGGAGCUUUCUUCAGCUUACACCCUUAUCUUUUCCUUCUCUUUCUCUUCUAGAUCAGGAAUUGGUUCUGCUAUCUUUUCAGUGAAGACAGGAUUUAUAUAUCUAUUAUAUUGCGCUGGGUUGAAAGCUGAUGGCAUUCCCGGAUAUGUUGGAUAUGCGAAGUGUUGUGACGGGACCUCUUGAGCAGAAUGAGUUUGAGGUGGACCAAAACCUGGAGGGUACAGAGGGUCAGCCACUUCUUGUAAUGGGGGAACUUGCUGGGUUGUACUUUCUUCAACUUUUUUUCCUUUAUUUAUGUUAUUAAGAGCUUCUAGAAUCAUGCUUAGCUCACUUUCAAUCUUCUCUUGUGCUUUUUCUAGCUUUUCAAAUCUAUGAGAACUUUCUUCUUCCAUUUGCCUUGCUCUGGAUCUUGUGUUGUAUGGAUAAGCAGAGUUUUCGCUAGAUGGAGCUAUCCUCGAACCUUGAGUACCAUACUUAUGAUUAGAAAUGUUAUGCUAUGCUUUAUGUAUGGUGCUCAAAUGAAAUGCACAUUUUCCUAAAUGAAAUCUAGUAUGAAAUGGAUGUAAAUGAUUGUGUUAAAACAUGGUCAUGAGAAUAAUGCAGAUGCAUAAAAUCAGACAAACAAUAUAGUUAGUUUCAUGGAUGAGAUGAAAAUGAUGCUGAUGCAUAAUGUUACAAAAAAUAAUACACAAAGUUAAGUAAUCAAAAUGAUUAGAUAAACACCCUUUUUGUGUCUUAAUUUCAGGGUAUAUCUAUCAUUGGAUAGAAAGGACUCUAUCCUAGGUGUAGGCACUCUUAAGGUUCACUACAUGCGGUUUUAAGGUCAGAGUCUAAAGGUCCUCAAAUUAUUCCUUACAUCCUUGUCCAUCACAGACUAGUAAGGCACCAUAAUCCUCACCCAUUACAGGCUACAAGCGAAAAAGGUUCAAUUUGAGUGGGAGUAUUUCGCUAGCCACUGCGGAGGCAUUAGACCUCACGAAAGUAAUAGGUACUUUACUCCCUCCUAGAGGGACGGAGCUCGGGUAUAGAGCUCAUGUUAUGCACAUGCACAUGAAUGACAUAAUUAACAAGGUAAAUGUCAUAACGUCUAGAUCCGGGGAUCUAUCGCUAGAUAUUGACUUCAGGGAGUCGCCACCAAUCUUUUUUAUCUAGGUGCGAUUGGCCACCUAAAGAAUCUGUCCUUUUAGGGAACACCUAAGUUUAAGAGUCCCCAAAAGAAUAGGUUCAGGUCUACUAACCAGAACAGGGUUCGGGAGUUCGGUUACGUGUGAGGAAGGUUAUAGCACCCUCACAACGCCCAUCAAAAGAUGGUACCAGCUUAAAUUUGUGUUAUCCAAAAGCCUUAAAAUUUUACCAAGUAAUUAGUUAUUGGAAAUUAUUCUCAAUUGACUCUAAUACUUUUAGCAGAAAAUUGAGAAAAUUCCCCCACCUCAAGAGUAUGCAAGAAAAACUACUGUUUCACUUGCAGAGGCUCCGUCGUCGGAUUAUUUAGAGAAAAAUCAAAAUCAAAAUAAAAAGAAAGAAAAGAAUGAUUUUUUUUUGUGUGGGGAAAAUUGAUACUUUCAACUUUUUUCCAAAAAAUAUUUUUUGGAAAUUUUAACUUCGAGGAAAAUUGAUACUUUCAACUUUUCCCCAAAAACCCUUUUUUUGAAAUUUAUUUUUAAGGAAAAUUGAUACUUUCAACUUUUCCCUAAAAAUAUUUUUUUUUUUGGAAAUUUUGAUUUUCAAGGAAAAUUGAUACUUUCAACUUUUCCCUAAAAAUAUUUUUUUGAAAAUUUUGAUUUUCAAGGAAAAUUGAUACUUUCAACUUUUCCUCAAAAAUCCUUUUUUGAAAAUUUAUUUUUAAGGAUAAUUGAUACUUUCAACUUUUCCCUAAAAAUAUAUUUUUUGAAAAUUUUGAUUUUUUUAUUUAAAGAAAAUAGAAUAAUAAAAAAGUGAAAAUAAAAAAAAUAAAGGAAAGUAAAACCAAAAUAAAGAAAAAAAGAAUAUUAAAUAAACCUAAUCUAAUAAAUAAAAAAUAAAAAAACAAAUAAAUGAAAAUAAAAAAAAAUUCAAAAAAAAUUCAAAAAAAAAAAAACCUAGAGCGGCUCGGAUCGCGGCUCGACUCGGCUCGGCUCAAGGAAGAAAAAACGGCUCAGGAGAGCGGCUUGGAGACUCGGCUCGGCUCGGCUCGGCUUGGAGGGGGCAGUACGCGUUGGUCAGGAAAGCGGGUCGACGCUCGGGUCGGGUCGGGUUCGGCAAAACGCGCGGAUCCUCUGAUUAACUUAAAGCCAAAACGACGUCGUUUUGGGAGGGUAUAAAAGGUACCUUCCUCCGUUUUUCGGUAGAACACUCUUCCCCUCUCUCUCUCUUCUUCUCUUUUUCUCUGUCUUCUCUCUAAAAACUGAAGAACACCGGUGGAAUUUUCGCCGGAUUCUGGAAAAUGUCACCGGAAUCUGGAAAUUUCGCCGGAGGUUCACCGGAGUUUGGCCGGAUGAUCACCGGUUUUUGGGAUUCUUCGUCGAAAACUGGGCAGCUCGCCGGAAACUUCAAUUUUGGUCGGAAUGUUCACCGAAAAAUUCAAACUUCGCCGGAAUCUUCGUCGGAAUCUGGAAAUUUCUCAGAAAUUUCCAGAAAAUUUUUUCGCCAAAAAUUUCUAAAAAAUUUUUCUCACUCCCAAAACACUCCUAAACUUUUCUUAGCUCUCUAUACGCCCAUAUUCUCUCAAUCAGUAGCUUUUGCUUCUGUUUUCUGUGUGUUUUCUCUGUUCCAGGGGGGUCCCUUUUAUAGGGAUUGAUCAGGAACUCCUGAUCAAUCCCAAUUCCUCCUUGGACGGGAAUUCAGUCUUUGAAUCCAACUGGACUCUUCUGAUUGAAUUCCCCUCCAGAGUGGGAUUCUUCAACUUUGAAUCUUAGCCAUCCAGAAUUAAAAUCAAAAUAAAUAAAAAAAAUACUAGAUAAUCAAAAGAUAUGAUAGUAUAAAAAUAUAAAAAAAUAAUAUCAGAUAAUUCAGAAAAAAAAUCAGAUAAAAUUAACAGAUAAUAAAAAAAAAUAACAUAAGAUAAACCCAAAAAUAUAUUACAAAAAAAAAGAUAAUAAUAAUAAUAAAUAUAUAACUAUAUACAUACAAUACAUAUAAAUCUAAUCUAAAUAAAAAAUAAAUAAACAAAGAUAUACAUAAUAAUAAUAAUAAUAAUAAAAUACAUAAAAUACAAAAGAAGAAAAAGAAAAGAAAAAAAAUACAGGAUUGAAAUGGGCCUUACCCGUUUGGGCCAGGCCCAAUUGAUCUGGGCCCGGACCCAAUUGGGUGUCUACAGCUGCCCCUCUUUGCACAUUUUCUGUGAAACAGAAAUUGCGCAAAGACGUAGACACCCAAUCAAGACUCAACUCAACAUUUUUUGAUUUUUUUUAUUUUUUUGAUUUUUUUGAUUUUUGUUUUUGAUUUUUUGAAUUUUUUUUGAUUUUUUUGAUUUUUUGUUUUUUUUUUUUUUGGUUUUUGUUUUUUUGUUUUUUUGUUUUUUGUUUUUUUUGUUUUGUUUUGUUUUUUUUUUUUUUUUGCCGAAGCUCCUCUAAACAGAGGCUCAACGACUUUUGAAAGUAAAUUGCUCCUCUAAACAGAGGCAACAGACUUUGGAAAGUAAAUUGCUCCUCUCAACAGAGGCACCACGACUUUGAAAAAAUAAAUUGCUCCUCUCAACAGAGGCACCACGACUUUUGGAAAUUAAAUUGCUCCUCUCAACAGAGGCACCACGACUUUGGAAAAAUAAAUUGCUCCUCUCAACAGAGGCACCACGACUUUUGAAAGUAAAUUGCUCCUCUCAACAGAGGCACCACGACUUUGGAAAAAUAAAUUGCUCCUCUCAACAGAGGCACCACGACUUUGAAAAGUAAAUUGCUCCUCUAAACAGAGGCAACGGAACUUUGAGAAAGUAAAUUGCUCCUCUCAACAGAGGCACCGGACUUUGGAAAGUAAAUUACUCCUUGACAAUCAUGUCCAAAGGAGUUGAAAGUUGUGUUUGAAGGGAUUUCAGGAGAUUAUGCCCAAAGGUCUUAUAAAUCAACCCUGAUACCAAAAGACAUCCUAUUUCAAGGAUUAGGAACUUACCCGACAAGCUUUUUCCUUUUUCAAUUUUGCCAAAUAUCUUCAUAUUUGUCUUCUCCAUGUGGAAUGUUGGAACACCCCUGCUUCUUGAAUUUAUACACUAUAUUCUCCUGAAAGUAGUGUAUGCUGUGCAAUGUGCAUGAAUUUCAAUGCAUGCUAUGCAAAUGUUGGCCAAUUAAUUCCUGUUCAAUGUAUGGUACUCAAGUUUCUCUAGCUCUUUUUUUCUUGGGUGUCAAGCCCUUUGAUUCCUCAAGGAUCCAAUUGCACUGCUCUUCUAAGAUCGAACCAGUGUAGCUCUCAAUUUGUCUUUUCCACUCACAUUUUUCCUUGUUCAGUUUCUCAAUACUUUGGAAUAAGCUUCAUCGAUCGAUCAUCACUUGACCAUCAUUCAAUGAAUUUCUCAGCACUAGCAAAUUUCAAAACAAGUUUCAUCCACCAUCACUGGGUCAUUGUCUCAGCAUUAACCAUUCCCAAAACAAACUCUAUCCAGUGAUUGUUCUCAUCAUUCAAUCAUAACUUGCAAGCCAUAUUGAUCAAUUCAUCACUUUUCAUCACUUGGUUGUAUCACUUUUCAAGAUUUGCCCCAUUAUAUCAUAUACCUUUUCAAAUCAUCUCCUUUAGGUUUCUACCAUUUCUUCAUCAUCUUAGAUUUUUUUUCAAAUGAAUGCAGACUCUUUUAAGCACAUAUUCAUUCAUUUAUUAUCAUUUCAAUUUUUGACAAAUACAAUGCAACCAAGCAUUUUCUCAAUUCAUUCUAGGGGUGAAACAAUAAGAGAACGCAAGGUGAGUUAUGGUAAAGAUAAUCAAUGAAGAUCUGUUUUGGUACAAAGCAAAUGAAAAAGGAAACAAAUUGGAUACAUGUCAUUGGGAUGGAUGGUAUGUCCAAAUGAUGAAUAUUCAGACAAUUCUCAACAUUAAUCUAGGAUUCUUUUUCAAAAACUCAUUCCAUUUACAGUUGAAGUCAUCUUGAGUUUAGCAAACUUUGCCCCAGUCUUUGAGGGAUCUUCAGAUGUCUUUGAUCUUCCAUUCAUGUGAGCCAUUUGACCUUGAUCUUUUUUUUUUUUACCAAAAUCACCCUUUCAGGUUUUCAUUUUGAAUCUUUUUUUUUAUUUUCUCAUUUUUUCCUUCUUUCUUUCUUUUUUUUCCUUUUUUCUUUUUUUUUUCUUUUCAUCAUCUUCUUUUUUUUCUCAUUUUUCAUCUAUUGUUGAUAUCUUUCAUACAUCCAACUUUAGAGCAAUGUAGCAUGAUUCCAUUGCUUCAUCAUGAGUAUACCUUCGCUCAACAUAUGAUCAUUCAAGUUGAGUAUUCACACUUGAUCCAAAUGGACUUUUCAAGGUUGUAACGUAGGCCAAGGUGAAGGGUCACAAAAAAAAAUGGAUAUAAUAGGCUCAAAAUAUGUAUUAAAAAAAAGGUUCAAGACCGAAGGAUCAUUUGAUAUAACUUGGCAUUUUGCCCCACAUCAUUUCACUGCUUUUUUUUUCUCACACAAAGGAUCUCAUUACUUUGCCCCAAAUCAUGUGUGGCAUUUAUUUUUCUUUUUUGCUUUUCUUUCUCUUUCCAUCUUUGAGACCUUUUGUGGUGUUUUUUUUCUUUUUCAAAAAUUACCCUCCAGUGUAGAGGGUGAUCCUUGGUUGGGGUUCUUCAAAAAAAUGAUAAGCUCAAAGGGGUAACAAUAAAUGGUUUUUCCAAUGGUAAAAGAAAGAUGGCCAUUUUUCAUCUCAAUUGUGAAUACCUUUCUUGAACAUCAUCUAUUAAACAAAGCUCAUGAACCUGUAUGAAAGAUUACAUAUCUUCAAGACAUAUCUCUCUCACCCUAUUUUUUGCUCAAAUCAUCUUCUCAUAUUAAUGUGGAUGAGUUCUCAAAAUUAAAUCCCAGAAUUACUGUUAUCAUUAUCUAAAUAUUCAUCAUCUGAAAUUUGAGAAUGGGGUUAUAAAGUUAUGAAAGGUAACAGGGCAUGGAAUAAUGAUCAAGUGAAAGAGAAAAUGUAUGAAAUGCAUUAACUUGCCCUUAUUAAGAUGAUAACAAGUGAAGUCAUAUUGCAAAAAAAAAUCUAACAUUACUUGAAAAGAAAUCUUAAAAUGACAAAAAAAACCUUCAACCCGCCUUAUCUUCAUUAAAAAUUAGCCCCCUAUAUGAUCAGGUGAAGAAAUCCCCAUUGACAUCUUGCCCCUCAAUUCAUUGUGACUCUCCAGAUCCUUUCUGUUCUUGACUUUCACUCAGGGCGCUAACAUUGGAUGUUGUUGCUUUUCUUGAUCAAAACUUACCAUUCCAUCAUUGAUCAACCGUUGCACCUUAUACUUUAAAGCAGUGCAAUUUUCAGUAGAAUGGCCAAUAAUUCCAUAGUGAUAGUCGCAGUGGGCUGUAGGAUCAUACCACUUUGGGUAUGGUGGUUUAAGCGGCUCCACAUGGCUGGGGGCAAUCAAAUGGUUAUUAUAGAGUUCUUGAUAUAACUCUGUAUAAGUCAUAGGGAUUGGAUCAAAUACAGGUUUUUCUUGAGCAGUCCGUUGUUCUCGCGAGUCACUGGCUGGGUUAGUAGGGCGGAUUUGGGUUCUUACAGGAGCUUGAAUGUUAAGGCGAUAAGUGGAUGAAUAAGAUGGUUGAGGAGCUAGCUGGUAUGGGUAGGAUGAGGCAUUAUUCACAGCGGGAUAGUAUGGAGAGUAGCCUUGGGAUGGAUAGGGUUGAUAACCCCUGAAUUGUUGUCUAUCAAAGCUCACAGCUUGAGCUUCAGCUUCUUUCUUUUCUGAUGCCUUCUUGGUUUCUCCUCCUUUCAACUUGCCAUUUUUUAUGGCACUUUCAAUAAUUUCUCCAGAGAUCACCAUGUCAGCAAAAUUUUUUGUCGCAUUCCCUAUCAUCUUUUCAUAAUAGGGAGGUUUCAAAGUGCUAACAAACAGCACUGUGGUCUCUUUUUUUGUCAGAGGAGGUUGUACCUGUGAAGCUAUAUCUCUUCAUCUCUGGGCGUACUCUUUAAAAGACUCGUUUGAUUUUUUUUCUAGAUUUUGCAAAGACAAACGAUCAGGAGCCAAAUCGAUAAUGUGUCGAUAUUUACUGAUAAAGGCAUGUGCCAUAUCGCUCCAAGAGCGAAUGUGGGCCCUAUCCAAUUGAACAUACCAUCUGGUCGCAGAGCCAGUAAGACUGUCCUGAAAAACAUGCAUCAAGAGUUUUUCAUCAUGAGCAUGAGCUGCCAUCUUCCUGCAAUACAUGGUGAUGUGGGUCUUGGGGCACUUGGUACCAUCAUAUUUUUCAAAUUUUGGUACUUUGAACUUAUAGGGAAUAACCACAUCAAGGACUAGGCAGAGCCCAGCAGCAUCUACUGACCCAUAAAAACUAAAUCCUUCCACAGCCCUUAGCCUCUGCUCUAGCAUACUAAUCUUGGAACUUUCCUCAGCUUCCACUCUCAUCUUUUCCUUCUCUUUCUCUUUUAAAUCAUCUAGAUCAGGAAUUGGUUCUGCUGCCUUUUCAGUGAAGACAGGAUUUAUAUAGCUAUUAUACUGCCCUGGAUUAAAAGCUGAUGGCAUUCCAGGAUAUGCUGGAUAUGUGAAGUGUUGUGGCGGGACCUCUUGGGCAGACUGGGCUUGAGGUGGGCCAAAACCUGGAGGGUACAAAGGGUUAGCCACAUCUUGCUGGCUUGUGUUUCCUUCAACUCUUUUUCCUUUAUUCAUGUUAUUAAGAGCCUCCAGAAUCUUGCUUAGUUCACUUUCAAUCUUUUCUUGAGCUUUUUCUAGCUUUUCAAAUCUAUGAGAACUUUCCUCUUCCAUUUGCCUUGCUCUGGAUCUUGUGUUGUAUGGAUGAGUAGGGUUUUCGCUAGAUGGAGCUAUUCUGGGACCUUGAGUACCAUACUUGUGAUUAGAAAUGUUAUGCUGUGCCUUAUGUAUGAUGCUUUGAUACACAAAUAAAAUGUACAUUUUUUUGAAUGAAAUCUAGUAUGAAAUGAAUGCAAAUGAUUGUGUUAAAACAUGAUCAUGAAAAUAAUGCAGAUGCAUACAAUCAGACAAACAACAUAGUUAGUUCCAUGGAUGAAAUGAAAGUGAUGCUGAUGCAUAAUGUUACAUAUGAUAAAAAUAAUACACAAAGUUAAGCAAUCAAAAUGAUUAGAUAAACACCCUUUUUGUGUCCUAAUUUCAGGGUAUAUCUAUCAUUGGGUAGAAAGGGCUCUAUCCUAGGUGUAGGCACUCUUAAGGUUCACUAUAUGCAGUUUUAAGGUCAGAGUCUAAAGGUCCUCAAAUUGUUCCUUACAUCCUUGUCCAUCACAGACUAGUAAGGCACCCUAAUCCUCACCCAUUACAGGCUACAAGCGAAAAAGGUUCAAUUUGAGUGGGAGUAUUUCGCUAGCCACUGCGGAGGCAUUAGACCUCACGAAAGCAAUAGGUACUUUACUCCCUCCUAGAGGGACGGAGCUCGGGUGUAGAGCUCAUGUUAUGCACAUGCACAUGAAUGACAUAAUUAACAAGUAAAUUAAACAUGAAUGAAUAAUAACACAUAUAUACAAAAGGUUCAAUUUUAUUAGGCUUUUGGAUAACACAAAUUAUUUGCUGGCCUGACUCUCAAGUCCCCAGCGGAGUCGCCAAGCUGUCAUAACGUCUAGAUCCGGGGAUCUAUCGCUAGACAUUGACUUUAGGGAGUCGCCACCAAUCUUUUUUAUCUAGGUGCGAUUGGCCACCUAAAGAAUCUGUCCUUUCAGGGAACACCUAAGUUUAAGGGUCCCUAAAAGAAUAGGUUCAGGUCUGCUAACCAGAACAGGGUUCGGGAGUUCGGUUACGUGUGAGGAAGGUUAUAGCACCCUCACAACGCCCAUCAAAAGAUGGUACCAGCUUAAAUUUGUGUUAUCCAAAAGCCUUAAAAUUUUACCAAGUAAUUAAUUAUUGGAAAUUAUUCUCAAUUGACUCUAAUACUUUUAGCAGAAAAUUGAGAAAAUUCCCUCACCUCAAGAGUAUGCAAGAAAAACUACUGUUUCACUUGCAGAGGCUCCGUCGUCGGAUUAUUUAAAGAAAAAAUCAAAAUCAAAAUAAAAAGAAAAGAAAAGAAUGAUUUUUUUGUGUAGGGAAAAUUGAUACUUUCAACUUUUCCCAAAAAUAUUUUUUGAAAUUUUUUCGAGGAAAAUUGAUACUUUCAACUUUUCCCAAAAAUUUUUUUGAAAUUUAUUUUAAGGAAAAUUGAUACUUUCAACUUUUCCCAAAAAUAUUUUUUUGAAUUUUAUUUUGAAAAUUUUUUAAGGAAAAUUGAUACUUUCAACUUUUCCUCAAAAAUUUUUUUUUAAAUUUAUUUUCAAGGAAAAUUGAUACUUUCAACUUUUCCCUAAAAAUUUUUUUUGAAAUUUAUUUUCAAGGAAAAUUGAUACUUUCAACUUUUCCCAAAAAUUUUUUUGAAAUUUAUUUUAAGGAAAAUUGAUACUUUCAACUUUUCCCUAAAAAUAUUUUUUGGAAAUUUUGAUUUUUUUAUUUAAAGAAAAUAGAAAAUAAAAAUGAAAAUAAAAAAAAUAAAAAAGUAAAACCAAAAUAAAGAAAAAAAGAAUAUUAAAUAAACCUAAUCUAAUAAAUAAAAAAUAAAAAACAAAUAAAUGAAAAUAAAAAAAAAAUCAAAAAAAAAAACCUGGAGCGGCUCGGAUCGCGGCUCGGCUCGGCUCGGCUCGGCUCAAGGAAGAAAAAACGGCUCAGGAGAGCGGCUUGGAGGCUCGGCUCGGCUCGGCUUGGAGGGGGCAGUACGCGCGGGUCAGGAAAGCGGUCGUCGGACGCUCGGGUCGGGUUCGGCAAAACGCGCGGAUCCUCUGUUACUUAAAGCCAAAACGACGUCGUUUUGGGAGGGUAUAAAAGGCACCUUCCUCGUUUUUCGGCAGAACACUCUCCCCUCUCUCUCUCUUCUUCCCUUUUUCUCUCCCUUCUCUCUAAAAACUGAAGAACACCGGUGGAAUUUUCGUCGGAUUCUGGAAAAUGUCACCGGAAUCUGGAAAUUUCGCCGGAGUUCGCCGGAGUUGGCCGGAGAUCACGGUUUCUGGGAUUCUUCGUCAAAACUGGGCAGCUCGCCGGAAACUUCAAUUUGGCCGGAAUGUUCACCGAAAAAUUCAAACUUCGCCGGAAUUUCGUCGGAAUCUGGAAAUUUCCAGAAAUUUCCAGAAAAUUUUUCGCCAAAAAUUUCUAAAAAAUUUUUCUCACUCCCAAACACUCCUAAACUUUUCUUAGCUCUCUAUACGCCCAUUUCUCUCAAUCAGUAGCUUUGCUUCUGUUUUCUGUGUGUUUUCUCUGUUCCAGGGGGUCCCUUUUAUAGGGAUUGAUCAGGAGUUCCUGAUCAAUCCCAAUUCCUCCUUGGACGGGAAUUCAGUCUUUGAAUCCAACUGGACUCUUCUGAUUGAAUUCCCCUCCAGAGUGGGAUUCUUCAACUUUGAAUCUUAGCCAUCCAGAAUUAAAAUCAAAAUAAAUAAAAAAAAUACUAGAUAAUCAAAAGAUAUGAUAGUAUAAAAAUAAAAAAAUAAUAUCAGAUAAUUCGAAAAAAAAUCAGAUAAAAUUAACAGAUAAUAAAAAAAUAACAUAAGAUAAACCAAAAAUAUAUUACAAAAAAAAAGAUAAUAAUAAUAAUAAAUAUAUAACUAUAUACAUACAAUACAUAUAAAUCAAUCUAAAUAAAAAUAAAUAAACAAAGAUAUACAUAAUAAUAAUAAUAAUAAAAUACAUAAAAUACAAAAGAAGAAAAAGAAAAGAAAAAAAAAUACAGGAUUGAAAUGGGCCUUACCCGUUUGGGCCAGGCCCAAUUGAUCUGGGCCCGGACCCAAUUGGGUGUCUACAGUAAAUAAAUAUGAAUGAAUAAUAACACAUAUAUACAACAAGGUUCAAUUUUAUUAGGCUUUUGGAUAACACAAAUUAUUUGCUGGCCUGACUCUCAAAGUCCCCAGUGGAGUCGCCAAGCUGUCAUAACGUCUAGAUCCGGGGAUCUAUCGCUAGACAUUGACUUUUAGGGAGUCGCCACCAAUCUUUUUUAUCUAGGUGCGAUUGGCCACCUAAAGAAUCUAUCCUUUCAGGGAACACCUAAGUUUAAGGGUCCCUAAAAGAAUAGGUUCAGGUCUACAAACCAGAGCAGAGUUCGGGAGUUCGGUUACGUGUGAGGAAGGUUAUAGCACCCUCACAACGCCCAUCAAAAGAUGGUACCAGCUUAAAUUUGUGUUAUCCAAAAAGCCUUAAAAUUUUACCAAGUAAUUAAUUGUUGGAAAUUAUUCUCAAUUGACUCUAAUACUUUUAGCAGAAAAUUGAAAAACUUCCCUCACCUCAAGAGUAUGCAAAAAAACUACUGUUUCACUUGCAGAGGCUCCGUCGUCGGAUUAAUUAAGGAAAAAUCAAAAUCAAAAUCAAAAUAGGAAGGAAGGAAAGAAUGAUUGUUCUUGUGUGGGGAAAAUUGAUACUUUCAACUUUUCCCCAAAAAUAUUUUUUGGAAAUUUGUUUUUAAGGAAAAUUGAUACUUUCAACUUUUCCUCAAAAAUAUUUUUUUUUGAAACUUUAUUUUUAAGGAAAAUUGAUACUUUCAACUUUUCCCUAAAAAUAUAUUUUUUUUUAAAUUUAUUUUCAAGGAAAAUUGAUACUUUCAACUUUUCCCUAAAAAUAUUUUUUUUGGAAAUUUUGAUUUUUUUAUUUAAAGAAAAUAGAAUAAUAAAAAAAAUAAAUAAAUAAUAAAAAAUAAAGAAACGUAAAACAAAAAUAAAAAUAAAACUAAGAUAAAAAGAAUAUUAAAUAAACCUAAUAUAAUAAAUAAAAAAAAACCAAUAAACAAAUAAAUGAAAAAAAAAAGAAUUCAAAGAAAGAAAAAAAAAAAACCUGGAGCGGCUCGGAUCGCGGCUCGGCUCGGCUCGGCUCAAGGAAGAAAAACGGCUCGAGGGGCGGCUUGGGGAAGCUCGGCUCUGCUUGGCUCGGAGAAGGGGCAGCACGCGUGGGUCAGGAAAGCGGGUCGACGCUCGGGUCGGGUCGGGUCACAGUAAAACGCGCGGAUCCUCUGGUUACUUAAGGCCAAAACGACGUCGUUUUGAGAGGGUAUAAAAGGCACUCUCCUCUAUUUUUUGGCAGAACGCUCCUCCCCUCUCUCUCUCUUCCUUCCCUUUUCUCUGCCUUCUCUCUAAAAGCUGAAGAACACCGGUGCCGGAUUCUGAAAAAUAUCACCGGGAUCUAGAAUUUUCACCGAAAGUGGGCCGAAAGAUCACCGGUUUCUGGGAUUUUCGUCGGAAACUGGGCAGAUUAUCGAAAACUUCAAGGUUCGUCAGAAUUGUUACCGAAAAAUUCAAAUUUCGCCGGAAUUUCGUUGGAAUCUGGAAAUUUCCCAAAAAUUUCCAGAAAAAUUUUUCGCCAAAAAUUUUUGAAAAUUUUUUCUCACUCCCAGAACACUCCUAAACUUUUCCUAGCUUCCUAUACGCCUCCUUUUCUCUCAAAUCAGUAGCUUUGCUUACUGUUUUCUCUGUGUUUUCCAUUCUGUUCCAGGAGGUGCUUUAUAUAGGGAUUGAUCAAGAGUUUCUGAUCAAUCCCAAUUCCCCUUUGGACGGGAAUUCAAUCUUUGAAUCCAGUCUGGAUUCUUCUGAUUGAAUUCCCACUCUCAGUGGGAUUCUUCAACUUUCAAUCCCAGCCCUCCAAAAUCAAAUAAAAUAAAAAGAUAGAUAAUUAGAAAAAAUAGGAAAAAAAAUCAGAUAAUAAAAAAGGAUCAGAUAAAAUUAACAGAUAAUUUAAAAAAUAAAAUAAGAUAAACCUAAAAAUAUAUUAUAAAAAAUAAUAAUAAUAAUAAUAAUAAUAAUAUAAUAAUAAUACAUAUAUAACUAUAUAAAUAAAUUACAUAUAAAUAUUAACAAAAAUAAAUAAAUCAAUCAAUCAAUAUAUACAUAUGAUAAUAAUAAAAUAAAUAAAACACAAAAGAAGAAAAGAAAAAGAAAAAAGAAAAUAAUAAUAAUACAAGAAAAAAUUGCAUCGGGCUUACCCCAUUUGGGCCAGGCCCAAUUGGUCUGGGCCUGGACCCAAUUGGGUGUCUACAAUGUGAAAAAGAUAUCAAUAAUGGGUGAAAGAAUGAAAAAAAUAAAAAAAAUAAAAAAAAGAUGAAAAAAAGAGAAAAAGAAAACUCAAAUUGAAAACUUGAAAGGAUGAUCUAGGUAGAUAAGUCUCUGAGUUGAGAGUUAAACAGAUAAUUCAAAGUUAUAGAAAAUCAAGACAUCUGAAGAUCCUCCAAAGCUGACAUAAAGUUCAAUGAGUUCAAAAUGAUCUCAAAGUCAAUAAAAUGAGUUUUUAAAAAAAAAUUUGAAAUUAAUGUUCAAAAUUAUCUGAAUAUUCACUAUUUGGAUAUAACAUUCAUCCCAAUGAUAUGCAUCCAACCUAUUUCUUUCCCCAAUUGAUUUUAUACCAGAGUCACUCCUUAUUGAUCAUCUUUUUCUCAAUUCACCUUGUGCUUUUUUAUUCUUACAUCCAUAGAAUAGAUUGAGAAAAUGUAUGAUUGUAUUGUAUUUGUCACGAUUUGAAAUAAUCAUGAAUGAAUGAAUAUGUGCUUAAAAGGUUCUUACAUUCCUUUGAAAAGAAAUCCAGGAUGAUAGAGGGUAAAAAAAAACUUGAAAAGAUGAUUCAAAAAAAGAUGAUGUAAUCAAGAAAUGAAUAUGGUAAUAGAUUGUUUGACAUAACCUGUGUAUUGUGAUCAAAUGAUACAGAUGAUAUGGGACACUAGACAAAACUUGUUUUGAAAUGGCUAGUGCUGAGAAGCCUGUGAAUGGUGAUUAAGCAAUGAAAAUAAUGUGGAUCAAUGGAUAGAAUUUAUUUUGAAAUAGCUAGUGCUAAAAAACCUAUGAGUGAUGACUAAGUGAUGAAUAUGAGGAUGAACUGGUCGACAUAAUUUGUGAGUUGUGAUUGAAUAAUAUUGCUAGUGUUGAAAGGCCUAUGAAUUGUAGUCAGGUAUCAAUGGAUAGAAACUUGUUUUGAAAUUGCUAAUGCUGAAAAAUUUAUGAAUAAUGAUCAACUGAAGAAAAUAAUGAGGAUCAAUUGACAAAUUGUUCUAAAGUGCUAAAAAGCUAAAAAUGUAAAAAGAUGAGAUGGUGGUGUCUUGAGAACCAUGGUACCACAUUUUAAUUAGAAUUUUAUGACAUGGACAUCUGCAUUACAUGCAUUGCAUUGUUGUUUGGAGAAUAUUUAAAACUUUGGUUUGGCUAUGCAUUUACAUUAUGCAGUAAAUAUUUGAAUCAUAGUUGAGAAUAUGGUAUUGUGAGAAUCUAGAUUGUUGCAUUUGCAUCAUUGAUCAUGACAUUCAGUACAUACAAAAUUUUGACUCUAGUAACAUUUGAAGCUCAUCUGAAAAAGAAAUUUUGAAUAUUUUGAUGAAGUCUUGAGUUUUCAAAUUAGAAUCUUUAAGAAAUCUUUAAAUGAGAAUCUUUGAGUCUUAAAUGAAAAUCUUUAAAAAAUCCUCAAAUAAGAAUCUUUGAGUCUUAAAUAAGAAUCUUUAAGAAAGUCUUAAAUGGAAAUCUUUAAGAUGUUUUCAAAUGAGAAUCUUUGAGUCUCAAAUGAGAAUCUUUAAGACAUUUUCAAAUGAGAAUCUUUAAGUUUUAAAUGAGAAUCUUUAAGAAAUCCUCAAAUGAAAAUCUUUGAGUCUUAAAUAAGAAUCUUUAAAAAAUCUUCAAAUGAAAAUUUUUGAGUUUUCAAAUGAGAAUCUUUGAGAUGUAAAACCCUAAAGCUCAUCAUAUGUGAAUCUUCAAACUAGAAUGAAAAAUUUUGAACUUUUAGAUGUAAAUAUCCAAAAUUCAAACGAAAAGCUUUAAACUCAAUUUUUGGAUGCGAAUAUUUAAAUUUUUAGUGAGAACCUUUGAACUUAAAUAUGAAACUCUAAGAUUUUUUGAAUGAGGACCUUUGAACUCAAAUGAAAAGUUUUGAACUUUUGGAUGUGAAUCUCCAAAAUUUGAAUGAGAAUCUUUAAAUGUUAAAUGUGAGUCUUGCAAUUUGUAAAUAUGAAUCUUGAGAUUUUUCGAAUCAAAUUCUUGUGAAGCUAAAAUUUUGAGAAUCAAAUUUCAAUGAAUUCUUGAAAAGCUGAAAGGUUCUUGCAAAUCUAAACAUUUGAUUUUCAAACUCAAAUUAUGAAUCUUUGAGUUUUCAUUACAAAUUUUAUUAGAUCUAAUCUAUGACUAUUUUGGACAUGACUAUCCGGGAGCUUUUUAUUUUUCAAAGUCAUCGAGCCUCUACUUGGGGGAGCCUUUUAUUUUUCAAAGUCAUUAAGCCUCUAUUUAAGGGAGCCCUUUAUUUUUCUAAGUUGUUGAGCCUCUAUUUAGAGAAGCUUUUAUUUUUUCAAAAGUUGUCAGCCUCUGCUUAGGGGAGUUUUAUGCCAUUCAGCAAGUUUGAGUGUCUGAUUAAAAAAAAUGUGUCGAGCUAAUUAUCUAGAUAUGAUGGGUGUCUACGUAUUUGCACAAUUCCUAUUAUACAAGAAUUGCACAAAGAAGGGCAGCUGUAGACAUCCAAUUUUGUUUGGGGUUCUUUGUCAAUUGAAAUCAAUCCAAGCUUGAUUGUAGGGAUUUUUAUUCAAAAUUUUAUUUUGUAUUUAUCAUUUUUUUUAUUUUAUGGUCUAUCUAUUGUUUAUUUUCUUUUUCUUUCUCCAUUAUUUGAUUAAUUAAAAAAAAAAAGAUGAAAGAUUGAGAUUAGGCUUGGUGAUGAUUAUUAUUAGAAAACAUAACUAGAUGCUAAUCUUUAGCUUUAGAUGCUAAUCAAAAUUGAACUGAAACUCUAUUAGCAUGGUCUUAUAAAUCAUUGCGAUACACAACAAUGGAAGAAUAGCAAUAAGGGAUCAGAGAUUAAGGAAAAUCAGGAACAGAAACAUAGAGAAAAUAUACCCAAUUUCCAGCGUGAUUCUUAGAAAACUCAUUCCUAGCAACCCAAUCUAUUAGCCUUUCCAAGCAAAAAGCAUAGACCAUCCCCAAGUUCUCACCAAACAGUUCAACCACCAAUUCUUGUUCAAGUCAGUUCUGUUACCAUCCCCAAGUCCUCACCAAACAGUCACCAUAGCUACAACCAUUAUCAACCAAAAGGCCUAAAUAUCAGGCACCAAACCGAGCCAUAAAAUACUGUCAUGUCUGAAACGAUAAACCCAAUUGUCAGCCAUAUAUAAAGAAGCAGACCACAGAACAUAAAAAGUCACGAAGCUCACCAUCCAUACCCAUCAACUAGCAACUCACCACCACUAGGUUUCGUCGAACCAUUGCCCAUCAUCAGUUAGUGCCCUAAAUAGAAUUUCAACAAAUAAACAAAGCUAAGUCAAAAACAUAAGGAGAUCAAAAAUAAAAGAGAAAAUAUGAGUAAAAAGGGAAACCCGAAAUCUCACUAGUAGUGGCGGUGCUAGGUGACAGUGGCGUGACUUCUGAAAGAUCUAAACGAUGAAGACGUGGAGCUUGGUGAAAGAAAUGGCAUACUGAAAGUUGGAGAAUAUCCAACGAUAGGAGAUGAUGGAACAAAAAAAGAACACUCGAGGCUUGAACUUUAGAUUUACGCCUUUUAGGAAUGGAUUUUCAAAAAAAAGAGCCCAUAUUCGAGACGAGAAGAGUGAGAAGCAGCAACAACGAAAUUUGACUUGAUAGGUUAUCGGACAGUGGAAAAGUACAGUGGCACCAGUGCCGAAAUCUAAAAACCUUUGAAGUUUUUAACCCAAGCUCUUCUAUUCCUAAAGAGAAAUGGAGAAAAAGCUAAGGGUAAAGAGAGAGUGUAAAGGUGAGGACUGAAGAAGAAAGGCUUACCUCUACCUUAUAUAGUGACAUAAAAAUGACGUCGUUUUGGGUAUUAGCUAAGAGCAGGAUCCGUGUGUUUUUAAGUGGGUAACUUGACCCAUAGCGACCCACACCAGCAACCUGCAUCCCUACCUUUGGCUCCAACCGAGCCGAGCCGCAAAUCAAGCCGCAAACCAAGCCACCAAGCUAAGCUACUUGAGCCACUUUCUGCCUGAAGCUGAGCCGAAUCCUCUAGCUGAGCCAUUUUGAUUUUUUUUGGUAUUUUUUAUUUAUUUUUUAUUUAUUUGUUUGUUUAUUUUUAGGAGUAUUUUUGCAUGAUUAAAUUUAAUAAAAAUUUAAAAAAAGAUAAAAAAUAAAAAAUAUUUUUGAGAAAAAGUUGAAAUUAUUAAUUUUCCUUGAAAAUAAAAUUUUCAAAAAAAUAUUUUUGAGAAAAAGUUAAAAUUUUCAAUUUUCUUUAAAAAUAAAAUUUUCAAAAAACUUUUUGAGGAAAAGUUAAAAAUAUCAAUUUUCCUUGAAAAUAAAAUUUUCAAAAACCAUUUUGAGAAAAAGUUGAAAGUAUCAAUUUUCCUUGAAAAUGAAAACCUUAAAAUGCUUUAAGAAAAAGUUAAAAGUAUCAAUUUUUCUUGUAUAAAAGCAUGAGUUUUUUUCUUAUAAAACAAAAAAAGAGAUCUAUGCCGAAAUUCAAAUCAUCAUUCCUUUUUCCUUUUGUCCUUUUUUUUCUUGGAAAGUUUUUAAUGUUAAAUAAUUCGACGAUAGAGCCUCUAUAAGAAAAACAGUAGUUUUCUUGUAUACUCUUGAGGUGAGAAAAUUUUCUUAAUUUUUUACCAAAAGUAUUGGAGUCAAUUAUGAAUAAUUUUCAAUAAUUAACUACUUGAUAAAAUUUUUAAGGCUUAAUAGAUAACACGAAAUCGAGUUUGUACCAUCUUUUGAUGGGCGUUGUUGAGGUACUAUAACUUUUCUCACACGUAUCGUACUCCUGAACUUAGUUCUAAUUUCGCAGAUAGUGAAUCUACCUUUUAAAUAUACCUAAGUCAAAUUUAGGAUUUCUUUAAAAAGGGACAGAUUAAGUUAGAUGGCCAAUCACACCUAAAUAAAAAAGAUUGGUGGUGACUCCUCAAGUCAAUGUCUAGCGAUAGGUCUAUGAAUCUAGAUGUUAUGACACUUAAAUUACUCCAAUACAUUGGUAAUAAUUUAAAAACAUUUCCUUACCUCAUGACUAUUUAAUGAGAUUAUUUGUCAUGCUUUGAAAAAGCUCCAUCAUUGUAUUCAUUUAAAUUUUAUAAGAAAAACUUUUCCUCAACACCAAAUGGGAUUUAAAACCUUAAUAUAAAAAUUUUUAUCUAUAUUCUCUAAUAUAUUGAUAUAAUUUAGAAGAAGAUUUCUCACUUAAGAAUUUACAUAGAAACUGAUAUUUGCAACACUUUUAGUAAUUAUAUUAUUGGAGAUUCAAAUUUCAAUUUUUUUUAAAAAAUCAUUUUUUAAAAAUAUCUUUCAAUAUGUCAGUAAGACUUUUUGGCAAAAUUAUCCUCAAUAUGUUGACAGGAUUUUAUGAAAAAUAUUUAUUUAUUUUUAACUUAAUUUUUGCUAAAAAUCAUAAAUUUUUUUAGUAUGUUGAUAAAACCUUAUUUUUUAGAUUUAAAAAAAAUCACAAACCCCCCAAUAUAUUGGUAAGGUUUUUAUUUUUUUAUAAUAAAAAAAAAACUUAUUUUAAAAAAAAAUUUAAUAUGUUGGUAGGAAUUUCAUAGAUUUAUUUUUCAAAAUUUAUUUUUUUCAAACCAAUAAAAUAUUCAAACAUGUUUGUAAGAUUUUGUUUUCAAUAUGUUGACUUCUUUCAAGAUCUAGAUUUUUAAUUUUUUUUUUUUUUGUUCUAGGGAGGGCAUAAUCCUUCUAAGGGGAAGGAGGAGGAGAUCUUGCUUCGAAACCAAGACCUUUAUGUUUUUAUAAAGCUUUCUUAACUACUAAACCAAGAGAUGUAGGACCAAGAUCUAGAUCUUUGUAAUAACCAAAACAACAUGUGUAAAUGGUGUUUAUUACUGGGUGGUGUUCAAGUUUCGUCAAUAUUCUAAGGUCCUUACAUUUGACUUGAUUCAAUCGAUAGAGUGGCCACCUAAUCCCGAACAUGAAUCAAUUGGGCAGCUGCUUCCAUUACCUGACGAUCGUAUCUCUUUGUGGAUUUGCAUUCUGACGUGGCCAGCAGAAGUAAUGACAUUUGGGUGUUGAACGAAGAGAGUCGAUAUUGGACCAAACUGUUAAGGAUUGGACCUCCUUCAUGCUUGCGUUUUGGAAUAAGAAUGGUAAUAAGGUAUUUGUAGAAUUUAUAAUGGACAACUGUUGAUUUACGACCUUGAUGACCAGGAAUUCAGAGAUAUUGGGAUUAAAACCAAGAAAGAUAUGGAUCUUCUUGAGGUUUACACUUACGAGGAGAGUUUUGUUGUUACCAGUAGACGAAUAGCAAGUACUACUGCAUAGAUUUUGAUUGACUUUUUUCCUACUUGCCUAUGUCACGACUUUUUAUUAUAGUUAUUCGUGCAUUUGGAUUUUCCUUUUUUUUCCUUUUAAUUUAAAAUAAUCAACUCCCAGCCAAAAGUGUUAAAUCUCAGCUGCCUUACCCCCCACGCCUUUCGGUAAAUCUCUGCAAUCAAAAAAGAAGGAAAAAGGAAACCUCACAAAGAUGUUACAUGAAAUAGAAGAUAACCCUGAUAGUCGAUAGCUUUAAUUUAGAAAAUGGAGAUAAACAUAUAAAGAAAAAUCCACCAAGGGUAAAGCAAUCGCAGACUCAGAGCCAAAUGUUCAGGUGUGCGUAUGGUCAAAUAGAGGAGAAAGCUCUCCAGGAGCAGAACAAGAACUUGACCUUCUCCGGUGUGAUUUCAAUGGCCAAUGACACUUAUGAAAGGGAAAGCAAACAUUUAAUGAGGUGUGUAACUGGGAAAUUAUCGCCUGAUUGAGUUUCAGCUGUUCUGGGUCCAUCUGGGGCUGGAAAAACGUUUCUUUCAUCUUUAACUGGAAAAGCACCAGGUCGCGUCAUGACUGGUUCGCUUCUUAUAAAUGGAAACGUUGAGCCAAUCCAAGCAUAUAAGAAAAUAAUUGGUUUUGUUCCACAAGAUCAUAUCGUUCUCGGAAACUUGAUAGUGGAGGAAAAUCUAUGGUUCAAUGCUAGAUGCAGAUAUGCUACACUUAUUUCUGUCAUGCACGACACCUUAAUUUUUUAUUCCUUUAGGGUGUUUUAAUUUUCGUUUUUUUGUUUGAUUUUCUACUUGCAACUUCGACAUUAGAAAAUAUUCUACACUAAAAAGCACUUUCUUGAUUUCCCCUGAUCACUAACAGGAUUCCUAUUUAUUUUAGACUUGCUGCUGACGUUCCAAAACCAGAAAAGGCUCUAGUUGUUGAAAGAGUCAUCGAGUCCGUGGGACUGCAGCCUGUGAGGGUUUCUCUAGUUGGGACGAUGGAGAAGAGGGGAACCUCUGGGGGUCAAAGGAAACGGGUAAAUGUAGGGCUGGAAUAGAAAAGAUCAUGGAACCUUCACUUUUGAUAUUAGAUGAACCAACAUCUGGUUUGGAUGGUUCAUCUUCCCAAUUACUACUUCGAGCUCCUAGGCGUGAAGCCCUCGUAGAAGUAAACCAGCCAAGGUGAGUUUAUUAUCACCGGAAUGUUGAAUUUUAUGAAACAUGUUUGUUUCACCGAGGAUUAAACAUAUGUAAAUAAAUAUGUAGCUGAAAAUAAUGGAUACCAAUUUUCUUUUUGUUGCACUUCAGUUAUACCUUGUUCAGGAUGUUCGAUGAUUCGAUACUUCUAGCAAAGGGUGGACUUACAGUAUAUCAUGGAUUAGUGUCGUAAGAGUAUUUUGCUGGCCUUAGAAUUAAUAUCCCCAAACGUACUAAUCCUGCAGCAGCAUCAUCCGGUGAAAAUCCAGCUCAUGGAGAAAGUGCACAUGGUCCUGGACGGAAGCACAUUCCUUUUCUGGCGACUUGUGGCAGGAUGUUAAAUGUUCUGUUUGAGAUAAAGAAGGAAGACUUAUUACAUAAUCCUCAAGUCCAUUAACUUGUCACAAAGAGUAAUGCCUGGUGUAUUUAAGCAGUAUAGAUACUACCUCGGAAGGUAGAUGUUGAAUCUUUAUUUAUAAACCGUUUUUGGAAUUACGUAGGAAUUAUAUUUCUAUCAAUGUAGAAUUCUAUUAUUUUGUUUAGUUUAAACCACAAAAUAUUAGAAGCCUAACCAUCUGUACAUGGGAGCAAUUCAACUUAAAAUAUAUUGAAAUAGCAAAUCAAUGCAAUCAUCAUUUAUAAUGUUUCGUAGAAAUUCAUUAAUAUUUUAUGUGAAAUUUACAAACUUUUAGUGAUGGGUUUUUACAUUAAUUUUUUAUUAUGAUUGGGUAAUUAUUUAAGAUUGUAUAAAAAUACUGUCUAAUUAAAUAUAAUCUCUAGUAAAAAAAAUUGUAAGUGAUAUAAUCUUCCAUAAUGUGCAACAUACAAUAGAAAAGAAUUAGUAAAGAUCAUAACUAUCUAGUUAUAAUUAUUAUAUUAAUGGCAAAAAAUGGGUUACACACAUAUUUGACCCUAAACCUUUUAUUUUCUAUUAUAUUGAUACCUAAAGAAUUAUAUUACCAUAUUGUACUUGAACUUUCAAAUUUAUUAUCACAGUUGGUAUUUUAAUUUAACGCUGUCAGUCAACCUUACUGAUGUAAUAUGAAUAUCAAACAAGAUGCUGAAAUAUGUCAAAAAUAUUUAGUCAAUGCCAGAUCAUCAAUAUCACGUCAUCUUUAAAAUAAAAAAUUUUUAAAAAUUUGAAAGUUAAAAAUUUUUAAAAAUUUCUAAACUUUUUUCAAACUUUCUAAAAAAUUCAAAAAAAAAAUCAAAUAUUAUAAGAAAUUCAAAAUUUUCUAAAAUAUUCUAAAAAAAUUUUAGCAAUCCUAACAAAUUUUCAAAAAUUCUAAGAAUUCUAAAAUAAUAUAAAAAUUUUUAGAAAAUUCCAACAAAUUCUAAAAAAUUUUAAAAAAUUUUAAAAACUUCUAAAAAUUUUUUAAAAUUUUACAAAAACUAAAAUUUCAAAAAAUUUCAAAAAAUUCAAAAAGAAUUAAGGAAACUUAAAAAUUUUUUAAAAUUUUCCAAAAUUAAAAAAAUCCAAAUAAUUGAAAGAAAAAAAAUGAUGAUUUUAAUAAAAUUUAAGAACUUGUUAAAAUUCAAAAAAAUUAACAUAAACUAAAAAAAAAAAAAAAACUAAAAUCAUAAGUUUUUUGAAAAAAUAUAUUAAUUUUUAAAAAUUUUUUAAAAAAUAUCUAAAAAAUAUAUUAUAUUUUUAUAUUUUUUAUUCUUACAAUUUCAAUUUUUUAUAUCUUUUUAAUUUAAUUUUUUUUGAAAAAUUUUUGGAUUUUUUUAAAAUUUUAAGUUUUUUUUUUUUUUUUUUAGAUUUCUUACUUUUAAAGAAUGUUUCAAAAUUUUGAAAUUAUUUAAUUUUUAAAAAAAAAAUUAAAUUUUUUAAAUUAUUUCUUUUUUCUUCAUUUUUUUAAGUUUUGUGAUUUUUUAAACUUUAAGAAAAUUUUAGUUUUAGAAAUUUUAAUUUUAUUAUUUUUUCAAAAAUUUUAAAAAAUUUUCAAAUUAUGAUAACUUUUAUAAUUUAUAAAAAUAUUUCAUAUUUUUUUAUUUUUUAUGGAUUUAAAAAUUUUAUAAAUUUUUACUUUCGUUUAAUUAGAAUUUUUUGAAUUGUUUAUAAUUUUUUUAAAAUUAUAAAGAAAUUUAAAAAUAAAUUUUUAAUUUUUAAAAUUUUUUUAAUAUUUUUAUAAUGUUUUGAAGUGAAAUAUUUUUUAUAAAUUUUAAAAAUUUUUAAAAUACUUUUUUGUAUUUUUUUUCAAAAUUAAAAAAAAAUUAGAACUAUUUAGAAUGUUUUUAAGUUUUUUAAUUUUUUUUGAAGUUUUUAAAAUUUUUUAGAAAAUUUUAAAAUAUUUAUGAUUUUUAAAACUUAAAAAAAAUUAAUAUAUUUUGAGUUUUUUUUAUUUUUUUUUUAAAUUUUCCUUUAAAGAUGAUGUGGCAUUGACUAAAUUUUUCGACACAUAUCAACAUUUUAUUGGAUGUUGAUGCCAUAUCAGCAAAGGUGACUAACAGCAUCAAUUGUAGGUUUCAACCUGAUAAUAGAACGAAAAUUUAGGUACCAAUGUAGUUGUAUAAUUCUUUAAAUACCAAUAUGACAAAAUAUAUAAAAUUUAAGGGUCAAAUAUGUAUUUAACCCAAAAGAAAUAGAUAGAGAUCAUAACUAUCUGGUUAUAAUUAUUAUAUCAAAAUUAAUUUAUUUUGUUAGCUGUAUUCAAAAUUUGAUUCCAAGGAGAAGGUAUUUUUUUUUUCUACAAGGUCCCUCAAGCCUAAUCCCAAGCGCCCUUUUGUUUAUCUGAAUAUUAAGUAAUACUUAAUUGGAUAUGGUUUGUUAUGUUUUCAAAAGUUAGUGUUCUAUUUUUUUUUUUUUUUUUAAAAAUGACUUCUAGAUGUUGUAGGAGAAAGAUUUCGCAUAGGAAAAGUUCACGAAAAGAAUACAAUGUUCAAAAAGAAAGUAGAAAUAAUCCCCUAGGGCAUAUUUGAUACAGUAAAGAGCAAUUUUUUUCAGAGUCAGGAAUGUCUAAUACUACUCAGUAUUACACAAUUUUGCGGGUCAUUUUUUAUAACCAAGCAAUAAUGUUAUAAUUAAGAUUAUAGUGAAAUAUUUAAUGUAUUAUUUAAUCUUUAAAAAUUUUUAAUGUAAUAGUUAAAUUAUAAAUUUGUUAACAAUGUAGUAUUCGAAGUACUGUUUGUCUGUCACAUAUUAUUAUUUAGAAUUAAAGAUAUAAGAGUAACAUAUUAAUUAAUAUAUUUAUAAUUCAAUUAUUACAUUAAAAAUAUUUAAAAUUUAGGUAUUAUAUUAAAUAUUUCAUUAUAUUUUAGAGUAAUUCAUGACAUUAAUCAUAUAACCAAUGUAGCCUUAUUAAAGUGGUAGUCUUUCUAUUGACUUCCUUGAGACCAAAGAAAAAAAGAACAUGUUUAAGUCAUGUUGAAUCUCUUGAUCGAGUGAAUGAAGGAAUUUGACCAUACAUAAGCACUUUGAGCAAAAAAUGAAAACUUUAAGGAAUGUGGAAAUCGAUAUACAACAUAUUAAAGGUAUGAGCGAUAAAAAUUGAUCACAAGUUAUGAAAGCAAACAUCUAUUUUAGAGAUAUAACUUAAGCAACAUGUUUGCAACUUUAACUCAUUAUUAUUGGAUUCUUAUGUGAUGUUUUUUUUUCUAAAGUUACGUCUACAACUUUGUUGUAUCCUUAACCAUUGCAUCAGAAGUUGAACAUGAAACUAGAGCAGUGUGUAAAUUCAACCUUGUGCUCACCAGAGUAGCCCAAGUUAAUUGUUGGUAUAAGGGUCCUAACAGCAAACAUUUUUGUGGAAAAUGUAGCAUAAAAGGACUUUUUUUUUUCAAACACUUCACAUUUCAUCCAUGGACAUCGAGAAUGCAACUGUAGUAAUGGUAAGAUUUCUUCCUAUUCAAGUUUCGAUUAAUAUAUAAUUAUUAGAAUGGUUUGCGUCUGUGAACUAUUGGCUUCAGACAAGCACAAUUUGCUCAAGUGAGUGUAAAGAUUAGAGUAGAUGUCCUGAUUAAUGCUUUUGGAGAAACAUAGAGUUAUGAAUUGUAAGCUGUCUGGAACAGGACGAUUAUCACUUUUACAAAUAGAUGUGGUUUUAUUAUUUCCUUGUGUAGUAUAUAAUAGAUGUUGUUUUAUUGUUUCCUAGUGUAGUAUGGAUUAGGGAUAAUGUUAAGGAUGUCAAUAGAUACGGGGAAGGUAGAGCAUUUUUCGUCCCCUAUCCAUGAACUUUUAUAUUAUAUUUAGUCUUGUAUCCAUACUGAAUGAAUAUUUCAAAUUUAUUUUUAUUUCUAUUCUUGUAAGUAUUUAAUGAGUAUGAGCAAUUCUCAUUUCGUUAUAAUUCACCAAGCUAAUUGAGUUAAGUCUAAUUACACUAAGAAAAUAUGAUAUAUUAGCUAGAAUUAUAUAUAAGAAUAUAUAUGUAGCUUCAGUAGUGUGUAGUCAAGGAAAGGUUAGAUCAAUGUUUGCAAUCUCACCCCUGCUUUUUAGAAAGGAUGUUAAUACAAUUUAUAAUUAAAUGUUUAAAUUUAGGCAAUAACAUUAGACAAAAGGUUAAAUCCAAGUCUAAUGCAAAUGAAUAAAAUUGGGAAAAAAAUAAAAAUUGGCAAAUAAUAACUUUCAUUUUUUUUCUUUCAUUGUGCAUGUUCACUUUGGGAAUUUAUUGAGUUGUUGGUUCAUUUAAGCUUAAAAUGGUGGUUCUUUUUUUAGACAAGCUUGUUAACUGACUUCCUUAUGAUUGUGAUUUGAGUGCUAUCCAUUUAGCUGCAAUACAACAAGAAGAGAAUGCAAUAGGAAGAUUAGGUCUCUUGUAACAGUAAAUACAACUAAUUCUUGUCAUAACAAUUUUGAGAUCAUUAAAUGAAAAUUUUAAAAGUUUUAAAAUCGAAAAAGUCAUCAUUAAUUUUUUUUUAUUUGAUUGAUCACCUAAAAAGUCUAUUUUUUUAUUAAAAUUUUAAAAUUAAUUAAAACUUAUUAAAAAGAUAUUUGUGUGAUUUACAAAAACAAUUUUGAAUUUGGGAGUUUGGUUACACGUAUGAAAGGAUUAACAUCCCACAAUACCUGUUUAAAAAAUGAUACUAAUUGAUCACAUGUUAUCAUUUUAUUUAAAUAAAAGUAAUAUUAAUUUUAAGAUUUAAAAUAAUCUCUUUAAUUUUUUAUUUUUUACAAAAAUCUUUUUAAAACUUUUUAUUUAACAAUAAAAGGAAUAUCUUUAAUUUUGAAAAUUUUCUUAAAUUUUCCAACAUUGAGGAGGAAUUUCUAAAAAUAUUUCUUCACUUAUGAUUUUCAUAAUAAUCCUUAAAAUUUGGCAUUAUAUCCCUUUGUAACAAUAAUUGUUGGGAUACCUUCAAAUAUCUAAGUUGAUAGGGUACCUAAAUUUAUUUUUAUUUAAAAAUAUUAGCUUUUAUUAAAAACAACUUUUCAAAAUCAUUAUCUAUUGAUUUAUAUUUUUUGACAAUGAUAAAGUGCAUGGUAUAACAUGAAUCAGGCAAAUAAUACAAACACAAAUUAAAAGAUGCAAAUUCAAACUGAAAUAUGCGAAUGAUCAAUGUUUAAUGUGUAUGUCCUAAAACAAAUUCAUUAGACACAAAAAUCAUAGAGUUGUCAUCAAUUUUUUUUAAUUAGGUGUAAUUGAUCACUUAAAUAAAUCUACCCUUUAAGGUUAUUUUAAGCUUAAUCAAGGAUUUCUAAAAGAAUUGGUUUUAGCCUUUUAAACAGAACUAGGUUCGAGAGUUUAGUUACAUGUAAUAAAGCUUAUAGUACCUCUACAAUGCCUAUAAAUUAGUAUUAAUUAAUCUUAAAUUAUCAUUAGCCUUAAUUAACAUGGUCAUAACUUAUUCUUAUUAUUUAUUAUUUUUAUUAAUUUUACUAUUUAAAUAUUGGACAUAUUUUUAAGUUUUUUUCAACACUUUGAUCGACCCCUUAAAAAUAUUCAUCACAUCAAAAGCAUUCAAAUAACACACUUUUUUCCUUGAAGAUGCUACGUUAUCAAAUUUAUUAAAUUUUUAUGGAAUUUAAUACAUAAUAAAAUUUACAAUUCAAUAAAAUACAAAUAAAAUACACAAUUCAAUAAAACAUAAUAAUAAAAUAAUCACAAUUUAAUCAAUCAUAAAAUCGUCACAAUUUGUUUCCAAUUUUAAUUUUUUUAAUUAGAAAUAAAUAAAAUUUUUCAUUUUGAAAUCAAUUUCUAAAUCCUCCAAUGUCUUUAUUAAAUUUAGAAAAAGUUCUUUCACCUAGAAAUUCUUAAGAAAAUUACAUACUAGUAACUUUCUUAGAAUUUCAUUGUUGGAUGAAAUUUUAUUUAUUCCUAAAGUAUUUAUUGAAUACUACACCAAAUAACCAGCUAUACAAAAAUUCCAAUUACCUAAUCUAACAUUUAUUUUCUUCUCAUCUUAACCCCUUUUAUUUAUUUACAAAGUAAUUGAAAAAAAUAUCUAAAAUUUUAAAAGUUAUAUAUGCAUGAAAAAAAAUAAAAAACUAAAUAAAUAAGCAAACGAAUACAAGAUAAAUAAAUAAAUAUGUAAACACAUCAAAUAAACAAAAGAAAGGGAAAGAACAAAACAAUCAGAAUGCAAAUACCAUCUAAUUGAAACUUGUUGAAAACCAUAGGUAUAAGACUAUAAUUUAUAGGGUACAUCUUGACUAAAGGACUUGACCUCAUAUCACCAUUUAACAGCCUAGGAAGUCUAGUCCAAUGCAAGAAAGAAAAAAAAGAAAACACAAGUGGCAACAUGCAUGCAAUAUAUCUUGGGUUUCAACGUGACAAGCAGGACCAGGUGUUGAUUGCAUUGGGUUUUAACAUGUUUUGCAUAAAAGAAAUUUGGAAGUAUUGAAAGAACCUGGUUAGUUAAGUCAUGAUCUUGACAAUUUUGCAUAAAAUCCUUGAGAUGAUUUUUUGAUUUCUAGUGGUUUUGGGUUGCUACUUUUCUGUUUCGGGAUUUUGGGUAUGGUAGUUGCUGUGUAUUGUGAUAGCUGGAAAUUAGGGAAGGUAAAGUCAAUCCUUUGUGUUUUUUGCUUGUAAUUGAAUUUUUUUUUCACUGCCAAUUCCUUUUCAAGAAUUUUUUUUUUGUUUUUUGUUUUAACCUGCCCUAUUUUUAUGAUGCUGAAUAUAUAAAGAACACAUCCCAAUUGUGAAAGAGUUAUCAACCAAUUUUCAAUGAUUACAAAUUAACCCAAUUUCAGCACUUUUAAUCCUUUACCAAUUCUCUUACUAAAGUCUAAGCCAAACAAAUCUCUUUUCUUUUUUUAAAAUAAUAACUUUAAACUAAAUACAAUAAAAAAUAAAAUAAAAUUCAAAGUCUAAUCUUAAAAUGUGAAUUGAUCUUGGACUAAAUGAGGUGUUUACAAUCAAUUUUAAUUACAUCAUAUAAUUGUUUAGCUUUAUCUCUUUUUAUUCUUCAUAAUCCAUUUAAAAAAUUUAAUGAUAAAAGAAAUUUUAUUUGUUUAUUUAUUUUUGUGCUGAAAUUUUUUUUUUAAUUCUCCAAUAUCUAAGUGAAAUUUAAAAAAAUUGAUUUUUUUAUUUGAGUUCUCAUAAAUACAUAUUUUUUAAAUUAAUAUAAUAUUAUUUUAUAAAAAUAGUUAUUUGAAUCUUCUCUAAUAUUUAGACAGUAUUUUCAAAAUUAUUUUUUUACUUAGAGAUAUCAUUUUAUUUUUAUUAUAAAAAAAUCUACUCUUAAAAAAAUUCAUUAUUAGAUCACAAAAUUAUUAUUAUUAUUAUAUUUAUUAAAAUUUUAUUAUUAUUUUUUUUGACAACCUCAAUAUUCCAUAUACAAACUUAUUUUCAAGAGUAUUUAAAAACAUAAAGAAAACAAAUGCACAUAAUAAUAGAGCAAAAUAAAAAAAUAUCAAAUAAGAUUUUUGGGUUUGAACCCAAAUCAACAAAAACAAAAUGGUCCAAAUCUGCUAGCCUCUUGGGUCAGGAAUUGAUGCAAGUUGGGUCGGGUUUGAUACCGAGUCGGGUUUUAAGAUACUAUAAAAGCAAAUUUUUUUAAUCCAUUUCUUUUCCCCCGCUUCACAAAAAAGACUUUCUUCUCUUCAAAAAAUGCAAAACAACCGGCCACUCCCCAGAUCCCAACGACCGGCCGCCGCGUUGCCACCGCCUACCACGGUCCGCCGCCGCUGGCAAACUUCCUUUUCAGCCCACAUUUCACCUAGAGCCUCCUUUUCACCUCCUCUUUUCAAAUCCGAGCUCAGAUUUCUCAAAAUCAGCCAUCCAAAGUAUUAGAUCUAAGCCAAAAGCCGUGGCACAAAACUCCAAAAAGAUACACCUGCGCCGCCGGAAACACCACCGUUUCUUGAUAUGUUAUUCCCUCCCCAAGAUCAACCUGUCCACCAAAAAUUGCUUCCAUAAUCUCCCUAAAACUCCCUAAACCGAGAACCCAAAUCCCCCCUCUCUCUCUCUUCGUUUCAAACUUGCUUCUUUUUUUUUUUUUUUGGUGUGGCUUCCCCACGGGGAAUGAGGUUUCUUUUCUUUUUUUUUUUUUGGUAUUUUUGUAUGUUCUUCUGGUGUUAGAAAAGAGAAGCAGGCAUUUUUUUUUUUUUUGUAUGGAUUUCGGUUUUCAAAGAACAAAAGUUCUUUUUUUGGUUGGGAUGGUAGAGGGUGGAGUAGUUUGGCUGCUGGUGUGGGGAUUGGGGGCUGUGAUGGUUUGGUAGUCAGUGGUGGCUGUGAGGCGUAGGCAGUGGGCUUCGGCUGGGGCGUCUGCUGGAGUGUUGGUGGUUGAGGGCUGUAGGUUGUUGGCGGAUGGUGGGUCGUGGAGGCAGGGGGCUGAACGAGAUUAAUUAGGUGGCUUUUGGGUGUCGGUGUGGCUAGACUUGGUAGUUUUAAGUGCUGGGAUUUUUCUUUUUUGGAGGUUUUGGGUCAAUGAUGGAGAAAGGGUAGGUUUUUUGGGUGCAGGCAGAUUAGCUCUUGGUUUUUUCUGUGAAAAUUGGCUUCCUUCCUCCCGUGUGUACGAAUCCCCCUGUGCCCAAAAAAUUUUCGGUUCUUGUAGGAUUCAAUUUCUAAAAAGAAAAAAACUUGGUAAUUGAUUUUAGUUGGAAUCAUGUUGCAGCGGCCAUUGCUGCAUUUUUGGGAGUUGUAGCAUGCUGCACUUUGGGUCCUGAAGACUUUGAUGAAUUGGUGUUAGAAACCAACAGAUAAAAUGGAAGGUAAAAAAUUCAGAGCUUAAAAUGGAGGCCACAGUUUGGGGCAGGAAAAAGUAGAUCUUGGAAAGCUGGCUCCAAGCUUUAGUCUUUUUAUUUUUUUAAUAAUUAAAGAAAUUAAACUUAAAAAUAAAUUUGGACCCUAAAAUUAAAGGUUGAAUUGUCAAAUUUUGAACUUUAAAUUUUGAUCUUAAAUUUUGGAUUUUAAGCUCAUGUCAUUUAGUUUCGAAUGGACCCAAAAUAAAUUGAAUUGGGUUUUGAUUUAUGUAAGAUAGUCAAAAAUUGAUUAAUUUAAAACAAAUCUAAAUGAAUUUAAAUCAAUUUGAAUAUUUAAAUUAAUUUAUAUCAAAUUAUUUAAAUCAAGUAUAAAAUCAAACAUGUUUAAGGAAAAUCCUUUUUUUUUUUUGGAACAUUAAUUCUAGUAAGUCUAAGGGGAGAGAAGAGAUUUGAACACUGAAUCUCAGUCCUUUAAAGCCUAAGCUAUUAAACAAAAAUACUCCUUUUGUAAUUUAUAUUAUGCGACAGAAUAUUAUAAAAUUUAUUCCAAUAAAAAAAAAAUUACUAUGAAUGGUGUUUUAAUUUAUUUGCUGACUUUCAACUGAAUCUUUUAUCAGGCAAAAACUUUAAUAAAAUUCAUUAAAAGUCAUCAUCAAAGUCAUCUAUGCAUCUGUUGGCUCGAUCAGAUUAAUCCAGCCGCAACAAAACAACAAAUGCGCAAUCUAUUUGACAUGAAAAGAAUUAUCCAUUUUGGUAUUGCCGGUGAUAUAAAUAAUUCCAUGUCCAUUGGAGAUGUUGCCAUUCCUAAGCAAGUUGCUCACAAUGGCAUUUGGGAUUUGCUCAUACUGUCAGAGAGGAUGUCACCCUAUCAAAUCACUGUGGUGGUCAGAAACCAUUAGUUGUGCACCAUCUGAUAUUGGGAACACCAAGAACUCCUUUUGCCAGUGGUCUUCCCCUUGCCAGGAUACCUUAGAUUCAACAUGGACGGCUCCGCAAAAAGAAAACUUGGUCCCGCAAGGUGUGGCGGUGUCCUCCGAAAUGAACAGGGAUUUGUCCUUGCCAUGUUUUCGGGCCUGGUUGGUUUCUGGGAUUCAAACGUUGCUGAACUUUUGGAAUUAAAAUGGCUGUAGAGGUGUUCACAGAGACAGACUGAUCUCACAAGGUGUGUCUUAUUCAAAGUUUUUAACUGGGUCUCAAACGAAUCUGUUCGACCAUGGAGACUAUAAGAUGUGUUCUUGGAGAUUGAUUCUUUAACCACAAAGCUGACAGAAAUUAAAUUGGUCAAUAUCUUUCGCGAAGCAAACGAGAUAACAGACGCACUGACAAAAUCGAGGGUGGAGUAAUAUGAUAGGUUCAUGGUCUAGUGGCAGCUUUAUUGGUGCUAAGGGGUUUCAAUUCACAAACUGACCUUUUGUAUCAGGCGCUAGUCUGUUGGGAUAAGCUAUUCCCUGCAUGUCUUUCUCAUUACUAUAUAAAUAAAACAAAACCAGAUUUAGCAAAAAAAAAAAAAAAAAAACCUAUUUUCCGUCUUUUACAAGUUUCUUGAAGAUGAUGUCAGCUGGCUAUAUUAAUCAUUUUGUUAACACAGAUGGGACCGUGGAUUCUGCUGAUGUACGGAAAGGAAAUGGAGCUAAUCUCUUAGGCGCAUUGGAUAUAGUAAACAACAAUUUAUACUAAUUUUUAUUAAAAAGUGUUCAUGUUACCUUUAACAACAUAUGAUAUAUAUUAUAAAAAUUAUUAUAAUUAAUUUAUAAAAAAUUACGAGGUAAAUCAUAUAUGAUUAAAAAAUUUAUUAAGUUUAGUUUUAAAUGCAUUAAAAAAAUAUUAAUUUUGAGUUUUAUAUAUUGAAAUAUACUUAUUUUAGUGAAAGAAUUAAAGUUAAUUAUUUUAAUAUAAGUGGUUUAAAAAAGAGUUGAUUAAUUUUUGAUAUAUUAAAAUGAUUUUAAAUAGGUAAUUAAUUAUUUUAAAAAAAAUUAAGUAGUGAAAUUAAAAAAAAAAAAUAGAAUUUCAACAUUUUAUUUGAUUUUGAACCUGUAUAUCUUUAAAUGUGAAGGUUUUAUUUAUUUGUUUUCAAGAUGGUAUUGCAUCUCGAUUUGAGUGUAUAACAUAUAUAAAUAUUUUGUCUUAUGUUAUUUGUAUAAGAUUUUUUAUAUAUUAAUAUUUUUAUUUAAAAUAUUCUCACGAAGUUAAUGGUAUUAAAACUAAACUUUUAUUUAUUUUGAUAUUUUUCUAGUUGGGUUUCAUAUGGAAGGAAAAAUGGUUUGGCUCAAUAUUUUUUGAGCCUAAGAAGGAUUUUGCGGCCCACUAGUACGCUUUGGGAUCAGAUCCGUCAAAGUGGUAAAAUUGUCAAUUCAAAAUGCCUGAUGCCUUCUAAAACCCAAACGGGACUCCGAAUUGAUAUAACAUUGUAUCUCAAGUCUGGCAGCUGUUUAGCCGAAUCCAGAGACUGCAGGACCUUAAGCAGCAGCCAUGGGUACGCCAUUUUCUUUAGCUUUUCAUAUCUAACAUUCAUGAUUUAAUAGCUAGCUAGCUCUUAUUUUCUCUAUUGUUUUUCGUUAAUGGAAGGAUUUAAGUCUGGGAUCUGUUUAUUUGUUUUUGUAGAGUGAUGGGUUUUUCUUUGCUUUAUUUUUUUUCCUUUAUUUGAUUAAAUCUAGAAACUUAUUGAAGGUUUGGUUCUGACUUAUUAUUAGUUUCUCAUCUUUUUUAUAUAUUUUAUAACUAUAUUUGCCACAUUAAAAAAUUAGAUGGUAAGCGGUAGAAAUGGGCUUUUAGUUGACUGGGAAGUCUUUUAAAAUGACAAGGGUUAUAUUUGAUUGCUUUUUUGUAAAUAUAUUUAAAUGGAUCAUUGUUUUGGCAUUUUGGGUUCUGAUUUGUGAUGAUUUUGUUUUUGCUGGGUUUUUUGGGGAAAAUAUGGGCUUACAAGUACGUGUCAGAGCUAUGGAGGACGAAGCGAUCUGAUGUGAUGAGGUUCUUGCAGAGGGUCAGGUGUUGGGAGUACCGCCAGCACCCUUCCAUUGUUCGAGUUAACCACCCAACUCGCCCUGACAAGGCUCGUCGUUUGGGUUAGAAAGCCAAGCAGGUGAGCUGAUUCAUUGUUUCUUUGACAUUGCUUUCUUCCUCUGCAUUUUUAUGGGGUUUGGUAUUUUAUCUUUUAAUUUUUGACUUAUCCUAUUUGCUUUAUUGCAGUUGUAACAUAUUUUAGUUAUAUGAUUAUCCUUUGGUCUGAAAAACUGCAUUGCAAAAAUGUUUAUGGCCGGACAUAUUGUAAAUGUGAGACGACUCAUAUGUUGCCAAUAUAGUUGAAAUAUAUGUUUUUUAAUUAUAUUUAUGAAUAAAAUAAUAAAUUAAAUGAUGUUAUGAUGGGUAACAAUAAAAUUAUUAUGAAAGGUAUAAAGAAAUUUCAACAGUAUUCAUGUAACAGUAAUACGAAAGGUAUAAAGAAAUUUUACAUAAUAUUCAUGUAACAAUAAUAGUUGUUAUAAUUAAUUAAAUUGAUUGUGUUAAAAAUUUUACAGUGAUAAAAUUUAUUGUUAUAAUUAAAAAAUUAUUGCAAAAAUAAUUUUUACAAUGACAAUAGCAAAUAUGUAAUAUAUUUUUCAAUGUUUAUAAUCGUUGUCGAAGUUAUUUAUUGAAAUGACAAAAAUCAUAAUGUUAAACGUAAUUAGCAACUAUAUAUGAUUAUGUUGCCAAAAGAUUUUUGUAUUUGAAAUUUAUGAUUGCUAAAAUAAAAUUAAAUCCGAAACAUUUAAUCAUUACAAAAUAUUUUAUGUAAUCAAAAUAAUAUUAUUACAUAAGUUUUUGUAAUCAAAUUUUAUGGCUGCUAAAAUUAAAUUUAUACAAUGUUAUUUUGUUAUUGCAAAAUUUUAUACAAUGACAUUUUAUCAUUGUGAAAAAAUGGUUUCUUUGGCAACAAUUAAAAGUCGUUGCAAUUUUUAUUUUUUUCAACAACACUAUAAGUUAUUGCGAUAAUUUUUAUUAAUGAGGUUAAUAGCAAUGAUUUGGCAACAAUAAAAAAUUAUUUCAAAAUAAUUUUAAUAACGAUAAAUAAUUAUUUAACAACGUUUUGGACUGUUGUAAUAUAUCAAUUUUCUUAUAGUGCAAACAUAAUAAAAUUAAGCACAAAUGUGAAAAAGAUUGUUCAUCAAUUCAUUAAAUAAUUAAUGGCUAAAUGAGUUAAACUAAUAAUAUAUCAAUGUUAGAUAAAAGAAGAUAAUUAAGCACUACGAAAAAAAGUUAUUUUUAUUGACACUUACAAAUGUCAGUAAAAGAUUGAAAAUGUGAUGAUAUCAUUGUUGCAGGAGUUUUUGAGUAUCGGUUAGGUGAGUGUUGGUAAAUACUUUUCGACGGUCAAAUUAUUGAUGCUAGAAUUACAGAUGUACUUGCCGAUAUGAUUUUUUUCAAUACUUUAAAUUGUUGUUAUAAAUAAACAACUUUUAAAUGUAUUUAAAGUGCUGGUUAAAGUCACAUUUUAUUUAAAUUUUUUAUAUUAUUGAAUGAGCUAUAUUGACACUUAAAAUCAUCCUCAAAAGUCUUAGUUUUUUUUUUUUAAAUAAUUUCCAUAUUUCUAAUCUUUUUAACCAAUACAAUUAAAAAAUAAUUCAUACCAAUUAAUAGAGAACACAAGUUAAAGAAAUAAAAAUCUGCUAGUCACUUUUGCAAUUUCUGGCAAAAGAACAUUUUUAGAUUCUUUGUUUCCCAAAUUUUGCUUUACUGAUUACAGAAUAAUAAUUUACUGACAUGUGCAUCACACUUGACGUAUUCAGGCAUAGUUAAAAUCAGACAGAGACCUUACAAAUUUCAUAUCAAUAAAGGAACAAUAUCAUGAUUCAUAAGUAUUAACAUCAACAAAAUUAACUAGCAAUGUCAAUGUCUACAAGCUAUUAAGAACAUCAGGUAACCAUCAAAGGCAAAUUGCAAUCUGAUACCAAUUACCAAAACUAUCAAAACAUCAAAAAAUUAUCAAAAUACCAAUUGUCAAUAAUAAUGCAAUAGCAUCAUUGUCGAAGCUUCCAUCUUUCUUUAGUUAUUUGCAAGUAGUGAUCCCAAUGAAUUCCAUGCAUCUGAAACCUACAAUAUAAUACAAUUUCUGGAUUAGUUCAAUCAUAAAGAAUACCUCAUAUUAGUGAAGUCAAGGGGCUUUUUUGUUAUUUUAGCCAAUAUUCUUCUACAAAUGAAUGGUAAGGCCGAUAAAGCUGAACAGCAAAACAAGAUGGGAUUGACAACUGCUAGGAAAAAUAAUACCACCAUGAGUGUAGGUAAUUCACUCAAUAUGCUGCCAAGAUGAGGUUUUAAAUUUUAAGCCAGAACUAUUAGUUGAAUCGUAAACUUACGGGGUGAAAUCCACCUUGGUAUAGAAAUUGGAGAGCAGCAUGACAAAAGAAACCAAACCUUUCUGCAUCAUUUCUGCAACCAUAAACACAACCUGUCCAAAAGAAUCUGCAAGCAACAAUACACCAAAGAAUUCUUAUGAUUAUAAUUUUUUUUUAACAAAGUAAAACAUUGUAAUUCUUAAAGGUGCUUUAGGAGUAUAAAAAUUACUCGUUUUCUGGCUGCAGGAAAUAAACUGAAAGGCCUUCCACUAUCCAAACCAAACUUUAAAUUCAGUGUCACCCCAAGAAUAUCCUCUUUGGUAAUGAAUAUCCUUCACCUAUAUCAUAAAACAUUCAUUUGACAGAUCUGAAAUUAUUGAAAAGACAAGUUUGAAAAACGAAAAGUGAUGAAUGAAUUGUUUAUAUCUUUUUUGAAUAUUAAGAUAUGAAUGAAUGACAACGAGAAGCUGAUUAUGUGACAAUAAACAUCUUUUAAGCAGCAUUCCCAAAAUUUUCAUCAUGUAUAGCCCAAAUAAAGAUGAAGGCAGGUAAGCCUUAUAUGAAACUUUUGUUUUCAGGAAAACCCAAUAAGAAAAGGUUAUGCGAUCAUUUAGCACCGAUAUCUUAUUAAAGAAAAAUGUACUUCAGCCACCUCAUGCAAGAUAGCUAACACCACACGCAAGCUCACAAACAGCAUGCCUAGUAAGCAAGAAUAAAAACCAGAAAAAUCCAUAAUUUAAGGAAAUUAAGGCAAUCCAGUGAAAACAAUUAAGAUGAAAAAUCUGGCUAAAGUGACAGCAAUGAAGCUUACAUGGCUGAGGUUCAAGCAGUCAUACUUUGGAAGAAUGAUGUCCGCAUUGUGGUUUAAAAUCUUGAACAGCAUGAGAGAGACUAGUAACAGCAUCACCCAGGUCUCCAACUUGCAAAGUUAUAAAAAGGAAGCAACUGAGAAAAAGAUGGAAAAUGGAAAAUUUAUCAAGAGUAAGUUGCCUUUCAGAAAUGAUUCAUAGUCACCCCUCAACAACAUACUAAGUUCAAAAUUAGUUCACACAUUAUACCCAAUCACAAAUCACAAAAAAAUAAAAAUAAAAAUAAAAUAAAAUAAAUUCAAAAUGGAAAUCAAUAAAUUAAAACCUACCUUAGAUUAGAAUUGAGAUUGAGCUUGACCGAACAAAAUCAAGAUAAGAUGUACCAAAUAAGACUCAAGCUCGAUCGAAACAAAAAAAAAUUGUUCGUCAUAUCGGUCAUUACAAAAUCAGAAUCAAAAUUAAUAGACAGAGGAAGUACCUGUUUCGAAAUGGCACUGAUGAAGAAGAUGACAAUGAUUGAGCUGAAACUAGAGAGGAAAAAAUUAGGGAUUUUAAAAAAUUAAGGAAAGAUUCAUUAGAUUUUUGUCUCAAAACUGAUUUGAAAAACAUAGAUGAAAAAACAUGAUUUGCAGAGAGUGAUUAGCUGAAAAUCGCAGAAAUGCAGAGGCUUAGCAGAGAGUGAUUCAUAUAUACCUAGCUACAAGCAGAGGAAAUCGAAAUUUCAACUUGUUUGUAGCAGAGGAAAUCGAAAAAGUUGUAGCAGAGAUUGAUAGUGUUGAUGGAGAGUGGUGAGAGCGAGAGAGGUUAAAAAAUAAAUAAAUAAGAGAAAUAUGAAAUAUGAAAUGAGAGAAAACAACUGAAAAAAAAAAUGACAGGUAAAUUCGCAUUUGUUCAGUUUUAGCAUCUAUAUCAUACUAUCUAUUCUGAAAGACUAGCAUAUAGUUCCAACUUGCAUUUUAAUAUUUUGGAUGUGAACUUUAAUGGGAUUUUGUUUUCCCGUGUACAAAUACGAUACAUCUCUCUCUUUCAGUCUCACUCAAGAGCUUCAUGCAAUCACAUUUAGAGAAGAAACACCUUGUAUGGACAUGAUUAAGUAUUUAUUCCUACUGAAUUCACAAAUGACAUGCUCCUACAUCCUCUGGAAGGGCAACUGCAAGUAACACAGAAUUUACAUGAUCAGCCUUCUUUCUUUCUUUCCUUUUUCUAUAAUUUAUAUUUUUGAAAAUCAUUCUCUAACCACAAUAAAAUGAAGAAAGAUGAACAUCGACAAACUUACACUUGCAUCUAUUAUUAUUCUAUCUCAACAUGGCAACUAAAUUUUGUUGGUAGAUAAGAUUGAAGACAAAAAUCAGAAAAAUAAAAUAAAAAAAAUAAUGCAUAUAGUUCACAAAUUAAGAACAUGUGAUAGUAGUUUGCAAACUUAAAUAAGUGUGGACAAGUAGAUGAUAAGUGACUAAUUCCACGACAUUUCAAAAACCUAAGAUGAGAAACCAUAUGAAACCAAAUCAAGUCAAAUUCAAUACUGCCUUGUAUACAUUACGGUGUUAUUAUGACUCAAAUAUAUAUAUAUAUAUAUAUAUUAUUUGGUUACUAACAAGAACAAAAGAGUUACGGAAAUAACCAUUGAAAAGAACAAAAAAUAUUGCUUUUUCUAAAGAGUAUUAUCUUAGGAAUAUUUAAUGUUAUUUGUAUGGAAAAUGUUUAAUUAGUUGUCUGAAAAAAGAAAAUAUUUUUAAUAUAUAUUUUGGAUAAUUGAAAUAUAAUAAUAUAUAAUUAAAAAGCGAUGAAGGUACCUUCAAUAUCGACACAAAAUACAUAGCUGUACUGCCAAUGGCCUGCAAGAAAAAUAUAAAGUUCAAAUUAAAAUUGUCUUGAAAGGUAGUUAGAGGCAUUCUAUGUACUUUUCAAUAAUCUUAAACUGUAUACAAACAAUUGUGUAUCUUACUUUAUUAAUCCUUCUCCAUAUUUUUCAAAAACUCUCUUUUGAUAUUGUUGAGCAUGGAAACAACAUCCUUCAUAUUGAUCCUGUUUUCAGGUAAUUCAGAUGAACAAUCCAAAGCUAACGCCAUGAUGGAUGAUAUACAAUUCACUUUAACAACAAAAUAUUCAUCCUCUUUAUGCAGUAAACUGGAGUCUGCUACAUUAAUUAUUCCAUUAGAUAGUGACAUUUUCACCCAAUGUCUCAUACUCAUUUCUCCAAUAAAAGUUUCAUCAGUGGGUCUUUUUCUUGUGAAAAUUUCCAUUAAUAGAAUACCAUAGCUAUAAACAUCACUUUUUAUAGAAAUAAUUCCUGCUGAUCCAUAUUCUGCAUUUCAAACAUAAUUGAAUAAUUAAAAAAUGUUAUAGCUUCAUAAUCAUAAAAAAUUGCUUAAUGUUAAAAUAUGGAAAAAAAAAUAAAACAUCACCUGGUGCCAUGUAGCCAAUAGUGGCAAGUGUCAUUGUUUGUUUCACAGAAUCUUCUCCCAACAAUUUGGAAAUGCCAAAAUCUCCCACAUGAGCAACCAUGUCUUUGUCUAGUAAGACAUUACUUGGUUUUAGGUCACAAUGGAUUAUAGGUGUUGGGUGUCCCAAAUGGAGGUAUUCUAAUGCUGAUGCAACAUCUAUCAUUAUGUUGAUUCUUUGUAGAAUAUCCAGGAAAUAAUUGUAAGAAUAUAACCAUUUCUCAAGGCUCCCAUUAGGCAUGAAUUCAAGCACUAAGGCCUUUGAAGUCAAUAGUAGAACAACAACUAAUGACCUUGACAAGAUUGCGGUGAAAGAUAUUGCUCAUCACUUCACAUUCAAUGUCAAAACUCCUAAAUGCUCCAUCUAUUUGCAAAUUAAAAACCUUUAUUGCAACAUUUGUCCCAUCUACAAGUAUUCCUUUGUAUACAGAGCCAAAACUUCCUGAACCAAGUAAGUUGUUUCCACUAAAUCCAUUAGUCCCUUCUAAUAGUUGAUUAUGUGAAAUUCUUCUCCAUCUCUCGAAAGGAAUUAAAUCUUCAACCAUUGCCAAAUUUGUACUCCCACGUUGCCAUUUUUUGUAGAUAAUGAUGAAGGCUACAACAAUUAGGAUUGAAGCAAAUGCUGGUAAAACAUACCUUAAACCAUGUAGAAGGGUCUUCUUGGAUUUUCGGUGGAUGUUAGCUUUGCAAGGUGAGACUUGCAGUCUAGGUGAACCACACAAUGCAUAAUUUUUCAUGAAUGAUUUAGAUGUGAAGUUCAAAAAGGACCCUCCACUUGGGAUUUCUCCUUCCAAUCUAUUGAAAGAUACAUUAAAAUAAUUUAGAUCAGAAAGUCUUUCCAAAGACUUGGGAAUGACUCCAGAGAGAUUGUUGUUAGAUAAAUCCAAGCUUUUCAAACUCAUCAAGUCACCAAAUGAUUCAGGAAUAGGACCUUGUAAUCUAUUACUAGCAAGAUUCAAAACCUGUAGAUCAUGAAGACUUCCAAUUGUGGGCGGAAUAUCACUUGAUAAUAAAUUCCUUGACAAAUUCAAAGAGAUAAGUACUUUCAAAUUUCCAAUGUCAAGUGGAAGUGAACCAUUAAGAUUGUUUGAUGAUAAGUCUACUUCUAAGAUGUCUUUAAGGCUCCAAAAAGUUAAAGGUAUUGUCGAAUGCAAUUUGUUGGAGGACAAGUGUAGAUAUCUGAGAGAAGUCAAAUCACUCAAACAUGUUGGUAAAGGUCCAUCAAGCUCAUUAGCACUCAAUGAUAAUUUGUACAAUCCCUUCAAACCACAAAGAUCAUGUGGGACGGAGCCUUGUAGCUUAUUUCCAAAAAGAUUCAAAAGUUGGAGAUUUUUUAGCCUUCCUAUUGUUGUUGGAAUAGGUCCCCUCAAUUUAUUAGAGGAAAGUUCUAACGAUAUAGCGUUGCUUAAGCUACCAAUUUCCAUGGGAAUGCUGCCUCUAAUUUUGCAAUCAUUGAAACUUAAUUGUUGAAGUGAUGUGGAAAGAUUUGAGAUCGAAGCUGGAAGGAUGCCAUUCAAUGGGUUGAAUGAUAGGUCUAAAAUUCUUAGAUACUUGCAAUUUGCCAAGGAAUUGAGAAAGCUCCACUCAUGAGUUGAAGUUUUGGUGGUCAAAUGAUUCGACCAAAGGCCCAAUUUCUUAAGGAACCUCAAAUUGCCAAGUGUAUCUGGAAUAAGGCCAAAGAAUGAGUUGUGUUCUAAUUCUAGGAUUCUGAGCUUAGAAACAUUAGAGAUAGAACCAGGAAUAUUUCCACUGAGAUUAUUGCCCCAUAAGUAAAGCACCUCAAGAUUUGAAGCAGAGCUCAUGUAUGGUAAUUUACCUAAAAAGACAAAAAAAAAUUUGCAUCUUUACAUACAAGAAAUAAAUUAAUUCUUUUGCUUUGUUGUGUUUUUCAUGAAUCUAUGAUGCAAGUUGAAGUGAAUGCAAUGCUUACAUCUACAAACGUGAGUGAGGAAGAACAUGAAACAAUUAUAAAUAUGAAACAACUUCAAGUUUUUCUUGUUUGAUGAUUUGGAAUAUAUAUAUAUAUAUAUAUAUAUAAUUUAUAAAAUUUUUUCUUAUUUAUAAUGAUUAAAAAGGCUCCAUACUUGCGUAUAAUAAAGUACUAAAGAGGAAAGAGAAAAAUAAAGAAAAAAAGAAGGUACAAGAAAGGAAGGGAGAAAAGAAAUUAUUAUAUGGUUUCUAGUAUACGCUUGAAAUGUUUUUCAUUUAUGUGAGAAUUUUAUUUUCUUUAACUUAUCUCAAUUGCUUUAAUGAUAAAAAAGAUUAAAGAAAAUUUGGAUGAUAAAAUUGUUCACGAAAGAAAAGAAAAUAAGAUAAAAAUGAAGAAAAUAAAAAAAUAAGUAUAUUUACAUUAAUUUGUUUGAGAAAAGAAAAUUCUGAAAGUGUAAAUAUUUGGAAAUAAAUUAGAAUUUUUAUCUGUGCCAUUUAGGAAAAAAGGCUCAAGAGAAAUGAUAAAAUUUCUUUCAUUUUAGACUAUAUGCAUAAUAUAAGAGAAAAAUACGAAGAUUCUCUAAAAAGAUUGUUAAAAGUACAUGUACUCUCUUUAGUUUGAAAAUCACUCUCUUACUUCCCUAAGGUUUGAUAGAACCUUACAGAGUACUUUAACAAAGGAGUUUCAUUUGAGGUUUGUUGGAGUAAUACUGUAUACAUUUUACUACUACAAUAAAAAAUUAUGAUGACAAAAAAUGUGAAACUAAUGAAAAAGAUUUUAAAAUGAUGCUUUUGAUUACACAAUUAUUAGAGGGUGAAAAGCCUUGCCUUAGUCCGAUUUAGAGGGUAAGUAAAGGUAAGUCAAAAAGCUCUUCUUGGAUACUAUGAAGGCCACACAAGAACAUUACCUUCGGAGAAAAAAAUUUGUUACACUGUUUGUUGAUGAAAUUUUUCCAGGUUGUAGUGUCUUUAAUCUCAAGCAACAAUUUGUCAGAUGUGGGAGGGUGGCUGAUUUUUACGUCUCCAAAAAUCAAAUUUCUAAAUGGUUUGCACUUGAGGUAUUCCACUCUAUAUGUUCAAAUGGCAAGGUAUGAUCAAAGAUCUCAUGUUAGUUCUAAACCCACCACUCAGUACAUUUAAAAAGGUGUUAUCUGCAUAGAAGACUUUAGAGAUGUAGGAUCUCAUGCUGAGGUUGUUAAUAUGUCUGUCAAAUCCACUCAGUUAGAGGAUAACAUUGUAUCAGAUGGUCAAAAAGAAGAGGUUUUAAAAUCACUUGACAUCCUUGAUUACAUUCCUGAAAAUUUAGAUUUGGAGAGAUAACAACGAAUUGUUGUUGGGAUAGUUAGAUAUCCUGAUACUAUAAAUGCCAUUAACCAAAUCUUCUCAUAGGACUUUGAUAAUCGUUCUGUCACUAUCAUGGGUGAGAAUAUGAAUCUUUUGACUUUGAAAGCAAAGAAAGGAUGUUAUUAUCUCUGGAACUUGGUCAGGAGUGGUCUCAAAAUUGGUUCACGUCUAUUAGACCAUGGAAGCCUAGCUAUAUAUGCCAUUCAAACCUUAUUUGGUUGAGAUUGUCAGGUAUUCCACUUCGCGCUUGGAAUUCUAAAUGUUUCUCUUCCUUUGGAAGUUUAUAGGGUGAGGUUUUUAGGCUUGAUGAUUUUACACUAACGAGAAAACGUUUAGAUGUAGGUAGAGUCCUGAUUUUAACAAAUGAUUAUAGAGCCAUUCUUGAUGAGAUUAAGGUCACUGUGGGUGAUAUUGUUUACUCCAUUAAAGUUGUUGAACAUAGAUACUUUCUUGACAUUUCCACUAGUCCUCACAGAUCAUGCAGACCUGGACAACUCAGUUUUCAUGGAUGGCGGUGAAUAUGUUUUCUCUCCUCACGGCAAAGAUUCCCCGAGUAACUCAAAAUUUGAAAAUGAUGGUAAUUUUAUUGCUUUGGAUGAAGAUAACACUGUUAUUGCAACUGCUGAUACACCUAGAGAUUCUAAAGAAGCAUAUGAUGUCGAUCUUGGAAAUGAGACAAAUUUGCAACAAUUAUGGACAUGCGGAGUUUAAUACAGGUGUUGCAAUUAAUUCUUCUUUAUAACCUCUUUUGAAUAACGAUGAAGCAGAACAAUUAAAUCUAAAUUGAAUCAUGUGGUUGAUGAGUCCAAUCUAGUGGAUCAAACAAUUGAUACUUCUACAUCUCUUAGGAUAUCAAAUGGCCCAUCAGAUACGCUUAGGGUUUCUAUUGGUGGAAAUAUCUUAACUGAUCUUCAGUCAAAUCCAGUUUCUAUUGAGCUUAUGAGCAAGAGUGAUAUAGACGCUGAGAAACUUUUCAACGUUGAAGAUAAAUUUCACCUUGUUACUAUUCGAACAGGUAAAAGAUGGAAAAAAAGUAGGGCAAAAGAUUGGAAAUACCCAAAAGCAAGUCUCGCCAGAUAAAGACACCUCUAGUUUCUAUUGUUCAAGACCACUUUCGGAUGAAGAUAUUGGUUUCGAAAUAGAGCUUUUCUAGAAGAGGCUGGGAAGAUUUGGGAAGUUGGUAAAUUAUUGGGUUUAUCUGUAAAUGAAGAAGAGGUUCUAUUAUUCAACGUAUUGCUGGUUUAGAAAGACAAGAUUGGGAGGAGGUUCAUCAAGACUGAUACAAAAGGGCUUUGUUGAUUUAAAGGUUCUAAUGAAUUUGGUCUUAUUUACAAGCUUUAUCAAUACUACAGUUAAGGAAUUUGGCAAAAGGUAUUUUUAAAGUUGUGUUUGAAGGAUGUGAUAGUAGAUAGGAGGUUAAUAUUUGGAGUUUUAACGUUUUGUUAUUUGUAUGCAUUUGGGAUAUGGAAGUGGCUAUGGUGGCUGUUAACCGGAGUAAAAAGAAUCAUCGACCAUGAAAGUUGUUUAUAUUUUCAGAAAUUGUGAUGCUUUGGAGAUCAAUUGGGGCAUCCAGUUUCAUGAAAAUUUUUUUAAAAGCUGAAUGAUAUGGUAGAUGUCAUGGCAAAGGUGGGUGGAUGGAGAGAGGUUUUUUUUUUUUUUCAAGGCAUGGUGGUGAUUUUGUUCUGUAAGGGAUAGUGGUGUUCGCUCUCAUUAUUGUUUACCGAUCAUGGUAGUGUGUGUUUUUUUUUCUUUUUUGUUUGGAUGUCAUGAUUUCUUCUUUUUAGAUGGAAGUCUUUCGAUAGCAUUGUGCUAGAUGUUUUUUUGUUGUUUCUGGUAUGGCUUUAACUAUGUUUCUUGGUAAGAUUCUUGUUUCACUUAUGAUGGUCUUUUGAUCUCUAAUAAAAAUUUGGCUUAGCAAAAACAAAAUUACAUAACUUUUGCUUUUUAUUUUGUAAAAGAACAGUUAAAUUCCCUAAUUUGACAACAAAAAAGGGUAAAAGUAGCACUUAUUUUUAUUGCAUAUAAUAAAAAAAGCAUAUAAUUUAAAAUUAUUAUAAUAUAAUCAAUUAAUUAUAAUUUAAAAUUAUGUGAAGUUUAUCAAAAUUUUAUAUGUAAUCCAUAUUUAUAAGUGAUGAUCUUUAUAUAAUAUUUUAUUAUGAUUAGAUAAUAACUGUAAUAUUAUACAGUUAAAAAAACUAUAAUUGAAAUGCUCCAAAUAAAAGUUAAAUAACUUUAGACAAAUCUAUACAUUAUAUUAAAACAAUCUUGUGAUAAAAGCAUGGUAGUAGGGGACGAAUUGAAAAUUGAAGAUAAGUGAAGAAUAUUUAUCUUUUAAUUUUAAAUGUUGAUUUUUUUUUAGGAACGGAGUACGACUAAAAAAAAUCAUUAAUACUAUAUUUUAAAACAAUGGUUUCAGUUAAUAUAUAUUUUUUAAAAUUGGUAUUUGUUAAAUAUAAUUAAUCACAGGUUUGUUCCACAAUUACCGUAUAAAUUUUACUCAUUUGUCUUAAAAGAAUGGAUUGAGUGAAAAAUAAUAUAGGCUAAGUAAACGUAUGAGCCUUAAGUUUUGUAUUACAAGAGUAGACUUAAGAUAUAAUGUUAUAGUAAUUUUAAUCUAAUUUUUAAUUUCCAUAUUUAAAUUUAUUAUUUAUAUGUAAUAUAAUAAUGCUCAAAUUAAAAUUACCUUAUCUAUUCAAUAAAAAUUUUAUAUUAUAGAAGAUUUAAAUUUAAUAUUUUAUUAUAAUAUUACACCUUGUUGAUAAAUAAUAAAAUUAUAUUAAUUUUAAUAAAAUAUUACAUGUUGUUAAUAAAUAGUAAAUUUAGAAAAUCUAGAAAAUGAACUGACCUAAUGUCAUUAGCUAAUAAUAGAAAAUUUCAAAAUGGAUCAGUUCCAAUUUAAUGAAACUUUAAAUUGGUGUUAAAAGACAAAUAUUUGAGGGAAUGAACACUAAAAGGUUUUAAAUUUGGUUUUAUUGAUGUGGAAAGACUGUUUCCUUCCUACUUCAAAUUAAAUAAUCAUUACAAUACAGGUUUUAGUUACAAUUUUUUAUGCAAUUUUUAUUUUAGAAUACACUUUUUAUAUGUACUUUUGUAUAUCAUAUUUUCAUUUCUAGAAUCUCUAUCAUUUUUCUUUUUCAUUCUUUUCUUCUUGCUAUUCAGGUUUUUUUUUUUUUUUUCAAAUUUCAAAAUUUUUAGCUUGCUUUUUAUCAUCUAUAUAUAAAAUUAAACAAAUAUACACAUACUACAUCAUCUUUUACUGUUUUCAAUAUACAGAAUAUCAAAAUACAAUAUUCACUUAAUUCCAUGCAGUGGGAAAAAAAUGGGUAGUUAACAAAUAGCUCAAAUACAUUCAUGAGAAUUUUGUAUGAUUACAGCAUAUUAACUUUUGACUAUACUUAUAGAAUCUGAAUAUUAUUGUUUUUUAUAACUUUGUUAUGAUGAAUAUCAAAUAUAUUCAUUUGAAUUUUAUUUAAUUUAUCCCUCAUCAUGAACUUUUGAAUUUCAUAAUCCUUUUAAUAUGUACUUAACAGUUUUAAUCAAUUUAAUGAUAUUUAUAUGAUUUAAUUUUUAUGAAACAUUUCACAUAUAGCCAAUGAAACUACUCCACGUAGAUACACACUAUUAAUAGAUAUAAAAGUAAUGAAAUACAUUGUUACAUUUUUUGUUAAACAAAAUAUAUAUUUUAAAUAUUUGCAGUAAAUAAAUAUAAAAAUAUUAAAUAUUAUAUUACUACUUUAAGUUGAUGUAACAAUAAAUUAAGUAAGACGGUAUUAAAUAAAUAUGGGAGUAAUUAACAAAGUACGUUAAUUUUACUUUUUGUUACAUUAUAAAACAAAUCAAGUAAUUUUACCAUAUAUAAUUGCUAUGGGAUAAUAAAUAAUAGCCAUAUUGGCAUCGUAAGUGUUGGGUACCUAACUUUUUUCCACCUUGGCGUACCUUGUAGUCUUAGGUACUGGUGUGCAUCCUAAUUAGGGGUAUCAUUCAAUCAUAAAACGUUUACUAAAAAAUUAAAAAUAUUUUCCAAAAGAUGGAAUUUCGAUUUUUAGGUUUGGUUUUCAAAUUCCUUUGAGUCUUUGUUUUGCCUUUCCCUAAUUUAAUUGGGAACAGCAUUUGAUUUAAUAAGAUAAAAGGGUUUAGAAAAUCAUUUCUCAAGCCUUUCAAUGGCAUCUCAUUUGUUUAACAGUUUUCAUAAUUUUAUGAUUAUUUGUUUUAUAAUUCCAAAGUAAACUUUUUUGAAACCAAAGUAAACAAUUUUAAACAUAAAAGCAAUGAAAUGUUUACAAUAAAAUUACCUGAUAGACUAUUGUUCGAAAGUUCAAUUCUUUUCAAAGAAGAAAUGUUGAAGAUGGCAUGUGGAAUCAAUCCAUUUAAACGCAUGAAUGGUGCAUAUAAUAUCUCCAAUGAAAUAAGAUUCCCAAUCUCCCGUGGAAUUUCACCUACAAAGGAACAACAACUUACUAUUAUAAAACUUUCCACUUUCUAAACAUUCCAAUAAUAUUGAGGUUAUUUAAAAUGCAAUAAAAGUCAAUUACACAAUAAAUUCUUAAUUUUUUCAAUGUUUAAAAUAUGAAGGAAUAAUUAAUUUUUUCAAUACCAAAAGUUUUAGUCAAAAUGAGAAAAGAACAAAAGAAAACCAAGAUAUGACUAUUUUUAUGUUGGCCAUUCUAUUAAUUUUUAUUUUUUAGUUAUUUUUUUAUACCUUUUUUCAGUAUAAAUAGUAAUAAAUAUCAAUCAAUUGAAAUCUAAAUAAUCAUAUGCAAAAGCUUACCUUCUAUAUCAUUAUAACCUAGAUAUAUCUCCUCAAGUUUGGUUAAAUUUCCUAUACUUCUUGGAAUGUGCCCAUUGAAUCGAUUAAAAGAUAAUGAUAAAUUUCGAAGAUUGUCGCAGUCACCAAUAUUUGAUGGAAGGUAACCAGAAAAUUCAUUGUAGGAUAUGUGAAGCACCUCAAGUUUGAAAAGAGAGUAACAUAUAUGAUCUGGAAUACUACCAGAGAGAUUAUUGCUAUAGAGAUAAAUUUCUUUCAAAGAAGUAAGGUUAAAGAUGGAAGACGGUAUUGGACCAAUUAGCCUCAUAUUUCUGACAGAAAAUAUCUCCAAGCUUAGAAGAUUUCCAAUUUCUGAAGGGAUCUCACCUGUGAAAAUAACAAAAACCAAGUUGUAAGAGCUCGGUCAAGUAGAUAAUUAAAUUAGAUAAUGAAACCAUUUUUUCCAAAUUUUAUGAGAUUAUUGAUUAAAUUAGUUAAUUGUAUUCUCAUUCUAAAUAUUAUCUCAAAAGAGAUUAAAUACCAAAAUUUUGAGUCAUAAUGGGGAAAACAUAAAAGAAACUUAAGUUCAUAUGGUUGAUUUUUUUUAUUUGUCUUUUACUCUCUGUUCAUUUUUGAGUAAAAUAUACCCCAAUUAUCCGUAACUUUCGUAUAAUAUUUCAUUUUCAAACACAAAACGUAAUUUACAUCCAUAACCUUCUAAAAAUGUUUCAAAUUCACAUAUUUCAUCAACCAUGAAUGAAAAAUCAAUGAUACAUGCCAUGCGACUGAAAUUUCAACUCAAAAACCAAAAUGAUUCAUUUUUUUUUGCUAUGUAACUAAAAAAUAUUUCAUUUACAGUAUUUAUUAUGGUUAAGAGUUAAAUUUAUUUUUUUAAUUUAAAAAUGGAUUAUUUCCAAAAAAAAUAUAAAUUAGUUUUCAAAAAAUACAAAAAAUUAUUUUUAUCAAAAUUUUUGUUUGUUUGAAAAAAUGGAAAGAAGGAAAUAUUAAAAAAUAAAGAAAGAAAAGGGGAAAACAAAAAAGAGAAAAAAAUAAAAGAAGGAAAAAUGAAAAAGUAGUUUGGUUAACUAAUUUAAUAAUGACAUUUAUCAGCCUAUUAAAUGUUUAUUUCAAAUUUUAAAUGUAAGUUCUAGGAAGAAAAUAGUUCAUUUAAAACUCAAUUACACAAGAAAUUCCUAAUUUCUUCAAUGUUUAAAAUAUGAAGGAAUAAUUAAUUUUUUCAAUACCAAAAGUAUGAGUCAAAAUGAGAAAAGUAUAAAAGAAAACCAAAAUAUGACUGUUUUCGUGUUGGUCAUUCUAUUAAUUUUUAUUUUUUAGUUAUUUAGUUUUAUUCUUUUUCUAAUAUAUAUAGUAAUAAAUAUCAAUCAAUUGAAAUCUAAAUAAUCAAAUGCAAAAGCUUACCUUCUACAUCAUUAUCACCUAGAUACAUCUCCUCAAGUUUGGUUAAAUUUCCUAUACUUCUUGGAAUGAAUCCAUUGAAUCGAUUAAAAGAUAAUACUAACUUUUUAAGAUUGCUGCAAGCACCAAUAUUUGAGGGAAUACUGCUAGAGACACUAUUGUUAUAGAAAGAAAUUUCUUUCAAGGAAGAAAGGUUAAAAAUGGAAGCUGGCAUUGGACCAACAAGGCUCAUAUUUGGGGCAGAAAAUAUUUCCAAGCUCAAAAGAUUUCCAAUUUCGGAAGGGAUCUCACCUGUGAACAUAACAAAAACCAAGUUGCAAGAGCUUAAUAAAUAAAUAAAUAUAUAUAUAUAUUAUGGUUAAGAGUUAAAUUUAUUUUUUUAAUUUAAAAAUGGAUUAUUUCCCAAAAAAAUACAAAAAAAUUAUUAUUUUUAUCAAAUUUGUUGUUUAUUUGAAAAAAUGGAAAAAAGGAAAUAUUACAAAAUAAAGAAAGAAAAAGGGAAAAAGAAAAAAGAGAAAAAGAAAAGAAAAGAAGGAAAAAUAAAAAAGUAGUUUGGUUAACUAAUUUAAUAGUGACAUUUAUUAGACUAUUAAAUGUUAAUUUCAAAUUUUAAAUGUAAGUUUUAGGAGGAAAAUAGUUCAUUUAAAAGUCAAUUACACAAGAAAUUCUUAAUUUUUUCAAAGUUUAAAAUAUGAAGGAAUAAUUAAUUUUUUCAAUACCAAAAGUUUUAGUCAAAAUGAGAAAAGAAUAAAAGAAAACCAAGAUAUGACUAUUUUCACGUUGGCCAUUCUAUUAAUUUUUAUUUUUUAGUUAUUUCUUUUUAUUCUUUUUUAAUAUAAAUAGUAAUAAAUAUCAAUCAAUUGAAAUAUAAAUAAUCAAAUGCAAAAGCUUACCUUCUACAUCAUUAUGACCUAGAUAUAUCUCCUCAAGUUUGGUUAAAUUUCCUAUACUUUUUGGAAUGAAUCCAUUGAACCAAUUAAAAGAUAAUGAUAACUUUUGAAGAUUGCUGCAAGUAUCAAUAUUUGAGGGAAUACUGCCAGAGACACUAUUGUUAGAGAGAUUAAUUUCUUUCAAGGAAGAAAGGUUCAGGAUGGAAGCUGGCAUUGGACCAACAAGGCUCAUAUUUGGGGCAGAAAAUAUUUCCAAGCUCAAAAGAUUUCCAAUUUCAGAAGGGAUCUCACCUGUGAAAAUAACAGAAACCGAAUUGCAAAAGCUGGGUCAAGCAGCAUGAGGCAUUUUUUUGCUUCACAUCACUAUUCAUUAUGAAAUCAUUUUCUCCUAAUUUUAUGAGAUUAUUGAUUAAAUUAGAUAAUUAAAUUCUCAUUCUAAACAUUAUCUCAAAAGAGAUUAAGUACCAAAAUUUUUAGUCAUAAUGGAGAAAACAUAAAAGAAACUUAAAAGUUCAUUUGGUUGAAUUUUUUUUAUUUGUCCUUAAUUUACUUUCUUUUCGUUUUUUAGUAAAAUAUACCAAUUAUCCAUAACUUUUGUGCAAUAUUUCAUUGUCAUCUACAAAUUUUAAAAUGUAGUUUAUAUCCAUAACCUUCUAAAAUUGUUUCAAAAUAAUAUAUUUCAUCAACCAUCAAUGAAAAAUCAAUGAAACAUGUCAUGCGACAAAUUUCAACUCAAAAUUCAAAAGGAUUCACCUUUUUAUGCCAUGUAACUAAAGAAUAUUUAAUUUACAAUAUUUUUUAUGGUUAAGAGUUAAAUUUAUUUUUUUAAUUUAAAAACUGAAUAUUUCCAAAAAUUAAAUUAAUUUUUCAAAAAAAUACAAAAAAUUAUUUUCAGCCAAGAAAUUUUACCUGAGAAAAUAACAUGAGUUUCAUGGUCACUGUUAAUAUUUAGGAGUUUUAACAUGAUAUCAAUAAUUAAAUUAAUUUUGGCACUUACUUUCCAAAUUAUAAAAGUAAUUCGUUUACAGUAAUUUCAAAUUAUCAAAUAAAGUUUAUUUUGACAAAAACUUCAAUGUUGAUAAGAAAAUAAAUAAAACUAGUCAUAUUUUAAUUUAAUAGGAAAAUAAUUACUUAUAAAUAAAGUAGCUAAUUUAAUAAAUUAUCAAAUUAUCGAAGGAAAAUAAUAAUAAAAAAAAGCUUACCUUCCAAAUUAUUUCCACCCAAGUAUAGCAUUCUGAGCCUCGUUAAAUUUCCCAUACUCCUUGGAAUGUUGCCACUGAAUCUAUUGAUACUUAACGACAAAUUUUGAAGACACCUGCAUUCAUCUAUACUAGAUGGAAUUUGACCAAAAAAGUCAUUUGAGGUCAAGUAAAGUACCUCAAGAUUGGGAAAAUGGCGACACAUAUCUUCUGGUAAGCUACCAGAUAGACUAUUGAAUGCAAGAGAAAUCAUAUGCAGGGAGGAAAUGUUAUAAAUAGCUGAAGGUACAGAGCCAGAAAGUUGAUUAAAUGCCAGACGAAGUAUCUUUAGAUUUCGAAGAUCACUUAUCUCGGGUGGAAUGUGUCCUUGAACGAGAUUGUACUUCAAAUCCAAGAUCUGCAAGUUGGACAUUUUAGCUAGUGAUUGAGGGAUUGUACCUGUCAAAUUAUUGUUCUGGAGACUCAAGUAUAAAACUUUAUUUAAUCUCCCAAACCAUGAAGGAAUUUCCCCACUAAGAAAAUUGGAACUUAAUUCGAUGAGUUUCAGACGACUUAAUUGCCCCAACUCUCUCGGCAAAUGGCCAUGGAAAUUGUUGUGACUCAAAUCAAGAGAUACUAAAAACGAGAGAUUUCCCAAUUGUGGAGGGACAGUUCCUGUAAAAUUCAUGUUGGUAAGAUUCAAAGUGUUGACUCUCCUAUGCUUAGAUGCGCAAGAGACACCAACCCAAUUGCAAACAGAAGUAUUGAUGGUCCAGUUGUUGGCUAAGAUGUUGUGAGGAUCAAUGAUUUGGUGCUUAAAUUCGAGAAGAGCAUGUUGGUCUGUGGUAAGGUUCCUCACAAUCAUGGCGUAGCAAACCAUGAAACAAUGAAUGAACACUAAAGCUAGCGAAAGAAAAUGGAAUAUUCUCAUGUUCGUGGCUGUGGAGGGAAAGCAAAUCAAUGACAUUGCAGGAUGGUUAACGAAGUUUGCUCAAAGCAAUUCUUAAAUAGGAAUCAACUCGCCAUUAUGACUGAGCCUUCAAAAGGAAAGUCCUGGGAUGGACUUGGUCUUCACAACAAAUAAAAUGAGUCAAGCUUUUGAUUUUGGGCCCUCUAUUUUUUUUUUCUCUCCUUUUACAAGCAUUGGUGAAACUAAUUUAUCUUUUCGCAUUCUUUCUUUUUCUUUUUCUGUUUCUUUCUUUUAAUUUUUUGUCUUGUACACUUUAUAAGGCCCCAUGACUCCUCGUUUUACACGAGAGAGUUGCAAAAUAGUAAGGGCUCUAUCUUUUUUUGUUAAAAAAAAAAAAAUUUAUAAUAUUCGUAAAACUUCUGAGUUAGUUAUUUUACAAAUCAAAGUAAUUUAAAUUUAAUUAGUAAAGUUACUUAAAAGUCAAAAUGAAAUAAUAAUAAAAUAUGUUAGUAAAGAUAUUAAGUUUUUUUUUAUUUAAAAAUUUAUGGUGAAGGAAAGCUUUCCUAUUUCAAAAUAAGAACAAACCGUAGACCUCAAAGAAGAUUUACACUAGAUUUACAUUUCGUCCAUCAAGAAAACUGUUGGUAGUGAGAUUCGAAUCUAAAUCUUACAAACAAAGUAUUCGAAUUAUUACUCAACCAACCUCUAUAGGCAUUUACAUUUUUAUUUUGUUUAAGAUGUAUUUAAAAAAAAAAAAAAACUAUACACUUAACUCAUCAAGUAAGUUUUUUAUUAGGUAACGUCCCUUGUUUUCAAAACAUUUUUUCUUUUUCACCCACACAAUGAAUGUGUAAAAAUCAAAUAGAAAUACAAAUAACUAAAAAAUUUAACUAUUUUUAUAAAAUAAAAUAUUACUAUAUAUGGUGUAUUUGCAUUGUGAAAUAUUUUAGUAUUCACUAAUAAUAUGUCAAGUGAAAAUUGCUUCUACAUCAUAGUACAUGAGAUUCAUUAAAAGUAAGCUUAUACAAGUUCAAACUUGAGAUCCCUGUUUUUUUUUUCUUAACCAAUAAUUAAUAUAGCCUUUAUUAUUAUUGUUUAUGCCUUUGAAAUUCUCUCAAAGUUAGUGCCUUUUUUAAUAAAAUUAGGUGGAUACCCACGAGUUAUUCCUAGUUAAAAAAUUUUUUUUGCCACCUUUAUUCAUCGUUUUUACUCCAAAAUUUACCUAAUUGAAAAAAUAAAAGAUGAAAGUUAAAAAAAAAAAAGCCAAAUGGGUUGACAUGUAAAUACAUCAAUUGAUAUCAUUUUCUCACAAAAUUUAUCUAAUAAAAAAAUAAAAAAUUUUGAAAAAAUUGAAACACAACAAAAAGAAAAAAAAGAAAAACAAAAAAUAAAAAAUAACUCAUGUAGACAUCUAAUUUGAUCUAGGCUCGGAUCAAUUGGGCCUGGUCCAAAUGGGUAAUAUGGGCUCAUUUUUCUUUUUAAUUUUAAUGUAAUUUAAUUUAAUUUAAUUUAAUUAUUUUUCAUUAUUAUUAUUAUUAUUAUUUAUCUAUUAAUAUUUUUAUUUAUUUAUUUAUCUAUUAAUAUAUUUUAUUAUUUAUCUAUUAUUUUUAUUUUUAUCUUUUUCUUGAUCAAUUUUCGGCUGGGAUUAGGAUUAGGAUAAAAAAAAUUGGAAUGAAUUUGGCCAUGAAUUUAGGGACUGGUAGAGUGGGAAUUGGAUUCAAAGUUUGAAUCCCAAUCCCAGAUGAAAUUGGGAUUGAUCAGAAACUCUUCUGAUCAAUCUCUAUAAAUAGAUGUUGAAAUAGAAUCUAAGGACACUGAAAGAAUACACAGGAAGAAAAGAAAAGCAUAAAGGUGUUUAGAAAAGUCAGAAGCAAUCUUAAGGAUUUUAGGAAUUUUUUUAAGGAAUUUUUGGUGAUGUUUUUUUCUAGGAAUUUCCAGAAAUUCUAGAUUUCGGUUGAUUUUUCUGGCAAUAUUUGAAUUUUUUGGUGACCUUUUCGACACUGGUUGAAUUUUUCAGCCAGUUACCCAGUUUUCGACAUACCAUUUCCAGAAACUGACCAACCUUCUAACGAACUUCUGACGAACAACCUAGAUUCCGACAAGAAUUUUUAGAAUUCGAUUAAAUUCAAACCAGUGUUCUUAAAGGGGAUAGAGAGAGAGAGAGAAAAUGGGAGUAGAGAGAGAGGGAGGAAGAGAAUUCUGAUGAAGAAAGGCUGAAAUUUUCCUUUUAUAGUACUAAAAAAUGAUGCCAUUUUGAGUUUAAAGAAAACCCGAGAUCCGCGUGUUUUCCAUUCAAACGACCUGACCUGCAGCGCAACCCACUUUCGACCAGUGCCUCAGCCAUCAAACCAAGUCGAGCCGAUUCUACUAGAGCCACAUUCUUGAGCCAUUUUUUUCUUCUAGCCGAGCGAUUCUAACUCCUAGCCGAGCCAAUUCAAGGUUUAUUUUAUUUUAUUUAUUAUUAUUAUUUUUUUAAUUUAGAAUUAUUUAGUAUUCUUUAAUUUUAUUUUUAUUUUUUUCUUUCUUUUCAAUAAUUUUUUUUCUAAAAAAAAUAAAAAUUUCCAAAAAAAAUAUAUUUUGAGAAAAAGUUGAAAGUAUCAAUUUUUUUAAAGAUAAAUUUUAAAAAAAUAUAUUUUUGAAGGAAAGUUGAUUGUAUCAAUUUCCUUUGAACACAAAAAAUAUUUUUUUAAGAGAAAGUUGAAAGUAUCAAUUUCUCUUAAAAAUAAAAGGUUUAAAAAAUAUAUAUUUUUAGAGAAAAGUUGAAAGUAUCAAUUUUUCUUAAAAAUAAAAUUUCUAAAAUAAAAUUUUCAAAAAGUAUUUUGAGGAAAAGUUGAAAGUAUCAAAUUUUCUCAAAAUUAGAAUUUUAAAAGUAAAAAAAAAAACAUUUUUGGGGAAAAGUUGAAAGUACCAAUUUUCCUUAAAAAUAAAAAUUAUCAAGAAAAACAUUUUAAAGAAAAGUUAAAAGUAUCAAAUUUUCUUGUACAAAAGCAAUGAGUUCUUUAUUUAAAAAAAAAAGGUAAAAAGAAAAGGAUUUUAUCAAAAAGUUGAAUCAUUAUUCCUUUUUGUUUUGUUUAUUUUAUUUCUUUCUCUUCUUUUAUUUCUUGAAUUUUUUUAAAAUGUUAAAUAAUCCGACGAUGGAGUCUUUGUAAGUGAAACAGUAGUUUUCUUGCAUACUCUUGAGGUGAAGGGAUUUUCUUAAUUUUUUGCCAAAAGUAUUGGAGUUAAUUAAGAAUAAUUUUCAAUAAUUAAUUACUUGGUAAAAUUUUUAAGGCUUAUUGGUUAACAUGAAUUUGAGCUGGUACCAUCUUUCGAUGGGCGUUAUGAGGGUGCUAUAACAUUCUUCACUCAUAACCGAACUCUCAAACUUUGUUCUGGUUAAUAGACCUGAACCUAUUUUUUUAGAGACCCUUAGUCGAGCUUAGGUGUUCCUUGAAAUGAUAGAUUCCUUAGGUGAUCAAUCGCACCUAAAUAAAAAAGAUUGGUGGUGACUUCUAAAGUCAAUGUCUAGCGAUAGAUCCUCGGAUCUAGACAUUAUAACAAUUUGACAACUCCACUGGGGACAUCUGAGAGUCAGGUCAGCAAAUAAAUUCGUGUUAUCCAAAAGCCUAAUAAAAUUGAACCUUUUGUAUAGAUUUUAUAUUCAUAUUUAUUUACUUCGUUAAUUCUGUCAUUCAUAUGCAUGUGCAUAACAUGAGUUCUAUACUCGAGCUCUGUCCCUCUAGGAAGGAGUAAAGUACCUAUUGCUUUCGUGAGGUUUAAUGCAUCCGUAGUGAUUAGCGAAAUACUCCCACUCAAAUUAAACCUUUUUUGCUUAUAACCUGUAAUGGGUGAGGAUUGGGGUACCUUACUAGUCUGUAAUAGACAAUGAUGUAAGGAACAAUUUGGGAACCUUUAGACUUUUAACCUUGAACCACAUAUAGUGAACUUUCAGAAUGCCUAACCUAUAGAUAGAGCCAUCUCCUUCCUUUUAGAAUUGACCAAAAGCAUAAGGUUCAUUCCUCUUAUUCUGGGGAUGUUUUAAUUUACUUAGUUAUUUAUUUAUUUCUCCUUAUUUGGUAUACUAACCUUUUUUUCUCAUUCUUUUGCAUUGGUUCAUGCUCAUAUCAUAAAGUUGCAUAAAGAACAUUUGCUUGAAAGAUGAUCUUCUACAAAAAGUGUUUCAUAGACUCUAUAGAAUGAUUAGUUUGCUCAUCAUCUGUAUUAGCUCCUUGUGAGCCACCCAACAAAGUAAAAGUCCAGUAAAAAAAGAUUCAACUAAAGAUGGGGGAUUGUUUACCAAUGGUCUAUGAUUCUACCCUAUCUCAAGAAAUAUCUAUCCUUUUUAAACAAAAAUAAUCUAGAAAAUUUGGUUGAUAUAUGGAAGAAGAUGAGCCCAACUAGACAAGAGAAGUUUUGCCAAAGACAUGGGCAUAUAGCACACAUUCUCGCAGUAAGUGUUGACAAUCAACUAAUUAGAGCUGCAGUAUAAUUUUGGGAUCCUGCAUACAAGUGUUUCAUCUUUAAUGAAGUUGAUAUGACGCCAACCAUUGAAGAAUAUUCGACUUUGUUGGGCUUGCACCUUAAGGCUCAUAACAAGAUAUAUGUUAAAAAACAUAAAUCAAGAUACUGUAAGGAUUUGGCCCAUCUCAUGAGGAUAGACAAAGAGAUUAUGGAUUCACAUACAAAGAAGAAACAAGAACAGGUUUACCUACCUUGAAAGUUCUUUCAUGAUUUUCUAGUGACCAUACCGAUGAAAAAUGGGGGUUAGAUGUAUUUGCCUUAGCUAUAUAUGGAAUGGUGAUAUUUCUAAAAGGUUUAGGUUAUAUUGAAAUAGCAGUUAUUGACUUCUUUGAGAGUGUGAUCAAUGGUUGUAUCCCUUUACGAUAAUAUUAGCAGAAACUGUCAGAUCUUUAAGUUCUAUCAUUAGAAUGGAGGGCAUUUUAUAGGCUGCAUACAGUUAUUGUACUUAUAGAUGAAAAGCCAUUUCGAGUGGAGAAAAUGUGCUUUCUCAAAGCUUUAUGUCCAUAAUCAAGCUCUAAUUAAGGAAUUCUAUGAAAGUGGGUGGUCAGAAUAAAAGUCUAAAAAGGAGUGGAUAGCUUUCCUACAAAAACUGACAAGUGCCGAAAUAAGAUGGUUGGUCCCGUGGAUGAAUCGAAAACCUAUGCUAUAUCAGUGCGAAAAUAACACUGUCAUCCCAUUUUUAGGUUUAUAGGGAGUAACAAGUUAUGCGUCACUUCUAGUAAGAAGACAGUUUAGGGCAGAACAGUUCAUUCCUAUGCAGUAUGGGCUUCAUCAAUCGAAUUUUUCUUACAGUGAGCUAAAAGUAUUUCAGAAGAUGAAUGAGAUGGUUAAAACAUGAAAAAAUCCUCAUAGAGUGAGUCUUGGACCAUUCACUGAUAAGGUAUUCGCUUAUGAAAGCUUAUGAAAAAUGGUAUUCACUUAUAAAAGCUUCCAAUCACCAAUAAAAGAAAAGUUUGAAGAGACACCAUUAGAAUUAGAGCUUGCGACAAAAUAAUUUGAGUCUAAAAAAGAUAAGUUAAAGUAAAAAAUCCAAAAGCUUCGAAGGAGAAGGAUCAAUGGAAAGAUAAAGUUGAAAAGCAUGAAGUCAAAGUUUGUAAGAUUGUUAGGGAACAUGACACAGCUAUCAAAGACUUAUCAGAGUUACACCAUGAACAUAAGAGGUUGUGUGUGAGGGUACAAGCCAAAGAGAUAACAAUUGAUGAGCUGACUAAAGAGAAUGUGUGAGAGAAACAAGAAUAUGCUGAAUUGGUAGAAGAAAGUACCUAAGUACAGAUAGAGAAUAACAUGUUGAAUAGCUACCUAAGCAGGUUGAGACAAAAGUUGAAUGAAUAAGAAGACUAUAUCGUUGCAUUGGUCAGAGGCAUAGAGAGUUAUCGUACCAAAUUUAGUGUGACAAAAGAGAAAACUUAUGAAGACAGAAGUACAUUGAGCACUUAAUGACCCAAAUUUGCUAUGGGGUAUAUAAGGUAAGAGAGAUGGUAGAAGAGGCAGAGGCAUUAAAGUAGGUGGUGGCCCAAGUAGGAGAACAUGGGCAGCGUCUCCUUAAACUUUAUCGAGAAAGCCAGAGCCCAGUAUGAGCAGAUCAAACGAUUUUAUGGUUAUAACUCUAGUAUGAUAAACUCUAUGUUAACAAAAGUUUUUUAGAAUAAAUGAAAUCUUUUGGUUGAGCACUGUCCUAAGGCAAAUGUUCUUUGCAUACAUGCAUUUUCAUUCAUUACAUCCUCAUUCAUUACAUUUAAUAAAGUAACCAUGAGAUAGUCAUAUAAACUCACUAAUUUUAAAAUAUGAUAUUCAAGGUUCAAGGAUAGCUCCAUCUAGCAAAAACCCACCCACUGAUAUAACACAAAAGCCAGAGCCAGACAAAAUGGAGUAAAAAAUUCUCAUCAAUUUGAAAAAUUAGAAAAAGCACAGGAAAAGAUUGAGAAUGAGUUGAGCAAGAUUUUGGAUGCUCUCAACAAGCUAAACAAGGGAAAAAGUACAGAAAAAAAUACAAGCCAACAAGGCCUCUCACAUAAAAAGUGACCGACCCUUUAUAUCUUUCAGGUUUUGGUCUACAAUUAGCUAAGUCCACACAGGAUAUACCACCACAGUAGUUCACAUAUCUUGUAUACUCUGAAAUGCCAUUAGUUUUAAACCCAGGGCAUUAUUAUAGCUAUAUAAAUCUUGUCUUUACUGAAAAGACAGUAGAAUCGAUCUAAGUUCUUGAUCUCGAUGACUUGAAAGAGAAGAAGAAAAAAAAGGCAAAGGUGGUGGAAUCUCAGGAAGAUUCGAAGAUUAGUAUGCUUGAACAAAAGUUAUGAGCUAUAGAAGGAAUUGAGUUUUAUGGUUCUGUCGAUGCUGCUGGGCUUUGCUUAGUCCUGGAUGUAGUCAUUCCACCAAAGUUUAAAGUACCAAAAUUUGAGAAAUAUGAUGGUACGAAGUGUCCAAAAGUUUAUAUCACUAUGUACUAUCAAAAAAUGGUAGCCCAUGCUCAUAAUGAAAAGCUACUAAUGCAUGUCUUCCAAGAUAGCCUUAUUGGCUCCACUGCUUGGUGGUAUGUCCAGUUAGACAGAACCCGCAUCCAUUCUUAGAGCGAUAUGGCUCAUGAUUUUAUUAGUCAAUAUCGGCAUAUUAUGGACUUAGCUCCCGAUCAUUUAUCUUUACGGAACAUGAAAAAAAAGGUAAAUGAGUUUUUUAAGGAAUAUGCCCAGAAAUGGAGAAAUAUAGCUUUUUAGGUGCAACCUCCUCUGACUGAGAAAGAGACUACAGUGUUAUUUGUCAGCACUUUAAAAUCUCUCUAUUAUGAAAAAAUGAUAGGGAAUGUAACCAAAAAUUUCACUGACAUGGUGAUUUCAAAAGAAAUUAUUGAAAGUGCCAUCAAGAAUGACAAGUUAGAAGAAGGUGAAGCAUCCAACAAAAGAACCCUAAAGAAGAAAGAGACUAAAGCUCAAGCUGUGAACUUUGAUAGAUAAUAAUUCAGAGGCUAUCAACUCUACUCACCACUAGGAUACCUUCUAUAUUACCCUUCUAUGAAUAACACUUCCCCUUACCCAUACCAACCAAUCCCACAAUUCUCUUAUCCCCAAACAUAUCAACCCUCUUUUAGGCCUCAAAAUACUACGUAUAGUCCUAACACUCAACCUACCUCAAGACUUCAGACCCGUCUAACUAGCCCAAUGGAUGGUUCACGGGAGCAACGAAUUACUCGCGAAAAGUCUGUAUUUGACUCAAUUCUCAUGACUUAUAUAGAAUUAUAUCGUGAGCUUUACAAUAGUCAUCUAAUUGCUCCUAGCAAAUUAGAGCCACUCAAGUCGCCUUACCCUAAGUGGUAUGAUUCCACAGCCUAUUAUGACUAUCACUAUAGGAUUGCUAGUCAUUUCACUAAAAGUUACACUGCUUUGAAACACAAAGUGCAACGGCUAAUCAAGGAUUGAAUGAUUAGCUUUAAUAUAAGAAGGGUAACUGCACCAAAUGUUAGUGGCAAUCCUUUGCCUAAUCAUAAUGUAAAUGCCCUAAAUAACGAACAAAAGUGUCAUGUGAAAAGAAAAGUUACAAAUAUUAAGACUCUUCUCAGUCAGCUAUUUGAUGUUUUGUGGAAAGCUAACAUGAUACAACCAAUGAGUCUGUAAAGCUAUCAUGGAGCAUAUGUAACAGGCACUAGUUGUAAAUAUCAUAAUGGGGUAAUUGGUCACCCUAUUGAAACUUGUGAGCAGUUUCACUAAGAGGUACAAAAGCUUUUGGAUUCAUACCAACUGGAAGUCUAUAAAGAGAGAGAAGUUUUAAAGAGUGUUGAAGUAUCCAUGACUGACAAGCCUGUCAAAUUAUUUCCAAAGUUGGUAUCAAUUUAUUGUGGAAACAAGCCAAAAUCAGUCAUAGACACACUCAUUCCUAAGUCGGUAACUUUUAAAGUCUCAGCUUUAUUCCCAUAUAAAGAUGAUAAAGCUGUAUCCUGAAAAUAUAGCUGUGAUACAAUAGUUCAAGGGUAAGAGAAGAAUGUCUCUAAGACUGAUGCCUCUAACAUAACAGAUGUAUGAGGCAUCACCCGAAGUGGAAGAUGCUAUACUCCAAAAAUGCUGGAGAAGGCUAAGAAAGAAAAGGCCAAGAUAGGUGAAGAGCGAAAUAAUCUCGAAGUGGAACUUAAGGAGGAUCGUCCAAAAGCCAAUGUCAGAAAAAAGAGGCAUGUGAAUUUUUAAAGUUGGUAAAACAUAGUGAAUAUUCAGUUGUUGAACAGUUGAACAAAAUGCCAGCUAGAAACUCAUUAUUAUCAUUGUUGUUAAACUCAGAACCACAUCAAAAUGCCUUACUGAAAGUGUUGAACCAGGCAUAUGUGGCACAUAAUGUAUCUAUUGAAUAUGUGAACCACUUAGCUGGAAUCUAAUCAUGCCAAAUUAUAUUGUAUUCAGUGAUGAUGAGAUUUUCUCAGAAGGAAGGGGAAGUGCCAAGGCUCUGCAUAUCACAGUCAAGUCAAAAGCCAUAUUAUGGCUAAAAUUCUUAUUGAUAAUGGCUCCACUAUCAAUGUCCUACCUAUGUCAACUUUGGCAAGGCUACCUAUCGAUUACUCUCAUAUGAAGGACAAUCAAAUGGUCGUGUGAGCUUUUGAUGAGACCAGAAGGGAAGUCUUGAGAGAUAUCAAAAUACCUUUGUAAAUUAGGCCAUGCACUUUUAAUGUGAAGUUUAAAGUGAUAGAUAUCUCUCCAUCUUAUAGCUGUUUGCUAGGAAGGCCAUGGAUUCACAUGACAGGUGCUGUGCCCUCUACCUUACACCAAAAGAUCAAGUUUAAUAUAAAAGGUCGAUUGGUAAUGGUAUUUGGGGAAGAAGAUAUACUAGUGACUCAGCCAUUGAAUGCUUAAUAUGUGGAAGCUGCUGAGGAAACAAUUGAAUGCUUUUAUUGAUCUUUCAAGUUAGUCAAUUCUGUGGGUGAAAAAUUUAAAAAUCAACCCUUUUUAAAUGUAGUAAUGAGCUAAGUCAUCAAUAAGAGUUGGUAUCCAUGAGUAGGGCUAGGCAAGAACUUACAGGGAAUAAGAGAGCCCCCAACAGUGGUGGAUAAUAGUGAAAGGCUCGACUUAGGCUAUAGAGCAACAAAAUGGGAAAUCUGGAGAAGACCAGUAGGUAAAACAAUAAGAUUAAUGAUCAUCCCACAUUUAUACGAGACUUUCAGGCCUAGAGGAUUUAUGUACCCAAAUAAAAAAGAAUAAUAUGAAUAAAGCAUCGAAUAGGCAUUCGCCCAGUUGACUAUCCAUGCUAUUGAAGAUGAAAUGGGGCUUGAACAAAAAGGGUGGGUCCAUCCUUGUCUGCCAAAUUAUGAGUUGAACAAUUGGAAUACCAUUAAAAUGCCUUUUAAUCUUGAGAUCAAUCCAAUGUAAUUAUACAUCCCAAUAGCUAUUGCCCAAGGUAUUGAGAUGAUCUUUCUUGUUUGAGCCAUUUAUCUUUUAUUAUUUUAAUAAAAAUUAGGAAAGAUGCAUUUUUAUUCAUUUCUUCUUGUACUUUCAUUUUUGCUAAACACAUAUUGCCAAUAUAUCCUAUUUCAUUCGAUUUCAAGUCUUUAAAUGAACAAGAAGAUAAUUAUGAUAACAAUCAAGAGGUUAAUUUUGAGAAUUCAAUUAAUACUAAUGAACUUAACAAUGAAGAUGAUUUUGAAGAGUAUGUUAUACUUCCAGACCUAAUGAGAUUGAUUGAAUAAGAAAAUAAGUCAAUUGAGCUUCAUCAGGAGAUAACUGACUUAGUAAAUCUAGGAGAUGAGAAGAAUAAGAAAGAGGUCAGAAUCAAAACUUCACUUUCAUCGAGGGAUAGCCAAUGUUUGGAAGAUCUACUUUGAGAAUUCAUAGAUGUAUUUGCUUGGUCUUACCGAGAUAUGUCAGGACUAAAUACGGAGAUAGUAGAGCACUGAUUAUCUCUGAAGUCAGAAUGUAAGCCAGUCUAAUAGAAACUGAGAUGAAUGAAGUCUAAAAUGCUACUAAAGAUCAAAGAAGAGGUGAAGAAGUAGUUUGAUACAGGUUUCUUGCAAAUGGUUAAGUAUCCAGAAUGGGUAGCCAAUAUAGUACUAGUUUUUAAGAAGGAUGAAAAGGUACAAAUGUGUGUAGACUAUCAUGAUUUGAAUAGGGCUAGCCCAAAGGAUAACUUUUUUUUGUCUUAUAUUGACACACUGGUAGAUAACACGGUAAAGCAUUCAAUCUUUUCCUUUAUGGAUGGGUUUUCAAGAUAUAAUCAGAUAAAAAUGACUGUAGAUGAUACGAAAAAGACCAUUUUCGUGACCAUGUGGAAAACUUUUUACUACAAGGUUAUGCCUUUUGGGUUAAAAAAUACUAGGGUAACGUACCAUAGAGCUAUGGUGAUGCUGUUUCAUGACAUGAUACACAAAGAAAUUAAGGUAUAUGUAGACGAUAUGAUUACAAAAUCUCAAAAGGACGAAGAUCAUAUCACCAACCUCAAAAAUCUAUUUGAAAGAUUGAGGAAAUUCCAACUUAAGUUGAACCCAGCUAAGUGCACCUUCGAGGUAAAGUCAGGGAAGUUGCUAGGCUUUAUGGUUAGUGAAAGAAGAAUUAAAGUUGAUCCAAACAAAAUACGGGUCAUUCAAAGAUUGUCGCCUUUAAGUAUACUAAAAAAAGUUUAAGGUUUUCUAAGAAGGUUAAACUUCAUUUUACGGUUCAUAUCUCAGCUUACUUAUAAAUGUGAUCUCGCUUUUAAACUUUUUCGCAAGUAUAAUCCUAGAGAAUGGAACGAGGAAUGCCAUGUGACUUUUGAUAAAAUUAAGUAAUACUUGUCAAAUCCUCCAGUAUUGAUGCCACAUGUUUCAAGAAAACCCUUAAUUUGAUACCUGACAGUGUAUAAAAAUUUAAUAGGAUGUGUACUGAGGCAACAAGACGAAUAUGAUCAAAAAGAGAGAGCUAUUUAUUUUUUGAGUAAAAAAUUCAUAGAAUAUGAGUCCAAGUAUUCUUUUUUUAAAAAAAUGUGUUGUGCAUUAGCUUGGACUACUAAAAGACUCAGACAAUACAUGCUCUAUCACAUUACUUGGCUUAUAGCAAAACUGGGUCCAAUUAAAUACAUCUUUGAGAAGCUUUCUUUGUCUGAAAGAAUUGCUAGGUGGCAAGUGAUGCUCUCAGAAUAUGAUAUCAUAUAUGUAAGCCAAAAAGCAAUAAAAGGGAGUGCAAUAGCUGAGUUUCUUAUAGAUCAUGCUACUAAAAAUUAUGAACCAAUUAGAUUGGAUUUUUUUUAUGAAGACCUGAUGACUGUUUACCAAUUAGAAAAUGAGAAACAUGAAGAAAAGUGUUGGAAGAUGUAUUUCGAUGAAGUUGCUAAUGCCUUGGGACAUGAAAUUGGGGCAAUUUUACUCUCUCCAAAAGAACAAUACUAUUCUAUAACAGCGAGAUUAAAUUUCAAUUGCAUAAAUAAUAUCACUGAAUAUAGGGCAUGUGUCAUGGGUUUACAAGAUGCUAUAGAUAAAAAAGUUAAAGCAUUAAAAGUGUUUGAGGACUCAGCUUUAGUUAUAUAUCAAUUGAAAGGAGAAUGGGAGAUGAGAGAUUCAAAACUCGUUCCAUAUCACAAGUAUAUUUUAGAGUUGAUAAAAUAGUUUGAAGAUGUUCAGUUUGAUCAUUUACCUCGAGAGAAGAAUUUGAUAAUUGAUACCUUGGCUACUCUGGCUGUAAUGAUUCGAAUUAGUGAUAAUACCGAUAUUUAGCCUAUCAAGUUAGAUGUUAAAGUUAUGCCAGCUCACUACUCUAAUAUAAAAGAUAAGAAAGAUGGGAAGCCUUUGUAUUAUGAUAUCUUGUAGUAAAUUAAGAACCAGUAAUACCAAGUCCAAGCAACGAAGAAUGAUAAAAGGGUCAUUCGAAUAUUAGCUAUGAACUUUUUCCUGGAUGGGGAUGUUCUGUACAAAAAGAGCCAUGAUCAAGUAUUGCUGAGAUGUGUAAGUAAAGUUAAGGUAAAGAAAAUUAUUGAAGAGGUGCAUGAUGGAAUAUGUGGGACACAUGCCAAUAGACACAUGAUGGUAAGACAAAUCAUGAGAGCAUGGUACUAUUAGUUGACAAUGAAGAGUGAUUGCAUUGACUAUGCUCGUAAAUGUCAUAAAUGCUAGAUCUAUGCUGACAAGAUCCAUGCUCCGCCAUCUGCUCUACAUAUUUUGGCACGACCCUAGCCAUUCUCGAUGUGAGGCAUGGAUGUCAUUUGGUCCUAUUACCCAAAGGCUUCUAAUAGGCAUAUAUUUAUUUUCGUGAUGAUAGAUUACUUCAUGAAAUAGGUGGAGACAGCAUCAUAUGCAAAUGUAACACGAUCUAUGGUUUGUAAAUUCAUAAAAAAAGAGAUCAUUUGCAGAUAUGAACUUUCGAAGAGAAUCAUUUCAGACAAUGCUAAGAAUCUAAAUAGUAAGAUGAUGCAAGAAAUAUAUGUCCAAUAUAAGAUCAAGCAUCAUAACUCAGCACCAUAUCGUCCGAAAAUGAAUAGGCCAGUUGAGGCAGCUAACAAAAGUAUAAAAACAAUUCUUGAAAAGAUGAUCGAAACCUAUAAAGAUUGGCAUGAGAAGUUACCAUUUGCACUGCAUGCAUAUCAAAUGACAGUGUACACCUCUACUGAGGUAACUCCAUUUUUUUUUUGUUUAUGAGAUGGAAGCUGUAUCACCAAUAGAAGUAGAGAUCCCAUCUUUGAGGGUUCUGAAAAAGUUAAACUAGAAGAGGCUGAAUGGGUUUCGGAGCGCUAUGAAUAGUUAAAUUUUAUUGAGAAAAAGAGGUUGAUUGCAUUGUGCCAUGGUUAGCUAUAUCAAAAAAAGAUGAUGAGAGCACAUGAUAAAAAAGUUCGACCUCAUUGCUUUCGAGAAGAAAAGUUGGUCUUGAAAUGAAUUCUCUCAAAUCAAUAUGAUAAUAAAAGAAAAUGGACUCCAAAUUAGAAAGGGUCAUAUGUGAUGAAACGGGCUUUCUCAGGUGGAGCAUUGAUACUGGCUAAAAUAGUUGAAGAUGAUUUGUCUCAUCCUAUAAAUUUUGAUGCUAUGAAGAAGUACUAUGCUUGAAAAAAAAGGUAAAAAAAAAGAUAAAAAAAAAAGGAAUGAAAAAGAAAGACUCAAAGCAAAAACCUUAAAAUGGCGGUUUGAGUCAUAUGGGGUUUAUCUAAGUUGAAAACCUGAAAAGGCAACUUAGAUAAGGAGAAUACAGCAUCAAAUCUAAAAAUUCAUUGGCAUGAAGGCUAGCAAAUUCGGAAGAGCUUUAAGUUGUUAAGUGCAUCAGAUGGUUGGAUUUUUAGAAAAACCUUGAUAUAUGUUAUCAUGAUUGUUCGACUGUUCAUUUUUGGGCAUUGUCUCCCCAUACCUGUCGUUGUAAUUCUUUCUUGGCCAAAGUUUGCGAACCUUUUGCUAAUAAAAGACAUUCAUCGUCAUUCUUUGUGUGCCUCUUCUAUUGAUUAUUUCCUAACCAUUCUUAUUUUUUUCUCAUUAAUACCUUGCAAUGAAAGAAAUGUGUGAAUACAUUCUUACUUUUUUAUAUUGAAAUAAUGAUUGAUAAAUAAAUAAUAACAUGAAAUAUUUUUACAUUACAUUGGAAAGGAGCAGAAGUGAUAAAGAGAUGUUCAGUUCCUGAUAAAGAUAUUGAAUUUGGAAAGAGAUUAUUUGCAGAAAGGGUAUGAGAAUUAAAUGAAAGAGAUAAUUGAAAGUUACGCUAACUUGAUCUUUGAAGAAUAAAGGGUUCGAGGCCCAAGAAAAAGUUUGAGAAACUUGAGUACCAUAAUUGAAUAGGAAUUAAUUAGCCAGCAUUUGCAUAGCAUGCAUUGAAUUUCGCACGCAUUGCAUUUCGCAUUGCAUUUCGCAUUGUAUUUCGCAUAACAUAUACUGCAUUCAAGAAAGUAUAGUGCAUAAAUUCAAAGAGUAAGGAUAUUCCAAGAUCCUACAUGAAGAAGACAGAUGUGAAGACUUUUUGAUUUUCCAAUUCUCGUUUGAGAAAAAGCUUGUGAGGUAAGUUUCUAAUCUUUGAAAAAGGAUAUUUCUUGGUAUUAGGAUCGAUUUGUAAAACCCUUGGGCAUGAUCUCCUAAAAUUUUUUCAAACACGAUCUUCGACUCCUCUAGGCAUGAUUGUCAAGGAGCAAUUUAUUUUCUCAAAGUUUUGUUGCCUUUAUUUAGAGGAGCAAUUUAUUUUCCCCAAUGUUCUAUUGCCUCUAUUUAGAAGAGCAAUUUAUUUUCCCCAAAGUUUUGUUGCCUCUAUUUAGAGAAGCCAUUUAUUUUCUCAAAGUUCUGUUGUCUCUAUUUAGAGGAGCCAUUUAUUCUCUCAAAAGUUCUGUUGCAUUUGUUUAAAGGAGCUUUGUUUAUUUUUCCAAAGUUGUUGAGCCUUUGUUUAGAGGAGCAAUUUACUUUUCAAAAGUCGUUGAGCCUCUGUUUAAAGGAGUAAUUCACUUUCCAAAAGUCUUUGAGCCUCUAUUUAGAGGAGCUUUAUUUAUUUUAAAAGUCGUUGAGCCUCUGUUUAGAGGAGCUUUGUUUAUAUUUUCAAAGUCAUUGAGCCUCUGUUUAGAGGAGCAAUUUACUUUCCAAAAGUCUUUAAGCCUCUGUUUAGAGGAGUUUUGUUUAUUUUUCAAAAGUCGUUAAGCCUCUACUUAGAGGAGCUUUGUUUAUUUUACUCAAAGUCAUGAGCCUCUACUUAAAAGAGCUUUAAUCAAAAUUUUAACCAAAAAAACAACAAAAAAAGCAAAAAAUAUGUUGAGUUGAGUCUUGAAUGAGUGUCUAUGUCUUUGCACAAUUCUUGUUUCACAGAAAAUGUGCAAAGAGGGGCAGCUGUAGAAACCCAAUUUGAUCCAGGCCUAGAUAAAUUGGGCCUGGUCUAAAUCAAUUGGGCCUGGUCCAAAUGGGUAAUAUGGGCUCAUUUUUUUUAAUUUUAAUUUAAUUUAAUUAUUUUUCAUUAUUAUUAUGAUUAUUAUUAUUUAUCUAUUAAUAUUUUUUAUUUAUUUAUCUAUUAUUAUUAUUAUUUAGUUAUCUAUUAAUAUAUUUUAUUAUUUAUCUAUUAUUUUUAUUUUUAUCCUUUUUCUUGAUCAAUUUUCAACUGGGAUUAGGAUUAGGAUUAGAAAAAAUUGGAAUGAAUUUGGCCAUGAAUUUGGGGACUGACAGAGUUGGGAUUGGAUUCAAAGAUUGAAUCUUAAUCCUAAAUGGAAUUGGGAUUGAUUAGAAACUCUUUUGAUCAAUCCCUAUAAAUAAAUGUUGAAACAGAACCCAAAGAUACGGAAAGAACGCACAGGAAGCAAAGAAAAACAUAAAGGCAUUUAGAAAGGUCAGAAGCAAUCUUAAAGAUUUUAGGAAUUUUUUUGGGGAAUUUUUGGUUUUUUUUUUUAGGAAUUUCUGGAAAUUCCAGAUUUCGGUUGAUUUUUCCUACGAUAUUUGAAUUUUUCGGCUACCUUUCUAGCAUCGGUUGAAUUUUUCGGCCUGUUACCUAGUUUUUGACAUGCCAUUUCUAGAAACUGACCAACCUUCCGAGGAACUUCCAACGAACAACCCAGAUUUUGAUGAGAAUUCAAAAUUCGAUUAAAUUUUAAUCGGUAUUCUUGAGGGGGAUAGAGAGAGAGUGAAAGAAAAUGGGAGUAAAGAGAGAGGGUGGAAGAGAAUUCUGCUGAGAAAAGGCUGAAAUUUACCUUUUAUAAUAUCAAAAAAUGAUGCUGUUUUGAGUUUAAAAAAAAUCCGGGAUCCGCGUGUUUUCUAUUCGGGCAACCUGACCCGCAGCGCAACCCGCUUUCGACCUGUGCCUUAGCCAUCAAACCGAGCCUAGCCGAUUCUGUUGGAAUCGCGUUCUUGAGCCAUUUUUUUCCUCUAGUCGAGUCGAUUCCAACUCCUAGCCGAGCUGAUUCAAGGUUUAUUUUAUUUUAUUUUAUUUAUUAUUAUUAUUAUUAUUAAUUUAAAAUUAUUUGGUAUUCCUUAAUUUUAAUUUUUUUCUUUCUUUUCAGUAAUUUUUUUUAAAAAAAAUAUUUUGAGAAAAAGUUGAAAGUAUCAAUUUUCUUAAAGAUAAAUUUUUUUAAAAAAUAUUUUUGAAGGAAAGUUGAUUGUAUCAAUUUCCUUUGAACACAAAAAAUAUUUUUUUUAAGAGAAAGUUGAAAGUAUCAAUUUCUCUGGAAAAUAAAUGGUUUAAAAAAUAUAUAUUUUUAGAAAAAAGUUGAAAGUAUUAAUUUUUCUUAAAAAUAAAAUUUCUCAAAUAAAAUUUUCAAGAAGUAUUUUAAGGAAAAGUUGAAAGUAUCAAUUUUCCUCAAAAUUAGAAUUUUAAAAUUAAAAAAAAAAACAUUUUUGGGAAAAAGUUGGAAGUACCAAUUUUCCUUAAAAAUAAAAAUUAUCAAGAAAAACAUUUUAAGGAAAAGUUGAAAGUAUCAAAUUUUUUUGUACAAAAGCAAUGAGUUCUUUUUUUAAAAAAAAAAGAUAAAAAGAAAAGGAUUUGUAUCAAAAAGUUGAAUCAUUAUUCUUUUUUGUUUUGUUUUAUUUAUUUUUUUUUCUUGAAUUUUUUUUAAAUGUUAAAUAAUCCGACGCAAGUGAAAUCAUAGUUUUCUUGCAUACUCUUGAGGUGAGGGGAUUUUCUUAAUUUUCUGCCAAAAGUAUUGGAGUUAAUUAAGAAUAAUUUUCAAUAAUUAAUUACUUGAUAAAAUUUUUAAAGCUUAUUGGAUAACACGAAUUUGAGCUGGUACCAUCUUUCGAUGGGCGUUGUGAGGGGGCUAUAACCUUCCUCACUUGUAAUCGAACUCCCGAACCCUGUUCUAGUUAAUAGACCUGAACCUAUUUUUUUAGGGACCCUUAGUCGAGCUUGGGUGUUCCUUGAAAGGAAAGAUUCCUUAGGUAGCCAAUCGCACCUAAAUAAAAAAGAUUGGUGAUAGCUCCUAAAGUCAAUAUCUAGCGAUAGAUCCUUGGAUCUAAACGUUAUGACAACUCAUAGAGGGUGUGACAUGGACACCUCUAUUGAGAUUAAAAUAUUAAUAUAUUAAAUUAAGGUAAUAAAUAAUAACUUUAUUAAUAUAAUAUAUAUUUGUAAAUAUAAAACUAAAUUAAUAAUAAAACAUAUACUUUUAUAUAUAGCUUGAAAUGGGUCAGGAAAGAGAGCACCCUAAACAUGUUUUCACUUUAAUCUAGUUUUUCUUAAAAAAACUUAACCCAUCCCAACUCGAUCCUGAUUAACAAAAAAAUGCCUCAUAUCGGAUCUCGAGAUAAAUCAAAACCCAUCAAAUACAUAUUGUUUUGGUAUCUUUAUCAAUUAACAACGUUUGUUAUAAAAUUUUCCUAAAAAAAAUAUAAUAAAUAGUGAAAAGGAAAAUUUCAAAUGAGAAUGUCACAUGUACACUUCCAUUAGUCUCAUUUUUUUGAAAAUUAAUUUAAUAAAAAAGAAUAAAAACAAAAAGGAAAAAAAGUAAAAUAACAAAAAUAACAAAAAUAAAAAUAAAAAAGGAAAAUGGGGCACAUUGAACUAUUACAUGUACAUUCCAAUUAGGCUUAAAUUGUUAAUCUUUUAAAUUCAGAUAUAAAAUAAUAACUUUAUUAAAAAAAUGAGAAAAUGAAAAGAAACAAUAAAAAAAAGAAAAAGAGAGAUCAUUAAAGUACCGUCAAAUGAAAAUUCAAAUUGAGUUUAAAAUAUUAAUAUCAUAAAUUAAGACAUAAAAUCAUAAUUUUAUCAAUAUAAUACAUAUAUAAUUAAAUAAAUAAUAAAAUUUAUACCUUUUAUAUAUGGUACAGGGUGGAUUGGAGUAGAACACCCUAAAUCCACUUUUGACCAGCUUUUGAAAAAACUAUUCGAUAUUACUCUAUACUAAUUUUUUACAAAAACGCUCUCAUUGAAUCAAGAGGAUUCAAACCCAUCAGAUACUGAUUGUUUUGUCAUCCUUGCCAACUGGCUUAUUUUGUUGUAAAAAUUAUCUAAUUAAAAAAUAUAAAAAAUAAAAACAAAAGAACAUAUGGAAGAAAAUAAAUAAAUAAAAGUACUAUGUGGCAUCUCCAUUGGUAUUAUUUUCUUACAAAUUUUAUCUAAUUAAACAAUAAACAAAAAUGAAAAUGAAAAAAGUAAAAAAAAAAAAACCACCUCAUUGUCUGAUCGAGUCAGAUUGAAACCCAUCGGACAUGAAUUAUUUUGCUAUCUUUAUUCAUCAACACUUUUUGUUCAAAAACUUAUGUAAUUAAAAAAAUUAAAAAAACAAAAGGAAAAAAAAAAACAAAUUGAGGAUUUACGUGAACACCUUCAUUUAUUUUUUUUCAAAAAAUUUAUCUAAAUUAAAAAAAUAAAAAAGCUAAAAAAAAUAAAAAAAAAACCUAAGGUGCCGGAUCAACACCUUGAAUGAGAGUGUAACAAAAGUCAAAAUAAGUAAAAUUUAGGCUAAAAGGUUAAAUGCCCUUGAACUAUAAUUCAAUAAUCAUUUAAGCCCUUAACAUUUUAUUACAAUCAAUCAAGCUCUUAAUAUUUUAUUUCUACCCAAUUGAAUACUUAAAUGGAUGAAAUCUAAUCACGUGACAAAUUUAAUCAAUUAAUCCUCAAACUAUAGUUAAUUAAAUACUUAUAGGAAUCUUAGAAAGAGAAAGACAAAGAAAAUAAGGAAGAAAAAAAGAAAAAUAAAAGAAGAAAGGUUUAUUUUAUCUUAUUUAAUUUUCACAUAUAUUAAUUAUGUCACAUGGUAAAGUUUCAUCUAUUUUAUUGAUAUCACAUGGAAUUUUAUCUUAGUUAGCAAAAAAAUUAAUGUUGUUAAAUUUUCAUUCAAAUAAGGAUUAAAUUGGAUGCAAAUAAAUGUUUAAGGGGGAUUACAAUAAAAAAUAAGAGUUUAGAUUAUUUUUUAAUUAUAGUUUAAGGACAUUUAUACCAUUUAGCCUAAAAUUUAUAUAAUGGAUUGAUCGAUAGAUGGACAGGUUACAUCUUGAUUAUGUACACAUCUAAUUUUUUAUUUAAUUAAAAUAUCAAACAAUAAUUUUAUUAAUAUAAUAUAUAUAAAUAUAAAAUUAAAUAAUUAAUUAAAAAUGUAAUUAUAUAUAUAUAUAUACUUGAAGAAAAACAAAAUAACUUAAAUUUGCCUCCAACAUGUCUUCGAUUUUAAAAAGAAAAAAUUUCAACCAGAUUUUGAAUAAUUUAAAAAUUGACACAUAUCGGAUCUGACAAAUCAAAACCUAUAAGAUAUGGAUUGUUUUGCCUAUCUUAACGAUUUUUUGAUCGCUAGACCCAAAAGCAAAAGUUGUUACCAAUAUUUUUUGUUUAGGUGCAACUAAACGCCCAAAAGUCUAUCAUUUAAUUAACUUAAAAUUAAUUAAGUUUUACUAAAAAUCUUUUGGUAUACAAAUCAAAGUUGAGUUCUAGAGUACAGUUAUUUAUAAGGAAGGUUAUAGCACUCUCAUAACCCUCAUUCGAAGAUAGUAUCAAUUGAUUUUAUGUUAUCCAUUAAGCUUAGCCAAAUUUCUUUAAAAUAUUUUCAGAAAAAGUUAAAAUUAGAAAUCAUUCUUAAAUUGCUCUAAUAUUUUAGUGAAAAAUUAAGAAUAUGCCCUCACAUUAAAAGUACUCAAGAUAUCUAUUAUCACUCUUGAAUAGGCUCCGACAUUGGAUUCAAAACAUUUUUUAUAUGAAUUUUUUAUAUGAAAAAAUCUUCCAAAGACUCUAAUAUUUUAACAGCAUUCAAAAAAUAGUAUCUUACUUAGGGAUUUACAUAAAAAUUGCUAUUGCAAUUUUUUAGUAAUUUCAUCAUUGGAAUAUUCAAGGCAAAAAUUUUUAUUUUUUAAUUAAAAAAAUUAAUAUUUCAACUUUUUCCUAAACAUUUUCAAAAUUUUAUUAUAAAAAAUUGAUAUUUUAACUUUUUUCUUAAUUUAUUUUUUUAUUUUAGUUCAUUUUUAUGUUCAAAGAAUUCAAGAAAAUUUGAUAUUUCAAUUUUUUGCUAAAUAUUUUCAAAAAUUUAUUCUAAGAAAAAUUGAUAUUUUAACUUUUUUUUAACACUUUUCAAAUUUUAUAUUAUAUUAUAUUAUUUUUAUGGUUAAAAUUUUUAAAAAAACUAAUAUUUCAAUUUUUUCAUAAAUAUUUUUGACAUUUAUUUUUAUUCUCAAGGGAUUUAGGAAAAUUUUAUAUUUUACCAAAUAUUUCUUACCUUUUCUUUAAAUAAAUUUUAAACCAAAACAUUUUUAUUUUCCACACAAAUUAAAAAUAUGUCUAAUGCCUUGUCAAAGACUACACAAAUAUAAUAAAAUAAACAAUCACAAAAAUAGGAAUGAAGAUAAUAAAAAAUAGAAAAAAAAAAGAUAAAUAAAAAAGAUAAAAUUACCAAAAAGGUCCUUAAUCAAGUUGGUCAAAGGUCUAAGAAGCGACUCAGGCAGUUUAGAGCUAUUCUUGGAGGUUUGGAAUUGUUCAUUAGCGGUUUAGCUUGGCUCUUUUUAGUUUAGAGCAAUUCAGUUGAACCAGUCCCAAUUUUGAAAGUGUGCCCAAUGGUUUUGUAGCGAUUUAGUGAUGGUUCAGUUGAAUCGAUCUAGGGCUAUCAAUAAAACUGAGUGCAAAUUGAAUGUGUGAACCUUAUGUCGAAUCUAGGUCCACAUGCAGGUCAAAGCUUUCUUUUUAAUAGGUAUAAAAACAAACUUUUUUUUAGAUUCAUUUUAUCUUUUCUUUUUUAAAAAAUCUCUCAAAACUUUUUCAACUUUCUAAACAAAAACCCAAUAACCACCCAUAUUCUUAAAAUCCGACCGGGUGCUAUUGUUGCCUCUAUCAGUCAUUGCUAGCUGGCUUUCUUUUGAGUCCAAAUUUCAACAUAUUUUCCUUUUGAUCUCCUUUUUCACCUUAUCGAGAUGGAUUUCCCAAAAUUCAACUCAAAAUUCCUAGAUCUAAGCGUACAACUCACGACCAGAAUACCCAAAACACCCUUUUUUCAUUGCUCAAAUAGCCCCCUCUUUUAAGUAUGUUCAUCUUUUUAUGGCUGCUCUCCUUAUUAAGUUUAAAGCCUUGAAACCUUUUGAAAAACUUAGAACCGAAAAGCCUCUCUAACCAAACUCACUUUUUUGGUUUUUUUUUAUUCUUUAUUUUUUUAUGCUGUUGUUCUUGUAUUUUUUGUGCUUUUUUUUUUUUUUUUGCUUUUAACGCUAUGGCUUCCUCUGAAAAGAACAUGGAUUUUUUUUAUUAUUUUACUUACUUUCUUUUGGGUCUCAAUCAAAUGGGAUUUUAGGUAGUUUAGGUUAUUGGUUGUGGUUAAUGGGCGACAAUAGCUACCUUUUGGGUUUAUGUUCUUUGCAAUGGGUUGUUGGUUUCAGCUGUUGGAGGGGCAUUGGUAGGUGAUGGCAUUUGUGUGUUGUUGGUGUUGGCAAUGAAUAUUGUGAGUGGUGGUGAGUUAGGUGUGUUUUUGGGUAAGUGGUCAAUAGUUGUUGGUGGAAUUGGUGAUCAAUUUUUUUGUCUCCAUUUUUUCAAUGUUUGAAUCUUAAUUUAUAGAAUGAAUUAGAGGCUCAAAUCCCAAAUUUUCUAGGAUUACUUAAGACUUUUAAAGGUGCCAUUGACUAUUGUUGCUGAAAAUUAUACUAAAAAGAGUGGUGGUGACAAAGUGGCUGGCAGCUCGAAUUCGGACUUUAAACUCCUACCAAUUCUGCCAACUCCAUAGCGAUUCCUUCUUUUUUCUGACUUUUUUCUUUCUUGCUUUUUUUAAUUUUUAUUCAAAAAAAGAAAUGAAAAACAAUUAAGGCCUUAAUAUUUUGAUUUCAUUAUAGGGAUUUGGGCUUUUAGGCUCGAACCUGCCUUUUAAUUAAAAUUAAGUGCAAUUGAACUUAGAAAAUAAAUAACAAUUAGCUUAAAACUCAUUUCUAAAUCUGAACAAAAUUAAGUGUUUAUAUUAUAUCCUUACAUCCAUUGACUUUUAUCUUACAAAAUUUAUCUAAUUUUCAAAAAAUUAAAAACUUAAAAAGAAGGAAAUUGCAGGAAAAACAUAAUAGAAAGCCAAAUGGGAUACCAAGUAAAUUUAUUAAAUUAAAAUAUAAAUUUAUAAUUAUUAAUAAAGUACAUAUAUAUAAAUAUAAAAUUAAAUAAUUAAUAAAAUAUAUAUUUAAAUAUACUCAAGAAGGAUAAAACACCAUAAACUCACAUUCAUCCUAAAUUCCAUUUUGAGGAAAAAACUCAAUUCGAUCCUAUAUUUAAAAGAAAUGCACCUAAUAGAUAUAGAUGAAUCAAAAUCCAUCGAAUAUGAGUUAUCUUGUCUCCAUAGCUCCAUUUAGAUUUUUUUAAAAUUUAUUAAUCGAUUUCUUUUUAUUGUAAAAUUUAUUUAAUUAAAAUUUUAAAAAGUAAAAAAGAAAAAAAGCAAAAUAAAAAAAAAAGUGAAAUAGGCUUUCCUGAAAAAAUGAUCUAAUUAAAAAAAAAGAAAGGAAAAAAGAACAGACAAAAAGUGAAAAAUAAUAAAAAAAAUUGACGUGGCAUGCGACAUUCAUAAUAUUUAGUUUUUCUUGAAAAAUUUAUAUUACACAUUUAAGAAAACAAAAAAAAAAGAUUAAAAAAGGAAAAUACUAAAAAAGAGAAGAAAAUAAAAUCUAGAUGUGACAUCGACACCACAACUAAAUUAUUUUCUUUAAAAAUUAUUGAAUUAAAAAAUUAACAAAAGAAAGAAAAAUAUAUAUUAUAAUAGUAAUAUCAUAAAAACCCAUAUUAAAGAAAUUUUAAAAUACUUUAAAAUAGUUAUUAAAUAUUUAAAAGGAAAAAAGAAAAAAAUAAAUGGAGAAAAAGAUUAAAAAAGUAAAAAAAAAAAGUUAAAUGGCUUAACACAUGGCAAAUGAGUUUCACAAAAAAAAGUAUAAUCUGAAAAAUUAUUUAUUAACUAUAUAAAAAAGGAAAAGGUAAAAAAAGAAAAAAUAUUUAUUAGAUCAUUUAUUAAAUAUAAAAAUUAUACCCUCCGUAUCAAGUGGAUCCUACAAAAAAAAUAAAAUCUAAAAUAUAUUUAUUAAAUAUUUAAAAAGAGAAAAUAAGUAAAAAGGCAAAAAAAAAAAACAAUAAAAGAAUAAAAGCUUGGUAUCAGUGAAUCACACAUGCAAUAAAUGAAAUCUAAAAUAUAUUUAUUAAAUAUUUAAAAGAAGAAAAUAAGUAAAAAAGGCAAAAAAAGAAAAACAAUAAAAAAAUAAAGGCUUGAUAUAAGUGAAUCACACAUGCAAAAAAUGAAAUCUUUAAAAUAUAUAUUUUAUUAAUUUAAAAAAUCUUUAUUAAAUUUUAAAAGAUAGAAAAAAUCGAAAAGGAGAAAAGUUAAAAACAAAAAAAAAAACCAAAAAACAAAAAAGAAAACUUUAGUAUGACAUGUGGCACUCUUAAUGCUAACCAUACAUGAGCAAAAUUAAUAUAUAAGACUAGUUGGAUAACCAAGCAUUGCCACAGGUCUAAAUAUUUUUUGCCAUUUUUAUUUACUAUUUUUUUGUAAAAUUUAUCUAAUUAAAAAAAAGACAAAAAGUUCAAAAAAAAAAAAACAAAUAAGGUAGACACACGGAUACCUCAUAUACUCACAAAAUAUAUAGUAAAAAAUAAUAAAAAUAACAUAAAAGAAAAAUUUUUUUUAAAAUGAAAUAAAAUAACUUAUAGAGGUGGCAUAAAGACACCCACAUUGAGUUUAAAAUAUUAAUUUCUUAAAUUAAAAUAUUAAAUAAUAACUUUUUAAAUAUUAUUCAUAUAUAAAUAUGAAAUUAAAUUAAUAAUAAAAUAUAUUUUUUUAUAUAUAAACCAAAAUGAGUUGGGAUAAAGCAUCCCAAACAUGCUUCCACUCUAAUAUCAUAUCUUAUAAAAAACACUUAACCUAUCCAAACUCGAUACCAAUUUAAACUCAUUGAAUACGAAUUGUUUUGGUAUCUCUAUCAGACUUGAUUAGUUGUGUCAUUGUGUCAUGUUUCAUGUCAGAUACAAUUUCAAACACGAUACAAAUAAUCUUAACAUGAGCACGACAUGAAUACAUGAAUAACACGAAUAACUUAAACACAAGUACGAUAUAUUUAUUAUACGUAUUACACAUAACAUGACACAAUUAAUAUAUUUAAAAUUAAUUUAUACCUAACUAAUACAUCACUACAUGACACGACACGAUAACACGAUUAUAUAUGAAUAACAUGAUUAGACACAAGUAAUUAUCAAAAUAAUAUGACACGAUAUGACAUGAUUAACAUGAUUAUAUUCAAAUAACAAGAUUAGACAUGAUUAAUCUAUUUAUUUAAACAAAAAAUAUUAUUUAAAUUAGUAUUUAAACAAAAAAUUAUUUAAAAAUUAAAAAUUUAUAAUCUAUUAAAAUACCAAAAUGAUAUGAUAAAUAUUAUUAUUAAAUUAUUUUUAAAAAAUUAAAAAUACUUUUUUUAUUUUUUUAUGUUAUGAACAGUACUAUAUCUUAAGCGUGUUAUUAUUAUUUGACACGAACACGACAUGAAUAAAAUUUUUAACAUUGAACAAAAAAGAACAAAAGAAAAAAAAACCAAUUUGAUGUAUUGCAUAGACACUUUUCAUUUGGUUUAUUUUUAACUAAUUUAUAUAAAUAAUUUUUUUAAAAAAUUAAAGGUGUCACGUCAACACCUUAAAUGAAAGUUAAAAUAAAUAAAAUUUAUAUAGUGGAUGGAUGGAUAAAUCUUAAUUAUAUAUAAGUAAAUUAUUUUUAUUAAAUUAAGAUAUUAAAUAUUAACUUUAUUAAUAUAAUAAUAUAUAAAUAUAAUAUAAAUUUAAAAUUAAAUAAAUAAUUAAAAGUAUAAUUUUAUAUAUAUAUACUCGAGAUAAGACAAAAGAUCCUAAACCCUGUCUCUGACCCGACUUCAAUUUUAGAAAAAUAAAAACCUUGACCUAAUCUAAAAUUUUUUAAAAACUAGCACAUAUCAAAACUAGAUGAAUAUAUACGAAUGGGAUAUAAUUUGUUUUGUCAUCACUAUAUCCAUUUACCUUUUCUUACAAAAUUUAUCAAAUGUUAAAAAGUAAAAAACUUUAAAAAAAAGAAAUGACACAGAAAAAAGAAAAGAAAAAUAAGCCAAAUGGAUAUGGCACAUGGAUGUAUUAUAUUAAAGUAUUAAAUAAUAAUUUUAUUAUUAUAAUACAUAUAUAAAUAUAAAAUUAAAUUAAUGAUAAAAUAUGUAAUAUAUAUACCUAGGUGGGAUAAAACACCACAAACUUGUAUCUGACUUUACCUUAAUUUUUGAAAAAAAAAUUUUAAUCCAAUCCCAAAUUUUAAAAAAAAAAUCACCUGUUGGAUCCAAAUGAAUUGAAAUAUACCAAAUAUGGGUUGUUUUAUCAUAUGUACUUUUAUUCACAUUUUUCUUUAAAAAUUUAUUUACCAAUUUCUCUUAGUGUAAAAUUUAUCUAAUUAAAAAAUAUAAACAAAAAAGGUGAAAGGCAAAAAACGAAAUAGGGUGCCACGUGUACAUACUUAUUGACUUUUUUUUUCUAAAAAAUAAUCUAAUUUAGAAUAAAAAAGGAAGAAAAAACUAAAAAAAAUAAAAGAAAAGAUGAAAAGAUGAAAAAAAGAAGAAAAAAAGAAAAGAGUUGAAUUACCAUUUGACAUUAGCAAUGAUGACUAUUUCUUGAAAAUUUUAUAUCAUGGAUUUAAAAAAAAUUAAAAAAAAUCAAAUCUGGGAAUGAUAUCGAUUCCUUCAUUAAUAUUCUUUUUCCUUAAAAAUAAUCAAAUUAAAAAAAUGCUGAAUAAAAAAGUAAAAUAUAUAUUUUAAAUAAUAAUAUCAAUUGAGCCCCAUAUUAAAAAAUUUUAAAAUAUUUAUUAAAUAUAAAAAAUUUUAAAAAAGUAUAUAGAAAAAAUGAAAAAGUGAAAAAAAGUAAUCAAAUAUCUAGUACAUAAUCAAUCAUUGAUAUCAAAUGGGUAUAAAAAAAAUUAAAAUCUAAAAAAGUUAUGUACUAAAUAUAUUAAAAAAUAAAAAAGUAAAAAGUAAAAAAGAAAAACAAGCGGCACUCUUAGUAUCAAGUGGGUUCCAUAUAAAAAAAUAAAAAUUUUAAAAUAUCUAUUAAAUAUUUAUAGAUAUAUAAAUAGAGAAAAGCAAAAAAAGUUAAAAAAAGAAAAGCAAAAAAAGAAAAUUUUUUAUAUAAAUGGAUUCCAUAUAAAAAAGAAUAAAAUCUAAAAAACUAUAUUUUUUAGCAUUUAAAAAUUAUUAAAUAUUUAAUAAAAAAGAUAAAGUAAAAAAAAUAAAAAAAAGGACAAAAUAAGCAUGUGACACGUGACACACCCAAAGGUGAUCGAUAUGAGUAAAAUUAACUAUAUAGAUAGAUAGAUAGAUUAUUGGUUCAAUGGUUAAUGCUAUUGAAAUUCUUUACAAAUAAUGGAAAGACUUCAAGUUUGAAUCAAGAGUUUAGCAUAUUUUUAAGAUGUGGUAUCCAAUAAUUUUGAGAUUCAAAAUAUAAAAAAUUUUAAAAAAUAUUUAAAAAUAUUUAUUAAAUAUAAAAAAUUUAAAAAAUUAAAUAGAAAAAAAAUAGAAAAAAUGAAAAAAUAAUCAAAUAACUUGACACAUGAAAUACUAUUGAUAUAAAGUGGGUCUAAAAAAUUAAAUUAUAAAAACAUUAUUUAUUAAAUAUAUUAAAAAACAUGUAAAAGGUGAAAAAAAUGUGGCACUCUUGGUAUCAACUGGUUCCAUACAAAAAAAUAAAAUCUAAAAAAAUAUAUAUUAAAUAUUUAUAGAAAUAUAAAAAGAGAAAAGCAAAAAAGGUUAAAAAAGAAAAGUGAAAAAAGAAAACUUUUUAUAUAAAUGGAUCCCAUAUAUAAAAGAAUAAAAUCUUAAAAACUAAAUUUUUUAGAUUUUAAAGAAUUUAUUAAAUAUUUUUUAAAAACAGAUAAAAUAAAAAAAAUAAAAUAAAAAGGAUGAGCGUGUGACAUGUGAUACACCCAAAAGUGAUAGUACAUGAGUAAAAUUAAUUAUAUUAAUAGAUAGAUGAUUAGCCCAAUAGUUAAUGCUGUUGAAAUUUUUUACAAAUAAUGAAAAGACUUCAAGUUUGAAUUAAGGGUUUAACUUAUUUUUAGGAGAUGAUAUUUAAUAAUUUUGAAAUUUGAAUCUCAACAUAUUAAAUUCUUUGUUUCUUCUUAAAUUGCAGCUUGAUCCUUUAUAAAAUACAAGAUUUCAAUUUUGAAAACUUAUUAGCUAUCGGUUUUUAUUUUUUAUUUUUUUACUUUUUUUAUCACUUAAACACUCAAUAUAUAAAUGCCAAUUACAUGUAAUGAUGAUAAUUUUAAUCAUUUUUAUAGAUAAUUAAAACAUAAAUAAAUUAACAAACACAAUCUAUUUAUAAUACUAAUAAUCUCAAAUUAAUAUUUAAUUAAUAUCAAAGCACCCUAAAGGGUCAACAAAUGAAUUACUUAAAUAAACAUACGAAGAGAUAAAUUAAAUUAUAAAAAUUUAAAAUUAACACAUCAAAUAAAUAAAAAAAUAAUGGAUGAUUUUAUAUUUAUAAAAUUAAAAAAAAAACAUAAUAAGACCUUAAAUAUAAAGCCAAAUAAAAAAUUUAUCCAACGUCUUAAAAUGAGUCCAAUACAACUCUCAAUUUUCCUAACAAGAUGUCAAAGAGUACCCAUCAAAUUGGACAAAUUCAAUUUAUGAUAGAUGAUAGAUUAUGAUGUUUUAGAAAUUUUUUUCAAAGGUAAUAAUAAUGUUACCAGAAUACAAUAGAAUCUUUCAUUUUUUAUUGCUAAUAAAAUCUUAAAUUUAUUUUUAAGCAAAAUUGUGAAUAUAAUAUAUAUAUUAUUUACACUAAUAUUAAAGGGAUUGAUUGAGUCGGUGUCAUAACUUAAUCAAUACUAAUUUAUUUUUUAUCAGAAUCAAAAACCAAGUUGAUAAAUUUACUUUAAAUCCAAAGUUAAAUUACAAUAAUAAUUAUAUUUAGGAAUAUCUAUGUAUUUAUAUUUUUAAACUAAAACAAAUUUUUUAACAUCAUUUUUAUUUCUUAAUUAAUAAUUUUUAUCCACAUAGUGGAUGUGUCAACAAUUUAAUAACAUUUAUAAAUCUUUAGCUGAGUUUCGUAUCAUAAGUCAAGUGGGCAUCAUUUUAAUCGGGAUAGUUAAAAAAAAAAAAAACCCUAUGCUAUUUCCCUAUUUCAAAUAACAAUUUCAAUGAGUUUUCUAUUUUUUUCUCAAAACAGCUUUAAUUAAGUUAUCUUUUAUUUUUUUCCUCAUCAUAUUUCAGAAAACCAUCAGUUAAUAUUAUUUUAACCUUUUUAAGUUAUAAAACUAUUUCUUAUUCCAUUCACAUAUUGGCAUGUGUAUAAGAUUGGUAUUUAUAAACGCCUACUAAAAUGACGUCCAGUAACAGCAACAAAUAGGAGAAUUGAAAAGAUAAACUUCAUUAAUGCAAUAAUAAAGAUAUAAAUUAACCAAGGAUAUUUUAGUGUUUACAAUUUUUGAAAUCUGAUUUAAGUCCAGUUCUGUUAAACUUACAUUUCUCUCUAUUUUUUCUCUAUUACAAAACUAUACACGAGUUACUUCCACUUUUUUUCCUUUAUUUUACAAUUUUGAAAUAACCUAUAUUAUUUUUUCCUCUUUUAGCAUUUAUCUAAAAGGUAUAAUUAUUGUUUACAACUUCAUCUGAAUAAUGGGUGCGUCAAAUAUUAGUAUAUAUAUAACGCAAAACCAUUUCCUAUAAGAUGCUUAACAUUUGGCAAAUAUAUUUAACUUUUCACCAAUGUACAAAUAUAAUUUUCAUAGUUGUGUUGGGAAUAUUGACUCAAAUCUCAUAAGAGAUUUGUUAGAGAUUUGUUUGGGAUUUAUCAGAUAUUGCUUGAUGGACAAGAAGACUUGCAAAAGAAGAAUUCCAAGAGAAAGAGGAUUCUUAAUAGGCAAGUUUGACUUACAGGAGAAGAAUUCUAAGAGGAGAGAGAUUCUUAAUGGCAAGUUUGUAUGGUUAUAAAUAGGUGAAGUCUCCACAAGGUUAGGUAUGAAAAAAAGAUGUAAGAGAGUUNNNNNNNNNNNNNNNNNNNNNNNNNNNNNNNNNNNNNNNNNNNNNNNNNNNNNNNNNNNNNNNNNNNNNNNNNNNNNNNNNNNNNNNNNNNNNNNNNNNNNNNNNNNNNNNNNNNNNNNNNNNNNNNNNNNNNNNNNNNNNNNNNNNNNNNNNNNNNNNNNNNNNNNNNNNNNNNNNNNNNNNNNNNNNNNNNNNNNNNNNNNNNNNNNNNNNNNNNNNNNNNNNNNNNNNNNNNNNNNNNNNNNNNNNNNNNNNNNNNNNNNNNNNNNNNNNNNNNNNNNNNNNNNNNNNNNNNNNNNNNNNNNNNNNNNNNNNNNNNNNNNNNNNNNNNNNNNNNNNNNNNNNNNNNNNNNNNNNNNNNNNNNNNNNNNNNNNNNNNNNNNNNNNNNNNNNNNNNNNNNNNNNNNNNNNNNNNNNNNNNNNNNNNNNNNNNNNNNNNNNNNNNNNNNNNNNNNNNNNNNNNNNNNNNNNNNNNNNNNNNNNNNNNNNNNNNNNNNNNNNNNNNNNNNNNNNNNNNNNNNNNNNNNNNNNNNNNNNNNNNNNNNNNNNNNNNNNNNNNNNNNNNNNNNNNNNNNNNNNNNNNNNNNNNNNNNNNNNNNNNNNNNNNNNNNNNNNNNNNNNNNNNNNNNNNNNNNNNNNNNNNNNNNNNNNNNNNNNNNNNNNNNNNNNNNNNNNNNNNNNNNNNNNNNNNNNNNNNNNNNNNNNNNNNNNNNNNNNNNNNNNNNNNNNNNNNNNNNNNNNNNNNNNNNNNNNNNNNNNNNNNNNNNNNNNNNNNNNNNNNNNNNNNNNNNNNNNNNNNNNNNNNNNNNNNNNNNNNNNNNNNNNNNNNNNNNNNNNNNNNNNNNNNNNNNNNNNNNNNNNNNNNNNNNNNNNNNNNNNNNNNNNNNNNNNNNNNNNNNNNNNNNNNNNNNNNNNNNNNNNNNNNNNNNNNNNNNNNNNNNNNNNNNNNNNNNNNNNNNNNNNNNNNNNNNNNNNNNNNNNNNNNNNNNNNNNNNNNNNNAUCAGCUUCAUUAAAGAUGAAACACCUAUAUGUAGGAUCCCAAAAUUAUGUUGCAGCUCUGAUUAGUUGAUCAUCAAUAGCCACUGCUAGGAGGUGUGCUAUAUGCCCAUGUUUCUGACAAAACUGCUCUUGUCUUGACGAACUCAUCUUCUUCCAGAUGUCAACCAAAUCUUCUAAAUGAUUCUGUUUGAGGAGGAUAGAUGUUUCUUGAGAUAGAGUAGACUCAUAUCCAAUUGGCAAGCAAUCUCCCAUCUUCAGUUGAGUCUUUUCUGACAGGGCCCUUACUUCAUUGGGCGUCCCACAAGGUGCUAAUACUGAUGAAGAACAAACUAGGCGUUCAUUGGUGUCCAUGAAAAAAAUUUGUUGAAGAUCGUUUUUCAGGCAAAUGUUCUUUAUGCAACUUUAUGAUAUGCACAUGAACCAAUGCAAAAGAAAAAAAAAGGUUAGUAUACCCAGAAAAAGAAUAAAUAACAAAAUAAAUUUAAACAUCACACAAAGUAAAAGGAUGGAUCCUAGCUUUUGGUCAAUUCUAACAGGGAAGAGUGAUGGCUCUAUCUAUGGGUUAGGCAUUCUUAAGGUUCACUACAUGCGGUUUUAGGGUUAAAGUCUAAAGGUCCUCAAAUUGUUCCUUACAUCCUUGUCCAUCACAGACUAGUAAGGCACCAUAAUCCUCACCCAUUACAGGCUACAAGCGGAAAAGGUUCAAUUUGAGUGGGAGUAUUUCGUUAGCCACUGCGGAGGUAUUAGACCUCACGAAAGCAAUAGGUACUUUACUCCCUCCUAGAGGGACAGAGCUCGGGUGUAGAGCUCAUGUUAUGCACAUGCACAUGAAUGACAUGAUUAACAAGGUAAAUAAAACAUGAAUGAAUAAUACACAUAUAUACAAAAAUGGUUCAAUUUUAUUAGGCUUUUGGAUAACACAAAUUAUUUACUGGCCUGACUCUCAAAGUCCCCAGUGGAGUCGCCAAGCUGUCAUAACGUCUAGAUCCGGGGAUCUAUCGCUAGACAUUGACUUUUGGGAGUCGCCACCAAUCUUUUCUAUCUAGGUGUGAUUGGCCACCUAAAGAAUCUGUCCUUUUAGGGAACACCUAAAUUUGAGGGUCCCUAAAAGAAUAGGUUCAGGUCUACUAACCAGAACAGGGUUCGGAAGUUCGAUUACGUGUGAGGAAGGUUAUAGCACCCUCACAACGCCCAUCAAAAGAUGGUACCAGCUUAAAUUUGUGUUAUCCAAAAAGCCUUAAAAUUUUAUCGAGUAAUUAAUUAUUGAAAAUCAUUCUCAAUUGACUCUAAUACUUUUAGCAGAAAAUUGAAAAAAUUCCCUCACUUCAAGAGUAUGCAAGAAAAACUACUGUUUCACUUGCAGAGGCUCCGUCGUCGGAUUAUUUAGAGAAAAAUCAAAAUCAAAAUCAAAAUAGAAAAAGAAGGAAAGAAGAAUUUUUCUUGUGCAGGGAAAAUUGAUACUUUCAACUUUUCCCCAAAAAUUUAUUUUUGAAAAUUUUAUUAAGGAAAAUUGAUACUUUCAACUUUUCCCCAACAAUCUUUUUUUUUGAAAAUUUAUUUCUAAGGAAAAUUGAUACUUUCAACUUUUCCCCAAAAAUAUUUUUUGGAAAUUUUAUUUUUAAGAAAAAUUGAUGCUUUCAACUUUUCCCCAAAAAUAUUUUUUUGAAAUUUUAAUUUCGAAGGAAAAUUGAUACUUUCAACUUUUCCCCAAAAAUCUUUUUUUUGGAAUUUAUUUUUAAGGAAAAUUGAUACUUUCAACUUUUCCCUAAAAAUAUUUUUUUUGAAAAUUUUGAUUUUCAAGGAAAAUUGAUACUUUCAACUUUUCCUCAAAAACCCUUUUUUUGAAAUUUAUUUUCAAGGAAAAUUGAUACUUUCAACUUUUCCCUAAAAAUUUCUUUAGAAAUUUUGAUUUUUUAUUUAAAGAAAAUAGAAUAAUAAAAAAAAGUGAAAAUGAAUAAAGAUAAAAAAAAAAAUAAAGGAAAGUAAAACCAAAAUAAAGAUAGAAAGAAUAUUAAAUAAACCUAAUCUAAUAAAUAAAAAAAUAAAAAAAAUAAAUAAAUGAAAAUAAAAGAAAUUUAAAAAAAAAAAAAAAACCUAGAGCGGCUCGGCUCGCGGCUCGGAUCGGCUCGGCUCAAGGAAGAGAAAACGGCUCGGAGAAGCGGCUCGGGGAGAACGGCUCGGCUCGGCUCGGCUCGGAGGGGGCAAGCACGCGCGGGUCAGAAUCGGGUUGACGCUCGGGUCGGGUCGGGUUUUCGGCAAAACGCGCGGAUCCUCUGAUUAACUUAAAGCCAAAACGACGUCGUUUUGGGAGGGUAUAAAAGGCACUAUCCUCUGUUUUUCGGCAGACCGCCCCUCCCCUCUCUCUCUCUUCUUCCUUCUUUUCUCUGCCUUCUCUCUAAAGACUGAAGAACACCGGUGGGGUUUCGUCGGAUUCUGGAAAUUCUCGCCGGAAUCUGGAAAAUUUCGUCGGAAGUUCACCGGAAGUUGCCGAAAGAUCACCGAUUUCUGGGAUUCUUCGCCGGAAACUGGGCUGGUCGCCGAAAACUUCAAGGUCGGCCGGAAUUAUCGUCGGAAAAUUCAAACUUCGCCGGAAUUGUUGCCGGAAUCUGGAAAUUUCCCAGAAAUUUCCAGAAAAUCUUUUCGCCAAAAAUUUCUAAAAUUUUUUUCUCACUCCCAGAACACUCCUAAACUUUUCUUAGCUUCCUAUACGCCUCCUUUUCUCUCAAAUCAGUAGCUUUGCUUACUGUUUUCUGUGUGUUUGCAUCUGUUCCAGGAGGUGCUUUAUAUAGGGAUUGAUCAGGAGUUCCUGAUCAAUCCCAAUUCCUCCUUGGACGGGGAUUCAGUCUUUGAAUCCAAUUGGACUCUCUUGAUUGAAUUCCCAUUCCCAGUAGGAUUCUUCAGCUUCAAUCUUAGCCCUCCAAAAUCAAAAAUAAAAAAAAUACUAGAUAAUAAUCAGAUAAAUCAAAAGAUAUUAAAAAAAAAUAUCUGAUAAUCAGGAAAAAUCAGAACAGAUAAUUAAAAAAAAAAUAAUAAUAAAAUAAGAUAAACCCAAAAAUAUAUUAAAAAAAAUAAUAAUAAUAAUAAUAAAUAUAUAACUAUAUACAUAUAAAUCUAAUCUAAUAAAAAAAAUAAAUAAAUAUAUACAUAAUAAUAAUAAUAAAAUACAUAAAAUACAAAAGAAGAAAAAGAAAAGAAAAAAAAUACAGGAUUGAAAUGGGCCUUACCCAUUUGGGCCAGGCCCAAUUGAUCUGGGCCCGGACCCAAUUGGGUGUCUACAAACCCAAAAUGGAGAAAUAUUUUGUAAAAUUUUGCCUAAAUAUUUAAGAAUUUUAGAAAUAUUUUUCAAAACUAAAGAUUUUCAUUUUAUUCCUAAACAAAAUGUCUUAAAAAAGUUUGCAAAAAUAAAUAAAAUUAAAAAAUUAUUUUAAAUAUUAAAAUUAAGACCAAUUUUUUUAUCAAUAUCAAAGGAUAACAUGUGAUUAAUUGAUAUCUUUUUUAAACCGGAUGCUAUGAGAUGCUAAUUUUUUUCACGCAUAAUCUAACUUUCAAAUCCAUCUCUAAUUUCAAUGAUCAAAAUUAUUUUUUAUAAACUUUAAACUAGUUUUUUUAGGUUUUAAAUAGUGGUGACGAUUCUCUAUUUUGAUUUUAAAAUUUUGUCCAAGUAGUUGGAUUUCGUGACCUGUAUGUUACGACAACUAUAAUAAAAUAAAUGAUCAAUCAAAUAAAACCUAAAAAAUACUUUGUUAACUUAAUUUGGAGUUUUAAUUAUGAUCACAUGUAAAGCAGGAUCUUGAACACUAGUGUUUUAUUAAAAGAAACUAUUAAAACUUUGAAAAAUUAUUUUAAAAACACAUACACAUGCGCAUGCACACACACAUAUAUAUAACUAUAGAUUAAAAGAAUCCCCUAAAGAUUAUCAUGUUGACACCUGUUUACUAUUAAAAAGAUUAUUUUACCCUUAAUUAAUAAUAAUUUAUAUUAUUAUGUUAUUAAAACUAAUCCUAUUUUUUGUGAUCCAAAAAUUAAAAAAAAAACAAAUCCAAAAUAAUCAUUAAAAAAACAGCUUUCAUAAUCUCAAAAGAAAAAAAAUGCAAAUAUAAAUACAAAAUAAAAAAUAAAAUAAAAUAUUUAAAAAACAAAGUAAAUUCAAACAAACACAAAAAAUCAUUAGAAAAUUUUCUCAGCCUCCAUUGCUUCAAAUCACAACACCAAAAAAUUCAAAUAAAAAAAAAGAUAGCAACAAAAAUCAUCAAUAAAAAAUAGAAAAUGAGGCUUUUAGGCUUAGAGAGAUUUAAAAAAAAAAAAAAGGGAAAGUCAGUUGCAACAAAAAUAAUAACGAAAAACACCACAAGCUACCAUAUCAUGAAAGCAAAUUUGAACUUUAAAAAAAUUAAAAAUUUUCAAGGACUUUCACUCAGAUCUACAUUUUUGUAAAGAUUUUGAAAAUUCUAAACUGAUUAAAAUAAUAAAAGGCUUGAUAGAUAAAGGGAAAAUAUAAAGAGAGAAACGUAAAUAGCAAUGGUAACAGCAUCCUCAUAUCAAAAUCUAGAUAGAUGAAAAAUAUAAAGAGAAAGAUAAAAGAUAAAAAGAGAAGAAAAAGAGCAAAAUGAAACCAAGAACCCUAAGUUUAGGAAUUUACAUACAAACCAAAAUAUCAAUAGCAACAGGCAAAAAAAGAGAUGUAAAGGAAAGUUGGGCUAAUUUAAGUGAACCUAACUUGAAUUAGCUUUGAGCCUAUCAAAUUUGGGCUAGGCAAUAAUAAUUUAAACAUUUGUUAGCCCAUUUUUUUUAUUUUUUGUUUAUUUAAUUUUAAUUUUGUGCAUAAGUUAAAUUUAUCAAAUUAUUUAAAAAUGACAUAAAAAUAAACUUGUUUGAAAAUAGUAAAUAAUAAAAUAAUUAUUUUUUGGUCAAGAAUAAUAAAAUAAUUAUUUCAAUAAUAAAAACAAUAAUUUUUGUAUAAUUAAAUAAAUAUUAUAAUAAGUUUUAUUAAAUAAAAUUUGAUUUUAAAAUAAUUAAAAAACAAUAAAAAAUACAGAUAUUAUCAAUUGAUAAUAUUCAAAAAAUUUAAAUUUAAAUUAUCUAAUGAAUUAAUUAUAUAUACUUUUUAUUAAAAUAAAAACUUAAAUAAUUUAUAUUUUAAAAUAAAAAAUAACUCUAAACAAAGCUAGAGGCGAACACUAGUGUUUGUAUUUAUUAUAUCUAUAUAAAUACAUAUAUAUAUAUAUAUAUAUGUAUGUAUUAGUAAAGAAGUGUUUGGCCUAGUUUAUUCCAGAGUUUUUGUCUGCAAAAAUAUAAAUAAAAUGUUUGAUUUUCAAAAUUUUAAAGUUAUUAAUUGAAGCUUAUUUGGCUUUUUUAAACGAUGUUAUAAAUUAAAACUUUUUAAAAAAUAUUGUUGUAUGGUAACAAAUACUUUUCUAAGUUUUUUUUUACAUUCUCAUUUGUAAAUAAUUUAUAAAAUAAUAAGAAAGCAUUAUUUCACAUACAUAUUUUUUCCUUGAUCCAAAUCUUUUAUUAAUUGCAUUUAUUUUUUUAAUUUCUUAUUAAUAAAAUAUAUCUUUAUUUUAUUUAUUUGUUUGCCUUAUAAAGUUAAAACUUUUAAUUUUUAUUUAAUAAAAUCUAUAAAAAUAUUAUUAAAUAGGUUUCUUAGGUUUUAGAGAUUUUUGGCAUUAUGUUUAUCAAAUACUAUUUUAACAGUUCUUACAAAAAACUUCAAUCAAACCAAACAAACUUUAGAUAUAGUUUUGAAAAAUAAGUGAUAUUGUAAAGCAAGGACCAAAAAUCUAGAAUUACAUGCGACAAAAUUCUCAAUGUGGCUGUGGAGAUUUUUUUUUUCUUUUUCCAAUUUUCAUAAUUUUUUUAUGUUUAAAAUUUUUCUCAAAUUAACAUUAAUUAUUAAUUUUUCAAAUAGUAUAAUAAAAUUAUUAAAUUAAAUACAUUAAAAAAAGAAAAGAAAAGAAAAUAAACUUAACUGUCAUAUUGGCAAAUUAGUUGUGCGAACACAUAAUACUAGUAAUUAGACUUGUCUAUAGGUUGAAUUGGGUCAGAAUCGAGCCUAACCUAUAUAAAGUAUUAACAAGUUUCAAGCUUGCCUAGACUAGAUCCGACCCAAAAUAUGACUUCAUUUUGUUGCUUAGGCCCAACUCAUUUUUAAAAGAUGCUUAUGACCACCUAUAUUUUAUUUUUUAAAUAAAAAAUAAAAAUAAUUUUUGUAAUAAAUAUUAACUAUGAUAAAAUAAAUAAUCAACAAAUUAAAGCUUAAAAAAUAUUUUGUUAACUUAAUUUGGUGAUAAUUUUUGUAAUAAAUAUUAACUAUGAUAAAAUAAAUAAUCAACAAAGUAAAGCCUAAAAAAUAUUUUGUUAACUUAAUUUGGUGUUUGAAUGUAUUUAGUGUAUAUAGGCAUGGGAUAUUAAUGUAUAGAUAUAUGUUAUUUAAUUAUUUAUUUAUUUUUAUGUAAUAUAAAUACAAAAAUUAUAUAAUAAUUAUUUGGGUUAGUAGGGUUCAGGCCUCAAACUUUACGUCCAAGGCAUGGCACAUUUUUUAAAUAAGCCUAAAAUUUAGGUUUAAACUUCAUUUAAUGAGUUUAAAAUUCAUUUUGAAUCCCUCUCAAAUUUUGAGUAGACUUUUAGACUCAAGCAGGUAACUUGACAAUGUAAUUUAAAAGUUUAACUCAUUUAAUUCAUGCAGCUACCUUAAAAUGUGGCAUCCAAUAGGUCUAAAAUUUAAAUCUCAAUGCUUACAUAUCGUUAAAAAUUUAAAUCUCAAUACUUGCAUUUCAUUUCCAAUCUCUAUGUGCAAAAUUUUUUAUAUAUAAAAAAGCAUCUUUUUAAGAAAAAAAUUAAAAGUACUAUCUUUUUUAUAAUAAAGAUUUUAAUUUGCCUUACCUUAAGAAAAAAAUUGUUAGAAAUUAGAAGCUUUUACACCCAACCUCAACUACUUAAUUACCUAUCUAAUGUAUGAUAACAGAAUGAUUUGCGUUGAUGCAGGAGAAAAGCGAGAAGAUUGAUUGAUCCUUGCAUUUGGUAGCUUUAAUUCUUCACUAAAAUUUCUUGGUCUGCUUUGACUUUGACAUGUAUGAAACCAAGACCACUUGAUUGAUCCUUGCGUUUAGAAAACGAUCAUUAGCUUUCCUGACUUCAAAUUUUCUAAGUUUGCUUUGAUGUUUGUGGAAAGCAAGAUGACUUGGAUUGAUCCAAGGCCUAGCACUUAGAACACUGCCGCUUUUGAUGAAUUAAAAAGACAAAAGUUUCAUCGUUAUGCACAUUUCGACCGAGUAGGUUUAUAAUUUAUCCUUCUUUGGUCUCUCUCAUGGUGAAAGAAUUGCUUGCACAGUUUUGGAUUACACCAAUCACUUCUUUGAUAUGUGGUAUUAUCAAAAACUUGUCUUAGGAUUGAAUUGAAACUAAUACUCCAUAUGUCCCAAAAUCUCUAUAUCCUUAUUUGAAUUUGUGUAGAUAUUAAGAAAAAAAAUUGUGGUAAAAAUAAGUGAGCCUAAACAAUGUUCAUAUGGCACAAAAAAAAGAUUUUAUUGUAUUUUAAAAUUUUAAAAUUAUUUUUUAAAAUAUUUAAUAUUAUCGAUGAUCAAUUAUCCUAGAGGCAAACAAUAGUGUGUAUAUUUAAGUAAAGAACUGUUUGGCCUAGUUUAUUCGAGAGUUUUUUGCUGUAAAAAUAUCAAUAAAAUGUUUGACUUUCAAAAUUUUUUUAAACGAUGUUAUAAAUUAAAAUUUUUUCAAAAGUGUUAUUAUACAAUAACAAAUAUUUUUUAAAGUUUUUUUACAUUCUCAUUUGUAAAUAAUUCAUAAAAUAAUAAGAACACAUUAUUUCACAUACAUAUUUUUCUUUGAUCCAAAAUUUUCAUUAAUUUCAUUUAUUUUUUAAUUUCUAAUUAACAAAAUAUAGCUUUGUUUUAUUUAUUUGUUCACCUUAUAAAGUUAAACCUUUUAAUUUUUAUUUAAUAAAAAUCUAUAAAAAUAUUAUUAAAUAUGUUUUUUUAUGUUUUAGAGAUUUUUUGCGUUAUGUUUAUCAAAUACUAUUUUAACACUUCUUACCAAAAAAAUAAAAAAAAAGCUUCAAUCAAAACAAACAAAUUUUAAAUAUUGUUUUGAAAAAUAAGUGAUAUUGUAAAGCAAGGACGAAAAAUCUAGUAUUACAUGUGACAAAAUUCUCAAUGGGGCAAUGGAGAUUUUUUUUUUCGUUUUUCAAUUUUAAUAAUUUUUUUAAUGUUUAAUUUUUUUUGCAAAUUAACAUUAAUAUUAAUUUUUCAAAUAGUAUAAUAAAAUUAUUAAAUUAAAUACAUUAAGUACAUUAGAAAGAGAAAAAGAAAUAUAGACUUAACUGCCAUUUUGGCAAAUUAACUGUGCAAAUACAUAAUACUAAUAAUUAAAUCCGUCCAUAGAUCAAGUCGGGUAAGAUUUGGGUCUGGUCUAGAUAAAGUAUUAACAAGUUUGAAGCUUGCCUAGACUCAAACCGGCCCAAAAUAUGAUCUCAUUUUGUGCUCAGGCCUAAUUCAUUUUUAAAAGAUGCCUAGGAUUGCCUAUAUUUUAUUUUGUAAAAUAAAAAAUAAAAAUAAGUUUUGUAAUAAAUAUUAACUAUGAUCAAAUAAAUAAUCAACAAAGUAAAGCCUCAAAAAUAUUUUGUUAACCUAAUUUGGUGUUUAAAUGUAAUUAGUAUAUAUAGGCAUGGGAUAUUAAUAUACACAUAUAUAUUAUUUAAUUAUUUGUUAUUUUUAUGUAGUACAAAUAUAAAAAAUAUAUAAUAAUUAUUUAGGCUAAGGAUGGCUUGAGACUUAAACUUCAUAUCUAAGGCAUAUCACAUUUUUUAAAUAGGCUUAAAAUUUAGAUCCAAGCUCAUUUAACAACCUUAAAAUUCAUGUCAAAACCCUUCCAAAUUUCAAGUAGAUUUUCAGGCUCAAGCAGGUAGCUUGAUCAAUAUAACUUAAAAGUUUAACUCAUUUAAUUCAUAUAAUUAUUUUUAAGAAGUGACAUUCAAUAAGUCUGAAGUUUAAAUUUCAAUACUUGCAUGCCAUUUUCCAAUCUCUGGGCUAUGAAAUUUUGUAUAAAUAAAAAAACAUUCUUUUAAAGUAAAAAUUAAAAGUACUAUCUUUUUAUAAUAAAGAUAUUAAUUUGCCUUACCUUAGAAAAAAAAUUAUUAGAAAUUAUAAGCUUUUUACACCCAACCUCAACUACUUAAUUACCUAUCUAAUGUAUGAUAACAAAAAUGAUUUGCUUUGAUCCAGGAGAAAAGCGAGAAGACUGAUUGAUUCUUGCAUUUGGUAGCUUUAAUUCUUCACCUAAUAUUUCUUAGUCUGCUUUGACGUGUAUGAAACCAAGACCACUUGAUUGAUCCUUGCGUUUAGAAAACGAUCAUUAGCUUUCCUGACUUAAAAUUUCUUAGUUUGCUUUAAUGUUUGUGGAAAGCAAGAUGACUUGGAUUGAUCCAAGGCCUAGCACUUAGAACACUGCUGCUUUUGAUGAAUUAAAAAGGCAAAAGUUUCAUCGUUAUGCACAUUUCGACCGAGUAGUUUUAUAAUUUAUCCUUCUUUUGUCUCUUUCAUGGUGAAAGAAUUGUUUGCACAGUUUUGGAUUACACCAAUACGGUUUUGACAUGUGGUAUUAUCAUAAACUAAUACUCCAUAUGUCCCAAAAUCACUCUAUCCUUGUUUUAAUUUGUGUAGAUAUUAAGACAAAAAAUUGUGGUAAAAAUAAGUGAGCCUAAACAAUGUUCAUAAAAAAAAAGAAUUUAUUGUAUUUUAAAAAUUUAGAAUUAUUUUUUAAAUAUCUAAUAUUGUCGAUGAUCAAUUAUCCUAAUAUAAUCUAUAUAAAUAUAAAUACAAAAGAAUGACUGACUGCAUAUCUGUUACAAACGAGAUAGGGCUCUGUGGUGUAAAACGUGGAGUGAAGGAAUAUUAGUUAGGUCUCAAAAAGUAUACAAGUCCAAUGAAUACAAGAAAAAGAGAAAAAGAUACAUUAGUUUUAGCUAUGCUUUGUAAAAGGAGAUCAAAAUCAAAUUAAAGGGCCCAAAAUCAAAAGCUUGACUCAUUUUAUUUAUUGUGAAGACCAAGACCAUCCCAGAACGACAUUGCUCUUGAAAUUUAAUCCUGCAAUUUCAUCAAUUCCCACAGCCAUGAAUAUGAUGCAAAUGAGUUAAUUUUUCUCAACUUAAUUUCCUCACAAAUUAGUUUAUGAAUAUUUUCGUAAUUAUUUUAAAAAAUCUUCAUUUCUGAAAAUAAGUUUUUGACUCUCCUCAUAAACCAAUUUCACUUCGAGAAUUUUCAGAAAAAUUGGCACUCCAACUUUCCUUAAAAUUCCCUUUUACAAAAGGUUUCAUAUAUUAAAUUAAUUUAACUUUUAAUUAAAAAUUCCAAAUAAUUAUAUUUAUUCAUCAAAGUGCAAUUUUGUAUAAAAUUCAAAAAAUGAUAAAUUACGUUCGUCCAACUUGUUGGGCUAAAAGCCUCCAAUCCAAUCGCACCAGCGGAAGCGAAAUCAAACAAUAAAUCAAACACACAAGAGACAACAAUUUAAUGUGGUUCGGUCCAACUGACCUACAUCCACGGAUGAGAAAAAAGAUCCACUAGUUGUAGAGAAUUACAAACAUACAUCAUAUCAUCAACCCCACUCAACAAUCAAUACUCAUAAGACACUCUCAAUCUCCUCUAGUCCUAUGAAGUAUUAUCUACCCAAAUAAACACAAACCCAAACUCUUGUGCACCUUUUCAAUACAACCAAACACAUACCCAUAUGUUCCCAUACAUCAUACUUAUGUGGACCCUCUCAAUCUCCUCUAGUCCACUCACAAACAAACAUACACACCCAUAAGACGUAGAGCCCCAAUACUCCUAUGGGGUGUCUAUCCCACAAAACCCUACAACUCUCUUACAUCUUUUUUUCAUACCUAACCUUGUGGAGACUUCACCUAUUUAUAACCAUACAAACUUGCCCAUUAAGAAUCUCUCUCCUCUUAGAAUUCUUCUCCUGUAAGUCAAACUUGCCUAUUAAGAAUCCUCUUUCUCUUGGAAUUCUUCUUUUGCAAGUCUUCUUGUCCAUCAAGCAAUAUCUGAUAAAUCCCAAACAAAUCUCUAACAAAUCUCUUAUGAGAUUUGAGUCAAUAUUCCCAACACAACUAUGAAAAUUAUAUUUGUACAUUGGUGAAAAGUUAAAUAUAUUUGCCAAAUGUUAAGCAUCUUAUAGGAAAUGGUUUUGCGUUAUAUAUAUACUAAUAUUUGACGCACCCAUUAUUCAGAUGAAGUAAUAAACAAUAAUUAUACCUUUUAGAUAAAUGCAAAAAGAGAAAAAAUAUAUAGUUAUUUCAAAAUGUAAAAUAAAGAAAAAAAUAGGAAGGUAACUCGUGUAUAGUUUUGUAAUAGAGAAAAAAAUAGAGAGAAAUGUAAGUUUAAAAAGAAUUGGACUUAAAUCAGAUUUCAAAAAAUGUAAACACUAAAAUAUCCUUGUUAAUUUAUAUUUUAUUAUUGCAUUAUGAAGUUUAUCUUUUUCAAUUCUCCUAUUUGUUGCUGUUACUGGAGUCAUGUUUAGUAGGAGUUUUAUAAAUACCAAUCUUAUACACAUGCAAUAUGUGAAUGGAAUAAGAAAUAAUUUUAUAACUUAAAAAAGGUUAAAAUAAUAUUAUAUCUAUGGUUUUCUGAAAAUAUGAAUGAGGAAAAAAAUAAAAAUAACUUAUUAAAGCUGUUAUUGAGAAAAAAAAUAGAACAACUCAUUGAAAUUGUUAUUGAAAUAGGGAAAAGCAUAGGUUUUUUUUUUUUAACUACCCCGAUAAAAUUGAUGCCACUUGAUUUAUGAUACGAAACUCAGCUAAAGAUUUUAUAAAUGUACUAAAUUUUGACACAUCCACUAUGUGGAUAAAAAUUAUUAAUUAAGAAAUAAAAAUGAUGGUAAAAAAUUUUGUUUUAGUUUAAAAAUAUAAAUACAUAGAUAUUCCUAAAUAUAGAUUAUUAUUGUAAUUUAACUUUGGAUUUAAAGUAAAUUUAUCAACUUGGUUUUUGAUUCUUGAUAAAAAAUAAAUUAGUAUUUGAUUAAGUCAUGACACCGACUCAAUCAAUCCCUUUAAUAUUAGUGUAAAUAUAUAUAUAUAUAUAUUCACAAUUUUGCUUAAAAAAUAAAUUUAAGAUUUUAUUUAGCAUAAAAAAUUAAAGAUUCUAUUGUAUUCUGGUAACAUUAUUAUUACCUUUGAAAAAAAUUUCUAAAACAUCAUAAUCUAUCAUCUAUCAUAAAUUGAAAUUUUGUCCAAUUUGAUGGGUACUCUUUGACAUCUUGUUAGGAAAAUUGAGAGUUGUAUUGGACUCAUUUUAAGACGUUGGAUAAAUUUUUUAUUUGGCUUUAUAUUUAAGGUCUUAUUAUGUUUUUUUUUAAUUUUAUAAAUAUAAAAUCAUCCAUUAUUUUUUUAUUUAUUUGAUGUGUUAAUUUUAAAUUUUUAUAAUUUAAUUUAUCUCUUCGUUAUGUUUAUUUAAGUAAUUCAUUUGUUGACCUUUUAGGGUGCUUUGAUAUUAAUUAAAUAUUAAUUUGAGAUUAUUAGUAUUAUAAAUAGAUUGUGUUUGUUAAUUUAUUUAUGUUUUAAUUAUCUAUAAAAAUGAUUAAAAUUAUCAUCAUUACAUGUAAUUGGCAUUUAUAUAUUGAGUGUUUAAGUGAUAAAAAAAGUAAAAAAAUAAAAAAUAAAAACCGAUAUCUAAUAAGUUUUCAAAAUUGAAAUCUUGUAUUUUAUAAAGGAUCAAGCUGCAAUUUAAGAAGAAGCAAAGAAUUUAAUAUGUUGAGAUUCAAAUUUCAAAAUUAUUAAAUAUCAUCUCCUAAAAUUAAGUUAAACCCUUAAUUCAAACUUGAAGUCUUUUCAUUAUUUGUAAAAAAUUUCAACAGCAUUAACUAUUGGGCUAAUCAUCUAUCUAUUAAUAUAAUUAAUUUUACUCAUGUACUAUCACUUUUGGGUGUGUCACAUGUCACACGCUCAUCUUUUUUUUAUUUUUUUUAUUUUAUCUGUUUUUAAAAAUAUUUAAUAAAUUUUUUAAAAUCUAAAAAAUUUAGUUUUUAAGAUUUUAUUCUUUUAUAUAUGGGAUCCAUUUAUAUAAAAAGUUUUCUUUUUUCACUUUUCUUUUUUAACCUUUUUUGCUUUUCUCUUUUUAUAUUUCUAUAAAUAUUUAAUAAAUAUUUUUUUAGAUUUUAUUUUUUUGUAUGGAACCCAGUUGAUACCAAGAGUGCCACGUAUUUUUUGGACCUUUUACAUUUUUUAUUUUUUAAUAUAUUUAAUAAAUAAUGUUUUUAUAAUUUAAUUUUUUUAGACCCACUUUAUAUCAAUAGUAUUUCAUGUGUCAAGUUAUUUGAUUAUUUUUUCACUUUUUCUAUUUUUUUCUAUUUAAUUUUUUAAAUUUUUUAUAUUUAAUAAAUAUUUUUUAAUGUUUUUUAAAAUUUUUUAUAUUUUGAAUCUCAAAAUUAUUGGAUACCACAUCUUAAGAAUAUGCUAAACUCUUGAUUCAAACUUGAAGUCUUUCCAUUAUUUGUAAAGAAUUUCAAUAGCAUUAACCAUUGAACUAAUAAUCUAUCUAUCUAUAUAGUUAAUUUUACUCAUAUCGAUCACCUUGGGUGUGUCACGUGUCACAUGCUUAUUUUGUCCUUUUUUUUUAUUUUUUUUACUUUAUCUUCUUUAUUAAAUAUUUAAUAAUUUUUAAAUGCUAAAAAAUAUAGUUUUUUAGAUUUUAUUCUUUUUUAUAUGGAAUCCAUUUAUAUAAAAACUUUUCUUUUUUUGCUUUUCUUUUUUUAACUUUUUUUGCUUUUCUCUAUUUAUAUAUCUAUAAAUAUUUAAUAGAUAUUUUUAAAUUUUUAUUUUUUUAUAUGGAACCCACUUGAUACUAAGAGUGCCGCUUGUUUUUUUUUUUACUUUUUACUUUUUUAUUUUUUAAUAUAUUUAGUACAUAACUUUUUUAGAUUUUAAUUUUUUUAUACCCAUUUGAUAUCAAUGAUUGAUUAUAUAUUAGAUAUUUGAUUACUUUUUUUCACUUUUUCAUUUUUUCUAUAUACUUUUUUAAAAUUUUUAUAUUUAAUAAAUAUUUUAAAAUUUUUUAAUAUAGGGCUCAAUUGAUAUUAUUAUUUAAAAUAUAUAUUUUACUUUUUUAUUCAGCAUUUUUUUAAUUUGAUUAUUUUUAAGGAAAAAGAAUAUUAAUGAAGGAAUCGAUAUCAUUCCCAGAUUUGAUUUUUUUUAAUUUUUUUUUAAAUCCAUGAUAUAAAAUUUUCAAGAAAUAGUCAUCAUUGCUAAUGUCAAAUGGUAAUUCAACUCUUUUCUUUUUUUCUUCUUUUUUGUUCAUCUUUCAUCUUUUCUUUUAUUUUUUUAGUUUUUCUUCCUUUUUUUAUUCUAAAUUAGAUCAUUUUUUAGAAAAAAAAAGUCAAUAAGUAUGUACACGUGGCACCCUAUUUCGUUUUUUGCCUUUCACCUUUUUUGUUUAUAUUUUUUAAUUAGAUAAAUUUUACACUAAGAGAAAUUGGUAAAUAAAUUUUUGAAGAAAAAUGUCAAUAAAAGUACAUAUGAUAAAACAACCCAUAUUUGGUAGAUUUCAAUUCAUUUGGAUCCAACAGGUGAUUUUUUUUUUAAAUUUGGGAUUGGAUUAAAAUUUUUUUUUCAAAAAUUAAGGUAAAGUCAGAUACAAGUUUGUGGUGUUUUAUCCCACCUAGGUAUAUAUAUUACAUAUUUUAUCAUUAAUUUAAUUUUAUAUUUAUAUAUGUAUUAUAAUAAUAAAAUUAUUAUUUAAUACUUUAAUAUAAUACAUCCAUGUGCCAUAUCCAUUUGGCUUAUUUUUCUUUUCUUUUUUCUGUGUCAUUUCUUUUUUUUUUUUUUAAGUUUUUUACUUUUUAACAUUUGAUAAAUUUUGUAAGAAAAGGUAAAUGGAUAUAGUGAUGACAAAACAAAUUAUAUCCCAUUCGUAUAUAUUCAUCUAGUUCUGAUAUGUGCCAGUUUUUAAAAAAUUUUAGAUUAGGUCAAGGUUUUUAUUUUUCUAAAAUUGAGGUCGGGUCAGAGACAGGUUUAGGAUCUUUUGUCUUAUCUCGAGUAUAUAUAUAUAUAAAUUAUAUUUUUAAUUAUUUAUUUAAUUUUAAAUUUAUAUUAUAUUUAUAUAUUAUUAUAUUAAUAAAGUUAAUAUUUAAUAUCUUAAUUUAAUAAAAAUAAUUUACUUAUAUAUAAUUAAGAUUUAUCCAUCCAUCCACUAUAUAAAUUUUAUUUAUUUUAACUUUCAUUUAAGGUGUUGACGUGACACCUUUAAUUUUUUUAAAAAAUUAUUUAUAUAAAUUAGUUAAAAAUAAACCAAAUGAAAGUGUCCAUGCAAUACUUCAAAUUGGUUUUUUUUUUCUUUUGUUCUUUUUUGUUCAAUGUUAAAAAUUUUAUUCAUGUCGUGUUCGUGUCAAAUAAUAAUAACACUCUUAAGAUAUAGUACUGUUCAUAACAUAAAAAAAGUAUUUUAAUUUUUUAAAAAUAAUUUAAUAAUCAUAUUUAUCAUAUCAUUUUGGUAUUUUAAUAGAUUAUAAAUAUUUAAUUUUUAAAUAAUUUUUUGUUUAAAUACUAAUUUAAAUAAUAUUUUUUGUUUAAAUAAAUAGAUUAAUCGUGUCUAAUCUUGUUAUUUGAAUAUAAUCAUGUUAAUCAUAUCACAUUGUGUCAUAUUAUUUUGAUAAUUACUUGUGUCUAAUCGUGUUAUUCAUAUAUAAUCGUAUUAUCGUGUCGUGUCAUGUAGUGAUGUAUUAGUUAGGUAUAAAUUAAUUUUAAAUAUAUUAAUUGUGUCAUAUUAUGUGUAAUACGUGUAAUAAAUAUAUCGUGUUUGUGUUUAAGUUAUUCGUGUUAUUCAUGUAUUCAUGUUGUGCUCAUGUUAAGAUUAUUCGUGUCGUGUCUGAAAUUGUAUCUGACAUGAAACAUGACACAAUGACAUAAAUAAUCAAGUCUAAUAGAGAUACCAAAACAAUUCGUAUUCAAUGAGUUUAAAUUGGUAUCGAGUUUGGAUAGGUUAAGUGUUUUUUAUAAGAUAUGAUAUUGGAGUGGAAGCAUGUUUGGGAUGCUUUAUCCCAACUCAUUUUGGUUUAUAUAAAAAAAUAUAUAUUUUAUUAUUAAUUUAAUUUCAUAUUUAUAUAUGAAUAAUAUUAAAAAAGUUAUUAUUUAAUAUUUUAAUUUAAGAAAUUAAUAUUUUAAACUCAAUGUGGGUGUCCUUAUGGCCCCCUCUAUAAGUUAUUUUAUUUCAUUUUUAAAAAAAUUUUUCUUUUAUGUUAUUUUUAUUAUUUUUUUAUUAUAUAUUUUGUGAGUAUAUGAGGUAUCCAUGUGUCUACCUUAUUUGUUUUUUUUUUUUGAACUUUUUGUCUUUUUUUUAAUUAGAUAAAUUUUACAAAAAAAUAGUAAAUAAAAAUGGCAAAAAAAAUUUAGACCUGUGGCAAUGCUUGGUUAUCCAACUAGUCUUAUAUAUUAAUUUUGCUCAUGUAUGGUUAGCAUUAAGAGUGCCACACAUCAUACUAAAGUUUUCUUUUUUCUUUUUUGUUUUUUUUUUGUUUUUUACUUUUCUCCUUUUCGAUUUUUUUCUAUCUUUUAAAAUUUAAUAAAGAUUUUUUAAAUUAAUAAAAUAUAUAUUUUAAAGAUUUCAUUUUUUGCAUGUGUGAUUCACUUAUAUCAAGCCUUUAUUUUUUUAUUGUUUUUCUUUUUUUGCCUUUUUUACUUAUUUUCUUUUUUUAAAUAUUUAAUAAAUAUAUUUUAGAUUUCAUUUAUUGCAUGUGUGAUUCACUGAUACCAAGCUUUUAUUUUUUAUUGUUUUUGUUUUUUUGCCUUUUUUACUUAUUUUCUCUUUUUAAAUAUUUAAUAAAUAUAUUUUAGAUUUUAUUUUUUUGUAGGAUCCACUUGAUACGGAGGGUAUAAUUUUUAUAUUUAAUAAAUGAUCUAAUAAAUUUUUUUUCUUUUUUACCUUUUCCUUUUUUUAUAUAGUUAAUAAAUAAUUUUUCAGAUUAUACUUUUUUUUGUGAAACUCACUUGCCAUGUGUUAAGCCAUUUAACUUUUUUUUUUUACUUUUUUAAUCUUUUUCUCCAUUUAUUUUUUCUUUUUUCCUUUUAAAUAUUUAAUAACUAUUUUUAAGUAUUUUAAAAUUUCUUAAUAUGGGUUUUUAUGAUAUUACUAUUAUAAUAUAUAUUUUUCUUUCUUUUGUUAAUUUUUUAAUUCAAUAAUUUUUAAAGAAAAUAAUUUAGUUGUGGUGUCGAUGUCACAUCUAGAUUUUAUUUUAUUUUCUCUUUUUUAGUACUUUCCUUUUUUAAUCUUUUUUUUUUGUUUUCUUAAAUGUGUAAUAUAAAUUUUUCAAGAAAAACUAAAUAUUAUGAAUGUCGCAUGGCACGUCAACUUUUUUUUAUUAUUUUUUACUUUUUGUCUGUUCUUUUUUCCUUUUUUUUUUAUUUAAUUAGAUCAUUUUUUCAGGAAAGCCCUAUUUCACUUUUUUUUUAUUUUGCUUUUUGUCUUUUUUACUUUUAAUUUUUUAAUUAAAUAAAUUUUACAAUAAAAAGAAAUCGAUUAAUAAAUUUUAAAAAAAUCUAAAUGGAGCUAUGGAGACAAAAUAACUCAUAUUCGAUGGAUUUUGAUUCAUCUGUAUCUAUUAGGUGCAUUUCUUUUAAAUAUAGGAUUGAAUUGAGUUUUUUCCUCAAAAUGGAAUUUAGGACGAAUGUGAGUUUAUGGUGUUUUAUCCUUCUUGAGUAUAUUUAAAUAUAUAUUUUAUUAAUUAUUUAAUUUUAUAGUUAUAUAUAUGUACUUUAUUAAUAAUUAUAAAUUUAUAUCUUAAUUUAAUAAAUUUACUUGGUAUCCCAUUUGGCUUUCUAUUAUGUUUUUCCUGCUAUUUCCUUUUUUUUAAGUUUUUAGUUUUUUGAAAAUUAGAUAAAUUUUGUAAGAUAAAAGUCAAUGGAUGUAAGGAUAUAAUGUAAACACUUAAUUUUGUUCAGAUUUAGAAAUGAGUUUUAAGCUAAUUGUUAUUUAUUUUCUAAGUUCAAUUGCACUUAAUUUUAAUUAAAAGGCAGGUUCGGGCCUAAAAGCCCAAAUCCCUAUAAUGAAAUCAAAAUAUUAAGGCCUUAAUUGUUUUUUAUUUUUUUUUGAAUAAAAAUUAAAAAAAGCAAAAAAGAAAAAAGUCAAAAAAAAGAAGGAAUCGCUAUGGAGUUGGUAGAAUUGGUAGGAGUUUAAAGUCCGAAUUCGAACUGCCAGCCACUUUGUCACCACCACUCUUUUUAGCAUAAUUUUUAGCAACAACAGUCAAUGGCACCUUUAAAAGUCUUAAGUAAUCCUAGAAAAUUUGGGAUUUGAGUCUCUAAUUCAUUCUAUAAAUUAAGAUUCAAACAUUGAAAAAAUGGAGACAAAAAAAUUGAUCACCAAUUCCACCAACAACUGUUGACCACUUAUCCAAAAACACACCUAACUCACCACCACUCACAAUAUUCAUUGCCAACACCAACAACACACAAAUGCCAUCACCUACCAAUGCCCCUCCAACAGCUGAAACCAACAACCCAUUGCAAAGAACAUAAACCCAAAAGGUAGCUAUUGUCGCCCACUAACCACAACCAAUAACCUAAACUACCUAAAAUCCCAUUUGAUUGAGACCCAAAAGAAAGUAAGCAAAAUAAUAAAAAAAUCCAUGUUCUUUUCAGAGGAAGCCAUAGCGUUAAAAGCAAAAAAAAAAGCACAAAAAAUACAAGAACAACAGCAUAAAAAAUAAAGAAUAAAAAAAAACAAAAACUAAAAAAGUGAGUUUGGUUAGAGAGGCUUUUCAGUUCUAAGUUUUUCAAAAGGUUUCAAGGCUUUAAACUUAAUAAGGAGAGGAGCCAUAAAAGAUGAACAUACUUAAAAAGGGGGCUAUUUGAGCAAUGAGAAAAAAGGUGUUUUAGGUAUUCUGGUCGUGAGUUGUAUGCUUAGAUCUAGGAAUUUUGAGUUGAUUUUUGGGAAAUCCAUCUCGAUAAGGUGAAAAAGGAGAUCAAAAGGAAAAUAUGUUGAAAUUUGGACUCAAAAGAAAGUCGGCUAGCAAUGACUGACAGAGGCAACAAUAGCACCCGGUCGGAUUUUAGGAAUAGAGGUGGUUGUUGGGUUUUUGUUUAGAAAGUUGAAAGAGUUUUGAGAGAUUUUUUUAAAAAGAAAAGAUAAAAUGAAUCUAAAAAAAAGUUUGUUUUUAUACCUAUUAAAAAGAAAGCUUUGACCUGUAUGUGGACCUAGAUUCGACAUAAGGUUCACACAUUCAAUUUGCACUCAGUUCUAUUGAUAGCCCUAAACCGAUUCAACUGAACCAUCACUAAACCGCUAUAAAACCAUUGGGCACACUCUCAAAAUUGAGACUGGUUCAACUGAACCGCUCUAAACUAAAAAGAGCCAAGCUAAACCGCCAAUGAACUAUUCCAAACCUCCAAGAAUCGCUCCAAACCGCCUGAGUCGCUUUUGACUUUGACCAACUUGAUCAAGGACAUUUUUGGUAAUUUUUUAUCUUUUUUAUUUAUCUUUUUUUUUCUAUUUUUUAUUAUCUUCAUUCCUAUUUUUGUGAUUGUUUAUUUUAUUAUAUUUGUGUAGUCUUUGACAAGGCAUUAGAGAUAUUUUUAAUUUGUGUGGAAAAUAAAAAUGUUUUGGUUUAAAAUUUAUUUAAAGAAAAGGUAAGAAAUAUUUGGUAAAAUAUAAAAAUUUCCUAAAUUCCUUGAGAAUAAAAACAAAUGUGAAAAAGAUUUAUGAAAAAAUUGAAAUAUUAAUUUUUUUAAAAAAUUUUAAGCAUAAAAAUAAAAUAAAUAAUAUAAAAUUUGAAAAGUGUUAAAAAAAAGUUAAAAUAUCAAUUUUUUCUUAGAAUAAAUUUUUGAAAAUAUUUAGCAAAAAAUUGAAAUAUCAAAUUUUCUUGAAUUCUUUGAAAAUAAAAAUGAACUAAAAUAAACAAAAUAAAUUGAGAAAAAAGUUAAAAUAUCAAUUUUUUAGAAUAAAAUUUUGAAAAUGUUUAGGAAAAAGUUGAAAUAUUAAUUUUUUAAUUAAAAAAUAAAAAUUUUUGCCUUGAAUAUUCCAAUGAUGAAAUUACUAGAAAAUUGCAAUAGCAAUUUCUAUGUAAAUCCCUAAAUGAGAUAUUAUUUUUCGAAUGCUAUUAAAAUAUUAGAGUAUUUGGAAGAUUUUUUCAUAUAAAAAAUUCUAAUAAAAAAUGUUUUGAAUCCAAUGUCGGAGCCUAUUCAAGAGUGAUAAUAGAUAUCUUGAGUACUUUUAAUGUGAGGGCAUAUUCUUAAUUUUUCACUAAAAUAUUAGAGCAAUUUAAGAAUAAUUUCUAAUUUUAAAUUUUUUUGAAAAUAUUUUAAAGAAAUUUUGCUAAGCUUAAUGGAUAACAUAAAAUCAAUUGAUACCGUCUUCGAACGAGGGUUAUGAGGGUGCUAUAACCUUCCCUAUAAAUAACUGUACUCUAGAACUCAACUUUGAUUUGUAUACCAAAAGAUUUUUAGUAAAACUUAAUUAAUUUUAAGUUAAUUAAAUGAUAGAUUUUUGGGCGUUUAGUUGCACAUAAACAAAAAAGAUUGGUAACAACUUUUGUUUUUGGGUCUAGCGAUCAAAAAAUCGUUAAGAUAGGCAAAAAAAUCCAUAUCUUAUAGGUUUUGAUUUGUCAGAUCCGAUAUGUGUCAAUUUUUAAAUUAUUCAAAAUCUGGUUGAAAUUUUUUCUUUUUAAAAUUGAAGACAUGUCGGAGGCAGAUUUAAGGUAUUUUGUUUUUCUUCAAGUAUAUAUAAUUACAUUUUUAAUUAAUUAUUUAAUUUUAUAUUUAUAUAUAUUAUAUUAAUAGAAUUAUUGUUUGAUAUUUUAAUUAAAUAAAAAAAUUAGAUGUAUACAUAAUCAAGAUGUAACCUGUCCAUCUAUCAAUCAAUCCAUUAUAUAAAUUUUAGGCUAAAUGGUAUAAAUGUCCUUAAACUAUAAUUAAAAAAUAAUCUAAACUCUUAUUUUUUAUUGUAAUCAAUUAACCCCUUAAACAUUUAUUUGCAUCCAAUUUAAUCCUUAUUUGAAUGAAAAUUUAACACCAUUAAUUUUUUUGCUAACUAAGAUAAAAUUCUAUGUGAUAUCAAUAAAAUAGAUGAAACUUUACCAUGUGACAUAAUUAAUAUAUGUGAAAAUUAAAUAAGAUAAAAUAAACCUUUCUUUUUUUUUUUCUUUUUUUCUUCUUUUUCUUUGUCUUUGUCUUUCUAAGAUUCCUAUAAGUAUUUAAUUGACUAUAGUUUGAGGAUUAAUUGAUUAAAAUUUGUCACGUGAUUAGAUUUCAUCCAUUUAAGUAUUCAAUUGGGUUGAAAUAAAAUAUUAAGAGCUUGAUUGAUUGUAAUAAAAUGUUAAGGGCUUAAAUGAUUAUUGAAUUAUAGUUCAAGGGCAUUUAACCUUUUAGCCUAAAUUUUACUUAUUUUGACUUUUGUUACACUCUCAUUCAAGGUGUUGAUCUGGCACCUUAGGUUUUUUUUUCCUUUUUUUUAGCUUUUUAUUUUUUUAAUUUAGAUAAAUUUUUUGAAAAAAAAUAAAUGAAGGUGUUCACGUAAAUCCUCAAUUUGUUUUUUUUUCCUUUUUUUUUUAAUUUUUUUAAUUACAUAAGUUUUUGAACAAAAAAUGUUGAUGAAUAAAGAUAGCAAAAUAAUUCAUGUCCGAUGGGUUUCAAUCUAACUCGAUCAGACAAGGAGGUGAUUUUUUUUUUACUUUUUUCAUUUUCAUUUUUGUUUAUUGUUUAAUUAGAUAAAAUUUGUAAGAAAAUAAUACCAAUGGAGAUGCCACAUAGUACUCUUAUUUAUUUAUUUUCUUCCAUAUGUUCUUUUGUUUUUAUUUUUUAUGUUUUUUAAUUAGAUAAUUUUUACAACAAAAUAAGCCAGUUGGCAAGGAUGGCAAAACAAUCAGUAUUUGAUGGGUUUGAAUCCUCUUGAUUCAAUGAGAGCGUUUUUGUAAAAAAUUAGUAUAGAGUAAUAUCGAAUAGUUUUUUCAAGAGCUGGUCAAAAGUGGAUUUAGGGUGUUCUACUCCAAUCCACCAUGUACCAUAUAUAAAGGUAUAAAUUUUAUUAUUUAUUUAAUUAUAUAUGUAUUAUAUUGAUAAAAUUAUGAUUUUAUGUAUUAUGUUAAACUCAAUUUGAAUUUCCAUUUGACGGUACUCCAAUGAUCUCUCUUUUUCUUUUUUUAUUGUUUCUUUUCAUUUUCUCAUUUUUUUAAUAAAGUUAUUAUUUUAUAUCUGAAUUUAAAAGAUUAACAAUUUAAGCCUAAUUGGAAUGUACACGUAAUAGUCCAAUGUGCCCCAUUUUCCUUUUCUAUUUUUAUUUUUGUUUUUUUUCUUUCUUUACUUUUUUUCCUUUUUGUUUUUAUUCUUUUUUAUUAAAUUAAUUUUCAAAAAAAUGAGACUAAUGGAAGUGUACAUGUGACAUUCUCAUUUGGAAUUUUCCUUUUCACUGUUUAUUAUAUUUUUUUAGAGAAAUUUUAUAACAAAUGUUGUUAAUUGAUAAAGAUACCAAAACAAUAUGUAUUUGAUGAGUUUUGAUUUAUCCUGAGAUCCGAUAUGAGGCAUUUUUUUGUUAAUCAGGAUCGAGUUGGGAUGGGUUAAGUUUUUUUAAGAAAAACUAGAUUAAAGUGAAAACAUGUUUAGGGUGCUCUCUUUCCUGACCCAUUUCGAGCUAUAUAUAAAAAUAUAUAUUUUAUUAUUAAUUUAGUUUUAUAUUUACAAAUAUAUAUUAUAUUAAUAAAGUUAUUAUUUAUUACCUUAAUUUAAUAUAUUAAUAUUUUAAUCUCAAUAGAGGUGUCCAUGUCACACCCUCUAUGAGUUGUCAUAACGUUUAGAUUCAGGGAUCUAUCGCUAGAUAUUACUUUAGGAGUCGCCACCAAUCUUUUUUAUUUAGGUGCGAUUGGCCACCUAAAGAAUCUAUCCUUUCAAGGAACAUCUAAGCUCGACUAAGGGUCCCUAAAAAAAUAGGUUCAGGUCUAUUAACUAGAACAGGGUUCGGGAGUUCGAUUACGAGUGAGGAAGGUUAUAGCACCCUCACAAUGCCCAUCGAAAGAUGGUACCAGCUCAAAUUCGUGUUAUCCAAUAAGCCUUAAAAAUUUUACCAAGUAAUUAAUUAUUGAAAAUUAUUCUUAAUUAACUCCACUACUUUUGACAGAAAAUUAAGAAAAUCCCCUCACCUCAAGAGUAUGCAAGAAAACUACUAUUUCACUUACAAAUAUUCCAUCGUCGGAUUAUUUAACAUUUAAAAAAAAUUCAAGAAAGAAAAAAAAAGAAAUAAAAUAAAACAAAACAAAAAGGAAUAAUGACUCAACUUUUUGAUACAAAUCCUUUUCUUUUUAUCUUUUUUUUUUAAAAAGAACUCAUUGCUUUUGUACAAGAAAAAUUGAUACUUUCAACUUUUCCUUAAAAUGUUUUUCUUGAUAAUUUUUAUUUUUAAGAAAAUUGGUACUUCCAACUUUUUCCCAAAAAUAUUUUUUUUUAAUUUUGAAAUUCUAAUUUUGAGAAAAUUGAUACUUUCAACUUUUCUUUAAAAUACUUUUUUAAAAUUUUAUUUGAAAAAUUUUAUUUUUAAGAAAAAUUGAUACUUUCAACUUUUUCCUAAAAAUAUAUUUUUUUAAACAUUUUAUUUUUCAGAGAAAUUGAUACUUUUAACUUUCUCUUAAAAAAAUAUUUUUUGUGUUCAAAGAAAAUUGAUACAAUCAACUUUUCUUCAAAAAUAUUUUUUAAAAAAUUUAUCUUUAAGAAAAAUUGAUACUUUCAACUUUUCUUCAAAAUAUUUUUUUUUGGAAAUUUUUAUUUUUUUAAAAAUAAUUAUUGAAAGAAAGAAAAAAAUUAAAAUUAAAAUUAAGGAAUACCAAAUAAUUUUAAAUUAAUAAUAAUAAUAAUAAAUAAAAUAAAAUAAAAAUAAAAUAAACCUUUAAUCAGCUCGACUAGGAGUUGAAAUCGACUCGACUAGAGGAAGAAAAACGGCUCAAGAAUGCGGCUCCAAUAGAAUCGGCUAGGCUCAGUUUGAUGGUUGAGGCACGGGUUGAAAGCGGGUUGCACUGCGGGUCGGGUCGCUCGAAUGAAAAACACGCGGAUCCUGGGUUUUCUUUAAACUCAAAUAGCAUCAUUUUUCGGUAUUAUAAAAGGCAAAUUUCAGCCUUUUUUCAGCAGAAUUCUCUUCCACCCUCUCUCUCUACUCCCCUUUUCUCUCACUCUCUCUAUCCCCUUCAAGAACAUCGGUUAAAAUUUAACCGAAUUCUGAAUUCUCAUCGAAAUCUGGGUUGUUCCUUGGAAGUUCCUCGGAAGGUUGGUCGAUUUCUAGAAAUGGCAAGCCGAAAACUGGGUAACAGGUUGAAAAAUUCAACAGGUGCCAGAAAGGUAGCCGAAAAAUUCAAAUAUCGCAGGAAAAAUCAACCGAAAUCUGGAAUUUUCAAAAAUUCCCAAAAAAAAAUCACCAAAAAUUCCCCAAAAUUUUUUUUAAAAUCUUUAAGAUUGCUUCUAACCUUUCUAAAUGCCUUUAUGCUUUUCUUUGCUUCUUGUGUGUUCUUUCCAUGUCCUUGGUUCUGUUUCAACAUUUGUUUAUAGGGAUUGAUCAGAAGAGUUUCUGAUCAAUCCCAAUUUCAUCUAGGAUUGGGAUUCAAACUUUGAAUCCAAUCUCAACUCUGCCAGUCCCCAAAUUCAUGGCCAAAUUCAUCCAAUUUUUCCUAAUCCUAAUCCCAGUUGAAAAUUGAUCAAGAAAAAGGAUAGAAAUAAAAAUAAUAGAUAAAUAAUAAAAUAUAUUAAUAGAUAACUAAAACAUAAUAAUAAUAGAUAAAUAAAUAAAAAAUAUUAAUAGAUAAAUAAUAAUAAUCAUAAUAAUAAUGAAAAAUAAUUAAAUUAAAUUAAAAUUAAAAAAAAUGAGCCCAUAUUACCCAUUUGGACCAGGCCUAAUUGAUCUGGGCCUAUAUCAAAUUGGGUGUCUACAGCUGCCCUUCUUUGCACAUUUUCUGUGAAACAAGAAUUGUGCAAAGACAUAGACACUCAUUCAAGACUUAACUCGACACUUUUUUUUCCUUUUUUUUGUUGUUUUUUUGGUUAAAAUUUUGAUCAAAGCUCCUUUAAGUAGAGGCUCACGACUUUGAGUAAAAUAAACAAAGCUCCUCUAAGUAGAGGCUCAACGACUUUUGAAAAAUAAACAAAGCUCCUCUAAACAGAGGCUUAAAGACUUUUGGAAAGUAAAUUGCUCCUCUAAACAGAGGCUCAAUAACUUUGGAAAAAUAAACAAAGCUCCUCUAAACAGAGGCUCAAUGACUUUUAAAAUAAAUAAAGCUCCUCUAAACAAAGGCUCAAGACUUUUGGAAAGUGAAUUGCUCUUUUAAACAGAGGCUCAAUGACUUUUGAAAAGUAAAUUGCUCCUCUAAAUAAAAGCUCAACAACUUUGAAAAAAUAAACAAAGCUCCUCUAAACAAAGGCAACAGAACUUUUGAGAGAAUAAAUGGCUCCUCUGAAUAGAGGCAACAGAACUUUGAGAAAAUAAAUGGCUUCUUUAAAUAGAGGCAACAGAACUUUGGGAAAAAUAAAUUGCUCUUCUAAAUAAAGGCAACAGAACUUUGGGGAAAAUAAAUUGCUCCUCUAAAUAGAGGUAAUAGAACUUUGAGAAAAUAAAUUGCUCCUUGACAAUCAUGCCUAGAGGAGUCAAAGAUCAUGUUUAAAAAAAUUUUAGGAGAUCAUGCCCAAGGGUUUUACAAAUCGAUCAUGAUACUAAGAGAUAUCUUUUUCCAAGGAUUAGAAACUUACCUCACAAGCUUUUUCUCAAACGAGAAUUGGAAAAUAAAAAAGUCUUCACAUCUGUCUUCUUCAUGUGGGAUCUUGGAAUAUCCCUACUCUUUGAAUUUAUACACUAUACUUUCUUGAAUGCAGUAUAUGUUAUGCGAAAUGCAAUGCGUGUGAAAUUCAAUGCAUGCUAUGCAAAUGCUGGCUAAUUAAUUCCUAUCCAAUUAUGGUACUCAAGUUUUUCAAGCUUUUCUUGGGCCUCGAACCUUUUGUUCUUCAAAGACCAAGUCAGCGUAACUUUCAAUCAUCUCUUUCAUUUAAUUCUCAUAUCCUUUCUACAAAUAAUCUCUUUCUAAAUUUAAUGUCCUUAUUAGGAAUUGAACAUCUCUUUAUCACUUCUACUCCUUUCCAAUGUAAUGUAAAAAUAUUUCAUGUUAUUAUUUAUUUAUCAAUCAUUAUUUCAAUAUCAAAAAGUAAGAAUGUAUUCACACAUUUCUUCCAUUGCAAGGUAUUAAUGAGAAAAGAAUAAGAAUGGUUAGGAAAUAAUCAAUAGAAGAGGCACACAAAGAAUGAAGAAAAUGUCUUUUAUUAGCAAAAAGUUGGCAAACUUUGGCCAAGAAAGAAUUACAAUGAUAUGUAUGGGGAGACAAUGCUUAAAAAUGAACAGUCGAACAAUCAAGAUAACACAUAUCAAGGUUCUUCUGAAAACCCAACCAUCUGAUGCACUUAACAACUUAAAGCUCCUCCGAAUUUGCUAGCCUCCAUGCCAAUGAAUUUUUAGAUUUGAUGCUGUAUUCUCCUUAUCUAAGUUGCCUUUUCAGGUUUUUUAACUUAUAUAAAUCUCUUAUGACUCAAACCGCCCUUUUAGGGUUUUCGCUUUGAGUCAUUCUUUUUCAUUCCCUUUUUUUCUUUUUUUUUCUUUUUUUUUUGUCUUUUUUUAUCUUUUUUUUUUUAAAGCAUAGUACUUCUUCAUAGCAUCGAAAUUUAUAAGAUGAGACAAAUCAAUUUCAUCUAUCUUAGCCAGUAUCAAUGCUCCACCUGAGAAAACCCGUUUCACCAUAUAUGACCCUUUUUAAUUUGGAGUCCAUUUUCUUUUAUUAUCGUAUUGAUUUGAGAGAAUUCAUUUCAAGAUCAACUUUUCUUCUUGAAAGCAAUGGGGUCAAACUUUUUUGUCAUGUGCUCUUAUCAUCCUUCUUUGAUAUAGCUAACCAUGGCAUAAUGCAAUCAACCUCUUUUCCUCAAUAAAAUUUAACUGUUCAUAGUAUUUUCGAACCAAUUUAGCCUAUUCUAGUUUAACUUCCUUCAGAACCCUCAAGGAUAGGAUCUCUACUUCUAUUGGUAAUAUAGCCUCCAUCUCAUAAACUAAAGAAAAUGAAGUUACCUCAGUAAAGGUAUGCACUAUCAUUCGAUAUGCAUGCAGUGCAAAUGGCAACUUCUCAUGCCAAUCUUUAUAGGUUUCGAUCAUCUUCUCAAAUUUUUUUUUAUAUUUUGUUAGUUACCUCAACUGCCCUAUUCAUUUUCGAACGAUAUGGUGCUGAGUUAUGCUGCUUGAUCUUGUAUUGGACACAUAUUUCUUGCAUCAUCUUACUGUUCAGAUUCUUAGCAUUGUCUGAAAUGAUUCUCUUCAAAAGUUCAUAUAUGCAGAUGAUCUCUUUUUUUAUGAACUUACAAACCACAGAUCAUGUUACAUUUGUAUAUGAUGCUACCUCAACCUAUUUCGUGAAGUAAUCUUUCAUCACGAAAAUAAAUGUAUGCCCAUUAGAAGCCUUUGGGAUAAUAAGACCAAUGACAUCCAUGCCUCAUAUCGAGAAUGACUAGGGUGGUGCCAAAAUAUGUAGAGCAGAUGGCGGAGCAUGGAUCUUGUCAGCAUAGAUCUAGCAUUUAUGACAUUUACGAGCAUAGUCAAUGCAAUCACUCUCCAUUGUCAACUAAUAGUACCCUGUUCUCAUGAUUUGUCUUACCAUCAUAUGUCCAUUGGCAUGUGUCCCACAUAUUUCAUCAUGCACCUCUUCAAUAAUUUUUUUUGCCUCAACUUUACUUACGUAUCUCAGCAAUACUUGAUCAUGGCGCUUUUUGUACAGAACAUCUCCAUCCAGAAAAAGUUCAUAGCUAAUCUUCGGAUGACCCUUUUAUCAUUCUUCAUUGCUUGGACUAUGUAUUGCUGGUUCUUAAUAUACUACAAGAUAUCAUAAUACCAAGGCUUUCUAUCUUUCUUAUCUUUUAUAUUAGAGCAAUGAGCUGGCAUAACUUUGACAUCUAACUUGAUAGGCUGAAUAUCGAUAUUAUCACUAAUUCGAAUCAUUACAGCCAGAAUAGCCAAGGCAUCAGCUAUUAGAUUCUUCUCUCGAGCUAAAUGAUCAAACUGGACAUCUUCAAACUGUUUUAUCAACUCUAAAAUAUACUUGUGAUAUGAAACGAGUUUUGAAUCUCUCGUCUCCCAUUCUCCUUUCAAUUGAUAUAUAACUAAAGCUGAGUCUUUAAACACUUUUAAUGCUUUAACUUUUUUAUCUAUAGCAUCUUGUAAACCCAUGACACAUGCCUUAUAUUCAGCGAUAUUAUUUGUGUAAUUGAAAUUUAAUCUCACUGUUAUAGGAUAGUAUUGUUCUUUUGGAGAAAUUAGAAUUGCCCCAAUUUCAUGUCCCAAGGCAUUAGCAGCUCCAUCGAAAUACAUUUUCUAACACUUUUCUUCAUGUUUCUCUUUUUCUAACUAGGAAACAGUCAUCAGGUCUUCAUAAAAAAAACUCUAAUCUUAUUGGUUCAUAUUUUUCAGUAGCACGAUCUAUAAAAAAACUCAGCUAUUGCACUCUCUUUUAUUACCAUUUGGCUUACAUAUAUGAUAUCAUAUUCUGAGAGCAUCACUUGCCACCUAGCAAUUUUUUCAGACAAAGAAAGCUUCUCAAAGAUGUAUUUAAUUGGAUCCAAUUUUGCUAUAAGCCAAGUAGUGUGAUAGAGCAUGUAUUGUCUGAGUCUUUUAGCAGUCCAAGCUAAUGCACAACACAUUUUUUCUAAAGAAGAAUACUUGGACUCAUAUUCUGUGAAUUUUUUACUCAAAUAAUAAAUAGCUCUCUCUUUUUGAUCAUAUUCAUCUUGCUGCCUUAGUACACAUCUCAUUAAAUUUUUGUACACUGUCAGGUAUAAAAUUAAGGGUUUUCCUAGAAUAUGUGGCACCAAUACUGGAGGAUUUGACAAGUAUUACUUAAUUUUAUCAAAAGUCACUUGGCAUUCCUCAUUCCAUUCUCUAGGAUUAUUCUUGCGGAGAAGCUUAAAAAUGGGAUCACAUUUAUAAAUAAGCUGAGAUAUGAACUGCAAAAUGUAGUUUAACCUUCCUAGAAAACCUCAAACUUUUUUUAGUGUACUUAGAGGUGACAAACUUCGAAUGACCCGUAUUUUAUCUGGAUCAACUUUAAUUCCUCUUUCACUAACCAUAAAGCCUAGCAACUUCUCUGACUUUGCCCCGAAGGUGCACUUAGCUGGGUUCAACUUAAGUUGGAAUUUUUUCAAUCUUUCAAAUAGAUUUUUGAGGUUGGUGACAUGAUCUUCAUCCUUUUGAGAUUUUGCAAUCAUAUCGUCCACAUAUACCUUAAUUUCUUUGUGCAUCAUGUCAUAAAAUAGCAUCACCAUAGCUCUUUGAUACGUUGCCCCAACAUUUUUUAACCCAAAAGGCAUGACUUUAUAGCAAAAAGUUUCCCACAUGGUCACGAAAAUGGUCUUUUCCAUAUCAUCUAUAGCCAUUUUUAUCUGAUUAUAUCUUAGAAAACCAUCAAUAAAGGAGAAGAUUGAAUGCUUUGCCAUGUUAUCUACCAGUGUGUCAAUAUAAGGUAAAAAAAAGUUAUCCUUUGGGCUAGCCCUAUUCAAAUCAUGAUAGUCUACACACAUUCGUACCAUUUCAUCCUUCUUAAGAACUGGUACUAUAUUGGCUACCCAUUCUGGAUACUUAACCAUUUGCAAAAAACCUACAUCAAACUACUUUUUCAUUUCUUCUUUGAUCUUUAGUAGUAUUUUAGGCUUCAUUCGUCUCAGUUUAUGCUGGACUGACUUACAUUCUGACUUCAAAGGUAAUCUGUGCUUUAUUAUCUUCGUAUUUAGCCUUGACAUAUUCUGGUAAGACCAAGCAAAUACAUCUAUGAAUUCUCAAAGUAGAUUUCCAAAUGUUGCCUAUCCCUCGAUGAAAGUGAAGUUUUGAUUCUGACCUCUUUCUUAUUCUCCUAAUCUCUUAGAUUCACCAAGUAAGUUAUCUCCUGAUGAGGCUUAAUUGGCUUAUUUUCUUAUUCAAUCAAUCUCAUUAGGUUUGGAGGUAUAACAUACUAUUCAAAAUCAUCUUCAUUAUUAAGUUUAUCAGUAUUAAUUGAAUUCUCAAAAUUAACCUCUUGAUUGUUAUCAUAAUCAUCUUCUUGUUCAUUUAAAGACUUGAAAUUGAAUGAAAUAAGAUAUAUUAGCAAUAUGUGUUUGGUAAAAAUGAAAGUACAAGAAGAAAUGAAUAAAAAUGCAUCUUUCUUAAUUUUUUUUAAAACAAUAAAAGAUAAAUGGCUCAAACAAGAAAGAUCAUCCUAAUGCCUUGGGCAAUAGUUAUUGGGAUGUACAAUUACAUUGGAUUGAUCUCAAAAUUAAAAGGCAUUUCAAUGGUAUUCCAAUUGUUCAACUCAUAAUUUGGCAGACAAGGAUGGACCCACCCUUUUUGUUCAAGCCCCAUUUCAUAUUCAAUAGCAUGGAUAGUCAAUUGGGCGAAUGCCUUUUCCAUGCUUUGUUCACAAUAUUCUUUUUUAUUUGCGUACAUAAAUCCUUUAGGCCUAAAAGUAUCAUAUAAGUGUGGGAUAAUCAUUAAUCUUACUGUUUUACCUGCUGGUCUUCUUCAGAUUUCCCAUUUUGUUGCUUCAUAGCCUAAGCCGAGCCUUUCACUGUUAUCCACCAUUGUUAAGGGCUCUCUUAUUCCCUGUAAGUUCUUACCCAGCCCUACUCCUAGAUACCAACCCUUAUUGAUGACUUAGCUCAUUACUACAUUUGAAAAGGGUUGAUUUUUAAAUUUUUCACCCACAGAAUUGACUAACUUGAAAGAUCGAUAAGAGUAUUUAAUUGUUUUCUCAGUAGUUUCCACAUAUAGGGCAUUCAAUGGCUGAGUCACUAGCAUAUCUUUCUUCUCAAAUACCACUACCAAUCGAUCUUUUAUAUUAAACUUGAUCUUUUGGUGUAAAGUAGAGGGUACAGUACCUGCCAUGUGAAUCUAUGGCCUUCUUAACAUACAGUUAUAAGAUGGAGAGAUAUCUAUCACUUGAAACUUCACAUUAAAAGUGCAUGGCCUAAUUUACAAAAGCAUUUCAAUAUCUCCCAAGACUUCCCUUUUAGUCUCAUCAAAAGCUCGCAUGACCAUUUGACUGUCCUUCAUAUGAGAGUAAUCGAUAGGUAGCCUUGCCAAAGUUGACAUAGGUAAGACAUUGAUAGUGGAGUCGUUAUCAAUAAAGACUUUAGCUAUGAUAUGGCUCUUACACUUGACUGUGAUAUACAGAGCCUUGGCACUUCCCUUUCCUUCUAGGAAAAUCUCAUUAUCACUGAAUAAAAUAUAAUUUGGCAUAACUAGAUUUUCAACUAAGUGGUUCACAUAUUCAACAGAUACAUUAUGUGCCACAUAUGCUUGGUUCAACACUUUUAGCAAGGCAUUUCGAUGUGGUUCUGAGUUUAACAACAAUGAUAAUAAUGAGUUUCUUACUGGCAUUUUGUUCAAUUGUUCAACAACUGAAUAUUCAUUAUGUUUUACUAGCUUUAAAAAUUCACAUGCCUUUUUUUCUGACACUAGCUUUUGGACGAUCCUCCUCAUGUUCCACUUCGGGAUUAUUUCGCUCUUCACCUAUCUUGGCCUUUUAUUUCUUAGCCUUCUUCAGCAUUUCUGGAGUAUAGCAUCUUCCACUUCGGGUGAUGCCUCCUAAACCUAUUAUGUUAGAGGCAUCAGUCUUAGAGGCAUUCUCCUCUUACACUUGAACUAUUGUAUCACAGUCAUAUUUUCAAGGUACAACUUUAUCAUCUUUAUAUGGGAAUGAAGUCGGGAAUUUAAAAGUUACCGGCCUAGAAAUGAGUUUGUCUAUGAUUGAUUUUGGCUUGUUCCCAUAAUGAAUUGAUACCGACUUUGGAAAUAAUUUUACAGGCUUGUCAAUCAUGGAUACUUCAACACUCUUUAAAAUUUUUCUCUCUUCAUAGACUUCCAGUUGGUAUGAAUCCAAAAGCUUUUGUACCUCUUGGUGAAACUGCUUACAAGUUUCGAUAGGGUGACCAAUUACCCCAUUAUGAUAUUUACAACUAGUGCCUGUUACAUAUGCUCCAUGAUAGCUUUACGGACUCAUUGGUUGUAUCAUGUUAGCUUUCCAUAAAACAUCAAACAGUUGACUAAGAGGAGUCUUAAUAUCUGUAACUUUUCUCUUCACAUGACACUCUUGUUCGUUAUUUAGGGCAUUUAAAUUAUGAUUAGGUAAAAGAUUGCCACAAAAAUUUGGUGCAGUUACCCUUCCUGUAUUAAAACUAAUCAUUCCAUCCUUGAUUAGUCGUUGCACUUUGUGUUUCAAGUUAGUGCAACUUUCAGUGCAAUGACCAAUAAUCCCAUAGUGAUAGUCACAAUGGGUUGUGGGAUCAUACCACUUAGGGUAAGGCGACGUGAAUGGCUCUAAUUUGCUAAGAGCAAUUAGAUGACUAUUGUAAAGCUCAUGAUAUAAUUCUAUAUAAGUUAUGAGAAUUGGGUCAAAUACAAACUUUUCACGAGUAAUUCAUUGCUCCCAUGAACCACCCAUUAGGCUAGUUAGACGGGUCUGAGGUCUUGAGGUAGGUUGAGUGUUAGGACUGUAUGUAGUAUUUUGAGACUUAAAAAAGGGUUGAUAUGUUUGGGGAUAAGAGAAUUGUGGGAUUGGUUGGUAUGGGUAAGGGGAAGUGUUAUUCACAGAAGGGUAAUAUAGAGGGCAGCCUUAUGGUGAGUAGAGUUGAUAGCCUCUGAAUUAUUGUCUAUCAAAGCUCACAGCUUGAGCUUUAAUCUUUUUCUUUUUUAGGGUUCUUUUGUUGGAUGCUUCACCUCCUUCUAACUUGUCAUUCUUGAUGGCACUUUCAAUAAUUUCUUUUGAAAUCACCAUGUUAGUGAAAUUUUUGGUUACAUUCCCUAUCAUCUUUUCAUAAUAGAGAGAUUUUAAAAUGCUGACAAAUAGCACUGUAGUCUUUUUCUCAGUCAGAGGAGGUUGCACCUGAAAAGCUAUAUCUCUUCAUUUCUGGGCGUAUUCCUUAAAAGACUUAUUUGCCUUUUUUUUCAUGUUCUAUAAAGACAAACGAUCGAGAGCUAAGUUCAUGAUAUGUCAGUAUUGACUAAUGAAAUCAUAAGCCAUAUCACUCCAAGAAUGGAUGCAGGUUUUGUCUAACUGGACAUACCACUUAGCAGCGGAGCCAAUAAGGUUAUCUUGGAAGACAUACAUUAGUAGCUUUUCAUUAUGAGCAUGGGUUGCUAUUUUUUGACAGUACAUAGUGAUAUGAGUUUUUGGGCACUUCGUACCAUCAUAUUUCUCAAAUUUUGAUACUUUGAACUUUGGUGGAAUGACUACAUCCAGGACUAAGCAAAGCCCAGUAGCGUCGAUAGAACCAUAAAACUCAAUUCCUUCUAUAGCUCAUAACUUUUGUUCAAGCAUACUAAUCUUCGAAUCUUUCUAAGAUUCCACCACCUUUGCCUUUUCUUUCUCCUUCUCUUUCAAGUCAUCGAGAUCAGGAACUUAGAUCGGUUCUAUAGCCUUUUUCAGUAAAGACAAGAUUUACAUUGCUAUAGUAAUGCCCUGGGUUUGAAACUGAUGACAUUCAAGAGUAUACAAGAUAUAUGAACUACUGUGGUGGUAUAUCCUUUGUGGACUGGGCUUGUUAUGGAUCAAAACCUGAAGGAUAUAGAGGGUCAGCCACUUCUUGUGAUGGGAGGCCUUGUUGGCUUGUAUUUUUUUCUAUUCCUUUUCCCUUGUUUAGCUUGUUGAGAGCAUCCAAAAUCUUGCUCAACUUAUUUUCAAUCUUUUUUUGUGCUUUUUCCAAUUUUUCAAAUUGAUGAGAGUUUUCUUACUCUAUUUGUCUAGCUUUGGCUUUUGUGUUAUAUCAGUGGACGGGAUUCUUGCUAGAUGGAGCUAUCCUUGAGCCUUGAAUACCAUAUCUUAAAAUUAGUGAGUUUAUAUGACUAUUUCAUGGUUACUUUAUUAAAUGUAAUGAAUAAGGAUGCAAUGAAUGAAAAUGCAUGUAUGCAAAGAACAUUUGCCUUAGGACAGUGCUCAACCAAAAGAUUUCAUUUAUUCUAAAAAACUUUCGUUAACAUAAAGUUUAUCAUCCUAGAGUUAUAACCAUAAAAUCAUUUGAUCUGCUCAUACUGAGCUCUGGCUUUCUCGAUGAAGUUUAGGAGACGCUGUCCAUGUUCUCUUACUUAGGCCACCACUUGCUUCAAUGCCUCUGCCCUUCUACCAUCUCUUUUACCUUACAUACCCCUUUGCAAAUUUGGAUCGUUAAGUGCUCAAUGUACUUCUAUCUUCCUAAGUUCUCUCUUUUACCACACCAAACUUGGUACAAUAACUCUCUAUGCUCUCUGACCAAUGCAGCGAUGUAGUCUUCUUGUUCAUUCAACUUUUGUCUCAACCUGCUUAGGUAGCUAUUCAACAUGUUAUUCUCUAUCUGUACUUGGGUACUUUCUUCUUCCAAUUCAACAUAUUCUUGUUUUAAUCAGCCAUUCUCUUCAGUCAGCUCAUCAAUUGUUAUCUAUUUGGCUUGUACCCUCACACACAACCUCUUAUGUUCAUAGUGUAACUCUGAUAAGUCUUUGAUAGUCAUGUCAUGUUCCCUAACAAUCUUGCAAACUUUGACUUCAUGCUUUUCAACUUUAUCUUUCCAUUGAUCCUUCUCCUUCGAAGCUUUUGGAUUUCUUGCUUUAACUUAUCUUUUUUAGACUCAAAUUAUUUUGCCGCAAGCUUCAAUUCUGAUGGUGUCUCUUUAAACUUUUCUUUUAUUGGCGAUUGGAAGCUUUCAUAAAUGAAUACCAUUUCCUGUUUUUGUCUUGCUCUCUAAACCAAGUACCCCUAAGUGACCUUAUCAGUGAAUGGUCCAGGACUCACUCUACGAGGAUUUUUUCAUGCUUUAAUCAUCUCAUUCAUCCUUUAAAAUGCUUUUGACUCACUGUAAGAAAAAUUCGAUUGAUGAAGCCCAUGCGUUAUAGGAAUAAACUAUUCUACCCCAAACUAUUUUCUUACUAGAAGUGACGCAUAACUUGUUACUCCCCAUAAAUCUAAAAGUGGGAUGACAGUGUUAUUUCUAUACUGAUAUAGCAUAGGUUCUCGAUUCAUCCACGGGACCAACCAUCUUAUUUCGGCACUUGUCAAUUUUUGUAGGAAAGCUAACCACUCUUUUUUAGACUUUUGUUUUGACCACUCACUUUCGUAAAAUUCCUUAAUUGGAGCUCGAUUACGGACAUAAAGCUUUGAGAAAGCACCUUUUCUCCACUCGAAAUAGCUUUUCAUCUAUAAGUGCAAUAACUAUAUACAGCCUAUAAAAUGUUCUCCAUUCUGACGAUAAAACUCAAAAAUCUGACAGUCUCUGCUAAUAUUACCGUUGAAGGGUUACAGCUAUUGAUCACACUUUCGAAGAAGUCAAUAACUGCUAUUUCAAUAUAACCCAAAACCUUUGGAAAUAUCACAAUUCCAUAUAUAGCAUAGGCAAAUACAUCUAACCCCCAUUUUUCAUCAGUAUGUUGCACUAAAAAAUCAUGAAAGAACUUUCAAGGUAGGCAAACUUGUUCUUGUUUCUUCUUUGUAUGUGAAUCCACAAUCUCUUUGUCUAUCCCCAUGAGAUGGGCCAAAUCCUUACGGAAUCUUGAUUUGUGUUUUUUACAUAUAUCUUGUUAUGAGCGUUAAGGUGCAAGCCCAACAAAAUCGAAUAUUCUUCGAUGGUUGGCGUCAUAUCAACUUCAUUAAAGAUGAAACACUUGUAUGCAGGAUCCCAAAAUUACGCUGCAGCUCUAAUUAGUUGAUUGUCAACACUUAUUGCGAAAAGGUGUGCUAUAUACCCAUGUCUUUGGCAAAACUUCUCUUGUCUAGUUGGGCUCAUUUUUUUCCAUAUAUCAAUUAAAUCCUCUAGAUUAUUUUUGUUUAAGAAGUAUAGAUAUUUCUUGAGAUAGGGUAGAAUCAUAGUCGAUUGGUAAACAAUCCCCCAUCUUUAGUUGAAUCUUUUCUGACUGGACUUUUACUUUGUUGGGUGGCUCACAAAGAGCUAAUACAGAUGAGGAGCAAACUAAUUGUUCUAUAAAGUCCAUGAAACACUUUUUGUAGAAGAUCAUCUUUCAAACAAAUGUUCUUUAUGCAACUUUAUGAUAUGAGCAUGAACCAAUGCAAAAGAAUGAGAAAAAAAGGUUAGUAUACCAAAUAAGGAGAAAUAAAUAAAUAACUAAGUAAAUUAAAACAUCCCUCAGAAUAAGAGGAAUGAACCUUAUGCUUUUGGUCAAUUCUAAGGGAAGGAGAUGGCUCUAUCUAUAGGUUAGGCAUUCUGAAAGUUCACUAUAUGUGGUUCAAGGUUAAAAGUCUAAAGGUUCCCAAAUUGUUCCUUACAUCAUUGUCUAUUACAGACUAGUAAGGCACCCCAAUCCUCACCCAUUACAGGUUACAAGCGAAAAAAGUUUUAAUUUGAGUGGGAGUAUUUCGCUAGCCACUACGAAUGCAUUAAACUUCACAAAAGCAAUAGGUACUUUACUCUUUCUAGAGGGACGGAGCUCGGGUAUAGAGCUACUGUUAUGCACAUGCAUAUGAAUGACAGAAUUAACAAAGUAAAUAAAUAUGAAUAUAAAAUCUAUACAAAAGGUUCAAUUUCAUUAGGCUUUUGGAUAACACGAAUUUAUUUGCUGACCUGACUCUCAGAUGUCCCUAGUGGAGUUGUCAAACUGUCAUAAUGUCUAGAUCCGGGGAUCUAUUGCUAGACAUUGACUUUAGAAGUCGCCACCAAUCUUUUUUAUUUAGGUGUGAUUGGCCACCUAAGGAAUCUAUCAUUUCAAGGAACACCUAAGCUUGACUAAGAGUCUCUAAAAAAAUAGGUUCAGGUCUAUUAAUCAGAACAAAGUUCGAGAGUUCGGUUAUGAGUGAGGAAUGUUAUAGCACCCUCACAACGCCCAUCGAAAGAUGGUACCAGCUCAAAUUCGUGUUAUCCAAUAAGCUUUAAAAAUUUUACUAAGUAAUUAAUUAUUGAAAAUUAUUCUUAAUUAACUCCAAUACUUUUGGCAAAAAAUUAAGAAAAUCCCUUUAUCUCAAGAGUAUGCAAGAAAACUACUGUUUCACUUACAAAGACUCCAUUGUCGGAUUAUUUAACAUUUUAAAAAAAUUCAAGAAAUAAAAGAAGAAAAAAAAUAAAAUAAACAAAACAAAAAGGAAUAAUGAUUCAACUUUUUGAUAUAAAUCCUUUUCUUUUUACCUUUUUUUUUUUAAAAAAAAAGAACUCAUUGCUUUUGUACAAGAAAAUUUGAUACUUUUAACUUUUCCUUAAAAUGUUUUUCUUGAUAAUUUUUAUUUUUAAGAAAAAUUGGUACUUCCAACUUUUCCCCAAAAAUAUAUUUUUUUUACUUUUGAAAUUCUAAUUUUGAGAAAAAUUGAUACUUUCAACUUUUCCUCAAAAUACUUUUUGAAAAUUUUAUUUUAGAAAUUUUAUUUUUAAAAAAAAUUGAUACUUUCAACUUUUCCCUAAAAAUAUAUAUUUUUUAAACUUUUUAUUUUUAAGAGAAAUUGAUACUUUCAACUUUCUCUUAAAAAAAUAUUUUUUGUGUUCAAAGGAAAUUGAUACAAUCAACUUUCCUUCAAAAAUAUAUAUUUUUUAAAUUUAUCUUUAAAAAAAAUUGAUACUUUCAAUUUUUCCUCAAAAUAUUUUUUUUUGGAAAUUUUUAUUUUUUUUAGAAAAAAAAUUAUUGAAAAGAAAGAAAAAAUAAAAAUAAAAAUAAAAUUAAGGAAUACCAAAUAAUUUUAAAUUAAAAAAUAAUAAUACUAAUAAAUAAAUAAAUAAAAUAAAAUAAACCUUGAAUCGGCUUGGCUAGGAGUUAGAAUCGCUCGCCUAGAAGAAGAAAAAUGGCUCAAGAACGCGACUCCAAAAGAAUCGGCUCGGCUCGGUUUGAUGGCUGAGGUGCUGGUCGAAAUCGGGUCGAAAGUGGGUUGCACUGCGGGUCGGGUCGCUCGAAUGGAAAACAUGCGGAUCUCGAGUUUUCUUUAAACUCAAAACGACAUCGUUUUUCAGUACUAUAAAAGGAAAAUUUUAGCCAUUCUUCAGUAGAAUUCUCUUCCUCCCUCUUUCUCUACUCCCCUUUUCUCUCUCUCUCUAUCCCUCUCAAGAACACUGGUUGAAAUUUAACCGAAUUUUAAAAAUUUUUGUCGGAAUCUGGGUUGUUCAUCGGAAGUUCAUCAGAAGGUUGGUUGGUUUCUGGAAAUGGUAUGCCGAAAACUGGGUAACUUGUUGAAAAAUUCAACCAGUGUCGAAAAGGUCGCCAAAAAAUUCAAAUAUUGCCGAAAAAAUCAACCAGAAUCUAGAAUUUCUAGAAAUUCCUAGAAAAAACUUCACCAAAAAUUCCCUAAAAAAAUUACUAAUGUCGUAACGGUUUUGUGUCCGCCCGACGAAUUUGGAAACGAAAUAAAAAAUAACGGAGUCGCCACCAAUCUUUUUUGGCUAGGUGCGAUUGGCCACCUAUUAAAACAUACCUUUUUAAUGAAAUCUUAAAAUUAAUUAAAAUUUAUUAAAAAGAUAAUUUUACGGUCUGCGAAACAGUCUGAGUUCGGGAGUCGGUUACGCGUGAGGAAGGAUUAGCACCCCCACAACGCCCGUUAAAAACGGUACCAAUUAACAACGUGUUAUCCUUUGAUUUUAAUACAAACAGUCUUAUUUUCAAUAUUAAAAAAAAUAAUUUUCUUGAUUUUUAUUUAUUAAAAAUUAUUCUCGAGAAAAUAAAUCAAAACCUUUUUAUUGAAAUAAUUCUUAAAAUGUUCCAGUACGUUGGUAACAUUAAAAGAACUCUUUCUCACCUAGAGAUUUCUUAAAGCAUCUCUACUCGGAAUACUUUUAGAAUCUCAUCUUUGGAGGCUCGAAUUUAUUUUUCGUAAGAAAAUGUCAUGUUAAAAAAAUUUAUUCUCGAGAAAAAUAAAUUAAAACCUUUUUAUUGAAAUAAUUCUUAAAAUGUUCCAGUACGUUGGUAACAUUAAAAGAAUUCUUUCUCACCUAGAGAUUUCUUAAAGCAUCUCUACUCGGAAUACUUUUAGAAUCUCAUCUUUGGAGGUCUAAAUUUACUUUUCGUAAGAAAUUAUGUCAUGCAUGCCAUGCAAAAUAUUUUCAUGUUUAUGCACACAUUUUAUUCUCAUUCAAAAAUUUAUUAAUUAUUUUAUUAAUUUUAAUUAAAAUUUUGAAGAAAAAAAGGAAUUUAAUCAUAUUGAAAAUUUUCUAUAAAUAUUCCAAUACGCUGGUAAUAUUUUAAAAAAAAUCUUCUCACCUAGAGAUUUCUUAAAGCAUCUCUACUCGGAAUACUUUUAGAAUCUCAUCAUUGGAUUAAAUUUUUUUCUUCCUAUUUUAUUACUUAUAUUUUUUAUUAUAUUCAUUAAUUUUUAUUUAUUAUUUUAAAAAAGAAAAUCUUUACUGUAUUGAAAAUAUUUUUAUAAAUACUCCAAUACGCUGGUAGUACUUAAAAAAAAUCUUCUCACCUAGAGAUUUCGUAGGCAUCACUACUCGGAAUACCUUUGAAUUCUCAUCAUCGGAUAAAAAUUUCCUCUUCUCUUAUUUUAUUAGUUAUAUUUUAAUUUAUUAAUCAAUUUUAUUUAUUAUUUUUUUAAAAAAAGAAAAUCUUUACUAUAUUGAAAAUUUUUUUAUAAAUACUCCAAUACGCUGGUAGUAUUUUAAAAAAAAUCUUCUCACCUAGAGAUUUCGUAGGCAUCACUACUCGGAAUAACCUUUGAAUCUCAUCGUCGGAUAAAAAUUUCCUUUUCUUUCAUUUUUUUACUACUUUAGUAUUAUUAUUAAAUUUAUUUUUUAUGUUAUUGUUUUUAAAGUUUAUUCUAAAAAAAUAACAUAAAUUAUAUAAAAAAUUAUUUAACCACAAUUUCAUUAAUUAGUCUAACAAAUAUAGAUAUUUUAAUAUGCAUAAAUAUUAAUAAAAUAAUACUUAAAAAAUAAGAAAAAUUCAAAAAAAAAAAUUUUUUUUUACCUGAACCGGACCGGUCAACGGACCGGUCAACUCCUGGUUCGGUUCGGCGGUUCGGUUCGGUCUGGUUGGUUCGGUCCGGCGGUUCAGUUCGAUCUGGUUGGUUUGGUCCGGCGGUUCGGUUCGGUCCAGUCAGACCGGUCAGAGAUGAUAAAGGCAGCGGGUCGCGGGUCGGGUGCGCGGACCCCGGGUCGGGUUGCGGGUUGACGCGCGGAUCCUCCUUGGCUGAAACGGCGUCGUUUUGGGUCUUUAUCUAAACGACGUCGUUUUGAGAUUUUGCUUUACUAUAUAUAGCUGAAGAUUUUUUUUUUUGGUUCAUUUGGCUUCUGUUUCAGAAAAAAAAGGGAGAGACGGAGAGAGAGAGCUCUGGGGGAGAGGUCGUCGGUCGGUUGCCGGAGCACCGUGCCGGCCGCCGUCUGGCUCGCCGUCGGCAGUCUUGGACGGUGGUUUCCGAUGACCGGGAAAGGUGAAAAUUCUUCUGGAAGUUCUCUUCGACGCGAUCUUUCCAGAUCCGGUGUCCUUUUUACCGGAAACAGCCCUGAUCGACGUAGAUCGGGGCUCAAAGUUUCGGUCUCUCUUUUUUUCUUUUUUUUUUUUUUCUUUGAAUCUGCUGAUCUCUCUCUUUUUUUUUUCAGGUGGCUUUCUGGCGCUGGGUUCCCCGUUCCAGGGGACUGUUGUUUUUUUUUUUUUUUUUUUGUGUUUUUGCAGAAUUUUUUUUUUACAGAAGCUGCCUUCUUCUUUUCUUUUUUUUUCGUUCCCCCCUUUAGUCUAGUUUACAAGCUCUAUUUAUAGAGCUUGUUGGGAUUCAAAUCUCAGAUUUUCUAGGAUUCGAAUCUCAUUUUUCAACUGAAAAAUCAUACCUACCGUCCGUGAUUGGUGGCUUGUCGGGAGGUUGAUCGGGUAGUUGGUCGGACCAGUUCGGCGCCGUACCAACCCCUUGACUUUUGUUUUAUUUCUGUUUCUUUUGUUUGUUUAUUUUUUGUUUUUUUGUUUGUUUUGUUAAAUAUUAUUAUUAUUAAAAUAAAACAGUAGAUCCGGACAAAACCGGUGUCUACAACUAAAAUCCUUAAGAUUGCUUUUGACCUUUCUAAACGCCUUUAUGCUUUUCUUUUCUUCCUAUGUUAUCUUCCGUUGUCUUUGCGGUCUGUUUAAACAUUUAUUUAUAGAGAUUGAUGAGAAGAGUUUCUGAUCAAUCCCAAUUCCAUCUGGAUUGGGAUUUCAAACUUUGAAUCCAAUUCCCACUCUACCGGGUCUCUAAAUUCGACGACCAAAUUCAUUUCCAAUUUUUACUAUCUAAUCCCAACGAAAAUGAUCAAGGAAAGAGUAAAAAAAAAAUAAUAUAAUAAAUAAUAAAAUAUAUUAAUAGAUAACUAAAAAUAGAUAAAUAAAUAAAUAAAAAUUAAUAGAUAAAUAAAAUAAUAUAAUAAUGAAAAUAAUUAAAUUAAAUUAAAUUAAAUUAAAAUUAAAAAAAAAUGAGCCCAUAUUACCCAUUUGGACCAGACCCAUUGACCGGCUAGACCAAUUAGAUGCUACAUGAGUUAUUUUUUAUUUUGUGUUUUUUUGUUGUUUGUUUGUGUUUCAAUUUUUCAAAAAUUUAUUUUUUUAUUAGAUAAAUUUUGUUGGAAAAUGAUAUCAAUUGAUGUAUUUACAUGUCAACCCAUUUGGCUUUUUUUUUUUUUUUUAACUUUUCACCUUUAUUUUUCCAAAUAGGUAAAUUUUGGAGUAAAAACGAUUGAUAAGAUGGCAAAAAUUUUUUAACUAGGAUAACUCAUGGGUAUCCACCCUAAUUUUAUUUAAAAAAGGCACUAACUUGAGAGAAUUUCAAAAGGCAUAAACAAUAAUAAUUAAAUGCUAAUUAAUAUAUUGGUUAAGAAAAAAAAAAAAACAGGGAUUCUCAAGUUUGAACUUUGUAUAGUUACUUUGAAUGAAUCUCAUGUACUGAUGAUUGUAGAAGCAAUUUUCACUUGACAUAUUAUUAGUGAAUACUAAAAUAUUUCACAAUGCAAAUACACCAUAUAUAGUAAUAUUUUAUUUUAUAAAAAUAGUUAAAUUUUUUAAUUAUUUGUAUUUCUAUUUGAUUUUUACACAUUCAUUGUGUGGGUGAAAAAGAAAAAAUGUUUUGAAAACAACUGACGUUACCUAAUAAAAACUUACUUGAUGAGUUAAGUGUAUAGUUUUUUUUUUUUUUUAAUACAUCUUAAACAAAGUAAAAAUGUAAAUGCCUACAGAGGUUGGUUGAGUAAUAAGAUUCGAAUACUUCGUUUGUAAGAUUUAGAUUCGAAUCUCACUACCAACAGUUUUCUUGACGGACGAUAUGUAAAUCUAGUGUAAAUCUUCUUUCAGGUCUACGGUCUGUUCUUAUUUUGAAAUAGGAAAGCUUUCCUUCACCAUAAAUUUUUAAAUAAAAAAAAACUUAAUAUCUUUACUAACAUAUUUCUAUUAUUAUUUCAUUUUGACUUUUAAGUAACUUUACUAAUUAAAUUUAAAUUACUUUGAUUUGUAAAAUAACUAACUCAGAAGUUUUAAGAAUAUUAUAAAUUACUUUUUUUUUAACAAAAAAAGAUAGAGCCCUUACUAUUUUGCAACUCUCUCGUGUAAAACGUGGAGUCAUGGGGCCUUAUAAAGUGUACAAGACAAAAAAUUAAAAGAAAGAAACAGAAAAAGAAAAAGAAAGAAUGUGAAAAGAUAAAUUAGUUUCACCAGUGCUUGUAAAAGGAGAGAAAAAAAAAAAUAAUAGAGGGCCCAAAAUCAAAAGCUUGACUCAUUUUAUUUGUUGUGAAGACCAAGUCCAUCCCAGGACUUUCCUCUUGAAGGCUCAGUCAUAAUGGCGAGUUGAUUCCUAUUUAAGAAUUGCUUCGAGCAAACUUCGUUAACCAUCCUGCAAUUUCAUUGAUUUGCUUUCCCUCCACAGCCAUGAACAUGAGAAUAUUCCAUUUUCUUUCGCUAGCUUUAGUGUUCAUUCAUUGUUUCAUGGUUUGCUACGCCAUGAUUGUGAGGAACCUUACCACAGACCAACAUGCUCUUCUCAAAUUUAAGCACCAAAUCAUAGAUCCUCACAACAUCUUAGCCAACAACUGGACCAUCAAUACUCCUGUUUGCAAUUGGGUUGGUGUCUCUUGCGCAUCUAAGCAUAGGAGAGUCAACACUUUGAAUCUUACCAACAUGAAUCUUACAGGAACUGUCCCUCCACAAUUGGGAAAUCUCUCGUUUUUAGUAUCUCUUGAUUUGAGUCACAACAAUUUCCAGGGCCAUUUGCCGAGAGAGUUGGGGCAAUUAAGUCGUCUGAAACUCAUCGAAUUAAGUUCCAAUUUUCUUAGUGGGGAAAUUCCUUCAUGGUUUGGGAGAUUAAAUAAAGUUUUAUACUUGAGUCUCCAGAACAAUAAUUUGACAGGUACAAUCCCUCAAUCACUAGCUAAAAUGUCCAACUUGGAGAUCUUGGAUUUGAAGUACAAUCUCGUUCAAGGACACAUUCCACCCGAGAUAAGUGAUCUUCGAAAUCUAAAGAUACUUCGUCUGGCAUUUAAUCAACUUUCUGGCUCUGUACCUUCAGCUAUUUAUAACAUUUCCUCCCUGCAUAUGAUUUCUCUUGCAUUCAAUAGUCUAUCUGGUAGCUUACCAGAAGAUAUAUGUCGCCAUUUUCCCAAUCUUGAGGCACUUUACUUGACCUCAAAUGAGUUUUUUGGUCAAAUUCCAUCUAGUAUAGAUGAAUGCAGGUGUCUUCAAAAUUUGUCAUUAAGUAUCAAUAGAUUCAGUGGCAACAUUCCAAGGAGUAUUGGAAAUUUAACGAGGCUCAGAAUGCUAUACUUGGGUGGAAAUAAUUUGGAAGGUAAGCUUCUUUUUUUUUUUUUAAUUUUCCUUUGAUAAUUUGAUAAAUUAUUAAAUUAGCUACUUUAUUUAUAAUUAAUUAUUUUCCUAUUAAAUUAAAACAUGACUAGUUUUAUUUAUUUUCUUAUCAACAUUGAAGUUUUUGUCAAAAUAAACUUUAUUUGAUAAUUUGAAAUUACCGUAAAAGAAUUACUUUUAUAAUUUGGAAAGUAAGUGCUAAAAUUAAUUUAAUUAUUGAUAUCAUGUUAAAACUCCUAAAUAUUAACAGUGACCAUGAAACUCAUGUUAUUUUCUUAGGUAAAAUUUCUUGGCUGAAAAUAAUUUUUUGUAUUUUUUUGAAAAAUUAAUUUAAUUUUUGGAAAUAUUCAGUUUUUAAAUUUAAAAAAUAAAUUUAACUCUUAACCAUAAAAAAAUAUUGUAAAUUAAAUAUUCUUUAGUUACAUGGCAUAAAAAGGUGAAUCCUUUUGAAUUUUGAGUUGAAAUUUGUCGCAUGACAUGUUUCAUUGAUUUUUCAUUGAUGGUUGAUGAAAUAUAUGAUUUUGAAACAAUUUUAGAAGGUUAUGGAUAUAAACUACAUUUUAAAAUUUGUGGAUGACAAUGAAAUAUUGCACAAAAGUUAUAUAUAAUUGGUAUAGUUUGCUAAAAAAUGAAAAGAAGGUAAAGGACAAAUAGAAAAAAUUCAACCAAAUGAACUUAAGUUUCUUUUAUGUUUUCCCCAUUAUGACUAAAAAUUUUGGUAUUUAAUCUCUUUUGAGAUAAUGUUUAGAAUGAGAAUUUAAUUAUCUAAUUUAAUCAAUAAUCUCAUAAAAUUAGGAGAAAAUGAUUUCAUAAUGAAUAGUGAUGCGAAGCAAAAAAAUGCCUCGUGCUGCUUGACCCAGCUUUUACAAUUCGGUUUCUGUUAUUUUCACAGGUGAGAUCCCUUCUGAAAUUGGAAAUCUUUUGAGCUUGGAGAUAUUUGCUGCCCAAAAUAUGAGCCUUGUUGGUCCAAUGCCAGCUUCCAUCCUGAACCUUUCUUCCUUGAAAGAAAUUUAUCUCUAUAACAAUAGUAUCUCUGACAGUAUUCCCUCAAAUAUUGGUGUUUGUAGCAAUCUUCAAAAGUUAUAAUUAUCUUUUAAUCGGUUCAAUGGAUUCAUUCCAAGAAGUAUAGGAAAUUUAACCAAACUUGAGGAGAUAUAUCUAGGUGAUAAUGAUGUAGAAGGUAAGCUUUUGCAUUUGAUUAUUUAGAUUUCAAUUGAUUGAUAUUUAUUACUAUUUAUAUUAGAAAAAGAAUAAAAAGAAAUAACUAAAAAAUAAAAAUUAAUAGAGUGACCAACACGGAAAUAGUCAUAUUUUGGUUUUCUUUUAUACUUUUCUCAUUUUGACUCAAACUUUUGGUAUUGAAAAAAUUAAUUAUUCCUUUAUAUUUUAAACAUUGAAGAAAUUAGCAAUUUUCUUGUGUAAUUGAGUUUUAAAUGAACUAUUUUCUUCCUAAAACUUACAUUUAAAAUUUGAAAUAAACAUUUAAUAGGCUGAUAAAUGUCAUUAUUAAAUUAGUUAACCAAACUACUUUUUUAUUUUUCCUUCUUUUAUUUUUUUCUCUUUUUUGUUUUCUCCUUUUCUUUCUUUAUAUUUUAAUAUUUCCUUUUUUUCCAUUUUUUUCAAAUAAACAAAAAUUUUGAUAAAAAUAAUUUUUUGUACUUUUUGAAAACUAAUUUAUAUAUUUUUUCUUGGAAAUAAUCCAUUUUUAAAUUAAAAAAAAAUUUAACUCUUAACCAUAAUAAAUAUUGUAAAUUAAAUAUUUUUUAGUUACAUAGCAAAAAGAAAAAGAAUCAUUUUGGUUUUUGAGUUGAAAUUUCAGUCACAUGGCAUGUUUCAUUGAUUUUUCAUUCAUAGUUGAUGAAAUAUGUGAAUUUGAAACAUUUUUAGAAGGUUAUGGAUAUAAAUUACGUUUUGUGUUUCAAAAUGAAAUAUUAUACAAAAGUUACGGAUAAUUGGUAUAUUUUACUCAAAAAUGAACAGAGAGUAAAAGACAAAUAAAAAAAAAUAAACCAUAUGAACUUAAGUUUCUUUUAUGUUUUCCCCAUUAUGACUCAAAAUUUUGGUAUUUAAUCUCUUUUGAGAUAAUAUUUAGAAUGAGAAUAUAAUUAACUAAUUUAAUCAAUAAUAUCAUAAAAUUUGGAAAAAAUGGUUUCAUAUCUAAUUUAAUUAUCUACUUGACCGAGCUCUUACAACUUGGUUUUUGUUAUUUUCACAGGUGAGAUCCCUUCAGAAAUUGGAAAUCUUCUAAGCUUGGAGAUAUUUUCUGUCAGAAAUAUGAGGCUAAUUGGUCCAAUACCGGCUUCCAUCUUUAACCUUACUUCUUUGAAAGAAAUUUAUCUCUAUAGCAAUAAUCUCUCUGGUAGUAUUCCAGAUAAUAUAUGUUACUCUCUUUUCAAACUUGAGGUGCUUCACAUAUCCCACAACGAAUUUUCUGGUUACCUUCCAUCAAAUAUUGGUGACUGCGGCAAUCUUCGAAAUUUAUCAUUAUCUUUUAAUCGAUUCAAUGGACACAUUCCAAGAAGUAUAGGAAAUUUAACCAAACUUGAGGAGAUAUAUCUAGGUGAUAAUGAUAUAGAAGGUAAGCUUUUGCAUAUGAUUAUUUAGAUUUCAAUUGAUUGAUAUUUAUUACUAUUUAUACUGAAAAAAAGAAUAAAAAAAAUAACUAAAAAAUAAAAAUUAAUAGAAUGGCCAACACGAAAAUAGUCAUAUCUUGGUUUUCUUUUGUUCUUUUCUCAUUUUGACUAAAACUUUUGGUAUUGAAAAAAUUAAUUAUUCCUUCAUAUUUUAAACAUUGAAAAAAUUAGGAAUUUCUUGUGUAAUUGACUUUUAUUGCAUUUUAAAUAACCUCAAUAUUAUUGGAAUGUUUAGAAAGUGAAUAGUUUUAUAAUAGUAAGUUGUUGUUUCUUUGUAGGUGAAAUUCCAUGGGAGAUUGGGAAUCUUGUUUCAUUGGAGAUAUUAUUUGCACCAUUCAUGCGUUUAAAUGGGUUGAUUCCACAUGUCAUCUUCAACAUUUCUUCUUUGAAAAAAAUUGAACUCUCGAACAAUAGUCUAUCAGGUAAUUUUGUUAUAAACAUUUCAUUGCUUUUUUAUUUCAAAUUGUUUACUUUAGUUUAAAAAAAGUUUAGUUUAGAAUUAUAAAAAAAAUAAUCAUAAAAUUAUGAAAACUGUUAAAACAAAUGAGGUGCCAUUGAAAGGCUUGAGAAAUGAUUUUCUAAACCUUUUUAUCUUCUUAAAAUCAAAUGCUGUUUCCAAUUAAAUUAGGGAAAGGCGAAACAAAGACUCAAAGGAAUUUGAAAACCAAACCUAAAAAUCGAAAUUCCAUCUUUUGGAAAAUAUUUUUAAUUUUUUUGAAAACGUUUUAUGAUUGAAUGAUACCCCUAAUUAGGAUGUACACCAGUACCUAAGACUACAAGGUAGGCCAAGGUGGAAAAUAGUUACGUACCCGACACUUACGAUGCCAAUAUGGCUAUUAUUUAUUAUCCCAUUGCCAUUAUAUAUGAUAAAAUUACUUGAUUUGUUUUAUAAUGUAAUAAAAAGUAAUAUCAACAUACUUUGUUACUUCCAUAUUUAUUUAAUACCUAUUUAAUACCGACUUACUUAAUUUAUUGUUACAUCUAACUUAAAGUAGUAAUAUAAUAUUUAGUAUUUUUAUAUUUAUUGAUCUGCAAAUAUUUAAAAUCUAUAUUGUGUAAUAAAAAAUGUAACAAUGUAUUUCAUUAAGUCCACUCUUCUAGUACAAAAAUUAAGGCUCAUAUGUUUACUUAGCCUAUAUUAUUUUUUACUCUGCCCAUUCUUUUAAGACAAAUAAGUAAAGUUUAUAUGGUAAUUGAAGACCAAACUUAUGAUUAAUUAUAUUUAACAAAAAUCAAUUUCAAAAAUAUUAAAAAUAAAAAAAAAACCAUUGUUUUAAAACAUAGUAUUAAUGAUUUUUUUUAGUUGUACUCCAUUCCUUAAAAAAAAAAAAAAUCAACAUUCAAAAUUAAAAAAAAAAAAAAACAUUCUUGACUUAUCCAACCACGUGUCAAUUUCUAAUUCUUCCCCAACUACCAUGCUUUUGUCGCAGGAUUGUUUUAAUAUGAUGUAUAGAUUUGUCUAAAGUUAUCUGGCUUUUUAUCGGGUGUAUUUUAAUUAUAAUUCUUUUUAUUAUAAUUAUUUUUUAAUCAUAAUAAAAUAUUACGUAAAAGUUAUUAUUUAUAAAUAUGGGUUACAUGUAAAAUUUUGAUAAAUUUUAUAUAAUUUUAAAUUAUAAUUAAUUAAUUAUAUUAUAAUAAUUAUGAAUUAUAUACACUCUUUUUAUUAUUUGCAAUAAAAAUAAGUGCUACUUUUAUUGUUCUUUUACGAAAUGAAAAGCAAUAAUUGUAUAAUUUUUUUUUAAGCCAUAUUUUUGUUAGAGAUCAAAAGACCAUCAUCAGUGAGAUACAAGAAUCUUACCAAAAAACAUAAUUAUAAGCCAUACCAGAAACAACAAAAAAACAUCCAGCACAAUUCCACCAACAAGGGACUUCCCCUAAAAAGAAGCAAUCAUCACAACCAAACAAAAAGGAAAAUAAAAAACACUACCAUGGUCGGUAAACAAAUAAUGAGAGCAAACACCACUAUCCCAUACAGAACAAAAUCACCACCAUUUCGUAAAAAAAAUAAUAAUAAAAAUAAAAACACCUUCUCUCUAUCUACCCACGUUUGCCAUGACAUCAACUGGAUGCACCAAUUGAUCUCCAAAGCAUCACAAUUUCAGAAAAUAUAGACAACAACUUUCAUGGUCGAUGAUUCUUUUUGCUCCAGUUAACAGCCACCAUAGAGCCAUUUCCUAUCUCAAAAGCAUACAAAUAGCCAAAUGCUAAAAUUCCCUAUAUUAACCUCACAACCACUAUCAUAUCCUUCAAACACAACUUUAAAUAUACCUUUUGCCAAAUUCCUUAACUGUAGUAUUGAAUAUUGAUAAAGCUUUUAAAUAAGACCAAAUUCAUUAGAACCUUUACAUCGACAAGGCCCUUUUGUAUCAGUCCCGAUUGAGCUUCUCCCAAUCUUGUCUUUCUAGAUCACAAAUACCUUGAAUAAUGGAACCAUCGUUUCAUUUAUAGAUAAACCCAAUAAUUUACCAACUUCCCAAAUCUUCUCAGCCUCUUCUAGGAAAGCUCUAUUUCGAGAAUGAAUAUCUUCAUCCGAUUAGUGCUCUUGAACAAUGGAAACUAGAGGUGUCUUUAUCUUGCGAGACUUGCGUUUGGAUCUUGUCCAAUAUUUUGCCUUACCUUUUUAUCCUUCUUUUACCUGCUCGAAUAGUAACAAGGUGAAAUUUUUCUUCAACGUUGAAAAGUUACUCAUCUCAUAAGCUCAAUAGAAACUCCUGACGAGGUUCCAAAGAUAAUAACAUGCUUUCCUUGAGUUCAAAAGUCAAAAGAACCAUAUUCUCACCCAUGAUAGUGACAGAACAAUCAUCGAAGUCCUCUGACAAGAUUUGAUCAAUGGCAUUUGUAGAAUCAGGACAUCUAACUAUCCCACAGCAUUCCGUUGUAAUCCCACCAAAUCUAUAUUUUUAGGAAUGUAUUCAAGGAUGUCAACCGAUUUUAAAACCUCUUCUUUUUGACCAUCUGACACAAUGUUAUCCUUUAACUGAGUGGAUUUGACAGACAUAUUAACCACCUCUGCAUCAGAUCGUCCAUUUCCAAAGUCUUCUAUGCAUUUAACACCUUUUUCCACGUAGUGAGUGGUGAGUUUAGAACUAACAUAAGACCUUUGAUCAUACCUUGCCAUUUUAACAUAUAGAGUGGAAUACCUUAGGUGCGAACUAUUUAGAACUUUGAUAGCCCUCAAUGCAUCCCGUAGAUCAAGAUAAUGGACAAAACCAAAUAAGACAUUCUUGGCUUUCUUUUGAUUUUUGGGACAUAAAAAUCAACCACCCUCCCACUUCUGACAAAACGUUGCUUAAGAUUAAGGAGACUACAACCUGGAAAAAUUCCAUCAACAAACAGUGUAACAAAAAUUUUUUCUCCCUAGGUAAUGUUCUUGUGUGGUCUUCAUAGCAUCCAAGAAGAGCUUUUUGACUUACCUUUGCUUCACCCACUAAAUCGGACUAAGGCAAGGCUUUUCAUCCUCUAAUAAUUGUGUAAUUAAAAGCAUCAUUUUAAAAUCGUUUUCAUUGGUUUCACAUUUUUUGUCAUCAUAUUACUAAAUUUUGUAUUGUAGUAGUAAAAUGUAUACAAUAUUACUCCAACAAACCUCAAAUGAACCUCCUCUGGUAGAGCACUCUUAAGGUUCUAUCAAACCUUAGGGAAGUAAGAGAAUGAUUUUCAAACUAAAGAGAGUGCAUGUACUUUUAACAAUCUUUUCAUAGAAUCUUUGUAUUUUCUCUUAUAUUAUGCAUAUAGUCUAAAAUGAAAGAAAUUUUAUCAUAUCUCUUGAGUCUUUUUUCCUAAAAUGGCAUGGAUAAAAAUUCUAUUUAUUUCCAAAAAUUUACACUUUCAGAUUUUUCUUUUCUCAAACAAAUUAAUGUAAGUAUACAUUUAUUUUUUCAUUUUCUUCACUUUUAUCUUAUUUCUUUUUCUUUCGUGAACAAUUUCAUCAUCCAAAUUUUCUUUAAUCUUUUUUAUCAUUAAAGCAAUUGAGAAAAGUUAAAGAAAAUAAAAUUCUCACACAAAUGGAAAACAUUUUAAGCAUAUACUAGAAACCUUUUAAUAUUUUCUUUUCUCCCUUCCUUUCUUCUAUCUUCUUUUUUUCUUUUACUUUUCUUUUUCCUCUUUUGUACUUUGUUAUACGUAAGAAUGGAGCCUUUUAGUCAUUAUAAAUAACAAAAAAAUUUAUAAAUUCUAUAUAUAUAUAUAUAUAUAUAUUCCAGAUCAUCAAACAAGAAAAAUUUGAGGUUGUUUCAUAUUUAUAAUUGUUUAAUGUUUCUUCUUACUCACUAAGUGUAAGCAUUGCAUUCACUUCAGCUUGCAUCAUAGAUUCAUGAAAAAUACAACAAAGCAAAGGAAUUAAUUUAUUUCUUGUAUGGAAAGAUGCAAACUUGUUUUUUUUUUUCUUUUUAGGUAAAUUACCAUACAUGAGCUCUGCUUCAAAUCUUGAGGAGCUUUACUUAUGGGGCAAUAAUCUUAGUGGAAAUAUUCCUGGCUCUAUCUCCAAUGUUUCUAAUCUCAGAAUCCUAGAAUUACAAGAAAACUCAUUCUUUGGCCUUAUUCCAGAUACACUUGGCAAUUUGAGGUUCCUUGAAAUAUUGAAAAUUUGGUCGAAUCAUUUGACCACCAAAACUUCAACUCAUGAAUGGAGCUUUCUCUAUUCCUUGGAAAAUUGCAAGUAUCUAAGAAAUUUACAGCUAUCAGUUAAACCAUUGAAUGGCAUUCUUCCAACUUCUAUUUGAAAUCUUUCCACAUCACUUGAACAAUUAUGGGUCAUUGAUUGCAAAAUUAGAGGCAGCAUUCCCAUGGAAAUUGGUAGCUUAAGCAACGUUAUAUUGUUAGACCUUUCCUCUAAUAGAUUGAGUGGACCUAUUCCAACAACAAUAGGAAGGCUAAAAAAUCUCCAACUUUUGAAUCUUCAUGGAAAUAAGUUACAAGGCUCUAUCCCACAUGAUCUUUGUGGUUUGAAGGAAUUGUUCAAAUUGUCAUUGGGUGCUAAUGAGCUUGAUGGACCUUUACCAACAUGUUUGAGUGAUUUGACUUCUCUGAGAUAUCUAUACUUGUUCUCCAACAAAUUGCAUUCGCAAAUACCAUUAACUUUUUGGAGCCUUAAAGAUAUCUUAGAAGUAGAUUUAUCAUCAAACAAUCUUAGUGGUUCUCUUCCACUUGACAUUGGAAAUUUGAAGGUACUUAUCUCUUUGAAUUUGUCAAAGAAUUUAUUAUCAAGUGAUAUUCCGUCCACAAUUGGAAGUCUCCAUGAUCUACAAGUUUUGAUUCUUUCUAGAAAUAGAUUACAAGGCCCUAUUCCAAAAUCAUUGGGUGACUUGAUGAGUUUGAAAAGCUUGGAUUUAUCUUACAACAAUCUCUCUGGAGUCAUUCCCAAGUUUUUGGAAAAACUUUAUGAUCUCAAUUAUUUUAAUGUGUCUUUCAAUAGAUUGGAAGGAGAAAUACCAAGUGAAGGGCCCUUUUUGAACUUCACAGCCAAAUCCUUCAUGAAAAAUUAUGCACUAUGUGGUUCACCUAGACUACAAGUCUCACCUUGCAAAAAAAAAAUCCAUCGAAAAUUCAAGAAGACCACUCUACAUGCUUUGAGGUAUGUUUUACCAACAUUUUCUUCAAUAAUAAUAGUUGUAGCCGCCAUAAUUGUCUAUAAAAAUUGGCAGAGGGGGAAUAUGAAGUUGGCAAUGGAUAAAGAUUUAAUUCCUCUCAGAAAAAGGAGAAGAAUUUCGUAUAAUCAAUUAUUGCAAGUGACUGGUGGAUUUAGUGGGAAUAACUUACUUGGGUUCAGGAAGUUUUGUGGCUCUGUAUACAAAGAAUACUUUCAGAUGGAAGCGGAAGUCGGCAUAAAGGCUUCAAUUUGCAAAUAGAUGGAGCAGCUAAGAGUUUUGACGUUGAAUGUGAAGUUGCUGAGCAAUAUCCUUCAUCGCAAUCUUGUCAAGGUCUUUACUUUGUUGUUCAACUAUUGAUUCACAUCGCUUAGUGCUUGGAGGUUUCAUGCCUAAUGGAACCUUGAAGAAAUGGUUAUAUGCUUACAAUUAUGUAUUGGAUAUCCUACAAAGAGUCAACAUAAUGAUAGAUGUUGCAUCGGCAUUAGAAUACCUCCAUUUGGGACAUCCGAUUCCUAUUAUCCAUUGUGACCUAAAACCAAGUAAUGUCUUAUUGGAUGAGGACAUGGUUGCACACGUGGGAGAUUUUGGAACUGCCAAGCUAUUGGGAGAGGGAGAUUCCAUCAAACAAACAAUGACACUAGCUACUAUUGGCUAUGUGGCACCAGGUGAUUUUUUCAUUUUGUAUUUUUUCUCUAUUUCAAAAUCAGUAGAUAUUAGUAUUUUAUCAUUUUAUUGAUGAUUAAUGUUGCUUGAAUGGCAUAAGAUCAUUUUAAUAAUUCAAUUAUAUUUAAAUUACAGAAUACGGAUCGUCGGGAAUUAUUUCAAUAAAGAGUGAUGUCUAUAGCUAUGGUAUUCUAUUAAUAGAAACUUUCACAAGAAAAAAGCCCACGGAUGAAAUUUUUGUUGGAGAAAUGAGUAUGAAGCAUUGGGUGAAAAGGUCAUUAUCUAAUGAAAUAAUUGGUUUAAUAGAUUCUAGUUUAGUGCAAGAAACAGAUGAAUAUUUUGUCAUUAAAGCAAAUUGUGUAUCAUCUAUUAUGAGAUUAGCUUUGGAUUGUUCAGCUGAAUUACCUGAAGAUAGAUUAGAUAUGAAGAAUGUUGUAUCCAUGCUGAAGAAUAUCAAAAGAGAAUAUCUGAACAACAUUGCGCAAGAUUAAUUAAUAUGGUAAUGACUGCAAUUAUAUAUAUAGUUUAAGCUUAUAGUAUAUAUUUAUCUGAUUUUCUUUUAAGAAGGUAUUCCGUUAAGCUUUAUAUUUUCUUGCAGGUUAUGGGUACUACUACCGUAAUACGUAUUUUCGUUCAGUAAUCAAGGUACUUUCAUCACUUUUGAAUUUUUACGUAUAUCUUUAUUUAUUAACUUUGAAAUCUUUAUUAAAGUAAUUUUUUCUUAAUAGCAUUUUAAAUUUUACAGUAAAAACUAGAGUUUUAAUUCCAUUGAAUCAUUAAAGAGUUUAAAUAAUUAUGAGAUUCGCAUAGCUGGUGAAUUUCAAUAAGUUCUAUAUUUAAGUAAGGAGCAUGGUAGUUGUAAAUAUAUUAAAAGGAUUUUUUAGAUUAAUAAAUAACCUUUUCACCUGGAUGUGUGGUUAUAGGAAGUUGGGCUUAAUUUGUGUAUUUAUGUUUUCUUUUAUUAAAUUCAUACUAUAUCUCAAUACAUAUAAUUAAUUUAUACAUGUUAUGUAUGAUUAGAAGUAAUAUAUAUAUAUAUAUAUAUAUAUAGAUUAUAAUUCUAUAUAAUUAACCAAAGCAUAAAUCAUCAUAAAGAGAGCCAAUAAGUUAAAUUCAUUUUCAUUUAUUUACGGUAUUUAUUAAUGUGAUCAUUAAUUAGGAAUACUUUUUCGUUACAACUCUUUUUUAUCUCAAUGGUAAUUGUCAUAACGUCUAGAUCCGGGGAUCUAUCGCCAGACAUUGACUUUAGGGAGUCGCCACCAAUCUUUUUUUUUAUCCAGGUGUGAUUGGCCACCUAAGGAAUCUGCCCUUUUAGGGAACACCUAAGCUUAAGGGUCCCUAAAAGAAUAGGUUCGGGUCUGCUUAACCAGAACAGAGUUCGGGAGUUCGGUUACGUGUGAGGAAGGUUAUAGCACCCUCACAACGCCCAUCAAAAGAUGGUACCAGCUUGAAUUUGUGUUAUCCAAAAGCCUUAAAAUUUUACCAAGUAGUUAGUUGUUGAAAAUUAUUCUCCAUUGACUCUAAUACUUUUAGCAGAAAAUUGAGAAAAUUCCCUCACCUCAAGAGUAUGCAAGAAAAACUACUGUUUCACUUGCAGAGGCUCCGUCGUCGGAUUAUUUAAAGAAAAAUCAAGAUCAACCAAUUAAUUAAUUAUCGAAAAUUAUUCUCAAUUGACUCUAAUACUUUUAGCAGAAAAUUGAGAAAAUUCCCUCACCUCAGGAGUAUGCAAGAAAAACUACUGUUUCACUUGCAGAUGCUCCGUCGUCGGAUUAAUUAAAGAAAAAUCAAGAUCAACCAAUUAAUUAAUUAUCGAAAAUUAUUCUCAAUUGACUCUAAUACUUUUAGCAGAAAAUUGAGAAAAUUCCCUCACCUCAGGAGUAUGCAAGAAAAACUACUGUUUUUACUUGUAGAGGCUCCGUCGUCGGAUUAAUUAAAGAAAAAAGAAAAAAAAAAUCAAGAUCAAAAUCAAAGUCAAAUAAAAAAAAAAAAAAAAAAAAAAAAAAAAAAACCUGGAGCGGCUCGGAUCGCGGCUCGGCUUGGUGCGGCUCGGCUCGGCUCGGCUCGGCUCGGAGGGGCUGAAACGCGCGGGUCAGAAAGCGGGUCGACGCUUCGGGUCGGGUCGGGUUCGGCAAAACGCGCGGAUCCUCUUAUUAACUUAAAGCCAAAACGACGUCGUUUUGGGGGGUAUAAAAGGCACCUUCCUCCGUUUUUCAGCAGACCGUUCCUCCCCUCUCUCUCUCUUCUUCCCUUCUUCUCUGCCUUCUCUCUAGAAUUUGAAGAACGCCGGUGCCGGAUUCUGGAAAUUUCGCCGGAAAAUGGCCGGAAGUUGGCCGGAUGGUCGCCGGUUUCUGGGAUUCUCCGCCGGAAACUGGGUUGUCGCCGGAAACUUCCAAAGUUCCACCGGAAUUGUGUCGGAAAAUCCAAAAGUCGCCAGAAUUUUCGCCGGAAUCUGGAAAUUUCCCAGAAAUUUUCCAGAAAAUUUUUUCGCCAAAUUUUUCUAAAAAUUUUUCUCACUGCCAGAACACUCCUAAACUUUUCCUUAGCUCUCUAAACACCCCUAUUCUCUCAAUCAGUAGCUUUUGCUUCUGUUUUUUUCUGUGUCUGAACUGUUCCAGGAGGUGCUUUAUAUAAGGAUUGAUCAGGAGUUUCUGAUCAAUCCCAAUUCCUCUUUGGACGGGAAUUCAAUCUUUGAAUCCCACUGGACUCUUCUGAUGAAUUCCCACUUCCAAUGGGAUUCUUCAGCCUUCAAUCUCAGCCCUCAAAAAUCAAAUAAAAAAAAACUAGAUAAUUAGAAAAGAAAAUAAAAAUUAAAAAUAAUAUCAGAUAAUUCGGGAAAAGAAGAUAGAAUUAACAAAUGAAAAAAAAAAUAAUAACAAAUAAAAUAAGAUAAACCCAAAAAUAUAUUACACAAAAAAAAUAAUAAUAAUAUAUAACUGUAUAAAUAAAAUACAUAUAAAUCUAAUCUGAAUAAAAAUAAAUAAAUAAAUAAAGAUAUACAUAAUAAUAAUAAUAAUAAUAAUAAUAAUAAUAAUAGAAUACAUAAAAUACAAAAGAAGAAAAAAAUAUACAGGAUUGAAAUGGGCCUUACCCAUUUGGGUCAGGCCCAAUUGAUCUGGGCCCGGACCCAAUUGGGUGUCUACAGCUGCCCCUCUUUGCACAUUUUCUGUGAAACAGAAAUUGCGCAAAGACGUAGACACCCAAUCAAGACUCAACUCAACAUUUUUAUUUUUGAUUUUUUUUUGUUUUUAUUUUUUUGAUUUUUUUGAUUUUUUUGAUUUUUUUGUUUUUGUUUUUUUGUUUUUUUUUUGUUUUUUUUUUGGCCGAAGCUCCUCUAAACAGAGACUCAACGACUUUUGAAAGUAAAUUGCUCCUCUAAACAGAGGCAACGGACUUUGGAAAGUAAAUUGCUCCUCUCAACAGAGGCACCACGACUUUGGAAAAAUAAAUUGCUCCUCUCAACAGAGGCACCACGACUUUGAAAAGUAAAUUGCUCCUCUAAACAGAGGCACCACGACUUUGGAAAAAUAAAUUGCUCCUCUCAACAGAGGCACCACGACUUUGAAAAGUAAAUUGCUCCUCUAAACAGAGGCAACGAACUUUGAAAAGUAAAUUGCUCCUCUAAGCAGAGGUACCACGACUUUGAAAAGUAAAUUGCUCCUCUAAACAGAGGCAACGAACUUUGAAAAGUAAAUUGCUCCUCUAAACAGAGGUACCACGACUUUGAAAAGUAAAUUGCUCCUCUAAACAGAGGCAACGAACUUUGAAAAGUAAAUUGCUCCUCUAAACAGAGGUACCACGACUUUGGAAAAGUAAAUUGCUCCUCUAAACAGAGGCAACGAACUUUGAAAAGUAAAUUGCUCCUCUCAACAGAGGCAACGAACUUUGAAAAAAUAAAUUGCUCCUCUAAACAGAGGUACCACGACUUUGAAAAGUAAAUUGCUCCUCUCAACAGAGGUACCACGACUUUGGAAAAAUAAAUUGCUCCUCUAAACAGAGGUACCACGACUUUGAAAAGUAAAUUGCUCCUCUCAACAGAGGCAACGAACUUUGAAAAGUAAAUUGCUCCUCUAAACAGAGGCACCACGACUUUGGAAAAAUAAAUUGCUCCUCUAAACAGAGGCACCACGACUUUUGAAAAGUAAAUUGCUCCUCUAAACAGAGGCAACAAACUUGGAAAAGUAAAUACUCCUAGACAAUCAUGUCCGGAGGAGUUGAAAGUUGUGUUUGAAGGGAUUUCAAGAGAUUAUGCCCAAGGUCUUAUAAAUCAACCCUGAUACCAAGAGACAUCCUAUUUCGAGGAUUAGGAACUUACCUGACAAGUUUCUUCUCAAACUUGCAAAGUCUUUUUAUAUCUGUCUUUUUCAUGUGGGAUGUUGGAACACCCCUGCUUCUUGAAUUUGUACACUAUACUUUCCUGAAAGUAGUGUAUGCUAUGCAAAUGCAUAUGAAUUUCAAUGCAUGCUAUGCAAAUGUUGGUCAAUUAAUUCCUGUUCAAUGUAUGGUACUCAAGUUUCUCAAGCUCUUUUUUCUUUCUUGGGUGUCAAGCCCUUUGAUUCCUCAAGGAUCCAAUUGCACUGCUCUUCUAAGAUCGAACCAGUGUAGCUCUUAAUUGUCUCUUCCACUCACAUUCUUUCCUUGUUCUGUUUUUCAAUACUUUGGAAUAAACUUCAUCAAUCGAUCAUCCCUUGACCAUCAUUCAAUGAAUUUCUCAGCACUAGCAAAUUUCAAAACAAAUUUCAUCCACCAUCACUGGGUCCUUGUCUCAGCAUCAACAAUUCCAAAACAGACUUUGUCUACUGAUUCAAUCAUAUCUUGCAAGUCAUAUCAAUCAAUUCAUCACUUUUCAAGAUUUGCCCCAUCAUCUCUUUUAGGUUUCUACCAUUUCUUCAUCAUCUUAGAUUUCUUUUCAAAUGAAUGUAAGAUUCUUUUAAGCACAUAUUCAUUCAUUCAUUAUCAUUUCAAAUUUUGACAAAUACAAUGCAAUCAAGCAUUUUCUCAAUUCAUUCUAAGGGUGUAACAAUAAGAGGACAGAAAGUGAAUUAUGGUAAAGAUAAUCAAUGGAGAUCUAUUUUGGUAGAAAAUAAAUGGGAAAAAAAUAAAUUGGAUGUCAUUGAGGUAAAUGGUAUGUCCAAAUGAUGAAUAUUCAGACAAUUUUCAACAUUAAUCUAGGAUUCUUUUUCAAAAGCUCAUUCAUUUACUGUUGAAGUCAUCUUGGGCUUGGCGAACUCUGUCCCAGUCUUUAAGGGAUCUUCAGAUGUCUUUGAUCUUUCAUUCAUGUGAGCCAUUUGACCUGAAUCUUUUUUUUUUUUUUUGGGUACCAAAAUCACCCUUUCAGGUUUUCAAUUCGGAUCUCUUUUUUCAUUUUUUCAUUUUUUCAUCAUCUUUUUUUUUUCAUUCUUCACCUAUUAUUGACAUCCUUCAUACAUCAAACUUUUAAGGUAAUGUAGCAUGAUUCCAUUGCUUCAUCAUGAGCAUGCCUUCGCUCAACAUAUGAUCAUUCAAGUUGGGUAUUCACACUUGAUCCAAAUGGACUUUCCAAGGUUGUAAUGUAGGCUAAGGUGAAGGGUCAUAAAAAAAAUGGAUAUAAUAGGCUCAAAACAUGUAUUAAAAAGGUUCAAGACCGAAGGAUCAUUUGAUGCAGCUUGGCAUUUUGCCCCACAUCGUUUCACUAUUUUUUCUUUCCUCACACAAAGGAUUCUCAUUACUUUGCCCCAAGUCAUGUGUGGCAUUUAUUUUUUUCUUUUGCUUUUCUUUCUCUUUUCAUCUUUGAGACCUUUUGUGGUUUUUUUUUUUUUUUUUUUUUUUUUUUUUCAAAAAUUACCCUCCAGUGUAGAGGGUGAUCCUUGGUUGGGGUUCUUCAAAAAAAUGAUAAGCUCAAAGGGGUAGCAAUAAAUGGUUUUUCAAAUGGUAAAAGAAAGAUGGCCAUUUUUCAUCUCAAUUGUGAAUACCUUUCUUGAACAUCAUCUAUUGAACAGAGCUCAUGAACUUGUAUAAAAUAUUGCACACCUUCAAGAUAUAUCUCUUUCAUCUCUGGUGAUGGCUUACCCUCUUUAUUUUCGCUCAAAUCAUCUCUUCUGUGAAUGAGUUCUCAAAAUUAAAUUCCAGAAUUAUUGUUAUCAUUGUCUAAAUAUUCAUCAUCUGAAAUUUAAGAAUGGGAAUGUGAAGUUAUGGAAGGUAACAAAGCAUGGAGUAAUGGUCAAGUGAAAGAGAAAAAUGUAAUGAAAUGCACUGACUUGCCUUUAUUAAAAUGAUAACAAGUGAAGUCAUAUUGCAAAAAAAUCUAACAUUGUUUGAAAAAAAUCCUAAAAUGACAGAAGAAACCUUCAAACAGCCUUAUCUCCAUUGAUAUCUUGCCCCUCAAUUCAUUGUGAAUCUUCGGAUCCUUUCUGUUCUUGACUUUCGCUCAGUACACUAACAUUAGGUGCUGUUGCUUUUCCUUGAUCAAAACUUACCAUUCCAUCAUUGAUCAACCGUUGCACCUUAUACUUUAAAGCAGUGCAAUUUUCAGUAGAAUGGCCAGUAAUUCCAUAAUGGUAGUCACAACGGGAUGUAGGAUCAUACCACUUUGGAUAGGGUGGUUUAAGUGGUUCCACAUGGCUGGGGGCAAUCAAGUGGUUAUUAUAGAGUUCUCGAUAUAACUCUGUAUAAGUCAUAGGGAUUGGAUCAAAUACAGAUUUUUCUCGAGUAGUCCGUUUUUCUCGUGAGCCACUUGUUGGAUGAGUAGGACGAAUUUGGGUUCUUACAGGAGCUUGAAUGUUAAGGCGGUAAGUGGAUGAAUAAGAUGGUUGUGGAGCUAGCUGGUAUGGGUAGGAUGAGGCAUUAUUCACAGCAGGAUAGCAUGGAGAGUAACCUUGGGAUGGAUAGGGUUGAUAACCCCCGAAUUGUUGUCUAUCAAAGCUCACAGCUUGAGCUUCAGCUUCUUUCUUUUCUGAUGUCUUCUUGGUUUCUCCUCCUCUCAACUUGCCAUUUUUUAUGGCACUUUCAAUAAUUUCUCCAGAGAUUACCAUGUCAGCAAAAUUCUUUGUUGCAUUCCCUAUCAUCUUUUCAUAAUAGGGAGGCUUUAAAGUGCUAACAAAUAGCACUGUGGUCUCUUUCUCUGUCAGUGGAGGUUGUACCUGUGAAGCAAUAUCCCUCCAUCUCUGGGCGUAUUCUUUAAAAGACUCAUUUGACUUUUUCUCCAGGUUUUGCAAAGAUAAACGAUCAGGGGCCAAAUCGAUGAUGUGUCGAUAUUGGCUGAUGAAGUCAUGAGCCAUAUCGCUCCAGGAGCGAAUGUGGGUUCUAUCCAACUGAACAUACCACCUGGCAGCAGAACCAGUAAGACUAUCCUGAAAGACAUGCAUCAAGAGUUUUUCAUCAUGUGCAUGAGCUGCCAUCUUCCUGCAAUACAUGGUGAUGUGAGUUUUAGGGCACUUUGUACCGUCAUAUUUUUCAAAUUUCGGUACUUUGAAUUUAUAGGGGAUAACCACAUCAGGAACUAAGCAGAGCCCAGCAGCAUCGACUGACCCAUAACAGCUAAAUCCUUCCACAGCCCUUAGCCUCUGCUCUAGCAUACUAAUCUUGGAACUUUCCUCAGCCUCUACUCUCAUCUUUUCCUUCUCCUUCUCUUUUAAAUCAUCUAGAUCAGGAAUUGGUUCUGCUGCCUUUUCAGUGAAGACAGGAUUUAUAUAGCUAUUAUACUGCCCUGGGUUGAAAGCUGAUGGCAUUCCAGGAUAGGCGAAAUGUUGUGGCGGGACCUCUUGGGCAGACUGGGCUUGAGAUGGGCCAAAACCUGGAGGGUACAAAGGGUCAGCUACCUCUUGUAAAUGGGGAACUUGUUGGCUUGUAUUUCCUUCAACCCCUUUCCCCUUAUUCAUGUUAUUGAGGGCCUCCAAAAUUUUGCUAAGUUCAUUUUCAAUCUUCUCCUGAGCUUUUUCUAGCUUUUCAAAUCUAUGAGAACUUUCCUCCUCCAUUUGCCUUGCUCUGGAUCUUGUGUUGUAUGGAUGAGCAAGGUUUUCGCUAGAUGGAGCUAUCCUCGGACCUUGAGUACCAUACUCAUGAUUAGAAAUGUUAUGCUGUGCCUUAUGUAUGAUGCUUUGAUACACAAAUGAAAUGUACAUUUUUUUGAAUGAAAUCUAGCAUGAAAUGAAUGCAAAUGAUUGUGUUGAAACAUGAUCAUGAAAAGAAUACAGAUGCAUACAAUCAGACAAACAACAUAGUUAGUUUCAUGAAUGAAAUGAAAGUAAUGCUGAUGCAUAACAUUACAAAAAAUAAUACACAAAGUUAAGCAAUCAAAAUGAUUAGAUAAACACCUUUUUUGUGUCCUAAUUUCAGGGUAUAUCUAUCAUUGGGUAGAAAGGACUCUAUCCUAGGGUUAGGCACUCUUAAGGUUCAUUACAUGUGGUUUUAAAGUCAGAGUCUAAAGGUCCUCAAAUUGUUCCUUACAUCCUUGUCCAUCACAGACUAGUAAGGCACCCUAAUCCUCACCCAUUACAGGCUACAAGCGGAAAAGGUUCAAUUUGAGUGGGAGUAUUUCGCUAGCCACUGCGGAGGCAUUAGACCUCACGAAAGCAAUAGGUAUUUUACUCCCUCCUAGAGGGACGGAGCUCGGGUGUAGAGCUCAUGUUAUGCAUAUGCACAUGAAUGACAUAAUUAACCAAGCAAAUACACAUAAAUGAAUAAUAACACAUAUAUACAAGAAGGGUUCAAUUUUAUUUAGCUUUUAGAUAACACAAAUUAUUUGCUGGCCUGACUCUCAAAGUCCCCAGCGGAGUCGCCAAGCUGUCAUAACGUCUAGAUCCGGGGAAUCUAUCGCCAGGACAUUGACUUUUAGUAGAGUCGCCACCAUAUCUUUUUUUUUAUCCAGGUGUGCCAUUGGCCACCUAAGGAAUCUGCCCUUUUAGGGAACACCUAAGCUUAAGGGUCCCUAAAAGAAUAGGUUCGGGUCUGCUUAACCAGAACAGAGUUCGGGAGUUCGGUUACGUGUGAGGAAGGUUAUAGCACCCUCACAACGCCCAUCAAAAGAUGGUACCAGCUUGAAUUUGUGUUAUCCAAAAGCCUUAAAAUUUUACCAAGUAGUUAGUUGUUGAAAAUUAUUCUCCAUUGACUCUAAUACUUUUAGCAGAAAAUUGAGAAAAUUCCCUCACCUCAAGAGUAUGCAAGAAAAACUACUGUUUCACUUGCAGAGGCUCCGUCGUCGGAUUAUUUAAAGAAAAAUCAAGAUCAACCAAUUAAUUAAUUAUCGAAAAUUAUUCUCAAUUGACUCUAAUACUUUUAGCAGAAAAUUGAGAAAAUUCCCUCACCUCAGGAGUAUGCAAGAAAAACUACUGUUUCACUUGCAGAGGCUCCGUCGUCGGAUUAAUUAAAGAAAAAUCAAGAUCAACCAAUUAAUUAAUUAUCGAAAAUUAUUCUCAAUUGACUCUAAUACUUUUAGCAGAAAAUUGAGAAAAUUCCCUCACCUCAGGAGUAUGCAAGAAAAACUACUGUUUCACUUGCAGAUGCUCCGUCGUCGGAUUAAUUAAAGAAAAAUCAAGAUCAACCAAUUAAUUAAUUAUCGAAAAUUAUUCUCAAUUGACUCUAAUACUUUUAGCCAGAAAAUUGAGAAAAUUCCCUCACCUCAGGAGUAUGCAAGAAAAACUACUGUUUUUACUUGUAGAGGCUCCGUCGUCGGAUUAAUUAAAGAAAAAAGAAAAAAAAAUCAAGAUCAAAAUCAAAGUCAAAUAAAAAAAAAAAAAAAAAAAAAACCUGGAGCGGCUCGGAUCGCGGCUCGGCUUGGUGCGGCUCGACUCGGCUCGGCUCUGCUCGGAGGGGCUGAAACGCGUGGGUCAGAAAGCGGGUCGACGCUUCGGGUCGGGUCGGGUUCGGCAAAACGCGCGGAUCCUCUUAUUAACUUAAAGCCAAAACGACGUCGUUUUGGGAGGGUAUAAAAGGGCCCUUCCUCCGUUUUUCAGCAGACCCUUCCUCCCUCUCUCUCUCUUCUGUCCAUUCUUCUCUGCCUUCUCUCUAUGAUUUAAAACGCGGUGCCGGAUUCUGAAUUUCGCCGCGAAUUUGGAAUUUCGCCGGAAAUGGCCGAAGUUGCCGGAUGUCGCCGGUUUCUGGAUUCUUUUUUUCAGCCGGAAACUGGUCUGUCGCCGGAAACUUCAAAGUUCGUCAAUUUGUCUCCGGAAAAUGCAAAAGUCCGCCGAAUUUUCGCCGGAAUCUGAAAUUUUCCAGAAUAAUUUCCAAAAAAAUUUUUCGCAAAUUUUUCUAAAAUUUUUCCACUGCCAGAACACUCCUAAACUUCCCUUAGCUCUCUAAACACCCCCUAUUCUCUCAAAAUCAGUAGCUUUGCUUCUGUUUUUUUCGUGUCUAAACUAUUCCAGGAGGUGCUUUAUAUAAGGAUUGAUCAGGAGUUUCUGAUCAAUCCCAAUUCCUCCUUGGACGGGAAUUCAAUCUUUGAAUCCCACUGGACUCUUCUGAUUGAAUUCCCACUUCCAAUGGGAUUCUUCAGCCUUCAAUCUCAGCCCUCAAAAAUCAAAAUAAAAAAAAAACUAGAUAAUUAGAAAAGAAAAUCAAAAAUUAAAAAUAAUAUCAGAUAAUUCGGGAAAAAGAAGAUAGAAUUAACAGAUGAAAAAAAAAAUAAUAACAAAUAAAAUAAGAUAAACCCAAAAAUAUAUUACACAAAAAAAAUAAUAAUAAUAUAUAACUGUAUAAAUAAAAUACAUAUAAAUCUAAUCUGAAUAAAAAUAAAUAAAUAAAUAAAGAUAUACAUAAUAAUAAUAAUAAUAAUAAUAAUAAUAAUAAUAAUAGAAUACAUAAAAUACAAAAGAAGAAAAAAAUAUACAGGAUUGAAAUGGGCCUUACCCAUUUGGGUCAGGCCUAAUUGAUCUGGGCCCGGACCCAAUUGGGUGUCUACAGUAAUAAUAACAGUAAGGAUAUAAUUUUACUUAAUAAUAAAUUUGUACUAAUGUAUUUUCUUGUAUGAAAAUUAUGACUCACAUAAUUGCAUUUUUAAGUAAUUUGGAUUGGAUGGAAAUAAUGGCUCUUUUUUUUAUAUUUUUAGGUGAUUUAUGAUUGAUUACGGAAUUAUAUGUCUUUAUAUAAUUAAUUAAUUAAUUAAUUAAUUAAUUAAUAUUUACCAUAUUAUUUUUAUAAUUAAUUACUUUUUAAUUGGUAUUUGGGUAAUAACUUAUUAACGAAUUUUAACUGAUCAAAUAAAAAUUAUUAGAAUUAUUCUAUAAUUAGUAUGUAACAUUGGAUUGCUUUUUAUUUUUCUAAAAUAUAAUAUUGUUAUAUAUGAUAUUAAUUAAUAUACAUCAUUUUUCUAUUAAGAAUCUCUUUAGUUAAGAAGGUGAUAAUAAAAAUGUAUUAUGGAAUUUAGAAGAAUAAAGAAAUUUUAAAAGUUAAUAAAAUAAAUUACUCUAGAAGGAAUCAAUUUUGUCAAUCCAUCCCUCCUUACAAGGUUGCUUUCUUAAGAGACUCAUAAAAUAUAUUAUUUAUCAUUCAAGAACUUAAAUUAUUUGUGUUUGUUAAAUAAAACAGUUAUAUUAUUUUAAUGUUCACAACAAAUUUUUUUGUUAAUUUAAUUACCUAAGAAAUUAUAAUAAAUUUCAUUAAUAGAAAAAUAUCAUAAUGUUUGUAAAAUAAUAAAUAGAAAAAUAUAGAUGAAUAUAGCAAUAAUUAAGCAUAUUUUUAUAAAUGCAAAGUUUCAAAAACUUCUUAAAAAAAUAAAGUUUGAAAUAAUUAUUAUAAAUCAAAACAAAGAUAUACGUAAAUUCGUAUCCACGUAUACAUACAUAUAUAACGAAUAUAGUUGUUAAUUUUUUAUAUAAAUGGUUUUUUACUAAAAACUUCACAGAAAAUGUAUAAAAUGGUAUUUCUAUCAUUUAAUAUUUAUGAAUAAACACGUUUUCCUUACAAACAUCUUAAUUAGGAAGCAAAUACACCAAUGUACUUUCUCGAUUGUAAUGAAAUUCAGAAGGGCAUAAAAAUAAAUUAGAAAUCAAUUUUCAUUAAUCAAUAAUCAUUACUAGCUAGUAUCUUUUCUUUUUUUAAAUCUAAUAACAAUAAUAUUUUGUUAAACUCUUAAUUAAAUUUGUUUGCGAAUACUGAAAUAUAAAGAUCUUUUUGCUUAAAAUAACAUUUUAUAUUUAAAAAAUUAUAUUAAUUUCAUUUAACAUAGAUUAUUACAAUGAUGUUAGUAAUUGAACAUAUAUUUACAAAAUUAUAAUAAUAUUCAUAUACAAAUUAAUAUAACAUUAUAUAUUUAAUUUUAAAUCAUUUAGAAAAGUAGAAAUACUUUAGCUAAAAGUGAAUGUUAAUUUAUCAAUUAUUUGUUUCGAUAAAAUAGAUGUUAUUAAUCAUAUAAGCCAUUAUUGAAUUUCUAUUGAUUUGGUUUCCUAUCGAUUUAUAAUGUUAGGAUUUUGAAAUGACUGGAGUUAGUCAAUCAUCACUUGUACGUACUCUUCUAAGUUUAUAAAUUAUUGUCUCCUAUUUUUAUAUGGUAUGAUGUUAUUAAUUUAUCAACUAUCAGUAUGGGCAUUUUUUCCUAUUAUUCACAAAACCAGUUUAGUAAGUAUGAAAAGAAUAAUAAUAGAGGUAGGUACAAGCUUCUUAAAGUUCAUCUUUUUUUUUUCUUUUUCACUUGAUUAUUGUUAAAAAUUGAUUUUGAAAAUAUGAACGCAAGCUUCUUGCCAAAAAAAAAAAAAAGGAACUAAUGCAAGUUUUGUAACUUUCUUGCAGUAUGUAACUUAUGAAUUCAGCAUGGAAUAGAUUGUGUUGUUUCUUCUCUUAUUGUGAUUGCGUGAAGCUUGAAUGAGAAAUUUAUGGUGUGUUUGUGUGUUGGAAGUUCACAUUCCAAUGGUGUGAAAUGUCCAAGAAAGUUCAUGGAAUCAUGUCCAAAAGUGGUGUGGUGUUUGUUCUCAAGAAAUGCGAUCAUCUUUCUUACAAUGAUUUUUUAUUUUUAUUUUUAUUGGAGAGGAACAUCAGAGUGAUAUUUGUAUUUGGAAUCCAUAGUUUUAUUGAAUCAUAUUUUGAAAAUAUGCAAAGUUUAUUUAACUUUAUGCCAAUGGUUUUCCUAUUGCUUUAUUCUUUGAAGGUGUCAAUACUUUUUAUUCAAUAAAUCGUGAGUAGCUAAAAUACAAGUAACUCAAGUGAGAACUUAUGAUAUAAUUGUUCAUAUUUUUGCAUUCAGAAAGUUGUCAAAAUUUUCCCAUUUUAGAAGAAGUAGUUUCUUUUUGGUCAAAUUCGACAAUGUUACUUCAAUUGAUAACGAUGUUACUUGAUCUUCGUUAAGUUAGGUGACAUGGUCAUUAACCAUACUGAUGUGGCAUUGAUUUCAAUGAUGUGACAUUAACUUGUUGACAUGGCAAUUAGGAUUAAUGAAAUUAGUUGUUAAAUUAUGCAAAUGAUCCCUAUUCUUAUAUGAUACUCAAAAUUUAAUUUAUGUACUAGCACGAAAUUUGAAAUUAAUUCAUGGAUUAGAGGAGUCGUUGCCAAUUUUUUUUUGUUUAAGUGUGAUUGAUCACCUGAUCAAAUUUGAUCAACGAAACCAAAUUUUAGGUUUGGGAGUGUGGUUAUGCAUGACGAAGGUUGUAGCACCCUCACAACGCCCAUCCAAAAUUAAUCCUAAAAUUACCCCAAAAUUAAUCCUAAAAUUAUCCAAGUCUUAAAUGUAUUUAUAAUUUACCAACAUAUUUAAUAUUCAAAAUUAAUCAUAAAAUUACCCCAAUAGUUUGGUAGUAUUUUAAGAUAAUUCUCUCACCUUAUGAGUAUUUAUAGAGACUAGUGUCUCACUCUGAAAAGGUUUUGUCGUCGGAUUUAUUAUAACAUUUUAUUUAGAAAAAUCAGUAAAGUCUCUCACUAGUUUAGUAGGACUUACUUUAUGGCAGAUCUUUUAAUAGUUUGAUGAGAUUUUAUUGAAAAAACAUUUAUAAAAUUUUAUUUUUUUUUUUUGAAAAAGUUCAUUAAGUCUCCAAUAGUUUGAUAAGGCUUAAUUUAAAAAACAAUCCUCCAAUUAUUUUGAGGAUAAAUUUAUUUUAUUUUUUUUUAAAUUCAUUUAUGGAAUUUUUAAAUAAUUUGGUAGAUUCCAUAAAUUUUGAAUCCAUAAAAAUUCUCCAAUAAUUUGGUAAAAUUCAUGAAUUUAUUAAAAAAUAUUUUUAUUUAUUUAUUUAUUUAUUUUUAAUAUAAUAUUUUUUUACAAAAAUAAUUCUUAUAAAAUAUUUAAUAAAUAAUAAAUUACUCAGUAAAAAUAAAUAAUAAAAACCAGCAAAAUAAAAAAUAAAAAAACUUUAAAUAUAAAAUAAAUAAAAUGAAUAUCAAAAAAUAAAAUUAAAAUAAUAAAAGGAAAACUUACGAUCGGAUCAGGUCAAAGCAUGGGUCAACACGCGAGUCAACGAGUCACACGCUGGUCUGGGACUCUUAUGUGGCGAGACUUGCGAUUGGAUCCUGUCCAAUAUUUUGCCUUAACUUUUUUCCUUCUUUUACCUGCUCGAGUAGUAGUAAGAAGGUGAAAUUUUUCUUCAACAUUGAAAAGUUUAUCAGCGUCUAGAUCACUAUUGCUCAUAAGAACUACUAACCAAGUUCCAGAGAUAAUAACAUACUUUCUUGGAGAAAACUUACAUAAAGUUUUUUAGGAGAAGUUUGUAAAUUUUUUUCUUAAAAAUGAUUUAAUAAAAAUUUUAAUAAAAAAUCAAAACAGAUAGAUUAAUAGAAUUUAAUGUGAAGAUCAAUAAUAUGUAAAAGAAAUUAUUAAAAAUAUUAUUUAUAAUUUAAAUUUGAUUAAUAUUUAUUUAAUGGUAAAAAUUCUAUCAAUAUUUUUACUAAAAAUGUCUAUAUAAAAAAAUAUAAAAUUUUUUUCAAACUUUUUCAAAUUUUGUACACUUGAUCUAUAUAAUGAGAUAUUUUAAUCGAUCGGUUUUGAUUUUCGAUUUUUAUUUUUAUUUAAUCAUUUUUUGUUAGAAACUUCAUAAAUUUUACUUAAAGAAUUUCAUCUAAGUCUUUCCCUACUUUCUUUGCUUUCAAAAGUCCAAAGAACCAUAUUCUCACCCAUUAUAGUGACAGAACAAUCAUCGAAGUUCUCUAACAAGAUUGGAUCAAUGGCAUUUGCAGUAUCAGGAUAUCUAACUAUCCCAACAGCAUUCCGUUGUAAUCCCACCAAAUCUAAAUUUUCAGGAAUGUAUUCAAGGAUGUUAAGCCAUUUUAAAACCUCUUCUUUUUGACCAUCUGAUACAAUGUUAUCCUUUAACUGAGUGGAUUUGACAGACAUAUGAACCACCUCUGCAUAAGAUCGUCCAUCUCUAAAGUCUUCUAUGCAGCUUACACCUUUAUCCAUGUAGUGAGUGUUGGGUUUAGAACUAGCAGGAGACCUUUGAUCAUUCCUUGCCAUUUGAACAUAUAGAGUGGAGUAACUCAGGUGCUAACCAUUUAGAAAUUUGACUGCCCUCAAUGCAUCCCGUAGAUCAAGAUAAUGGAAAAAAAUCAUCUAAGACAUUUUUGGCUCUCUUUUGAUUUUUUAGGACAUAAAAAUCAACUACCCUCCCACAUCUGACAAAACAUUGCUUGAGAUUAAAGAGACUACAUCGUAGAAAAAUUCCAUCAACAAACAGUGUAACAAAAUAUUUUCUCCCAAGGUAAUGCUCUUAUGUGGCCUUCAUAGCAUCCAAGAAGAGCUUUUUGACUUACCUUUACUUCACCCUCUAAAUCGGACUAAGGCAAGGCUUUUCACCCUCUAAUAAUUGUGUAAUCGAAAGCAUCAUUUUAAAAUCUCUUUCAUUAGUUUCACAUUUUUUGUCCUCAUAUUACCAAAUUUUUUAUUGUAGUAGGAAAAUGUAUAAAGUAUUACUCCAACAAACCUCAAAUGAACCUCCUCUGGUAGCGCACUCUUAAGGUUCUAUGAAACCUUAGGGAGAAAAAAAGUGAUUUUCAAACUAAAAAGAGUUCGUGUACUUUUAACGAUCUUUUAAUAGAAUCUUUGUAUUUUUCUCUUUUAUUAUGCAUAUAGUCUAAAAUGAAAGAAAUUUUACCAUUUCUCUUGAGUCUUUUUUCCUAAAAUGGCAUAGAUAAAAAUUGUAAUUUAUUUCCAAAUAUUUACACUUUCUCAAACAAAUUAAUGUAAAUAUAUUUUUAUUUUUUUAUUUUCUUCAUUUUUAUCUUGUUUCUUUUUCUUUAAUGAACAAUUUCAUCAUCCAAAAUUUCUUUAAUCCUUUUUAUCGUUAAAGCAAUUGAUGUAGACACCCAAUUGGGUCCAGGCCCAGAUCAAUUGGGCCUGGCCCAAAUGGGUAAGACCCAAUUCAAUUUUUAUCCUGUAUUUUUUUUUCUAUUUCUUUUGUAUUUUAUGUAUUUUAUUAUUUAUUAUUAUUAUUAUGUAUUAAUAUAUAUAUUUAUUUUUGUUUAUUAUUAGAUUAGAUUUAUAUGUAUAUAGUUAUAUAUUUAUUAUUAUUAUAUUAUUAUUAUUAUUUUUUGUUUUGUAAUAUAUUUUUGGGUUUAUCUUAUUUUAUUUGUUAUUAUUUUUUUUAAUUAUCUGUUCUGAUUUUUUCCCGAUUUUCAGAUAUUAUUUUUUAAUUUUUUUAUACUAUAAUAUCUUUUGAUUUAUCUUUUCUAAUUAUCUAGUAUUUUUUUUAUUUUGAUUUUAAUUUUGGAUUGCUGGGAUUAAAAGAUGAAGAAUCCCACUGUGGAGGGGAACUCAAUCAGAAGAGUCCAAUUUGAUUCAAAGAUUGAAUCCCCGUCCAAGGAGGAAUUGGGAUUGAUCAGGAACUCCUGAUCAACCCCUAUAAAAGGCACCUCCUGGAACAGAAUGAAAGACAUGGAGAAAACAGUAAGAAAAGCUACUGAUUUGAGAGAAAAAGAGGCGUAUAGGAAGCUAGAAAAAGUUUAGGAGUGUUCUGGGAGUGAGAAAAAAUUUAUAGAAAUUUUUGGCGAAAAAUUUUUCUGGAAAUUUCUGGGAAAUUUCCAGAUUCCGACGGAAGCAUUUGAAGUUUCCGGCGACCUGCCCAGUUUUCGACGAAGAAUCUCAGAAACCGGUGAUAUUCCGACCAACUUCCGACGAAAUUUCCAGAUUCCAGUGACAUUUUCCAGAUUACGGCACUGAUGUUUUUCAGCUUUUAGAGAAAGGGAGAGGAAAAGGAAAGAAGAGGAGAGAGGGGGGAAGCGUUUUGUCGAAAAACGAAGGGGAUUGCCUUUUAUACCCUCCCAAAACGACGUCGUUUUGGCUUUAAGUAACUAGAGGAUCCGCGCGUUUUGCCGAACCCGACCCGACCCGAGCGUCGACUCGCUUUCCUGACCCGCGCGUGCUGCCCCUCCUCCGAGCCGAGCCGAGCCAAGCCAAGCUUCCAAGCCGCUCUCCCGAGCCGUUUCUCUUCCUUGAGCCGAGCAGAGCCUCGAUCCGAGCCGCUCCAGUUUUUUUUUUUCAUUUAUUUGUUUAUUUGUUUUUUUAUUUUAUUUAUUUAUUAGAUUAGGUUUAUUUAAUAUUCUUUUUAUCUUUAUUUUAUUUUUAUUUUGUUUUUUUAUUUUUAUUUAUUUUCACUUUCAUUUUUUUAUUUUAUUAUUCUAUUUUCUUUAAAUAAAAAUCAAAAUUUCCAAAAAAAAAUAUUUUUAGGGAAAAGUUGAAAGUAUCAAUUUUCCUUAAAAAAAAAAAAAAAAUUUCAAAAAAAAGGGUUUUUGAGGAAAAGUUGAAAGUAUCAAUUUUCCUUGAAAAUCAAAAUUUCCGAAAAAUAUUUUUAGGGAAAAGUUGAAAGUAUCAAUUUUCCUUGGAAAUCAAAGUUUCAAAAAAAAAUAUUUUUGAGAAAAAGUUGAAAGUAUCAAUUUUCCUUAAAAAUAAAUUUUCAAAAAAUAUUUUCGGGGAAAAGUUGAAAGUAUUAAUUUUCCCUACGCAAGAGCAAUCAUUCUUUCCUUCCUUCCUAUUUUGAUUUUGAUUUUUCUUUAACUAAUCCGACGACGGAGUCUCUGCAAGUGAAACAGUAGUUUUUCUUGCAUACUCUUGAGGUGAGGAAAUUUUCUCAAUUUUCUGCUAAAAGUAUUAGAGUCAAUUGAGAAAAAUUUCCAAUAAUUAAUUACUUGGUAAAAUUUUAAGGCUUUUGGAUAACACAAAUUUAAGCUGGUACCAUCUUUUGAUGGGCAUUGUAAGGGUGCUAUAACCUUCCUCACACGUAACCGAACUCCCGAACCCUGUUCUGGUUAGCAGACCUGAACCUAUUCUUUUAGGGACCCUUAAACUUAGAUGUUCCCUGAAAGGACAGAUUCCUUAGGUGGCUAAUCGCACCUAGAUAAAAACGAUUAGUGGCGACUCCUAGAAGUCAAUGUCUAGCGAUAGAUCCCCGGAUCUAGACGUUAUGACAAUUGAGAUAAGUUAAAGAAAUUAAAUUCUCACAUAAAUGGAAAACAUUUUAAGCAUAUACUAGAAACCUUAAUAAUAUUUUCUUUUCUCCCUACCUUUCUUCUAUCUUCUUUUUUCUUUUGCUUUUUCUUUUUCCUCUUUUUUACUUUAUUAUACGUAAGUAUGGAGCCUUUUAAUCACUAUAAAUAUGAAAAAUAUUUAUAAAUUAUAUAUACAUUCCAGAUCAUCAAACAAGAAAAACUUGAAGUUGUUUCAUAUUUAUAAUUUUUUUCAUUUUUGUCCUCACUCAUGUUCGUAUAUGUAAGCAUCGCAUUCACUUCAGCUUGCAUCAUAGAUUCAUGAAAAACACAAGAAGCAAAACAAUUAAUUUAUUUCUUGUAUGGAAGGAUGAAAACUUAUUUUUUCUCUUUUUAGGUAAAUUACCAUACAUGAGCUCAUGAGCUCUGCUUCGAAUCUUGAGGAGCUUUACUUAUGGGAGAGUAAUCUCAGUGGAAAUAUUCCUGACUCUAUCUCCAAUGUUUCUAAGCUCAGAAUCCUAUCAUUACAAGAAAACUCGUUCUAUGGCCUUAUUCCAGAUACACUUGGCAAUUUGAGGUUCCUUGAGAUAUUUUACCUUUGGUCGAAUCAUUUGACCACCAAAACUUCAACUCAUGAGUGGAGCUUUCUCUAUUCCUUGGCAAAUUGCAGGUAUCUAAGGAUUUUAGACCUAUCAUUCAACCCAUUGAAUGGCAUUCUUCCAACGUCUAUCUCAAAUCUUUCCACAUCACUUGAACAAUUAUGGGUCAUUGAUUGCAAAAUUAGAGGCAGCAUUCCCAUGGAAAUUGGUAGCUUAAGCAAGGCUAUAUUGUUAGACCUUUCCUCUAAUAAAUUGAGUGGACCUAUUCCAACAACAAUAGGAAGGCUAAAACAUCUCCAACUUUUGAAUCUUUAUAGAAAUAAGUUACAAGGCUCUAUCCCACAUGAUCUUUGUGGUUUGAAGGGAUUGUACAAAUUAUCAUUGGGUGCUAAUGAGCUUGAUGGACUUUUACCGACAUGUUUGUGUGAUUUGACUUCUCUGAGAUAUCUAUACUUGUUCUCCAACAAAUUGCAUUCGCAAAUACCUUUAAGUUUUUGGAGCCUUAAAGAUAUCUUAGAAGUAGACUUGUCAUCAAACAAUCUUAGCGGUUCACUUCCACUCAACAUUGGAAAUUUAAAGGUACUUAUCUCUUUGAAUUUGUCAAGGAAUUUAUUAUUAAGUGAUAUUCCGUCCACAAUUGGAAGUCUCCAAGAUCUACAAGUUUUGAAUCUUUCCAGAAAUAGAUUACAAGGCCCUAUUCCAAAAUCAUUGGGUGACUUGAUGAGUUUGAAAAGCUUGGAUUUAUCUAACAACAAUCUCUCUGGAGUUAUUCCCAAGUCUUUGGAAAAACUUUAUGAUCUCAAUUAUUUUAAUGUGUCUUUCAACAGAUUGGAAGGAGAAAUACCAAGUGGAGGGCCUUUUUUGAACUUCACAGCCAAAUCCUUCAUGAAAAAUUAUGCACUAUGUGGUUCACCUAGACUACAAGUCUCACCUUGCAAAAAUAAAAUCCAUCCCAAAUUCAAGAAGACCGCUCUUCAUGCUUUGCGGUAUGUUUUUCCAACAUUUGCUUCAAUAAUAAUAGUUGUAGCUGUCAUAAUUGUCUACAAAAAAGGGCAGCGGGGGAAUAUGAAUUUGGCAACGGUUGAAGAUUUAAUUCCUCUCAAGAAAAGGAGAAGAAUUUCGUAUAAUCAACUAUUGCAAGGGACUGGUGGAUUUAGUGGGAAUAACUUACUUGGUUCAGGAAGUUUUGGCUCUGUAUACAAAGGAAUACUUUCAGAUGGAACAGAAGUCGCAAUAAAAGUUUUCAAUUUGCAAAUAGAUGAAGCAUUUAAGAGUUUUGACACUGAAUGUGAAGUGAUGAGAAUUAUCCUUCAUCGCAAUCUUGUCAAGGUUGUUACUUGUUGUUCAACUAUUGAUUUCAAAGCCUUGGUGCUUGAGUUCAUGCCUAAUGGGAGCCUUGAGAAAUGGUUAUAUUCUUGCAAUUAUGUAUUGGAUAUCCUACAAAGAAUCAACAUAAUGAUAGAUGUUGCAUCGGCAUUAGAAUAUCUCCAUUUGGGACAUCCGAUUCCUAUAAUCCAUUGUGACCUAAAACCAAGUAAUGUCUUAUUGGAUGAGGACAUGGUUGCACACGUGGGAGAUUUUGGAAUUGCCAAGCUAUUGGGAGAAGGAGAUUCCAUCAAACAAACAAUGACACUAGCUACUGUUGGCUAUAUGGCACCAGGUAUUUUUUCAUUUUUUUAGUUUUUUCUCUAUUCCAAGCGAGUAUAUAUUAGUAUUUUAUCAUUUUAUUGAUGAUUAAUGAUGCCCUAAUGGCAUAAGAUCAUUUUAAUAAUUUAAUUAUAUUUAAAAUACAGAAUACGGAUCAGCAGGAAUUAUUUUCAUAAAGAGUGAUGUCUAUAGCUAUGGCAUUCUAUUAAUAGAAACUUUCACAAGAAAGAAACCCACAGAUGAAAUUUUUGUUGGAGAAAUGAGUAUGAAGCAUUGGGUGAAAAGGUCAUUAUCUAAUGAAAUAGUUGGUGUAAUAGAUUCUAGUUUAGUGCAAGAAACAGAUGGAUAUUUUGUUAUUAAAGCAAAUUGUAUAUAAUUUAUUAUGAGAUUAGCUUUGGAUCGUUUAGUUGAAUUACCUAAAGAUAGAUUAGAUAUGAAGAAUGUUGUCUCCACGCUGAAGAAUAUCAAAAGAGAAUAUUUGAACAACAUUGCCCAGGUUUAAUUAAUAUGGUAAGGAAUGCAAUUAUAUAAAUAGUUUAAGCUUAUAUAAAAGUACAUAGCAUAUAUUUAUUUAAUUUUCUUUUAAGAAGGUAUUCCAUUAAGUUUUAUAUUUUCUUGCAGGUUAAGGUUAUACGACCAUAAUACGUAUUUUGGUUCAAUAAUCAAGGUAUUUUCAUCACUUUUGAAUUUUUAUUUAUAUAUUUAUUUAUUAACUUUGAACUCUUUAUUAAAGUAAUUUUUUCUUAAUAACAUUUUAAAUUUUACAGUAAAAACUAGAGUUUUAAUUCCAUUGAAUCAUUAAAGAGUUCAAAUAAUUAUAAGAUUUGCAUAGCUAGUGAAUUUCAAUAACUUCUAUGUCUAAGUAAGGAGGCAUGGUAGUUGUAAAUAUAUAAAAAGGAUUUUCUCGAUUAAUAAAUAACCUUUUCACUUGGAUGUGUGGUUACAUGUAUAGGAAGUUAGGCUCAGUUUGUGUAUUUAUGUUUUCUUUUAUUUUUCUUUUAUUAAAUUCAUAUUAUUUCUCAAUACAUAUAAUUAAUUUAUACAUGUUAUGUAUGAUUAGAAGUAACAUAUAUAGAUUAUAAUUUCUAUAUAAUUAACCAAAACAUAAAUUAUCAUGAAGAGAGCCAAUAAGUUAAAUUCAUUUUCAUUUACUUACAUUAUUUAUUAAUAUAAUCAUUAAUUAGGAAUACUUUUUUGUUACAACUCUUUUUUAUCUCAAUGAUAAUAAUAAGUAUAUAAUUUUACUUAACAAUAAAUUUGUACUAAUGAAUUUUCUUGUAUGAAAAUUAUGACUCAUAAUUGCAAUUUUAAGUAAUUUGGAUUGGGUGGAAAUAAUGGCUCAUUUUUAAAAUAUUUUUAGGUGAUUUAUGAUUGAUUAUGGAACUAUAUGUCUGUUUAUGAUUAAUUAAUUAAUGUUUACAAUAUUAUUUUUAUAAUUAAUUAUUUUUUAAAUUGGUAUUUGGGUAAUAACUUAUUAACGAAUUUUAACUGAUCAAAUAAAAAUUAUUAGAAUUAUUAUAUAAUUAGUAUGUAACAUUGCAUUGUUUUUUAUUUUUCUAAAAUAUAAUGUUGUUAUAUAUGAUAUUAAUUAAUAUACAUCAUUUUUCUAUUAAGAAUCUCUUUACUUAAGAAGGUGAUAAUAAAAAUGUAUUAUGAAAUUUAGAAAAAUAAAGAAAUUUGAAAAGUUAAUAAAAUAAAUUACUCUAGAAGAAAUCAAUUUUAUCAAUCCAUCCCUCCUUACAAGGUUGCUUUCUUAAGAGAUUCAGAAAAUAUAUUAAAAAAGGGAACUGAUGCAAGUUUUGUAAUUUUAUUGCAGUAUGUAACUAAUGAAUUCAGCAUGGAAGAUAUUGUGGUGUUUCUUCUCUUAUUGUGAUUGCAUAAAGCUCGAGUGAGAGAUUUAUGGUGUAUUUGUGCAUUGGAAUUGCGAUAAUCUUUCUUGCAAUGAUUUUUUAUUUUUAUUUCUAUUGGAGGAACAUUAGAGUGAUAUGUUUUAUUUGGAAUCCAUUGUUUUAUUGAAUCAUAUCUUGAAAAAAAACUAUGCAAAGUUUAUUUAACUUCAUGCCAAUGGUUUUCCUGUUACUUUAUUCUAUGAAGAUGUCAAUAUUUUUUGUUCAAUAAAUGGUGAGUAGCUAAAAAACAAGUAACUCAAGUGAGGACAUAUGAUGUACUUGUUUGUAUUUUUGUAUUCAGAAAGUUGUCAAUUUUUUCUCAUUUUAGAAGAAUUAGUUUCUUUUCUUAAUAUACUUGAACUCUUGAUUCCAAGUAAUGAUUUGAAGUUAAAUAGUCCAAAGAUAUUUUUUGGUAAAAUGUUUUGGUGCACAACAAUUGCUAAUCAUUUUUCUAUAUAUUUCCUCAUGUUUUCAUUUGUCAAUUAUUAAUUUUCUAUAGAAUUAUUUAAUAAAUUGAAAACAAACCUUUGAAAGAAAAAUGUCAAUGUCGUCAUUUGGUUUAAAAUAAAAAUUGUUCAUGAAAAUAUCACUUUUUUUUUUGUUUUCAUAAAUGAUAGGAAGAAAAAAAAGCAUAAAAUUAAUGAUUUGAAAAUAAUGUGAAUUUUUUGUAGUUUUUAAUUAAUGAUUUGAAAGUAACGUUUAAAAAUAUAUAAAUAAAUUUUAUUAAAAAAAAACUUUUGAUAUCAUAAUAACUAUUGAGUUUGAUUAAAAAUAGGUAGGAAAAGAAAAGUUAUACAAUUAUAUAUGUUAAUUCCACUUUUUCAUGUUUUAUUUAGUUAAUUAGUUGAAAAUAAACUUUUGAAAUAAAACUAUAUUUUAUUAAUUAAUGCCUUGAAAAUAAAAUUUUAAAAGAAAAAAAUGAAUCAAUUUUAUUUAGAAAAUUUGCAUUUUCGCUAACAAUUAAAUCGAACUAAAAUGAUGGGGAAAUAUUUCAUAAAAUCUGAAGUAUAUUUAAAGAUAUUUUUAGUUUGAACAAAGUUGUAUCAUCCAACAUAUUCGAACUUUAUCAUAAAAAAAGGGGCUUAAUUUAGACUACUUGGAUCAAGGCCUAUUCUCUUAAAGGAGAACCUAUUUGGCAAGUGUUUGAAACUCAAAGUUGUAGUUGAAGUUGGAAAAAACUAUCAUGGCUACGCUUAGUUUAAAAGCCUAAAUCCUAAAUCAAAAAUAUCAAAUGCAUAACUAAUCCAAACCUUUGAAAUUCAAUAUUUCUUUAAAUCUAAUAUCAAACCCAAAAAAUUUGAUAAAAAAAUCAAACUCAUAACAACUUUAACAAUAUUCAAAGCUUUUGUUUGUGGUUUAGCAUUUUGAGAAUUUUCAUUUUGAAGAUUUUAUUUUUGUUCUUUUUUCACUAUAAAUAUAUCAAAAAUUUCACACAAAUCAAAUUUUAAAAAUCAACCUAAAAUAAGGUAAUAUAAAAACCUCAUAAUUAGCAUUACCUUUAUCUUGGGUGGGGAUUUUGAUCGUCAAAAUAGUAAUCUCAAAGGAGAGUGAGAUUUUGGUCACUACAAUGAUAGCCUCAAAAGAGGACAGCAAUGGCUGGCUUGUUGUACUCAUCGAUCAAGUCAUCUUGUUAGUGGUGGUGAUGGUAAUAAAAUAUAUUUAUUACCAAAAAAUAUGAAAAGGAAAAAGGAAAAACAAAAAAAAACAAAAACAAAAAAGGAGGAAAAGAAUAGAAAAGAAGGGAAACGAGGGGAAAUUGAGCCAUCCACAAUUAAUUUGAGGCCACCCAUGAAAGAAGAUAACAUGAGAGAGAUUGAGAUUUUCAGACAAUGUGAGAGAUAAAAAUUAGUUGAGUUGAUAAAAUUUGAAUAUUUAGGUUUGUAUUUUAUUACGAGUAAUUUUCCUUGAGAUAAAUAUUUUAUUUUGUCCAAAACCCAAAUCAAUUAAACUCCAACUAAUUUGAAAUCCAAUUACUGAAUUUUAGAUUUUAGAUUUUUAUUUUAUUUUUUUGUAUUCUUUUUAUCCUUAUUUAUUUUAUUCUUAUUAUUAUACUAUUUAUCUUAAUUUUAUCCUUAAUUAUCUGAUUAUCUUUUUAAAAAAUUGAUAAUUUGGAAGUUUAAAAAAAUGUUGUCUCAGUGAAGAUGCUAGCUUCAUCAGAAGCAGUUUGAGAUUAGAAUUACUUUAGUGAUAAUCUUUAAUUUUAAAGAAAUCUAAUCCUAAGUGAGUUGAAACUCUCAUGAUCUUACCUAUAAAUAAACUUUCAAGUCAAAACAACUAAAAAAAAAAUCACAGAGAAAGCAAUCAGCAGAGAAAAUCAGAGGGAAACACGGGAAAUCGAAAACAAAUCCCCAUUUUGUUGGCCUAGCCCCCGGAUGCCAGUCACCACCAUCAGUCAUCCACGACCUAAACCAGCCACCGAAGCCUACCACCGCCUUUCCUUGCCCAAAUAGUAAUCAUCGAUCCAAAAUCCAACAAAUAGUCAAAACAUAAUAACCAGAGUCAAGCAUCAAAAAUAGCCACAGAGAUAGAAUCAACAAUCGACAACAAUGGAAAGACGAAAACAAAACAUUUUCUUCUAGCAGUGGGUUUUCAGUUUGGGAUUCACUUUUAUUUAGGCACCUUUUGGAAUUCUUUUAAACGGAAAAAGAGAGGGGAAGGAUUUAGAAGAGUUUUUCAAUGAUCCAAGUAGCUGGGAUUAGGAAUUCCAAGAAGUGGUAAAAUGGUCAUUGUGUUUGAAUUUGCAUAGUAUCAGUGGGAUUCCGAAAAUAAAUAGGAAGGGAAGUGACAACUUGUAGGCAAAAUGGAAGAGACAACAGCAAAAAUUGAGAGCGGUGUUGCUUAAAUGAGGUGUUGGGCUUUAUCCUUUUGCAAUAAAGAAUAAAGAAAGGGGAAGGAUGUUGUAAAAAUGGUUUAGAACUUGAAAAUUCGGUCCAAGUCCAAAAAGCUUAAAUUUUGAUUGUAACUUGAGGAGGAUUCAAGACCCUACAAUUUGAAGUGGACAACUCCAAGCCCGCUUUUUAGCUUAGGUGGGCCUGCGUUGGAUUUGAGUUGUAACUCAAAUUUCAGGUUUUCAUCUUUUUUUUUUUUCUUAAUUAAUUUUCUGGUUCAUUUUUUUUAUUUUUUAUUUACUUUGUUACACGUUUUAUUAAGCAUUCAUUCUUAAACUGAAAAAUUAUUUAGUUGCUUCUCACUUAAAAAACUAAAAUAUGGCAUAAUAAAAUAUAUUUAUACUUGUAGUUUUCUUUAAUUAAAAUAUUAUCAAAAUCAUGUAUUUCAUAUAAAUCUUGAAGAUAAAUAAAUUUUUUUUUUAUAAUUAUGCAAUUUAAUUCAAACUUUAAUUAUAAGUGAACAUUUUUUCUGUGGAGUUGACUUUUCAGAUAUUUUUAGACAAGCAAUUUCUUCUAAAUUCCCCAUGGUGGAAAAUUUAGUUGAAAACCUAAAAAAAGUAAAUUUAAUUUCUUGUCCAUUGAACAACAAAUACAAAAAAACUGAAACAAAAACUCUAAACUAAAUGGCAAUCAUCCUAAUGAGAUAAUUUUAAAAAUCAAGAAUGAUUGAUUUUUAAAAAUUUUUAAGUGAAAAGUUUUUUUAAAAUUUUCUAGAAUGGAGGACAAUUUAUAUGAAAAUGUUAAUAAAGAUAAUUUAUGAAAAUCAAGAAUAAAGAAUAUAAUCCUAAAAAAUAAAUGAAAAUUACCAAACAGUGAAAUUUUAGAACUCAAGAAUUGUUGAAUUUUUAGAAUUUUUUUAAAUGAGAAGUUUUUAUUUAAUAUCUUCAAAAUGGAGAUUUAGAUAAAAUUUUCAAUAACAAUAUUGAUAUUUGCUUUAAAACCAUAAAAAUUUAAAAAUAUAAAAUUAAAAAAUAAAAUUUUAGAAAAUUUUGGAAAUAACAAAAAUAAAUCUUAAAAAAUAGAAAAAUAAUAAAAUAAAUUUGAUGUUGGGAUUCUAAGAGAUCAAGAAUGGUUGAUCCUUUAAAAAAUUUCAAGAUAAGAAACUCUAGAUAAUAAACUUAUUUCUAAAAUUUUACCAUAAUGAUGGUAAAAUUAAAUAAAAUUAUAAUAAUUAUAUUUUUAAAUGCAGUAAAUAAAAAGGUUAGACAUGAGAAGUUUUGGAAAUGAUAAAAAAAAAUGUAGAUGAUGAAAUUCUAAAAAAUCAAGAACAGUUGAUUUUUUAAAAAAUUUUUAGGUAUAAAAUAUAUUUCUAAAAGUUUUUAAAAUGGUGAAAAAUUUAGAUAUAUCUCGAUACAAUAGAAAUUUAGAUAUAAAAAAUUUACACAAAAUAAAAUGAAUAAAUUGUAAGGAUGAAAUUUCUAAUAAUUACAAAUGGAUUAUUAUUUAGGUAAUUUCUAGGUGAAAUUUUUUUCUAAUUUUGGCCUAAAUAAUGGAAGAAUUAGAUAUAUUUUCAAUAAAAGCAAAAUAAAAAAAUAAAUGAUUAAUUUUUUUUUUAGGACGGAACCUAUUCAAAAAAAUAAAUGUGAAUUUUAAAUACUUCUGUUGAGGAAGUAUUUUUUAAGAAUUCUACUAAAUUGAUGAAGAAAUCUUAAAAAUUAUUUUUAAUAUUUAAAUAUUAAAGUUUAAUAAAAAACCAUUAAAACCAAAAAUCCUUAAGAUAAUUUAAAAUUAAAUGAUAUCAUCUUAGUAUGGGAGUUGUGAGGGUGCUAUAAUCUUUUUUGUAUGUAAUCAAAUUUUCAAACCCUAUUCUAACAAAUAAACCAAAACAUAAUUUUUUUAAAGACUCUUAGUCAAGUUUAAGACAUCCUUAAAAUGAAUAUAAAUAAAUUCACUUAAGUGGUCAAUUAUAUUUAAUCAAAAAAGAUUUGUGAUGACUUUUUUAAUUAUAUCUAGCGAUAGGUUUACGAACUUAUAUGUUAUGACACUUGAUAAAUAAUCUUUAAAUCCAAUAUAAAUCCCUAGCUUUGGAAUGGAAAACGUCGCUUCAUCCUAAACUUUUAUAUAAAAAACCUUUUGUGGAACUAAUAUGUGACUUAGUACACAUUUUGAAAGUUUGGGGGUACAUUAUACAAUUUUUUAGUUUAUAUAUCAAUUUAUACAUUUUAAUGCAUAGUUCAUGAACCAUACUAGUAAUUAAUUAAUUCCAAAAAUUGUAUUUCCCCUUUAAGAGCUCCAAAUUGGCGUUGGGCAGGGUCGGUUUAAGUUCCUUACCUUUUUCUUUUCACGCCUUUUGAAAUUCAUUAAGAAUAUUGUGGGCUGAAAAAGAACAGAAUGAUAUGCAUCUAUCUUCCAUUUCGGGAUUUUAAUGUUAUGAUCUUAUUUUGUAUGAGUUGCAGCCACUGCUUUUUUGGUUUGAUUAAGUCCACUAAUGCAUUAUCCUUUUUGGCCUACAUGUAAUAUGAUGGAGAUUCAAGAAAAAACGAAAAUGUAUGAAAUAAUUUACCUUUUUUGAGUUAGUUUUUUAUACUGAAUGAAUGACCAGUAACUGUUUGAAGAGGAAAAACAUUAUUUCCUUGUCAGAAGGGCAGCAACUAAAUUUUGAGUGCUGCAAAAACUAAAUUAUCAAAAGCACAAAUUAUUGUUAUCCUGAUCCAUGUCUAUCCAGGGGUUUUCAGAAACAUAAAUUCUUCCUUAGACAUCCCAGAUGGUAACCUCAAAAACCCAUCCUAUAGUUUCCAUUAUAGUGUCGAAGUCCCUGCCACUGUGCAUAUGAGGUGUUAUUUUUUUGCAUUUGGGAUAAGAGAAGGAGUUGUAAGUACUGAAAUUCAAACCACAAACCUACUAGAUGUCAUUUUUUGAGGAUAACUGCAUGAACCAUUUACCAGCUCCUAUGUAAUGUCUUAUUUCUUCCAAAGCUUUUCAAAGAAAGGUUGACAUUAGACAUUUGUACAUUGGUGGAGCAGCAACUGAUAUUAAGAAUGGGUUGCACUUUCCACCAUGGUGGCUAUGGAGCAGACCAUCAUUCUUUAAUAGCACCGAGGAGAGCAUUGCACAUUUUACAACAUAAUGUGAUGGAAAUAUUCAUUCUAUGGAGAGGUAAAUCCAAACUGUGGUGCCUUGUGCAAGUUUAGUAAUGUCUCCAUUCUUUUAGUCCUAUGGGAUUAUGCGAAGGGUGAAAGGGUUGUGAUAGAACGAUUCCAAGGACAUGCAUGCUCUACUUGGUUCAGAAUAAGAGGAGAUGAAGGGAGACAUCUCUGUGUUUUUAAAAUUUUGAUGUAAGUUCUGUAUUACUUAAUUAUCUGCUAUGGCUCUUUAUUUUUUUAGGCCAAAGAAUUAAAUCAUGAGAUAUAUCACCUGUAAUUAUUGCAUUAUAAUUCAACGUUGAUUUAAACUCAAAUUAACUCACACUCGAAAUGGCUAGACUUUAAAUAAAUGGUUAGAAUUAAAUUGAAAGUUUUUUUUAUUUUUGUGAAAUUAUACAUUUUUUAUUUUUAGAUAGAAAGAAAAUAUCAAAAGUCAAAUGUGAUCAAUUAAUUAAUUAAAUUUAAUAUAUCAAUUUUUAUUAAUUUAUUAAUAAGUAAUAAAUAUAGACAAUUAAAUAUUAAUUUUAAAAAAAUAUAAUUUAGAGGUAUAAUAAUAUUAUUAUAUUUAUUUAUUUAUUUUAAUUAUUAAAUAUAAUAAUCUUAUAAUAUAUAAGUAAUAUUAAGAUUAGUUCUAUUAAACAAAUAAACUUCUUAAGUCUUUUAUUAAUAAAUUUUUUAAAAAUAUAUAUAAAACAAUAGUUUGUAAUAUAUAUACAAUUAUAUUUAUAUUAUUUUUAUUAUAUAUAAAAUUAAAACUCAAAAUAAAAUGUUACAACUUAAAAGUUAAAAAUUAAAAUCCAAUCAAACGAGUCAAGUCGUGUUAUACCAUGCUACUAUUGUAGACACCCAAUUAGAUCCUAGCCCAGAUCAAUUGGGCCUGGCCCAAAUGGGUAAGCCCAAUGCAAUUUUUACUUUGUAUUAUUUUUUUUCUCUUUUCUUUUCUUUUCUUUUCUUUUGUAUUUUAUGUAUUUAUUAUUUAUUAUUAUUAUAUGUAUAUUUUUACUUAUUUAUUUAUUUAUUUAUUUUCUAUUAAUAUUUAUAGGUAUUUUAUUUAUAUAGUUCUAUAUUUAUUAUAUAUUGUAAUUUAUUAUUAUUUUUUUCUUGUAAUAUUUUUUUAUUUAUCUUAUUGUAUUAUCUGUUAAUAAUUUUUUUCUCUUGUUCCGUUUAUCUGAUUUUUUGUAUAUCUGAUAUUAUUAUUAUUAUUAUUUUAUUUAUCCUAUCUUUUCUAAUUAUCUAUUAUUAUUUUUUAUUUGAUUUUAGAGGGCUGGAAUUGAAAGUUGAAAAAUCCCACUAUGAAGGGGAAUUCAAUCAAGAGAGUCCAGAUUGGAUUCAAAGAUUGAAUCCCCGUCCAAGGAGGAAUUGGGAUUAAUCAGGAACUCCUGAUCAACCCCUAUAAAAGGGACUCCUGGAACAGAAUGAAGAAGACAUAAAAACAGUGAGCAAAGCUACUGAUUUGAGAGAAAAGGAGGCGUAUAGGAAGCUAAGAAAAGGCUUAGGAGUGUUCUGAGAGUUAGAAGAAAUUUUUUGAGAAUUUUUGGCGAUUUUUUUCUUGGAAUUUCUGGAAAAUUCUAGAUUCCGGUUGAAUUUUCCGGUGAAGUUUGAAUUUUCCGACGAAAAUUUCGGCCAACCUUGAAGUUUUCGACUACCAGCCCAGUUUCCGAUGAAGAAUCCCAAAAAUCGGUGAUAUUCCGACCAACUUCCGGUGAAAUUUUCCAGAUUUCGAUGACAUUUUCUAGAUUCCGACGAAAAUUCCACUGGAGUUCUUCGGCCUUUUAGAGAGAAGGGAGAGGAAAAAAGAAGAAGAGAGAGAGAGGGGAGGAGCGUUCUGCCAAAAAACAAAGGGAAGUGCCUUUUAUACCCUCUCAAAACGACGUCGUUUUGGCCUUAAGUAACCUAGAGGAUCCGCGCGUUUUACAGAGAUCCGACCCGACCCGAGCGUCAACCCGCUCCUGACCCGCGCGUGUUUGCCCUCCUCCAAGCCGAGCUGAGCCGAGCCGAGCUCCAAAGCUGCUUCUCCGAGCCGUUUUCUCUUCCUUGAGCCAAGCUGAGCCGAGCCCCGAUCCGAGCCGCUUCAGGUUUUUUUUUUUUCAUUUAUUUGUUUAUUUUUUUUUUAUUUUUUUUAUUUAUUAGAUUAGGUUUAUUUAAUAUUUUUUUAUCUUUAUUUUAUUUUUACCUUUGUUUUACUUUUCUUUAUUUUUUUAUUUUUUUUACUUUUUUUUUUAUUAUUCUAUUUUCUUUAAAUAAAAAUCAAAAGUUUCAAAAAAUGUUUUAGGGAAAAGUUGAAAGUAUCAAUUUUCCUUAAAAAUAAAUUUCAAGAAAAAAGGUUUUUGAGGAAAAGUUGAAAGUAUCAAUUUUCCUUAAAAAUAAAUUUCAAAAAAAGGAUUUUUGAGGAAAAGUUGAAAGUAUCAAUUUUCCUUGAAAAUCAAAAUUUUCAAAAAAGAUUUUUAGGGAAAAGUUGAAAGUAUCAAUUUUUCCCUACACAAGAACAAUCAUCUUUCCUUCCUUUCUAUUUUGAUUUUGAUUUUGAUUUUUCUUCAAAUAAUCCGACGACGGAGCCUCUGCAAGUGAAACAAUAGUUUUUCUUGCAUACUCUUGAGGUGAGAGAAUUUUCUCAAUUUUUUGCUAAAAGUAUUAGAGUCAAUUGAGAAUAAUUUCCAAUAGUUAAUUACUUGGUAAAAUUUUAAGGCUUUUAGAUAACACAAAUUUAAGCUGGUACCAUCUUUUGAUAGGCGUUGUGAGGGUGCUAUAACCUUCCUCACACGUAACCAAACUCCCGAACCCUAUUCUGGUUAGUAGACCUGAACCUAUUCUUUUAAGGGCCCUUAAACUUAGGUGUUCCUUGAAAGGACAGAUUCUUUAGGUGGUCAAUCGUACCUAGAUAAAAAAGAUUGGUGGCGACUCCCUUAAGUCAAUGUCUAGCGAUAGAUCCCCGAAUCUAGACGUUAUGACAGCUUGACGACUCCGUUGGGGACUUUGAGAGUCAGGCCAGCAAAUAAUUUGUGUUAUCCAAAAGCCUAAUAAAAUUGAACCUUUUUUGUAUAUAUGUGUUAUUAUUCAUUCAUGUUUAUUUACCUUGUUAAUUAUGUCAUUCAUAUGCAUGUGCAUAACAUAAGCUCUACACCCGAGCUCCAUCCCUCUAGGAGGGAGUAAAGUACCUAUUGCUUUCGUGAAGUCUAAUGCCUCCGUAGUGGCUAGCGAAAUACUCCCACUCAAAUUGAACUUUUUCGCUUGUAGCCUGUAAUGGGUGAGGAUUAGGGUGCCUUACUAGUCUGUGAUAGACAAGGAUGUAAGGAACAAUUUGAGGACCUUUAGACUUUGACCCUAAAACUGCAUAUAGUGAACCUUAAGAAUGCCUAAACCUAGGAUAGAGCCCUUUCUACCCAAUGAUAGAUAUAUCCUGAAAUUAAGACACAAAAAAGGGUGUUUAUCUAAUCAUUUUGAUUGUUUAACUUUGUGUAUCAUUUUCAUAUGUAACAUUAGGCAUCGGCAUCAUUUUCAUUUCAUCCAUGGAACUAACUAUGUUGGUUGUCUGAUUGCAUGCAUCUGCAUCAUAUUUUAACACAAUCAUUUGCAUCCAUUUCAUACUAGAUUUCAUUCAGAAAAAUGUACAUUUCAUUCAUGCAUUAAAGCAUCAUACAUAAAGCAUAGCAUAACAUUUCUAAUCAUAAGCAUGGUACUCAAGGUUCCAGGAUAGCUCCAUUUAGCGAGAAUCUUGCCCAUCGGUACAACACAAGAUCCAGAGCAAGGCAGAUGGAAGAGAAAAAUUCCCAUAGAUUUGAAAAGAUAGAAAAAGCCCAGGAGAAGAUUAAAAGUGAACUAAGCAAGAUUCUGGAGGCUCUUAAUAACAUGAAUAAAGGAAAAGGAGUUGAAGGAAAUACAAGCCAGCAAGAAGUGGCUGACCCUUUGUACCCUCCGAGUUUUGGCCCACCUCAAGCCCAGUCUACUCAAGAGGUCUCGCCAUAACAUUUCGCAUAUCCAACACAUCCUAGAAUGCCAUCAGCUUUCAACCCUGGACAGUAUGAUAGCUAUAUAAAUCCUGUCUUCACUGAAAAGGUAGCAGAACUAAUUCCUGAUCUAGAUGAUUUAAAAGAGAAAGAGAAGGAAAAGAUGAGAGUGGAGGCUGAGGAAAGUUCUAAGAUUAGCAUGCUAGAGCAAAGGUUACGGGUAGGGACGGCAAUCAAGCCCGUCCCCGACGGGUUUCGGCCCGACCCGACCCUAUAGGGUCGGGUUUUUUUUUUUGAAUUUCGGGUUUCGGGUCGGAGUCGGGUCGGGUAAAUUUAGGUAAUAGUCGGGGUCGAGUCGGAUUCGGGUAUGCCUAAAACCCGACCCUACCCGACCUGACAUUAUUAAAAAAUUAUUUUUUAAUUAAUUAAUUAAUUAAUUAUUUAUAUAUAUAUUUAUAUAAUGAUAUUUUUAAAUAUUUAUAUUUAAAAAGUAAUAUUUUAUAUUUUAAAAAAUAAUAUUUUAUUAAUUUUGGGUCGGGUCGAAUCGGGUACAAUUUACAUAUUUUCGGGUCGGGUUCGGGGCAAGCAAAACCCACCCCGAACCCGACCCGAUGCCAUCCCUAGUUACGGGCUGUGGAAGGAUUUAGCUUUUAUGGGUCAGUUGAUGCUGUUGGGCUCUGCCUAGUCUCUGAUGUGGUUAUUCCCUAUAAGUUCAAAGUACCAAAAUUUGAAAAAUAUGAUGGUACAAAGUGCCCCAAAACCCACAUCACCAUGUAUUGCAGGAAGAUGGCAGCUCAUGCUCAUGAUGAAAAACUCUUGAUGCAUGUUUUCCAAGAUAGCCUUACUGGCUCUGCUGCCAGGUGGUAUGUUCAGUUGGAUAGGACCCACAUUCGCUCUUGGAGCGAUAUGGCUCAUGACUUCAUCAGUCAAUAUCGACACAUUAUCGAUUUGGCUCCUGAUCGUUUAUCUUUACAGAAUCUGGAGAAAAAGGCAAACGAGUCUUUUAAAGAGUAUGCCCAGAGAUGGAGAGAUGUUGCUUCUCAAGUACAACCUCCUUUGACUGAGAAAAAAACUACAGUGUUAUUUGUCAGUACUUUGAAACCUCCCUAUUAUGAAAAGAUGAUAGGAAAUGCAAUGAAAAAUUUUGCUGAUAUGGUAAUCUCGGGAGAGAUCAUAGAGAGUGCCAUAAAAAAUGGCAAGUUAAAAGGAUGAGAAACCAAGAAGACAUCAGAAAAGAAAGAAGCUGAAGCUCAAGCUGUGAGCUUUGAUAGACAACAAUUCAGGGCUUAUCAACCCUAUCCAUCCCAAGGUUACUGUCCAUACUAUCCUGCUGUGAAUAAUGCCUCAUCCUACCCAUACCAGCUAGCUCCACAACCACCUUAUUCAUCCACACACUAAUCAAUUUUUAGCCCCCAAGAUCUUACAUACAGCCUCAACAUUCAAGCUCCUGCAAGAACCCAAAUUCACCCUAUUAACCCAGCAAGUGGUUCACGAGAACAACGGACUACUCGAGAAAAACCUGUAUUUGAUCCAAUCCCUAUGACUUAUACAGAAUUAUAUCGAGAACUUUAUAAUAGCCAUUUAAUUGCCCCCAACCAUGUGGAGCCGCUUAAACCACCUUACCCAAAGUGGUAUGAUCCUACAGCUCAUUGCGACUACCACUAUGGAAUUACUGGCCAUUCUACUGAAAAUUGCACUGCUUUAAAGCAUAAGGUGCAACGGCUAAUCAAUGAUGGAAUGGUAAGUUUUGAUCAGAGAAAUGCAACAACACUUAAUGUUAGCGUUCUGAGUGAAAGUCAAGAACAGAAAGGGUCCGGAGAGUCACAAUGAAUUGAGGGGCAAGAUGUCAAUAGAAAUUCUUCACCUAAUCGCAUAGGGGGACAAUUUUAAAAAAUGGAGAUAAGGCUGGUUGAAGGUUUCUUCUGUCAUUUUAGGAUUUCUUUUCAAGAAAUGUUAGAUUUCUUUUUCCAAUAUGACUUCACCUGUUAUCAUUUUAAUAAAGGCAAGUCAAUGCAUUUCAUUACAUUUUUCUCUUUCACUUGACCAUUACUCCAUGCUCCGUUACCUUUCAUAACUUUACAUUCCCAUUCUUAAAUUUCAGAUGAUGAAUAUUUAGACAAUGAUAACAAUAAUUCUGAGAUUUAAUUUUGAGAACUCAUCCAUAUUAAUAUGAGAAAAUGAUUUGAGCAAAAAUAGGCUGUUACCGGAGGUGAAAUAGAUAUGUCUUGAAGAUGUGUAAUCUUUUAUACAGAUUCAUGAGCUUUGUUCAAUAGAUGAUGUUCAAAAAAGGUAUUCACAAUUGAGAUGAAAAAUGGCCAUCUUUCUUUUACCAUUCGAAAAACCAUUUAUUGCUACCCCUUUGAGCCUAUUAUGAUUUCUUUUUCUGAAGAACCCUAACCAAGGAUUACCCUCUACACUGGGGGGCAAUUUUUGAAAAAAAAAUUUCACAAAAAGUCUCAAAAAUAAAAAUAAAAUAAAAUAAAAUAAAAAAAUGCCACACAUGACUUGGGACAAAGUAAUGAGAAUCCUUUGUGUGAGGAAAGAAAAAAGUAGUGAAAUGAUGUAGGGCAAAAUGUCAAGUUGUAUCAAAUGAUCCUUUGGUUUUGAACCUUUUUAAUACAUGUUUUGAGCCUAUUAUCCAUUUUUUUUUAUGACCCUUCACCUUGGCCUACAUUACAACCUUGAAAAGUCUAUUUGGAUCAAGUGUGAAUACUCAACUUGAAUGAUCAUAUGUUGAGCGAAGGUAUACUCAUGAUGAAGCAAUGGAAUCAUGCCACAUUGCUCUAAAGUUUGAUGUAUGAAAGAUGGAUGAAAAAUGAAAAAAAAAGAUGAGAAAAAGAAAAAAAAUGAGAAAAUGAAAAAAAGAUAUUCAAAUUGAAAACCUGAAAGGGUGAUUUUGAUAGAAAAAGAUCCAGGUCAAAUGGCUCACAUGAAUAGAAGACCAAAGACAUCUGAAGAUCCCUCAAAGAUUGGGGUAAAGUUUGCCAAGCUCAAGAUGACUUCAAUAGUAAAUGGAAUGAAUUUUUGAAAAAAAAUCUUAGAUUAAUGUUGAGAAUUGUCUGAAUAUUCAUCAUUUGGACAUACCAUCCAUCCCAAUGACAUGUAUCCAAUUCAUUUCCUUUCCCAUUUACUUUGUACCAAAACAGAUCUUCAUUGAUUAUCUUUAAUUCACCUUGUGUUCUCUUAUUGUUUCACCCCUAGAAUGAAUUGAAAAAAUGCUUGAUUGCAUUGUAUUUUUGAAGAUUUUAAAUGAUAAUAAAUGAAUGAAUAUGUGCUUAAAAGAGUCUUGCAUUCAUUUGAAAAGAAAUCUAAAAUGAUGGUGGUAACAAAAUGAAGAAAUGGUAGAAACCUAAAAGAGAUGAUUUGAAAAGAUAUAUGAUGUGAUGGGGCAAAUCUUGAAAAGUGAUAUAACCAAGUGAUGAGUACAAGGAUGAAUUGGUCAAUAUGACUUGUAAGUUAUGAUGGAAUGAUGAGAACAAUUAGUGGACAGAGUUUGUUUUGGAAUGGUUAAUGCUGAGACAAUGACCCAGUGAUGGUGGAUGAAACUUGUUUUGAAAUUUGUUAAUGCUGAGAAAUUCAUGGAAUGAUGGUCAAAUGAUGAUCGAUUGAUGAAGCUUAUUCCAAAGUAUUGAAAAACUAAACAAGGAAGAAUGUGAGCGGAAAAGACAAUUGAGAGCUACACUGGUUCGAUCUUAGAAGAGCAGUGUAAUUGGAUCUCUGAAGAAUCAAAAGGCUUGAUGCCCAAGAGAACUGAGUACCAUACAUUGAACAGGAAUUAAUUGACCAACAUUUGCAUAGCAUGCAUUGAAAUUCAUAUGCAUUUGCAUAGCAUACACUACUCUCAAGAAAGUAUAGUGUAUAAAUUCAGGAAGCAGGGGUGUUCCAACAUCCCACGUGGAGAAGACAGAUGUGAAGAUAUUUUGCAAAAUUGAAAAAGAAAAACCUUGUCAGGUAAGUCCCUAAUCCUUGAAAUAGGAUGUCUCUUGGUAUCAGGGUUGAUUUAUAAGACCUUUGGGCGUAAUCUCCUGAAAUCCCUUCAAACACAACUUUCAACUCCUUUGGACAUGAUUGUCAAGGAGCAAUUUACUUUUUCAAAGUCGUGGUGCCUCUGUUUAGAGGAGCAAUUUACUUUCCAAAGUCAUGGUGCCUCUGUUUAGAGGAGCAAUUUAUUUUCCAAAGUCGUGGUGCCUCUGUUUAGAGGAGCAAUUUACUUUUCAAAGUCGUGGUGUCUCUGUUUAGAGGAGCAAUUUAUUUUUCCAAAGUCGUGGUGCCUCUGUUUAGAGGAGCAAUUUACUUUUCAAAGUCGUGGUGCCUCUGUUUAGGGGAGCAAUUUAUUUUCCAAAGUCGUGGUGCCUCUGUUUAGAGGACUCUGUUUAGAGGAGCAAUUUAUUUUUCAAAGUCGUGGUGCUCUGUUUAGAGGAGCAAUUUAUGUUUCUAAAAGUCGUUGAGCCUCUGUUUAGAGGAGCUUUGGUAAAAAACAAAAAACAAAAAAAAAAAAAAAAAAAAACAAAAAACACAAAAAAAAACACAAGAAACAAAAAAAAACAAAAAAAUGACAAUGUUGAGUUGAGUCUUGAUUGGGUGUCUACGUCUUUGCGCAAUUUCUGUUUCAAAAAAAAUGUGCAAAGAGGGGCAGCUGUAGACACCCAAUUGGGUCCUGGCCCAGAUCAAUUGGGCUUGGCCCAAAUGGGUAAGCUCAAUGCAAUUUUUACUUUGUAUUAUUUUUUUUCUCUUUUCUUUUCUUUUCUUUUGUAUUUUAUGUAUUUUAUUAUUUAUUAUUAUUAUAUGUAUAUUUUUACUUAUUUAUUUAUUUAUUUAUUUAUUUUCUAUUAAUAUUUAUAGGUAUUUUAUUUAUAUAGUUCUAUAUUUAUUAUAUAUUGUAAUUUAUUUAUUUUUUUUCUUGUAAUAUUUUUUUGAUUUAUCUUAUUGUAUUAUCUGUUAAUAAUUUUUUUUCUCUUGUUCCGUUUAUCUGAUUUUUUGUAUAUCUGAUAUUAUUAUUAUUAUUUUUAUUUAUCCUAUCUUUUCUAAUUAUCUAUUUUUUUAUUUGAUUUUGGAGGGCUGGGAUUGAAAGUUGAAGAAUCCCACUGUGAAGGGGAAUUCAAUCAAGAAAGUCUAGAUUAGAUUCAAAGAUUGAAUCACCGUCCAAUGAGGAAUUGGGAUUUAUCAGGAACUCCUGAUCAACCCCUAUAAAAGGGACUCCUGGAACAGAAUGAAGAAGACACAAAAACAGUGAGCAAAGCUACUGAUUUGAGAGAAAAUGAGGCGUAUAGGAAGAUAAGAAAAGGCUUAGGAGUGUUCUGAGAGUUAGAAGAAAUUUUUUGAGAAUUUUUGGUGAUUUUUUUCUGGGAAUUUUUGGAAAAUUCCAGAUUUCGGUUGAAUUUUCCGACGAAGUUUGAAUUUUUCGACGAAAAUUUCGACCAACCUUGAAGUUUCUGGUGACCAGCCUAGUUUUCGGCGAAGAAUCCCAGAAACCGGUGAUAUUCCGACCAACUUCCGGUGAAAUUUUCCAAAUUCUAGCGACAUUUUCCAGAUUCGGACAAAAAUUCACCGGAGUUCUUCAACCUUUUAGAGAGAAGGGAGAGGAAAAAGGAAGAAGAGAGAGAGAGGGGAGGAGCGUUCUACCGAAAAACAGAGGGAAGUGCCUUUUAUACCCUCUCAAAACGACGUCGUUUUGGCCUUAAGUAACCCAGAGGAUCCGCGCGUUUUACCGAGAUCCGACCCGACCCGAACAUUGAUCUGCUUCUUGACCCGCGCGUGUCUACCCCCUUCCAAGCCGAGCCGAGCUCCAAAGCCGCUUCUCCGAGCCGUUUUCUCUUCCUUGAGCCGAGUCGAGCCCCGAUCCGAACCGUUCCAGGUUUUUUUUUUCAUUUAUUUGUUUAUUUAUUUUUUUUUAUUUUUUUUAUUUAUUAGAUUAGGUUUAUUUAAUAUUUUUUUUAUCUUUAUUUUAUUUUUAUCUUUGUUUUACUUUUCUUUAUUUUUUUAUUUUUAUUUUUUUCACUUUUAUUUUUUUUAUUAUUCUAUUUUCUUUAAAUAAAAAUCAAAAGUUUCAAAAAAUGUUUUAGGGAAAAGUUGAAAGUAUCAAUUUUCCUUAAAAAUAAAUUUCAAAAAAAGGGUUUUUGAGAAAAAGUUGAAAGUAUCAAUUUUCCUUGAAAAUCAAAAUUUUGAAAAAAGAUUUUUGGGGAAAAGUUGAAAGUAUCAAUUUUCCCCUACACAAGAACAAUCAUCAUUUCCUUCCUUUCUAUUUUGAUUUUGAUUUUGAUUUUUCUUCAAAUAAUCCGACGACGGAGCCUCUGCAAGUGAAACAGUAGUUUUUCUUGCAUACUCUUGAGGUGAGAGAAUUUUCUUAAUUUUCUGCUAAAAGUAUUAGAGUCAAUUGAGAAUAAUUUCAAAUAGUUAAUUACUUGGUAAAAUUUUAAGGCUUUUGGAUAACACAAAUUUAAGCUGGUACCAUCUUUUGAUGGGCGUUGUGAGGGUGCUAUAACCUUUCUCACACGUAACCGAACUCCCGAACCCUAUUCUGGUUAGUAGACCUGAACCUAUUCUUUUAAGGGCCCUUAAACUUAGGUGUUCCCUGAAAGGACAGAAUCUUUAGGUGGCCAAUCGCACAUAGAUAAAAAAGAUUGGUGACGACUCCCUUAAGUCAAUGUCUAGCGAUAGAUCUCCCGAUCUAGACGUUAUAACAACUAUCAAAUAACAGUAGAUAAUUUUAGCAUCUUCAUUUUUUAUUACACAUUUGUACUAUAUACUAUUCAAAAGUUCAAUUAUUUAAAUUAUAUUAAUAUUAUGUCUAAGUAAUUUUGAUAUUUUUGAAUUGUUUUAAGAUUAGAUCAUUAUGUUAAUUAAGUAAUCAAUAUUAAUAGUAUUUUUUUAUAUUAUCAUACUUUUAGUGAUGAUUUUGAAAAUUAAUUUUUUUGAAAUUAUUUAGUUAUUUGCUCAUUUUUAAUUCAUAUAUAAUAAAUAACGUGGACAAGUAUGAUUAUAAAAUAUCAAUAUAAAUUACUAAUAAUAAAUAUUGAAUAUUAAUAAAUUAAAAGUCAUUAAUAAAUUUUUAUCAUGAAUAAAAUUAAUUUUAUAUUAAACAUAACAUAAUUUCUUAUUAUUAACAAAUUACUUUUGAAUCAUUUAACUUUGAUAUUUUAGUUUUUGUAAAUUUAAUUAUAUUUAUUUAAUUAUAAAAGUUAACAAAUUAAAUAUAAAUAACUAAAGUGUUAAACCUGAAUAAUUGGAGAGGCAAAUCUAAAAUUGAAAUAAUUUGAACUCAAAUUAAUCUAAAUCUUAAUUAUUCCAAUCAACUUGAAAUACCACAAAAAUUGAAAUGAUUCAAAGUUUUUGAUUUGAACUCAAUUUGAUCGAACUCAAAAUAAUACAAUCAUUUCUUAAUUUUCACUCAACUUAAUUCUAAUAUAAAAUAAUUCAUUUUUUUAUCCAAAAUGAACCAACUCAAUAUAACCGAAGCCGAACUAAUUUUCUCACCUCUAGCUUCAAUGAAAUUAUUAUCCUUUAUUUCAAACUAGGAAAAAAUUUUAAAAAAAUAAUAUGAGAACAAUUUUUUUAGUAAGGCUAUAGUUUUUAUAUAGGGUAUAGAUAAUUACAAGUGACAGUGAGUCAUAAUAGGUAGAAUGUUGGUCGGACCCUUAACAUGGGAAACCAUGUCACAGAAACAGUUUACAAAAGACAAGUGCUAAUAGAGCACGUCCAGCAGAUUGAUGAUUGAUGAAUGAAUUAAAACCCGAGCUUGAUUGCAUUCCAUUCAUUAUCAUCUCUCUCUGGAGAAUAAUGAUGAUUGAUUUUUACAGAAUUUUAAAAAAAUUUAAUUUUAAUAUAUUUAUUAUUAAAAUUAAAUUUUUUAUUUUUAAUGUAAAAAUUAAAAAAUAAUAAAUAAUAAAUAAUUUUAAAAGAUAAAAAAAUAAAAAUUUUAGAUAUUAAAAAAUAAUAAAUAAUAAUAAAUAAUUUUAAAAGAUAAAAAAAAUAAAAAUUUUAGAUAUUAAAAAAUAUAAAAUUUUGAAACAUUCAUAAAAAAAAUUUUAAAAAAAAGAACAAAAAGAGUAAAUGAUAAACCCAAGACACGCCAUUCAUGCUAAAACUUAGUUUGUAACAUUAAUACUCAGAUUACAAACUGCAAAAUUAGUUUGUAACACAACUAUCUCCAAGAAAAUGAUUCACAUUGAACCAAUCAUGCUCAAAAUUGUUGAAAAUUUCAAGUUUCACCAAAAAUUGUGAAUUUCAUUAAAAGAAUUCAUUGAAAAAUUCAAAAUUCAUUGAAAAAUUUAAAAUUUUCUAGAUUCUUCAAAAAAAAAUGUUAAAAAUUCAACUUGGAUCUUUGCGCCCUCUUUAAUCCCUUAAUAACACUAAUUUUUUCAAAUUAAAUUGAUUCAAAUAUCUAAAGUUGCAAAAAAAAGAAAAAUCAGAUUAAGAACCCUAUUGUCAAAAAUUUGGAAUUUACAAAUGAUUUCAAAUUAAAUAAGGCAUCUAUAGUUGCCACCUUAGGAUGUUGCUUCCAUCAAUCCGGUCCAAGAUUUAAAAGUUGGUUGUCAUUUCUUUUAUGGAAUUAAACUUGUCCAUAUUGCUUGAAACAAAACCUUAAGAAUGUUAGAAAAAUAAUGUAAUAUAAAGCUAUAAGAUAUAAUUUGUAAAUACUUCAAUGUUUUGACAACUUAAGAACUUCUUAUAACGUUCUUGAUGAAUAGUUAGAGUUGAGCAAUCAUGGACCUUCAAAUACGAACAAAAUUAUUUCAAAGUGUGCUACAAAUGUCACUUUUCUUAAUGCUUAUAUCACCCAAACUAGUUAUAGCAUGCAAAAGGGAUGAACCAAAAUGCCUCUAAGAUAAAAUGAAGCAUUUUUUGUUUAUACUUUGCACUAUUAUAACAAACCACUAAACACACUUUAGUAGGAACGAAAAUAUCUUGUCUUUACAAAGUUUUUUGCUGCAAACAAUGUCAAAGCAAUAUGCUUUUAAUUGAGAAAAGAUUGGGAGAAAGAAGAAAGUAGUUCUGAAUUGAAUUAGAUUACAAAAUGAACUCAUAUCAAUAUCUAUUUAUAGAGAUUGAAUCAUAAAAUUGUGAUUUUUUUUAUUAUAUUGUUUCAAUUAAAGAUCAAUUCCCUUUGAUUAUGAAAAUGUAUCUUUGAGAGAUCACAAACAUGUUUAUUUCAUUUGAAUAAUCAAACUUUUCAUACUAAGAAAAGCCAUUUGUCUUAUUUUUGGAAAUUACAAUUUUUUAUGCAAAGUAGUCGAUUGCUCCAAGAAAGCAAUCAAUUGCUUCUUUGUCUUUUCAAUUUUUGAAAUGCUUUCGUAGUAGGGUAGUCGACUCUUCUAUAAAAUAGUCAACUCAUUUCUUCAUAUAAAAUGCAUUCUCCAAGUGAAUAGAUGACUCCUUUCAAUUUUCAGAAAGGAUUCACAUUUGGUCUCCUAUAGAGUAGUCAACCCAUCUUUAAUAGCAAUUAAAUGCAUUUAGCAUAGAUAAAUUCCCAUAAGACUAUCAUCUACUGGCAGUCGAUUGGAUUAGGGUUUGGAACCAAUCCACUCACUUUUUAGACAUAGCAACCAAUUGCUCUAAGCUAAUAGUCGGCUACUAUUUAUAUAGAAUCUAAGUUUAAUUUAUGUUUGACAAAGCACUCGGCUUUAUGCUUGUCAUAACAAUUUUGGGACUGCCUGACUAAAAGAGUUUUAAAAUCGAGAAAAUUGGAAAGAGUUAUCACCAAUCUUUUUUUAGGGUGUGAUUGGUCACCCAAAAGUUUAUAUUUUUAAUAAAACUAUAAAAGCAGGUUUUAAAUUUAUCAAAAAGAUAAAUUUUGGUCUCCAAAAACCAAGUAGGAUCCAGGAGUCGGUUAUGUGUGGGGUAGGAUUAGCACUCUCACAAUGCCCAUAAAUUGGUACCAAUUAAUUAUGCACUAUUUUCAAUGUUGAAUGAAAUGGUUUCGAUUUGAAAUUUAAUAAUAAUUCCCUUUUUGUUAUUUUAAAAAGAAAGAAAAUUAAUUUUAUCUAAAAUCUUUUGUGAGAAAUAUUUGAGGAAAUUUUAAGCUAAAAUUAUUUUUAAAUUUAAAUCUUGGUCAUUUUAAAAUAAUAUUUUGUUAAGAUUAAUACAAAUACUUUAAAAAAUAACACUAUUGCAGAUAUGAAUGAUUGGUAACCCAAUAUCUAAGAAUUACAAAAUUUUUACUAAUUUAUUUUUGUUUUAUUUCAAUUCAUAUUUUACAAGUAAUGAAUUAAAAAAAAUUUGUCAAAAAAGUAAAUUGAGGUAAUAUAUAGCAGCAAUUAAGAGAAGAAAAUGCAAAAAGUGAAACAGUUCUUAUAAUGCAUGUAAUCAAUAAAUGUUAGUGUAUUAAUGAAAGAGCAAAUUCUAAAAUUGGAUUUUUAAUAUUGAGACCAUUGACUCUCAAAUUAGCGGAGUUUAGGUGUGACUAUUCAUAUUUAAGAUCCCAUUUUAUUAUUAUACUUUUUUUUUAUUAAACUUAUCAGUUAUUAACCCCAUUGUUAAAGCGAAUUAAAGACUCAUGAGAAAAACUUAAAGGAAUAAGAUUUCUUUAAACACCCCAUCAUCUAUGAGGCAUUCGAGAACAAAUUACUCCACUUGAGAUUUUUGCAUAUAUCCUUAAAAUUUUGAAAUGGUUUUGAGUAUAGGUCGAAGUUUUAAAGGUUAGGGUUUUAGAUUUUGAGGAUUCAAAUUUUAGGGCUUUGGUUUGAGUUUUAAAGGUUUUAGGGCUUGAAUUUUAGGGUUUGAAAAGUUUAGUAUUUUGAUUUAGGAUUUGGGGAUUAGGGUUUCAGUUUUAGGGUUGUGAAAUUUAGGGUUUGGAUUUUUUAAUUUUAAAAAAACACAAACAUCUCUAAAAAUUCUCAAUAUCUAGACAGAUUUUCAAAGCAAGUUAAAAUUUUUAUGAUUUCUAAAAAUUAAUAAAAAAUUUUCAUAUAUUUUAUUUUUAUAAAAACUUAUUAUUGUUAUUUUCAAUUUAUUAUUAUUAUUAUUAUUGUUGUUUUAUUAUUUUUUUAAUUUUUUUAUAUAUAAUUCCCCAACAUCUAGGUGAAAUUAUAUUUUAGGGUUUGAGAUUUUUAUUCCCUCCAACAUAUAGGCAGGGAAAAUAAAAGAAAAAUUAUUCUAUUAUUAUUAUUAUUAUUAUUAUUAUUAUUAUUAUUAGCAUUUUUAAUUUUUAAUUUUUAGUUAUUAUCCUACUUUGUUUUCAUUUUUAUUAUUAUUAAAAACAAUCAAAUAUUUAUUCUAAUAAAUUUCAAAAUUUUUUCAUGCACAAAUAUUAAUAAUAAAGCUUAAAAUAACAAAAAUAAUAAUAUAAAAAAUUAAAAAAAAAUAAAAAAUACCUGAACCGGAUCGAUCAACGAUCUGAUCAACGUCGGUCUAAUCGACUCGACGGUUUGACAGUUCAGAUCGAUGAGGACACUUAUUUUGUUUUAUUUUAUUUUAUUAUUUUAUUAUUAUUUUUCUUUUUCUUUUGCUUUUUCUUUUAUGGCAACUUUUUUGGUAGCCACCUGAUAGCCACCAACAACCGCUUGACAGCCAUCGACAACCAUCCUAACAGUCACCAACCACAAUCCCACAAAUCCCAGGCUUUCUGGAAUUUUAAUCUUGUUUUUGCUUUAUAAAUAGAGCCACAAAACUCAUAACAAUGAGGGAUUUUUAAAAAAAAGAUGGAGGAAAACCUCUGCAAAAAAAAAUGCUGAAAAACAAAAAACUAGCUAAAAAAAAAACUUUGCUAAAAAGCCAAGAAAACCAAACCAAAAACACAACACAAACCCAAAAAAAAAAAAAACCCAUAGUAGCGGAGAUCUCAACGCCAAAAACACAAAAGAAAAUUUUUUUUUUCAUUCUGACCAAAACUUUAGGCCUCGAACUAUGUCGUUCGAGGUCGUUUCUCUCAAAACGGAGGUUGGAUUUGAGUUUAGGGGGUCGAAAAUAAUUUUUUAGGUAUUUUUUAAGAAUUUUUCUGACACACUCAACAGUGGUCGACGACGACAUCGGUGAUUGGCGGCGGCAACCAUAGGAUUGUCAAAAACUGAGAAGGAGAAAGAAGAGGAAUUCUAAGGAGAGAGAAAGAAGAAGAGAGAAAGAGAAGAAAGGAAAAAAAAAUGAAAGAGUGGGGGUGUUUAGGGGGCUAUUUAUAGUGAAAUCAACAAGACAUCGUUUUGAUUAACUGGUAGCCAAGCCACCAAGCCUAGCUAGGAACAGAGCUGAGCCAUAUACCCAAGCCAAGCCGAUUAAGCCAUUGACUAUAGGUCCAAGCUGGUUGACCGAGCCAACUGAGCCGUUUUGAAUCUUUGACCUGUGUUGACUAGGGACAUUUUUGGUAUUUUAUUGUAACUUUUUAUUUUUUUAUUUUUUUGCUCAAUCUUUUAUAUAUUUCUAUUAUUUAAUUUAUGGUUUUUCUGUUAUUUUUAUUUUAUUUUUGUAUAAAUUUUUCAUAUAAAAUAAAAUAAAUGGUAGAAAAUAUAAAAUAGUUUUAAUUUAAUUAAUUUAAAAUAAUGACUAAACAUAAACUUAUCAAAAUUUUAAUAAACAAGAAUAAAGAAAAAUAUACAAUAAUUGAUAAAAAAUUUAUCAAAAUUUUAAUGAACAAGAAUAAAGAAAAAUAUACAAUAAUUGAUAAAAAAAUUAAUUAAUAAAAAAUUAUAAUUUAAAGUGUAAAAAAAAAAAUUUUUAUCCGACGACGAGAUUUAAAGGUACUUCGAGUAGUGAUACCUACAAAAUCUCUAGGUGAAAGAUUUUUUUUAAAUACUACUAGUGUAUUGAAGUAUUUAUAAAAAGUUUUCAAUACAAUAAAAAAAUUUUUUGUUAUUAAUAAUAGAUAAAAUUAACUAAUUUAUAAAAAAAAAAACUAAAAUAAAAGUAAUAAAUAUGAGAAAAAAGAAAAUUUUAUCCGAUGAUAGGAUUCUAAAAGUAUUCUGAGUAGAGAUGCUUUAAGAAAUCCCUAGGUGAGAAGAUUUUUUAAAAUAUUAUCAGUGUAUUGGAAUAUUUAUAGAAAACUUCAAUAUAAUAAGAAUUCUUUUUUUUUCUCAAAAAUUUAAAUUAAAAAUAAAAUAUCAAAUAAAAUAAUUAAUAAAAUUUCUAAAAAAGAGAAUAAAAUGUAUGCAUCAACAUGGUAAAAUUUUGCAUUGCAUGCAUGACAGUUUAUAAAAAGUAAAUUUGAGCCUCCAAAGAUGAGAUUCUAAGGUAUUCUGAGAAGUGAUGCCUAAGAAAUUUUUAGGUGAGAAAAUGUUUUUCUAAUGUUACCAAUGUAUUAGAACAUUUUAAGAAUUAUUUCAAUAAAAAGGUUCUAAUUUCUUUUUCUUUUUCUCAAAUAAAAUUUGCACAAAAAAAGAAACAAUAAAUAAAAUCAAAUAACAAAUAAAUUUCCUAUAAAUGAAAAAAUCAAGAAAAUUAUUUUUCAAACAUCGAAAUAAAACUGUUUUUNNNNNNNNNNNNNNNNNNNNNNNNNNNNNNNNNNNNNNNNNNNNNNNNNNNNNNNNNNNNNNNNNNNNNNNNNNNNNNNNNNNNNNNNNNNNNNNNNNNNNNNNNNNNNNNNNNNNNNNNNNNNNNNNNNNNNNNNNNNNNNNNNNNNNNNNNNNNNNNNNNNNNNNNNNNNNNNNNNNNNNNNNNNNNNNNNNNNNNNNNNNNNNNNNNNNNNNNNNNNNNNNNNNNNNNNNNNNNNNNNNNNNNNNNNNNNNNNNNNNNNNNNNNNNNNNNNNNNNNNNNNNNNNNNNNNNNNNNNNNNNNNNNNNNNNNNNNNNNNNNNNNNNNNNNNNNNNNNNNNNNNNNNNNNNNNNNNNNNNNNNNNNNNNNNNNNNNNNNNNNNNNNNNNNNNNNNNNNNNNNNNNNNNNNNNNNNNNNNNNNNNNNNNNNNNNNNNNNNNNNNNNNNNNNNNNNNNNNNNNNNNNNNNNNNNNNNNNNNNNNNNNNNNNNNNNNNNNNNNNNNNNNNNNNNNNNNNNNNNNNNNNNNNNNNNNNNNNNNNNNNNNNNNNNNNNNNNNNNNNNNNNNNNNNNNNNNNNNNNNNNNNNNNNNNNNNNNNNNNNNNNNNNNNNNNNNNNNNNNNNNNNNNNNNNNNNNNNNNNNNNNNNNNNNNNNNNNNNNNNNNNNNNNNNNNNNNNNNNNNNNNNNNNNNNNNNNNNNNNNNNNNNNNNNNNNNNNNNNNNNNNNNNNNNNNNNNNNNNNNNNNNNNNNNNNNNNNNNNNNNNNNNNNNNNNNNNNNNNNNNNNNNNNNNNNNNNNNNNNNNNNNNNNNNNNNNNNNNNNNNNNNNNNNNNNNNNNNNNNNNNNNNNNNNNNNNNNNNNNNNNNNNNNNNNNNNNNNNNNNNNNNNNNNNNNNNNNNNNNNNNNNNNNNNNNNNNNNNNNNNNNNNNNNNNNNNNNNNNNNNNNNNNNNNNNNNNNNNNNNNNNNNNNNNNNNNNNNNNNNNNNNNNNNNNNNNNNNNNNNGUCUAUCAAGUGUCAUAACAUCCAAGUUCAUAAAAUUAUUGCUAGAUACAACUAAAAAAGUUACCAUCAAUAUUUUUUGACUAAGUGUGAUUGACCACCUAAGUAAAUUUAUUCUUUAUAAGGAUGUCCCAAGCCUGAUUAAGGGUCUCUAAAAGAAUAGGUUUUGAUCUAAUAAUCAAAACAUGGUUCAAUAGUUCGAUUACAUAUGAAGAGUGUUAUAGCACUCUCACAAUACCCAUCCUAAGAUGGUACCAUUUAAUUUUAAAUUAUCUUAAGGAUUUUUGUUCUAAUGGUCUUUUAUUAAACUGUAAUGUUUAAAUAUUAGAAAUUAUUUCUAAGAUUUCUUCAUUGAUCUAAUAGGAUUCUUAAAAAUAUUUUAUCACCUCAAGAUUAUUUAAAAAUCUCAUUUAUUUUUUUAAAGAGGCUUCGUCAUAAAAAAAAACUUAAUCAUUUAUUUUUUUAUUUUGCUUUUAUUGAAAAUAUGUCUAAUUCUUCCACCAUUUGGAUCAAAAUUUAAAAUGUCUCACUUAAAAAUUUCCUAAGUAAUUAUUCAUUUGUGAAUAUUAAAAAUUUCAUUCUCAAAAUUUAUUCUUUUUAUUUUAGGUAAAUUUUCUAUACCUAAAUUUUUAUUGUAUUGAGAUGUAUCUUUCACCAUUCUGAAAACAUUUAGAAAUAUAAUUUUUUACCUAAAGAUUUUUAAGAAAAUCAACCAUUGUUGAUUUUUUAAAAUUUUAUCAUCAAAAUUUUUUUUUAUCAUUUCCAAAACUUCUCAUUUUUAUCCUUUUGUUUACUGCAUUUAGAAAUAUAAUUAUUAUAAUUUUAUCUAAUUUUAUCACUAUUAUGAUAAAUUUUAGAAAUAAGUAUCAUCUAGAGUUUCUCAUCUAGAAAUUUUUUAUAGGAUCAACCAUUCUUGACCUCUUAGAAUACCAACAUCAAUUUUAUUUUAUUAUUUUUCUUUUUUUUAGGAUUAUUUUUGUUAUUUCUAAAAUUUUCUAGUUUUUUUAAUUUUAUAUUUUAUAUUUUUUUAUGAUUUUAAGGCAAGUAUCAAUAUUGUUACUGAAAAUUUUAUCUAAAUCUCCAUUUUGAAGAUAUUAAAUAGAAACUUCUCAUUUAAAAAAAUUCUAGAAAUUCAACCAUUCUUGAUUUCUAGAAUUUCACUAUUUGGUAAUUUUCAUUUAUUUUUUAGGAUUAUAUUCUUUAUUCUUGAUUUUCAUAAAUUAUCUUUAAUGACAUUUUCAUAUAAAUUGUCCACCAUUCUAGAGAAUUUAAAAGAAAUUAAAAUUUUCUAAAAAUCAACCAUUAUUGAUUUUUAAAAUUUCAUCAUUAGGAUAAUUGCCAUUUAUUUUAGAGUUUUUAUUUCAUUUUUUUAUUUAUUGUUCAAUUGACAAGAAAUGAAAUUUAUUUUUUUAGGUUUUCAACUAAAAUUUCCACAAUUCUAGAGAAUUUAGAAGAAUUUGCUUAUCUAAAAAUUUCUAAAAAGUCAACUCCGUGGAAAAAAUUUUCACUUAUAAUUAAAGUCUGAAUUAAAUUAUAUGAUUAUAAAAAGAAUUUUAUAUAUCUUCUAAAUUUAUAUGAAAUACAUGACUCUGAUAAUAUUUUAAUUAAAGAAAACUAAAAAUAUAAAUAUAUUUUAUUGUACCAUAUUUUAGUUUUUUAAGUGUGAAGCAACUAAACAAUUUUCUAGUUUAAGAAUGAAUGCUCGAUAAAAAGUGUAACAAAGUAAAUAAAUGAUAAAAAAAAUGAACCUGAAAAUUAAUUAAGGAAAAAAAAGGAUGAAAAUCUGAUAUUUGAGUUUACAACUCAAAUCCAAAGCAGGCCCACUUAAGCUAAAAAGUGGGCUUGGAGUUCUUGGCUUCAAAUUGUGGGGUCUUGAAUCUAGACUCGACGAUUCAUGUUUAUGUAUUGUGUCUUAUAUCAUAUUUGAUAUAUGUAAUAAUAUAAAUUAUUAAAAUAUAAAUAUGAUAUGAAUUAUAAAAUAUAUUUAAAUUUUAAACAUAAAUACAACAUGUUUAAUAUACAUAAUAAUAUAAAUAUACAUAAAUAAUAUAAAUAUACAUGAAUAGAUAUGAUUAACACGAAUAUAUAUAAAAUAUGACUAAAAUAAUAAAUAACUAUAAAUUAUCUAUUAUUUACAACUUAAUAAAUUUGGCAUAUUUAAUAAUAUAUAAAAAUACUUACACAUUUAAAAAAAUUUAAUACUCAUUUAAUAUGUAUUUAAUAUAUAUAUUUUUAAUUUUAAUUUAUAUUAAAUAACUAUAUUAAUUUUUUGUAUCAAAUUCAAAUAAUAAAACUAUUAAAGAUUAAAGAAUAAAAUAAUAAUGUAUAGGACUAAUAUUAAUAUUUAUAUUGUAUUUUAUAUUAUUAAUAGAAAAAAUAAUUUUAUAAUAAUUAUUAAAAGUAUCAUAAUUAGAUGUUUAAAAUAAUUUUUAUAUGAAAUUAGUUAACUAAUUAAGAUCAUAAUUAAAAGAUUAAAAUUAAAUUAAUUUUUAUGUGUUUAUGUUAAAUUAAAAUAAAUAUAAAAAAUGUGUUAAACAUCUUAAAUUUAUACUUUUUGCAACAAGAUUAAAUUAAAUAUAUUAUUUGUGUCGUGUCAUAUAUUUAAACAAGUUAACACAAACGACAUGAAUUGUAUCAUAUUGAAAUUCAAGUCGACAUAAAUAAACAUGAAACAUUUUUAAAAAAAUAAAUAUAUGAUUUUUUAUAUCAUUUUUAUAUUAUAUCCUAUCUAAAAUUUUUAGGUCUACUUAAUCCUCCUCAAGUUACACUCAAAAUUUAAACUUUUUGGACUUGGACUAGAUCUUCAAGUUCUAGACCAUUUUUACAAGAUCCUUCCCCUUUCUUUAUUCUUUAUUGCAAAAGAAUAAAGCCCAACUUCUCAUUUCAGCAACACAGCUUUCAAUUUUUGCUGUUGUCUCUUUCUUUUUCUCGAUAAGUCAUCGCUUCGCUUCCUUUUUAUUUUCGAAAUCUCACUAGCACUAUGCAAACACAAAGACCAUUCUACCACUUCUUGGAAUUCCUAAUCCCAACUACUUGGAUCGUUGAAAAACUCCUCCAAAUCCUUCCCCUUUCUUUUACCGUUUAAAAGAAUUCCAAAAGGUGCCUAAAUAAAAGUGAAUCCCAAACCAAAAACCCACUGCUAGAAGAAAAUCUUUCAUUUUCGUCUUUCGAUUGUUGAUCUAUCUCUGUGGCUAUUUUUUAUGCUUGACUCUAGUUAUUGUGUUUUGAUUAUUUGUUGGAUUUUGUGUUUUGAUUAUUUGUUGGAUUUGGAUUAAUGGUUACUAUUUGGGUGAGGAAAAGUAGUGGUAGGCUUCGGUGUUUGGUUUAGGCAGUGGAUGACCGAUGGUGGUGACUGGCAAUUGGGAGCUAGGCCGAACAAAAUGGGGAUUUGUUUCUGAUUUCCCUUGUGUUUCCCUCUGAUUUUCUCUGCUGAUUUCUUUCUCUGUGAAAUUUUUUUUUUUUUAGUUGUUGUGAAUUGAAAGUUUUUUUUUAGGUAAGAUCAUGAGAGUUUCAACUCACUUAGGAUUAGAUUUCUUUAAAAUUAAAGAUUAACCCAAAGUAAUUCUAAUCUCAAACUGCUUCUAAUGAAGCUAGCACCUUCACCGAGAUAACAUUAUUUUAAACUUCCAAAUUAUCAAUUUUUUAAAAGAUGAUCAGAUAAUUAAGGAUAAAAUCAAGAUAAAAUACUAUAAUAAUAAGGAUAAAAUAAAUAAGGAUAAAAAGAAUACAAAAAAAUAAAAUAAAAAUCUAAAAUUUAAAAUUCAAUAAUUGGAUUCCAAACUAGUUGAAGUCCAACUGAUUUGGGUCUCGGGCGAAAUAAAAUAUUUAUCUCAAGGAAAAUUGCUCGUAAUAAAAUACAAACCCAAGCUUUAUAAGAGAAAUAUUCAAAUCUUCUCAAGUCAACCAACUUUUGUCUCUCACAUUGUCUGAAAAUCUCAGUCUCUCUCACAUUGUCUUCCUAUAUGGUUGGCCUCAAAUCAAUUGUAGAUGGUUCAAUUUCUCCUCGUUUGCCCUUCUUUUCUAUUCUUUUCCUACUUCAUUUUUCUUUUUUUUUUUUUCCUUUUUUUCUUUUCUUUGUUGGCAAUAAGUAUAUUUCACCACCACCACCACCAACAAAAUGGCUUGGUCGAUGAGUGCAAGAAGUCAGCCAUCGCUGUCCUCCUUUGAGGCUACCAUUGUAGUGACCAAAAUCUCCACCCUCCUUUGAGACUACCAUUGUAGCAACCAAAAUUCUCAUCCCAAAGAAAGGUAAUGCUAAUUAUGAGGGUUUUUAUAUUACCUUAUUUGGGUUGAUUUUUAGGUUUUGAUUUGUGUGAAAUUGUUGAUAUAUUUACAGUGAAAAAGAACAAAAAUAAAAUCUUCAAAAUGUAAAUUUUCAAAAUGCAAAACCACAAACAAAAGCUUUGAAUAUUGGUAAAGUUGUUCUAAGUUUGAUAUUUCCUUUUAUCAAAAUUUUUGGAUUUGAUAUUAGAUUUAAAGAAAUAUUGAAUUUCAAAGGUUUGGAUUAGUUAUGCAUUUGAUAUUUUUGAUUUAGGAUUUAGGCUUGUAAACUGAGCGUAGCCAUGCUAGUUUUUUCCAACUUCUAACUACAAUUUUGAGUUUCAAACACCUACCAAAUAGUUUCUUCUUUAAGAGAAUGAGCCUUAAGCCAAGCAAUCCUAAUUGAGCCCGUUUUAGACAAUAAAGUCCAAAAUAUUGGAUGAUACAAACUUUAUUCAAACUGAAAAGAUCUUUAAAUAUACUUUAGAUUUUAUGGAAUAUUUCCCCAUCAUUUUAGUUCGAUUUAAUGAUUAGUGAAAUAUGAAAAGUUUUCUAAAUAAAAUUGAUUUGUUUUUUUUUUUCUUUCAAAAUUUUAUUUCCAAGGCAUUAGUUAAUAAAAUAUAAUUUUAUUUCAAAAGUUUAUUUUCAAAUAAUUAACUAAAUAAAAUAUGAAAAAAAUUGGAAUUAAUAUAUAUAAUUCGUAUAACUUUUCUUUUCCUACCUAUUUUUAAUCAAAGUCAAUAGUUAAUAGGAUAUCAAAAGUCUUUUUGAAUAAAAUUUAUUUCUAUUUUUUUAAACGUUUUUUUCAAAUCAUUAAUUAAAAAGUACAAAAAAUUUACAGUAUUUUCAAAUCAUUAAUUUUAUGCCUUUUCCUCUCCCUACCAUUUAUGAAAACAAAAAAAAAAAAUAGUGAUAUUUUCAUGAACAAUUUUUAUUUUAAACCAAAUGACGACAUUGACAUUUUUCCUUUCAAAGGUUUGUUUUCAAUUUAUUAAAUAAUUCUAUAGAAAAUUAAUAAUUGACAAAUGAAAACAUGAGGAAAUUUAUAGAAAAAUGAUUAGCAAUUGUUGUGCACCAAAACAUUUUAGCAAAAGAAACUAAUUCCUCUAAAAUGAGAAAAAAAUGACGACUUUCUGAAUACAAAAAUAUAAACAAUUAUAUCAUAUGUUCUCACUUGAGUUACUUAUAUUUUAGCUACUCACCAUUUAUUGAAUAAAAAAUAUUGACACCUUCAUAGAAUAAAGUAACAGGAAAACCAUUGGCAUGAAGUUACAUAAACUUUGCAUAGUUUAUUUUCAAAAUAUGAUUCAAUAAAACUAUAGAUUCCAAAUAAAACAUAUCACUCUAAUGUUCCUCCAAUAGAAAAAAAAAAAAAAAUCAUUGCAAGAAAGAUGAUCGCAUUUCUCAAGAAGAAACAGCACACCACUUUUGGCCAUGAUUUCAUGAACUUUCUUAGACAUUCCACGUCAUUGGAAGGUGAACUUCCAAUGCACAAACACACCAUAAAUCUCUCACUCAAGCUUUAUGCAAUCACAAUAAGAGAAGAAACAGCACAAUCUAUUCCACGCUGAAUUCAUAAGUUACAUACUGCAAUAAAGUUACAAAACUUUCAUCAGUUCCCUUUUUUUCUUUUUCUUUUUUUUUGAACAAGAAGCUUGCGUUCAUAUUUUGAAAAUCAAUUUCUAACAAUAAUCAAGUGAAAGAAAAAAAGAUGAACUUCAAGAAGCUUGCACCUACCUCUAUUAUUAUUCUUUUUCAUCAUACUUAUUAAAUUGGUUUGUGAAUAAGAGAAAAAAAUGCCUAUACUGAUAAUUGAUAAAUUAAUAACAUCAUACCAUAUAAAAUAAGAGACAAUAAUUUAUAAACUUAGAUGAGUGCGUAUAAAUGAUAUUGACUAACUCUAAACAUUUAAAAAACCUAAAAUUAUAAAUCGUUAGGAAACCAAAUCAAUAGAAAUUCAAUAAUGGCUUAUGUGAUUAAUAACAUCUAUUUUAUCAAAGUAAAUAAUUAAUAAAUUAAUAUUCACUUUUAGGUAAAGUCACUUCAUACUUUUAUCUUUAAAAUUGUUUAAUUUCAAUAAAUAUAUAUGUUAUAUGGUAAAUUCGUAUAUGAAUAUUAUUUUAAUUAUGUAAAUAUAUGUUCAAUAUUAACAAUAUUGUAAUCAACAUCUAUGUUAAAUAGCAAUUAAUAUAGUUAAUUUAUUAAAAUAAAUAAAACAUGUUUUGCAUAUUAAGCAAAAAAAAAAAAGCUAUAUAUUUUAGUGUAACAAACAAAAUAAAAUAGCUAUUUCAGUGUUCAACAAACAAAAGUAACUAAGAGUUUAAACAAUAAUAUUAUUGUUACUAGAUUAGAAAAAGAAAAGAUACUAGCUAGUAAUGAUUAUUUGAUUAACGAAAAUUGAUUUCUAAUUUAUUUUUAUGUGCUUUUGAAUUUCAUUACAAUUGAAAGUACAUUGGUGUGCUUGCUUCCUAAUUAAAAUGUUUAUUAGUAAGGAAAACGUAUUUAUUAAUUAAUAUUAAAUGAUAGAAAUAUUAUUUUAUACAUUUUUUGUAGAGUUUUUAAUAAAUAAUCAUUUAUAUAAAAAAUUAACGUCUAUAUUUGUUAUAAUGUAUGUGUGAGUAGAUACAUAUUUACAUAUAUCUUUGUUUUGAUUUAUAAUAAUUAUUUAAAACUUUAUUGUUUAGAAAGUUUCUAAAACUUUGCAUUUAUAACAAUAUGCUUAAUUAUUAAUAUAUUCAUCUAUAUUUUUCUACUUGUUAUUUUACAAACAUUAUGAUAUUUCUCUAUUAAUGAAAUUUAUUAUAAUUUACUAGCUAAUUAAAUUAAUAAAAAAUUUGUUGUGAACAUUAAAAUAAUACAACUAUUUUAUUUAACAAACACAAAUAAUUUAAGUAAUUGAAUGAUAAAUAAUAUAUUUUCAGAGUCUCUUAAGAAAGUAACUUUGUUAGGAGGGAUGGAUUGAUGAAAUUGAUUUCUUCUAGAGUAAUUUAUUUUAUUAACUUUUCAAAUUUCUUUAUUCUUCUAAAUUCCAUAAUACAUUUUUAUUAUCACCUUCUUAACUAAAGAUGUUCUUGAUAGAAAAAUGAUGUGUAUUAACUAAUAUCAUAUAUAACAAUAUUAUAUUUUAGAAAAAUAAAAAACAAUGAAAUGUUACAUUCUAAUUAUAUAAUAAUUCUAAUAAUUUUUAUUUGAGUUAAAAUUCAUUAAUAAGUUAUUACCCAAAUACCAAUUAAAAAUAAUUAAUUAUAAAAAUAAUAUGGCAAAAAUUAAUUAAUUAUAAAAGACAUAUAAUUCCAUAAUCAUAAAUCACCUAAACUAAAUAUAUGUAUAAAGAUACGAGCCAAUAUUUUCAUCUAAUCCUAAUUACUUAAAAAUGCAAUUAUAUGAGUCAUAAUUUUCAUACAAGAAAAUCCAUUAGUACAAAUUUAUUAUUAUGUAAAAUUAUAUACUUGUUGUUAUUAUUAUCAUUGAAAUAAAAAAGAGUUGGAAUGAAAAGGUAUUCUUAGUCAAUGAUUAUAUUAAUAAAUACCGUAAGAAAAUAAAAAUUAAUUUAACUUGUUGGCUCUCUUCAUGACAAUUUAUGUUAUGGUUAAUUAUAUAGAAAUUAUAAUCUAUAUAUAUGUUACUUCUAAUCAUACAUAACAUGUAUAAUUAAUUAUAUGUAUUGAGAAAUAAUAUGAAUUUAAUAAAAAUAAUAUGAAUUUAAUAAAAACAACAUAAAAGAAAACACAAAUAUACAAAAUGAGCCUAACUUCCUAUAUAUGUAACCACCCAUCCAGGUGAAAAGUUUAUUUAUUAAUCAAGAAAAUCCUUUUUAUAUGUUUACAACUACCAUGCCUCCUUACUUAGAUAUAGAAGUUAUUGAAAUUCAUCGACUAUGCAAAUCUCAUAAUUAUUUAAACUCUUUAAUGAUUUAAUGCAAUUAAAACUCUAGUUUUUACUGUAAAAUUUAAAAUGUUAUUAAGAAAAAAUUACUUUAAUAAAGAGUUCAAAGUUAAUAAAUAAAUAUACAGAUAAAAAUUCAAAAGUGAUGAAAGUACCUUGAUUAUUGAACCAAAAUACAUAUUAUGGUAGUAGUACCCUUAACCUGCAAAAAAAAUAUAAAGCUUAAUGGAAUACCUUCUUAAAAAAAAAUUAGAUAAAUAUAUUCUAUGUACUUUUAUAUAAGCUUAAACUAAAUAUAAUUGCAUUUCUUACCAUAUUUAUUAAUCCUGCGUAAUGUUGUUUAGAUAUUCUCCUUUGAUAUUCUUCAGCAUGGAGACAACAUUCUUCAUAUCUAAUCUAUCUUCAGGUAAUUCAGCUGAACAAUCCAAAGCUAUUCUCAUAAUAGAUGAUAUACAAUUUGCCUUAAUAACAAAAUAUUCAUCCAUUUCUUGCACUAAACUAGAAUCUAUUACACCAAUUAUUUCAUUAGAUAAUGACCUUUUCACCCAAUGCUUUAUACUCAUUUCUCCAACAAAAAUUUCAUCUGUGGGCUUCUUUCUUGUGAAAGUCUCUAUUAAUAGAAUACCAUAACUAUAGACAUCACUUUUUGUCGAAACAAUUCCCACCGAUCCAUAUUCUGUAUUUUAAAUAUAAUUGAAUUAUUAAAAUGAUCUCAUGCCAUUCAGGCAUCAUUAAUCAUCAAUAAAAUGAUAAAGUACUAAUAUCUACUCGUCUUGGAAUAGAGAAAAAAUAAAAAAAAUGAAAAAAUCACCUGGUGCCAUAUAGCCAACAGUAGCUAGUGUCAUUGUUUGUUUGAUGGAAUCUCCUUCCAAUAGCUUGGCAAUUCCAAAAUCUCCCACGUGUGCAACCAUGUCCUCAUCCAAUAAGACAUUACUUGGUUUUAGGUCACAAUGGAUUAUAGGAAUCGGAUGUCCCAAAUGGAGGUAUUCUAAUGCCGAUGCAACAUCUAUCAUUAUGUUGAUUCUUUGUAGGAUAUCCAAUACAUAAUUGUAAGAAUAUAACCAUUUCUCAAGGCUCCCAUUAGGCAUGAACUCAAGCACCAAGGCUUUGAAAUCAAUAGUUGAACAGCAAGUAAUGACCUUGACAAGAUUGCGAUGAAGGAUACUGCUCAUCACUUCACAUUCAACGUCAAAACUCUUAAAUGCUCCAUCUAUUUGCAAAUUGAAAGCUUUUAUUGCGACUUCCGUUCCAUCUGAAAGUAUUCCUUUGUAUACAGAGCCAAAACUUCCUGAACCAAGUAAGUUAUUCCCACUAAAUCCACCAGUCACUUGCAAUAAUUGAUUAUACGAAAUUCUUCUCCAUUUUUUGAGAGGAAUUAAAUCUUUAACCAUUGCCAAAUUCAUAUUCCCCCUCUGCCAUUUUCUGUAGACAAUUAUGGCGGCUACAACUAUUAUUAUUGAAGCAAAUGUUGGCAAAACAUACCUCAAAGCAUGUAGAGUGGUCUUCUUGAAUUUUCGAUGGACUUUUUUUUCGCAAGGUGAGACUUGUAGUCUAGAUGAACCACAUAGUGCAUAAUUUUUCAUAAAUGAUUUGGCUGUGAAGUUCAAAAAGGGCCCUCCACUUGGUAUUUCUCCUUCCAAUCUAUUGAAAGACACAUUAAAAUAAUUGAGAUCAUAAAGUUUUUCCAAAGACUUGGGAAUAACUCCAGAGAGAUUGUUGUUAGAUAAAUCCAAGCUUUUCAAACUCAUCAAGUCACCCAAUGAUUUUGGAAUAGGGCCUUGUAAUCUAUUUCUAGAAAGAUUCAAAACUUGUAGAUCAUGGAGACUUCCAAUUGUGGACGGAAUAUCACUUGAUAACAAAUUCCUUGACAAAUUCAAGGAGAUUAGUACCUUCAAAUUUCCAAUGUCAAGUGGAAGAGAACCGCUAAGAUUGUUUGAUGACAAGUCUACUUCUAAGAUAUCUUUAAGGCUCCAAAAAGUUAAAGGUAUUUGCGAAUGCAAUUUGUUGGAGAACAAGUAUAGAUAUCUCAGAGAAGUCAAAUCACAUAAACAUGUUGGUAAAGGUCCAUCAAGCUCAUUAGCACCCAAUGAUAAUCGGAACAAUCCCUUCAAACCACAAAGAUCAUGUGGGACAGAGCCUUGUAACUUAUUUCCAUAAAGGUUCAAAAGUUGGAGAUUUUUUAGCCUUCCUAUUGUUGUUGGAAUAGGUCCACUCAAUUUAUUAGAGGAGAGAUCUAACAAUAUAGCGUUGCUUAAGCUACCAAUUUCCAUGGGAAUGCUGCCUCUAAUUUUGCAAUCAAUGACACUAAAUUGUUGAAGUGAUGUGGAAAGAUUUGAGAUAGAAGCUGGAAGGAUGCCAUUCAAUGGGUUGAAUGAUAGGUCUAACAUUCUUAGAUACUUGCAAUUUGCCAAGGAAUUGAGAAAGCUCCACUCAUGAGUUGAAGUUUUGGUGGUCAAAUGAUUCGACCAAAGUUGCAAGUUCUCAAGGAACCUCAAAUUGCCAAGUGUCUCUGGAAUAAGGCCAAAGAAAGAGUUAUUUUGUAAUUCUAGGAUUCUGAGCUUAGAAACAUUGGAGAUAGAGCCAGGAAUAUUUCCACUGAGAUUAUUGUCCCAUAAGUAAAGCUCCUCAAGAUUUGAAGCAGAGCUCAUGUAUGGUAAUUUACCUAAAAGGACAAAAAAAAAAAAGUUUGCAUCUUUCCAUACAAGAAAUAAAUUAGUUCUUUUGCUUUGUUGUGUUUUUCAUGAAUCUAUGAUGCAAUCUGAAGUGAAUGCAAUGCUUACAUCUGCGAAUGUGAGGAGAAACAUGAAACAAUUAUAAAAAUGAAACAACUUCAAGUUUUUCUUGUUUGAUGAUCUGGAAUAUAUAUAUAUAUAUACACAUAUAUAUACAUAUAUAUAAUUUGUAAAAUUUUUUCUUAUUUAUAAUGAUUAAAGGGCUCCAUACUUAUGUAUAAUAAAGUAUAGAAGAUGAAAAAGAAACGUAAAAGAAAAAAAGAAGAUAGAAGAAAGGAAGGGAGAAAAGAAAUUAUUAUAAGGUUUCUAGUAUAUGCUUAAAAUGUUUUCCAUUUAUGUGAGAAUUUUAUUUUCUUUAACUUAUCUCAAUUGCUUUAAUGAUAAAAAAGAUUAAAGAAAAUUUGGAUGAUGAAAUUUUUCAUGAAAGAAAAAGAAAUAAGAUAAAAAAGAAGAAAAUAAAAAAAUAAAAGUAUAUUUACAUUAAUUUGUUUGAGAAAAGAAAAAUCUGAAAGUGUAAAUAUUUGGAAAUAAAUUAGAAUUUUUAUCUAUGCCAUUUUAGGAAAAAAGGCUCAAGAGAAAUGAUAAAAUUUCUUUCAUUUUAGACUAUAUGCAUAAUAUAAGAGAAAAAUACAAAGAUUCUGUGAAAAGAUUGUUAAAAGUACAUGUACUCUGUUUAGUUUGAAAAUCACUUUCUUACUUCCCUAAGGUUUGAUAGAACCUUACGAGUGCUCUACCAGAGGAGGUUCAUUUGAGGUUUGUUGGAGUAAUACUGUAUACAUUUUACUACUAUAAUAAAAAUUUAGUAAUAUGAUGACAAAAUGUGAAACUAAUGAAAAAGAUUUUAAAAUGAUGUUUUUUAUUACACAAUUAUUAGAGGGUGAAAAGCUAUUUAGAGGGUAAGUAAAGUUAACUCAAAAAGCUCUACUUGGAUGCGAUGAAGGCCACACAAGAACAUUACCUUGGGAGAAAAAAUUUUGUUACACUGUUUGUUGAUGGAAUUUUUCCAGAUUGUAGUCUCUUUAAUGUCAAGCACCGUUUUGUCAGAUGUGGGAGGGUGAUUGAUUUUUACGUCCCCAAAAAUCAAAAGAGAGCCAAGAACGUCUUAGUUGGUUUUGUCCAUUAUCUUGAUCUACGGGAUGCAUCGAGGGCUAUCAAAUUUCUAACUGGUUUGCACCUGAGGUAUUCCACUCUACAUUUUCAAACGGUAAGGUAUGAUCAAAGGUCUCAAGUUAAUUCUAGUUCUGUCAAAUCCACUCAGUUAAAGGAUAACAUUGUAUCAGAUGGUCAACAAGAAGAGGUUUUAAAAUCGCUUGACAUACUUAAUUACGUUCCUGAAAAUUUAGAUUUGGAGAGAUUACAACGGAAUGCUGUUGGGAUGGUUAGAUAUCCUGAUACUAUAAAAGCCACUAACCAAAUCUUGUCGGAGGACUUUGAUGAUUGUUCUGUCACUAUCAUGGUUGAGAAUAUGAAUCUUUUGACUUUUGAAAGCGGAGAAAGUAUGUUAUUAUCUCUGGAACUUGGUCAGGAGUGGUCUCAAAAUUGGUUCACGUCUAUUACUCCAUGGAAGCCUAGCUACAUAUGCCAUUCAGACCUUAUUUGGUUGAGAUUGUCAGGUAUUCCACUUCACGCUUAGAAUUCCAAGUGUUUCUCUUCCAUUGGAAGUUUAUGGGGUGAGCUUAUUAAGCUGGAUGAUUUUACACAAAUGAAAAAAAUGUUUAGAUGUAGAUAGAGUCCUGAUUUUAACAAAUGAUUAUAGAGCCAUUCAUGAUGAGAUUAAGGUCACUGUGGGUGAUAAUGUUUACUCCAUUAAAGUGGUUGAACACGGACACUCUCUUGACAGUUCGACUAGUUCUCACAGAUCAGACCAGGACAACUCAGUGUUCAUAGAUGGUGGUGAAGAUGCUUUCUCUCCUCUCGGUAAGGACUCCCUGAGUAACUCAAAAUUUGAAAAUGAUGCUGAUUUUGUGGCUUUGGAUGAAGAUAACACUGUUAUUGCAACUGUUAAUACACCUAGAGAUUCUAAAGAAGCACAUGAUGCCGAUCUUGGAAAUGAGAUAAACUUGGAACAAGAGGAGUUAAAUGUUGUUUCUGAACAUAUAUCCAAUAUUUGUUCUUGAAAACAGAUUAAUUAUGGAGCAUGCGGAGUUAAAUACAGGUGUUGCAAUUAAUUCUUCUUUAGAACCUCUUUUGAAUCCCGAUAAAACAGAACAAUGAAAGUCUAAAUUGAAUCAUGUGGUUGAAUCUAGAGGAUCAAGAUAUUAAUACUUCUACAUCUCUUGGGAUAUCAAAUGGCCCAUCAGAUGCGCUUAGGGAUUCAAUUGGUGGAAGUAUCUUAACUGAUCUUCAGUCAAAUCCAGUUUCUAUUAAGCUUAUGACCAAGAGUAAUAUAGACGCUGAGAAACUUUUCGACGUUGAAGAUAAAUUUCACCUUGUUACUAUUCAAGCAGGUAAAAGAAGGAAAAAAAGACUAUUCAAGCAGGUAAAAGAAGGAAAAAAAGUAAGGCAAAAUAUUGGAAAGAUCCAAAAGCAAGUCUCGCCAGAUAAAGACACCUCUAGUUUCCAUUGUUCAAGACCACUUUCGGAUGAAGAUAUUGGUUUUGCAAAUAGAGCUUUUCUAGAAGAGGCUGGGAAGAUUUGGAUGAUGUGAUGAUAUCUUCAUUUUAGAUGGAAGUCUUUCAUUAGAAUUGUGCUAGAUGGUUUUUUUGUUGUUUCUGGUAUGGCUUUAACUAUGUUUCUUGGUAAGAUUCUUGUAUUUCACUUAUGAUGGUCUUUUGAUCUCUAAUAAAAAUACGGCUUAGCAAAAACAAUUACAUAACUAUUGCUUUUUAUUUCGCAAAAGAACAGUUAAAUUCUCUAAUUUGACAACAAAAAAGGGUAAAAGUAGCACUUAUUUUUAUUGCAUAUAAUAAAAAAAAAAGCAUAUAAUUUAUAAUUAUUAUAGUAUAAUUAAUUAAUUAUAAUUUAAAAUUGUGUGAGAUUUAUCAAAAUUUUAUAUGUAACCCAUAUUUAUAAAUGAUGAUCCCUAUAUAAUAUUUUAUUAUGAUUAGCAAAUAAUUAUAAUAUUAUAGUAAAAAAAUUAUAACUGAAAUGCUCCAAAUAAAAAGUUAGAUAACUUUCGACAAUCUAUACAUUAUAUUAGAACAAUCCUGUGAUAAAAGCAAGAUAGUUGGGGACGAAUUGAAAAUUGACACGUGGUUGGAUAAGUGAAGAAUGGUUAUCUUUUAAUUUUGAAUGUUGAUCUUUUUUAAGAACAGAGUACAACUAAGAAAAUCAUUAAUACUAUAUUUUAAAACAAUGGUUUUUGUUAAAUAUAAUUAAUCAUAAGUUUGGUCCACAAUUAUCAUAUAAACUUUACUCAUUUGUCUUAAGAGAAUGGGUUGAGUAAAAAAUAAUAUAGGCUAAGUAAACGUAUGAGCCUUAAUUUUUGUAUUAAAAGAGUGGACUUAAUAUAUAAUGUUACAAUAAUUUUAAUCUAAUUUUAAUUUCCAUAUUUAAAUUUAUUAUUUAUAUGUAAUAUAAUAAUGCUCAAAUUAAAAUUACCUUAUCCAUUCAAUAAAAAUUUUAUAUUUUAGAAGAUUUAAAUUUAAUAUUUUAUUAUAAUAUCACAUCUUGUUAAUAAAUAAUAAAAUUAUAUUAAUUUUAAUACAAUAUUACAUGUUGUUAAUAAAUAAUAAAUUUAGAAAAACUAUAAAAUGAAUUGAUCUAAUGUCUUUAGGUAAUAAUAGAAAUUACAAAAUGGAUCAGUUACAAUUUAGUGAAACUUUAAAUCGGUGUUAAAAGAAAAAUAUUUGAGGGAAUAAACGCUAAAAGGUUUUUAAUUUGGUUUUAUUGACAUGGAAAGACUCUUUCUUUCCUACUUCAAAUUAAAUAAUCAUUACAAUAUAGGUUUUAAUUAUAAUUUUUUAUGCAAGUUUCUAUUUUAGAAUACACGUUUUUACGUGUACUUUAUUAUAUCAUAUUUUCAUUUCUAGAAUCUCUAUCUCUUUCUACUUCUUAUUUUUCUUUAUUUCAUUUUUUUUCUUCUUGUUAUUCAGGUUUUUUAUGUUUUUAGUUUUUCAAGUUUCAAAUUUUUUAGCUUACUUUUUAUCAUCUAUAUAUAAAAUUAAACAAAUAUACACAUACUACAUCAUCUUUUACUGUUUUCAAUUUACAAAAUAUUAAAAUACAACAUUCAUUUUAAUUCCAUGCAGUGGGAAAAAAAUGGAUAAUUAACAAAUAGCUCCAUUGAUAAAUUCUUUGCUCCCAUUAAAUUUUAUUGUACGUGACUAGCAUAUUUCAUUAUUUUAACAACUUAUUAAGAGCUAAUCAAAUAUAUUCAUAUGAAUCUUGUAUGAUUACAGUAUAUACCUAUAGAAUCUGAAUAUUAAUGUUUUUUAUAACUUUGUUACGAUGAAAAUCAAAUAUAUUCAUUUGAAUCUUAUUUAGUUAUCCCUUAUAAUGAAAAUUUGAAUUUCACAAUCCUUUUUAUAUACACUUAACAGUUUUAAUCAAUUUAAUGAUAUCUAUAUGAUUUAAUUUUUAUAAAAAAUUUCACAUAUAGCGAAUAAAACUACCCCAUGCGGAUGCACACUAUUAAUAAAUAUAAAAGUAAUAAAAUACAUUGUUAAAUUUUUUAUUGCACAAAAUAUAAAUUUUAAAUAUUUUCAGAUAAAUAAAUAUAAAAAUAUAAAAUGUAAUAAUACUACUUUAAGUUGGAUGUAACAAUAAAUUAAGUCGGUAUUAAAUUAAUAUGGGAGUAACAAAGUACGUUAAUAUUACUUUUUAUUACAUUAUAAAACAAAUCAAAUAAUUUUAUCAUAUAUAAUUGCAAUGGGAUAAUAAAUAAUAGCCAUAUUACAUCACAAAUUUUGGGUACCUAUCCUUUUCCACAUUGGCCAACUUUGUAGACUUAGCUAGUGGUGCGCAUCCUAGUUAGGGGCAUGAUUCCAUCAUAAAAUUUUUUUAAAAAAAUUAAAAAUAUUUUCCAAAAGAUGGAAAUUUCCAUUUUUAGGUUUGGUUUUCAAAUUCUUUUGAGUCUUUGUUUUGCUCUUCCCCAAUUUAAUUGGAAACAGUAUUUGAUUUUAAUAAGAUAAAAAAAAGUUUGAAAAAAACAUUCUCAAGCCUUUCAAUGACACUUCAUUUUUUUAACAGUUUUCAUAAUUUAAUGAUUAUUUGUUUUAUAAUCCUAAACUAAACUUUUUUUGAAACUAAAGUAAAUAAUUUUAAAUAUAAAAGUAAUGAAAUGUUUAUGAUGAAAUUACCUGAUAGACUAUUGUUUUCGAGACUAAUUUCUUUCAAAGAAGAAAUGUUGAAGAUGGAAUGUGGAAUCAACCCACUUAACCGCAUAAGAUGAUGCACCUAAUUUCUCCAAUGAAAUAAGAUUCCCAAUCUCCCAUGGAAUUUCACCUACAAAGGAACAACAACUUAGUAUUAUAAAACUAUCCACUUUCUAAACAUUCCAAUAAUAUUGAGGUUAUUUAAAAUGCAAUAAAGGUCAAUUACACAAUAAAUUCUUAAUUUCUUUGAUGUUUAAAAUAUGAAGGAAUAAUUAAUUUUUUUCAAUACCAAAAGUUUUAAUCAAAAUGAGAAAAGCAAAAAAGAAAAUCAAAAUGUGACUAUUUUUGUGUUGGCCAUUCUAUUAAUUUUUAUUUUUUAGUUAUUUCUUUUUAUUCUUUUUUUUUAAUAUGAAUAGUAAAAAAUAUCAAUUAAUUGAAAUCUAAAUAAUCAAAUGUAAAAGCUUACCUUCUAUAUCAUUAUAACUUAGAUAUAUCUCCUCAAGUUUGGUUAAAUUUCCUAUACUUCUUGGAAUGAAUCUAUUGAAUCGAUUAAAAGAUACUGAUAAAUUUCAGAAAUUGCUACAGUCACCAAUAUUUGAUGAAAUACAAUCAGAAAAUUCAUUGUAGGAUAUAUGAAGCAAGUUUGAAAAGAGAGUAACACAUAUUAUCAGGAAUACUGCCUGAGAGAUUAUUGCUAUUGAGAUAAAUUGCUUUGAAAGAAGUAAGGUUAAAGAUGGAAGCUGGUAUUGGACCAACUAGCCUCAUAUUUCCGACAUAAAAUAUCUCCAAGCUUAGAAGAUUUCCAACUUCCCAAGGGAUUUCACCAGUGAACAUAAAUAAAAAACAAUUUGCAAGAGCUCGAUCAAGCGGCAGAAAUUAUUUUUUCUUGGCAUUACGAUUCAUAAUGAAACCAUUUCCUCCAAAUUUUAUGAUAUUAUUGAUUAAAUUAAUUAAUUAAAUUCUCAUUCUAAACAUUAUUUCAAAAGAAGUUAAAUACCAAAAUUUUGAGAAAUAAAACCGGAAAACAGAAAAGAAAUCAAAGUUCAUUUGCUUGAUAUUUUUAAUAUUAUUGGACUUUUAGUUUCUAUUAUUUUUUGGGUAAAAUAUACCAAUCAUGUAUAAUUUUUGUGCAAUAUUUCAUUUCCUUUAUAAUUUUAAAACGUCCUUUUUAGAUCCAUAACCUCACAAAAGUAUUUCAAAUUCAACCCAAAAAUCAGAUAGGUUUACCCUUUUUGCCAUGCGAACAUUCAAAUGGAUAUCUUGUGGCACCAUGAUGGUAAAUUUCGUCCUAUUUAAAACAAUUUUAAGAGAUUGUAGAUUCAAAAUUUGAGUUUUAAUGAAAAUGAAAUAUUAUAUAUACAAAAAUCAUGAAUAUAUGAUGUAAUUUACUCUAUUUUAGUUUUUUUUUUUUACUUUUUUCUAUUACUUUUCGCAAAAACAAAAACAAAUAGGAAUAAAAAAAAUAUAUUAUGAUCAAACAGAGCCUAAAUAAUAAAAUGUCCAAGAGAUACCUUUUGGUUUAUAAAAUUACUUAUACCAUUUGGAUUAUUUCCGUUGAAUCAAAUUGGAACCCAAGUUCCUACAACUAUCACUAGAAAAUCCCACCGCAACUAGACAAUCAAGCCUGAUCUUGGUCAUUAAUGCAAAAAGUUUAGUUCAGUACAAAAGUAAUAAUUAAUUAAAAGAUAUUUUAAUUUAUGUUAAUAGUUUAAUAUAUGAUUCUACUUUUAUAUAGAAUAAUAAUAAAUUACAUUUUGAAUGCUUAUUUUAUUUAUUUCUCAUUUUUUAAUUAAAUUAGGUGGAUGCCCUCGCUUUCUCUCGAGUUAACAUUUUUUGUUUUAUCAUUUCUAUUGACCAAAUUUUUUUAAAAAAUGUUACCUAAUUUUAAACAAAACAAAAAAUGAUAAAAGGUAAAAAAAUCCAAAUGAGAGUAAUAUAUAUAUAUAUAUAUAUAUAUAAAAAUUAAUCUCUUAUUCUCAUAAAAUAUAUUUUAUAAAAAAUAAAUUUUUAUUUUUUUAGUGCAAAACUCACUUAAUAUCAAGCUUUCAAUAAAAAACUAGUGAAUACAUAUAUAUAUAUAUAUAAUUAAAUAGAUAAUAAAAUAUAAUUUUAUAAAUAUUAUAGGAUGACUUGGGGUAAAAUAUCUUAAAUUCAAUUUUGACCUGUUUCCUAUUUUUAUAAAAAAAUUUGAUUCAAAUUUAUUUAAUAUUGAUUUUUUUAUAAAAAUGCACAUAUUGAAUCGAGAUGGAUAAAAAAAAAAUAGAGAUUGAUUAUUUUGCAUUUCUUAUCAAUUAAAGAAAAAAAGGAAAAAAAACAAACAUGUGGUGUACUCCCGAUAUCAGGUGGUUCCCACAUAAAAAAUAUUAAUUAAAAUUUUUUGAAAAAAUAAAAUGGUAAAAAAUGCCAAAGAGGAAAAAAAAUCUUGGUAUAAAGUGGGUGUCACCUUUAAAAAAUUUAAAUCUUUUAAAAAUAGUUAUUAAAUAUUAAAAAAAUAAAAAAAAGGAAAAACAAAAAUGUAAAAAAAAAGGAGAAAUUUAAAUCUUUAAAAAAUAAUUAUUAAGUAUUUUAAAAAAAUAAGGAGUACCACCCGAACCUCUGGGAUGGUCAAGUUUUGGUAAAAAUAACCAAUAUUAAAUAUAAACAGAUAGAUAUGUUUUAGUUUUUACUAUUUUCUUUUGUGUGCAUUGUUAAGAGUCUUGGUCAAAGUCAAGCUAUAUUCAGUAGCAUAACUUAGGGAGUUUUAGUUUGAACGAUAUUUCACUAUAUAAUUAGUUCAACAAAAUUAGAGACAAUUUAAAUAUUUUGCAUUACAAUUUAAGAACGAACUAUUUUGAUAAAAGAAAAUUAUCAAACGAAAAAAUAAAAAGGUGUUACCUUCCAAAUUAUUUCGACUCAAGUAUAGCAUUUUGAGCCUUGUUAAAUUUCCAAUACUCCCUGGAAUGCUGCCACUGAAUCUAUUGAAGCUUAAUGAUAAAUUUUGAAGACUCCUGCAUUCAUCUAUGCUUGAUGGAAUUUGACCAAAAAACUCAUUUGAGGCCACGUAAAGUACCUCAAGAUUGGGAAGAUGACGACAUAUAUCUUCAGGUAAACUACCAGAUAGAUUGUUGGAUGCAAGAGAAAUCAUAUUUAGGGAGGACAUGUUAUAAAUGACCGAAGGUAUGGAGCCAGAAAGUUGAUUAGCUGCCAGACGAAGUAUCCUUAGAUUCCUAAGAUCACUUAUCUCGGGUGAAAUGUGCCCUUGAACAAGAUUGUACCUCAAGUCCAAGAUUUCCAAGUUGGACAUUUUAGCUAGUGAUUGAGGGAUUGUACCUGUCAAAUUGUUGCUCAGGAGACUCAAGUAUAAAACUUUUUUUAAUUUCCCAAACCAUGAGGGGAUUUCUCCACUAAGAAAGUUGAAGCUUAAUUUGAUCAGUUUCAGACGACUCAAUUGCUCCAACUCCCUCGGUAAGUGGCCAUGGAAAUUGUUGUGACUCAAAUCAAGAGAUACCAAGAAUGAGAGAUUUCCCAAUUGUGGAGGGACACUUCCUGCAAGAUCCAUGUUGGGAAGAUUCAAAGCGCUGACUCUCCUAUGCUUAGAAGCGCAAGAGACACCAACCCAAUUGCAAACAGAGGUAGUGGUGGUCCAAUUAUUGGCUAAGAUGUUGUGAGGAUCAAUGAUUCGGUGCUGAAAUUCGAAAAGAGCAUGUUGGUCUGUAGUGAGGUUCCUCACAAUCAUGGCGUAGCUAACCAUGAAACAAUGAAUGAACAUUAAAGCUAGCGAAAGAAAACGGAAUAUUCUCAUGUUCAUGGCUGUGGAGGGAAAGCAAAUCGAUGAGAUUGCAGGAUAGUUACGGAACUCUGAUCAAAGCAAUUCUUAAAUAGGAAUCAACUCGCCAAUAUGAGUUAGACUUCAUGAGGACAGUCCUGGGAUGGUCUUGGUCUUCACAAUUAAUAAAUGAUUCAAGCUUUUGAUUUUGGGCCCUCUAAUUUUCUUUUGACCUCCUUCUACAAGCAUCGGUGAAACUAAUUUAUCUUUUUGCAUUCUUUUUUUUUUCUCCCUCUCUCUUUACUUUUAAUUUUUUGUCUUGUACACUUUUUGAGGCCCCAUGACUCCACGUUUUACACGAGAGAUUUGCAAAAUAGUCAUGGCUCUAUCUUUUUUUGUAAAAAAAGAAAAAAGGAAUUUAUAAUAUUCUUAAAACUUCUAAGUUAGUUAUUGUCAGAAAUCAAAGUAAUUUCAGUUUAAUUAGUAAAAUUACUUAAAAAUCAAAAUGAAAUAAUAAUAAAAUAUAUAAGUAAAGAUAUUUAUGUUUUUAUUUAAAAGCUUAAGGUGAAAGAAAGCUUUCUUAUUUCAAGAUUAUAACAAACUACAGGCCUCAAGGAAGAUUUAUAUUAGAUUUGCAUAUUGUCCACCAAGAGAACCGUUGGCAUAAAUAUCAAUCAAAAAAGUCAAAAGGAUUUUUAAUUUAAUUCAAGGUGGGUUUAUAAAUAUUUAAUAAAAUUCUUUCGCAUUUUCAUUUUACCCUUCAAACAAUUCAUAAAAUUAUAAGAAAAAACUAUAUAUUUUUCACAUUUAGCUUUUUAAUUCAAUUCAAAAUUUCUCUUGAUUUCAUUUAUUUCAAAUUUAUCCAUUAAUUUCAUCUAUAACUUUAAAAAUCAAUGAAAUUUGCUACCUUGAUAUCAUUUAACUGUUGGCAAAAAUAUCAAUCAAAAAAGUCAAAAGGAUUUUUUUUCCCAUAUGAACAUUGUUUAGGCUCACUUUUUUUUACUACAAUAUUUUUUAAUAACUAAACAAAUUCAAAUAAGGAUAUAGGGAUUUUGAAACAUAUGGAGUGUUAGUUUCAAUUCAACCCUAAUACAAGUUUAUGAUAGUACCACAAAUCAAAGCCGUGAUUGGCGUAAUCCAAAACUGUUAAAGCAAUUCUUUCUCCAUGAGAGAGACAGAAGAAGAAUAAAUUAUAAAUCUAGUGGGUCGAAAAGUGCAUAACGAUGAAACUUUUUAAUUCAUCAAAGCAGCUAACAUAAAAGCAGAUGAAGGAAUCUAGUAAAAAAUGCUAACGAACGUGUUCUAAGUGCUAGGCUUUGGAUCAACUCCAGUCAUCAUGCUUUCCACAAACAUGAAAGCAGACUAUAAAAUUUCAAGUCAGGAAAGCUAAUAAUCGUUUUCUAAACGCAAGGAUCAAUAAAGUGAUCUUGAUUUCACACACGUCAAAGCAGACUACGAAAUUUUAGAUGAAGAAUUAAAGCUACCAAAUGCCCAUCAAUCGGUCUUCUCGCUUUUCUCCAGCGUCAAAGCAAAUUAUUCUGUUAUCAUACAUUAGAUAGGUAAUUAAAUAGUUGAGGUUGUGUUUAAAAGCUUCUAAUUUUUAAUAAUUUUUUUAUUAAGGUAAGGCAAAUUAAAAUCUUUAUUAUAAAAAAGAUAGUACUUUUAAUUUUUUUUCUUUGAAAGAUAGUACUUAUUAUCUUUAUUAUGGAUCAAGGUACUGUUUUUCAUUAAUUAAUAAGUUAUUUGUUCUAAGAUCUUAAACAAUCAAAUUAUACAAAAUUAAGAUUCAAUUUGCAUAAUAAAAAAAAAUCUCACAAGUCUUUCUUAGAAAAUUUCAAGAGUACUACUCAUAAAAAUUAACAAAUUAUUAGGAUGUAGAGGGUAUAUUUAAAUUGUGAACAUGUGUCACCAAUAUAUCUAUUUGUAGCUAAUUUUUUAAUUUAAGAUAGAUCAUCAGUUUGUAGAAAUUUUUACAAAGGUAAUAAUAAUAAUGUUGUUGGAAUAUAAUAAAAUUUCAAAUUUAUUUUUAAGCAACAUUGCGAAUAUAUAUUACUAAUAUUAAAAUGGUUGACUGAAUUGAUGUUUUGAGUUAAACAGACACCCACUCAGUUGGUAAAUUUAUUUAAAAUACAAACUUAAAUUACAAUAAUAAUAUAAAUUUAGGAAUAUUUAUCUAUUUAUAUUUUAAAAUUAAAAUAAACUUUUUUAUAAUCAUUUCAAAAAAACAACUCACGAAAAAAGUAACUUCCUUUUAAAAAAUAUAUUUUUAUUUUUAAUUAAUAAUUUUUCACACAUGGGGGGUGUGUCAAAAUCUAGUACAUUUAUAAAAUUUUUGGUUGAAUUUGACACUGCGAGACAAUUGACACCAACUUAGUGGUUUGGGCUAAUUACAAAACACAAAAAAAUUGAAAUGCUUAUUUUGAUUCUUUUUUCUUAAUAACAAUUUCAGUGAGUUAUUUCUAAUUUUUUGUAAGUAAAUGUUUUAAUGAGUUAUUUUUAUUUUUUUCUCAUUCACAUUUUUAAAAAUCAUAUAUAUAUGUAUAUAUAUUAAUCUUCGGUUAAAUAUAAACAUUACCAUUGAACUAUGUACUUUUUCUUAGUCUGGUACUUAAAAAAAUAAAAUUAUUAGAUUUGCACUUGAAUUUUAUUCCGUUAUUGCGUUGGUACAUGAAGCUAAUGCCAUUAAUGAACUUCGCCUAUAUCAUAUUAUCAUCCAAUAAGAGACUGACAUGCAUAAAAAAAAAGUCCAGUAAGUACCAAUCAUCAAUGCUAUGUUAGCAUAAAAAUAUUCAAAAAUAUUUUUAAAAUUUAUUUUAAAUUCUAAAGACUUUUAAAAAUCUUUAAAAAAAAUUUUUAAAAUUUUUAAAUUUCAAAAUAAUUUUUAAAAAUUCUGAAAAUUUCUAAAAAAUUAGAAAAAUUUUGAAAAAUUUUAAAAUCUUUAAAAAUUGAAAUUUUUUUUUAAAAUUCGAAACAAUUCUAAAAAAUUCUGAAAUUUUUUGAAAUUUCUAAAAAAUUGUUUAAAUAUUCUAAAAUUUAUAAAAAAUUAAAAAUACAAAAUAUUUUUAAAAAUUAUAAAAAUUAUGAUAAUUUUAAUAUUUAAAAAAAUUCUUGAAAAUUUAAUACAAAAUCCAAAAAAUACAAUGACAAUUUUAUUAAAUAUUAAAUUUUCUUAAAAUGGAAAAUAAUCACAAAAACUUCAAAAACUUAAAAUUAAAAAAGUCUGAAAUUUAAAAAAUAAUUCUAAAAUUUUUGGAAAGCUAAAUAAUUUUUUGAAACAUUGUAAAAAGUUAAAAAAUUCUGAAAAGUAAAAAAUUUAAAAUUUUAAUAAAAAUGCUAAAACAUUACAAAUUUUUUUGAAAAAUUCAACAAAUAUCUAAAAAAUUAAAAUUGUAAGAUAUAAAAAAUAUGAAAAAUUUUCAAAAUUCUAAAAAAAUUUUUACAAUUUUUAAAAAUUUUUAUUUUAAAAAAAAUUAGAUUUUUUUUACUUUAACUAUUUUUUAUUUUUAUAUUAUUUUGAAUUUUAAGAAAAUUUUAUUUUUUUAUGAAAAACUUCUGUUUUUUUAAUGUUUUGAAAUUUUUUUGAAAAUUUUUGGAUUGUUUUAGAAUUUUUAUAUUUUUUAAAAAAUUUUAAUUUUCCUUAAUUUUUUGAAAUUUUAAAAAAAUUUUAAAAUUUUUAUAAUUUUUAAAAAAUUUUAGAAUGUUUUAGAAAAUUUCUUUUAAUGAUGAUAUAGAACUGAGUGCAGUUUUUGACAUAUGUUACCAUCUUAUUAUAUGUUAAUGACACGUUAUUAAAAUUGACUAAUAGCAUUAGUCCGAAGUACUAACGUAAUAAUUAAAUGAAAGUUCAGAUGCUAAUUUAAUAGUUUUAUUUCUUUAGAUACCAAAUUAGCAAAAAAAAUGUAUACUUCAAGGACUAUUUUUAUAUUUAACUCUUAAUUUUUUUAGCUUUAAAGUUAUUUAUUAUUCCUCACACAUUUUGCAAAAACAUUUCCCAUAAGAUAUUUAACAUUUGGUAAAGAAAUGUAACUUUUUACCAAUGUACAAAUAUAAUUUUUAUCGUUGGACAAACUUAAAUUAUCAUUUUGUUGUAUUUUAUAUAUCAUUUCACUUUGAUGAAUAAAUAUAAUUAUUUGAAAUUUCUGACUCUACUGCUUAUCAAAGCCGUGAUUGUUGUAAUCCAAAAUGAUCCCACCGUGCGAGCAAUUCUUACGAUGAAACUUUUUAAUUGACAAAUGAUUGGUGAAUUAAAUGCAAAAUGAUUGGUGUUUCAAAUGCAAGCGAGAUAUCACGCUUAAUUUCCGCAAACAUCAAGCCAAACUAAGAAAUUUUAGAAACCGUUUUCUAAACGCAAGGAUGAAUCAAGUGGUCUUAGUUUCACAUAGGUCAAAGCAUGGUAAUAAAUUUUAAGUAAAGAAAACUACCAAAUGCAAGAAUCAAUCAAAGUCUUCUUAUUCUUAUCAUACCUUAGAUAGGUAAUUAAAUAGUUGAGGUUAAUUGGGUGUAAAAGUUUCUAAUUUCUAAUUUGUUUUUUCUUAAGGUAAGAAAAAUUAAAAUCUUAAAAAAACAAAGUUACACUAGCAUAUGUCUUAGCAUAAUUAAAUGCACUUUUAAUGUAAGAAAUUUUUUUUUUUGGUUAUUUGACAGUUCUCUAAAUAAUACAGUUUUUUUUUUAAAAUAGUAAUAUUAAUAUGAUAAGGGAUUUAUUUAUACUAAUGUAACUUUUUCACUUUUUUACUCUUGGAUUAAAAUUAAAUCCAUGAUUCAUUUGAAUUAAAAUAAUAUUUUUAAAUUUAGUAAUUUUAAUCUAAAAUUUCAAAAAAGUAUAAGAGUUACACUAGUACAAAUGGAUCACUCUUCAUAUUGACAUAGCUAUUAAAAUAUUAAAAUAUUUAUUAUUGAAAUAUUAAAAUAUUAAUUUUAGUUAUUUUAUAAUAAUAUUUAAUAUUAAAUACUUGAAAAAUAGUAUUUAUUGUUAAAAUGUUAUUUAUGUUAAUAAUUUAUAACAUUUAAAAUAUCAUUAUUAUUAUCAUUAUUAAAGUAUUAUUUCAUUAAAAUUAAAAAAUUAAAAAAGCAUAUUUAUUAUUAAAAUAUUAAAAAUAAUAUUUAUUAUUAAAUCAUAAAAAGUAUUAUUUAUUUUUAUUAUUAAAAUUGUAAUAUAAAAAUCGAUGAAACCUUAGCUUACCACUACUCUUAAAGUCUUAGGUUUAAGUUCCACUAUGUGUAGGUUUGGUGAUUGUCUAGUUAGAUUCUAAUUUGUUUUAGUUUGUUGAUUGAUUAUGAUUGUAAAUUAUUUUAUGUUUGUAAUUUUAAAAAACAAUUAUGAUAUAAAAACAUUUGUCAUUAAGAUAUUAACUGUACAAUAUAUUUUAAAUUUAAAAAUACAAAGUUUAACUAAGUUAGAACAUGCAUGGACAGAGAAAUUUGAAGCAGCAACUGGUUUUUUAGCAGUGAGAGGAUGAAUUUAAUUUUCCUUGCAGAGAAAAAAAGGUUUAGUCGUGGAAAGAAAGAUAUAUAGAAAAAAGGGGUCAGAGAACCGAGAGAAAAAAAAUAGGAACAUACUUAUAUUUUUAUAAAUAUAAAAAUCCUAACCUAAUAAACAUAAAAUUUCUAUAAUAACUCUAUUUCAAUAACCCUUUUUUUAUAGAAAGCUCCAAUCAAGCGAAACUAACAUCCUAGAUAUGUCAACUUACUAAUUUCUUUUGUUACAAUUGCUUGAAUACAUAAGCAUCAAUCAUCCAUGAGUUUUAUAUAAUAUUUUACUUUUAUUUGUGACUUCUAAAACUUAUUUUUAGAUCCGUCAAUUUAAAACUCAAUGGGAGUAAAAUAUUUCAAAUCCAUCCUUUAAUUUCAUUAACAACCAUAAAAAUCAUUGAAAUUUGCUACCUUAGUAACACGUAGCUUCCACAUAACAUAAAUCUCAAUUCAAAAAGUCAAAGAGAUUCAAAAUUUUUUUUACCAUAUGGACAUUGUUCAGGCUCAUUAUUUCAUAUAUUUAUUGUCAAUUACUUAAGGGAAAGAUUAUAUACGUAUAACAUCUACACAAGUUUCAUAUACAUAUGACAAUAUAAGGAUUGAAUUGAAAAUAUAAAACUCGAAGCAUGCAUAUAUGUAUAAUUUAUGUGUAUGAAAUAUGUGUAUGUAGUAUUCCUAGGGAUGUCAAUCUUACCCAUACUCAAUGAGAAACUUGAUUUUUUUAUUUGAAUGGGAAUAAGGAUAGGUAUUACAUUGUAAGUAUGGAGAUUAGUAUGAUUUUAAAUUUUUAUUUAAUACGAGAUAGGGGGAUAGGUACUAUAGCACCUCCUCAUACUUGUACCUUACAUAUAUAUUUAAUAUAUAGAUAUUUAAUUAAAUAAUAUAAAUGAUUAUUUUUUAUUAAUUAAAAUUAAUAUAUUUUUAUUGAAAAAACUAUUAAUAUAUAUUUAUAAAAAAUUACUUAAAUAUACAAGAUAAAAAUAAAAAAAAAUUUGUUUUCUGUUUUUUUUAAGCUAUGAGUAUUGGGAUUAUCCAUACUCAUUAAACACCUGUGUAGAUGGGGAUAUGGAUAAAUAUAAAAUAUUUGUUGAGUAUAAAUAUAGGAAAAAGUAUAAUAUAAAAAUCUAAAAAUGAAAAUAAGGAAUUUUCUACCCUGCUCAUACUUUACUCAUUAAUAUUUUUAGUAUUUCUCAUUGGUUAAUUUAUUGUCUUCGGUAAUUAUUUUAAAUUCAUAUCUAUACUCAUUUUCGUUCUUGAAAUUUGGUACUCAUAUUCAUCUCUUUUGAGCAAAAAAUUAAACUUUUUGUUAAAUAUGAAUAAAAGUGAUAUUUUUAAUUUCAAGUGCAAGCAAGAAUCAAUCAAGUCUAUCUUAUUUUCCACAAACAUAAAAGCAAAGAAAGAAAUAUUAAAAUAAGAAAAACUAGCAACCGUGUUUCAAGUGCAAGGAUCAAUCAUGUCAUCUUGCUUUCCACAUAUCAAAGCAUAUUUUAAGUCAAGAAAGACGUGUUCUAAGUGCAUGGAUAAUCCAGUCAUCCUGCUUUGAUGUUUACCUGCUUUUCACAAACAUCAAAGUAGACUAAGAAAUUUUAAGUCGUGAAAGCUAACGACUGCUUUCUAAACGUUAAGAUCAAUCAAGUCACCUCUUUUUCCACAAACAUAAAAGUAGAGAAAGAAAUAUUAAAAUAAUAAAUACCAGCAACCGUGUUUCAAGUGCAAGAAUCAAUUAUGUCAUCUUGCUUUCAACAAACUUAUCAAAGCAUAUUUUAAGUCAAGAUAGCUAUCGAACGUGUUCUAAGUGGAUGGAUAAUCCGUUCAUCCUGCUUUUCACAAACGUCAAAACAGACUGAGAAAUUUCAAGUCAAGAAAGCUAUCGUGAUCUCAGUGCAAGGAUAAUCAAAUCAUCCUGCCUUUUACAAACAUCGAAGCUGACUAAGAAAUUUUAAGUCAAGAAAACUGACCACCGUUUUCUAAACGCAACGAUCAAUCAAGUGAUCUUGGUUUUACACACAUCAAAGCAGACCAUUCUAUUGUCGUACCCUAGAUAGAUAAUUAAAUUUUUGAGGUUGGGUGUAAAAGCUUUUCAUUUCUAAUGAGUAUUUUUUUUUUAAGAAAAAACAAAUUAAAAUCUUUAUUAUCAAUAUGGCAGAUGAGUUCAUUUUUAUUUUUUUAAUGUAUUUAAUUUAAUGAUUUAAUUUUAUUAUUUUAAAAAAUUAAUAUUAGUGUUAAUUUUUGGAAACUUUUAACCAAAAAAGUUAUGAAAAUUAGAAGAAGAGAAAAAGAUAUCUAUUGCCAAGUUGACAAUUUGCCGUGUAAACACUGCCAUAAUGCUUGUAGAGAAAAAAGGUUUAAUUACAUUACAUGAUGCUCCCAGAACUUAAAAUACCUGUUUUGAAGAAAUAAAAUGGAACUACACCUAUUAAAGAAUAAAACUUUUAUGCACUGCACGUAGGAAAAGAAAAAGAAAAAUAGUCAACUUCUAAUUAGUAAUUUUUUAGUGAUUUUAAGUAAAAGGAAAAGUGCCUACACCAAAAGAAAAAGGGUUAUUAACAAUUGAAACCAAAUGAACCCAAACUAAAGUUCACACGGAUGAAUUAAAAUGUUUAGACAGAUUUUUAUUUAAUUUUUUGUGUAUUAAUUUAAUAUAAUUUUUGCAGGCAUAAUUAGAGUCACUAAUAUGAAAGUAUAAUGGGUUUUGAUAAUAAAUAAAAUUCAUAAAUAGCAAAAAUUAUUUUUAUAUACAUAAAAAUAAAUAUGAUAUCAUAUUACUUAAGGAAUAUGAUAUCAUAUGUGUAGUAAUUAAAUAUGAUAUCAUGUUACUUAAGGAAAAGAUUAUAUACACGUAACAUCUGCACAAAUUUCAUAUAGGCAUGAGAAUUUAAGAAUUAAAUUAAAAAGAAUAAAUUUGAAAGAAAAAAAAUGCAUAUGUGUACAAUUUAUUUGCAUGAAAUAUGUGUAAAUGGCACUCCCAAUUUGAAAAUAUUUUCAAAAUAUGAAAAUAUGAUUAUGUAAAUAACUUAAUCAAAAAUAAAUUAAGUUAAUUAAUAACUUAAGGUAUGGUUCCUAAGAUAAAAAAAUAUAUACUUAAAAUAAUCAUGUUAAAAGGACUAUAUAUGUAAGCAAUUGAUUGCCAUGCUCAGGAGAGUCCAUUGCCUUAUACUUUUAGGAAAAGCAGUUGAUUGCCAAGGGCAUUGUAAACAUCGAAUUUUGUUCGGGUCUAUUGAUGCUUUAAAUAACGUUUUUUGUUUCUAUUUAUCAAUAUUAAACUAUUAAUAAUAAUGGAAAAGUAUUGAUAAUAAACUAUUAAUAUUAGUUUAAUACCAAAAAAUACAAAAAAAGAAGAAAAAAAAAUAAAAAAAAGGAAAAUAGAAAAGUGACAUAAAGUAGGGCAGCUGAUGCCUGGCACCAGCCACCUUACAGCCACCUCCAACCAUCCUUACCGCCACCCUUCAGCUUACCCUGGCCAGAGCACUGCAGCCAUCCCUACAACCACCCCCUACAGCCCUUAACCAUACCUAUAGCCACCCUAUGACCACUACAGACUCAGACACCCAUCUCCUUAAAGCCCCAGCUUCCUCUCCCUUUUAGCUUUCUCGGACUCACCUUCAAACACCCAGAACCCCUCAACUCCACCACCAGACUCCAACCCCUCUACCAUUAGAAACACUGCCCUUAAACAUUCCCUUCCCUUUCCAAGUUCGAACACACCGGAGACCCCAAAUUCCCCAUACCCCAAAAAACCAUGACCCUAGUCUCUGUGCCUACACCUAAAGUCCUAGUACCCAAACUAGCCCCCUGCUCAACCUUACCCUGAUUCCCAACUUCCACGAACCAAGGUCUUGGCACUAGUGCCCACACACGGCCAUUCCUCUAAACACCUAUAAACUUGCACCCGAAACCCUUCAUCCUUCCCUUGAUAGAACCUUACACAAACACCCAGUCAUAACAAAAAAUAGCACGUAAAAAAUAAUAAUAAAACAAACAUAGUCCUCAUCGUAGGGAGGAACCCAGCACCAAAAAGGUACCUGCAAAAGCAAAGAAAUACAUUAGUUUUGGUUUAUAUAUAAAAAAAAGAAAGAAAACAGAAAAAUUUGAGCCCUGAUCUACACCGAUUGAGGUCAUUUUGAUGAAAAGAACAUCAAAUCUGGAAAGAGGACAAAGAAAAGAACUUUUGGGUGUUUUGGAGGCUUUUUCAAUGCCGAAACCGAAGGCCGACGGUGACGAAUGGUGGUCGACACGACCACUAGUGAUUGAUGCAACCAUCAGUGACCAACUUUUAAUAGUAGACCAACCUUCUGUUUUUUGGUUGAGAGAAAAAAAAAAGAAUUUUUUUCUGAGGAAGAGGAAAAAUGAGCUAAAAAAAAAGAGCCUUUUAUAUAGGAAGCAAAGAAGCAAAACAACGUUGUUUCGGGCAUAGGAAAGAUUCGCGCAUGGACCCGAAUCUGACUUAGGAUCCAUGCAAAUCGACCCAGAAACCCACUUUAGCAACCUUUAACCGAUUCCAAAUGAACUGCCAGUGAACCGAUUCAAACCGAUUGUCGUAACGAUUUUGUGUCUGCCGGACGAAUUUGAAAAAAAGAAAAAUAUGGAGUUGCCACCAAUCUUUGUUGGCUAGGUGCAAUUGGCCACCUAUUUAAAUUUAUCCUUUUAAUAAAAUUUUUAAAUUAAUUAAAAUUUAUUAACAAGAUAAUUUUAUGGUCUGUGAAACAGUCUGGGUUCGUGAAUCGGUUACAUGUGGGAAAUGAUUAGCACCCCCACAAUGCUCGUUUAAAAACAGUACCAAUUAAUUAUGUGUUAUCCAUUGAUUUUGAUAAAAACAGUUUUAUUUCGAUGUUUGAAAAAUAAUUUUCUUGAUUUUUUCAUUUAUAGGAAAUUUAUUUGUUAUUUGAUUUUAUUUAUUGUUUCUUUUUUUGUGCAAAUUUUAUUUGAGAAAAAGAAAAAGAAAUUAGAACAUUUUUAUUGAAAUAAUUCUUAAAAUGUUCUAAUACAUUGGUAACAUUAGAAAAACAUUUUCUCACCUAAAAAUUUCUUAGGCAUCGCUUCUCGGAAUACCUUAGAAUCUCAUCCUUGGAGGCUCAAAUUUACUUUUCAUAAACUAUGUCAUACAUGCAAUGCAAAAUGUUAUCAUGUUGAUGCACACAUUUUAUUCUCUUUUUUAGAAAUUUUGUUAAUUAUUUUAUUUGAUAUUUUAUUUUUAAUUUAAAUUUUUGAGAGAAAAAAAGAAUUUUUAUUAUAUUGAAGUUUUCUAUAAAUAUUCCAAUACACUGAUAAUAUUUUAAAAAAUCUUCUCACCUAGGGAUUUCUUAAAGCAUCUCUACUUAGAAUACUUAUAGAAUCGCAUCAUCGGAUAAAAUUUUUUUUCUCAUAUUUAUUACUUUAUUUUAGUUUUUUUUUAUAAAUUAGUUAAUUUUAUCUAUUAUUAAUAAAAAAGAAAAAUUUUUAUUGUAUUGAAAACUUUUUAUAAAUACUUCAAUACACUAGUAGUAUUUAAAAAAAAUCUUUCACCUAGAGAUUUUGUAAGUAUCGCUACUCGGAGUACUUUUAAAUCUCAUUGUCGGAUAAAAAUUUUUUUUUUACACUUUAAAUUAUAAUUUUUUAUUAAUUAAUUUUUUAUCAAUUAUUGUAUAUUUUUCUUUAUUCUUGUUCAUUAAAAUUUUGAUAAGUUUAUGUUUAGUCAUUAUUUUAAAUUAAUUAAAUUAAAAUUAUUUUAUAUUUUCUACCAUUUAUUUUGUUUUAUAUGAAAAAUUUAUACAAAAAUAAAAUAAAAUAACAGAAAAACCAUAAAUUAAAUAAUAGAAAUAUAUAAAAAAUUGAGCAAAAAAAUAAAAAAAUAAAAAGUUACGAUAAAAUACCAAAAAUGUCCCUAGUCAACACUGGUCAAAGAUUCAAAACGGCUCAGUUGGCUCGGUCAACCAGCUUGGACUUAUAGUCAAUGGCUUAAUCGGCUUGCCUUGGGUAUAUGGCUCAGCUCUGUUCCUAGCUAGGCUUGGUGGCUUGGCUACCACUUAAUCAAAACGACGUCGUUUUGAUUUCACUAUAAAUAGCCCCCUAAACACCCCCAUUCCUUCAUUUUUUUUCCUUUCUUCUUUUUCUCUCUUCUUUCUUUCCCUCUCAUUCAGAAUUCUUCUUCUUUCUCCUUCUCAGUUUUUGACAAUCCUAUUGUUGCUCCUGCCGGCAGUCACCGAUGUCGUUGUCAGCCAUUGUUGAGUGUGUCAGAAAAAUUCUUAAAAAACACUUAAAAAAUUAUUUUCGACCCCCUAAACUCAAAUCCAACCUCCGUUUUGAGAGAAAUGACCUCGAACGACAUAGAUCGAGGCCUAAAGUUUCGAUCAGAAUGAAAAAAAAAUUUCUUUUGUGUUUUUGGCGCUGAAAUCCCCGUUACUAGGGUUUUUUUUUUUUUUUUGGGUUUGUGUUGUGUUUUUGGUUUGGUUUUAUUGGCUUUUUAACAAAGUUUUUUUUUUUUAGCUGGUUUUUUGUUUUUCAACAUUUUUUUUUUGCAGAGGUUUUCCUCCAUCUUUUUUUUAAAAAUCCCUCAUUGUUAUGAGUUUCGUGGCUCUAUUUAUAAAGCAAAAACAAGAUUAAAAUUCCAGAAAGCCUGGGAUUUGUGGGAUUGUGGUUGGUGACUGUUAGGAUGGUUGUCAGUGGCUGUCAAGCGGUUGUUGGUGGCUAUCAGGUGGCUACCAGAAAAGUUGCCAUAAAAGAAAAAGCAAAAGAAAAAUAAAAAUAAAAAGAAAAAGAAAAUAAUAAAAUAAAAUAAAACAAAAUAAGUGUCCUCACCGAUCUGAACUGUCAAACCGUCGAAUCGAUUAGACCGACGUUGAUCAGAUCGUUAACCGGUCCAGUUCAGGUAUUUUUUAUUUUUUUUAAAUUUUCUAAUUUUUUAUAUUAUUAUUUUUGUUAUUUUAAGCUUUAUUAUUAAUAUUUGUGCAUGAAAAAAUUUUGAAAUUUAUUAGAAUAAAUAUUUGAUUGUUUUUAAUAAUAAUAAAAAUGAAAACAAAGUAGGAUAAUAACUAAAAAUUAAAAAUUAAAAAUGCUAAUAAUAAUAAUGAUAAUAAUAAUAAUAAUAAUAAUAAUAGAAUAAUUUUUCUUUUAUUUUCCCUGCCUAGAUGUUGGAGGGAGUAAAAAUCUCAAACCCUAAAAUAUAAUUCCACCUAGAUGUUGGGAAAUUAUAUAUAAAAAAAUUAAAAAAAUAAUAAAACAACAACAACAACAAUAACAACAACAACAACAACAACAACAAUAAUAAUAAUAAUAAUAAUAAAUUGAAAAUAACAUUAAUAAGUUUUUAUAAAAAUAAAAUAUAUGAAAAAAAUUUUAUUAAUUUUCAGAAAUCAUAAAAAAUUUAACUUGCUCUGAAAGUCUGCCUAGAUAUUGAUAAUUUUUAGAGAUGUUUAUGUUUUUUUAAAAUUAAAAAAUCCAAACCCUAAAUUUCACAACCCUAAAACUGAAACCCUAAUCCCCAAAUCCUAAAUCAAAAUCCUAAACUUUUCAAACCCUAAAAUUCAAGCCCUAAAACCCUUAAAACUCAAACUGAAGCCCUAAAAUUUGAAUCCUCAAAAUCUAAAACCCUAACCUUUAAAACUUCGACCUAUACUCAAAACCAUUUCAAAAUUUUAAGGAUAUAUGCAAAAAUCUCAAGUGGAGUAAUUUGUUCUCGAAUGCCUCAUAGAUGAUGGGGUAUUUAAAGAAAUCUUAUUCCUUUAAGUUUUUCUCAUGAGUCCUUAAUUCACUUUAACAAUGGGGUUAAUAACUGAUAAGUUUAAUAAAAAAAAGUAUAAUAAUAAAAUGGGAUCUUAAAUAUGAAUAGUCACACCUAAAUUCCGCCUAGAUGUUGGAAAGUCAAGGUGGUCUUAUUAUAUUUAAAAAUCCAAUUUCAAAUUUGCAUUUCAUUAUCAUACACAACAUUUAUUGGAUUACAUGCAUUUAUUUGUUACUGUUUGCACUUGUUUGCAUUUUCUUUUUCUUUAAUUGUUACUUGCUAUAUGAUAAUACCAUCAUUUACUUUUUCGCACAAAAUGUUUUUUUAAUUUACUUACUUUUAAAAUUAUGAUAUUAUAAAAUAAAACAAAAAUAACAUUCCAAAGGAAAUAAUUCUUGAUACUCUGCCUAGAUGUUGGAGAGUCACCAACAAUCAUCUCUUGCAAUAAGUGUUAUUUUUAUUUUAAGGAGUAUUUUGUUUAAUCUUAAAUGAAAAAAGUUAUUUUAAAUUCUGCCUAGAUGUUGGAGAAUUUAAAGAUAAUUCCUUAACUUAAAGAUUUCCUCGAUAUUCCUCAAUAAAGGAUUUUGAUAAAAUUAAUUUUCUUUCUUUUUAAAAUAACAAAAAGGGAAUUAUUAUUAAAUUUCAAAUCAAAACCAUUUCAUCCAACAUUGAAAAUAGUGCAUAAUUAAUUGGUACCAAUUUAUAGGAGUUGUGAGGGUGCUAAUCCUACCCCAUACAUAACCGACUCCUGGAUCCUACUUGGUUUUUGGAGACCAAAAUUUAUCUUUUUGAUAAAUUUUAAACAUGCUUUUAUAGUUUUAUUAAAAAUAUAAACUUUUGAGUGACCAAUCACACCCUAAAAAAAGAUUGGUGGCGACUCUUUCCAAUUUUCUCGAUUUUAAAACUCUUUUAGUCGAGCAGUCCCAAAAUUGUUAUGACAGGCAUAAAGCCAAGUGCUUUGUCAGACAUAAAUUAAACUUAGAUUCUAUAUAAAUAGUAGCCGACUAUUAGCUUAGAGCAAUUGAUUGCUAUGUCUAAAAAGUGAGUGGACUGGUUCCAAACCCUAAUCCAAUCGACUGCCAGUAAAUGAUAGUCUUAUGGGAAUUUAUCUAUGCUAAAUGCAUUUAAUUGCUAUUAAAGAUGGGUUGACUACUCUACAGGAGACCAAAUGUGAAACCUUUCUGAAAAUUGAAAGGAGUCAUCUAUUCACUUGGAGAAUGCAUUUUAUAUGAAGAAAUGAGUCGACUAUUUUAUAGAAGAGUCGACUACCUUACUACGAAAGCAUUUCAAAAUUUGAAAAGACAGAGAAGCAAUUGAUUGCUUUCUUGGAGCAAUCGACUACUUUGCAUAAAAAAUUGUAAUUUCCAAAAAUAGGACAAAUGGCUUUUCUUAGUAUGAAAAGUUUGAUUAUUCAAAUGAAAUAAACAUUUUUGUGAUCUCUCAAAGAUACAUUUUUAUAAUCAAAGGGAAUUGAUCUUUAAUUGAAACAAAAUAAUAAAAAAAAUAACAAUUUUAUGAUUCAAUCUCUAUAAAUAGAUAUUGAUAUGAGUUCAUUUUGUAAUCUAAUUCAAUUCAGAAUUACUUUCUUCUUUCUCCCAAUCUUUUCUCAAUUAAAAGCAUAUUGCUUUGACAUUGUUUGCAGCAAAAAACUUUGUAAAGACAAGAUAUUUUCGUUCCUACUAAAGUGUGUUUAGUGGUUUGUUAUAAUAGUGCAAAGUAUAAACAAAAAAUGCUUCAUUUUAUCUUAGAGGCAUUUUGGUUCAUCCCUUUUGCAUGCUAUAACUAGUUGGGGUGAUAUAAGCAUUAAGAAAAGUGACAUUUGUAGCACACUUUGAAAUAAUUUUGUUCGUAUUUGAAGGUCCAUGAUUGCUCAACUCUAACUAUUCAUCAAGAACGUUAUAAGAAGUUCUUAAGUUGUUAAAACAUUGAAGUAUUUACAAAUUAUAUCUUAUAGCUUUAUAUUACAUUAUUUUUCUAACAUUCUUAAGGUUUUGUUUCAAGCAAUAUGGACAAGUUUAAUUCCAUAAAAGAAAUGACAACCAACUUUUAAAUCUUGGACCGGAUUGAUGGAAGCAACAUCCUAAGGUGGCAACUAUAGAUGCCUUAUUUAAUUUGAAAUCAUUUGUAAAUUCCAAAUUUUCGACAAUAGGGGUCUUAAUCUGAAUUUUUUUUUGCACUUUAGAUAUGAAUCAAUAUUAAUUUAAAAAUAAGAAAUUAAUUAAGGAAUUAAAGAGAUAAAAGAUCCAAUGUUUUUAAAUUUUUUCUAAAAUAGAAAAUUUAAAUUUUUAAUGACUUCAUUUAGAAAGAUCAAAAUUUUGGAAACUUGAAUUUUUCAAAAAUUUGAGCAUAAGAUUAGAAUGAAUCAUUUUUGGUAUAUUCAAAUAAAUUUUGAGUUUGAAUAAUAUUAAUUUAAACUAAGUAUAGCUUAGAAUGACGUGCUUUUUGGACUUUGUUUAAAAAAAAUUUUUAUGAAAUUUGUCAAAAUAAUUUUUCUAAAUCUUAAUAUUUAUUUUUUUUAUCUAUAAAUUAUUAUUAUAUAUUAUUUUUACAUUAAAAAUAAAAAAUUUUAAUUUUAAUAUUAAAUAUAUUAAAAUUAAUUUUUUUUUUAAAAUUCUGUGAAAAUCAAUCAUCAUUAUUCUCCAGAGAGAGAUGAUAAUGAAUGGAAUGCAAUCAAGCUCGGGUUUUAAUUCAUUCAUCAAUCAUCAAUCUGCUGGACGUGCUCUAUUAGCACUUGUCUUUUGUAAACUGUUUCUGUGACAUGGUUUCCCAUGUUAAGGGUCCGACCAACAUUCUACCUAUUAUGACUCACUGUCACUUGUAAUUAUCUAUACCCUAUAUAAAAACUAUAGCCUUACUAAAAAAAUUGUUCUCAUAUUAUUUUUUUAAAAUUUUUUCCUAGUUUGAAAUAAAGGAUAAUAUUUCAUUGAAGCUAGAGGUGAGAAAAUUAGUUCGGCUUCGGUUAUAUUGAGUUGGUUCAUUUUGGAUAAAAAAAUGAAUUAUUUUAUAUUAGAAUUAAGUUGAGUGCAAAUUAAGAAAUGAUUGUAUUAUUUUGAGUUCGGAUCAAAUUGAGUUCAAAACAAAAACUUUGAAUCAUUUCAAUUUUGUGGUAUUUCAAGUUGAUUGGAUUAAUUAAGAUUUAGAUUAAUUUGAGUUCAAAUUAUUUCAAUUUUAGAUUUGACUUUCGAAUUAUUGAGGUUUAACACUUUAGUUAAUUUGUUAACUUUUAUAAUUAAAUAAAUAUAAUUAAAUUUACAAAAACUAAAAUAUCAAAGUUAAAUGAUUCAAAAGUAAUUUGUUAAUAAUAAGAAAUUAUGUUAUGUUUAAUAUAAAAUUAAUUUUAUUCAUGAUAAAAAUUUAUUAAUGACUUUUAAUUUAUUAAUAUUCAAUAUUUAUUAUUAGUAAUUUAUAUUGAUAUUUUAUAAUCAUACUUGUCCACGUUAUUUAUUAUAUAUGAAUUAAAAAUGAGCAAAUAACUAAAUAUUUUCAAAAAAAUUAAUUUUCAAAAUCAUCACUAAAAGUACGAUAAUAUAAAAAAAUCCUAUUAAUAUUGAUUACUUAAUUAACAUAAUGAUCUAAUCUUAAAACAAUUCAAAAAUAUCAAAAUUACUUAGACAUAAUAUUAAUUUAAUUUAAAUAAUUGAACUUUUGAAUAGUAUAUAGUUUAUAUGUGUAAUAAAAAAUGAAGAUGCUAAAAUUAUCUACUGUUAUUUGAUAGUUGUUAUAACUUGACUUGACUGUUAAAUAAAUUUUAAUUUAACUUUUAAGUUGAAAUUUUUGUGAUUUUAAUUUUAUAUUAUAAGAAAUAAAAAAUAUAAUUGUAUAUAUAUUACAACUAUUUUUAUAUAAAUUUUAUAAAAAUUAUUAAUAAAAGAUUAUAGAAGUUUAUUUUUAAUUAAAUCUUAAUAUUACUUAUAAUAUAGAUUUUUAUUAUUAAUUAAAUUAUAAUUAAAUAUAAUAAUAUUAUAUACCUCAAAUUAUAUUUUAUUAAAUUAAUAUUUAAUAUCUAUAUUAUUACUUAUAAUUAAUAAUAAAAAUUGAUAUUAAAAAAAUUAAUUAAUACAAUUAGACUUUAUAUUUUUCUGUAUAAAUAAAAUGUAUAAUUCACAAAAUAAAAAAAAACCUAAUUAAUUCUAACCAUUUAUUUAAAGUCUAACCAUUCCGAGUGUGAGUUAAUUUGAGUUUAAAUCAACGUUGAAUUAUAAUGCAAUAAUCACAAGCGAUAUAUCUCAUGAUUUAAUUCUUUGGCCUAAAAAAAUAAAGAGCAGAUAAUUUAGUAAUACAGAACUUACAUCAAAAUUUUAAAAACACAGAGAUGUCUCCCUUCAUCUCCUCUUAUUCUGAACCAAGUAGAGCAUGCAUGUCCUUGGAAAUUAUCCUCUCGUUCUAUCACAACCCUUUCUCCCUUCGCAUAAUCCCAUAGGACUAAAAGAAUGGAGACAUUACUAAACUUGCACAAGGCACCACAGUUUGGAUUUACAUCUCCAUAGAAAUGAAUAUUUCCAUCACAUUAUGUUGUAAAAUGUGCAAUGCUCCCCUCGGUGCUAUUAAAGAAUGAUGGUCUGCUCCAUAGCCACCAUGGUGGAAAGUGCAACUCGUUCUUAAUAUCAGUUGCUGCUCCACCCAAUGUACAAAUGUCUAAUGUCAACCUUCUUUGAAAAGCUUUGGAACAAAUAAGACAUUACAUAGAAGCUGAUAAAUGGUUCAUGCAGUUAUCCUCAAAAAAUGACAUCUAGUAGGUUUGUGGUUUGAAUUUCAGUACUUACAACUCCUUCUCUUAUCCCAAAUGCAAAAAAAUAACACCUUAUAUGCACAGUGGCAGGGACUUGGACACUAGAAUGGAAACUAUAGAAUGGGUUUUUGAGGUUACCAUCUGGGAUGUCUAAGGAAGAAUUCAUGUUUCUGAAAACCCCUAGAUAGACAUGGAAUCUGGAUGAUAAUAAUUUGUGCUUUUGAUAAUUUAGUUUUUGCAGCACUCAAAAUUUAGUUUCUGCCCUUCUGACAAGGAAAUAAUGUUUUUCCUCUUCAAACAGUUACUGGUCAUUCAUUCAGUAUAAAAAACUAACUCAAAAAUGGUAAAUUAUUUCAUACAUUUUCGUUUUUUCUUGAAUCUCCAUCAUAUUACAUGAGGCCAAAAAGGAUAAUGCAUUAGUGGACUUAAUCAAACCAAAAAAGCAGUGGCUGCAACUCAUACAAAAUAAGAUCAUAACAUUAAAAUCCCGAAAUGGAAGAUAGAUGCAUAUCAUUCUGUUCUUUUUCAGCCCACAAUAUUCUUCAUGAAUUUCAAAAGGCGUGAAAAGAAAAAUUAUCACUGAGAUUAAGCCUUUAAAAAAAUGAUAUGAAAAUUCACUUAUUCAGCUUAUGUAUAGUCUAUCUUGAAAUGCUUAGCUUCUCCUUAUAUACCUUUAAUAAAGAAGGAUCUUCAUAAGGGGUCACAAACCUUUGAAGGAACUCCUUUACGGUAAAAAAAAAAAAAGAUAAACACUGAUUUUCUCAAUCAAACGUUUGGAUACCAAAGAUUGAGGAACUUAACACCCAAGGACAAUUCUCAUCUCUAAGCUAUAUGGGAAAAGUUGCCGAAGGUUUGCUAUACAUCAAGAUUUCCAGUCCAUUUAUGUUGACAUAUAAAAAAAAAAUUCAUUGCUGCUUUAGUCUUGUCCUUAGAAAGCAUCAUUGCAAUAUGGAUACUUGUCUAAAGCUGAAGCAAUGUAUUCAUCAUACCAACCCCAUUUUUUAAAAACAUUGGAUUUCCUUUUCUUAUCUUUUUUUCCUUUUUUUCUUCUUUUAUUGUCCUGUUGGUUUUUUCGACUAGCAAGCAAAUCGGGCCUGUGCCAUUUUAGACGAAGGUAAGGAACUUAAACCGACCCUGCCCAACGCCAAUUUGGAGCUCUUAAAGGGGAAAUACAAUUUUUGGAAUUAAUUAAUUACUAGUAUGGUUCAUGAAACUAUGCAUUUAAAAUGUAAUAAUUGAUAUAUAAACUUAAAAAAAUUGUUAUAUGUACCCCCAAACUUUCAAAAUGUGUACUAAGUCACAUAUUAGUCCACAAAAUGUUUUUUAUAUAAGAGUUUAGGAUGAAGCGAGGUUUUCCCAUUCCAAAGCUAGGGAUUUAUAUUGGAUUUAAAGAUUAUUUACCAAGUGUCAUAACAUAUAAGUUCGUAAACCUAUCGUUAGAUAUAAUUAAAAAAGUCAUCACAAAUCUUUUUUGAUUAAAUAUAAUUGACCACUUAGGUGAAUUUAUUUAUAUUCAUUUUAAGGAUGUCUUAAACUUGACUAAGAGUCUUUAAAAAAAUUAUGUUUUGGUUUAUUAGUUAGAAUAGGGUUUGAAAAUUUGAUUACAUACGGAAAAGAUUAUAACACCCUCACAACUCCCAUACUAAGAUGGUAUCAUUUAAUUUUAAAUUAUUUUAAGGAUUUUUGGUUUUAAUGGUUUUUUAUUAAAUUUUAAUAUUUAAAUAUUAAAAAUAAUUUUUAAGAUUUCUUCAUCAAUUUGGUAGAAUUCUUAAAAAAUACUCCCUCAACAGGAGUAUUUAAAAAUCACAUUUAUUUUUUUGAAUAGGUUCCGACAAAAAAAAAACUUAAUCAUUUAUUUUUUUUAUUUUGCUUUUAUUAAAAAUAUAUCUAAUUCUUCCAUCAUUUAGGCAAAAUUAGAAAAAUUUUUCACCUAGAAAUUACCUAAAUAAUCAUCCAUUUGUAAUUAUUAGAAAUUUCAUCCUUAGAAUUUAUUCAUUUUAUUUUGUCUAAAUUUUUUAUAUCUAAAUUUCUAUUGUAUUGAGAUAUAUCUAAAUUUUUCAUCAUUUUAAAAACUUUUAGAAAUAUAUUUUUAUACCUAAAAAUUUUUUAAAAAAUCAACUGUUCUUGAUUUUUUAGAAUUUCAUCAUUUACAUUUUUUUUAUCAUUUCCAAAACUUCUCAUUUCUAACUUUUUUAUUUACUGCAUUUAAAAAUAUAAUUAUUAUAAUUUUAUUUAAUUUUACAAUCAUUAUGGUAAAAUUUUAGAAAUAAGUUUAUUAUCUAGAGUUUCUUAUCUUGAAAUUUUUUAAAGGAUCAACCAUUCUUGAUCUCUUAGAAUCCCAACGUCAAAUUUAUUUUAUUAUUUUUCUAUUUUUAAGAUUUAUUUUUAUUAUUUCCAAAAUUUUCUAAAAUUUUAUUUUUUAAUUUUAUAUUUUUAAUUUUUUAUGGUUUUAAAGCAAAUAUCAAUAUUGUUAUUGAAAAUUUUAUCUAAAUCUCCAUUUUGAAGAUAUUAAAUAAAAACUUCUCAUUUAAAAAAAUUCUAAAAAUUCAACAAUUCUUGAGUUCUAAAAUUUCACUGUUUGGUAAUUUUCAUUUAUUUUUUAGGAUUGUAUUCUUUAUUCUUGAUUUUAAUAAAUUAUCUUUAUUAACAUUUUCAUAUAAAUUGUCCUCCAUUCUAGAAAAUUUUAAAAAAACUUCUCACUUAAAAAUUUUUAAAAAUCAAUCAUUCUUGAUUUUUUAAAUUAUCUCAUUAGGAUGAUUGCCAUUUAGUUUAGAGUUUUUGUUUCAGUUUUUUUGUAUUUGUUGUUCAAUGGACAAGAAAUUAAAUUUUCUUUUUUUUUUAGGUUUUCAACUAAAUUUUCCACCAUGGAGAAUUUAGAAGAAAUUACUUGUCUAAAAAUUUCUGAAAAGUCAACUCCAUAGAAAAAAUUUUCACUUAUAAUUAAAGUUUGAAUUAAAUUGCAUGAUUCUAAAAAAAAAAAUUUAUUUAUCUUCAAGAUUUAUAUGAAAUACAUGAUUUUGAUAAUAUUUUAAUUAAAGAAAACUACAAGUAUAAAUAUAUUUUAUUAUACCAUAUUUUAGUUUUUUAAGUGAGAAGCAACUAAAUAAUUUUUCAGUUUAAGAAUGAAUGCUUAACAAAACGUGUAACAAAGUAAAUAAAUAAUAAUAAAAUGAACCAGAAAAUUAAUUAAGGAAAAAAAAAGAUGAAAACCUGAAAUUUGAGUUACAACUCAAAUCCAACGCAGGCCCGCCUAAGCUAAAAAGCAGGCUUGGAGUUGUCCACUUCAAAUUGUGGGGUCUUGAAUCCUCCUCAAGUUACACUCAAAAUUUAAGCUUUUUGGACUUGGACCGGAUUUUCAAGUUCUAGACCAUUUUUACAACAUUCUUCCCCUUUCUUUAUUCUUUAUUGCAAAAGGAUAAAGCCCAACACCUCAUUUCAGCAACACCGCUCUCAAUUUUUGCUGUUGUCUCUUCCAUUUUGCCUACAAGUUGUCACUUCCCUUCCUAUUUAUUUUCGGAAUCCCACUGAUACUAUGCAAAUUCAAACACAAUGACCAUUUUACCACUUCUUGGAAUUCUUAAUCCCAGCUACUUGGAUCAUUGAAAAACUCUUCCAAAUCCUUCCCCUCUCUUUUUCCGUUUAAAAGAAUUCCAAAAGGUGCCUAAAUAAAAGUGAAUCCCAAACUGAAAACCCACCGCUAGAAGAAAAUGUUUUGUUUUCGUCUUUCGAUUGUUGUCGAUUUCUGAUUCUAUCUCUGUGGCUAUUUUUGAUGCUUGACUCUGGUUAUUGUGUUUUGACUAUUUGUUGGAUUUUGGAUCGAUGGUUACUAUUUGGGCAAGGAAAGGCAGUGGUAGGCUUCGGUAGCUGGUUUAGGUCGUGGAUGACUGAUGGUGGUGACUGGCAUCUGGGGGCUAGGCCAACAAAAUGGGGAUUUGCUUUCGAUUUCCCGUGUUUCCCUCUGAUUUUCUCUGCUGAUUGCUUUCUCUGUGAUUUUUUAUUUCAGUUGUUUUGACUUGAAAGUUUAUUUAUAGGUAAGAUCAUGAGAGUUUCAACUCACUUAGGAUUAGAUUUCUUUAAAAUUAAAGAUUAUUACUAAAGUAAUUCUAAUCUCAAACUGCUUCUGAUGAAACUAGCAUCUUCACUGAGACAACAUUAUUUUAAACUUUCAAAUUAUCAAUUUUUUUAAAAGAUAAUCAGAUAAUUAAGGAUAAAAUCAAGAUAAAUAGUAUAAUAAUAAGAAUAAAAUAAAUAAGGAUAAAAAGAAUACAGAAAAAUAAAAUAAAAAUCUAAAAUUUAAAAUUCAGUAAUUGGAUUUCAAAUUAGUUGGAGUUUAAUUGAUUUGGGUUUUGGACAAAAUAAAAUAUUUAUCUCAAGGAAAAUUACUCGUAAUAAAAUACAAACCUAAAUAUUCAAAUUUUAUCAACUCAACUAAUUUUUAUCUCUCACAUUGUCUGAAAAUCUCAAUCUCUCUCAUGUUAUCUUCUUUCAUGGGUGGCCUCAAAUUAAUUGUCGAUGGCUCAAUUUCCCCUCGUUUCUCUUCUUUUCUAUUAUGUUCCUCCUUUUUUGUUUUUCCUUUUUUCUUUUCAUAUUUUUUGGUCAUAAAUAUAUUUUAUUACCAUCACCGCCACUAACAAGAUGACUUGAUCGAUGAGUACAACAAGCCAGCCAUUGCUGUCCUCUUUUGAGGUUAUCAUUGUAGUGACCAAAAUCUCACUCUCCUUUGAGAUUACUAUUUUGACGAUCAAAAUCCCCACCCAAGAUAAAGGUAAUGCUAAUUAUGAGGUUUUUAUAUUACCUUAUUUUAGGUUGAUUUUUAAAAUUUGAUUUGUGUGAAAUUUUUGAUAUAUUUAUAGUGAAAAAAGAACAAAAAUAAAAUCUUCAAAAUGAAAAUUCUCAAAAUGCUAAACCACAAACAAAAGCUUUGAAUAUUGUUAAAGUUGUUAUGAGUUUGAUUUUUUUAUCAAAUUUUUUGGGUUUGAUAUUAGAUUUAAAGAAAUAUUGAAUUUCAAAGGUUUGGAUUAGUUAUGCAUUUGAUAUUUUUGAUUUAGGAUUUAGGCUUUUAAACUAAGCGUAGCCAUGAUAGUUUUUUCCAACUUCAACUACAACUUUGAGUUUCAAACACUUGCCAAAUAGGUUCUCCUUUAAGAGAAUAGGCCUUGAUCCAAGUAGUCUAAAUUAAGCCCCUUUUUUUUAUGAUAAAGUUCGAAUAUGUUGGAUGAUACAACUUUGUUCAAACUAAAAAUAUCUUUAAAUAUACUUCAGAUUUUAUGAAAUAUUUCCCCAUCAUUUUAGUUCGAUUUAAUGGUUAGUGAAAAAUGAAAAUUUUCUAAAUAAAAUUGAUUCAUUUUUUUCUUUUAAAAUUUUAUUUUCAAGGCAUUAAUUAAUAAAAUAUAGUUUUAUUUCAAAAGUUUAUUUUCAACUAAUUAACUAAAUAAAACAUGAAAAAGUGGAAUUAACAUAUAUAAUUGUAUAACUUUUCUUUUCCUACCUAUUUUUAAUCAAACUCAAUAGUUAUUAUGAUAUCAAAAGUUUUUUUUUAAUAAAAUUUAUUUAUAUUUUUUUAAACGUUAUUUUCAAAUCAUUAAUUAAAAACUACAAAAAAAUUCACAUUAUUUUCAAAUCAUUAAUUUUAUGCUUUUUUUUCUCCCUAUCAUUUAUGAAAACAAAAAAAAAAGUGAUAUUUUCAUGAACAAUUUUUAUUUUAAACCAAAUGACGACAUUGAUAUUUUUCUUUCAAAGGUUUGUUUUCAAUUUAUUAAAUAAUUCUAUAGAAAAUUAAUAAUUGACAAAUGAAAACAUGAGGAAAUAUAUAGAAAAAUUAUUAGCAAUUGUUGUGCACCAAAACAUUUUAGCAAAAAAUAUCUUUGGACUAUUUAACUUCAAAUCAUUACUUGGAAUCAAGAGUUCAAGUAUAUUAAGAAAAGAAACUAAUUCUUCUAAAAUGAGAAAAAAUUGACAACUUUCUGAAUACAAAAAUACAAACAAGUACAUCAUAUGUCCUCACUUGAGUUACUUGUUUUUUAGUUACUCACCAUUUAUUGAAUAAAAAAUAUUGACAUCUUCAUAGAAUAAAGUAACAGGAAAACCAUUGGCAUGAAGUUAAAUAAACUUUGCAUAGUUUUUUUUCAAGAUAUGAUUCAAUAAAACAAUGGAUUCCAAAUAAAACAUAUCACUCUAAUGUUCCUCCAAUAGAAAAUAAAAAUAAAAAAUCAUUGCAAGAAAGAUUAUCGCAUUUCCAAUGCACAAAUACACCAUAAAUCUCUCACUCGAGCUUUAUGCAAUCACAAUAAGAGAAGAAACACCACAAUAUCUUCCAUGCUGAAUUCAUAAGUUACAUACUGCAAUAAAAUUACAAAACUUGCAUCAGUUCCCUUUUUUAAUAUAUUUUCUGAAUCUCUUAAGAAAGCAACCUUGUAAGGAGGGAUGGAUUGAUAAAAUUGAUUUCUUCUAGAGUAAUUUAUUUUAUUAACUUCUCAAAUUUCUUUAUUUUUCUAAAUUUCAUAAUACAUUUUUAUUAUCACCUCCUUAAGUAAAGAGGUUCUUAAUAGAAAAAUGAUGUAUAUUAAUUAAUAUCAUAUAUAACAACAUUAUAUUUUAGAAAAAUAAAAAAAAAACAAUGCAAUGUUACAUACUAAUUAUAUAAUAAUUCUAAUAAUUUUUAUUUGAUCAGUUAAAAUUCGUUAAUAAGUUAUUACCCAAAUACCAAUUAAAAAAAUAAUUAAUUAUAAAAAUAAUAUUGUAAAUAUUAGUUAAUUAAUCAUAAACAGACAUAUAAUUCCAUAAUCAAUCAUAAAUCACCUAAAAAUAUUUAAAAAAUGAGCCAUUAUUUCCACCCAAUCCAAAUUACUUAAAAUUGCAAUUGUAUGAGUCAUAAUUUUCAUACAAGAAAAUUCAUUAGUACAAAUUUAUUGUUAUGUAAAAUUAUAUACUUAUUAUAAUCAUUGAGAUAAAAAAGAGUUGUAACGAAAAAGUAUUCCUAAUUAAUGAUUAUAUUAAUAAAUAAUGUAAGUAAAUGAAAAUGAAUUUAACUUAUUGGCUCUCUUCAUGAUAAUUUAUGUUUUGGUUAAUUAUAUAGAAAUUAUAAUCUAUAUAUAUGUUACUUCUAAUCAUACAUAACAUGUAUAAAUUAAUUAUAUGUAUUGAGAAAUAAUAUGAAUUUAAUAAAAGAAAAAUAAAAGAAAACAUAAAUACACAAACUGAGCCUAACUUCCUAUACAUGUAACCACACAUCCAAGUGAAAAGGUUAUUUAUUAAUCAAGAAAAUCCUUUUUAUAUAUUUACAACUACCAUGCCUCCUUACUUAGACAUAGAAGUUAUUGAAAUUCACUAGCUAUGCAAAUCUUAUAAUUAUUUGAACUCUUUAAUGAUUCGACGGAAUUACAACUCUAGUUUUUACUGUAAAAGUUAAAAUGUUAUUAAGAAAAAAUUACUUUAAUGAAGAGUUCAAAGUUAACAAAUAAAUAUAUAAACAAAAAUUCAAAAGUGAUGAAAGUACCUUGAUUGUUGAACCAAAAUAUGCAUUAUGGUCAUAUAACCUUAACCUGCAAGAAAAUAUACAACUUAACGGAAUACCUUCUUAAAAGAAAAUUAAAUAAAUAUAUGCUAUGUGCUUUUAUAUAAGCUUAAACUAUAUAUAUAAUUGCAUUCCUUACCAUAUUAAUUAAACCUGGGCAAUGUUGUUCAAAUAUUCUCUUUUGAUAUUCUUCAGCGUGGAGACAACAUUCUUCAUAUCUAAUCUAUCUUUAGGUAAUUCAGCUAAACAAUCCAAAGCUAAUCUCAUAAUAAAUGAUAUACAAUUUGCUUUAAUAACAAAAUAUCCAUCUGUUUCUCGCACUAAACUAGAAUCUAUCACACCAACUAUUUCAUUAGAUAAUGACCUUUUCACCCAAUGCUUCAUACUCAUUUCUCCAACAAAAAUUUCAUCUGUGGGCUUCUUUCUUGUGAAAGUUUCUAUUAAUAGAAUGCCAUAGCUAUAGACAUCACUCUUUAUGGAAAUAAUUCCUGCUGAUCCGUAUUCUGUAUUUUAAAUAUAAUUAAAUUAUUAAAAUGAUCUUAUGCCAUUAGGGCAUCAUUAAUCAUCAAUAAAAUGAUAAAAUACUAAUAUCUACUCGCUUGGAAUAGAGAAAAAACUAAAAAAAUGAAAAAAAAUACCUGGUGCCAUAUAGCCAACAGUAGCUAGUGUCAUUGUUUGUUUGAUGGAAUCUCCUUCUCCCAAUAGCUUGGCAAUUCCAAAAUCUCCCACGUGUGCAACCAUGUCCUCAUCCAAUAAGACAUUACUUGGUUUUAGGUCACAAUGGAUUAUAGGAAUCGGAUGUCCCAAAUGGAGGUAUUCUAAUGCCGAUGCAACAUCUAUCAUUAUGUUGAUUCUUUGUAGGAUAUCCAAUACAUAAUUGUAAGAAUAUAACCAUUUCUCAAGGCUCCCAUUAGGCAUGAACUCAAGCACCAAGGCUUUGAAAUCAAUAGUUGAACAACAAGUAAUAACCUUGACAAGAUUGAGAUGAAGGAUAUUUCUCAUCACUUCACAUUCAGUGUCAAAACUCUUAAAUGCUUCAUCUAUUUGCAAAUUGAAAACUUUUAUUGCGACUUCUGUUCCAUCUGAAAGUAUUCCUUUGUAUACAGAGCCAAAACUUCCUGAACCAAGUAAGUUAUUCCCACUAAAUCCACCAGUCCCUUGCAAUAGUUGAUUAUACGAAAUUCUUCUCCUUUUCUUGAGAGGAAUUAAAUCUUCAACCGUUGCCAAAUUCAUAUUCCCCCGCUGCCCUUUUUUGUAGACAAUUAUGACAGCUACAACUAUUAUUAUUGAAGCAAAUGUUGGAAAAACAUACCGCAAAGCAUGAAGAGCGGUCUUCUUGAAUUUGGGAUGGAUUUUAUUUUUGCAAGGUGAGACUUGUAGUCUAGGUGAACCACAUAGUGCAUAAUUUUUCAUGAAGGAUUUGGCUGCGAAGUUCAAAAAAGGCCCUCCACUUGGUAUUUCUCCUUCUAAUCUGUUGAAAGACACAUUAAAAUAAUUGAGAUCAUAAAGUUUUUCCAAAGACUUGGGAAUAACUCCAGAGAGAUUGUUGUUAGAUAAAUCCAAGGCUUUCAAACUCAUCAAGUCACCCAAUGAUUUUGGAAUAGGCCCUUGUAAUCUAUUUCUGGAAAGAUUCAAAACUUGUAGAUCUUGGAGACUUCCAAUUGUGGACGGAAUAUCACUUAAUAAUAAAUUCCUUGACAAAUUCAAAGAGAUAAGUACCUUUAAAUUUCCAAUGUUAAGUGGAAGUGAACCGCUAAGAUUGUUUGAUGACAAGUCUACUUCUAAGAUAUCUUUAAGGCUCCAAAAACUUAAAGGUAUUUGCGAAUGCAAUUUGUUGGAGAACAAGUAUAGAUAUCUCAGAGAAGUCAAAUCACACAAACAUGUCGGUAAAAGUCCAUCAAGCUCAUUAGCCACCAAUGAUAAUUUGUACAAUCCCUUCAAACCACAAAGAUCAUGUGGGAUAGAGCCUUGUAACUUAUCUAUAAAGAUUCAAAAGUUGGAGAUGUUUAGCCUUCCUAUUGUUGUUGGAAUAGGUCCACUCAAUUAUUAGAGGAAAAGGUCUAACAAUAUAGCCUUGCUUAAGCUACCAAUUUCCUGGAAUGCUGCCUCUAAUUUUGCAAUCAAUGACCCAUAAUUGUUCAAGUGAUGUGGAAAGAUUGAGAUAGACGUUGGAAGAAUGCCAUUCAAAUGGGGUGAAUGAUAGGUCUAAAAUCCUUAGAUACCUGCAAUUUGCCAAGGAAUAGAGAAAGCUCCACUCAUUGAGUUGAAAGUUUUGGUGGUCAAAUGAUUCGACCAAAGGUAAAAUAUCUCAAGGAACCUCAAAUUGCCAAGUGUAUCUGGAAUAAGGCCAUAGAACGAGUUUUCUUGUAAUGAUAGGAUUCUGAGCUUAGAAACAUUGGAGAUAGAGUCAGGAAUAUUUCCGCUGAGAUUACUCUCCCAUAAGUAAAGCUCCUCAAGAUUCGAAGCAGAGCUCAUGUAUGGUAAUUUACCUAAAAAGAGAAAAAAUAAGUUUUCAUCCUUCCAUACAAGAAAUAAAUUAAUUGUUUUGCUUCUUGUGUUUUUCAUGAAUCUAUGAUGCAAGCUGAAGUGAAUGCGAUGCUUACAUCUACGAACAUGAGUGAGGACAAACAUGAAAAAAUUAUAAAUAUGAAACAACUUCGAGUUUUUCUUGUUUGAUGAUCUGGAAUGUAUAUAUAAUUUAUAAAUAUUUUUCAUAUUUAUAGUGAUUAAAAGGCUCCAUACUUACGUAUAAUAAAGUAAAAAAGAGGAAAAAGAAAAAGCAAAAGAAAAAAGAAGAUAGAAGAUAGAAGAAAGGUAGGGAGAAAAGAAAAUAUUAUUAAGGUUUCUAGUAUAUGCUUAAAAUGUUUUCCAUUUAUGUGAGAAUUUUAUUUCUUUAACUUAUCUCAAUUGCUUUAACGAUAAAAAGGAUUAAAGAAAUUUUGGAUGAUGAAAUUGUUCAUUAAAGAAAAAGAAACAAGAUAAAAAUGAAGAAAAUAAAAAAAUAAAAAUAUAUUUACAUUAAUUUGUUGAGAAAGUGUAAAUGUUUGGAAAUAAAUUAGAAUUUUUAUCUAUGCCAUUUUAGGAAAAAAGACUCAAGAGAAAUGGUAAAAUUUCUUUCAUUUUAGACUAUAUGCAUAAUAAAAGAGAAAAAUACAAAGAUUCUAUUAAAAGAUUGUUAAAAGUACACGAACUCUUUUUAGUUUGAAAAUCACUUUUUUUCUUCCCUAAGGUUUCAUAGAACCUUACGAGUGCGCUACCAGAGGAGGCUCAUUUGAGGUUUGUUGGAGUAAUACUGUAUACAUUUUCCUACUACGAAUAAAAAAUUUGGUAAUAUGAGGACAAAAAAUGUGAAACUAAUGAAAAAGAUUUUAAAAUGAUGCUUUCGAUUACACAAUUAUUAGAGGGUGAAAAGCCUUGCCUUAGUCCGAUUUAGAGGGUGAAGUAAAGGUAAGUCAAAAAGCUCUUCUUGGAUGCUAUGAAGGCCACAUAAGAGCAUUACCUUUGGGAGAAAAAAAUUUGUUACACUGUUUGUUGAUGGAAUUUUUCUACGAUGUAGUCUCUUUAAUCUCAAGCAAUGUUUUGUCAGAUGUGGGAGGGUGGUUGAUUUUUAUGUCCUAAAAAAUCAAAAGAGAGCCAAAAAUGUCUUAGGUGGUUUUGUCCAUUAUCUUGAUCUACGGGAUGCAUUGAGGGCUGUUUCUAAAUGGUUAGCACCUGAGUUACUCCACUCUAUAUGUUCAAAUGGCAAGGAAUGAUCAAAGGUCUGCUGCUAGUUCUAACCCCACCACUCACCACAUGGAAAAAAGUGUAAGCUGCAUAGAAGACUUUAGAGAUGGACGAUCUUAUGCAGAGGUGGUUCAUAUGUCUGUCAAAUCCACUCAGUUAAAGGAUAACAUUGUAUCAGAUGGUCAAAAAGAAGAGGUUUUAAAAUGGCUUAACAUCCUUGAAUACAUUCCUGAAAAUUUAGAUUUGGUAGGAUUACAACGGAAUGCUGUUGGGAUAGUUAGAUAUCCUGAUACUGCAAAUGCCAUUGAUCAAAUCUUGUCAGAGAACUUCGAUGAUUGUUCUGUCACUAUAAUGGGUGAGAAUAUGGUUCUUUUGACUUUUGAAAGCAAAGAAAGUAGGGAAAGACUUAGAUGAAAUUCUUUAAGUAAAAUUUAUGAAGUUUUUAACCAAAAAUGACUAAAUAAAAAUUAAAAUAAAAAAUCAAAACCAAUCGAUUAAAAUAUUCUGUUACAUAGAUCAAGUAUGCAAAAUUUGAAAAAAUUCAAAAAAAAAUUUAUAUUGUUUUAUAUAAACAUUUUUAGUAAAAAUAUUGAUAGAAUUUUUACCGUUAAAUAAAUAUUGAUCAAAAUUAAAUUAUAAAUAAUAUUUUUAAUAAUUUCUUUUACAUAUUAUUGAUCUUCAUAUUAAAUUCUAUCAAUCUGUCUGUUUUAAUUUUUUUAUUGAAGUUUUUAUUAAAUUAUUUUUAAGAAAAAAUUUUACAACCUUCACCUAAAAAACUUUAUGUAAGUUUUCUCCAAGAAAGUAUGUUAUUAUCUCUGGAACUUGGUUAGUAGUUUCUAUUGAGCUUAUGAGCAAUAGUGAUCUAGACGGGGAGAAACUUUUCAAUGUUGAAGAAAAAUUUCACCUUCUUACUACUAUUCGAGCAGGUAAAAGAAGGAAAAAAGUUAAGGCAAAAUAUUGGACAAGAUCCAAUCGCAAGUCUCGCCAGAUAAAGACAACUCUAGUUUCCAAUGUUCAAGAGCACUUAUGAGAUGAAGAUAUUCGUUGUCGAAAUAGAGCUUUUCUAGAAGAAUAUGAUGGUGGUUAUGAGGUUAAUGUUGGGAGUUUUAGCGUUUUGCUAUUUGUAUGCUUUUGGGAUAUGGAAGUACCCCUAUGUAAAAAGAAUCAUCGACCAUGAAAGUUGUUGUCUAUAUUUUUUUGAAAUUGUUGAGCUUUGGAGAUCAAUGGGGCAUCAGUUUGAUAAAAAAUUUUUAAAAAGCUGAAUGAUAUGGUAGACGUCAUGGCAAAGGUGGGUGGUGAUUUUGUCAUGGCAAGGGAUAGUGGUGUUUGCUCUCAUUAUUUGUUUACCGACCAUGGAAGUGUUUUUUUUUUUUUUUUUUUUUUUUUUUUUUUGUUUCUGUAUGGCUUUAACUAUGUUUCUUGGUUAGGUUCUUGUAUUUCACUGAUGAUGGUCAUUUGAUCUCUAAUAAAAAUAUGGCUUAGCAAAAAAAAAAAUUACACAACUAUUGCUUUUUAUUUCGUAAAAGAACAGUUAAAUUCCCUAAUUUGACAAACCAAAAAAACAGGAUAAAAGUAGCACUUAUUUUUAUUGCAUAUAAUAAAAAGAGAGCAUAUAAUUUACAACUAUUAUAAUUUAAAAUUAUGUAAAAUUUAUCAAAAUUUUAUAUGUAACCCAUAUUUAUAAGUGACGAUCCUUAUAUAAUAUUCUAUUGUGAUUAGAUAAUAAUUAUAAUAUUAUAGUAAAAAAAAACUAUAACUGAAAUGCUUCAGAUAAAAAGUUAGACAACUUUAAACAAAUCUAUGCAUUACAUUAAAACAAUCCGGUGACAAAAGCUUGGUAGUUAGAGAUGAAUUGGAAAUUGACAUGUGCUUGGAUAAGUGAAGAAUUUUUUUUAUUAAUUUUGAUGUUGAUUUUUUUUUGGAACGGGGUAUGAUUAAAAAAAAUCAUUAAUACUAUAUUUUAAAACUAUGGUUUUUGUUAAUUUUUUUUUAAAUUGUUUUUUGUCAAAUAUAAUUAAUCGCAAGUUUGAUCCUCAAUUACCAUAUAAACUUUACUCAUAUGUCUUAAAAGAAUGGGCUGACUAAAAAAUAAUAUAGGCUAAGUAAAUGUAUAAGCCUUAAUUUUUGUAUUAGAAGAGUGGACUUAAUAUAUAAUGUUAUAAUAAUUUUAAUCUAAUUUUAAUUUCCAUAUUUAAAUUUAUUAUUUAUAUGUAACAUAAUAAUGCUCAAAUUAAAAUUAUGUUAUCCAUUCAAUAAAAAUUUUAUAUUUUAGAAGAUUUAAAUUGAAUAUUUUAUUAUAAUAUUACAUCUUGUUAAUAAAUAAUAAAAUUAUAUUAAUUUUAAUACAAUAUUACAUGUUGUUAAUAAAUAAUAAUUUAGAAAACCUAUAAAAUGAAUUGACCUAAUGUCUUUAGGUAAUAAUAGAAAUUACAAAAUGGAUCAGUUACAAUUUAAUGAAACUUUAAAUUGGUGUUAAAACAAAAAUAUUUGAGGGAAUAAACACUAAAAAGUUUUUAAUUUGGUUUUAUUGACAUGGAAAGACUCUUUCUUUACCACUUCAAAUUAAAUAAUCAUUACAAUACAGGUUUUAAUUAUAAUUUUUUAUGCGAGUUAUAAUUUUAGAAUACACGUUUUUACAUGUACUUUAUUAUAUCAUAUUUUCAUUUUUAGAAUCUCUAUCUCUUUCUACUUCUCAUUUUUCUUUCUUUCAUUUUUUUUCUUCUUGCUAUUCAGGUUGUUUAAUUUUUUUGUUUUUCAAGUUUCAAAUGUUUUAGCUUACUUUUUGUCAUUUAUAUAUAAAACUAAACAAAUAUACAUCAUCUUUUACUGUUUUCAAUAUACAGAAUAUCAAAAUACAACAUUCAUUUUAAUUCCAUGCGGUGGGAAAAAAUGGAUAAUUAACAAAUAGCUCCAUUGAUCAAUUCUUUCCUCCCAUCAAAUUUAUUGUAUGUGACUAGCAUAUUUCAUUAUUUAAUAACUUAUUAAGAGCUAAUCAAACAUAUUCAUAUAAAUCUUGUAUGAUUACAGUUUAUAAACUUUUGAGUAUACCUAUAGAAUCUGAAUAUUAUUGUUUUUUACAACUUCGUUACGAUGAAAAUCAAAUAUAUUCAUUUGAAUCUUAUUUAAUUUAUCCCUCAUAAUGAAAAUUUGAAUUUCACAAUCCUUUUAAUAUAUACUUAACAGUUUUAAUCAAUUUAAUGAUACCUAUAUGAUUUAAUUUUUAUGAAACAUUUCACACAUAGCCAAUAAAACUAGCCCACGCGGAUACACACUACUAAGAAAUAUAAAAGUAAUAAAAUAGAUUGUUAAGUUUUUUAUUACACAAAAUAUAAAUUUUAAAUAUUUGCAGAUGAAUAAAUAUAAAAAUAUAAAAUAUAAUAAUACUACUUUAAGUUAGAUGUAACAAUAAAUUAAGUCGGUAUUAAAUUAAUAUGGGAGUAACAAUGUACGUUAAUAUUACUUUUUAUCACAUUAUAAACCAAAUCAAAUAGUUUUAUCGUAUAUAAUUGCAAUGGGAUAAUAACUAAUAGCCAUAUUACAUCACAAGUUUUGGGUACCUAUCCUUUUUCCACAUUGGCCAACUUUGUAGACUUAGCUAGUGGUGCGCAUCCCAGUUAGGGGCAUGAUUCCAUCAUAAAAUGUUUUUUAAAAAUUUUAAAAUAUUUUCUAAACGAUGGAAAUUUCGAUUUUCAGGUUUGGUUUUCAAAUUCUUUUGAGUCUUUGUUUUGCGUUCCCUAAUUUAAUUGGAAACAGUAUUUGAUUUUAAUAAGAUAAAAGAGGUUUGAAAAGACAUUUCUCAAGCCUUUCAAUGACACUUCAUUUUUUUAACAGUUUUCAUAAUUUUAUGAUUAUUUGUUUUAUAAUCCUAAACUAAACUUUUUUGAAACUAAAGUAAACAAUUUUAAACAUAAAUGUAAUGAAAUGUUUAUAAUGAAAUUACCUGAUAGACUAUUGUUUGCGAAACUAACUGCUUUCAAAGAAGAAAUGUUGAAGAUGGAAUGUGGAAUCAACCCACUUAAGCGCAUAGAUGAUGCAGCUAAUAUCUCCAAUGAAAUAAGAUUCCCAAUCUCCCACGGAAUUUCACCUACAAAGGAACAACAACUUAGUAUUAUAAAACUAUCCACUUUCUAAACAUUCCAAUAAUAUUGAGGUUAUUUAAAAUGCAAUAAAAGUCAAUUAAACAAUAAAUUCUUAAUUCCUUUGAUGUUUAAAAUAUGAAGGAAAACUUAAUUUCUUCAAUUCCAAAAGUUUGAGUCAAAAUGAGAAAAGCAUAAAAGAAAAUCAAAUGUGAUUAUUUUCAUGUUGAUCAUUCUUUUAAUUUUUAUUUUUUAGUUAUUUUUUUUAAUAUAAUUAAUAAAAAGUAUCAAUCAAUUGAAAUUUAAAUAAUCAAAUGCAAAAACUUACCUUCUAAAUCAUUAUGACUUAGAUAUAUCUCCUUAAGUUUGGUUAAAUUUCCUAUACUUCUUGGAAUGUGGCCUGAAAAUUCAUUGUCAGAAAUAUCAAGCACCUGAAGUUUGACAAGAGUAUAACACAUAUUAUAUGUAAUACUGCAAGAGAGACUGUGCUAUAGACAUAAAUUUCUGUUAAAGAAGAAAGGUUAUAGAUGGAAGCUGGGAUUGGACCAACAAGCCUCAGAUUUGGGGCAGAAAAUAUCUCCAAGCUCAAAUGAUUUCCUAUUUUCGAAGGGAUUUCACCCGUGAACAUAAAGAAACCAAGUUACAAGAGUUCAUUCAUAAUGAAACCAUUUGCUUGACAUUACAGUCAUAAUGAAACUAUUAAAGUAGAAUAAAAGCUAUGUUUUUUUUUUUUGCUUGGCAUUGCAUUCAUAAUGAAACUAUUUGCUCCAAAUUUUAUGAGAUUAUGGAUUAAAAUAAUUAAUUUAAUUUUCAUCUCAAACAUUAUCGUCAAAAGAUAAAUAUAUAUAUAUAUAUAUCGUGUAUAUAAAGUAGAAUAAAAACGUUUUUUUGCUUGGCAUGACAUUGGUAAUGAAACUAUUUGCUCCAAAGUUUAUGGAUGUAAAAUAAUUAAUUUAAUUCUCGUUCCAAACAUUAACAAGAUGUUGUUUUUUUUUUUUUGGGGCAUCUUUAACAGGAAAUCAAAAAGCUAUUUCAUUAGCAUAAAGGUUUAAUUGAUCCAGCAAUCUUGUUUUUUGCACAAGCGGAUCUUAUUGUUGGUAAGUUCGACCAGAAAAUAAGAUAUAAACUGUUAUAAUAUGAGCAAGAUCCAAGGCAAAAUCAUAUCCAGACAUGUUUUAGAGAAAUGGUAAAAUUUCAACGCUUCUUAGGAUAAACCACAUUGGUUUAUUCUGUAUUAAUUAGGACAUAUAAUAUUAUCAUUUUACAUUUUUAUUGAUGCUAUUGGUUAUAUCAUUGAACAAGGAUUUUUACCAUGGUUAUUGAUAAUGUACCCAUACUCAUCGUAUUAGCUAAUAUAUAUAUCAGUUUUGAAUCACAACACAUAAUAUUAUUGUUUUAUUUGAUCUUUGCAUCAGCCUGUAUGUAUCCAACGUACUAGUCCGUUUCAGUCAUACAAGUAAAAAAGUGAUAUUUUGAUUGAUAUAAAAUUUUGCCUCUUAUUUUAUCCUGUUUAAACUUUUUUAUUGUUCUAACUCUUUAAAUCAAUUCUUAAUUCUUUUGCUUUCAUCAUUAUUUUAAUUUUUUUCAUGAUUAAAUCCAAAAAUUAAAUGUUUCCAUUAAAUUAAACUAUUAAAUUUCUUUAAUGGUAAUUUAUUAUAUACUUAUUAUUUUUAUAGUUGUUUGAUUUAUUUAGAAUUUUGGGUGUUAAAUAUUUAGAAAUUUAUAGUAGUAUGAUUUUUAAAACUUGUAAUUGCAUAUGAAUAUGUAUGUAAUACAAGUGCAUUUGUGUGUGUAUAUAUAUAUAUAUUUGAUAGACAAAUAUUACAUAAUACCGAUAAAUCUAAAACUAUACAGUAAAAUAAUUUAAUUUCAGAAUAAAAUCUGUGCUCUCAAGGGUGUAUUUCCCAUUUAUAUUCUUUUGAGGAAUAAAACUGCUCAUCUUUAGUGAAAAGUGCUUUCAUCAAAUAACAAUUUCCUCUUUUCUUGUUGGAUUAUAAACGAACAACCAAAUAACAGAAAAUGAAAAGAAAAAACUAAAAAGACAUAAAUUCUUAACAGUUGAACAACGGGAUGAAAUUAAAGCAAUAACUUCAUUCACUUCUUUCUCUGAUUGACCAUCAUUUCUUUUAACCAAAUACUCAAAUAAUAGUACUGCAAAAUUAAGUGACCAAAUGGAUAAUUUAUCCAAAAAAAAAAAAAAAGGAAAUCCAAUGGGUAAUGUCAAAUGUGCUACAGCCCUUGUUAUGAGGGAGGGCAUUAACGCCAACUAAUUUAUUUUAGGCAUUUGUCCAAGCAUUUCAAGGAAAAGAGAUAGAUUCCUUAUGGUUUUUUUUUUCUUUUUCCUAAAUUUAAGAUACUCAUGGAAUACUGAAGAUUUUCAGCCAUGAAACUUGACUGGAGAAAAUAACAUGAGUUUCAUAGUUACUAUUAAUAGUAAGGAGUUUUAACUUGAUAUCAAUAAUUAAAUUAAAUUUAGCUCUUACUUUCAAAAAUAUAAAAGUAAUUCUUUUACAAUAAUUUUAAAUUAUCAAUUAAAGAAAGUUUAUUUUGAUAAAAGCUUCAAUGUUGAUAAGAAAAUAAAUAAAAUCAGUCAUAUUUUAAUUUAACAAGAAAAUCAUUAAUUAUAAAUAAAAUAUCUAAGAUAAUAAAUUAUCAAUGAUAUAUAUGUUGUUCACUAUUUACGCUUUCCAAUUUCGUUCUUUUAUAUAAUAUAUAUAAAUAAGAUAAAAAUAUUUUAAUUUUUACUACUGCAUUUAAUCACUUUUAAAGUUGAUACUUCUUAUAUAUAGAAGACAUUUUUAAUUUUGACUAUUUUCUUCUAUUUCUUGGCACCUUUUGAUUAAAUAAGGGCAAGAAAAAGCCAACAACUAAUUAAAAGGAGUCUUAAUUAACUUUGUUGGAGUCUUGGUUAAAGUAAAGCUAUUUUUAGUAGCAUAAAUUAGGGAGUUUUAGCUUGAAUCAUGUUUCACUAAAUACAAAAAUUAAUUAGCGAUCAAUCGAAAGAAAAUUAUCAAAGAAAAAACAAAGAGCUUACCUUCCAAAUUAUUUCCACUCAGGUAUAGCACUUUGAGCCUCGUUAAAUUUCCAAUACUCCUUGGAAUGCUGCCACUGAAUCUGUUUGAGUCUAAUCUUAAAUUUUGAAGACACCUGCAUUCAUCUAUACUUGAUGGAAUUUGACCAGAGAACUCGUUUAAGGUCAAGUAAAAUGCCUCAAGAUUUGGAAGAUGGCGACAUAUAUCUUCUGGUAAACUGCCAGAUAGACUGUUAGAUGUAAGAGAAAUCAUGUGUAGGGAGGAAAUGUUGUAAAUGACUGAAGGGACAGAACCAGAAAGUUGGUUAAAUGCCAGACGAAGUAUCCUUAGAUUUAUAAGAUUACUUAUCUCGGGCGGAAUGUGUCCUUGAACGAGAUUCUGCCUCAAGUCCAAGAUUUCCAAGUUGGACAUUUUAGCUAGUGAUUGAGGGAUUGUGCCUGUUAAAUUGUUGCUCCAGAGGCUCAAAUAUAAAACUUUAUUUAAUCUCCCAAACCAUGAGGGAAUUUCCCCACUAAGAAAAUUGAAGCUUAAUUCUAUGAGUUUCAGACGACUUAAUUGCCCCAACUCUGUCGGUAAAUGGCCAUGAAAAUUGUUGUGGCUCAAAUUAAGAGAUACUAAGAAUGAGAGAUUUCCCAAAUGUGGUGGGACAGUUCCUAUAAGAUUCAUGUUGGAAGAUUCAAAGAGUUGACUCUCCUAUGCUUAGAAGCGCAAGAGACACCAACCCAAUUGCAAACAGAGGUAGUGGUAGUCCAGUUAUUGGCUAAGAUGUUAUGAGGAUCAAUGAUUAGGUGCUUAAAUUCGAGAAGAGCAUGUUGGUCUGUGGUGAGGUUUCUCACAAUCAUGGCGUAACUAAUCAUCAAACAAUGAAUGAACAUUAAAGCUGAUGAAAGAAAAUGGAAUUUUCUCAUGUUCAUGGCUGUGGGAAUUGAUGAAAAUGCAGGAUGGUUUGAGGAAGUCUGCUCAAAGUAAUACUUAAAUAUAGAAUCAACUAGUCAACAUGACUGAGACUUCGACAGGAAAGUCGUUGGAUGGUCUUCGUCUUCACAAUAAAUAAACGAGUGAAGCUUUUGAUUUGGAAACUAAUUUAUCUUUUAGCAUCUCUUUUUUUUCUAUCUCUUUCUUUCUUUUUAUUCCUUGUCUUGUGCACUUUAUUAGGCCCCAUGACUCCACGUGUUACGCGAGAGUGUUGCAAAACAGUAAUCUUAUGUUAUUUUUAAACCAGAUGGAAUCAAUUUAAUUAAUGAAAUUACUUAAAAUUUAAGAUAAAAUAAUAAUAAUAAUAAUAUUAUGUAGGUACAGAUAUUUAUUUUUUAAAUUUGUUUUUGUAAAAAAAAAAACUACACAUCCAAUACAUCAAGUAACAUCUUUUAUUAGCUAACUUCCUUUUUUUAUCAAAAUAUUUUCUUUUUCACUCACAUAUCAGGUGUGUUAAAUCUAAAAAAUAAAAUUAAUUAAAUUAUUAAAUUAUUUUUAUAAAUAAAAUAUUACUAUGGUCUAUUUGUAAUGUGAGUUUUAGUAUUCAAUAAAAAUAUGCCAGGUAAAAAUUGCUCCUAUAUAUAGCAUAAUAGAUGAACCCAAUAGUUAAUGCUAUUGAAAUUAUUUAAAAAAUGGAAAUACUUCCAAGUUUGGAAACUUACUAGCUUUAGGAUCGUGUUUCAAUUCGGUUUUUAUUUUAUUAUUUUGUUAUUACUUAAACACUCGAGAUAUAAAUGUCAAUUAUAUGUAAUAAUAAUAUUUUAAUCAUUCUUUUAUAAAUAAUCAACUUAUAAAUAAAUUAGUAAACACAAUCUACUUCUAAUAAUAAUCCCAAAUUAAUAUUUAAUUAAUAUCAAUGCACCCUAAAAAUUUAGCAAAUGAAUUACUCAAAUAAGCAUAGAGAUAAAUUAAAUUAUAAAACUUUAAAAUUAACACAUCAAAUAAAUAAAAACAUAAAGCGUAAUUUUAUAUUUAUAAUAACAAAAAAAACCAUAAUAAGAGCUCAAACAUAAUGAAAAUUUUAUUCAACAUCUUAAAAUAAGUCCAAAAUACAACUCUCAAUUUCUCUCAUAAAAUGUCAAAAGUACCCAUAAAAUUGAAUAAAUUCUUUCUAUGACCCUUAUGAACAUGUGUCAUCACCACAUCUAUCUGUAACUAAUUUUUAAUUUAUAAUGAAAGGUGUUAAAUCGAUUAUAAUUUUGUAAAAAUUUUUUUCUAAGAUAAUAAUAAUGAUAAUGCUGUUAAGAUACAAUACAAUCUAAAUUUUUUUUGCUAAAUAAAUUUAAAUUUAUUUUUAAACUAAAAUUGUGAAUAUAUAUAUAUAUAUAUAUAUAUAUAUAUACAUACACUAAUGGUAACGUGAUUGAGUUGUAGUCAUGAGUUAACCAAUUGGUAAAUUUACAAAGUUAAAAUAGAAUAACAAUAUAAAUUUAAGAUUUAAAAAAAACUUUUUUAAUCUUAUUCAAAAAAAGCUACCCACCCAUAAAGUAACAUCCUAUAAAAAAUUAAUUUUUAAUGAAUUUUCUUUGCCCCAUAUGAGUAUAUUGAAAUUUGGUACUUCUAUUAAAUAUUUUAUUGAUACGGUCCAAAAUAGAUUUAGUAAUUCAUAUAUUUGUAUUAUGUCAAUAUCAUUAUAUACAUAUAAAAUAUGAAAGUUUUCAUAUCAAAUUAAUGUUGAUAAAUCAAAUAUAAAAUACUUUUUUUUGUUGUUGUCAAAUCCACAGAAUUUUGUCAAAACUUUAAAUAAUAUCACUUUCACAUAUUUUUUCGUAUAAUUUUAAUCUCAUGUGAUCGUAAUAUUAUCACAUAUAUAUAUAUAUAUAUAUAUUGCAAAUGAUUCCACCUAAUGCAAGCAAUUCUCUUUCCAAUUGACCCUAACUAAGAAAUUUUGAAGUCAGAAAAGCAAUUGACUUUGUUGCAAGAGCAAGGAUUAAUCUAAACCUUACCAAAUCAAAGCAACCACUAUUUUUUUUUUAAAUCAAAGCAACCACUAUUAUUAUUACGACAUUAACAUGUGAAUUUGUAUAGUUUCCAAAAACAGUAUGGUCUUCUUUUAACUGCGUUCCGAUCUUUUAAUAUUAUAUGUUGAAUUUGAUUACUUUAUUAUCAUACUUGGGUUGUUAAAUAAUUGAGCCUGGGUGUAAAACCUCCUAAUUUGUAACCACUACUUUUUUAAGGUAAGGAAAAUUAAAAGUAUUUAUUACCUAAAUAGGCCAUUUUUAAAUUAUUUUUUCUUUUCAAAGAGGUUUUUUUUUUUUUAAUGGAAUGUCAAUUUUUAUUACCUAAACAGGUAGUCCAAUACUUCUAUAAAAUCUUUGGAUGAAUUUGAUAUCACCAGGCAAUUGAUACCAACAGCCUCGGUCUUCACAAUAAAUAAAAUAAGUCAAGCUUUUGAUUUUGGGCCCUCUAAUUCGCUUUUGAUCUCCUUUUACAAAGCAUAUCUAAAACCAAUAUAUCUUUUUCUCUUUUUUUUUUUGUGGUAUUCAUUGCACUUACACACUUUGUGAGACCCAACUAGUCAUUUCUCCUUGACUCCGCGUUUCACGCCAUGGACUUGUAUGAAAUUGCAGGCAGUCAUUCUUUUAUAUAAACAUAAAUAUAAAUUAUAUAUAUAUAUAUAUUUCUAAGAGAUAUAAAUUAUAUUAGGAUAAUUGAUCAUUGAUAAUAUUCAAUAUUAAAAAAAAAUUUAAAUUUUAAAAUACAAUAUCGUACUCAAACUCCAAAUAAAAGUGAUCUAAUUAUUUUUGAAAAUAUAUUUUCAAAUCAUGAAUUUAUAGAAUAUGAAAAUAUUAAAUUAAUAUGAUAAUAUCAUAUGAUUUUUCCUUUACUUAACAUUCUAGUUACUUUCAGUGGUUAGUAGAAUAUAAAAAGUUUUCAAAUGAAUUUCAUUUAUAAUCUUUUUUCUUUCAAAAAUUCAUUUUUAGUAUUAAUUAACGGAAUAUGGAAAGAAUGAAGUUAAUGUAAUAAUAUUUUUAAACAAAGUUAUAAAUUAAAAUUUAUUUAAAAUUUGCUAAUAUAUGGGACCAAAUAUUUAAUGAAAUUCUUUUGCAUUUUCAUUUUACCCUUCAAACAAUUCAUAAAAUUAUAUAAAAAAACGAUAUAUUUUUCACAUUUAUCUUUUUAAUUUAGUUCAAAAUUUCUCUUGAUUUCAUUUAUUUCAAAUUUAUCCAUUAAUUCCAUCGAUAUCUUUAAAAAUCAAUAAAAUUUGCUGCCUUGAUAUCAUGUAACUGUUGGCAUAAAUUUCAACAAAAAAAGUUAAAAGGAUCUUUUUUUUUUUUUUUGCCAUAUGAACAUUGUUUAGGCUCACUUUUUUAGCACAAUUUUUUACUUAAUAUGUACACAAAUUCAAAUAAGUAUAAAGAGAUUUGGGGACAUAUGGAGUGUUAGUUUCAAUUCAACCCUAAUACAAGUUUAUGAUAGUACCAUAUAUCAAAGCCGUGAUUGGUGUAAUCCAAAACUAUGCAAGUAAUUCUUUCUCCAUGAGAGAGACAAAAGAAGUAUCAAUAAAGUUAUUUUAUUUUUCGCACACAUUAAAGCAGAUAAAGGAAUCUAGUCAGAAAAGCUAACGACGUGUUCUAAGCGCUAGGCCAUGCAUCAAUCCAAGUCAUCUUGCUUUCCACAAACCUCAAGCAGACCAAGAAAUUUUAAAUCAGGAAAGCUAUGAUCAUUUCUAAACGCAGGGAUCAAUCAAUUUAUCUUGGUUUCACACACAUCAAGGCAGACUAAGAAAUUUAGGUGAAGAAUUAAAGCUAUCAAAUGCAAGGAUCAAUCAGUAGGGUCUUGGUUUCACACACGUCAAAUCAGACAGAGAAUUUUCAAGUCAGGAAAGCUAACAAUCGUUUUCUAAACGCAAGACCAAUGAAAUGAUCUUGAUUUUACACACGUCAAAGCAGACCAAGAAAUUUUAGGUAAAGAAUUAAAGCUACCAAAUGCAAGGAUCAAUCAGUUCUCUUGCUUUUCUCCUCCAUCCAAAGCAAAUUAUUCUGUUAAUCAGUCCUUGGUUAGGUAAUUAAAUAGUUGAGGUUGGGUUUAAAAGCUUCUAAUUUAUAAUUUUUUUAAGGUAAGGUAAAUUAAAAUCUUUAUUAUCAAAAGAUAGUAGUUUUUAAUUUUUUUUUUCUUUAAAAGAUGUAUUUUUUAUAUAAAAGAUGUCACAACUUAAAUAUUGAAAAAAAUGUAAAUAUUGAAAUUUAAAUUUCAAAUGCAAUCUCUUAAGCACCAAAUGAAUUUAAUUUUAAAAUUAUAUUGGUUAGCCAACUCGCUCGAAUCUGAAAGUCAUCUUAAAUUUAAAAGGGCUUCGACAUAAAUUUUAAAUUUGUUAAAUAGACCUGAACUUAAAUUUUAGACCUGAUUAAGAAAUAUACUAGGUUUUGGACAUAAAAUUUACAAUUUAAACUUGACCAGGCCCAAAUAAUUAUUAUAUAUUUUUAUAUUCAUAUUACAUAAAAAUAAAGAAAAUUAAAUAUAAUAUAUACAUUAAUAUCCUAUGUCUAUAUAUGUUAAUCACAUUCAAAUACUGAAUUCAGUUAACAAAGUAUUUUUUAGGCUUUAUUUUGUUGAUUAUUUAUUUUAUCAUAAUUAAUAUUUAUUAUAAAAAUUAUUUUUUAUUUAAAAAAUAAAAUAUAGGCAGGCUUAGGUAAAGUCUUUUAAAAAUUAAUUAGGCCUCAGCAGCAAACUAGGAUUAUAUUUUGGGAUGGACGAGUCUAAACAAACUUGAAAUUUGUUAAUAUCCUAACUAGGCUAUGUUCAAAUAUGAUCCUACUCAAUUCAUGUAUAAAUUUAAUUAUCAGUAUCAUGUGUUCGUACCUAAAUUGCCAAUAUGAGAGCAAAGAUCAUUUUAUUUCUUUUUCUCUUUCUAAUGUAUUUAAUUAAUGAUUUUAUUAUACUACUUGAAAAAUUAAUAUUAAUGUUAAUUUAUGAAAAUUUUUAACCAUAAAAGAAUUAUGAAAAUUGGAAGAAGAAAAAAGAUAUCUCCAUCUCCACAUUGAGAAUUUUGUCAUGUAAACACUAUUUUACCGUAAUACUAGAUUUUUGGUUCUUGCUUUACAAUAUUACUUUUUUUUUUAAAGAAAAAAAAAGAUAUUUAGAAUUCGUUUGGUUUGAUUGAAUUUUUUUUUUGUUUUUUGUAAAAAGUGUUAAAAUAAUAUUUGACCAACAUAAUGCAAAAAUGCUCUAAAACAUAAAAAAAACAAUUUAAUAAUAUUUUUAUAUAUUUUUAUUAAAUACAAAUUAAAAGGCUUAACUUUAUAAGCCAAACCAAUAAAUAAAACAAAGAUAUAUUUUAUUAAUUAGAAAUUGAAAAAUAAAUGGGAUUAAUAGAAAUUUGGAUCAAGUAAAAAAAUAUGUAUGUGAAAUAAUUCAUUUUUAUUAUUUUAUGAAGUAUUAACAAAUAAAUUGAGAAUGUAAAAAGGAAAAAAAAAAAAACUAAGCAAUAUAUUUGUUAUUAUACAAUAACACUUUUGAAAGGUUUUAACUUAUAAAAUCUUUUGAAAGGCCAAAUGGGCUUUGAUUAAUAAUUUUAAAAUUUUGAAAGUAAAACAUCUUAUUUAUAUUUUUGUUGUAAAAAACUCUAGAAUAAACUAGAACAAACACAUUUAGUAAUACAUAUAUAUAUAUAUGUAUAUAUAUAUAUUAUAUUUAUAUUUAUAUGUAUGUGUUUUUAAAAUAGUUCUUCAAAGCUGCAAGAGUUUCUUUUAAUAAAACACUAGCAUUCGAGAUUUCACUUCGGUUGUGGUCAUAAUUAUUAGGAUCAAAUUGGAUUGUCGAUCAGAUCAAUCGAAUUGAUCAAUUGAUACCUGAAUUAGUUUGAUUUUAAUAAUAGACCUAACUUACAAUUAACCUACUUUAAACCAUAUUGAACCAACGGUUGAAUAAAUAAAUUACUGAACUAGUUAGUUUUUAUUGAAUCAUUUUGGUUUUUAUUUUUUUAAUGACUUUUAAAAAUUAUGAUUAAUUUAGUUUUAUAAUCAAAAGUAUGGAUUAUUGUAUUAUUUAAUUAAAAUAUUAUAUUUUAAAUUAAAUAGAUAAUAAAAAUUAAAAUCUAAAUAAUUAAAUGGUAUUAUCCAUUCUUACACGUUAUGCACAUUAAAGAAUAGCUUAAUAAAAUUUAACUCCUUUCUCAUUUAUAUUUUUAGGUGACACACUCAUAUCACAAAACUUGGCUAAAAUUUAAAACUUUAAUUAUCAACUUGGAGCUUGAAUUUGUUUUACAUCAAAUAUCAUCAAGUUAAAGGUAAUUUUAUUUUAUUUCAUUUUUGAAAUUUUAUAUUUUAAAUAAGCUUUCUCUUUUUAAACAAUUUUUUUAAAGUUUUUUAGAAUAUUUGUUUUUUUGGGGUUUUUUAAUAAUACAGUCGAAUUAUUCAAUUAGUAUUUUCAGAGUUUGAGUUAUGAGUUUGAAUUUUAAAUUUAUUUUUGUAAUUUAAGUUUAUUAUACUUUUUAAAUACAUAUACUUUUUUUACACUUAUUAUAUUCUAUUAUAUAUUUUAAUUUUUUAAGUUUGAAAUUAUCUACAAUAGAAUUUUAUUAUUUAUACAUAAUGGAUUAAAUUUUAAAAAUAUUUAUAUAUUUAUAUAUCUUUAUUAGUUUAACAACUAACUUGGUUGAGCCAACAGUUGAACCAAUGACCCAAUGCUUGGAAUAGUUUAGUAUCCAGUUUUGAUUCUGAUAAUUAUGCGUGUGGUUACUUUUAUAUAUCAAUUUAAUUAAAAAAUUAUUUUUGUUAAAAAUAUAUCAAUUUAAUUAAAAUGAUAACAUUUUUUUGUUAAAAAAUAGAUAAUAAUUUACCACAAUUUUGGGAUUAACCCAAAUCAAGAGAAGUCCAAGAAAAUUAGGCUUGUUAAGUGGACUUGGAACUUAAUUUGCUUCAGUUGUUAGGUUUUUGAAAAGGAAAAACAAGUUCUAGUUCUGAAUCCAAGCCUACAUAUUGAUACUUUUUUCAGUACAAUAUAAAAACUCAAUUUUUUUAUAAUUCAUUUUUUCCCUUUACUUCUAUUUUAAAUUCAUCCUCUUUUUAAAAAUACAAUCAUCCACCUAGACUACUUGAUUUUCGAUAUCGACCACCAUCAUCAAUGCCCAUUUUCCAUUGUUGUCAUUGCUCUUUGACACUAAAAAUCACCCAAAGUUUCAAAAAAAGAUUUUCUCAUGCAAUGUGUCAAUAUAUGUGGCAUUUUUUAGAUGCCUUGUGGCACUUGAAAAUCACUUCUUUCUUAUCUACUUUUCCUUUUGUUUUUCUCUUCAUUGAAACGAUGUAGUUUUAAUACAAAAUAAAUAAAAUUAGUCUUAAAAACACUAAACACCAUCUUUUCUUUCUUUUCUCUCAUUCUCAUCACAUUACCUUUUCUCAUCGUCAGCCUUUUUUUCAUAGCUAUCACUGUUGUUGACCUUUGUCUUGUUACAUUUGUCUUGUUGACAAUAGCUCUCUUUUCUCUUUCAUUUUUUUCUUUUUUUUAUUAGUGAAAAUCGAAAAAUCCCAAUCUCCCUCACAUUAUCUUCUUUCAUGGGUGGCCUUAGAUCCUAAAAAAACAAAAAGACAGAAAAAAAAAGCUAAAUGAGGGUAUGAUGUGGACACCAAUCAUUUUUUCUUACAAAAUUUAACAUAUGAAAUUUAAAAAAUAAAAACUAAAAAAAUAGGUUGAAAUGAAAAAAAAAUUUGAGUGUCACGUUAAUACCUUUAUCGAUAUCUUUUUUAUAAAAUUAUCUAAUUAAGAAAAGGACUAGAAAAGUAUUUUUUAAUCACUAAUAUCAAAUAGGGCCCAUAUCAAUUUUUUUAAAAUAAAUUUUUUUAUUAAGUAUAGAGAAAAAAAAGAAAAAUAGAAAAACAUAAAAAAAGAACAAAGAAAAAAAAGCAAAGGUGACAUGCGGCAAAUUCUAUGAAGAGUUAACAUGAGAAAAUUAAUAGCAUUAUUACAAAUUAUAGGAUGGAUUGGAUUUUAGACAUUUUAGUUUAUUUUCUAAGUCAAUAUAGGAUUUUAGAAGGGGGCAAAUAUUGUUGUUAUUUAACAACAUAAUAUAUUUUUUUGAAAUUUAUUAUUUAAAAUUUUCAAUUUUAAUUUUUUACUAUAAAUUGAUAUGCAUAAAAAGAUUGUGAGAUAUUUUUUGAAUAGAACCAAAAAAUCUUUUAAAAUGUAAAUUAUAAUCUACAAAAUAAAAUUAGAUUCGAAAGUAUGACUAUGCAUGAGUAUGGUUAUAUCACUCUCAUAAAAUCUAUUCAAAUGAUGGUAUCAGAUUAAUUUUGUAUUAUCCAAGCUUUAAAAUUCUUACCAAAUGAUUAGUUAUUAGAAAUUAUACUUAAAUUACUCUAAUACAUUGGUAAUAAUUUAAAAACAUUUCCUUACCUCAAAACUAUUUAAUAAGAUUAUUUGUCACGCUUUAAAAAGAUAUCAUCAUUGUAUUCAUUUAAAAUUUAUAAGAAAAUUUUUUCUUCAACACUAAAUGGGAUUUAGAACCUUAAUAUAAAAAAUUCUUAUCUUAAUUCUCUAAUAUAUUGGUAUAAUUUAGAAGAAGAUUCUCACUUAGGAAUUUAGAUAGAAACUGUUGUUUGCAACACUUUAGUAAUUCUAUUAUUGGAGAUUCAAAUUUUAAUUUUUUAAAAGAAUUAUUUUUUAGAAAUAUCUUUCAAUAUUUAGUAAGACUUUUUUUCAAAAUUAUCCUCAAUAUGUUGUAGGAUUUUAUGAAAACUAUUUAUUUUAUUUUUUUAACUUAAUUUUUGCCUAAAAAUCAAUAAAUUUUUUAGAUGUUGGUAAAACCUUAUUUUUUUAGAUUUAAAAAAAAUCACAAACCCCCAAUAUGUCGGUAAGGUUUUUAUUUUUUUAGAAUAAAAAACUUAUUUUAAAAAAAAAUUUUUCCGUGUUGAUAGGAAUUUCAUUGGAUUUAUUGGUCAAAAUUUAUUUUUUCAAACCAAUAAAUAUUCAAAUAUGUUUGUAAGAUUUAUUUUCCAAUGUUGACUUCUUUCAAGAUCUAGAUUUUUUUCUUUUAUUUGUUUUUUUUUUGGUUUGGGGAGGGCAUAAUCCUUAUAAGGGGGGAAGGAGGAGGAGAUCUUACUUCGAAACCAAGACUUUAUGUUUUUAUAAAGUUUUCUUAACCACCAGACCAAGAGACGGAGGACCAAGAUCUAGAUCUUUGUAAUAACCAAAACACAUGUGUAAAUGGUGUUUAUUACUGGGUGGUGCUCAAGUUUCUUCAAUAUUCUAAUGCCCUUACAUUUGACUUGAGCGAUGAAGUUUUUCAAUUGAUUAGAGUGGCACCUAUUCCCGAACAUGAAUCAAUUGGGCAGCUGCUUCCAUUUACCUGAUGAUCGUAUCUCUUUGUGGAUUUUGCAUUCUGACGUGGCCAGCAGAAGUAAUGACAUUUGGGUGAUGAACGAAGAGAGUCGAUAUUGACCAAAACUGUUAAGGAUUGGACCUCCUUCAUGCUUGCGUUUGGAAUAAGAAUGGUAAUAAGGUAUUUGUAGAAUUUAUAAAUGGCAACUGUUGAUUUACGACCUUGAUGACUAGGAAUUCAGAGAUAUUUGGGAUUAAAACCAAGGAAAGCUUAUGUCUUCUUGAGGUUUACACUUACGAGGAGAGUCAUGUUGUUACCAGCAGACGAAUGGCAAAUACUACUGCAUAGAUUUUGAUUGACUUUUUUCCUACUUGCCUAUGUCAAGACUAUUUAUUAUAGUUAUUCGUGCACUUGGAUUUUCCUUUUUUUUUUUUCUUUUAAUUUAAAAUAAUCAACUCCCAGCCAAAAGUGUUAAAUCUCAGCUGCCUUACCCCCCACGCCUUUCGGUAAAUCUCUGCAAUCAAAAAAGAAGGAAAAACGAAACCUCACAAAGAUGUUACAUGAAAUAGAAGAUAACCCUGAUCGUCGAUAGCUUUAAUUUAGAAAAUGGAGAUAAACAUAUAAAGAAAAAUCCACCAAGGGUAAAGCAAUCGCAAACUCAGAGCCAAAUGUUCAGAUAUGCGUAUGGUCAAAUAGAGGAGAAAGCUCUCCAGGAGCAGAACAAGAACUUGACCUUCUCCGGGGUGAUUUCAAUGGCCAAUGACAUUGAUAUGAGAAAGAGUCGUACUCAAAGAUUUAGCCAUCACUUAUGAAAGGAAAAGCAAACAUUUAAUGAGAUGUGUAACUGGGAAAUUAUCGCCUGAUCGAGUUUCAGCUGUUCUGGGUCCAUCUGGGGCUGGAAAAACGUUUCUUUCAUCUUUAACUGGAAAAGCACCAGGUCGCGUCAUGACCAGUUCGCUUCUUAUAAAUGGACAGGUUGAGCCAAUCCAAGCAUAUAAGAAAAUAAUUGGUUUUGUUCCACAAGAUCAUAUCGUUCACGGAAACUUGAUAGUGGAGGAAAAUCUAUGGUUCAAUGCUAGAUGCAGAUAUGCUACACUUAUUCUGUCAUGCAUGACACCUUUAAUUUUUUAUUCCUUUAGGGUGUUUUAAUUUUUUUUUUUUUUUGUUUGAUUUUCUACUUGCAACUGCGACAUUAGAAAAUAUUCUACACUAAAAAGCACUUUCUCGAUUUCCCCUGAUCACUAAGAGGAUUCCUAAUUAUUUUAGACUUGCUGCUGACCUUCGAAAACCAGAAAAGGCUCUAGUUGUUGAAAGAGUCAUCCAGUCCGUGGGAUUGCAGCCUAUGAGGGUUUCUCUAGUUGGGACAAUGGAGAAGAGGGGAACAUCUGGGGGUCAAAGGAAACGGGUAAAUGUAGGGCUGGAAUAGAAAAGAUCAUGGAACCUUCACUUUUGAUAUUAGAUGAACCAACAUCUGGUUUGGACUGUUCAUCUUCCCAAUUACUACUUCGAGCUCUUAGGCGUGAAGCCCUUGUAGAAGUAAACCAGCCAAGGUGAGUUUAUUAUCACCGGAAUGUUUAAUUUUAUGCAAUAUGCUGGUUUCACCCAGGAGUAAACAUAUGUAAAUAAGUAUGUAGCUGAAAAUAAUGGAUACCAAUUUCCUUUUUGUUGCACUUCAGUUAUACCUUGUUCAGGAUGUUCGAUGAUUUGACACUUCUAGCAAAGGGUGGACUUACAGUAUAUCAUGGAUUAGUGUCGUAAGAGUAUUUUGCUGGCCUAAGAAUUAAUAUCCCCAAACGUACUAAUCCUCCAGCAGCAGCAUCCGGUGAAAAUCCAGCUCAAGGAGAAAGUGCACAUGGUCCUGGCCGGAAGCACACUCCUUUGCUGGCGACUUGUGGCAGGAUGUGAAAUGUUCUGUUUGAGACAAAGAAGGACGACUUACAACAUAAUAUCCUCAAGUCCAUUAACUUGUCACAAAGAGCAAUGCCUGGUGUAUUUAAGCAGUAUAGAUACUACCCCGGAAGGUAGAUGUUGAAUCUCAUUUAUAAACGUUUUUGGAAUUACUAGGAAUUAUAUCUAUCAAUUUAGAAUUCUAUUAUUUUAUUUAAUUUAAACCAAAAAAAAAAUAGAAGCCUAACCAUUACAUGGGAGCAUUUCACUUAAAAUUAUUGAAAUACAAUCAAUCGAUCAUAAUUUAUAAUUUUGUAGAAUUCAUUAAUAUUUUAUGUGAGAUUUACACUUUUAGCGAUGGGUUUUUACAUAAUUUUUAUUAUGAUUGGGUAAUUAUAUAAUUGUAGUAAAAUACUUUUAUUAAUAUAAUCUCUAGUAAAAAUAAUUGUAAGUGAUAUAAUCUCCCAUAAUGUGCAACAUACAAUAAAAAAGAAUUAGUAAAGAUCAUAACUAUCUGGUUAAAAUUAUAUCAAUAGAAAAAAAAUGGGUUACACACAUAUUUGAUCGUGAACAUUAUAUUUUCUAUUACAUUGAUACCUAAAGAAUUAUAAUACCACAUUGAUACUUGAACUUUCAAAUCCAUUAUUACAUUGAUAUUUCAAACUAACGCUGUCAGUCAACUUUACUGAUGUAAUAUAAAUAUCUAACAAGAUGCUGAAACGUAUGAAAAAUAUUUAGUCAAUGUCACAUUAUCAAUAUCAUGUCAUCUUUAAAAUAAAAAAUUCAAAAAAAUUUAAAAGUGAAAAUUUUUCAAAAUUUCUAAAAAUUUUUCAAAAGUUCUAAAAAACUCAAAAAUAAAAAAAUAAAAUUUCAAAUAUUAUAGGAAAUUCAAACAAUUCUAAAACAUUUUUAAAAAUCUGAAAAUUUUUCAAAAAUUCUAAAAUAAUAUCAAAAAAUUUUUAGAAAAUUCUAAAAAAAUUUUCAAAAAGAAUUUAAGGAAAAUUUUAAAAAUUAAAUUUUGUUUAAAAAUUUCCAAAUUUAAAAAAAUCCAAAAAAUUAAAAGAAUAAAAAAUGAUGAUUUUAAUAAAAUUUAAGAACUUGUAAAAUUCAAAAAAUUAACAUAAACUAAAAAAAAAAACUAAAAUCAUAAGCUUUUUUGAAAAAAUAUAUUAAUUUUUAAAAUUUUUUUGAAAAAUAUCUAAAAAAAAUCUAUAUUUUUAAUAUUUUUUUAUCUUACAAUUUCAAUUUUUAUAUUUUUUAAUUUAUUUUUUUUGAAAAAUUUUGGAUUUUUUUUGAAAUUUUAAGUUUUUUUAUUUUAUAUUUCUUACUUUUAAAGAAUGUUUCAAAAUUUCAAAUUAUUUAAUUUUUAAAAUUAAAAUUUUUUAGGUUUUUUCUUUUGUCUUCAGUCUUUUAAAUUUUUGUGAUUUUUUAAACUUUAAGAAAAUUUUAUUUUUAGAAAUUUUAAUUUUAUUAGUUUUUCAAAAAUUUUAAAAAAUUUUCAAAUUAUGAUAAUUUUUAUAAUUUAUAAAAUAUUUCAUAUUUUUUAUUUUUUAUGGAUUUAAAAAUUUUAUAAAUUUUUACAAUUUUUUAAUUAUAAUUUUUUUGAAUUGUUUAUAAUUUUUUAAAAUUUUUGAGAAAUUUAAAAAUUAAUUUUUAAUAUUGAAAAUUUUUUUUGAAUUUUUUAAAAAAAUUUUAGUAUUUUUAUAAUGUUUUGAAGUUAAAUUUUUUUUAUAAAUUUUAAAAAAUUUUAAAGUACUUUUUUGGUAUUUUUAUCAAAAUUUUUAAAAGUUUUUUGGAACUGUUUAGAAUGUUUUUAAGUUUUUAAAAUUUUUUUGAAGUUUUUAAAAUAUUUUAGAAAAUUUUAAAAUUUUAAUGAUUUUUAAAAAAUUAUAAAAAAUUAUAUAUUUUUUAAAAAUUAAUAUUUUUUUGAAAAUUUUUUUAUUUUUUUUGAAAUUUUUUUUAAAGAUGAUGUGGUAUUGACUAAACUUUUUUAACACAUACCAGUAUCUUAUUGGAUGUCGAUGCCAUGUCAGCAAAGGUACUAACGGCAUCAGUUAUAGGUUUUAACUUGAUAAUAGAAUAAAAAUUUAGGUACCAAUGUAGUUGUAUAAUUCUUUAAAUACCAAUAUGACAAAAAAAUAUAAAAUUUAAAAGUCAAAUAUAUACUUAACCCAAAAGAAAUAGAUAGAGAUCAUAACUAUAUGGAUAUAAUUAUUAUAUCAAAAUUAAUUUAGUUUGUUAGCUUUAUUCAAAAUUUGAUUCCAAGGAGAAUAUAUAUUUUUUUAUACAAGGUCCCUCAAGCCUGAUCCCAAGCGCCUUUUUGUUUAUUUGACUAUUAAGUAAUAGUUAAUUAGAUAUGGUUUGUUAUGUUUUCAAAAGUUAGUGUUUUAUUUUUUUUUAAUUUUAAAAAUGACUUCUAGAUGUUACAAGAGAAAGAUUUCGCACAGGAAAAGUUCAUGAAAAGGAUACAAUGUUCAAAAAGAUAGUAGAAAUAAUCUCCUAGGGCAUAUUGGAUACAACAAAGAGCAAUUUUUGCCAGAGUCAGGAAUGUCUAAUACUAUUCAUUAUUACACAGUUUUGCAGGUCAUUUCUUAUAACCAAGGAAUAAUGUUACAAUUAAGAUUAUAGUGAAAUAUUCAAUAUACUAUUUAAUCUUUAAAUAUUUUUAAUGUUAUAGUUAAAUUAUAAAUUUAUUAAUUAAUGUGAUAUUCGAAGUACUAUUUGUCAAUCACAUAUUAUUAUUUAGAAUUAAAGAUAUAAGAGUAACACAUUAAUUAAUAUAUUUAUAAUUCAGUUAUUACAUUAAAAAUAUUUAAAAUUUAGGUACUAUAUUAAAUAUUUUAUUAUAUUUUAAAGCAAUUCAUGACAUUAAUUAUAUAACCAAUGUAGCCUUAUUGAAAAUGGUAGUCUGUUCUAUUGGCUUCCUUGGGACCAAAGGAAAAUAAGAACAUGUUAAGUUUAUGUUGAAUCUCUUGAUCGAGUGAAGAUAGGAAUUUGACUUAUACAUAAACACUUUAAGCAAAAAUUGAAAACUUUUAAGGAAUUGUUGAAAUCGACAUACAACAUUAUUAAAGUUUAUGAGCGAUAAAAAUUGAUCCACAAGUUAUGAAAGCAAAACAUUUGUUUUUAGAGAUCUCACUUAAGGCAACAGGUUUGGUAUAAUUUAAACCUUCCAUUGUUAUUGGAUUCUUAUGUGAUUUUUUUUUAAAGUUACUUUUACGGACUUUGUUGUAUCCUUAACCAAUUUGAAUCAGAAGUUGAACGUGAAACUAGAGCAAGGUGUAAAUUCAACCUUGUGCUCACCAGAGUUGCCCAAGUUAAUUAUUGGUAUAAGAGUCCUGACAGCAAACAUUUUUGUGGACAACGCAGCAUACAAGGACUUGAUUUUUCAAACAUUCACAUUUCAUCCAUGGACAUCGAGAAUGCAACUGUAGUAAUGGUAAGAUUUCUUCCUAUNNNNNNNNNNNNNNNNNNNNNNNNNNNNNNNNNNNNNNNNNNNNNNNNNNNNNNNNNNNNNNNNNNNNNNNNNNNNNNNNNNNNNNNNNNNNNNNNNNNNNNNNNNNNNNNNNNNNNNNNNNNNNNNNNNNNNNNNNNNNNNNNNNNNNNNNNNNNNNNNNNNNNNNNNNNNNNNNNNNNNNNNNNNNNNNNNNNNNNNNNNNNNNNNNNNNNNNNNNNNNNNNNNNNNNNNNNNNNNNNNNNNNNNNNNNNNNNNNNNNNNNNNNNNNNNNNNNNNNNNNNNNNNNNNNNNNNNNNNNNNNNNNNNNNNNNNNNNNNNNNNNNNNNNNNNNNNNNNNNNNNNNNNNNNNNNNNNNNNNNNNNNNNNNNNNNNNNNNNNNNNNNNNNNNNNNNNNNNNNNNNNNNNNNNNNNNNNNNNNNNNNNNNNNNNNNNNNNNNNNNNNNNNNNNNNNNNNNNNNNNNNNNNNNNNNNNNNNNNNNNNNNNNNNNNNNNNNNNNNNNNNNNNNNNNNNNNNNNNNNNNNNNNNNNNNNNNNNNNNNNNNNNNNNNNNNNNNNNNNNNNNNNNNNNNNNNNNNNNNNNNNNNNNNNNNNNNNNNNNNNNNNNNNNNNNNNNNNNNNNNNNNNNNNNNNNNNNNNNNNNNNNNNNNNNNNNNNNNNNNNNNNNNNNNNNNNNNNNNNNNNNNNNNNNNNNNNNNNNNNNNNNNNNNNNNNNNNNNNNNNNNNNNNNNNNNNNNNNNNNNNNNNNNNNNNNNNNNNNNNNNNNNNNNNNNNNNNNNNNNNNNNNNNNNNNNNNNNNNNNNNNNNNNNNNNNNNNNNNNNNNNNNNNNNNNNNNNNNNNNNNNNNNNNNNNNNNNNNNNNNNNNNNNNNNNNNNNNNNNNNNNNNNNNNNNNNNNNNNNNNNNNNNNNNNNNNNNNNNNNNNNNNNNNNNNNNNNNNNNNNNNNNNNNNNNNNNNNNNNNNNNNNNNNNNNNNNNNNNNNNNNNNNNNNNNNNNNNNNNNGGAUGCAUUGAGGGCUGUCAAAUUUCUAAAUGGUUAGCUCCUGAGUUAUUCCACUCUAUAUGUUCAAAUGGCAAGGUAUGAUCAAAGGUCUCAUGCUAGUUCCAAACCCACCACUCACCACGUGGAAAAAGGUGUUAGCUGCAUAGAAGACUUUAAAGAUGGACGAUCUUAUGCAGAGGGGUUCAUAUGUCUGUCAAAUCCACUCAGUUAAAGGAUAAUAUUGUAUCAGAUGGUCAAAAAGAAGAGGUUUUAAAAUCGCUUAACAUCCUUGAAUACAUUCCUGAAAAUUUAGAUUGGUGGGAUUACAACGGAAUGCUGUUGGGAUAGUUAGAUAUCCUGAUACUUACAAAUGCCAUUGAUCAAAUCUUGUCAGAGGAAAUUAUGUUAUUAUCUCUGGAACUUGGUCAGGAGUUUCUGUUUGAGCUUAUGAGCAAUAGUGAUAUAGAUGCUGAGAAACUUUUCAACGUCGAAGAAAAAUUUCACCUUGUUACUACUAUUCGAGUAGGUAAAAGAAGGAAAAAAGGUAAGGCAAAAUAUUUGGACCAAGAUCCAAUCGCAGGUCUCGCCAGAUAAAGACACCUCUAGUUUCCAAUGUUCAAGAGCGCUUAUCGGAUGAAGAUAUUUCGUUCUCGAAAUAGAGCUUUUCUAGAUGGAUAUGAUAGUGGUUACGAGGUUAAUGUUGAGAGUUCUAGCGUUUUGCUAUUUGCAUGCUUUUGGGAUAUGAAAGAGCCCCUAUGUAAAAAGAAUCAUCGACCAUGAAAGUUGUUUUCUAUAUUUUUUGAAAUUGUGAUGCUUUGGAGAUCAAUUGGGGCAUCCAGUUUGAUAAAAAUAAUUUAAAAACCUGAAUGAUAUGGUAGAUGUCAUGCAAAGGUGGGUGGUGAUUUUGUUCUGUAAGGGAUAGUGGUGUUUGCUCUCAUUAUUUGUUUACCGACCAUGGUAGUGUUUUUUUUUCCUUUUUUGUUUGGAUGUCAUGAUUUCUUCUUUUUAGGUGAAGUCUUUCGUUAGAAUUGUGCUAGAUGUUUUUUUUUGUUGUUUCUGGUAUGGCUUUAACUAUGUUUCUUGGUAAGAUUCUUGUAUUUCACUGAUGAUGUUCUUUUGAUCUCUAAUGAAAAAAUGGGCUUAACAAAAAAAAAGUUUACACAACUAUUGCUUUUUAUUUCGUAAAAGAACAGUUAAAUUCCCUAAUUUGACAAAAAAAAGGAUAAAAAUAGCACUUAUUUUUAUUGCAUAUAAUAAAAAGAGAGCAUAUAAUUUACAACUAUUAUAAUUCAAUUAAUUAAUUAUAAUUUAAAAUUAUAUAAAAUUUAUCAAAUUUUAUAUGUAACCAAUAUUUAUAAGUGAUGAUCCUUAUAUAAUACUUUAUUGUGAUUAGAUAAUAUUAUAAUAUUAUAGUAAAAAAAAUUAUAACUGAAAUGAUUCAAAUAAAAAGUUAGACGACUUUAAACAAAUCUAUACAUUUACAUUAAAACAAUCUGGUGACAAAAGCAUGGUAGUUAGGGAUGAAUUGAAAUUGACAUGUGGUUGGAUAAGUGAAGAAUUUUUUUUUUUAAUUUUGAAUGUUGAUUUUUUUUGGAACGGAGUACAAUUAAAAAAAUCAUUAAUACUAUAUUUUAAAACUAUGGUUUUUGGUAAUUUUCUUUUGAAAUUGUUUUUUGUCAAAUAUAAUUUAGUCAUAAGUUUGAUCCUCAAUUACCAUAUAAACUUUACUCAUAUGUCUUAAAAGAAUGGGCAGACUAAAAAAUAAUAUAGGCUAAGUAAAUGUAUGAGCCUUAAUUUUUGUAUUAGAAGAGUGGACUUAAUAUAUAAUGCUAUAAUAAUUUUAAUCUAAUUUUAAUUUCCAUGUUUAAAUUUAUUAUUUAUAUGUAACAUAAUAAUGCUCAAAUUAAAAUUACUUUAUCCAUUCAAUAAAAAUUUUUUAUUUUAGAAGAUUUAAAUUUAAUAUUUUAUUAUAAUAUUACAUCUUGUUAAUAAAUAAUAAAAUUAUAUUAAUUUUAAUACAAUAUUACAUGUUGUUAAUAAAUAAUAAAUUUAGAAAAACUAUAAAAUGAAUUGACCUAAUGUCGUUAGGUAAUAAUAGAAAUUACAAAAUAGAUCAGUUACAAUAUAAUGACACUUUAAAUCGGUGUUAAAAGAAAAAUAAUUGAGGGAAUAAACACUAAAAGGUUUUUAAUUUGGUUUUAUUGACAUGGAAAGACUCUUUCUUUCCUACUUCAAAUUAAAUAAUCAUUACAAUACAGGUUUUAAUUAUAAUUUUUUAUGCAAGUUUCUAUUUUAGAAUACACGUUUUUACAUGUGCUUUAUUAUAUCAUAUUUUCAUUUCUAGAAUCUCUAUCUCCUUUCUACUUCUCAUUUUCCUUUCAUUUUCUUUCCUCCUGCUAUUCAGGUUUUUUUUUUUUUUCAAGUUUCAAAAUUUUUAGCUUACCUUUUAUCAUCUACAUAUAAAAUUAAACAAAUAUACACACACUACAUCAUCUUUUACUGUUUUCAAUAUACAGAAUAUCAAAAUACAACGUUCAUUUUCAUUCCAUGCAGUGUGAAAAAAUGGAUAAUUAACAAAUAGCUCCAUUGAUCAAUUCUUUCCUCUCAUCAAAUUUUAUUGUAUGUGACUAGCAUAUUUCAUUAUUUUAACAACUUAUUAAGAGGUAAUCAAAUAUAUUCAUAUGAAUCUUGUAUGAUUACAGUAUAUAAACUUUUGAGUAUACCUAUAGAAUCUGAAUAUUAAUGUUUUUUAUAACUUCGUUAUGAUAAAAAUCAAAUAUAUUCAUUUGAAUCUUAUUUAAUUUAUCCCUCAUAAUGAAAUUUUGAAUUUCAUAAUCCUUUGUACAUAUACUAUUAAUAAAUAUAAAAGAAAUAAAAUACAUUGUUAAAUUUUUUAUUACACAAAAUAUAAAUUUUAAAUAUUUGCAGAUAAAUAAAUAUAAAAAAAUAAAAUAUAAUAAUACUAUUUUAAGUUAGAUGUAACAAUAAAUUAAGUCGAUAUUAAAUUAAUAUGGGAGUAACAAAGUCCGUUAAUAUUACUUUUUAUUACAUUACAAAACAAAUCAAAUAAUUUUAUCUUAUAUAAUUGCAACGGGAUAAUAAAUAAUAGCCAUGUUACAUCACUAGUUUUGGGUACCUAUCCUUUUUCCACAUUGGGCAACUUAAGCUGGUGGUGCGCAUCCCAGUUAGGGGCAUGACUCCAUCAUAAAAUGUUUUUUUAAAAAAAUUAAAAAUAAUUUCCAAAAGAUGGAAAUUUCGAUUUUUAGGUUUGGUUUUCAAAUUCUUUGAGUCUUUGUUUUGCCUUUCCCUAAUUUAAUUGGAAACAGUUUUUUAUUUUAAUAAGAUAAAAAAAGUUUGAAAAAACAUUUCUCAACCCUUUCAAUGACACUUCAUUUGUUUAACAGUUUUCAUAAUUUCAUGAUUAUUUGUUUUAUAAUCCUAAACUAAACUUUUUUUAAAACUAAAGUAAAUAAUUUUAAAUAUAAAAUUAAUGAAAUGUUUAUAAUGAAAUUACCUGAUAGAUUAUUAUUUGCAAAAUUAAUUGCCUUCAAAGAAGAAAUGUUGAAGAUGGAAUGUGGAAUCAACCCACUCAAGCGCAUAGAUGUUAUAGAUAAUGUCUCCAAUGAAAUAAGAUUUCCAAUCUCCCAUGGAAUUUCACCUACAAAAGAACAACAACCUAAUAUUAUAAAACUAUCCACUUUCUAAACAUUUCAAUAAUACUGAGGUUAUUUAAAAUGCAAUAAAAGUCAAUUACACAGGAAACUCCUAAUUUCUUCAUUGUGUAAAAUAUGAAGGAAUAAUUAAUUUCUUCAAUACUAAAAGUUUGAGUCAAAAUGAAAAAAGCAUAAAAGAAAACCAAAUGUGACUAUUUUCAUGUUGCUCAUUCUAUUAAUUUUUAUUUUUAGUUAUUUCCUUUUUAAUAUAAUUAGUAAAAAAUAUCAAUCAAUUGAAAUCUAAAUAAUCAAAUGCAAAAGCUUAUCUUUUACAUUAUUAUAACUUAGAUAUAUCUCCUCAAGUUUGGUUAAAUUUCCUGUACUUCUCGAAAUGUGGCCUAAAAAUUCGUUGUUACAAAUAUCAAGCACCUCAUGUUUGAGAAGAGAGUAACACAUAUUUUAUGUAAUACUGCUAGAGAGACUAUGCUAUAGAGAUAAAUUUCUUUUAAAGAAGAAAGGUUAUAGAUGGAAGCCGGGAUUGGACCAACAAGCCUCAGAUUUGGGGCAGAAAAUAUCUCCAAGCUCAAAUGAUUUCCAAUUUUCGAAGGGAUUUCACCAGUGAACAUAAAGAAACCAAGUUACAGGAGUUCAUUCAUAAUGAAACAAUUUGCUUGUCAUUACUUUCAUAAUGAAACUAUUAAAGUAGAAUAAAAGCUUUGUUUUUUUUGUUUGGCAUUACAUUCACAAUGAAACUAUUUGCUCCAAAUUUUAUGAGAAUAUGGAUUAAAAUAAUUAAUUUAAUUUUCAUCUCAAACAUUAUCAUCAAAAGAUAUAUAUAUAUAUAUAUAUAUAUAUAUAUAAAGUAGAAUAAAAACGUUUUUUUUGCGUGGCAUGACAUUGGUAAUGAAACUAUUUGCUCCAAAGUUUAUGGAUGUAAAACAAUUAAUUUAAUUCUCGUUCCAAACAUUUUCUUCAAAAGAUGUUUUUUUUUUUUUGUAUCUUUAACAGGAAAUCAAAAAACUAUUUCAUUAGCAUAAAGGUUUAAUUGGUCCGGCAAUCUUGUUUUUUGCACAAGUGGAUCUUAUUGUUGGUAUGUGCUUCCAGAAAAAAAAAAUCUAAACUGUUAUAAUAUGGGCAAAAUCAUACCCAGACAUGUUUUAGAGAAAUGUUAAAAUUUCAACGCUUCUUAGGAUAAACCACAUUGGUUUAUUCUGUAUUAAUUAGGACAUAUAAUAUUAUCAUUUUACAUUUUUAUUGGUGCAAUUGGUUAUAUCAUUGAUAACGUAUCCAUACUCAUCGUAUUAGCUAAUAUAUAUCAGUUUUGAAUCGCAACACAUAAUAUUAUUGUUUUAUUUGAUCUUUGCAUCAGCCUGUAUGUAUCCAACGCACUAGUCCGUUUCAGUCGUACAAGUAAAAAAUGAUAUUUUGAUUGAUAUAAAAUUUUGCCUCUUAUUUUGUCCUGUUUAAACUUUUUUAUUGUCCUAACUCUUUUAAUCAAUUCUUAAUUCUUUUGCUCUCAUCAUUAUUUUUAUUUUUUUCAUGAUUAGAGCCAAAAAAUUAAAUGUUUCCAUUAAAUUAGACUAUUAAAUUUCUUUAAUGAUAAUUUAUUAGAUACUUAUUAUUUUUAUAGUUGUUUUAUUUAUUUAGAAUUUUGGGUAUUAAAUAUUUAGAAAUUUAUAGUAGUAUGAUUUUUAAAACUUGUAAUGGCAUAUGAAUAUGUAUGUAAUACAAGUGCAUUUGUGUAUAUAUGUAUAUUUGAUAGACAAAUAUUACAUAAUACCGAUAAAUCUAAAACUAUACAGUAAAAUAACAAGGUUGUAUUUCCUAUUUAUAAUCUUUUGCUGAAUAAAACUGCUCAUGUUUUAGUGAAAAGUGUUUUCAUCAAAUAACAAUUUCCUCUUUUCUUGUUGGAUUAUAAACGAACAACCAAAUAACAGAAAAGGAAAAGAAAAAACUAAAAAGACAUAAAUUCUUAACAGUUGAACAAUGGGAUGAAAUUAAAGCAAUAACUUCAUUCACUUCUUUCUCUGAUUGACCAUCAUUUCUUUUAACCAAAUACUCAAAUAAUAGUACUGCAAAAUUAAGUGACCAAAUGGAUAAUUUAUCCAAAAAAAAGGGAAAUCCAAUGGGUAAUGUCAAAUGUGCUACAGCCCUUGUUAUGAGGGAGGGAAAUAACGCCAACUAAUUUAUUUUGGGCAUUUGUCCAAGCAUUUCAAGGAAAAGAGAUAGUUUCCUUAUGGUUUUUUUUUUCUUUUUCAUAAAUUUAAGAUACUCACGGAAUACUAAAGAUUUUCAGCCAUGAAACUUGACCGGAGAAAAUAACAUGAGUUUCAUAGUUACUAUUAAUAGUAAGCAGUUUUAAUUUGAUAUCAAUAAUUAAAUUAAAUUUAGCUCUUACUUUCAAAAAUAUAAAAGUAAUUCUUUUACAAUAAUUUCAAAUUAUAAAUUAAAGAAAGUUUAUUUUGAUAAAAGCUUCAAUGUUGAUAAGAAAAUAAAUAAAAUUAGUCAUAUUUUAAUUUAACAAGAAAUCAUUAAUUAUAAAUAAAAUAUCUAAGAUAAUAAAUUAUCAAAGAUAUAUAUGUUGUUCACUAUUUACGCUUUCCAAUUUUGUUUUUUAUAUAAUAUAUAUAAAUAAGAUAAAAAUGUUUUAAUUUUUACUACUGUAUUUAAUCACUUUUAAAGUUGAUACUUUUUAUAUGUAGAAGAUAUUUUUAAUUUUUACUAUUUUCUUCUAUUUCUUGGCACCUUUUGAUUAAAUAAAAGCAAGAAAAAACCAACAACUAAUUAAAAGGAGUCGUAAUUAACUGUGUUGGAGUCUUGGUUAAAGUAAACCUAUUUUUAGUAGGCAUAAAUUAGGGAGUUUUAGCUUGAAUCAUGUUUCACUAAAUACAAAAAUUAAUUAGUGAUCAAUCGAAAGAAAAUUAUCGAAGAAAAAACAAAGAGCUUACCUUCCAAAUUAUUUCCAUCCAAGUAUAGCACUUUGAGCCUCGUUAAAUUUCCAAUACUCCUUGGAAUGCUGCCACUGAAUCUGUUAAAGUUUAAUGUUAAAAUUUGAAGACACCUGCAUUCAUCUAUACUUGAUGGAAUUUGACCAGAAAACUCGUUUAAGGUCAAGUAAAAUGCCUCAAGAUUUGGAAGAUGGCGACAUAUAUCUUCAGGUAAACUGCCAGAUAGACUGUUAGAUGUAAGAGAAAUCAUGUGUAGGGAGGAAAUGUUGUAAAUGACUGAAGGGACAGAACCAGAAAGUUGGUUAAAUGCCAGACGAAGUAUCCUUAGAUUUAUAAGAUUACUUAUCUCGGGUGGAAUGUGUCCUUGAACGAGAUUCCGCCUCAAGUCCAAGAUUUCCAAGUUGGGCAUUUUAGCUAGUGAUUGAGGGAUUGUACCUGUCAAGUUGUUGCUCUGGAGGCUCAAAUAUAAAACUUUAUUUAAUCUCCCAAACCAUGAAGGAAUUUCCCCACUAAGAAAAUUGAAGCUUAAUUCUAUGAGUUUCAGACGACUUAAUUGCCCCAACUCUCUCGGUAAAUGGCCAUGAAGCACAAUUUUUUAUUUAAUAUGUACACAAAUUCAAAUAAGUAUAAAGAGAUUUGGGGACAUAUGGAGUGUUAGUUUCAAUUCAACCCUAAUACAAGUUUAUGAUAGUACCAGAUAUCAAAGCCGUGAUUGGUGUAAUCCAAAACUAUGCAAGUAAUUCUUUCUCCAUGAGAAAGACAAAAGAAGUAUCAAUAAAUUAUUUUAUUUUUUGCACACAUUAAAGCAGAUAAAGGAAUUUAGUCAGAAAAGCUAGCGACGUGUUCUAAGCGCUAGGCCUUGGAUCAAUCCAAGUCAUCUUGCUUUCCACAAACCUCAAAGCAGACUAAGAAAUUUUAAAUCAGGAAAGCUAGUGAUCAUUUUCUAAACGCAGGGAUCAAUCAAUUUAUCUUGGUUUCACACACAUCAAGGCAGACUAAGAAAUUUUAGGUGAAGAAUUAAAGCUAUCAAAUGCAAGGAUCAAUCAAGUGGUCUUGGUUUCACACACGUCAAAUCAGACAGAGAAUUUUCAAGUCAGGAAAGCUAACAAUCGUUUUCUAAACGCAAGGACCAAUGAAAUGAUCUUGAUUUUACACACGUCAAAGCAGACCAAGAAAUUUUACGUAGAGAAUUAAAGCUACAGAAUGCAAGGAUCAAUCAGUCUUCUUGCUUUUCUCCUCCAUCAAAGCAAAUUAUUCUGUUAUCAUUCCUUGGUUAGGUAAUUAAAUAGUUGAGGUUGGGUUUAAAAGCUUCUAAUUUAUAAUUUUUUUAAGGUAAAGUAAAUUAAAAUCUUUAUUAUCAAAAAGAUAGUAGUUUUAAUUUUUUUUUUUUCUUUAAAAGAUGUAUUCUUUUAUAUAAAAGAUGUCACAACUUAAAUAUUAAAAAAAAUGUAAAUAUUAAAAUUUAAAUUUCAAAUGUAAUCUCUUAAGCACCAAAUGAAUUUAAUUUUAAAAUUAUAUUGGUUAGACAAUUCGCUCGAACCUGAAAGUCAUCUUCAAUUUAAAAGGGCUUCGACAUGAAUUUUAAGUUUGUUAAAUGGACUUGAACUUAAAUUUUAGACCCGUUUAAGAAAUAUACUAGGUUUUAGACAUAAAAUUUACGAUUUAAACCUGACCAGGCCCAAAUAAUUAUUAUAUAUAUUUUUAUAUUUAUAUUACAUAAAAAUAAAGAAAAUUAAAUAUAAUAUAUACAUUAAUAUCCUAUGUCUAUAUAUAUUAAUCACAUUCAAAUACUGAAUUAAGUUAACAAAGUAUUUUUAGGCUUUAUUUUGUUGAUUAUUUAUUUUAUCAUAAUUAAUAUUAAUUAUAAAAAUUAUUUUUUAUUUAAAAAAUAAAAUAUAGGCAGGCUUAGGUAAAGUCUUUUAAAAAUUAAUUAGGCCUCAGCAGCAAACUAAGAUCAUAUUUUGGGAUGGACGAGUCUAAAUAAACUUAAAAUUUGUUAAUAUCCUAACUAGGCUAGGUUUGAAUCCAAUCCUACUCAAUCCAUGUAUAAAUUUAAUUAUCAAUGUCAUGUGUUCGUAUCUAAAUUGCCAAUAUGGCAGCAAAGACCAUUUUAUUUCUUUUUCUCUUUUUAAUAUAUUUAAUUAAUGAUUUUAUUAUACUAUUUGAAAAUUUAAUAUUAGUGUUAAAUUUAUGAAAAAUUUUAAUCGUAAAAGAAUUAUGAAAAUUGGAAGAAGAAAAAAGAUACCUCCAUCUCCACAUUGAGAAUUUUGUCCUACAAACACUAUUUUAGCGUAAUACUAGAUUUUUCGUUCUUGCUUUACAAUAGCACUUUUUUAAAUAAAAAAAACGAUAUUUAGAUUUCGUUUGGUUUGAUUGAAUUUUUUUUUGUUUUUUGUAAAAAGUGUUAAAAUAAUAUUUGACCAACAUAAUGCAAAAAUGCUCUAAAACAUAAAAAAAAAAACAAUUUAAUAAUACUUUAUAUAUUUUUAUUAAAUACAAAUUAAAAGGCUUAACUUUAUAAGCCAAACCAAUAAAUAAAACAAAGAUAUAUUUUAUUAAUUAGAAAUUAAAAAAUAAAUGAGAUUAAUAAAAAAUUUGGAUCAAGUAAAAAAAUAUGUAUGUGAAAUAAUUCAUUUUUAUUAUUUUAUGAAAUAUUAACAAAUAAAUUGAGAAUGUAAAAAGGAAAAAAAAAAAAACUAAGCAAUAUAUUUGUUAUUAUACAAUAACACUUUUGAAAAGGUUUUAACUUAUAAAAUCUUUUGAAAAACCAAAUGGGUUUUAUUAAUAAAUUUAAAAUUUUGAAAGUAAAACAUCUUAUUUAUAUUUUUGUUGUAAAAAACUCUAGAAUAAACUAGAACAAACACAUUUAGUAAUACAUAAAUAUAUAUGUAUAUAUAUAUAUAUAUUUAUAUUUAUAUGUAUGUGUUUUUAAAAUAGUUUUCAAAGUUGCAAGAGUUUCUUUUAAUAAAACACUAGCGUUCGAGAUUUCACUUCGGAUGUGGUCAUAAUUAUUAAGAUCGAAUUGGAUCAUCAAUCAGAUCAAUUGAAUUGAUCAGUUGGUACCUGAAUUAGUUUGGUUUUAAUAAUAGACCAAACUUACAAUUAACCUGCUUUAAACCACAUUGAACCGACGGUUGAAAAAAUAAAUUACUGAACUAGUUAGUUUUUAUUGAAUCAUUUUGGUUUUAAUUUUUUUAAUGACUUUAAAAAUUAUGAUUAAUUUAGUUUUUAUAAUCAAAAGUAUGGAUUAUUGUAUUAUUUAAUUAAAAUAUUAUAUUUUAAAUUAAAUAGAUAAUAAAAAAUUAAAAUCUAAAUAAUUAAAUGGUGUUAUCCAUCCUUACACAUUAUGCACAAUAAAGAAUAGCUUAAUAAAAUUUAACUCCUUUCUCAUUUAUAUUUUUAGGUGACACACUCAUAUCAAAUUAAAGGACAAAAACUUGGCUAAAAUUAAAACUUUAAUUAUCAUUUUGGAGCUUGAUUUGUUUUAUAUCAAAUAUCAUCAAUUUAAAGGUAAUUUUAUUUUAUUUCAUUUUUUAAAAUUUAUAUUUUAAAUAAGCUUUCUCUUUUUUAAACAUUUUUUUUUUGUUUUUAAGUUUUUUAGAAUAUUUGUUUUUUUGGGGUUUUUUAAUAAUAUGGUUGAAUUAUUCAAUUAGUAUUUUCAGAGUUUGAGUUAUGAGUUUGAAUUUUAAAUCUAUUUUCAUAAUUUAAGUUUAUUAUACUUUUUUUACACUUAUUAUAUUCUAUUAUAUAUUUUAAUUUUUUAAGUUUGAAAUUAUCUACAAUAGAAUUUUAUUAUUUAUCACAUAAUGGAUUAAAUUUUAAAAACAUUUAUAUAUUUAUAUAUCUUUAUUAGUUUAACAACUAACUUGAUUGACCCAACAGUUGAACCAAUAACCUAAUGCUUGGAACAGUUUAGUAUUCAGUCUGAUUCUGAUAAUUAUGCGUGUGGUUACUUUUAUAUAUCAAUUUAAUUAAAAAAUUAUUUUUUGUUAAAAAUAUAUCAAUUUAAUUAAAAAUGAUAACAAUUUUUGUUAAAAAAUAGAUAAUAAUUUACCACAAAUUUGGGAUUAACCCAAAUCAAGAGAAGUCCAAGAAAAUUGGGCUUGUUAAAUGGACUUGGAACUUAGUUUGCUUCAGGUGUUGGGUCUCUGAGAAGGAAAAACAAGUUCUAGUUCUGAAUCCAAGCCUACAUAUUGAAACUUUUUUUCAGUACAAUAUAAAAACUCAAUUUUUUUACAAUUCAUUUUUUCCCUUUUACUUUUAUUUAAAAUUCAUCCUCUUUUUAAAAAUACAAUCAUCCACCCAGACUACUUGAUUUUCAACAUCGACCAUCAUCAUUAAUGCCAUUUUCCAUUGUUGUCAUUGCUCUUUGACACUAAAAUCCACCCAAAGUUUCAAAAAAAGAUUUUCUCAUGCAAUGUGUCAAUAUAUGUGGCAUUUUUUAGAUGCCUUGUGGCACUUGAAAAUCACUUCUUUCUUAUCUACUUUUCCUUUUGUUUUUCUCUCCAUUGAAACGAUGUAGUUUUAAUACAAAAUAAAUAAAAUUAGUCUUAAAAACACUAAACACCAUCUUUUCUUUCUUUUCUCUCAUUCUCAUCACAUUACCUUUUCUCAUCGUCAGCCUUUUUUUCAUAGCUAUCACUGUUGUUGACCUUUGUCUUGUUACAUUUGUUUUGUUGACAAUAGCUCUCUUUUCUCUUUCAUUUUUUUCUUUUUUGUUAUUAGUGAAAAUCUAAAAAUCCCAAUCUCCCUCACAUUAUCUUCCUUCAUGGGUGGCCUUAGAUCCUAAAAAAACAAAAAGACAGAAAAAAAAACUAAAUGAGGGUGUGAUGUGGACACCAAUCUUUUUUUCUUACAAAAUUUAACAUAUGACAUUUAAAAAAUAAAAACUAAAAAAAAUAGGUUGAAAUGAAAAAAAAUUUGAGUGUCACGUUAAUACCUUUAUUGAUAUCUUUUUUAUAAAAUUAUCUAAUUAAGAAAAGGACUAGAAAAGUAUUUUUUUAUCACUAAUAUCAAAUAGGGCCCAUAUCAAUUUUUUUAAAAUAAAAUUUUUUAUUAAGUAUAGAGAAAAAAAAAAGAAAAAUAGAGAAACAUAAAAAAAGAACAAAGAAAAAAAAAGCAAAGGUGACAUGUGGCAAAUUCUAUGAAGAGUUAACAUGAGUAAAAUUAAUAGCAUUAUUACAAAUUAAUAGGAUGGAUUGGAUUUUUAGACAUUUUAGUUUAUUUUCUAAGGUCAAUAUAGGAUUUUAAAGGGGGUAAAUAUUGUUGUUUAUUUAACAACAUAAUACAUUUCUUUGAAAUUUAUUAUUUAAAAUUUUCAAAUUUAAUUUUUUACUCUAAAUUGAUAUGCAUAAAAAGAUUGUGAGAUAUUUUUUGAAUAGAACCAAAAAAUCUUUAAAAGGUAAAUUAUAAUCUACGAAAUAAAAUUAGAUUUGAAAGUAUGACUAUGCAUGAAUAUGGUUAUAUCACUCUCAUAAAAUCUAUCCAAAUAAUGGUACCAGAUUAAUUUUGUAUUAUCCAAGUUUUAAAAUUCUUACCAAAUGAUUAGUUAUUAGAAAUUAUACUUAAAUUACUCUAAUACAUUGGUAAUAAUUUAAAAACAUUUCCUUACCUCAAAACUAUUUAAUAAGAUUAUUUGUCAUGCUUUAAAAAGACACCAUCGUUGUAUUCAUUUAAAUUUUAUAAGAAAAUUUUUUCCUCAACACUAAAUGGGAUUUAGAACCUUAACAUAAAAAAUUCUUAUCUAAAUUCUCUAAUAUAUUGGUAUAAUUUAGAAGAAGAUUUCUCACUUAUGAAUUUAUAUAGAAAUUGCUCUUUGCAACACUCUUAGUAGUUCUAUUAUUGGAGAUUCAAAUUUCAAUUUUUUUAAAAGAAUUAUUUUUUAGAAAUAUCUUUUCAAUGUGUUAGUAAGACUUUUUGUCAAAAUUAUCCUCAAUAUGUUGGUAGGAUUUUGUGAAAACUAUUUAUUUUAUUUUUUUAACUUAAUUUUUGCUAAAAAUCAUAAAAUUUUUUAGUAUGUUGGUAAAACCUUAUUUUUUAGAUUUAAAAAAAAAAUCACAAACCCCCCAAAAUGUUAGUAAGGUUUUUAUUUUUUUAGAAUAAAAAACUUAUUUUAAAAAUUUUUUUCCAAUAUGUUGAUAGGAAUUUCAUUGAUUUAUUUGUCAAAAUUUAUUUUUUUCAAACCAAUAAAAUAUUCAAAUAUGUUUGUAAGAUUUAUUUUUCAAUAUGUUGACUUCUUUCAAGAUCUAGAUUUUUUAUUUUUUAUUUUGUUAUUUUUUUUUGGUUUGGGGAGGGCAUAAUCCUUAUAAGGGGGGAAGGAGGAGGAGAUCUUACUUCGAAACCAAGACCUUUAUGUUUUUAUGAAGUUUUCUUAACCACUAGAGCAAGAGAUGGAGGACCAAGAUCUAGAUCUUUGUAAUAACCAAAACAACAUGUGUAAAUGGUGUUUAUUACUGGGUGGUGCUCAAGUUUCUUCAAUAUUCUAAUGCCCUUACAUUUGACUUGAGCGAUGAAGUUUUUCAAUUGAUAGAGUGGCCACCUAUUCCCGAACAUGAAUCAAUUGGGCAGCUGCUUCCAUUACCUGAUGAUCGUAUCUCUUUGUGGAUUUUGCAUUCUGACGUGGCCAGCAGAAGUAAUGACAUUUGGGUGUUGAACGAAGAGAGUCGAUAUUGGACCAAACUGUUAAGGAUUGGACCUCCUUCAUGCUUGCGUUUGGAAUAAGAAUGGUAAUAAGGUAUUUGUAGAAUUUAUAAAUGGACAACUGUUGAUUUACGACCUUGAUGACCAGGAAUUCAGAGAUAUUGGGAUUAACACCAAGAAAGCUAUGGAUCUUCUUGAGGUUUACACUUACGAGGAGAGUCUUGUUGUUACCAGCAGACGAAUGGCAAAUACUACUGCAUAGAUUUUGAUUGACUUUUUUCCUACUUGCCUAUGUCAAGACUAUUUAUUAUAGUUAUUCGUGCACUUGGAUUUUCCUUUCUUUUUUUUCUUUUAAUUUAAAAUAAUCAACUCCCAGCCAAAAGUGUUAAAUCUCAGCUGCCUUACCCCCCACGCCUUUCGGUAAAUCUCUGCAAUCAAAAAAGAAGGAAAAAGGAAACCUAACAAAGAUGUUACAUGAAAUAGAAGAUAACCCUGAUAGUCGAUAGCUUUAAUUUAGAAAAUGGAGAUAAAACAUAUAAAGAAAAAUCCACCAAGGGUAAAGCAAUCGCAAACUCAGAGCCAAAUGUUCAGAUAUGCGUAUGGUCAAAUAGAGGAGAAAGCUCUCCAGGAGCAGAACAAGAACUUGACCUUCUCCGGGGUGAUUUCAAUGGCCAAUGCAAUUGAUAUGAGAAAGAGUCGUACUCAAAGAUUUAGCCAUCACUUAUGAAAGGAAAAGCAAGCAUUUAAUGAGAUGUGUAACCGGGAAAUUAUCGCCUGAUCGAGUUUCAGCUGUUCUGGGUCCAUCUGGGGCUGGAAAAACGUUUCUUUCAUCUUUAACUAGAAAAGCACCAGGUCGCGUCAUGACCGGUUCGCUUCUUAUAAAUGGAAAGGUUCAGCCAAUCCAAGCAUAUAAGAAAAUAAUUGGUUUUGUUCCACAAGAUCAUAUCGUUCACGGAAACUUGAUAGUGGAGGAAAAUCUAUGGUUCAAUGCUAGAUGCAGAUAUGCUACACUUAUUCUGUCAUGCAUGACACCUUUAAUUUUUUAUUCCUUUAGGGUGUUUUAAUUUUUUUUUUUUGUUGUUUGAUUUUCUACUUGCAACUGCGACAUUAGAAAAUAUUCUACACUAAAAAGCACUUUCUUGAUUUCCCCUGAUCACUAAGAGGAUUCCUAAUUAUUUUAGACUUGCUGCUGACCUUCCAAAACCAGAAAAGGCUCUACUUCUUGAAAGAGCCAUCCAGUCCGUGGGACUGCAGCCUGUGAGGGUUUCUCUAGUUGGGACAAUGGAGAAGAGGGGAACAUCUGGGGGUCAAAGGAAACGGGUAAAUGUAGGGCUGGAAUAGAAAAGAUCAUGGAACCUUCACUUUUGAUAUUAGAUGAACCAACAUCUGGUUUGGACGGUUCAUCUUCCCAAUUACUACUUCGAGCUCUUAGGCGUGAAGCCCUUGUAGAAGUAAACCAGCCAAGGUGAGUUUAUUAUCACCGGAAUGUUUAAUUUUAUGAAAUAUGCUGGUUUCACCGAGGAGUAAACAUAUGUAAAUAAGUAUGUAGCUUAAAAUAAUGGAUACCAAUGUUCUUUUUGUUGCACUUCAGUUAUACCUUGUUCAGGAUGUUCGAUGAUUUGACACUUCUAGCAAAGGGUGGACUUACAGUAUAUCAUGGAUUAGUGUCGUAAGAGUAUUUUGCUGGCCUAAGAAUUAAUAUCCCCAAACGUACUAAUCCUCCAGCAGCAUCAUCCGGUGAAAAUCCAGCUCAUGGAGAAAGUGCACAUGGUCCUGGCCGGAAGCACACUCCUUUGCUGGCGACUUGUGGCAGGAUGUGAAAUGUUCUGUUUGAGACAAAGAAGGACGACUUACAACAUAAUAUCCUCAAGUCCAUUAACUUGUCACAAAGAGCAAUGCCUGGUGUAUUUAAGCAGUAUAGAUACUACCUCGGAAGGUAGAAGUUGAAUCUCAUUUAUAAACGUUUUUGGAAUUACUAGGAAUUAUAUCUAUCAAUUUAGAAUUCUAUUAUUUUAUUUAAUUUAAACCAAAAAAAAAAUAUUAGAAGCCUAACCAUUACAUGGGAGCAUUUCACUUAAAAUUAUUGAAAUACAAUCAAUCAAUCAUAAUUUAUAAUUUUGUAGAAUUCAUUAAUAUUUUAUGUGAGAUUUACACUUUUAGUGAUGGGAUUUUACAUAAUUUUUAUUAUGAUUGGGUAAUUAUAUAAUUGUAGUAAAAAUGCUUUUAUUAAUAUAAUCUCUAGUAAAAAUAAUUGUAAGCGAUAUAAUCUCCCAUAAUGUGCAACAUACAAUAGAAAAGAAUUAGAAAAGAUCAUAACUAUCUGGUUAAAAUUAUAUCAAUAGAAAAAAAAAAAUGGGUUACACACAUAUUUGUCCAUGAACAUUAUAUUUUCUAUUACAUUGAUACCUAAAAAAUUAUACUACCACAUUGAUACUUGAACUUUCAAAUCCAUUAUUACAUUGAUAUUUUAAACUAACGCUAUCAGUUAACUUUGUUGAUGUAAUAUAAAUAUCUAACAAGAUGCUGAAACAUGUGAAAAAUAUUCAGUCAAUGUCACAUUAUCAAUAUCAUGUCAUCUUUCAAAUAAAAAAUUCAAAAAAAUUUAAAAGUUAAAUUUUUUUAAAAAUUUCUGAAAAUUUUUCAAAAGUUCUAAAAAAUUCAAAAAUAAAAAAAAUAAAAAUUUCAAAUAUUAUACGAAAUUCAAACAAUUCUAAAACAUUUUUAAAAAUCUGAAAAAAUUUUCAAAAAUUCUAAAAUAAUAUCAAAAACAUUUUUUUAAAAAUUUCAAAAAAUUCUAGAAAAUUUUUAAAAAAUUUCAAAAAGAAUUAAGGAAACAUAAAAAAAUUUUUAAAUUUUCCAAAAUUUAAAAAAAUCCAAAAACUUAAAAGAAUAAAAAAUGAUGAUUUUAAUAAAAUUUAAGAACUUGUUAAAAUUCAAAAAAAUUAACAUAAACUAAAAAAAAAAACUAAAAUCAUAAGUUUUUUGAAAAAAUAUAUUAAUUUUUAAAAUUUUUUGAAAAAUAUCUGAAAAAAUCUAUAUAUUUUUUUAUAUUCUUUUAUCUUACAAUUUCAAUUUUUUAUAUUUUUUAAUUUAAUUUUUUUGAAAAAUUUUUGGAUUUUCUAAAAAUUUUAAGUUUUUUCAUUUUAGAUUUCUUACUUUUAAAGAAUGUUUCAAAAUUUUAAAAUUAAAAGUUUUUAGGUUUUUUCUUUUGUCUUCAGUUUUUUUAAUUUUUGUGAUUUUUUAAACUUUAAGAAAAUUUUAUUUUUAGAAAUUUUAAUUUUAUUAAUUUUUCAAAAAUUUUUAAAAUUUUUCAAAUUAUGGUAAUUUUUAUAAUUUAUAAAAAUAUUUCAUAUUUUUUAUUUUUUAUGGAUUUAAAAAUUUUAUAAAUUUUUACAAUUUUUUAAUUAUAAUUUUUUUGAAUUGUUUAUAAUUUUUUAAAAUUUUUGAGAAAUUUAAAAAUUAAUUUUUAAUAUUUAAAUUUUUUUUGAAUUUUUAAAAAAAUUCUUAGUAUUUUUAUAAUGUUUUGAAGUUAAAUUUUUUUUAUAAAUUUUAAAAAAUUUUAAAGUACUUUUUUGUAUUUUUAUCAAAAUUUUUAAAAAAUUUUUAGAACUGUUUAGAAUGUUUUUAAGUUUUUAAAUUUUUUUUUUGAAGUUUUUAAAAUUUUUUAGAAAAUUUUAAAAUUUUAAUGAUUUUUAAAAAAUUAUAAAAAAAUUAUAUAUUUUUAAAAAUUAAUAUUUUUUGAAAAUUUUUUAUUUUUUUUUUGAAAUUUUUUUUAAAGAUGAUGUGAUAUUGACUAAACUUUUUUAACAUAUACCAAUAUCUUAUUGGAUGUUGAUGCCAUGUCAGCAAAGGUACUAACGGCAUCAGUUAUAGGUUUUAACUUGAUAAUAGAAUAAAAAUUUAGGUACCAAUGUAGUUGUAUAAUUCUUUAAAUACCAAUAUGACAAAAAAAUAUAAAAUUUAAGGGCCAAAUAUGUACUUAACCCAAAAAAAAUAGAUAGAGAUCAUAACUAUAUGGUUAUAAUUAUUAUAUCAAAAUUAAUUUAGUUUGUUAGCUUUAUUCAAAAUUUGAUUCCAAGGAGAAUAUAUAUUUUUUUAUACAGGGUCCCUCUAGCCUAAUCCCAAGCACCCUUUUGUUUAUUUGACUAUUAAGUAAUACUUAAUUGGAUAUGGUUUGUUAUGUUUUCAAAAGUUAGUGUUUUAUUUUUUUUUUUAAUUUUAAAAAUGACUUCUAGAUGUUGCAGGAGAAAGAUUUCGCAUAGGAAAAGUUCAUGAAAAGAAUACAAUGUUCAAAAAGAUAGUAGAAAUAAUCUCCUAGGGCAUAUUAGAUACAACAAAGAGCAAUUUUUUUUCAGAGUCAGGAAUAUCUAAUACUAUUCAGUAUUACACAGUUUUGUAGGUCAUUUCUUAUAACCAAGGAAUAAUGUUAUAAUUAAGAUUAUAGUGAAAUAUUCAAUAUACUAUUUAAUCUUUAAAAAUUUUUAAUGUUAUAGUUAAAUUAUAAAUCUGUUAACUAAUGUAGUAUUCAAAGUACCAUUUGUCAGUCACAUAUUAUUAUUUAGAAUUAAAGAUAUAAGAGUAACACAUUAAUUAAUAUAUUUAUAAUUAAGUUAUUACAUUAAAAAUAUUUAAAAUUUAGGUACUAUAUUAAAUAUUUUAUUAUAUUUUAAAGCAAUUCAUGACAUUAAUUAUAUAACCAAUGUAGCCUUAUUGAAAUGGUAGUCUGUCUAUUGGCUUCCUUGGGACCAAAGAAAAUAAGAACAUGUUUAAGUCAUGUUGAAUCUCUUGAUCGAGUGAAGGAAGGAAUUUGACUAUACAUAAACACUUUAAGCAAAAAAUGAAAACUUUAAUGAAUGUGGAAAUUGACAUACAACAUAUUAAAGGUAUGAGCAAUAAAAAUUUAUCACAAGUUAUGAAAGCAAACAUCUGUUUUAGAGAUCUAACUUAAGCAACAGGUUUGUAACUUUAACUCAUUGUUAUUGGAUUCUUAUGUGAUUUUUUUUUAAAGUUACUUCUACGACUUUGUUGUAUCUUUAACUAUUGAAUCAGAAGUUGAACAUGAAACUAGAGCAGUGUGUAAAUUCAACCUUGUGCUCACCAGAGUUGCCCAAGUUAAUUAUUGGUAUAAGAGUCCUGACAGCAAACAUUUUUGUGGACACCGCAGCAUACAAGGACUUGAUUUUUCAAACAUUCACAUUUCAUCCAUGGACAUCAAGAAUGCAACUGUAGUAAUGGUAAGAUUUCUUCCUAUUCAAGUUUCGAUUGAUAACUAUUAGAAAGGUUAUCGUCUGUGAAUUGUUGGCUUCGGAGAAACACAAUUUGCUCAAGUGAGGGUAAAGGUUAGGGUAGAUGUCCUGAUUAAUGCUUUUGAAGAAACAUAGAGUUGUGAAUUGUAAGCUGUCUGGAACUUGAGGAUUAUCACUUUUACAAAUAGAUGUGGUUUUAUUGUUUCCUUGUGUAGUAUAGAAUAGAUGUUGUUUUAUUGUUUCCAAGUGUAGUAUAGAUUAGGGAUAAUGUUAAGGUAGAGCAUUUUCCGUCCCCCAUCCAUGAAUUUUUGUAUUAUAUCCGUCAUCAUACUCAUAUUGAAUAAGUAUUUUAAAUUUAUUCUAAUCUUCAUUCUCGUGGGUAUUUAAUGGGUAUGAACAUUUCUCAUACCUAUAGCUUUUAAAAAUAAUAAUAAAAAAUUUAUUUAUUUUUAUUUUUAAUUUAUAUAUUUAGGUAAUGUUUUAUAAAUAUCUAUUAAUAUAUACCUAAAUCAGUUUAGUUUUAUUAAUAGACUAAACUUGCAAUUAACUUGCUUUAAAUCACAUUGAACUGACGGUUGAAUAAAUAAAUCACUUAACUGGGUAGUUUUUAUUGAACCAUUUUGGUUUUAGUUUUUUUAAAAGACUUUAAAAAUUAUGAUUAAUUUAGUUUUUAUAAUUAAAAUUAUGGAUUAUUGUAUUAUUUAAUUAAAAUAAUAUAUUUUAAAGUAAAAUAGAUAGUAAAAAAUUAAAAUUUAGAUAAUUAAAUGGUGUUAUCCAUCCUUACACAUUAUGCACAUUAAAGAAUAACUUAAUAAAAUUUAACUACUUUCUCAUUUAUAUUUUUAAGGACACACUCAUAUCAAAUUAAAGGAUAAAAUCUUGGCUAAAAUUAAAAUUUUAAUUAUUAUUUUGGAGCUUGAUUUGUUUUAUAUCAAAUAUCAUCAAUUUAAAGGUAUUUUUUAUUUCAUUUUUAAAAUUUUGUAUUUUACAUAAGCUUUCUCUUUUUUAAACAUUUAUUUAUUUAUUUAUUUGUUUUUAAGUUUGUUUGAGUAUUUACUUUUUUUGGUUUUUUUAAUAAUAUGAUUGAAUUAUUCAAUUAGUAUUUUCAAAGUUUGAGUUAUGAGUUUGAAUUUUAAACUUAUUUUUGUAAUUUAAGUUUAUUAUACUUUGUAAAUACAUGUACUUUUUAUACACUUAUUAUAUUAUGUAAUAUAUUUUAAUUUUUUAAGUUCGAAAUUGUCUAUAAUAGAAUUUUAUUAUUUAUCACAUAAUGGAUUAAAAUUUUAAAAUAUUUAUAUAUUUAUAUAUCUUUAUUAGUUUAACAAUUGACUUCAUUGACCCAACAGUUGAACCAAUGACCUGACACUUUCAAUAGUUCAAUAUUCAAUCUGAUUCUGAUAAUUAUGCAUGUGGUUGCUUUUAUAUAUCAAUUUAAUUAAAAAAAUAUUUUUUUAUUAAAAACAUAUCAAUUUAAUUAAAAAUGAUAACAUUCUUUUGUUAAAAAGAAAAUAAACAAAAAAAAGAUAAUAAAAAUAUUAUUCAAUUAUUAUUAUUAUUAUUAUUAUUAUUAUUAUUAUUAUUUUAGCAUUUUUAUACUUUUUUAAGUUAUUAUCCUAUUUUAUUUUCAUUUUAUUAUUAUUAAAAACAACUAAAUAUUUAUCCUAAUAAAUUUAAAAAUUUAUCAUGCAUAAAUAUAAAAAUAAAUACUCAAAAUUACAAAAAUAAUAAUAUAUAAAAAAAUUAAAAAAUUUAGAAGAAAAUUUUUUACCUGAACCGGACCGGUCAACGGCUAUUCAGUUGGACCGAAAAUGGGUCGAUUUGGCACGCGGUUCGGUUGAGUCAUAUGGGGAGCGAUUCAGGCCGGUCGAUGGAGCAGUUCGGUCUGAUAUGGUCAAAUCAGUUCAGAGCUGUCUGAGGAGCCGAGUUGACGGGUCAGUUGCACCGACCUCGGGUCAGGUCUAGGUUCACACGCAGAUCCUUCUUGGCUUAAACGACGUUCUUUUGGCUUAUACGAUUUCUAUAAAAGGCCUAAAUUUUUUUUUUAGUCAUUUUCUCCUUCUACCCAAAAAAAAAUCCCCAACCUCCAAAAAAAUACUCUCUGGCUUCAGUUAGAAUCUGACGUCAGACCGUCACACCGGUCGCUGCCGGUGGUCGCCAGUGGCCAAAAAAUGCUAAAAAUAUUCCCAAAAACUCUCUUCAAUGUGCUUUUCCUGGAUCUGACCUUUUUUUUGUUGAAAAUAGCCCUGAUCAGCGUAGAUCAGGGCUCAAAGUUUCUGUUUCUCUUUUUUUUUUUAAAUAAGAUUGAUGUGAUUUUUUUGCUUUUACAGAUAGCUUUGGCGUUUGAUUCCUCCCUACAGGGAAGAUUGUUUGUUUUUAUAUUUACUUUUUGUUUCUAUUUCUAUUUGGGUGUUUGGGUUUCUUUGGUUCCUCCCUACAGGGAAGGUUGUUUGUUUUUAUAUUUACUUUUUUGUUUCUAUUUCUAUUUGGGUGUUUGGGUUUCUUGGGUGUGGGAAUUUUCACGUUUUUGGGAUUUUUUGGGGGUGUUCGAGUAUGCCUCUUCUAGCCUGGAAGUUGGGUUCUUUAUAGGAUCGUAUGUAUGCUCGAGAUAGUAGAUGGUCUAGGGGUUGUAGGGGGUGGCUGUCGGUGUUUGUAGCGGUGGUUGUAGGUGUCUGUAAGGAUGACUGAUUUGGUUAGGUCACAAGUAUGGCUGAUCUGAUGGGACUGGUCUAGUGGUUGGAUGGGGCUAGGUGGUUAGCUAAAUAGGGCCGACGAUGAUGCCGCUUUUUAGCCCUCUAUUUUUUUUAUCUUUUCUUUUUUUUAAAAUUAAUAUUUUUAGAUUUAAUCAAACCAAUAUUAUUAUUAUUAUUAUUAAAAAUUAUUAUUAUUAAAACUAAACAAAAUUGAAAAUAGUAGAUCCAGACAAAAGCGGUGUCUAAAAGUGUAAACAAAGAAAAAUCAAGUCCAUCUUAUUUUCCACAAACAUAAAAAGAAAAGAAAGAAAUAUUAAAAUAAGAAAAACGAGCAACCGUGUUUCAAGUGCAAGGAUCAAUCAAGUCAUCUUGUUUUCCACAUAUCAAAGCAUAUUUUAAGUCAAGAAACCUAUCGAGCGUGUUCUACGAGCAUGGAUAAUCAAGUCAUGCUGCGUUUCACAAACAUCAAAGAAGACUAAGAAAUUUUAAGUCAUGAAAGCUAAAGCUAACGACAGUUUUCUAAACGUAAAGAUCAAUCAAGUCCUCUUAUUUUCCACAAAUAUAAAAGCAGAGAAAGAAAUAUUAAAAUAAUAAAUGCUAGCAACCGUGUUUCAAGUGCAAGAAUCAAUCAUGUCCUCUUGCUUUCAACAGACUUAUCAAAGCACAUUUUAAGUCAAGAAAGCUAUCGAAUGUGUUCUAAGUGCAUGAAUAAUCUAGUCAUCCUGCUUUUCACAAACGUCAAAGCAGACUAAGAAAUUUUAAGUCAAGAAAGCUAUCGUGUUCUAAGUGCAUGGAUAAUCAAAUCAUCCUGCUUUUCACAAACAUCGAAGCAGACUAAGAAAUUUUAAGUCAAGAAAACUAAUCACCGUUUUCUAAACGCAACUAUCAAUCAACUAGUCUUGGUUUUACACACAUCAAAGCAGACCAUUCUAUUGUCGUACCCUAGAUAGGUAAUUAAAUAUUUGAGGUUGGGUGUAAAAGUUUUCAUUUCUAAUAUUUUUUUUAAGCAAAGCAAAUUAAAAUCUUUAUUAUCAAUAUGGCAGAUGAGUUCAUUUUAUUUUUUUUAAUGUAUUUAAUUUUAUUAUUUUAAAAAAUUAAUAUUAGUGUUAAUUUUUGGAAACUUUUAACCAAAAAAAUUAUGAAAUUUGGAAGAAGAGAAAAUGGUCUCUAUUGCCACUUUGACAAUUUGCCGUGUAAAUACUGCCAUAAUGCUUGUAGAAAAAAAAGGUUUAAUUACAUUACAUGAUGCUCCCAUAAUUUAAAAUACCUGUUUUGAAGAAAUAAAAUGGAACUACACCCAUUAAAGAAUAAAAAUUUUAUGCACUGCACGUAGGAAAAGAAAAAGAAAAAUACUCAACUUCUAAUUAGUAAAUUUUUAAUGAUUUUAAGUAAAAAGAAAAGCGCCUACACCAAAAGAGAAAGGGCUGUUAACAAUUGAAACUAAAUGAAUCCAAACUAAAGAGAAGACAUUUCACACGGACGAAUUAAAAUGUUUAGACAGUUAUUGUAUUUUAUUUUUUGUGUAUUAAUUUAAUAUAAUUUUUGCAGGCAUAAUUAGAGUCACUAAUAUGAAAGUAUAAUGGGUUUUGAUAAUAAAUAAAAUUCAUAAACAGCAAAAAUUAUUUUAUAUAUGUUUUAGUUUUUAUUAAUCUCACUGCCUAGCUACUAACUUUUUUUUUUUUACGAAUUAUGAGUCAAUGAAAAAUAGAUGAUGUGUACUAAUUAAAUAUGAUAUCAUAUUACUUAAGGAAAAGAUUAUAUACACGUAACAUCUGCACAAAUUUCAUAGAGAUAUGAGAAUUUAAGAAUUAAAUUAAAAAGAAUAAAUUUGAAAAAAAAUAAUAAUGCAUAUAUGUUCAAUUUAUUUGUAUGAAAUAUAUGUAAAUGGCACUCCCAAUUUGAAAAUAUUUUCAAAAUAUGAAAAUAUGAUUAUGUAAAUAACUUAAUAAAAAAUAAAUUAAGUUAAUAAAUAACUUAAGGUAUGGUUCAUAAGAUAAAAAAUAUACUUAAAAUAAUCAUGUUAAAAGGACUAUAUAUGUAAGCAAUUGAUUGCCAUGUUCAGGAGAGUCCAUUGCCUUAGACUUUUAGGAAAAGCAGUUGAUUGCCAAGGGCAUAAAGUCGACUGCUUUGUCAAACAUAAACUAAACUUAGAUUCUAUAUAAAUAGUAACCGACUAUUAGCUUAGAGCAAUUGAUUGGUAUGUCUAAAAAGUGAGUGGACUGAUUCCAAACCCUUAUCCAAUCGACUGCCAGUAGAUGAUAGUCUUAUGAGAAUUUAUUUAUGCUAAAUGCAUUUAAUUGCUAUAAAGAUGAGUCGACUACUCUAUAAGAGACCAAAUGUGGAACCUUUUGGAAAUUGAAAGGAGUCAUCUGUUCACUUGGAGAAUGCAUUUUAUAUGAAGAAAUGAGUCGAUUAUUUUUUAGAGGAGUCGACCACCCUACUACGAAAAGCAUUUCAAAAAUUGAAAAUACAAAGAAGCAAUGGAUUGCUUUCUUGGAGCAAUAGACUACUUUGCGUGAAAAAUUGUAAUUUCCAAAAUUAGGACAAAUGGUUUCGCUUAGUAUGAAAUGUUUGAUUAUUCAAAUGAAUAAUUAUGUUUGUACUCUCUCAAAGAUACAUUUUUAUAAUCAAAAGGAAUUGAUCUUUAAUUGAAACAAUAUAAUAAAAAAAAAUCACAACCUUAAGAUUCAAUCUCUAUAAAUAGAUAUUGAUGUGAGUUCAUUUUGUAAUCUAAUUCAAUUCAGAAUUACUUUCUUCUUUCUCCUAAUCUUUUCUCAAUUAAAAGCUUAUUGGUUUGACAUUGUUUACAGCAGAAAACCUUGUAAAGAUAAGAUAUUUUCGUUCCUACUAAAGUGUGUUUAGUGGUUUGUUAUACUAGUGCAAAGUAUAAACAAACAAGGCUUCACUUUAUCUCAGAGGCAUUUUGGUUCAUCCCUUUUGCAUGCUAUAACUAGUUAGGGUGAUAUAAGCAUUAAGAAAAGUGACAUUUUGUAGCACACUUUGAAGUAAUUUUGUUCAUAUUUGAAGGUCCAUGAUUGCUCAACUCUAACUAUUCAUCAAGAAGGUUAUAAGAAGUUCUUGAGUUGUCAAAACAUUGAAGUAUUUACAAAUUGUAUCUUAUAGCUGUAUAUUACAUUAUUUUUCUAACAUUCUUAAGGUUUUGUUUCAAGCAAUAUGGACAAAUUUAAUUCCAUAAAAGAGAUGACAACCAACUUUUAAAUCUUGGACUGGUUUGAUGGAAGCAACAUCCUAAGGUGACAAUUGUAGAUGUCCUAUUUAAUUUUUGAAAUCUUUUGUAAAUUCUAAAUUUUGUUUUUAUUUGUUUAUUUAUUUAUUUAUUCUCUUUUUUUUUUUUUUUUUGCGCUUUCAAUUGACUCUUUGAGUUAUAGUGGUAGUUGAUUGUGGGGCAUAACAUUGUGGCUCUUGUUGGAUUAUUGGAUGAUAGGUUCUAAACCAAGCCUAACUCCUUUUUUUUUUAUGAAUUUUAUUUUUAUCUGAUUUAUAUCUUCUGUAAAAAAAAAAAAUUGAAAUUGAAAGGUCGGGAAGAUAAACAAAAUGAUAAAUAAAGAGAAGGAAAUCAGAUGAAUUUUGAUGAUGAUUUUUGUGAAGAUAAGUUGAAUCUUUUAAGAAUAAAGGACAUGAUAAUUUUUAAAAUUAACCCAAUCAACAUUUUGUUUCGAUUUGGAUUCUAAACGAGCUGGGACUAAAGGCUUAUAUAAGCAACAAUAAUUGAACACAAUAUACACAACAAGUAAAGGCAAUCGCAGAGGUAGAAAGCAAGUAAAAAAAUUUUUUCCACAAUAGGGUUCUUAAUUUGAAAUUUUUUUUUUUUUGCAAUUUUAGUUAUUUGAAUCAGUUUAAUUUGGAAAAAUUAGUGUUAUUAAGGGAUUAAAGAGGCGCAAAGAUCCAAGUUGAAUUUUUAGCCUUUUUUAUGUAAGAAUCUAGAAAUUUUUAAAUUUUUCAAUGAAUUUUAAAUUUUUUAACGAAUUCUUUUAGCGAAAUUCACAGUUUUUGGUGAAACUUGAAUUUUCUAACGGUUUUGAGCAUGAUUGGUUCACUGGGAAUCAUUUUCUUGGAGAUAGUUGUGUUACAAACUAAUUUUGCAGUUUGUAAUCUGAGUAUUAAUGUUACAAACUAAUUUUUAGCAUGAAUGGCGUGUCCUGGCCUUAUCAUUUACUCUUUUUGUUCUUUUUUUUUUUUGUUUAAAUUUUUUAUGAAUGUUUCAAAAUCUUAUAUUUUUAAUAUCUAAAAUUUUUAUUUUUUUAUCUUUUAAAAUUAUUUAUUAUUAUUUAUUUUUUACAUUAAAAAUAAAAAGUUUUAAUUUUAAUAUUCAUGAUAAAAUUAAUUUUAUUCAUGAUAAAAAUUUAUUAAUGACUUUUAAUUUAUUAAUAUUCAAUAUUUAUUAUUAGUAAUUUAUAUCAAUAUUUUGUAAUCAUACUUGUCCACGUUAUUUAUUAUAUAUGAAUUAAAAAUGAGCAAAUAACUAAAUAAUUUCAAAAAAAUUAAGUUUCAAAAUCAUCACUAAUAGUACGAUAAGAUAAAAAAAAUACUAUUAAUAUUGAUUACUUAAUUAACAUAAUGAUCUAAUCUUAAAACAAUUCAAAAAUAUCAAAAUUACUUAGACAUAAUAUUAAUAUAAUUUAAAUAAUUGAACUUUAUUAAAAUUAAUAUUUAACUGUUUAUACUUAUUACUUAUUAAUAAAUUAAUAAAAUUUGAGAUAUUAAAUUAAAUUAAUUAAUUGAUCACAUUUGACUUUUCAUAUUUUCUUUCUAUCUAAAAGUAAAAAAUGUAUAAUUUCAACAAAAAAAAAAAAAAACCCUUCCAAUUUAAUUCUAACCAUUUAUUUAAAGUCUAGCCAUUUCGAGUGUGAGUUAAUUUGAGUUUAAAUCAAUGUUGAAUUAUAAUGCAAUAAUUAUAGGUGAUAUAUCUCAUGAUUUAAUUCUUUGGCCUAAAACAAUAAAGAGCCAGUAGCAGAUAAUUAAGUAAUACAGAACUUACAUCAAAAUUUUAAAAACACAGAGAUAUCUCCCUUCAUCUCCUCUUAUUCUGAACCAAGUAGAGCAUGCAUGUCCUUGGAAAUCAUCCUCAAGUUCUAUCACAAGCCCGUCUCCCUUCGCAUAAUCCCAUAGGACUAAAAAAAUGGAGACAUUACUGAACUAGCACAAGGCACCACAGUUUGGAUUUACAUCUCCAUAGAAAUGAAUAUUUCCAUCACAUUAUGCUGUAAAAUGUGCAAUGCUCUCCUCAGUGCUAUUAAAGAAUAAUGGUCAGCUCCAUAGCCACCAUGGUGGAAAGUGCAACCCAUUCUUAAUAUCAGUUGCUACUCCACCCAAUUUACAAAUGUCUAAUGUCAGCCUUUCUUUGAAAAGCUUUGGAACAAAUAAGACCUUAUAUAGAAGCUGGUAGAUGGUUCAUGCAGUUAUCCUCAAAAAAUGACAUCUAAUAGGUUUGUGGUUUGAAUUUCAGUGCUUACAACUCCUUCUUUUAUCCCUAAUGCAAAAAAAAAAAAGAGACCUUAUAUGCACGGUGGCAGGGACUUGGACACUAGAAUGGAAACUAUAGGAUGGGUUUUUGAGGUUAGCAUCUGGGAUGUCUAAGGAAGAAUCCAUGGUUCUGAAAACCCCUGAAUAGACGUGGAAUCAGGAUGAUAAUAACUUGUGCUUUUGAUAAUUUAGUUUUUGCAGCACUCAAAAUUCAGUUUCUACCCUUCUGACAAGGAAAUAGUGUUUUUCCUCUUCAAACAGUUACUGUGGUCAUUUAUUCAGUAUAAAAAACUAACUCAAAAAAGGUAAAUUAUUUCAUACUUUUUCGUUUUAUCUUGAAUCUCCAUCAUAUUACAUGUAGGCCAAAAAGGAUAAUACAUUAGUGGACUUGAUCAAACUAAAAAAGCAGUGGCUGCAGCUCAUACAAAAUAAGAUCAUAACAUUAAAAUCUCGAAAUGGAAGACAGAUGCAUAUCACUUUGUUCUUUUCCAGCCCACAAUUUUCUUUAAGAAUUUCAAAAGGCAUAAAAAGAAAAAUUAUCACUGAGAUUAAGCCUUUUAAAAAAUGAUAUGAAAAUUCACUUAUUCAGCUUAUGUUUUGGUUUACUAAUUAGAAUAGAGUUCGAGAGUUCGAUUACAUACGAAAAAAGUUAUAGCAUCCUCACAACUCCCAUCCUAAGAUGAUACCAUUUAAUUUUAAAUUAUCUUAAGGAUUUUUGGUUCUAAUGAUUUUUUUAUUAAACUUUGAUAUUUAAAUAUUAAAAAUAAUUUUUAAGAUUUUUUAUUAAUUUGACAGAAUUCUUAAAAAAUACUUCCUCAACAGGAGUAUUUAAAAAUCGUAUUUAUUUUUUUGAAGAGGUUCUGUUGUAAAAAAAAAAAACUUAAUCAUUUAUUUUUUAUUUUGUUUUUAUUGAAAAUAUGUCUAAUUCUUUCAUCAUUUAGGUCAAAAUUAGAAAUAUUUUUUCGCCUAGAAAUUUUUUAAAUAAUCAUCCUUUUGUAAUUAUUAUAAAUUUAAUCCUCAGAAUUUAUUCUUUUUAUUUUGUGUAAGUUUUUUGUAUCUAAAUUUCUAUUGUAUGGAGACAAAUCUAAAUUUUCCACCAUUUUAAAAACUUUUAGAAAUACUUUUUUUACCUAAAAAUUUCUAAAAAAAUCAACCAUUCUUGAUUUCUUAGAAUUUCAUCAUCAACAUUUUUUUAUCAUUUCCAAAACUUCUCAUUUCUAUCUUUUUUAUUUACUACAUUUAAAAAUAUAAUUAUUAUAAUUUUAUCUAAUUUUACCAUCAUUAUAGUAAAAUUUUAGAAAUAAAUUUAUUAUCUAGAGUUUCUCAUCUUGAAAUUUUUUAGAGGAUCAACCAUUCUUGAUCUCUUAGAAUCUCAACAUCAAAUUUAUUUUAUUAUUUUUCUAUUUUUUAAGAUAUAUUUUUGUUAUUUCUAAAACUUUCUAAAAUUAUUUUUUUAAUUUUUUAUGAUUUUAAAGCAAAUAUCAAUAUUGUUAUUGAAAAUUUUAUCUAAAUCUCCAAUUUGAAGAUAUCAAAAAAAAAAAAAAAAAACUUCUCACUUAAAAAAAUUCUAGAAAUUCAACAAUUCUUGAGUUCUAAAAUUUUACUAGUUGGUAAUUUUCAUUUAUUUUUUUAGGAUUAUAUUCUUUAUUCUUAUUUUCAUAAAUUAUUUUUAUUAACAUUUUCAUAUAAAUUGUCCACCAUUCUAGAGAAUUUAUAAGAAAACUUCUUACUUAAAAAUUUCUAAAAAUCAACCAUUCUUGAUUUUUAAAAUUAUCUCAUUAGGAUAAUUGCCAUGUAUUUUAGAGUUUUUGUUUCAUUUUUUUUAUAUUUGGUGUUCAAUUGACGAGAAAUUAAAUUUAUUUUUUUUGGUUUUCAACUAAAUUUUCCACCAUGGAGAAUUUAAAAGAAAUUGCUUAUCUAAAAAUUUCUGAAAAGUAAAUUCCUUACAAAAAAAUUUUCACUUAUAAUUAAAGUUUGAAUUAAAUUACAUGAUUCAAAAAAAAGUUAUUUAUCUUCAAGAUUUAUAUGAAAUACAUGAUUCUGAUAAUAUUUUAAUUAAAGAAAACUACAAGUAUAAAUAUAUUUUAUUCUACCAUAUUUUAGUUUUUUAAGUGUGAAGCUAGUAAACAUUUUUCUAGUUUAAGAAUGAAUGCUUUAUAAAAUGUACAACAAAGUAAAUAAAUGAUAAAAAAAAAAAAAAAGAACCAGAAAAUUAAAUAAGGGAAAAAAAAAAGAUGAAAACCUAAAAUUUGAGUUGCAACUCAAAUCCAACGCAGGCCAGCCUAAGCUAAAAAGUAGGGUUGGAGUUCGAGGCUUCAAAUUGUGGUUCUUGAAUCCUCCUCAGGUUACACUCAAAAUAUAAGCUUUUUGGACUUGGACCAGAUCUUUAAGUUCUAGAACAUUCCUUCCCCUUUCUUUAUUCUUUAUUGCAAAAGGAUAAAGCCCAACUUCUCAUUUCAGCAACACAGCUCUCAGUUUUUGCUGUUUUCUCGUCCUUUUUGCCGAUAAGUUGUCACUUCCCUUAUUAUUUUCGGAAUCUCACAACACUCCGCAAAUUUAAACACAAAGACCAUUCUACCACUUCUUGGAAUUCCUAAUCCCAACUACUCGGAUCGUUGAAAAACUCCUCCAAAUCCUUCCCCUUUCUUUUGCCGUUUAAAAGAGUACCAAAAUGUGCCUAACUAAAAGUGAAUCCCAAACCGAAAACCGCUGCUAGAAGAAUAUCUUUUAUUUUCGUCUUUCGAUUGUUGAUUCUAUCUCUGUGGCUAUUUUUGAUGCUUGACUCUGGUUAUUGUGUUUUGAUUAUUUGUUGGAUUUUGGAUCGAUGGUUACUAUUUGGGCAAGAAAAGGUAGUGGUAGUCUUCGGUUGCUGGUUUAGAUAGUGGAUGACUGGUGGUGGUGACUGGCAAUUGGGAGCGGCCGAACAAAAUGGGGAUUUGCUUCCUAUCUCCCCUGUGUUGCCCUCUGAUUUUCUCUGCUGAUUGCUUUCUCUAUGAUUUUUUUUUUUUUUUGUUAGUUGUUGUGAAUUGAAAGUUUAUUUAUAGGUAAGAUCACGAGAGUUUCAACUUACUUAGGAAUAGAUUUCUUUAAAAUUAAAGAUUAUCCCUAUAGUAAAUCUAAUCUCAAACUGCUUCUGAUGAAGCUAGCAUCUUAACCGAGAUAACAUCAUUUUAAACUUCCAAAUUAUCAAAUAAAAAUAAAAUAAAUAAGGAUAAUAAGAAUACGGAAAAAUAAAAUAAAAGUCUAAAAUCUAAAAUUCAAUAAUUGGAUUUCAAAUAAGACCAAGUCCAAUUGAUUUGGGCCUCCAUAAAAUAAAAUAUUGACCUCGAGAAAUUGCUCAUAGUAGAAUAAAAACUUAACCUUUAUAUGAGAAAUAUUUAAUGUUAUCAAUUUGAUUAAUUUUAUUUCUUAUAUCGUCUGAAAAUCUGAAUCUCUCUCGCAUUGUCUUUUUUCGUGGGUGGCCUCAAAACAAUUGUUGACGGCUCAAUUUCCUUUCGUUUCCCCCUUUUUUUCCCCCUUUCUUUCUUUGCUUCUCCUUUUUUUCAUUUUCAAAUUUUUUGGUAAUAAAUAUAUUUCACUAUCACCACCUAUGAGAUGGCUUGAUCGAUGAGUACAAGAAGUAAGCCAUCACUAUUCUCCUUUGAGACUACCAUUGUAGCAACCAAAAUCUCUAAUCAAGAAAAAGGUAAUCCUAAUUAUGGGGUUUUUAUAUUACCUUUGUUUUGAGUUGAUUUUUAAGUUUCAAUUUGUGUAAAAUUGUUGAUGUAUUUGCAGGAGAAAAAGAACAAAAUUAAAAUAUUCAAAAUGUAAUUUCUCAAAAUGCUAAACCAUAAACAAAGGCUUUAAAUAUUGGUAGAGUUGUUCUAAGUUUGAUAUCUUGUAUCAAAUUUUUUGGGUUUGAUAUUAGAUUUAAAGAAAUAUUGAAUUUCAAAGGUUUGGAUUAGUUAUGCAUUUGAUAUUUUUUAUAAGAUUUAGGGUUGUAAACUGAGGGUAGCCAUGGUAGUUUUUCCAACUUCCUGCCGAAUAGUUUCUCCUUUAAGAGAAUAGGCCUUGAUCCAAGCAGUCCAAAUUGAGCCCUCUUUUGACAAUAAAGUCUAAAUAUAUUGGAUGAUGCAAACUUUCUUCAAACUGAAAAGAUCUUUAAAUAUACUUCAGAUUUUAUGGAAUAUUUCCCCAUCAUUUUAUUUCAAUUUAAUGGUUAGUGAAAUAUGAAAAGUUUUCUAAAUAAAAUUGAUUCAUUUUUUUCUUUCAAAAUUUUAUUUCCAAGGCAUUAGUUAAUAAAAUAUAAUUUUAUUUCAAAAGUUUAUUUUCAAAUAAUUAAUUAAAUAAAAUACGAAAAAAUUGGAAUUAAUAUACAUAAUUCGUAUAACUUUUCUUUUCCUACCUAUUUUUAAUCAAACUCAAUAAUUACUAACGAUAUCAAAAGUUUUUUUGAAAGAAAUUUAUUUAUAUUUUUUUUAAACGUUGUUUUCAAAUCAUUAAUUAAAAGUACAAAAAAUUCACAUUAUUUUCAAAUCAUUAAUUUUAUGCUUUUUCCUCUCCCUAUCAUUUAUCAAAACAAAAAAAAAAGUAAUUUUUUCAUGAACAAUUUUUAUUUUAAACCAAAUGACGACAUUGACAUUUUUCCUUUCAAAGGUUUGUUUUCAAUUUAUUAAAUAAUUCUAUAGAAAACUAAUAAUUGAGAAAUGAAAACAUGAGGAAAUUUAUAGAAAAAUAAUUAGCAAUUGUUGUGCACCAAAACAUUUUAGCAAAAAAUAUCUUUGGACUAUUUAACUUAAAAUCUUUACUUCAAAUCAAGAGUUCAAGUAUAUCAAGAAAAAAAAAACUAAUUCUUCUAAAAUGAAAAAAAAAAAUUGACAACCUUCUGAAUACAAAAAUAUAAACAAUUAUAUCAUAUGUUCUCACUUGAGUUACUUGUAUUUUAGCUACUCAUCAUUUAUUGAAUAAAAAAUAUUGACACCUUUAUAGAAUAAAGUAACAGGAAAACCAUUGGCAUCAAGUUAAAUAAACUUUGCAUCGUUUAUUUUCAAAAUAUGAUUCAAUAAAACUAUGGAUUCCAAAUAAAACAUAUCACUCUAAUGUUCCUCCAUUAGAAAAUUAAAAAAAAAAAAUUAUUGCGAGAAAGAUGAUCGCAUUUCUCAAGAAGAAACACCACCCCACUUUUGGCCAUGAUUUCAUGAACUUUCUAAGACAUUCCACGCCAUUGGAAGGUGAACUUCCAAUGCACAAACACACCAUAAAGCUCUCACUCAAGCUUCAUGCAAUCACAAUAAAAGAAGAAACAGCACAAUCUGUUCCACGCUGAAUUCAUAAGUUACAUACUGCAAUAAAGUUACAAAACUUGCAUCAGUUCCCCUUUUUUCUUUUUUCUUUUUUUUUUUUUUUGGACAAGAAGCUUGCGUUCAUAUUUCGAAAAUCAAUUUCUAACAAUAAUCAAGUGAAAGAAAAAAGAUGAACUUCAAAAAACUUGCACCUACCUGUAUUAUUAUUCCUUUUCAUCAUACUUACUAAAUUGGUUUUGUGAAUAAUAGAAAAAAAUGCCCAUACUGAUAGUUGAUAAAUUAAUAACGUCAUACCAUAUAAAAAUAGGAGACAAUAAUUUAUAAACUUAGAUUAAUAUGUACAAGUGAUGAUUGACUAACUCCAGGCAUUUCAAACACCUAACAUUAUAAAUCGAUAGGAAAUCGAAUCAACAGAAAUUCAAUAAUGGUUUAUAUGAUUAAUAACAUCUAUUUUAUCAAAGUAAAUAAUUAAAAUUAAUAUUUACUUUUAGGAAAAGUCAUUUCAUACUUUUAUCUUUAAAAUGGUUUAAUUUCAAUAAAUAUAUAGGUGCUAUAUAGUAAAUUCGUACAUGAAUACUAUUUUAAUUAUGUAAAUAUGUGUUCAAUACUAACAAUAUUGUAAUUAACUUCUAUGUUAAAUAACAAUUAAUAUAGUUAAUUUAUUAAAAUAAAUAAAGCAUGUUUGACUUGAUUAUUAAUUCCAUAAUCAAGCAUAAAUCACCUAAAAAAAUAAAAAAAAAAUGAGCCAUUAUUUUUCAUCCAAUCCAAAUUACUUAAAAUGCAAUUAUAUGAGUCAUAAUUUUCAUACAAGAAAAUACAUUAGUACACUUUUAUUAUUAUUAAAAUUAUAUACUUACUGUUAUUAUUAUCAUUGAGAUAAAAAAGAGUUGUAACGAAAAAGUAUUCCUAAUUAAUGAUUGCAUUAAUAAAUAUUGUAAGUAAAUGAAAAUGAAUUUAACUUACUAGUUCUCUUCAUGAUAAUUUAUGUUUUGGUUAAUUACAUAGAAAUUAUAUAUAUGUUACUUCUAAUCAUACAGAACAUAUAUAAAUUAAUUAUAUGUAUUGAGAAAUAAUAUGAAUUUAAUAAAAGAAAAUAAAAGAAAACACAAAUGCACAAAAUGAGCCUAUCUUUCUAUAUAUGUAACCACACAUCCAGGUGAAAAGGCUUUUUAUGCAAAUCGCAUAAUUAUUUAAACUCUUUAAUGAUUCAAUGCAACUAAAACUCUAGUUUUUAUCGUAAAAUUUAAAAUGUUAUUAAAAAAAAUUUACUUUAAUAAAAAGUUCAAAGUUAAUAAAUAAAUAUAGAGAUAAAAAUUCAAAAUUAAUGAAAGUACCUUGAUUAUUGAACCAAAAUAUGUAUUAUGGUAGUAGUAACCUUAACCUGCAAGUAAAUAUAAAGCUUAAUGAAGUACCUUAUUAAAAGAAAAUUAGAUAAAUAUAUACUAUGUACUUUUUUAUUAGCCUAAACUAUUUAUAUGAUUGCAUUCUUACCACAUUAAUUAAUCCUGCAUAAUAUUGUUCAGAUAUUCUCUUUUGAUAUUCUUCAGCAUGGAGACGACAUUCUUCAUAUCUAAUCUAUCUUCAGGAAAUUCAGCUGAACAAUCCAAAGCUAAUCUCAUAAUAGAUGAUAUACAAUUUGCUUUAAUAACAAAAUAUUCAUCGGUUUCUUGCACUAAACUAGAAUCUAUUACACCAAUUAUUUCAUUAGAUAAUGACCCUUUCACCCAAUGAUUCAUACUCAUUUCUCCAACAAAAAUAUCAUCUGUGGGCUUCUUUUUUGUGAAGGUUUCUAUUAAUAGAAUACCAUAGCUAUAGAUAUCAGUCUUCACCGAAACAAUUCCCAUCGAUCCGUAUUCUGUAUUUUAAAUAUAAUUGAAUCAUUAAAAUGAUCUUAUGCCGUUCGGGCAUCAUUAAUCAUCAAUAAAAUGAUAAAAUACUAAUAUCUACUCGUAUUGGAAUAGAGAAAAAAUAAAAAAUGAAAAUUUCACCUGGUGCCAUAUAGCCAAUAGUAGCUAGUGUCGUUGUUUGUUUGAUGGAAUCUCCUCCCAAUAGCUUGGCAAUUCCAAAAUCUCCCACAUGUGCAACCAUGUCCUCAUCCAAUAAGACGUUACUUGGUUUUAGGUCACAAUGGAUUACAGGAAUUGGAUGUCCCAAAUGGAGGUACUCUAAUGCCGAUGCAACAUCUAUCAUGAUGUUGAUUCUUUGUAGGAUAUCCAAUACAUAAUUGUAAGAAUAUAACCAUUUCUCAAGGCUCCCAUUAGGCAUGAACUCAAGCACUAGGGCUUUGAAAUCAAUAGUUGAACAACAAGUAAUGACCUUGACAAGAUUGCGAUGAAGGAUAUUGCUCAUCACUUCACAUUCAACGUCAAAACUCUUAAAUGCUCCAUCUCUUUGCAUAUUGAAAACUUUUAUUGCGACUUCUGUUCCAUCUGAAAGUAUUCCUUUGUACACAGAGCCAAAACUUCCUGAACCAAGUAAGUUAUUCCAACUAAAUCCACCAGUCCCUUGCAAUAGUUGAUUAUACGAAAUUCUUCUCCUUUUCUUGAGAGGAAUUGAAUCUUUAACCAUUACCAAAUUCAUAUUCCCCCGCUGCCCUUUUUUGUAGACAAUUAUGACAGCUACAACUAUUAUUAUUGAAGCAAAUGUUGGUAAAACAUACCUCAAAGCAUGAAGAGCGGUCUUCUUGAAUUUUGGAUGGAUUUUAUUUUUGCAAGGUGAGACUUGUAGUCUAGGUGAACCACAUAGUGCAUGAUUUUUCAUGAAUGAUUUGGCUGUGAAGUUCGAAAAAGGCCCUCCACUUGGUACUUCUCCUUCUAAUCUAUUGAAAGACACAUUAAAAUAAUUGAGAUCAUAAAGUUUUUCCAAAGACUUGGGAAUGACUCCAGAGAGAUUGUUGUUAGAUAAAUCCAAGCUUUUCAAACUCAUCAAGUCGCCCAAUGAUUUUGGAAUAGGGCCUUGUAAUCUAUUUCUAGAAAGAUCUAAAACUUGUAGAUCAUGGAAACUUCCAAUUGUGGACGGAAUAUCACUUGAUAAUAAAUUCCUUGACAAAUUCAAAGAAAUAAGGACCUUCAAAUUUCCAAUGUCAUGUGGAAGUGAACCGCUAAGAUUGUUUGAUGACAAGUCUACUUCCAAGAUAUCUUUAAGGCUCCAAAAAGUUAAAGGUUUUUGCGAAUGCAAUUUGUUGGAGAACAAGUAUAGAUAUCUCAGAGAAGUCAAAUCAGACAAACAUGUUGGUAAUGGUCCAUCAAGCUCAUUAGCACCCAAUGAUAAUUCGUACAAUCCCUUCAAACCACAAAGAUCUUGUGGGACAAAGCCUUGUAACUUAUUUCCAUGAAGAUUUAAAAGUUGGAAAUUUUUUAACCUUCCUAUUGUUAUUGGAAUAGGUCCACUCAAUUUAUUGGAGGACAGGUCUAACAAUAUAGCUUUGCUUAAGCUACCAAUUUCCAUGGGAAUGCUGCCUCUAAUUUUGCAAUCAACGAGCCAUAAUUUUUGAAGUGAUGUGGAGAGAUUUGAGAUAGAAGUUGGAAGAAUGCCAUUCAAUGGUUUGAGUGAUAGGUCCACAAAUGUUAGAUGCCUGCAAUUUUCAAAGGAAUAGAGAAAGCUCCAUUCAUGAGUUGAAGUUUUGGUGGUCAAAUGAUUCCACGCAAGGUUCAACAUCUCAAGGAACCUCAAAUUGCAAAGUGUAUCUGGAAUAAGGCCAAAGAAUGAGUUUUUUGCUAAAUCUAGGAUCCUGAGCUUAGAAACAUUGGAGAUAGAGUCAGGAAUAUUUCCACUGAGAUUAUUGCUCCAUAAGUAAAGACCUUCAAGAUUUGAAGCAGAGCUCAUGUGUGGUAAUUUACCUAAAAAGAAAAAAAUAAGUUUGCAUCCUUCCAUACAAGAAAUAAAUUAAUUGUUUUGCUUUGUUGUGUUUUUCAUGAAUCUAUGAUGCAAACUGAAGUGAAUGCAAUGCUUACAUAUACGAACAUGAGUGAGGAGAAACUUGAAGCCUUUUAACAAUUAUAAAUAUGAAACAACUUCAAGUUUUUCUUGUUUGAUAAUCUGGAAUAUAUAUAUAUAUAUUUAUAUGAUUUAUAAAAUUUUUUUCAUAUUUAUAAUGAUCAAAUUAGGGCUCCAUGCUUACGUAUAAUAAAGUGCAAAAGAGAAAAGAAAAGUAAAAGGAAAAAGAAGAUAGAAGAAAGGAAAGGAGAAAAGGAGAUAUUAUAAGGUUCUAGUAUAUGCUUAAAAUGUUUUCCAUUUAUGUGAGAAUUUUAUUUUCUUUAACUUAUCUCAAUUGCUUUAAUGAUAAAAAAGAUUAAAGAAAUUUUCGUUGAUGAAAUUGUUAAUGUACGAAAGAAAAAGAAAUGAGAUAAAAGAUGAAAAAAAUAAAAAAUAAAAGUAUAUUUACAUUAAUUUGUUUGAGAAAAGAAAAAUCUGAAAGUAAAAAUAUUUGGAAAUAAAUUAGAAUUUUUAUCUAUGCCAUUUUAGGAAAAAAAGGCUCAAGAGAAAUGAUAAAAUUUCUGUCAUUUUACACUAUAUAGGCAUAAUCAAAGAGAAAAAUACAAAGAUUCUAUCAAAAGAUUGUUAAAAGUACACGUACUCUUUUGAGUUUGAAAAUCAGUUUCUUUCUUCCCUAAGGUUUGAUAGAACCUUACGAGUGCUCUACCAGAGGAUGUUCAUUUGAGGUUUGUUGGAGUAAUACUGUAUACAUUUUCCUACUACAAUAAAAAAUUUAGUAAUAUGAUGACAAAAAAUGUGAAACUAAUGAAAAAGAUUUUAAAAUGAUGCUUUCGAUUACAGAAUUAUUAGAGGGUGAAAAGCCUUGCCUUAGUCCGAUUUAGAGGGUGAAGCAAAGGUAAGUCAAAAAGCUCUUCUUGGAUGCUAUGAAGGCCACAUAAGAACAUUAAUUACCUUGGGAGAAAAAAAAUUUUUACACUGUUUGUUGAUGGAAUUUUUCCAGGAUGUAAUCUCUUUAAUCUCAAGCAAUGUUUUGUCAGAUGUGGGAGGGUGGUUGAUUUUUAUGUCCCAAAUAAUCAGAAGAGAGCCAAAAAUGUCUUAGUUGGUUUUGUCCAUUAUCUUGAUCUACGGGAUGCAUUGAGGGCUGUCAAAUUUCUAAAUGGUUAGCUCCUGAGUUAUUCCACUCUAUAUGUUCAAAUGGCAAGGUAUGAUCAAAGGUCUCAUGCUAGUUCCAAACCCACCACUCACCACGUGGAAAAAGGUGUUAGCUGCAUAGAAGACUUUAAAGAUGGACGAUCUUAUGCAGAGGGGUUCAUAUGUCUGUCAAAUCCACUCAGUUAAAGGAUAAUAUUGUAUCAGAUGGUCAAAAAGAAGAGGUUUUAAAAUCGCUUAACAUCCUUGAAUACAUUCCUGAAAAUUUAGAUGUGGUGGGAUUACAACGGAAUGCUGUUGGGAUAGUUAGAUAUCCUGAUACUACAAAUGCCAUUGAUCAAAUCUUGUCAGAGGAAAUUAUGUUAUUAUCUCUGGAACUUGGUCAGGAGUUUCUGUUGAGCUUAUGAGCAAUAGUGAUAUAGAUGCUGAGAAACUUUUCAACGUCGAAGAAAAAUUUCACCUUGUUACUACUAUUCGAGUAGGUAAAAGAAGGAAAAAAGGUAAGGCAAAAUAUUGGACAAGAUCCAAUCGCAGGUCUCGCCAGAUAAAGACACCUCUAGUUUCCAAUGUUCAAGAGCGCUUAUCGGAUGAAGAUAUUCGUUCUCGAAAUAGAGCUUUUCUAGAUGGAUAUGAUAGUGGUUACGAGGUUAAUGUUGAGAGUUCUAGCGUUUUGCUAUUUGCAUGCUUUUGGGAUAUGAAAGAGCCCCUAUGUAAAAAGAAUCAUCGACCAUGAAAGUUGUUUUCUAUAUUUUUUGAAAUUGUGAUGCUUUGGAGAUCAAUUGGGGCAUCCAGUUUGAUAAAAAAAAUUUAAAAACCUGAAUGAUAUGGUAGAUGUCAUGCAAAGGUGGGUGGUGAUUUUGUUCUGUAAGGGAUAGUGGUGUUUGCUCUCAUUAUUUGUUUACCGACCAUGGUAGUGUUUUUUUUUUCCUUUUUGUUUGGAUGUCAUGAUUUCUUCUUUUUAGGUGGAAGUCUUUCGUUAGAAUUGUGCUAGAUGUUUUUUUUUGUUGUUUCUGGUAUGGCUUUAACUAUGUUUCUUGGUAAGAUUCUUGUAUUUCACUGAUGAUGUUCUUUUGAUCUCUAAUGAAAAAAUGGCUUAACAAAAAAAAAGUUACACAACUAUUGCUUUUUAUUUCGUAAAAGAACAGUUAAAUUCCCUAAUUUGACAAAAAAAAGGAUAAAAAUAGCACUUAUUUUUAUUGCAUAUAAUAAAAAGAGAGCAUAUAAUUUACAACUAUUAUAAUUCAAUUAAUUAAUUAUAAUUUAAAAUUAUAUAAAAUUUAUCAAAAUUUUAUAUGUAACCAAUAUUUAUAAGUGAUGAUCCUUAUAUAAUACUUUAUUGUGAUUAGAUAAUAUUAUAAUAUUAUAGUAAAAAAAAUUAUAACUGAAAUGAUUCAAAUAAAAAGUUAGACGACUUUAAACAAAUCUAUACAUUACAUUAAAACAAUCUGGUGACAAAAGCAUGGUAGUUAGGGAUGAAUUGAAAAUUGACAUGUGGUUGGAUAAGUGAAGAAUUUUUUUUUUUAAUUUUGAAUGUUGAUUUUUUUUGGAACGGAGUACAAUUAAAAAAAUCAUUAAUACUAUAUUUUAAAACUAUGGUUUUUGGUAAUUUUCUUUUGAAAUUGUUUUUUGUCAAAUAUAAUUUAGUCAUAAGUUUGAUCCUCAAUUACCAUAUAAACUUUACUCAUAUGUCUUAAAAGAAUGGGCAGACUAAAAAAUAAUAUAGGCUAAGUAAAUGUAUGAGCCUUAAUUUUUGUAUUAGAAGAGUGGACUUAAUAUAUAAUGCUAUAAUAAUUUUAAUCUAAUUUUAAUUUCCAUGUUUAAAUUUAUUAUUUAUAUGUAACAUAAUAAUGCUCAAAUUAAAAUUACUUUAUCCAUUCAAUAAAAAUUUUUUAUUUUAGAAGAUUUAAAUUUAAUAUUUUAUUAUAAUAUUACAUCUUGUUAAUAAAUAAUAAAAUUAUAUUAAUUUUAAUACAAUAUUACAUGUUGUUAAUAAAUAAUAAAUUUAGAAAAACUAUAAAAUGAAUUGACCUAAUGUCGUUAGGUAAUAAUAGAAAUUACAAAAUAGAUCAGUUACAAUAUAAUGACACUUUAAAUCGGUGUUAAAAGAAAAAUAAUUGAGGGAAUAAACACUAAAAGGUUUUUAAUUUGGUUUUAUUGACAUGGAAAGACUCUUUCUUUCCUACUUCAAAUUAAAUAAUCAUUACAAUACAGGUUUUAAUUAUAAUUUUUUAUGCAAGUUUCUAUUUUAGAAUACACGUUUUUACAUGUGCUUUAUUAUAUCAUAUUUUCAUUUCUAGAAUCUCUAUCUCCUUUCUACUUCUCAUUUUCCUUUCAUUUUCUUUCCUCCUGCUAUUCAGGUUUUUUUUUUUUUUCAAGUUUCAAAAUUUUUAGCUUACCUUUUAUCAUCUACAUAUAAAAUUAAACAAAUAUACACACACUACAUCAUCUUUUACUGUUUUCAAUAUACAGAAUAUCAAAAUACAACGUUCAUUUUCAUUCCAUGCAGUGUGAAAAAAUGGAUAAUUAACAAAUAGCUCCAUUGAUCAAUUCUUUCCUCUCAUCAAAUUUUAUUGUAUGUGACUAGCAUAUUUCAUUAUUUUAACAACUUAUUAAGAGGUAAUCAAAUAUAUUCAUAUGAAUCUUGUAUGAUUACAGUAUAUAAACUUUUGAGUAUACCUAUAGAAUCUGAAUAUUAAUGUUUUUUAUAACUUCGUUAUGAUAAAAAUCAAAUAUAUUCAUUUGAAUCUUAUUUAAUUUAUCCCUCAUAAUGAAAUUUUGAAUUUCAUAAUCCUUUGUACAUAUACUAUUAAUAAAUAUAAAAGAAAUAAAAUACAUUGUUAAAUUUUUUAUUACACAAAAUAUAAAUUUUAAAUAUUUGCAGAUAAAUAAAUAUAAAAAAAUAAAAUAUAAUAAUACUAUUUUAAGUUAGAUGUAACAAUAAAUUAAGUCGAUAUUAAAUUAAUAUGGGAGUAACAAAGUCCGUUAAUAUUACUUUUUAUUACAUUACAAAACAAAUCAAAUAAUUUUAUCUUAUAUAAUUGCAACGGGAUAAUAAAUAAUAGCCAUGUUACAUCACUAGUUUUGGGUACCUAUCCUUUUUCCACAUUGGGCAACUUAAGCUGGUGGUGCGCAUCCCAGUUAGGGGCAUGACUCCAUCAUAAAAUGUUUUUUAAAAAAAUUAAAAAUAAUUUCCAAAAGAUGGAAAUUUCGAUUUUUAGGUUUGGUUUUCAAAUUCUUUUGAGUCUUUGUUUUGCCUUUCCCUAAUUUAAUUGGAAACAGUUUUUUAUUUUAAUAAGAUAAAAAAAGUUUGAAAAAACAUUUCUCAACCCUUUCAAUGACACUUCAUUUGUUUAACAGUUUUCAUAAUUUCAUGAUUAUUUGUUUUAUAAUCCUAAACUAAACUUUUUUUAAAACUAAAGUAAAUAAUUUUAAAUAUAAAAUUAAUGAAAUGUUUAUAAUGAAAUUACCUGAUAGAUUAUUAUUUGCAAAAUUAAUUGCCUUCAAAGAAGAAAUGUUGAAGAUGGAAUGUGGAAUCAACCCACUCAAGCGCAUAGAUGUUAUAGAUAAUGUCUCCAAUGAAAUAAGAUUUCCAAUCUCCCAUGGAAUUUCACCUACAAAAGAACAACAACCUAAUAUUAUAAAACUAUCCACUUUCUAAACAUUUCAAUAAUACUGAGGUUAUUUAAAAUGCAAUAAAAGUCAAUUACACAGGAAACUCCUAAUUUCUUCAUUGUGUAAAAUAUGAAGGAAUAAUUAAUUUCUUCAAUACUAAAAGUUUGAGUCAAAAUGAAAAAAGCAUAAAAGAAAACCAAAUGUGACUAUUUUCAUGUUGCUCAUUCUAUUAAUUUUUAUUUUUUAGUUAUUUCCUUUUUAAUAUAAUUAGUAAAAAAAUAUCAAUCAAUUGAAAUCUAAAUAAUCAAAUGCAAAAGCUUAUCUUUUACAUUAUUAUAACUUAGAUAUAUCUCCUCAAGUUUGGUUAAAUUUCCUGUACUUCUCGAAAUGUGGCCUAAAAAUUCGUUGUUACAAAUAUCAAGCACCUCAUGUUUGAGAAGAGAGUAACACAUAUUUUAUGUAAUACUGCUAGAGAGACUAUUGCUAUAGAGAUAAAUUUCUUUUAAAGAAGAAAGGUUAUAGAUGGAAGCCGGGAUUGGACCAACAAGCCUCAGAUUUGGGGCAGAAAAUAUCUCCAAGCUCAAAUGAUUUCCAAUUUUCGAAGGGAUUUCACCAGUGAACAUAAAGAAACCAAGUUACAGGAGUUCAUUCAUAAUGAAACAAUUUGCUUGUCAUUACUUUCAUAAUGAAACUAUUAAAGUAGAAUAAAAGCUUUGUUUUUUUUGUUUGGCAUUACAUUCACAAUGAAACUAUUUGCUCCAAAUUUUAUGAGAAUAUGGAUUAAAAUAAUUAAUUUAAUUUUCAUCUCAAACAUUAUCAUCAAAAGAUAUAUAUAUAUAUAUAUAUAUAUAUAUAAAGUAGAAUAAAAACGUUUUUUUUGCGUGGCAUGACAUUGGUAAUGAAACUAUUUGCUCCAAAGUUUAUGGAUGUAAAACAAUUAAUUUAAUUCUCGUUCCAAACAUUUUCUUCAAAAGAUGUUUUUUUUUUUUUUGUAUCUUUAACAGGAAAUCAAAAAACUAUUUCAUUAGCAUAAAGGUUUAAUUGGUCCGGCAAUCUUGUUUUUUGCACAAGUGGAUCUUAUUGUUGGUAUGUGCUUCCAGAAAAAAAAAAUCUAAACUGUUAUAAUAUGGGCAAAAUCAUACCCAGACAUGUUUUAGAGAAAUGUUAAAAUUUCAACGCUUCUUAGGAUAAACCACAUUGGUUUAUUCUGUAUUAAUUAGGACAUAUAAUAUUAUCAUUUUACAUUUUUAUUGGUGCAAUUGGUUAUAUCAUUGAUAACGUAUCCAUACUCAUCGUAUUAGCUAAUAUAUAUCAGUUUUGAAUCGCAACACAUAAUAUUAUUGUUUUAUUUGAUCUUUGCAUCAGCCUGUAUGUAUCCAACGCACUAGUCCGUUUCAGUCGUACAAGUAAAAAAUGAUAUUUUGAUUGAUAUAAAAUUUUGCCUCUUAUUUUGUCCUGUUUAAACUUUUUUAUUGUCCUAACUCUUUUAAUCAAUUCUUAAUUCUUUUGCUCUCAUCAUUAUUUUUAUUUUUUUCAUGAUUAGAGCCAAAAAUUAAAUGUUUCCAUUAAAUUAGACUAUUAAAUUUCUUUAAUGAUAAUUUAUUAGAUACUUAUUAUUUUUAUAGUUGUUUUAUUUAUUUAGAAUUUUGGGUAUUAAAUAUUUAGAAAUUUAUAGUAGUAUGAUUUUUAAAACUUGUAAUGGCAUAUGAAUAUGUAUGUAAUACAAGUGCAUUUGUGUAUAUAUGUAUAUUUGAUAGACAAAUAUUACAUAAUACCGAUAAAUCUAAAACUAUACAGUAAAAUAACAAGGUUGUAUUUCCUAUUUAUAAUCUUUUGCUGAAUAAAACUGCUCAUGUUUUAGUGAAAAGUGUUUUCAUCAAAUAACAAUUUCCUCUUUUCUUGUUGGAUUAUAAACGAACAACCAAAUAACAGAAAAGGAAAAGAAAAAACUAAAAAGACAUAAAUUCUUAACAGUUGAACAAUGGGAUGAAAUUAAAGCAAUAACUUCAUUCACUUCUUUCUCUGAUUGACCAUCAUUUCUUUUAACCAAAUACUCAAAUAAUAGUACUGCAAAAUUAAGUGACCAAAUGGAUAAUUUAUCCAAAAAAAAAGGGAAAUCCAAUGGGUAAUGUCAAAUGUGCUACAGCCCUUGUUAUGAGGGAGGGAAAUAACGCCAACUAAUUUAUUUUGGGCAUUUGUCCAAGCAUUUCAAGGAAAAGAGAUAGUUUCCUUAUGGUUUUUUUUUUCUUUUUCAUAAAUUUAAGAUACUCACGGAAUACUAAAGAUUUUCAGCCAUGAAACUUGACCGGAGAAAAUAACAUGAGUUUCAUAGUUACUAUUAAUAGUAAGCAGUUUUAAUUUGAUAUCAAUAAUUAAAUUAAAUUUAGCUCUUACUUUCAAAAAUAUAAAAGUAAUUCUUUUACAAUAAUUUCAAAUUAUAAAUUAAAGAAAGUUUAUUUUGAUAAAAGCUUCAAUGUUGAUAAGAAAAUAAAUAAAAUUAGUCAUAUUUUAAUUUAACAAGAAAUCAUUAAUUAUAAAUAAAAUAUCUAAGAUAAUAAAUUAUCAAAGAUAUAUAUGUUGUUCACUAUUUACGCUUUCCAAUUUUGUUUUUUAUAUAAUAUAUAUAAAUAAGAUAAAAAUGUUUUAAUUUUUACUACUGUAUUUAAUCACUUUUAAAGUUGAUACUUUUAUAUGUAGAAGAUAUUUUUAAUUUUACUAUUUUCUUCUAUUUCUUGGCACCUUUUGAUUAAAUAAAAGCAAGAAAAAACCAACAACUAAUUAAAAGGAGUCGUAAUUAACUGUGUUGGAGUCUUGGUUAAAGUAAACCUAUUUUAGUAGGCAUAAAUUAGGGAGUUUUAGCUUGGAAUCAUGUUUCACUAAAUACAAAAUUAAUUAGUGAUCAAUCGAAAGAAAAUUAUCGAAGAAAAAACAAAGAGCUUACCUCCAAAUUAUUUCCAUCCAAGUAUAGCACUUUGAGCCUCGUUAAAUUUCCAAUACUCCUUGGAAUGCUGCCACUGAAUCUGUUAAAGUUUAAUGUUAAAAUUUGAAGACACCUGCAUUCAUCUAUACUUUGAUGGAAUUUGACCAGAAAACUCGUUUUAAGGUCAAGUAAAAUGCCUCAAGAUUUGGAAGAUGGCGACAUAUAUUUCAGGUAAACUGCCAGAUAGACUGUUAGAUGUAAGAGAAAUCAUGUGUAGGGAGGAAAUGUUGUAAAUGACUGAAGGGACAGAACCAGAAAGUUGGUUAAAUGCCAGACGAAGUAUCCUUAGAUUUAUAAGAUUACUUAUCUCGGGUGGAAUGUGUCCUUGAACGAGAUUCCGCCUCAAGUCCAGAUUUCCAAGUUGGGCAUUUUAGCUAGUGAUUGAGGGAUUGUACCUGUCAAGUUGUUGCUCUGGAGGCUCAAAUAUAAACUUUAUUUAAUCUCCCAAACCAUGAAGGAAUUUCCCCACUAAGAAAAUUGAAGCUUAAUUCUAUGAGUUUCAGACGACCUUAAUUGCCCCAACUCUCUCGGUAAAUGGCCAUGAAGCACAAUUUUUUAUUUAAUAUGUACACAAAUUCAAAUAAGUAUAAAGAGAUUUGGGGACAUAUGGAGUGUUAGUUUCAAUUCAACCUAAUACAAGUUUAUGAUAGUACCAGAUAUCAAAGCCGUGAUUGGUGUAAUCCAAAACUAUGCAAGUAAUUUCUUUCUCCAUGAGAAAGACAAAAGAAGUAUCAAUAAAUUAUUUUAUUUUUUGCACACAUUAAAGCAGAUAAGGAAUUUAGUCAGAAAAGCUAGCGACGUGUUCUAAGCGCUAGCUUGGUCAAUCCAAGUCACUCUGCUUUCACAAACCUCAAAGCAGACUAAGAAAUUUUAAAUCAGGAAAGCUAGUGAUCAUUUUCUAAACGCAGGGAUCAAUCAAUUUAUCUUGGUUUCACACACAUCAAGGCAGACUAAGAAAUUUUAGGUGAAGAAUUAAAGCUAUUCAAAUGCAAGGAUCAAUCAAGUGGUCUUGGUUUCACAACACGUCAAAUCAGACAGAGAAUUUUCAAGUCAGGAAAGCUAACAAUCGUUUUCUAAACGCAAGGACCAAUUGAAAAUGAUCUUGAUUUUACACACGUCAAAGCAGACCAAGAAAAUUUUUACGUAGAGAAUUAAAGCUACAGAAUGCAAGGAUCAAUCAGUCUUCUUGCUUUUCUCCUCCAUCAAAGCAAAUUAUCUGUUAUCAUUCCUUGGUUAGGUAAUUAAAUAGUUGAGUUGGGUUUAAAAGCUUCUAAUUUAUAAUUUUUUUAAAGGUAAAGUAAAUUAAAAUCUUUAUUAUCAAAAAGAUAGUAGUUUUAAUUUUUUUUUUUUCUUUAAAAGAUGUAUUCUUUUAUAUAAAAGAUGUCACAACUUAAAUAUUAAAAAAAAUGUAAAUAUUAAAUUUAAAUUUCAAAUGUAAUCUCUUUAAGCACCAAAUGAAUUUAAUUUUUAAAAUUAUAUUGGUUAGGACAAUUCGCUCGAACCUGAAAGUCAUCUUCAAUUUAAAAGGGCUUCGACAUGGAAUUUUAAGUUUGUUAAAUGGACUUGAACUUAAAUUUUAGACCCGUUUAAGAAAUAUACUAGGUUUUAGACAUAAAAUUUACGAAUUUAAACCUGACCAGGCCCAAAUAAUUAUUAUAUAUAUUUUUAUAUUUAUAUUACAUAAAAAUAAAGAAAAUUAAAAUAUAAUAUAUACAUUAAUAUCCUAUGUCUAUUAUAUAUUAAUCACAUUCAAAUACUGAAUUAAGUUAACAAAGUAUUUUUAGGCUUUAUUUUGUUGAUUAUUUAUUUUAUCAUAAUUAAUAUUAAUUAUAAAAAUUAUUUUUUAUUUAAAAAAUAAAAUAUAGGCAGGCUUAGGUAAAGUCUUUUAAAAAUUUAAUUAGGGCCUUCAGCAGCAAACUAAGAUCAUAUUUUGGGAUGACGAGUCUAAAUAAACUUAAAAAUUUGUUAAUAUCCUAACUAGGCUAGGUUUGAAUCCAAUCCUACUCAAUCCAUGUAUAAAUUUAAUUAUCAAUGUCAUGUGUUCGUAUCUAAAUUGCCAAUAUGGCAGCAAAGACCAUUUUAUUUCUUUUCUCUUUUUAAUAUAUUUAAUUAAUGAUUUUAUUAUACUAUUUGAAAAUUUAAUAUUAGUGUUAAAUUUAUGAAAAAUUUUAAUCGUAAAAGAAUUAUGAAAAUUGGAAGAAGAAAAAGAUACUCCAUCUCCACAUUGAGAAUUUUGUCCUGUCAAACACUAUUUUAGCAUAAUACUAGAUUUUGGUUCUUGCUUUACAAUAGCACUUUUUUUUUUUAAAAAAAAAAAAAAAAAGAUAUUUAGAAUUUCGUUUGGUUUGAUUGAAUUUUUUUUUUGUUUUUUGUAAAAAAGUGUUAAAAUAAUAUUUUGGACCUACAUAAUACAAAAAUUGCCUCUAAAACAUAAAAAAAAACAAUUUAAUAAUACAUUUAUAUUAAUUUUAUUAAUACAAAUUAAAAGGGCUUAACUUUAUAAGCCAAACCAAUAAAAUAAAACAAAGAUAUAUUUUAUUAAUUAGAAAUUAAAAAAUAAAUGAGAUUAAUAGAAAUUUGAUCAAGUAAAAAAUAUGUGUGUAAAUAAUUCAUUUUUAUUAUUUAUGAAAGUAUAACAAAUAAAUUGAGAAUUGUAAAAAAGGAAAAAAAAAAAACUAAAGCAAAUAUAUUGUUAUGUAUACAAUAAACACUUUUGAAAAAGGUUUUAACUUAUAAAAUUUUUGAAAAACCAAAUGGUUUUAUUAAUAAAUUUAAAAUUUGAAAGUAAAACAUCUAUAUUUAUAUUUUUGUUGUAAAAAAACUCUAGAAUAAACUAGAACAAAACACAUUUAGUAAUACAUAAUAUAUAUAUAAUAUGUAUAGUAUAUAUAUAUGUAUAUAUAUAUAUAUUUAUAUUUAUAUGUAUAUGUUUUUAAAAUAGUUUUUCAAAGUUGCAAGAGGUUCUUUUAAAAAAACACUAGCGUUCGAGAUUUCACUUCAGAUGUAGUCAUAAUUAUUAGGAUCGAAUUGGAUCAUUAAUCAGAUCAAUCAAAUUGAUUAGUUGGUACUUGAAUUAGUUUGGAUUUAAUAAUAGACCAAACUUACAAUUAACCUGCUUUAAACCACAUCGAACCGACGGUUGAAAAAAUAAAUCACUGAACUAGUUAGUUUUUAUUGAAUCAUUUUGGUUUUUAAUUUUUUAAUGACUUUUAAAAUUAUGAUUAAUUUAGUUUUUAUAAUCAAAAGUAUGGAUAUUGUAUUAUUUAAUUAAAAUAUUAUAUUUUAAAUUAAAAUAGAUAAUAAAAAAAUUAAAAUCUAAAUAAUUAAAUGGUGUUAUCCAUCCUUACACGUUAUGCACAUUAAAGAAUAGCUUAAUAAAAUUUAAACUCCUUUCUCAUUUAUAUUUUAGGUGACACACUCAUAUCAAAUUAAAGGACAAAAACUUGGCUAAAAUUAAAACUUUAAUUAUCAUUUUGGAGCUUGAUUUGUUUUAUAUCAAAUAUCAUCAAUUUAAAGGUAAUUUUAUUUUAUUUCAUUUUUUAAAAUUUAUAUUUUAAAUAAGCUUUCUCUUUUUUAAACAUUUAUUUUUUUUGUUUUUAAGUUUUUUUAGAAUAUUUGUUUUUUUGGGGUUUUUUAAUAAUAUGGUUGAAUUAUUCAAUUAGUAUUUUCCGAGUUUGAGUUAUGAGUUUGAAUUUUAAAUUAUUUUCGUAAUUUAAGUUUAUUAUACUUUUUAAAUAGAUAUACCUUUUUUACACUUAUUAUAUUCUAUUAUAUGUUUUUAAUUUCUUAAGUUUGAAAAUUAUCUACAAUAGAAUUUUAUAUUUAUCACAUAAUGGAUUAAAUUUUAAAAAACAUUUAUAUAUUUAUAUAUCUUUAUUAGUUUAACAACUAACUUGAUUGACCCAAACGUUGAACCAAUGACCCAAUGCUUGAACAGUUUAGUAUCCAGUCUGAUUCUAAUAAUUAUGCGUGUGGUUAUUUUGUAUAUCAAUUUAAUUAAAAAAUUAUUUUUUGUUAUAAAUAUAUCAAUUUAAUUUAAAAUGAUUACAUUUUUUGGUUAAAAAAAUAGAUAAUAAUUUACCACAAAAUUUGGAUUAACCCAAAUCAAGAGAAGUCCAGAAAUUGGGCUGUUAAGUGGACUUGGAACUUAGUUUACUUCAAGUGUUGGGUCUUUGAAAAGGAAAAACAAGUUCUAGUUUUGAAUCCAAGCCUAUAUAUUGAUACUUUUUUUCAGUACAAUAUAAAAACUCAAUUUUUUUACAAUUCAUUUUUUCCAUUUUACUUCUAUUUAAAAUUCAUCCUCUUUUUAAAAAUACAAUCAUCCACCCAGACUACUUGAUUUUCAACAGCGACCACCAUCAUUAAUGCCAUUUUCCAUUGUUGUCAUUGCUCUUUGACACUAAAAAUCACCCAAAGUUUCAAAAAAAGAUUUUCUCAUGCAAUGUGUCAAUAUAUGUGGCAUUUUUUAGAUGCCCUGUGGUACUUGAAAAUCACUUCUUUCUUAUCUACUUUUCCUUUUGUUUUUCUCUUCAUUGAAACGAUGUAGUUUUAAUACAAAAUAAAUAAAAUUAGUCUUAAAAACACUAAACACCAUCUUUUCUUUCUUUUCUCUCAUUCUCAUCACAUUACCUUUUCUCAUCGUCAGCCUUUUUUUCAUAGCUAUCACUGUUGUUGACCUUUGUCUUGUUACAUUUGUCUUGUGACAAUAGCUCUCUUUUCUCUUUCAUUUUUUUCUUUUUUUUAUUAGUGAAAAUCUAAAAAUCCCAAGCUCCCUCACAUUAUCUUCCUUCAUGUGUGGCCUUAGAUCCUAAAAAAACAAAAAGACAGAAAAAAAAACUAAAUGAGGGUGUGAUGUGGACACCAAUCUUUUUUUCUUACAAAAUUUAACAUAUGACAUUUAAAAAAUAAAAACUAAAAAAAAUAGGUUGAAAUGAAAAAAAAUUUGAGUGUCACGUUAAUACCUUUAUUGAUAUCUUUUUUAUAAAAUUAUCUAAUUAAGAAAAAGACUAGAAAGUAUUUUUUAAUCACUAAUAUCAAAUAGGGCCCAUAUCAAUUUUUUUAAAAUAAAUUUUUUAUUAAGUAUAGAGAAAAAAAAGAAAAAUAGAAAAACAUAAAAAAGAACAAAGAAAAAAAAGCAAGGUGACAUGUGGCAAAUUCUAUGAAGAGUUAACGUGAGUAAAAUUAAUAGCAUUAUUACAAAUUAAUAGAAUGGAUUGGAUUUUUGGAUGUUUUAAUUUAUUUUCUAAGGUCAAUAUAGGAUUUUAAAGGGGGCAAAUAUUGUUGUUUAUUUAACAACAUAAUACAUUUCUUUGAAAUUUAUUAUUUAAAAUUUUCAAUUUUAAUUUUUUACUCUAAAUUGAUAUGCAUAAAAAGAUUGUGAGAUAUUUUUUGAAUAGAACCAAAAAAUCUUUAAAAGGUAAAUUAUAAUCUACGAAAUAAAAUUAGAUUUGAAAGUAUAACUAUGCAUGAAUAUGGUUAUAUCACUCUCAUAAAAUCUAUCCAAAUGAUGGUACCAGAUUAAUUUUGUAUUAUCCAAGCUUUAAAAUUCUUACCAAAUGAUUAGUUAUUAGAAAUUAUACUUAAAUUACUCUAAUACAUUGGCAAUAAUUUAAAAACAUUUCCUUACCUCAGAACUAUUUAAUAAGAUUAUUGUCAUACUUUAAAGAGACACCAUCGUUGUAUUCAUUUAAAUUUUAUAAGAAAAUAUUUUCCUUAACACUAAAUGGGAUUUAGAACCUUAAUAUAAAAAAUUCUUAUAUAAAUUCUCUAAUAUAUUGAUAUAAUUUAGAAGAAGAUUUCUCACUUAGAAAUUUAUAUAGAAAUUGCUGUUUGCAACACUCUUAGUAGUUCUAUUAUUGGGGAUUCAAAUUUCAAUUUUUUUAAAAGAAUUAUUUUUAAGAAAUAUCUUUCAAUAUGUUAGUAAGACUUUUUGUCAAAAUUAUCCUUAAUAUGUUAGUAGGAUUUUAUGAAAACUAUUUAUUUUAUUUUUUUAAUUUAAUUUUUGCUAAAAAUCAUAAAAUUUUUUAGUAUGUUGAUAAGACCUUAUUUUUUAGAUUUUAAAAAAAUCACAAACCCACCAAUAUGUUAGUAAGGUUUUUAUUUUUUUAGAAUAAAAAACUUAUUUUUAAAAAAAAUUUUCCAAUAUGUUGAUAGGAAUUUCAUUGAUUUAUUUGUCAAAAUUUAUUUUUUUCAAACCAAUAAAAUAUUCAAAUAUGUUUGUAAGAUUUAUUUUUCAAUAUGUUGACUUCUUUCAAGAUCUAGAUUUUUUAUUUUUUGUUUUGUUAUUUUUUUUUGGUUUGGGGAGGGCAUAAACCUUAUAGGGGGGAAGGAGGAGGAGAUCUUACUUCGAAACCAAGACCUUUAUGUUUUUAUAAAGUUUUCUUAACCACUAGACCAAGAGAUGGAGGACCAAGAUCUAGAUCUUUGUAAUAACCAAAACAACUUGUGUAAAUGGUGUUUAUUACUGGGUGGUGCUCAAGUUUCUUCAAUAUUCUAAUGCCCUUACAUUUGACUUGAGCGAUGAAGUUUUUCAAUUGAUAGAGUGGCCACCUAUUCCCGAACAUGAAUCAAUUGGGUAGCUGCUUCCAUUACCUGAUGAUCGUAUCUCUUUGAGGAUUUUGCAUUCUGACGUGGCCAGCAGAAGUAAUGACAUUUGGGUGUUGAACGAAGAGAGUCGAUAUUGGACCAAACUGUUAAGGAUUGGACCUCCUUCAUGCUUGCGUUUGGAAUAAGAAUGGUAAUAAGGUAUUUGUAGAAUUUAUAAAUGGACAACUGUUGAUUUACGACCUUGAUGACCAGGAAUUCAGAGAUAUUGGAUUAAAACCAAGAAAGCUAUGGAUCUUCUUGGGGUUUACACUUACGAGGAGAGUCUUGUAGUUACCAGCAGACGAAUGGCAAAUACUGCUGCAUAGAUUUUGAUUGACGUUUUUCCUACUUGCCUAUGUCAAGACUAUUUAUUAUAGUUAUUCGUGCACUUGGAUUUUCCUUUUUUUAUUUUCUUUUAAUUUAAAAUAAUCAACUCCCAGCCAAAAGUGUUAAAUCUCAGCUGCCUUACCCCCACGCCUUUCGGUAAAUCUCUGCAAUCAAAAAAGAAGGAAAAAGGAAACCUCACAAAGAUGCUACAUGAAAUAGAAGAUAACCCUGAUAGUCGAUAGCUUUAAUUUAGAAAAUGGAGAUAAACAUAUAAAGAAAAAUCCACCAAGGGUAAAGCAAUCGCAAACUCAGAGCCAAAUGUUCAGAUAUGCGUAUGGUCAAAUAGAGGAGAAAGCUCUCCAGAAGCAGAACAAGAACUUGACCUUCUCCGGGGUGAUUUCAAUGGCCAAUGACAUUGAUAUGAGAAAGAGUCGUACUCAAAGAUUUAGCCAUCACUUAUGAAAGGAAAAGCAAACAUUUAAUGAGAUGUGUAACUGGGAAAUUAUCGCCUGAUCGAGUUUCAGCUGUUCUGGGUCCAUCUGGGGCUGGAAAAACGUUUCUUUCAUCUUUAACUGGAAAAGCACCAGGUCGCGUCAUGACCAGUUCGCUUCUUAUAAAUGGAAAGGUUGAGCCAAUCCAAGCAUAUAAGAAAAUAAUUGGUUUUGUUCCACAAGAUCAUAUCGUUCGCGGAAACUUGAUAGUGGAGGGAAAUCUAUGGUUCAAUGCUAGAUGCAGAUAUGCUACACUUAUUCUGUCAUGCAUGACACCUUUAAUUUUUUAUUCUUUUAGGGUGUUUUAAUUUUUUUUUUUGUUGUUUGAUUUUCUACUUGCAACUGCGACAUUAGAAAAUAUUCUACACUAAAAAGCACUUCUUGAUUUCCCCUGAUCACUAAGAGGAUUCCUAAUUAUUUUAGACUUGCUGCUGACCUUCCAAAACCAGAAAAGGCUCUAGUUGUUGAAAGAGUCAUCCAGUCCGUGGCACUGCAGCCUGUGAGGGUUUCUCUGGUUGGGACAAUGGGGAAGAGGGGAACAUCUGGGGGUCAAAGGAAACGGGUAAAUGUAGGGCUGGAAUACAAAAGAUCAUGGAACCUUCACUUUUGAUAUUAGAUGAACCGACAUCUGGUUUGGACGGUUCAUCUUCCCAAUUAGUACUUCGAGCUCUUAGGCGUGAAGCCCUUGUAGAAGUAAACCAGCCAAGGUGAGUUUAUUAUUACCGGAAUGUUUAAUUUUAUGAAAUAUGCUGGUUUCACCGAGGAGUAAACUUAUGUACGUCAUAACAUCUAAAUCCGAUGAUCUAUCGCUAUACAUUGAUUUUUAGGGAGUCGCCACAAUUUUUUUUAUUUAGGUGCGAUUGGCCACCUAAAAAAUCUGUCAUUUCAGGGAACACCUAAGUUUAAGGGUCCCUAAAAGAAUAGGUUCAGGUCUACUAACCAGAACAGGAUUCGAGAGUUCGGUUACGUGUGAGGAAGGUUAUAGCACCCUCACAACGCCCAUCAAAAGAUGGUACCAGCUGAAAUUUGUGUUAUCCAAUGAGCCUUAAAAUUUUACCAAGUAAUUAAUUAUUAAAAAUUAUUCUCAAUUGACUCUAAUACUUUUAGCAGAAAAUUGAAAAAAUUCUCUCACCUCAAGAGUAUGCAAGAAAAACUACUGUUUCACUUGCAGAGGCUCCAUCGUCGGAUUAUUUAAAGAAAAAAUAAAAAUAAAAAAAUAAGAAUAAAAAGGAAGAAAAGAAUGAUUAUUCUUGUGCAGGAAAAAUUGAUACUUUCAACUUUUCCUCAAAAAUUGAUUUUUUGAAAAUUUAUUUUUAAGGAAAAUUGAUACUUUCAACUUUUCCCUAAAAAUAUUUUUUUAGAAAAUUUAUUUUUAAGGAAAAUUAAUACUUUCAACUUUUCUUCAAAAAAACUUUUUUUGAAAAUUUAUUUUUAAGAAAAAUUGAUAAGGAAAAAUUGAUACUUUCAACUUUUCCCCAAAAAUAUUUUUUGAAAACUUUGAUUUUUGAGGAAAAUUGAUACUUUCAACUUUUCCUCAAAAAUAUUUUUUUGAAAAAAUUUAUUUUUAAGGAAAAUUGAUACUUUCAACUUUUCCUUAAAAAUCCUUUUUUUUGAAAAUUUAUUUUUAAAGAAAAUUGAUACUUUCAACUUUUUUCCAAAAAAAUUUUUUUGGAUUCUUUGAUUUUCGAGGAAAAAAUUGAUAUUUUUAACUUUUUUCCAAAAAUAAUUUUUAGAAAAUUUAUUUUUAAGGAAAAUUGAUACUUUCAACUUUUUUCAAAAAAUAUUUUUUUUAGGUUUUAUUUUAAAGAAAAUAAAAUAAUAAAACAAAAUAAAAGUGAAAAUAAAAAAAAGUAAAACAAAAAUAAAAAUGAAAUAAAGAUAAAGGAACAUUAAAUAUCCUAAUUUAAUAAAUAAAAUAAAAUAAACAAAUAAAUAAAUAAAUAAAUAUAAAAAAAAACCUGGAGCGGCUCGGAGUACGGCUCGGCUUAGCUCAAGGAAGAGAAAUGGCUUGGGACGUCGACUCGGCUAAUGGCUUGGGGAGGCAAAACAUGCGCGGGUCGACGCUCGGGUCGGGUCGGAUCUCGACAAAACGCACGGAUCCUCUGGGUUAUUUAACGCAAAAACGACGUCGUUUUGGGAGGGUAUAUAAGGUUGUUUCCUUCGUUUUUUGACAGAAACCUUCUCCCCUCUCUCUCUCUUCCUUCUUUUUUCUCUCGCUUCUCUCUAAAACGAUCGAAGAACUCCGGUUGAAUAUUCACCGAAUUCUAAAAUUUUUCGCCAGAAUAUAGGUUUUUCGUCGGAAGUUUACCAGAAAGUUGGUUGGCUUCUGGGAAUCUUCACCGAAAACUGGGCAGCUAGGCGAAAAACUUCAAACUUGGUAGGAAUUGUCAUCGAAAAAUUCAACUUUCGUUAAAAAAAUUCAACCGGAAUCUGAAAUUUUCUAAAAAUUCCCAGAAAAAAAUCGUAAAAAUUCUCCAAAAAUUCCUACUAAUUCCUUAGAGCUGUUUCUAAACGUACCAAACCUUCCUAGCCUUUAAAUCUUCUUUGUAUCUCUUUUUUCCUCAAACUAGUAUUCUUUUUGCUUUUGUUUUCUGUGUGUUCUUCCUUCUGUUCUGUACCUAUUUAUAGGUAUUGAUCAGAAGAGUUUCUGAUCAAUCCCUAUUCCUUUUUGGAUGAAAAUUCAAUCUUUGAAUCCAAUUUAGAUUCUAAUUGAAUCCCCAUUCAUGGUAGGAUCUUCAAAUUCAAUCUCAACCCCAAAAAAAAAUCAGAUAAAAAAUAAUAGAUAAUUAGAGAAAUAAUAAUAAUAAUAAGAUAAAUCAACAAUAUUACAAGAUAAAUAAAAAAAUAAUAGUAAUAAUAAUAACAGAUAAAUGAAUAUAUAACUAGAUAAAUAAAAAUACAUGUAAAAUAAAUGAAAAAGAGAAAAAAUAAAAUAAAAAAUAAAAAAUAUAUAUUAAUAAAUAGUAAUAAUAAUAAAUAAAUAAUAAAUACAUAAAAUACAAAGAUAAAAUAUAAAAUAAAAAUAAAAUAAUAUAAAAUAUAAAAUAAAAGCUGAAUUGGGCUUACCCAUUUGGACUAAGCCCAAUUGAUCCGGACCUGGACUAAAUUGAGUAUCUAUAAUGUAAAUAAGUAUGUAGUUGAAAUAAUGGAUACCAAUUUUCUUUUUGUUGCACUUCAGUUAUACCUUGUUCAGGAUGUUCGAUGAUUUGACACUUCUAGCAAAGGGUGGACUUACAUAUAUCAUGGAUUAGUGUCGUAAGAGUAUUUUGCUGGCCUAAGAUUAAUCUCCCCAAACGUACUAAUCCUCCAGCAGCAUCAUCCGGUGAAAAUCCAGCUCAUGGAGAAAGUGCACAUGGUCCUGGCCGGAAGCACACUCCUUUGCUGGCGACUUGUGGCAGGAUGUGAAAUGUUCUGUUUGAGACAAGAAGGACGACUUACAACAUAAUUCCUCAAGUCCAUUAACUUGUCACAAAGAGCAAUGCCUGUGUAUUUAAGCAGUAUAGAUACUACCUCGGAAGGUAGAUGUUGAAUCUCAUUUAUAAACGUUUUGGAAUUACUAGGAAUUAUAUCUAUCAAUUUAGAAUUCUAUUAUUUUAUUUAAUUUAAACCAAAAAAUAUAUUAGAAGCUAACCAUUACAUGGGAGCAUUCACUUAAAUUAUUGAAAUACAAUCAAUCAAUCAUAAUUAUAAUUUUGUAGAAUUCAUUAAUAUUUUAUGUGAGAUUUACACUUUUAGUGAUGGGUUUUUACGUAAUUUUUAUUAUAAUUGGGUAAUUAUAUAAUUGUAGUAAAAUACUUUAUUAAUAUAAUCUCUAGUAAAAAUAAUUGUAAGUGAUAUAAUCUCCCAUAAUGUGCAACAUACAAUAGACAAGAAUUAGUAAAGAUCAUAACUAUCUGGUUAUAAUUAUAUCAAUAGAAAAAAAUGGGUUACACACAUAUUUGACUGUGAACCUUAUAUUUUCUAUUACAUUGAUACCUAAAGAAUUAUACUACCACAUUGAUACUGGAACUUUCAAAUCUAUUAUCACAUUGGUAUUUCAAAUUAACGCUGUCAGUCAACUUUGCUGAUGUAAUAUAAAUAUCUAACAAGAUGCUGAAACGUGUGAAAAAUAUUCAGUCAAUGACACAUUAUCGAUAUCAUGUCAUCUUUAAAAUAAAAAUUCUAAAAAAUUUCAAAAGUUCUAAAAAUUUCAAAAAAUAAAAAAAUAAAAAUUUCAAAUAUUAUAGGAAAUUCAAACAAUUCUAAAACAUUUUUAAAAAUCUGAAAAAUUUUUCAAAAAUUCUAAAAUAAUAUCAAAAACAUUUUUUAGAAAAUUCUAAAAAAUUCUAAAAAAUUUUUAAAAAAAUUUAAAAACUUUUAAAAAUUUUUAAAAAAAUUCAAAAAAUGAAAAUUUCAAAAAAAUUCAAACAAUUCUAGAGAAUUUUAAAAAAAUUCAAAAAGAAUUUAGGAAACAUAAAUUUUUUUUAAAAUUUCCAAAUUUAAAAAAAUCCAAAAAUUAAAAGAAUAAAAAAUGAUGAUUUUAAUAAAAUUUAAGAACUUGUUAAAAUUCAAAAAAAUUAACAUAAACUAAAAAAAAACUAAAAUCAUAAGUUUUUUGAAAAAAUAUAUUAAUUUUUAAAUUUUUUUUGAAAAAUAUCUAAAAAAAUCUAUAUUUUUAAAUAUUUUUUUAUCUUACAAUUUCAAUUUUUUAUAUUUUUUAAUUUAAUUUUUUUGAAAAAUUUUUGGAUUUUUUUAAAAUUUUAAGUUUUUUUUAUUUUAGAUUUCUUACUUUUAAAGAAUGUUUCAAAAUUUUAAAAUUAUUUAAUUUUUAAAAUUAAAAUUUUUUAGGUUUUUUCUUUUGUCUUUAGUUUAUAAAUUUUUGUGAUUUUUCUAAAUUUUAAGAAAAUUUUAUUUUUAGAAAUUUUAAUUUAUUAGUUUUUCAAAAACUUUUAAAAUUUUUAAAAUUAUGAUAAUUUUUAUAAUUUAUAAAAAUAUUCCAUAUUUUUUUUUAAGAAUUUAAAAUUUUCAUAAAUUUUUACAAUUUUUUAAUUAUAACUUUUUUGAAUUGUUUAUAAUUUUUUAAAUUUUUGAGAAAUUUAAAAAUUAAUUUUUAAUAUUUAAAAUUUUUUAAAAUUUUUUUUGAAUUUUUAAAAUUUUUUUUAGUAUUUUAUAAUGUUUUGAAGUUAAAUAUUUUUUUAUAAAUUUUAAAAAUUUUAAAAUACUUUUUUGUAUUUUUUUUCAAAAUUUUAAAAAUUUUUAAAAGCUAUUUAGAAUGUUUUUAAGUUUUUAAAAUUUUUUUGAAGUUUUAAAAUUUUUAUGAUUUUUAAAAAUUAUAAAAAAUUUAGAUUUUUUUUAAAAAUUAAUAUUUUUUUGAAAAUUUUUUUAUUUUUUUGAAAAUUUUUUUUUAAAGAUGAUGUGGCAUUGACUAAACUUUUUUAACACAUACCAAUUCUUAUUGGAUGUUGAUGCCAUGUCAGCAAAGGUGACUAACGGCAUCAGUUGUAGGUUUCAACUUGAUAAUAGAAUAAAAAUUUAGGUACCAAUGUAGUUGUAUAAUUCUUAAAUACCAAUAUGACAAAAAAAUAUAAAAUUAAGGCCAAAUAUGUACUUAACCCAAAAGAAAUAGAUAGAGAUCAUAACUAUAUGGUUAUAAUUAUUAUAUCAAAAUUAAUUUAGUUUGUUAGCUUUAUUCAAAAUUUGAUUCCAAGGAGAAUAUAUAUUUUUUUAUACAAGGUCCCUCAAGCCUGAUCCCAAGCGUCCUUUUGUUUAUUUGACUAUUAAGUAAUACUUAAUUAGAUAUGGUUUGUUAUGUUUUCAAAAGUUAGUGUUUUUAUUUUUUUUAAUUUUAAAAUGACUUCUAGAUGUUGCAGGAGAAAGAUUUCGCACAGGAAAAGUUCAUGAAAAGAAUACAAUGUUCAAAAAGAUAGUAGAAAUAAUCUCCUAGGGCAUAUUGGAUACAACAAAGAGCAAUUUUUUUUCAGAGUCAGGAAUGUCUAAUACUAUUCAGUAUUACACAGUUUUGCAGGUCAUUUCUUAUAACCAAGGAAUAAUGUUACAAUUAAGAUUAUAGUGAAAUAUUCAAUAUACUAUUUAAUCUUUAAAAUUUUUAAUGUUAUAGUUAAAUUAUAAAUUUGUUAACUAAUGUGGUAUUCGAAGUACCAUUUGUCAAUCACAUAUUAUUAUUUAGAAUUAAAGAUAUAAGAGUAACACAUUAAUAAUAUUUAAUUCAUUUACAUUAAAUAUUUAAAUUUAGGUACUAUAUUAAAUAUUUUAUUAUAUUUUAAAGCAAUUCAUGACAUUAAUUAUAUAACCAAUGUAGCCUUAUUGAAAUGGUAGUCUGUCUAUUGGCUUCCUUGGGACCAAAGAAAAUAAGAACAUGUUUAAGUCAUGUUGAAUCUCUUGAUCGAGUGAAGGAAGGAAUUUGACUAUAAAAAACACUUUAAGCAAAAAAUGAAAACUUUAAUGAAUAUGGAAAUCGACAUACAACAUAUUAAAGGUAUGAGCGAUAAAAAUUUAUCACAAGUUAUGAAAGCAAACAUUUGUUUUAGAGAUCUAACUUAAGCAACAGGUUUGUAAUUUUAACUCAUUGUUAUUGGAUUCUUAUGUGAUUUUUUUUUAAAGUUACUUCUACGACUUUGUUGUAUCCUUAACCAUUGAAUCAGAAGUUGAACGUGAAACUAGAGCAGUGUGUAAAUUCAACCUUGUGCUCACCAGAGUUGCCUAAGUUAAUUAUUGGUAUAAGAGUCCUGACAGCAAACAUUUUUGUGGACAACGCGGCAUGCAAGGACUUUAUUUUUCAAACAUUCACAUUUCAUCCAUGGACAUCGAGAAUGCAACUGUAGUAAUCCUAAGAUUUCUUCCUAUUCAAGUUUCAAUUGAUAACUGUUAGAAAGGUUAUCGUCUGUGAAUUGUUGGCUUCGGAGAAGCACAAUUUGCUCAAGUGAGGGUAAAGGUUACAGUAGAUGUCUUGAUUAAUGCUUUUGAAGAAACAUAGAGUUGUGAAAUGUAAGCUGUCUGGAACUGGAGGAUUAUCACUUUUACAAAUAGAUGUGAUUUUAUUGUUUCCUUGUGUAGUAUAGAAUAGAUGUUGUUUUAUUGUUUCUGAGUGUAGUAUAGAUUAGGGAUAAUGUUAAGGUAGAGCAUUUUUCGUCCCUCAUCUAUGAAUUUUUAUAUUAUAUUUAUCAUCGUACUCAUGUCGAAUAAGUAUUUUAAAUUUAUUAUAAUCUCCAUUCUCGUAGGUAUUUAAUGGGUAUGAGCAUUUCUCAUACCUAUAGCUUUUAAAAAAAAUAAAAAUUUAUUUAUUUUUAUUUUUAAUUUAUAUAUUUAGGUAAUGUUUUAUAAAUAUCUAUUAAUAUAUAUUUUUAAUAAAAAUAUAUUUAUUCUAUUUAAUCUAAAAUAAUAAUUUAUAUUAUUUAAUAAAAAUAUUUUUUACUAAUUAUAUAUAAAUAUAUGUAGGGUACAUGUAUAAGGCAAGUGCUAUAUUACUCAUCCCUAUACCUGUAACCAAUAAAAAUUUAAAAUCAUAUCUAUCCCUAUCCUUAUCCCUAUACCCAUAACGUAAUACCUAUCAAUAUCCUUAUUCAGGUAAAAAAUCAGAUUUUUCAUUGGAUAUGGGUAAGAUUGACAUCCUUAGAUAAUAUUAGGAAAGAACACUGAAUUAUAUAAAAAUAUUCAAUGUGAUAAUUAAAUUUAAAAAAUUUCUAAUAUGAUAUCUCAAUUAUGAAUCUAUUAACUAAUAUAAUACUUGGAGAGUUAUUUAUCUAAUGUGUUUGUCACUCAAUGUUUAGAGCUAAUGAUGUUAAGAGUGAGUUCUAUAUUAGUUAAAAGAUUUAUAAUUUAGGUAUCACAUCAAAGAUUUUGAAAGUUUAGAUAUUAAAUUAAAUAUUUCAUUGUAAUUCACCAAACUAGUUGAGUUAAGUCUAAUUACACUAUGAAAAUAUAAUAUUUUAGCUAGAAUUAUGUAUGAGAAUAUAUUUGUGUACUAGGCUUCAGUUGUGUGUAGUCAGAUGAGGGUUAGAUCGAUGUUUGCAGUCUUGCCCUUGCUUUUUUCUAAAAGGAUGUUAAUACAAUUUAUAAUUGUUUAAAUUUAGGCAAUAACAUUAGACAAAAGGUUAAAUCUAGGUCUAAUGCAAAUGAAUAAAAUUGGGAAAAAAAUAAAAAUUAGUAGAUAAUAACUUUCAUUUUUUUUUCUCUUUCAUUGUGCAUGUUCAUUUUGGGAAUUUAUUGAGUUGUUGGUUUAUUUAAGCUUAAAAUGGUGGUUCUUUUUUUAGACACACUUGUUAACUAGCUUCCCUAUGAUUAUGAUUUGAGGGCUAUCGAUUUAGCUGCAAUACAAAAAUGAGAGAAUGCAAUUGGAAAAUUGGGUCUCUUGCAGCAGUAAAUACAACUAAUUCUUGUCAUAAUGGUUUUGGGAUCACUAAAUAAAAAUUUUAAAAGUUUUAAAAUUAGGAAAGUCAUCACUAUUUUUUUUUUAUCAAGAAUGAUUGAUCAUCUAAAAAAUUUAUCUUUUUAAUAAAAUUUUAAAAUUAAUAAAAACUUAUUAAAAAGAUAAUUUUUGUGUGAUCUAUGAAAACAAAUUUGAGUUUGGGAGUUAGGUCACUCGUAUGAAAGGAUUAACACCCCACAAUACCCAUUUCACAAAUGAUACCAACUGAUCAUAUAUUAUCUUUUUGUUUAAAUAAAAGUGAUUCUAAUUUUAAUAUUUAAAAUAAUCUUUUUAAUUUUUUAUUUUUUAUAAAAAUCUUUUUAAAACUUUUUAUUUAACAAUAACAGGAAAAUCUUUAAUACCAAUCCAUUAGACACAAAAUUAUGAAGUUGCUACCAAUCUUUUUUAAUUAGGUAUGAUUGAUUACUUAAAUGAAUCUACCAUUCUAAGGUUAUUUUAAGCUUGACUAAGGAUUUAUAAAAGAAUAGGUUUUAAUUUUUUAAGCAGAACUGAGUUUGAGAGUUCAGUUAUAUAUAAAAAAGGUCAUAGCACCCCUACAAUACCCACAAAUUGGCAUCAAUUAAUCUUAAAUUAUCCUUAGCCUUAAUUAACAUGGUCAUAACUUAUUCUUAUUAUUUAUUAUUUUUGUUAAUUUUACUAUUUAAAUAUUGGACAUAUUUUUAGGUUUUCCAACACUUUGGUCUACCCUUAAAAAUAUUCUUUACCUUAAAAGUAUUUAAGUAACAUACUUUUUUCUUUGAAGAGGCUAUAUCAUUGAGUUUAUUAAAUAUUUUAUUUAAUUCAAUACAUAAUAAAAUUUACAAUUCAAUAAAAUACAAAUAAAAUACAAUAAUAAAUAAUCACAAUUUAAUCAAUCAUAAAUUAUCACAAUUUGUUUUCAAUUUUAAUUUUUUCAAAUUAGAAAUAAAUAAAGUUUCUCAUAUUGAGAUCAAUUUUCUAAAUCCUCUAAUGCCUUGAUUGAAUUUAGAAAAAGAUUCUCUCAUCUAAAAAUUUUUAAGAAAAUUACAUACGUGUAGCUUUCUUAGAAUUUCAUUAUUGGUUGAAAUUUUAUUUAUUCCUAAAAUAUUUAUUAAAUACUACACCAAAUAACCAGUUAUACAAAAAUCUCCAAUUACCUAAUCUAAAAUUUAUUUUCUUCUCAUCUUAACCCCUUUUAUUUAUUUACAAAGCAACUAAAAAUAUAUCUAAAAAUUUAAAAGUUAUAUAUGCAUGACAAAAAAAUUAUAAAAACUAAAUAAAUAAGCAAACGAAUACAAGAUAAAUAAAUAAACACAUCAAAUAAACAAAAGAAAGGGAAAGAAGAAACCAACCAAAAUGCAAAUACCAUUUAAUUGAAACUUGUUGAAAACCAUAGGUAUCUAAAACCAUAAUUUAUAGGGUACAUCUCAACUAAAGGACUUGACCCUAUAUCACCAUUCAACAACCUAGGAAGUCUAAAGAAAACACAAGUGGCAACAUGCAUGUAAUAUAUCUUGGGUUUCAACGUGACAAGCAGGACCAGGUGUUGAUUACAUUGGGUUUCAACAUGUUUUGCAUAAAAGAAAUUUGGAAGUAUUGAAAGAACUUGGUUAGUUAUGUCAUGAUCUUGACAAUUUUGCAUAAAAUCCUUGAGAUGAUUUUUUGAUUUCUAGUGGUUUUUGGCUGCUACUUUUCCGUUUCGGGAUUUUGGGUAUGGUAGCUGCUAUGUAUUGUCAUAGCUGGAAAUUGAGGAAGUUAGAGUCAAUCCUUUGUGUUUUUUUCUUGCAAUUGAAUUUUUUCACUGCCAAUUCUUUUUCAAGAAUUUUUUUCUUUUUGUUUUUUUUGAACCUGCCCUGUUUCUAUGGCGCUGAAAAUAUAAAAAACACAUCCCAAUUGUGAAAGAGCUUUGAUCAAACAAUUUUCAAUGAUUACAAAUUAAACCAAUUUCAACACUUUUAAUCCUUUACCAAUUCUCCUGUUAAAGUCUCAGCCAAAAAAAUUUUUUUUUUUUUUUUAAAUAACUUUAAACUAAAUACAAUAAAAUUAAAAAAUUAAAAUAGAAUUCAAAGUCUAAUAUUAAAAUGUGAAUUGUCCUAGACUAAAUGGAGCUGUGAUGGUUGUGUUGCGUCAGUGGUGGCUGUAGGCGUAGCAGUGGCUUCGCAUGUGUUCUGCUGGGUGAUUGGUGUUAAGGCUGUAGGUUGUUGGCGGUGUGGGUCUUGAGGCAGGGGGCUGAAAGAGAUUAAUUAGGGGCUUUGGGUUCCGGGUGAUGGCAAGACUUGGUAGUUUUAGGUGCUGGGAUUUUUGUUUUUUCGAGUUUUUUGUCAAUGAUGGAGAAAGGGGAGGUUUUUUGGUCAGGCAGAUUAGUUCUUGGAUUUUUCUGUAGAAAUUGGGCUUCCUUCCUCCGAGUGUCGAAUCCCCUGUGCGCAAAAAAUUUCGGUUUCUUUUUAGGAUUCAGUUUCUAAAAAAUAAGAAACUUGGUAAUUCAUUUUAGUUGGAAUCUUGUUGCAGCAGCCAUUGCUGCAUUUUUGGGAGGUGUAGCAUGCUGCACUUUGGGUCCUGAAAGCUUUGAUGAAUUGGUGUUAGAAACUAACAGAUAAAAUGGAAGGUAGAAAAUUCAGAGCUUAAAAUGGAGGCAACAGUUUAGGGAAGGAAAAAGUGGACAUCGGAAAGCUACCUCCAAGCUUUAGUCUUUUAUUUUUUAAUAAUUAAAGUAAUUAAACUUAAAAUUAAAUUUGGGCCUAAAAAUUAAAGGUGAAAUUUUCAAAUUUUGAACUUUAAAUUUUGUUCUGAAAAUUUAGAUUUUAAGCUCAUAUCAUUUGGUUUCAAAUUAACCCAAAAUAAAUUGAAUUGGGUUUUGAUUUACUAGAAAUGGUCGAAAAACGAUUAAUUUAAAACAAAUUUAAAUGAAUUUAAUUCAAUUUAAAUAUUUGAAUUAAUUCAUAUAAAAAAGUUUAAAUUAAAUAUAAAAUUAAAUAUAUUUAAAUCGAUUUAAAUAAAAUUAAAUGUUUACAAUUUUAUUCUGAAAUUUAUUGACAAGCUAUCAGGAUAUGCUCAUGAUACGUACUCGUUGGACACUUUGUUUCUCUAUAAUCAGCCUAAAAGCUGCAAAAAAAUUAGAGUACAUUAUGUAAAAUUUACAAUAUAUUUGAGAGUCAAUUAUAUUUUUUGGUAUUUUGAAACUGUAAGAAUUCGAUCUCUAGUAAUUAAAACCAAGCAUUCAGCACUCUGCAAAUAAAGGGGAUGAUUGUCGGUUAAAUGCCAGUCAUUUGCUAUAUAGGCGAUAGUAGCUUUCAUUGACUAAAUUUAAAUUACACGAAUAAAAGGUUAAGAAAGAGAAUUAAGCAAUUUAUUCAAUCAAAUAACAGUGUCCUAAACCAUAACUGUCAAUCCUCUAAAUGCAAACAAAUAAUCUAAAUAAUAAAUCUAAAGGAAAAAUCCUUUUUUUUUUUUGGAACACUGAAUCUCAAUCCCUUAAAGCCUAAGCUAUUAAACAGAAAUACUCCUUCUGUAAUUUAUAUAUCAUGCGACAGAAUAUUAUAAAACUUAUUCCACAAAAAAAAAAAAAAAAACCUAUGAAUGGUGUUUUAACUUAAUUGGUAACUUUCAACUGAAUAUUCUAUUGGGCAAAAACUCUAGUAAAAUUCAUUAAAAGUCAUCAUCAAAGUCAUCUAUGCGUCUGUUAACUCAAUCAGAUUAAUCUAGCCGCAACAACACAACAAAUGCACGAUCUAUUUGACAUGAAAAGAAUUAUCCAUUUUGGUAUUGGUGGUGAUAUAAAUAGUUCCAUGUCCAUUGGAGAUGUUACCAUUCCUAAGCAAGUUGCUCAUAAUGGCAUCUGGGAUUUGGGAUUUGCUCAUACUGUCAAAGAGGAUGUCAACCUAUCAAAUUACUGUGAUGGUCAGAACCCACUAGUUGUGCACCAUCUGAUAUUGGGAAGGCCAAGAACUCCUUUUGCCAGUGGUCUUCCGCUUGCCAGGAUACCUUAGAUUCAAUGUGGACGGCUCCGCAAAAGGAAAACCUGGUCCCGCUAGGUGUGGCGGCGUCCUUGCCAUGUUUUCGGGCCUGGUUGGUAUCUGGGAUUCAAACGUUGCUGAAUUUUUGGAAAUUAAAAUGCCUCUAGAGGUGUUCACAAAGACGGAGUGGUCUCACAAGAUGAGUCUGAUUCAAAGUUUAUUUUUAAGUGGGACUCAAACGAAUCUGUUCGACCAUUGAGGCUAUAAGAUGUGUUCUUGGAGAUUGAUUCUUUGACCACAAAGCUGACAGAAUUUAAACUGCUCAAUAUCUUCCGCGAAGUAAACGAGAUGGCUGACGCACUGACAAAAUCGAGGGUGGAGUAAUAUGAUAGGUUCAUGGUCUGGUGGCAGCUUCAUUGGUGCUAAGGUGUUUCAAUUUACGAACUUACAUUUCGUAUCAGGCGAAGGUCUAUUGGGACAAGUUAUUCCCUACAUGUCUUUCUCAUUACUAUAUGAAUAAAACAAAACCUGAUUUAGCCCAAAAAAAAUAUCAACCUAUUUUCCGUCUUCUACAAGUUUCUUGAACAUGAUGGCGGCUAGCUAUAUUAAUCAUUUUCUUAACACAGAUGGGAACGUGGAUUCUGCUGAUCUACCGAAAGGAAAUGGAACUAAUCUCUCAGGCGUCUUGGAUAUACUAAAAAACAAUUUUUACUCAUUUUUAUUAGAAAGCGUACAUAUUACCUAACAGUAGCAUAUAAUAUAAAUUGUAAAAAUUAUUACAAUUAAUUUAUAAAACAUUAUGAGAUAAGUCAUAUAUAAUUAAAAAAUUUAUCAAAUUUAAUUUCAAAUGCAUUGAAAAGAUUUUAAUUUCGAAUUUUAUAUAUUAAAAUAUAUUUAUUUUAGUGAAAAGAGUGCAUGUUACUAAUAUUAGUUAAUUAUUUUAGUAUAAAUGAUUUAAAAAAAGAUUAAUUAAUUUUUGAUAUGUUGAAAUAAUUUUAAAUAGAUAAUUAAUUAUUUUUAAAGGAAAACUAAAUAAUGAAAUAAAUAAAUAAAUAAAAUUUCAUACAUUUUACUUAUUUUCAAACUUCUAUAUAUAUGUAUAUAUAUUUUUAAAUAAGAUUUUAUUUAUUUAUUUUCAAGACAAUAUUGCAUCUCCGUCUCAGGGUAUAACAUAUAUAAAUAUUUUGUCUUAUGUUAUUUGUAUAAGAUUUUUUAUAUAUUAAUAUUUUUAUUUAAAAUAUUCUCACGAAGUUAAUGGUAUUAAAACUAAACUUUUAUUUAUUUUGAUAUUUUUCUAGUUGGGUUUCAUAUGGAAGGAAAAAUGGCUUGGCUCAAUAUUUUUUGAGCCUAAGAAGGAUUUUGCGGCCCACUAGUACGCUUUGGGAUCAGAUCCGUCAAAGUGGUAAAAUUGUCAAUUCAUAAUGCCUGAUGCCUUCUAAAACCCAAACGGGACUCCGAGUUGAUAUAACAUUGUAUCUCAAGUCUGGCAGCUGUUUAGCCGAAUCCAGAGACUGCAGGAGCUUAAGCAGCAAUGGGUACCCCAUUUUCUUUAGCUUUUCAAAUCUAACAUUCAUGAUUUAAUAGCUAGCUGGCUCUUAUUUUCUCUAUUGUUUUUCGUUAAUGGGAGGAUUUAAAUAAGGAUCUGUUAUUUGUUUAUGUAGAGUGAUGGUUUUCUCUGCUUGAUUUUUUUUUUCCUUUAUUUGAUUAAAUCUAGAAACUUAUUGAAGGAUUGGUUCUGACUUAUUAUUAGUUCUCAUCUUUUUUAUAUAUUUUAUUACUAUAUUUGCCACAUUAAAAAUUAGAUGGUAAGUGGUAGAAAUGGGCUUUUACUUGACUGGAAGUCUUUUUAAAUGAAAGGGUAUAUUUGAUUGCUUUUUAUAAAUAUAUUUUGAUGGAUCAUUGUUUUGGCAUUUUGGGUUCUGAUUUGUGAUGAUUUUGCUUUUGGUGGGUUUUUUUGGGAAAAUAUGGGCUUACAAGUACGUGUCAGACUCAGAGCUAUGGAGGAAGAAGCAAUCUGAUGUGAUGAGGCUCUUGCAGAGGGUCAGGUGUAGGGAGUACCACCAGCACCCUUCCAUUGUUCGAGUUAACCACCCAACUCGCCCUGACAAGGCUCGUCGCUUGGGAUAGAAAGCCAAGCAGGUAAGCUGAUUCAUUUUUUCUUUGAUAUUGCUUUCUUCCUCUGCAUUUUUAUGAGGUUUGGUAUUUUAUCUUUUAAUUUUCCGGCUUAUCCUAUUUGUUUUAUUGCAGUUGUAACAUAUUUUAGUUAUAUGAUUAUCCUUUGGUCUGAAAAACUGCAUUGCAAAAAUGUUUAUGGCCGGACUUACUUUAAAUGUGAGACGACUCAUAUGUUGCUAAUAUAGUUGUAAUAUAUAUAUAUAUAAUUAUAUUUACAAAUAAAAUAAUAAAUUAAAUGAUUUUAUGAUUGGCAACAAUAAAAUUGUUAUGAAAGGUAUAAAGAAAUUUCAACAGUAAUGUAACAAUAAUACGAAAGGUAUAAAGAAAUUUCAAACAGUAUUCAUGUAACAAUAAUAGUUGUUAUAAUUAAUUAAAUUGGUUGUAUUAAAAAUUUACUGCUACAAAAUUUAUUGUUAUAAUUAAAAAAUUAUUGCAAAAAUAAUUUUAUCAACGACAAUAGUAGAUAUGUAAAAGAUUUUUCAAUGAUUAUAAUCGUUGUUAAAGUUAUUUAUUGAAAUGACAAAAAUCAUUAUGCUAAACGUAAUUAGCAACGAUAUGUGAUUAUGUUGCAAAAUAAGUUUUUGUAUUCGAAAUUUAUGGUUGUUAAAAUAAAAUUAAAGCAAAAACAUUUAAUCGUUACAAAAUAUUUUAUGUAACUAAAAUAAUAUUAAUAUGUAAGUUUUUAUAGUCAAAUUUUAUGGUUGCAAAAUUAAAUUUAUACAACGUUAUUUUGUUGUUGCAAAAUUUUAUACAAUGACAUUUUAUCAUUGUGAAAAAAAUGAUUUAUUUGGCAACAAUUAAAAGUCAUUGUAAUUUUUAUUUUUUUGAACAACACUAUAAGUUAUUGCGUUAAUUCUUUAUUAACAAGGUUAAUAGCAACGAUAAAAAAUUAUUUUGAAAACAAUUUUAACAACGAUAAAUAAUUAUUUAGCAACGUUUUGGACUGUUAUAAUAUAUCAAUUUUCUUAUAAUGCAAACAUAAUCAAAUUAAGCACAAAUAUUGGAAAGAUUGUUCAUCACUUCAUUAAAUAAUUAAUGGCUAAGUGAGUUAAACUAAUAAUAUAUCAAUGUUAGAUAAAAGAAAAUAAUUAUGCACUACAAAAAAAGUCAUUUUUAUUGACACUUAUAAAUGUCAGUGAAAGAUUAAAAAAGUGAUGAUAUUACUGUUGCGGGAGUUAAGUGAAUGUUGAUGAAAACUUUUUGAUAGUCAAGUCACCAAUGCCAGAAUUAUAAAUGUACUUGCUGAUAUUAUUUUUUUGGUACUUUAAAUUACUGUUAUAAGUAAAUAACUUUUAAAUGUAAUUUAAAGUGUUGGUAAAGAUCACAUUUUAUUUAAAUUUUUAUAUUAUUUAGUGAGCUAUAUUGACACUUAAAAUCAUCCUUAAAAGUUUUAGUUUUUUUAAAUAAUUUUCAUAUUUCUAAUCUUUGUAACCAAUAAAAUUAAAAAAUAAUUCAUACCAAUUAAUAGAGAACACAGGUCUGAGAAAUGAAAGUCUGCAAGUCACUUUUGCAAUUUCUGGCAAAAGAACAUUUUUAGAUUAUUUAUUUCCCAAAUUUUGCUUUCCUGAUAACAGAAUAAUAAUUAACUGACAUGUGCAAAACACUUGAAGUAUUCAAAGUUUGGUUAAACUCAGACAGAGACCUCACAAAUUUUAUAUCAGUAAAGUGACAAUAUCAUGAUUCAUAAGUAUUAAAAUCAGCAAAAUUCACUAGCAAUGUCAAUGUCUACAAGCUAUUAAGAACAUCAGGUAACCAUCAAAGGCAAAUUGCGUCCUGAUACCAAUCCCAUUACAAUUACCAAAACUACCCAAACAUCAAAAAGUUGUCAAAUUACCAAUUAUUAUCAAUAAUGCAAUAGCAUCAUCCUCAAAGCUUCCAUAUUUCUUUAGUUAUUGGCACAUAGUAAUCCCAAUGAAUUCGAUGCAUCUGAAACCUGCAAUAUAAUACAAUUUCUGGAUCAGUUCAAUCAUAAGGACCACCUCAUAUUAGUAAAGUAAGGGGUUUUUUUUGUUGUUUUAGCCAAUAUUCUUCUACAAAUGAAUAGUAAGGCCUAUAGAGCUGAACAGCUAAACAAGAGGGGUUUGACAACUGCUAGGAAAAAUAAUACCACCAUGAGUGUAGGUAAUUUACUCUAUAUACUGGCAAGACGUGGUUUUAAAUUUUAAGCCAGAACUAUAAGUUGAAUCUUAAACUUACAGGGUGAAAUCCACCUUGGUGUAGAAAUUCGAGAGCAGCAUGACAAAAGAAACCAAACCUUUCUGCAUCUUUUCUGCAACCAUAAACACAACCUGUCCAAAAGAAUCUGCAAGCAACAAUACACCAAAGGAUUCUUAUGAUUAUAAUUUUUUUUUUUAACAAAGUGAAACAUUGUAAUUCUUAAAGGUGCUAUAGGAGUAUAAAAAUUACCCGUUUUCUGGCUCCACAAAAUAAACUGAAAGGCCUUCCACUUUUCCAAACCAAACUUUAACUUCAGUGCCACCCCAAGAAUAGCCUCUUUGGUAAUGAAUAUCCUUCACCUAUAUCAUAGAACAUUCAUUUGACAGAUCUGAAAUUAUUAAAAAGACAAGUUUGAAAAAAGUAAAGAGAUGAAUGAAUUGUUUUAUAUCUUUUUUGAAUAUUAAGAUAUGAAUGAAUGAAAUCGAGAAUCUGAUUAUAUGACAAUAAACAUCUUUUAAGUAGCAUUCCCAAAAUUUUCGUCAUGUAUAGCCCAAAUAAAGAUGAGGGCAGGGAAGCCUUAUAUGAAACUUUUGUUUUCUGGAAAACCCAAUAAGAAAAGGUUAUGUGACAAUUUAGUACCGAUAUCUUAUUAAAGGAAAAAUGCACUUCAGCCACCUCAUGCAAGAUAGAUAACACCACACGCAAGCUUACAAACAGCAUGCCUAGUAAGCAAGAAUACAAACCAAAAAAAUCCAUAAUUUAAGGAAAUUAAGGCAAUCCAGUGAAAACAAUUAAGAUGAAAAAUGUGGCUAAAGUGAUGGCAAUGAAGUUUACAUGGCCAAGGUUCAAGCAGUCAUACUUUGGAAGAAUGAUGUCCACAUUGUUGUUUAAAUCUUGAACAGCACGCGAGAGACUUGUAACGACAUCACCCAGAUCUCCAACCUGCAAAGUUAUAAAAAAGAAGUAAUUGAGAAAAAGAAGGAUAAUGGAAAAUCUUUUGGGUUUUUUCUACAUAUUCGACCACAAACUGGAAAUAAUACAACACAGAUGUCUAUGGUGUUCCAUUUCUGUCUGUGGAUCAGCAUCCUCUCCCCCAACUGUCUCAUUUCCAAAACACCUUUCAUUAGGAAAAGACAUGUCUUUCUGGCCUUCUUUCAGCUUACAGAAUUUUCUCUUCAUUAAGAGAAAGAAUCUGAAUGGACUCAUAAGCAAAGAAAAACUAGAAAAGAAACCUUGAUAGACAUCAGGGCAAUAAAAAAAGUUUUGAAAACCUAAACUCCCUUAAUGUCCAAAAGUUACCUUUACAGUAGGCCCCAUCUCAACAGCAAUAUGCACAAUGUUCAUCGGUGGCUCUUGCACAAUUCCUCCAAAAACAGGUAUUCGAUAAUCCAAACCGCCUUUGUUGUCAAAAGUUCCGGCAUCUUCCCUCUCAGAGAAUACAAACUCCAUAUAUGCAUCCAAUGGAACCUUGACUGCAGAGUCACAUAAAGUAAGUCUUUAAUAGAAAGAUUUAAUGCAACAAAAGCCAAAAAUAAAAAGAACGCCAUAUGUUACCUAAGGAGAUGAUAUAAAGCAACAAUUGAUAAGUCAUAUAUGCCUAAAACUUAGGCACAGAUUGAAUUCCAAAUAAUUUAUUAGUCUGGAUCUAUAAUUCACAUUUAUUCUCUAGGACCAAAAGAGCUUUCAAGGGGAGUGCGUCGGCACGCAGAAGAUGAUAAAAUGGUGAAUGCAAACAGCAGAUGACCCAAGAAGCAGUACAAUUUCUAUUCACUAAAAUUUACCAUAAAGGAUACUGAUAGGUGAAAUAACUCACAAACUUAUUAGAGAGAAUAUUAUUUUAAAAGCAGUUGAUUAACUCAUUGAUCCAUGAAACCAUACAGACAAAGACAAUUAAUGCAUGCAUCAGAUAGGAGCUCAGUUAUUGCCAAAUAAUUAUGCAUCAGAGAAACCUUUAUGAAAAGCAUUUGUUUGAAAACCAUACUUUAGAAACUAUUAAAGCAGUCAAAAGUGUAUUUUUUGACCAAAGACAUCUCUUGGUGAAAAGAAAUCAACACAGGACAAUUCAAUCCAUGAAGACCUAAAGUUUGGUUCCCGAGUUACUAAGACAACCUAGUAAGGAAGAAAGCAUGAAGCCCACAAGGGGAAAUGAUGUUCUUAAUAUCACAUUCAUUGUACACAUUGUGUCAUGGUCCCUUAGAAGUCAAUUCACAAGAUCUGCCAAAAGAUUUACCUCACAUUAUUCCGUUGAUUUGAUAUAUUUGUCAUCUAAACCUACAAAAUUUGCUCAAUAUACCUUCCUAAGAUUGAACUACUUGUUAUGAUAUUUACAAAAUUUUUAACUCAAACUCACCCUACGAAGACUAUUUAGUCUUUGCAAAUUGUACAGUCAUAAUUCCAGAUAUAAAAAAACAAGCAAUUAAAAAUAAAUCCACAAAGUUCAUUAGUAUUUCUGAACUUAAUUCUAUAAGCACCAAGUCACUUGAAUGUUCAUGUAUUUCUCUCUCUCUCGAUGACAAAUAAUUUUACUAACAAGCCACCACAACACCAAUCACAACAACCACAACAUUAUGAUCAAAACCAAUGCCGUCCAAGUUAGAAAGUAAGAAACAUAGAGAGAAAACUUUUGAUUAGAGAAAUACGAAAUAAGAAAGAAUGAGAGACUUAGCAGCAUACUAGUGACCCAGAAAUCCAACAAUAUAGUCAUAGACACUAAAUAUAUUACUACCAUAUGUGUUACAAAAGGGGAUCUUGACUUCAGGCGAAAGAGGCACACAUGUUUAUUUGCAUUUGUAUCCAAGUAUAUCGUCUUAGAAAUUAUUGUUUCCUCUUUGUUUGAUAUCAUCACUAUUUCUCCACCUAUAGAAACCAUCAUAAGCUUAAAGUGCCAUAAGUGAUGAUCAGUUAAGACAAAGAAAAAAAUUGUAUCAUUUCCAGAAGGAGAUUUGACUUCAAAGUUUUUGUCAUUAUUAACACUAAGAAACAGUAGAUUUCUAUUAGGAGAUUAUGAGCUGGUAAGAAGCUCAUAAUUAAGGAGAUCAAACCUUAAAGCCAAAGGGUAGAAAAUAAGAGCUUAACAAUGUCCUUUAUAAAGGUACACAAAUGUCAUCCAAUAACAACAAGGUGAAAAGAAAUUGUGCGGACACUACAUACACAAAAGUCCACAAAUAACCAAUUUCAUCUAGUAUGAGUAACUAAUUCAUAAUUAACACAUCAUAUGUGCAAACCAAUCUAUACGUUCGAAUAAUUUUUCAGAAGUAAGCUGCCUUUCAGAAAUUAUUCAUAGUCACCACUCAACAACAUACUAAGUUCAAGAUUAGUUCACACAUUAUACCCAAUAACAAAUCACAAAAAAAAAAAAUAAAAAAAAAAUAAUAAUAAUAAAAUAAAAUAAAAUAAAUUCAAAAUGAAAAUUAAUAAAUUAAAACCUACCUUAGAUAGAUUAGAAUUGAGAUUGAGCUUGACUGAACAUCAAAAUCAAGAUAAGCUGUAUCAAAUAAAAUUCAACCUCGAUCGAAGCAAAAAAAAAUUGUUAGUCAUUUCGGUCAUUACAAAAUCAGAAUCAAAAUGAAUAGAAAGAGGAAGUACCUGUUUCGAAACGGCACUGAUGAAGAAGAUGACAAUGAUUGAGCUGAAACUAGAGAGGAAAAAGUUAGGGGUUUUAACAAAUUAAGGAAAGAUUCAUUAGAUUUUUGUCUCAAAACUGAUUUGAAAAACAACAGAUGAAAAAACAUGAUUUGCGGAGAGUGAUUAGCUGAAAAUCACAGAAAUGCAGAGGCUUAGCAGAGUGUGAUUCAUAUAUACAUAGCUACAAGCAGAGAAAAUCAAAAUUUCAGCUUGUUUGUAGCAGAGGAAAUCGAAGAAAUUGUAGCAGAGAUUGAUAGUGUUGAUGGAGAGUGCUGAGAGCGAGAGAGAUUAAAAAAAUAUAUAAAAAAAGAGAAAUAUGAAAUAUGAAAUGAGAGAAAACAACUGAAAAAAAAAAAGACACUUAAAUUCGCAUUUGUUCAGUUUUAGCAUCUAUAUCAUACUAUCUAUUCUGAAAGAUUCCAACAUGCAUUUUAAUAUUUGGGAUGUGAACUUUAAUGGGAUUUUGUUUUCCCGUGUACAAAUACAAUGGAUCUCUCUCUUUCAGUCUCACUUAAGAGCUCCAUGCAAUCACAUUUAGAGAAGAAACACCAGUACUUCUUGUAUGGACAUGAUUGAAGGAUUUAUUCCUACUGAAUUCACAAAUGACAUGCUCCUAUAUCGUCUGGAAGGACAACUGCAAGUAACACAGAAUUUACAUGAUCAGCCUUCUUUCUUUCUUUCUUUUUUCUAUAAUUUAUAUUUUUGAAAAUCAUUCUCUAACCACAAUAAAAUGAAGAAAGAUGAACCUCGACAAACUUACACUUGCAUCUAUUAUUAUUAUUCUAUCUCAACAUGUCAACUAAAUUUGGUUGGUAGAUAAGAUUGAAGACAAAAAUCAGAAAAAAAAAUUAAAAAAAAAUAAUGCAUAUAGUUCACAAAUUAAGAACAUGUGAUAGUACUUUGCAUACUUAAAUAAGUGUCGACAAGUCGAUGAUAAGUGACUAAUUCCACGACAUCUCAAAGGCCUAAGAUAACAAAACCAUAUGAAAUCAAAUCAAUUCAAAUUCAAUACUGCCUUAUAUACAUUACAGUGUUAUUAUGACUCAAAUAUAUAUAUAUAUAUAUAUAUAUUAUUUGGUUACUAACAAGAACAAGAAAGUUACGGAGAUAACCAUUGAAAAGAACAAAAAAUAUUGCUUUUUCUAAAGAGUAUUAUCUCAGGAAUAUUUAAUGUUAUUUGUAUGGAAAAUGUUUAAUUAGUUAUCCGAAAAAAAGAAAAUAUUUUUAAUAUAUAUUUGGGAUAAUUGAAAUAUAAUAAUAAAUAAUUAAAAAAGCGAUGAAGGUACCUUCAAUAUGGACACAAAAUACAUAGCUGUUCUGCCAAUGGCCUGCAAGAAAAAUAUAAAGUUCAAAUGAAAAUUGUCUUGAAAGGUAGUUAGAGGCAUUCUAUGUACUUUUCAAUAAUCUUAAACUAUAUACAAACAAUUGUGUAUCUUACUUUAUUAAUCCUUCUCCAUGUUUUUCAAAAACUCUCUUUUGAUAUUUUUGAGCAUGGAAACAACAUCCUUCAUAUUUAUCCUGUUUUCAGGUAAGUCAGAUGAACAAUCCAAAGCUAACGCCAUGAUGGACGAUAUACAAUUCACUUUGACAACAAAAUAUUCAUCCUCUUUAUGCACUAAACUGGAGUCCGCUACAUCAAUUAUUCCAUUAGAUAGUGACAUUUUCACCCAAUGUCUCAUACUCAUUUCUCCAGCAAAAGAUUCAUCAGUGGGCCUCUUUCUUGUGAAAAUUUCCAUUAGUAGAAUACCAUAACUAUAAACAUCACUUUUAAUAGAAAUAAUUCCUGCUGAUCCAUAUUCUGCAUUUUAAACAUAAUUGAAUAAUUAAAAGAUAUUAUAUCUUCAUAAUCAUAAAAAAAUAUGCUUAUGUUAGAAUAUGGAAAAAAAUAAUAAUAAAACAUCACCUGGUGCCAUGUAGCCAAUAGUGGCAAGUGUCAUUGUUUGUUUCAUAGAAUCUUCUUCUCCCAACAAUUUGGAAAUGCCAAAAUCUCCCACAUGAGCAACCAUGUCUUUGUCUAGUAAGACAUUACUUGGUUUUAGGUCACAAUGGAUUAUAGGUGUUGGAUGUCCCAAAUGGAGGUAUUCUAAUGCUGAUGCAACAUCCAUCAUUAUGUUGAUUCUUUGCAGGAUAUCCAAGAAAUAAUUGUAAGAAUAUAACCAUUUCUCAAGGCUCCCAUUAGGCAUGAAUUCAAGCACUAAGGCUUUGAAGUCAAUAGUAGAACAACAACUAAUGACCUUAACAAGAUUGCGGUGAAAGAUAUUGCUCAUCACUUCACAUUCAAUCUCAAAACUCCUAAAUGCUCCAUCUAUUUGCAAAUUAAAAGCUUUUAUUGCAACAUUUGUCCCAUCUAAAAGUAUUCCUUUGUAUACAGAGCCAAAACUUCCUGAACCCAGUAAGUUGUUUUCACUAAAUCCAUUAGUCCCUUCCAAUAGCUGAUUGUAGGAAAUUCUUCUCCAUUUCUCGACAGGAAUUAAAUCUUCAACAAUCGCCAAAUUCAUAUUCCCCUGCUGCUUUUUUUUGUAGACAAUUAUGACUGCUAUAACUAUUAUUAUUGAAGCAAAUGUUGGUAAAACAUACCUCAAAGCAUGUAGAGCGGUCUUCUUGAAUUUCCGAUGGAUUUUAUUUUUGCAAGGUGAGACUUGUAGUCUAGGUGAACCACAGAGUGCAUAAUUUUUCAUGAAUGAUUUGGCCGUGAAGUUUAAAAAGGGACCUCCACUUGGGAUUUCCCCUUCUAAUCUAUUGAAAGACACAUUAAAAUAAUUGAGAUCAUAAAGUCUUUCCAAAGACUUUGGAAUGAUUCCAGAGAAAUUGUUGUUAGAUAAAUCCAAACUUUUCAAACUCAUCAAGUCACCGAAUGAUUCAGGAAUAGGACCUUGUAAUCUAUUACUAGCAAGAUUCAAAACCUGUAGAUCAUGAAGACUUCCAAUUGUGGGAGGAAUAUCACUUGAUAAUAAAUUCCUUGACAAUUUCAAAGAGAUAAGUACCUUCAAAUUUCCAAUGUCAAGUGGAAGUGAACCGCUAAGAUUGUUUGAUGACAAGUCUAUUUCUAAGAUAUCUUUAAGGCUCCAAAAAGUUAAAGGUAUUGUUGAAUGCAAUUUGUUGGAGAACAAGUAUAGAUAUCUCAGAGAAGUCAAAUCAGAGAAACAUGUCGGUAAAGGCCCAUCAAGCUCAUUGUCACCUAAUGAUAAUUUGUACAAUCCCUUCAAACCACAAAGAUCAUGUGGUAUAAAGCCCUGUAACUUAUUUCCAUAAAGAUGCAAAAGUUGGAGAUUUUUUAGCCUUCCUAUUGUUGUUGGAAUAGGUCCACUCAAUUUAUUAGAGGAAAGGUCUAACAAUAUAGCGUUACUUAAGCUACCGAUUUCCAUGGGAAUGCUGCCUCUAAUUUUGCAAUGAUUGACCCACAAUUGUUGAAGUGAUGUGGAAAGAUUUGAGAUAGAAGUUGGAAGAAUGCCAUUCAAUGGGUUCAAUGAUAGUUCUAAAAUUCUUAGAUGCCUGCAAUUUGCCAAGGAAUUGAGAAAGCUCCACUCAUGAGUUGAAGUUUUGGUGGUCAAGUGAUUCGACCAAAGGUGCAAGGUCUCAAGGAACCUCAAAUUGCCAAGUGCAUCUGGAAUAAGGCCAAAGAAUGAGUUUUGUUCUAAUUCUAGGAUUCUGAGCUUAGAAACAUUAGAGAUAGAACCAGGAAUAUUUCCACUGAGAUUAUUGCCCCAUAAGUAAAGCACCUCAAGAUUUGAAGCAGAGCUCAUGUAUGGUAAUUUACCUAAAAAGACAAAAAAAAAGUUUGCAUCUUUCCAUACAAAAAAUAAAUUAAUUCUUUUGCUUUGUUGUGUUUUUCAUGAAUCUAUGAUGCAAGCUGAAGUGAAUGCAAUGCUUACAUCUACAAAUGUGAGUGAGGAAGAGCAUGAAACAAUUAUAAAUAGGAAACAACUUCAAGGUUUUCUUGUUUGAUGAUCUGGAAUAUAUAUAUAUAUAUCUAAUUUAUAAUUUUUUCUUAUUUAUAAUGAUUAAAAGGCUCCAUACUUUCGUAUAAUAAAGUACUAAAGAGGAAAAAGAAAAGUAAAAGAAAAAAAGAAGGUACAAGAAAGGAAGGGAGAAAAGAAAAUAUUAUAAGGUUUCUAGUAUAUGCUUAAAAUGUUUUCCAUUUAUGUGAGAAUUUUAUUUUCUUUAACUAAUCUCAAUUGCUUUAAUUAUAAAAAAGAUUAAGGAAAAUUUGGAUGACAAAAUUGUUCACGAAAGAAAAGGAAAUAAGAUAAAAAUGAAGCAAAUAAAAAAAUAUAAGUACAUUUACAUUAAUUUGUUUGAGAAAAGAAAAUUCUGAAAGUGUAAAUAUUUGGAAAUAAAUUAGAAUUUUUAUCUGUGCCAUUUUAGGAAAAAAGGCUCAAAAGAGAAAUGAUAAAAUUUCUUUCAUUUUAGACUAUAUGCAUAAUAUAAGAGAAAAAUACAAAGAUUCUCUGAAAAGAUUGUUAAAAGUACAUGUACUCUCUUUAGUUUGAAAAUCACUUUCUUACUUCCCUAAGGUUUGAUAGAACCUUACGAGUACUUUAACAGAGGAGUUUCAUUUGAGGUUUGUUGGAGUAAUACUGUAUACAUUUUACUACUACAAUAAAAAAUUAUGAUGACAAAAAAUGUGAAACUAAUGAAAAAGAUUUUAAAAUGAUGCUUUUGAUUACACAAUUAUUAGAGGGUGAAAAGCCUUGCCUUAGUCCGAUUUAGAGGGUAAGUAAAGGUAAGUCAAAAAGCUCUUCUUGGAUACUAUGAAGGCCACACAAGAACAUUACCUUCGGAGAAAAAAAUUUGUUACACUGUUUGUUGAUGGAAUUUUUCCAGGUUGUAGUGUCUUUAAUCUCAAGCAACAAUUUGUCAGAUGUGGGAGGGUGGUUGAUUUUUACGUCUCCAAAAAUCAAAUUUCUAAAUGGUUUGCACUUGAGGUAUUCCACUCUAUAUGUUCAAAUGGCAAGGUAUGAUCAAAGAUCUCAUGUUAGUUCUAAACCCACCACUCAGUACAUAGAAAAAGGUGUUAUCUGCAUAGAAGACUUUAGAGAUGGACGAUCUCAUGUAGAGGUUGUUAAUAUGUCAGUCAAAUCCUCUCAGUUAAAGGAUAACAUUGUAUCAGAUGGUCAAAAAGAAGAGGCUUUAAAAUCGCUUGACAUCCUUGAUUACAAUCCUGAAAAUUUAGAUUUGGAGAGAUAACAACGAAAUGUUGUUGGGAUAGUUAGAUAUCCUGAUACUAUAAAUGCCAUUAACCAAAUCUUCUCAGAGGACUUUGAUGAUUGUUCUGUCCUUAUCGUGGGUGAGAAUAUGAAUCUUUUGACUUUGAAAGCAAAGAAAGUAUGUUAUUAUCUCUGGAACUUGGUCAGGAGUGGUCUCAAAAUUGGUUCACGUCUAUUACACCAUGGAAGCCUAGCUAUAUAUGCCAUUCAAACCUUAUUUGGUUGAGAUUGUCAGGUAUUCCACUUCACGCUUGGAAUUCUAAGUGUUUCUCUUCCAUUGGAAGUUUAUAGCGUGAGGCUUUUAAGCUUGAUGAUUUUACACUAACGAAAAAAGGUUUAGAUGUAGGUAGAGUCCUGAUUUUAACAAAUGAUUAUAGUGCCAUUCUUGAUGAGAUUAAGGUCACUGUGGGUGAUAUUGUUUACUCCAUUAAAGUUGUUGAACAUGGAUACUUUGAAAUUUUCACUAGUCCUCACAGAUCAUGCAGACCUGGACAACUCAGUUUUCAUGGAUGGCGGUGAAGAUGUUUUCUCUCCUCAAGGCAAAGAUUCCCCUAGUAACUCAAAAUUUGAAAAUGAUGGUAAUUUUAUGGCUUUGGAUGUAGAUAACACUGUUAUUGCAACUGCUGAUACACCUAGAGAUUCUAAAGAAGCAUAUGAUGUCGAUCUUGGAAAUGAGACAAAUUUGGAACAAUUAUGGGCAUGCAGAGUUAAAUACAGAUGUUGCAAUUAAUUCUUCUUUAGAACCUCUUUUGAAUAACGAUGAAACAGAACAAUUAAAUCUAAAUUGAAUCAUGUGGUUGAUGAGUCCAAUCUAGUGGAUCAAACUAUUGAUACUUCUACAUCUCUUAGGAUAUCAAAUGGCCCAUCAGAUACGCUUAGGGAUUCUAUUGGUGGAAAUAUCUUAACUGAUCUUCGGUCAAAUCCAGUUUCUAUUGAGCUUAUGAGCAAGAGUGAUAUAGACGCUGAGAAACUUUUCAACGUUGAAGAUAAAUUUCACCUUGUUACUAUUCGAGCAGGUAAAAGAAGGAAAAAAAGUAAGGCAAAAUAUUGAUCCAAAAGCAGGUCUCGCCAGAUAAAGACACCUCUAGUUUCCAUUGUUCAAGACCACUUUCGGAUGAAGAUAUUGGUUCUCGAAAUAGAGCUUUUCUAGAAGAGGCUGAGAAGAUUUGGGAAGUUGGUAAAUUAUUGGGUUUAUCCGUAAAUGAAGACGAUGGUUCCAUUAUUCAACGUAUUGCUGGUUUAGAAAGACAAGAUUGGGGGGAGCUUCAUCAAGACUGAUACAAAAGGGCUUUGUCGAUUUAAAGGUUCUAAUGAAUUUGGUCUUAUUUACAAGCUUUAUCAAUACUACAGUUAAGGAAUUUGGCAAAAGGUAUUUUUAAAGUUGUGUUUGAAGGAUAUGAUAGUAGAUAGGAGGUUAAUAUUGGGAGUUUUAACGUUUUGUUAUUUGAAUGCAUUUGGGAUAUGGAAGUGGCUAUGGUGGCUGUUAACUGGAGUAAAAAGAAUCAUCGACCAUGAAAGUUGUUGUCUAUAUUUUCUGAAAUUGUGAUGCUUUGGAGAUCAAUUGGGGCAUCCAGUUUGAUGAAAAUUUUUUUAAAAGCUGAAUGAUAUGGUAGAUGUCAUGGCAAAGGUGGGUGGAUAGAGAGAUUUUUUUUUUUUUUUGUUCGAGGCAUGGUGGUGAUUUUGUUCUGUAAGGGAUAGUGGUGUUUGCUCUCAUUAUUUGUUUACCGAUCAUGGUAGUGUUUUUUUUUUUUUUUUUUUUUUGCUUGGAUGUCAUGAUUUCUUCUUUUUAGGUGGAAGUCUUUCGUUAGAAUUGUGCUAGAUGUUUUUAUGUUGUUUCUGGUAUGGCNNNNNNNNNNNNNNNNNNNNNNNNNNNNNNNNNNNNNNNNNNNNNNNNNNNNNNNNNNNNNNNNNNNNNNNNNNNNNNNNNNNNNNNNNNNNNNNNNNNNNNNNNNNNNNNNNNNNNNNNNNNNNNNNNNNNNNNNNNNNNNNNNNNNNNNNNNNNNNNNNNNNNNNNNNNNNNNNNNNNNNNNNNNNNNNNNNNNNNNNNNNNNNNNNNNNNNNNNNNNNNNNNNNNNNNNNNNNNNNNNNNNNNNNNNNNNNNNNNNNNNNNNNNNNNNNNNNNNNNNNNNNNNNNNNNNNNNNNNNNNNNNNNNNNNNNNNNNNNNNNNNNNNNNNNNNNNNNNNNNNNNNNNNNNNNNNNNNNNNNNNNNNNNNNNNNNNNNNNNNNNNNNNNNNNNNNNNNNNNNNNNNNNNNNNNNNNNNNNNNNNNNNNNNNNNNNNNNNNNNNNNNNNNNNNNNNNNNNNNNNNNNNNNNNNNNNNNNNNNNNNNNNNNNNNNNNNNNNNNNNNNNNNNNNNNNNNNNNNNNNNNNNNNNNNNNNNNNNNNNNNNNNNNNNNNNNNNNNNNNNNNNNNNNNNNNNNNNNNNNNNNNNNNNNNNNNNNNNNNNNNNNNNNNNNNNNNNNNNNNNNNNNNNNNNNNNNNNNNNNNNNNNNNNNNNNNNNNNNNNNNNNNNNNNNNNNNNNNNNNNNNNNNNNNNNNNNNNNNNNNNNNNNNNNNNNNNNNNNNNNNNNNNNNNNNNNNNNNNNNNNNNNNNNNNNNNNNNNNNNNNNNNNNNNNNNNNNNNNNNNNNNNNNNNNNNNNNNNNNNNNNNNNNNNNNNNNNNNNNNNNNNNNNNNNNNNNNNNNNNNNNNNNNNNNNNNNNNNNNNNNNNNNNNNNNNNNNNNNNNNNNNNNNNNNNNNNNNNNNNNNNNNNNNNNNNNNNNNNNNNNNNNNNNNNNNNNNNNNNNNNNNNNNNNNNNNNNNNNNNNNNNNNNNNNNNNNNNNNNNNNNNNNNNNNNNNNNNNNNNUUACUGAACUAGCACAAAGGCACCACAGUUUGUAUUUACAUCUCCAUAGAAAUGAAUAUUUCCAUCACUGUAGACACCGGUUUUGUCCGGGUCUACUACCAUUUUUUAUAUAUAUAUAUAUAUAUUAAUAUUUAUAAUAAUAAAUAAAAAAAUUAAAAAUUAAAAAAAGAAGCAGAAAAAAUUAUAAAAUAAUAAAAUAAAAGACAAAGUCAAAAAAACAGGGGGGUUGGUGCGGCGCCGCUGCCGCCCCCUGGCAGCCACCCGACCAGCCCCCAACCAACUCUCCUAGCCACCCUACUAGCCACCUGCUACCCACCUCAUACCAAUUCCCUUUUAAACCCGAAAAAAAUCGACAGAACAGAGGUAAAAAAAGGAGGAGAUCCUCAACCUCGUUCAAAAGAAAAAAAAAAACAAAAAAAACAGAAACAAAAAAAAAACACAACAGAAACAGAAAACAAAAAACACAGUCCUCGCCUAUUCGGCGAGGAACCCAGCGCCAAAAAGCCACCUGCAAAAGCAAAAAAGGAAAAAUCGUUAGUAUUUCAACAAAAAAAAAAAAAAGAGAGAGAGAAGAAAAACCGAAACUUUGAACCUCGAUCUACGCCGAUCGGGGUUGCUUUUGGCAGAACGGACAACGGAUCUGGGAUCAGGAGGCUGAACAGAACCUCCUGUCCCCUUUUCAAAUUUCUGACCACCGUCGGCGACGGCCCCCACGGCGGCCGGUGAGGCGGCCGGCGACCACGCGGCGGCCGGACGGCAUCCCUCUCCCCUGCUCUCUCUCUCUUCCCUCUCUCCCUUUUUUUUUCUGAAAACCAACCCAACUAACCAAAAAAAAUUUUCUGACCUUUUUAUAUAAACAGCCAAAAUCAAAACGACGUCGUUUCAUUAAAGCCUCAAAACGACGUCGUUUUGAUCCAGAGGAUCCGCGCGUCAACCCGCGACCCGACCCGGGGUCGCGUGCCUGACCCGCGACCCGUUUCUUCUUCAGCCUCUGACCGGUCUGACUGGACCGGUACCGAACCGCCCAAACCAAGUCGAACCGCCAGUGAACCGGAUCGAACCGCCCAGACCGCCCGAACCGCCGAACCGGUCGGACCGCCCUGACCAGCGUUGACCGGACCGUUGACCGGUCCGGUUCAGGUAAAAAAAAUUUUUUUUUUUUGAAUUUUCUAAUAUUUUUUAUUAUUAUUUUGUUAUUUUUAAAUAUAUUUUUACGUGAUAAAUUUAUAAAUUUGUUAGAAUAAAUGUUUAAUUAUUUUUAUAAUAAUAAAAUUAAAAACAAAUAAUAAUUAAAAAUAUAUUAAAAUGCUUAAAAAAAAUUAAUUUUUGUUAUUUUCCCUGCCUAGAUGUUGGAGGGAAUAAAAAAUAUUUUUUUUCUAAAAAAUAAUUCGGCCUAGAUGUUGGGGAAUUAUUAUUAAUAAAUUUUAAUAAAAAUAAAUAUAAGAAAAUUUUAAAUUAAUUUUCAAAAAUCAUUAAAAUCGAACUUGCUUCGAAAAUCUGCCUAGAUGAUGGGGAUUUUAGAGAUGUUCGUAUUUUCUUAAAAAUGAAACCUUAAGCACUAUUUCUUAAUUUCCAAAAUCCUAGGUUUCUAAAACCCCUAAAAAUCCAAAAUCCAUUAAAUCCAAAAUCUUUGAAACCUAAAAUUCUAAAAAAAAAAAUCCCAAGAACUCGUGUGAAAAUUCUAUUCGAAGCAAUUUGUUUCCGAAUGCCGCCUAGAUGAUGGGGUAUUUAGGAAAUUUUACUUCGCGAAAUCUUUUCACACGAUUUCUUAAUUCACAUUAAUAAUAAGAUUAAUAAAUUAAAAAAAAAUAUAAUAAAAUUGAGAUCCUGAAUAUAAGCUCUGCCUAGAUGUUGGGAGUUAGGGUGGUCCCAUUAUAUUUAAGAAUCCAAUCUUUUGCAUUUCAUUUUACAUGGACAUGCAUUAACAUGAUAUAUAUUAGCAUGUUAUCAUUGAUAAUUGAUUGCAUUAUUCUUUUUUUUAAUUUAUUGAUAAAAUAUUUAUAAAAAAAAUGAUACUAAAAAAAAAUCUUUCGUGAUAUUACAAAAUAAAACAAAAAUAAUAUUUCGAAAGAAAUAAUUUUUGGUUACUCUGCCUAGAUGUUGGAGAGUCACUAAUAAUUAUUUUCUAUAAAGAUUGCUAUUUUAUUUUAAGGAUUAUUGUGUUAAAUCUUAUGCGAGAAGAGUUAUUUUAAAUUCUGCCUAGACGAUGGAGAAUUUUAAGAUAAUUCUUUAACUUAAAGAUUUUCUCAAUAUUUCUAAAUAAAAAUUUUAACAAAAAUAUUUUUAAAUAAAGGGAAUUAAUGUUAAAUUUCAAAUUAAAACCAUUUUUAUCCAACGUCAAAAAUAGCGCAUAAUUAAAUGGUACCAAUUUAUGGGCGUUGUGGGGGUGCUAAUCCUUCCCCACACGUAACCGACUCCCGGACCCAACCUGGUUUUUCGUAGACCAAAAUCUAUCUUUUUGAUAAAUUUUAAACCCGUUUUAAAGUUUUAUUAAAAAGAUAAACAUAUGGGUGGCCAAUCACACCCUAACAAAGAUUGGUGGCGACUCCCUUUUAAUUUUUUUUUUCUCGAUUUUAAAACACCUCAUUUUUACGUCUGGCGGUCCCCAAAACCAUUACGACAGCUUGGCGACUCCGCUGGGGACUUAUUGAGAGUCAGGCCAAAAUUUUAAUUAUGCGCUAUUGAUGAUGGUUGAAUUUAAUUGAUUUUAUUUGAUAUUUAAUUUAAUUUCUUUUAUUUUUCGAAAACAUUCGAGCUAAUAAAUAAAAUAAAUUGUAUGAUAGUUAUUAAUUUAUUUUGAUUUUGUGGUUAUGAUUUAUUCAUGUUAUUUUGAUUUCUUUACACACACUUUGCAUAUUUACUUGUAUGCAUGAGCUCUAGACCCGGGCUCCAUCCCUUUUAGGAGGAAGUGAAGUAGCUACGCUCUCGUGAGGUGAUAACCUCCGCAUUUGCUAGCAAAACACUUCCACUCAGAUUGAACCCUUUCCGUUAGUAGCCUAUAAUGGGCGAGGAUCGGGGAACCUUACUAGUCUAUAAUGGACGAUGAUGUGAGGAAUAGUCUGGGAACCUUUAGACGCAUAAACUUUAACCCAGCAUAUCGUAAGCUAUGUGAACCUUACCGAUCUUUUUAUGGGAAUAACCAGAAAUGGUUGAUAAAAGAAAAGCAUUUCCUAAAAAAAAAAAAAAUUUUUCUCUUUACAUGCAGUUCAUUCAUUUGGUAAUUGUUCAAAUUUUAUAAUUUCAUAAAACAUUUUAGAAUAAAGUGAUUUUUUUUUAAAGCAUUAUCCAACAAACAAAACAAAAAAACAAAAAGGUUUUCAGAAAGAUUAAAGAUUUUUCUUAAAUUGGCCCAAUCAAAAAUUAAUUUUCAUAUCCUAGUUAUUUUGUUUUUCCUUUUUAAAAUUUUUAUUUUGUUUCAUCUUUUGCAUUUCAUACAUCAUAAAAAUAAUACAUGUAUCCCAUCCCAUAUACAUCAUUAAAGGUAGUGUCAUUAGGAUGACACAACACAAGCAUUACAUAUCAUGUAAAAAUAUAAUGAGCACUUGAUAGGUUCAUGCAUUUCAUACAAGUAUGCUGCAUUAGUUAUAAGAAUACAUUUCACCGUUCAUGUAAAUAUGUCGUUACAUUUCAUACAUAUAGAUUCAUAAGGUCGUAUGGAACAAACGUUACAUUUCAUAUCCCGCUAUCCCUGCAACAUAAUAUUUCUUGCAUACACAUUCAUGGUUGAUGAAAAUUUUUAUUUGGGUCUUUGUACAUAUAAAAAUUCAUCGUCAUAAGUAUAUAUGCAUUCCGUGACAUUCUCAUAUUCAUGUAUUCAUAAACAUACUUUGUGUGUUUUUGUUUUUGUGAUAUUCAUUCAAUAAAGUAAUAGUCUAGAAUUUUUUGUCUAAGUCCCGAAAUAAAAUGACUGUCUUGGUGGGGUUCAGAGUGACGAAAAUGGGAGAUCAAUUGGAAGCAAGAUUUAGUACUUUGGAGUUGAAUCAAGAGGAAUUAUGGCUUGAGCUUCGAGAGAUGAAACAACAGAUGGCUCAAUUAAUAGAAAUGGUUAGAGGUAGUGAUGGAGUUGAGUUUGUUCCUCCUCAAAAACCGUUGUCAUUACCGUCAAGUCAAGGUCAAUUGGCUCCCGAUAGUUCCAACACUCUGCCAGAGUAUGCUAAAGCAUUGGAUGAUUUGAACAGUGAUCAAAGUUUGGGCGAACUUAAGAGAGGAAUGGGUGAACUAGCCACACAAAUGACUGAACUUAAGAGUUUGAUUUCCAAUAAGGAGUCACCUGGCUUCAAACAACCAUCACCAACUAUCUCAAGUCCUAACCCAUACCUAAAUCCUCCGUAUGACCAUUUUCAACCUCCUUUCCAAGCACCUAGGAUUAGACCCCCAAUUUUCAUGCAACCACUAAGAAUUCCACGCCUGAACCCAUAUCCACCAUCUCAUAUCUCACAAUCAUCUGUUCAGCAUACUAUCCCGUCACUACCUUUUGAACCCAAUCUUCGACCCAGAGUUUCUCAAUUCACCUCGAGACCAAUUAUACCAGCACCUUUUCAGCAAAGUAAACCAACCAUAGGACAGAAAAACUCUGGUAACACCAAAGGAAAAGCCCCUAUUGAUCCAAUACCCAUGUCCUAUACAGAGUUAUACUCGCUGCUCCUAGAGAACUGCCUCAUUGCCCCUAUCCCUGCUGAACCUCGUAAAUCGCCUUUCCCUAAAUGGUAUAACCCUAAUGCCCAAUGUGAAUACCAUUUUGGUGUUGUGGGCCAUUCUCUGGAAGAUUGCACAGCUUUGAAACAUAGGGUGCAAGGAUUGAUGAAAGCCGGAUAUCUGAGUUUUGAUGCCAAGAUGAACCCUUCUUUGAUCCAUGUCGAAAUGGUAGACAGUGUUGCAGAUAAUAGUAAAGUUGGUCAGAUUGAUGAAUAAAAAGCUUUUUAAGCAAAGAGUUAUCCUCUCUAGUAAUCAUAGUCAACUAUUUUUCAGGAAAGACAAAGGGAAGUGGGAGCAUGUUUGGCAUUUUUUGGCCCCAGUCCUAGAAUGGUUCAUGAUGUGUAAACUUGAUGCUUUUGGAAAUGAAUAAAAACUUUUUUUUUUUUUUAACCUAGAUUUUCUAUUAAUUGAUGCAUCUGUUUUUAUUGGCAUGCCUAAAAGAGUGUAAGAAAGAAUGAUGGUUGCAAGUAUAUUUUCACCAAACUUUUGAGACAGAAAGGAUACAUCUAGAUGACUCAUUUUGAAUGGAAUUCAAAUUUUUCCUCACCAAAGUAACAAAAUUUGACUUGCAUAUCAUGCAUCAUUUACUUGAAUUCAUUGUUUUUCAUGCCAGCUAAGGAUAAGGAAUGAUAAUUGUAAAUAUACUUGUCAUAACCUUCGAAGCAAUUUUUAGAAUUCAUGCCAUGCAUUUCUGACUUCUGGUAAUUAAUAAAAGGUUCAAGGAUAGCUAUUCUAAGAAACGAGGUCAGUUGAGUCUGCACACUUAUAUCACUCGAGUCAGUACCAUAACCAUGGAAAAUGAAGGUGCCAGUCGAAUGGACAGAGUAGAAAAGGCUCAAGGAGAGAUCGGUGAAACAGUUACGAGAAUGCAACAAAACAUGAAUAGACAACUGGCAGAAUUAAAACAGAUGAUAGUGGAAUUGACAAAAGAAAAAGAAGUUGUUGAGACGCAGAGGAUAAGGGAGGAAACAGCUAUCGAGACACCAUUGUAUCCAUCUGGUUUCACAUAUGUUCAAGACCCCCAUGUGUCACAAGCACCUCUAACAACCGAUCAACCUUAUGUUGGCCAUUUUGCCAAGUUACCAUCAGUACAGACAAAUGUCAAUCCCGGGCAUACUCCUCACAACUUCACUACUGUGCCCAAUAUGGAUGAUCAUAAAGAAUUGAAGAAAUUGAAAAGGGUGUCAGAUCCAUCAAAAGAUAUAGUGAUGAAAGAUAAGUAUGAUCUAUUGGAAGAGAGAUUGAAAGCAAUUGAAAGCCAUGAUGUGUACAGGAAUGUUGGCGCCAGUGAACUUAGUCUAGUACCUGAUCUUGUUAUUCCACCAAAAUUCAAAGCCCCAAGUUUUGAGAAAUAUGAUGGAACGAAAUGCCCUUUAAUACACAUUACCAUGUACUGUCGAAAGAUGACAGGUUACACCCAUGAUGAUAAAUUGUUGAUCCAUUACUUUCAAGAUAGUCUCACUGGACCUGCAGCAAGAUGGUAUGCUCAGUUAGAUCGAAAUAAGAUUCACUCUUGGAAUGAAUUGGCUAGGGCUUUCCUAGCACAAUACAAGCAUGUUGAAGAUAUGGUGCCAGAUAGGUUGUCCCUGCAGAACAUGAAGAAAAGAUCAACUGAAACGUUCAAAGAAUAUGCAUAUAGAUGGAGAGACAUAGCAGCUCAAGUACAACCACCCUUAUCAGAGAAAGAAAUUACUGUUCUGUUUGUCAAUUCUUUGGACACUCCCUAUUAUGAAAGAAUGAUUGGGAAUCUCUCUAAAAAUUUUUCGGACAUGGUGAUUUCUGGUGAAAUUAUAGAAAAUGCAAUUAAGAGUGGCAGGAUUAAGUUAAAAGAUGUGACAGAUGUUGAAGAAGAAAGUACAUCACAGCAGAAUAAAGAAGAGGUGCAAGCAGUCACAUUGGAAGGGCAUCUACCUAAUAGCUUUAUCCCGUACAAUCCUUAUCUUGCUUAUCAACCCCAUCACCUUGCCAUAAGCCAAAACCCAUAUCUUUACCAACCAAGCCAGCAUUUAAGCUUUCCAGCAAACUCUCAUCCUCAAGUGGUCAUUCAUGAUCUUGUUCCCACAUUUGAAUCCACCAUCCGACCAACAAAAAAUCGGAAGAGACCAAGGAAUGAUCAAGAGAAAUUACCCAUCCCUAUUUCUCACCUUUUACCUUUGCUAAUAAAAGGUCGAUAUCUCACUCCUGUGCCUCUGAAAACACCACCAAAUCCAUCAGCAAGGAGUUACAAUCCCAAUGAUAAGUGUGAUUACCAUAUGGGGGCAAUUGGCCACUCAACAGAAAAAUGUAGGCAGUUGGAAGAAAAGGUUGAAGAUCUUAUCAAGAAUGGUAUUCUGACUCCGGAAGUAAUAGAACAAUGGAAGUUGUUGACUCCAUUCAAUUUUCAAAUGUGAGAAGUUAAGAUGAAGAGGGAGGUGUCAAGUUUUAAAAAUCAGGAUAUGAUGAUUUCUUUUUCUACUAUGUAUGUAGGAUAUGUGCAUUGUGUCUCUAAGAGUUAUUUAAAUUAUUUUGGAAGAAUCGAAUACUUUGGAUCUUUUUCAUGAAAUUUUCUCUUUAUGCAUUUGUUUGGAUAAAAAUCCCACAUAAGUAACUUUCAAAAAAAAAAAAAAAAAAAAAAAAGAAGGAAAAAAAAAAAAAAAAAGUUUUAUUUUGAAGAUGAAAGAAUUCUUAAAGAAAAUGGUGAUUACUGUUAGGAAAAAGCUCAUCAAAUACCUUCACACCUUUUCAAAUACUUUCAUCACUUAAAUGAUUGGAUUCAUCAACCAUAACCUUUCAGGGAAUGUGAGUUUGAGUUCAGACUUUAAAAGGCCGAUAAUCUUUUCCAGGGCAAAGAACAAAGGAGAUUAAUUUUGAAAGUUUGUUUUGAAAAUCAGAUAUUCUUUCAAAAUUUUCCAAUUGAUAGUCCAAUGUGUGUCAAAAUUUUGCUAUGACCACAGAUACAAAAACACUUGAGCCUUUAACCUUUGUUCCAUGUCUUAAGGCACAUUGAAAAAAAAAAAUCCCUUUCUGCCUAAGACAAUUUAUUUCAUACCUUUAUACCUUUUCUUUUCCUUUCACCAAAAAAAAAAUGCCAAAAAAAAAAAAAAUUUUUUAAAGCCCAAAGAGCCUUUUGAGCUAUGCGAUCAAUCAUAUAUGGCUUAAUCGUCGUUAGAACCUUGAGUAAAAAGGAUGGGCAUAAUAAAAAAAAAACAAAAAAAAAACAAAAGGGACAUAUUCAAUGAUUUGCUCUUCUACCUAAGUGAUCAUGUUUGAAAUGAUGAAUGGCCAUCUUUCUCUAUCCUUCUCGUACAUAAAAAUUAUCCAUUUGUUACCCAUUUGAGCCUAUUAAAUUUUUUGUUUCAAAAUAAACCCUAGCCAAGGAUCAUUUUCUACAUUAGGGGGCAAAAUUGGGAUACAUUCAAGAUUAACUUCAAAGAAAGUAUCCGAUAUUGAAAGCGUCUAACAUGCCCUUCGAAGGUGAAAGUCUGGGAUAAAAAGUGAACAAUGCUUUGAUUGAAAUUUCAAGAUCCAAGAAAGUGAACGGCCAAAGAUAAAGUUAAGUAUUUCUAAGGCAAAAUAAAAAAACCUUAGAGAUAAGAAUCUGAAGCUUCACUUAGAAUUCAAAAAAAAAAAAUAUGUACCUUGAAAAUGAGAAUUCAAGGCAAAAAAAGAGGUGCGUGAAGUUGCUGAAAUUAAAGCCAAAUGGGGGAUAAAAGAAGAAAGUCAGAGAGUGCCCAUCAGGAUCCUUGGCCUAAUCACCUUGAAUAAUAUAUUUGAGCCUAUUCAUCCGUUCUUUCAGAACCCUUAACCUUGACCUACAUUACACACCCUGAAAAGCCCAUUUUGUUCAAAUAUGGAUACUUGGAUUGAAGAGCAAUAUCCUUGAAUUUGUAUAUACUUGUUGAAUUUUUCAUUGAUAAAGAAGAAAAAAAAAAAAAAAAAAGCUCUAAGGUGAAAACCCAAAAAGGGCAGUUUAGAGCUAAAGUAAUUUCUUGAGGCCCCAAAAUAAAUUUCAGAGUUUCAAGGUUCUAUCCGAAAUAAAAAGUUUCGAUACAAAACCUUUUGGAAGAUCAGUACCCAUUAAAGACCUUUCUAAAAAAAAAAAAGCCUUAUCUUCUUCUCAAAUCUUGUUUGAAGAGUAAUGACUAGUUUUGACUCACAUUGGAGUAUCAUGUUUUCAAUAAAAAAAAGUGUUUUUUUUUUAAAAAAUUUUUAUCUCUUUUGGGAACCCGAGAGAAAUCCUUGCAAUCCUCGCCGAGCUUUACAUGAGAUAUGCCACCAGUAAAAAAUUUGAAUUGUCAAUUACCUCACCUAUGAGCAUUUCAAAUAGUAAUCAUCAAUUUUCAAGAGAUUCAAAAGUCUUGAGUUUUAAAUCUUUUCAUUCAAUUGUAAAAAUACUUUAUGUGGGAUAAUUUUUGAUCACUUUUAAAAAUUUUUUUUUGAGAUUAUUGAAGCAUUUUGUACAUAAUACUGAGAUCAUUUUUUUGGGUGAAAAUGAAACAAAAAAAUUUAAACAAUAAUAAUAAUAAAUUCACCAAAAAAAAAAAACAAAAAAAGGGGGCAAGAAGAGUCUUUGCAUUUGCAUCGCUUGCAUCUGCAUCACAAGAAAGACAUUCGCAUUUGCAUCACUUGUAUAAGACAUUUGCAUUCACACCAUAAGAAGAAUUUGCAUUUGCAUCAUGCCAUCUGCAUCCUAAGAAAAUGUAUUUGUAGGGGCAUCUACAUGAAAAGGACAUUGUCAUUUGCAUUGUGAAAAAGACAAAUGUAUCAAGCAUUUGCAUUCUUAUGUUGGCAUUAACAUUUGCAUCAACAUCAUUUGAUGAGAAUAGACAUUUGUAUCAUGUUUGUAUUUAUCAACUUUGUAAAUAUUUAAAAAAAUAAAAAAAAAGGCAUGUUUUUAAAAUUUUAAAGCCUCUGUUUAAGAGGAACCAAUUUCAAUCAAGAUUUCAAAGCCUCUGUUUAGAGGGAACCUUCCUCAGAAAAGACCUUUAGAGUCUCAAAAAUCUCUAAUCAGGCGAAAGUCAUAGAUUAAAAAAUUUUUAAAUUUUAAAGUUUCAUCGCCUCUGAUUAUGAGGAGCAUUCAAAGAUUUUGAGAUUUAUAAGACCUCCGGGCAUAAUCUCUAGAAGCCUCUGUGCACGACUUUCAAGAUUAAAAAAUUUUUAAAUUUUAAAGUUUCAUCGCCUCUGAUUAUGAGGAGCAUUCAAAGAUUAUAAGACCUCCGGGCAUAAUCUUUAGAAGUCUUUGCGCAGGACUUUUAAGAUUAAAAAGUUUUUAAAUUUUAAAGUUUCAUCGCCUCUGAUUAUGAGGAGCAUUCAAAGAUUUUGAGAUUUAUAAGACCUCCGGGCAUAAUCUCUAAAAGCCUUUGCGUAGGACUUUUAAGAUUAAAAAAAUUUUUAAAUUUUAAAGUUUCAUCGCCUCUAAUUAUGAGGAGCAUUCAAAGAUUUUAUGAUUUUUAAGACCUCCGGGCAUGAUUUGUAAGACCUCCGGGCAUAAAUUUGAUUCGCGGUGUUAUCCCGAUCAAUUCUAUAAUUUUGACUUACGAUGUUAUCCCAAUCAAUUCUGUAAGACCUCCGGGCAUGAUUUUUAAGACCUCCGGGCAAUUCUGAAAGACCUCUGGGUAUAAAUUUGAUUCGCCGUAUUAUCCUGAUCAAUUCUAUAAUUUUGACUUAUGCUGUUAUCCCAAUCAAUUCUGUAAGACCCCCGGGCAUGAUUUUUAAGACCUCCGGGCAUGAUUUCUAAGACCUCCGGGCAUAAAUUUGAUUCACCGUGUUAUCCUGAUCAAUUUUAUAAUUUUGACUUGCGGUGUUAUCCCAGUCAAUUCUGUAAGACCCCCGGGCAUGAUUUUUAAGACCUCCGGGCAUGAUUUCUAAGACCUCCGGGCAUAAAUUUGAUUCACCGUGUUAUCCUGAUCAAUUUUAUAAUUUUGACUUGCGGUGUUAUCCCAGUCAAUUCUGUAAGACCUCCGGGCAUAAAAUUAAUUCGCUGUGUUAUCCCGAUCAUUUCAUUUAUUUUCUGACUUACGGUUCAGUCCCAGUCAUCUUUAAUCCUUGAUUCACGGUUUAAUCCCAGUCAUUUCAUUUAUUCUCUGACUUGUGGUUUAGUCGCAGUCAUUUUUAAUCCUUAGAUUCGUGGUUUAAUCCCGGUCAUUUCAUUUAUUCUCUGACUUACGGUUCAGUCCCAGUCAACUUUAAUCCUUGAUUCGUGGUUUAAUCCCGGUCAUUUCAUUUAUUCUCUGACUUACGGUUCAGUCCCAGUCAACUUUAAUCCUUGAUUCGCGGUUUAAUCCCGGUUAUUUCAUUUAUUCUCUGACUUGCGGUUCAGUCCCAGUCAUCUUUAAUCCUUGAACUCGUGGUUUAAUCUCGGUCAUUUCAUUUAUUCUCUGACUUGCGGUUCAGUCCCAGUCAACUUUAAUCCUUGAUUCACGGCUUAAUCCCGAUCAUUUCAUUAAUUGCUCGACUUGCGGUUCAGUCCCAGUCACCUUUAUUCCUUGACCAUCAGUGUCAUUCCAAUCAUUGUCUUUAUCAUUCUAUUUUAGGAGUCGCUUUAAUCGAUCCUUUAUUUUUCAACUCGCGGUGUCGCUUUCUUUAUUACCUGAUCUGAUCCUACAAAAAAAAAGGGGUCCAUGAUUUGCUUUCGGACAAAAUCGUUGUCUUUAUCUUUGCCCUAUUCCUGAUUCUCAGUAAUGUGCAAAGAGGGGCAGCUGUAGACACCGGUUUUGUCCGGGUCUACUACCAUUUUAUAUAUAUAUAUAUAUUAAUAUUUAUAAUAAUAAAUAAAAAAAUUAAAAAUUAAAAAAAGAAGCAGAAAAAAUUAAAAAAUAAUAAAAUAAAAGACAAAGUCAAAAAAAUAGGGGGGUUGGUGCGGCGCCGCUGCCGCCCCCUGGCAGCCACCCGACCAGCCCCCAACCAACUCUCCUAGCCACCCUACUAGCCACCUGCUACCCACCUCAUACCAAUUCCCUUUUAAACCCGAAAAAAAUCGACAGAACAGAGGCAAAAAAAGGAGGAGAUCCUCAACCUCGUUCAAAAGAAAAAAAAAACAAAAAAAACAGAAACAAAAAAAAAAACACAACAGAAACAGAAAACAAAAAACACAGUCCUCGCCUAUUCGGCGAGGAACCCAGCGCCAAAAAGCCACCUGCAAAAGCAAAAAAGGAAAAAUCGUUAGUAUUUCAACAACAAAAAAAAAAAGAGAGAGAGAAGAAAAACUGAAACUUUGAACCUCGAUCUACGCCGAUCGGGGUUGCUUUUGGCAGAACGGACAACGGAUCUGGGAUCAGGAGGCUGAACAGAACCUCCUGUCCCCUUUUCAAAUUUCUGACCACCGUCGGCGACGGCCCCCACGGCGGCCGGUGAGGCGGCCGGCGACCACGCGGCGGCCGGACGGCAUCCCUCUCCCCUGCUCUCUCUCUCUUCCCUCUCUCCCUUUUUUUUUCUGAAAACCAACCCAACUAACCAAAAAAAAUUUUCUGACCUUUUUAUAUAAACAGCCAAAAUCAAAACGACGUCGUUUCAUUAAAGCCUCAAAACGACGUCGUUUUGAUCCAGAGGAUCCGCGCGUCAACCCGCGACCCGACCCGGGGUCCGCGUGCCUGACCCGCGACCCGUUUCUUCUUCAGCCUCUGACCGGUCUGACUGGACCGGUACCGAACCGCCCAAACCAAGUCGAACCGCCAGUGAACCGGAUCGAACCGCCCAGACCGCCCGAACCGCCGAACCGGUCGGACCGCCCUGACCAGCGUUGACCGGACCGUUGACCGGUCCGGUUCAGGUAAAAAAAAUUUUUUUUUUUUGAAUUUUCUAAUAUUUUUUAUUAUUAUUUUGUUAUUUUUAAAUAUAUUUUUACGUGAUAAAUUUAUAAAUUUGUUAGAAUAAAUGUUUAAUUAUUUUUAUAAUAAUAAAAUUAAAAACAAAUAAUAAUUAAAAAUAUAUUAAAUGCUUAAAAAAAAUUAAUUUUUGUAAUUCCCUGCCCUAGAUGUUGGAGGAAUAAAAAAUAUUUUUUCUAAAAAAUAAUUCCGCCUAAUGUUGGGGAAUUAUUAUUAAUAAAAUUUUAAUAAAAAUAAAUAUAGAAAAUUUUUAAAUUAAUUUUCAAAAUCAUUUAAAAUCGAACUUGCUUCGAAAAUCUGCCUAGAUGAUGGGAUUUUAGAGAUGUUGUAUUUUCUUAAAAAUUGAAACCUUAAGCACUAUUUCUUAAUUUCCAAAAUCCUAGGUUUCUAAAACCCCUAAAAAUCCAAAAUCCAUUAAAUCCAAAAUCUUUGAAACCUAAAAUUCUAAAAAAAAAAAUCCCAAGAACUCGUGUGAAAAUUCUAUUCGAAGCAAUUUGUUUCCGAAUGCCGCCUAGAUGAUGGGGUAUUUAGGAAAUUUUACUUCGCGAAAUCUUUUCACACGAUUUCUUAAUUCACAUUAAUAAUAAGAUUAAUAAAUUAAAAAAAAAUAUAAUAAAAUUGAGAUCCUGAAUAUAAGCUCUGCCUAGAUGUUGGAGAGUUAGGGUGGUCCCAUUAUAUUUAAGAAUCCAAUCUUUUGCAUUUCAUUUUACAUGACAUGCAUUAACAUGAUAUUAUAUUAGCAUGUUAUCAUUGAUAAUUGAUUGCAUUAUUCUUUUUUUUAAUUUAUUGAUAAAAUAUUUUAUAAAAAAAAUGAUACUAAAAAAAAAUCUUUUCGUGAUAUUACAAAAUAAAACAAAAAUAAUAUUUCGAAAGAAAUAAUUUUUGGUACUCUGCCUAGAUGUUGGAGAGUCACUAAUAAUUAUUUUCUAUAAAGAUUGCUAUUUUAUUUUAAGGAUUAUUGUGUUAAAUCUUAUGCGAGAAGAGUUAUUUUAAAUUCUGCCUAGACGAUGGAGAAUUUUAAGAUAAUUCUUUAACUUAAAGAUUUUCUCAAUAUUUCUAAAUAAAAAUUUUAACAAAAAUAUUUUUAAAUAAAGGGAAUUAAUGUUAAAUUUCAAAUUAAAACCAUUUUUAUCCAACGUCAAAAAUAGCGCAUAAUUAAAUGGUACCAAUUUAUGGGCGUUGUGGGGGUGCUAAUCCUUCCCCACACGUAACCGACUCCCGGACCCAACCUGGUUUUUCGUAGACCGAAAUCUAUCUUUUUGAUAAAUUUUAAACCCGUUUUAAAGUUUUAUUAAAAAGAUAAACAUAUGGGUGGCCAAUCACACCCUAACAAAGAUUGGUGGCGACUCCCUUUUAAUUUUUUUUUUUUCUCGAUUUUAAAACACCUCAUUUUUACGUCUGGCGGUCCCCAAAACCAUUACGACAAUCACAUUAUGUUGUAAAAUGUGCAAUGCUCUCCUCAGUGCUAUUAAAGAAUGAUGGUCAGCUCCAUAGCCACCAUGGUGGAAAGUGCAACCCGUUUUUAAUAUCAGUUGCUACUCCACCCAAUUUACAAAUGUCUAAUGUCAGCCUUUCUUUGAAAAGCUUUGGAACAAAUAAGACCUUAUAUAGAAGCUGGUAGAUGGUUCAUGCAGUUAUCCUCAAAAAAUGACAUCUAAUAGGUUUGUGGUUUGAAUUUCAGUACUUACAACUCCUUCUCUUAUCCCAAAUGCAAAAAAAAAAAAGAGACCUUAUAUGCACGGUGGCAGGGACUUGGACACUAGAAUGGAAACUAUAAGAUGGGUUUUUGAGGUUACCAUCUGGGAUGUCUAAGGAAGAAUUCAUGGUUCUGAAAACCCCUGGAUAGACAUGGAAUCAGGAUGAUAAUAAUUUGUGCUUUUGAUAAUUUAGUUUUUGCAGCACUCAAAAUUCAGUUUCUGCCCUUCUGACAAGGAAAUAGUGUUUUUCCUCUUCAAACAGUUACUCUGGUCAUUUAUUCAGUAUAAAAAACUAACUCAAAAAAGGUAAAUUAUUUCAUACUUUUUCGUUUUAUCUUGAAUCUCCAUCAUAUUACAUGUAGGACAAAAAGGAUAAUGCAUUAGUGGACUUGAUCAAACUAAAAAAGCAGUGGCUGCUGCUCAUACAAAAUAAGAUCAUAACAUUAAAAUCCCGAAAUGGAAGACAGACGCAAAUCACUUUGUUCUUUUUCAGCCCACAAUUUUCUUUAUGAAUUUCAAAAGGCAUGAAAAGAAAAAUUAUCACUGAGAUUAAGCCUUUAAAAAAAUGAUAUGAAAAUUCACUUAUUCAGCUUAUGUACAAUCUAUCUUGAAAGGCCUAGCUUCUCCUCAUAUACCUUUAAUAAAGAAAGAUCCUCAUAAGAGGUCACAAACCUUUGAAGGAACUCCUUUUCGGUAAAAAAAAAAAAAAAGAUAAACACUGAUUUUCUCAAUCAAACGUUUGGAUAGCAAAGAUUGAAGAACUUAACACCCAAGGACAAUUCUCAUCUCUAAGCUAUAUGGGAAAAGUUACGGAAGGUUUACUAUACAUCAAGAUUUCCAGUCCAUUUGUGUUGACAUAUAAAAAAAAAUUCAUUGCGACUUUAGUCUUGUCCUUAGAAAGCAUCAUUGCAAUACGGAUACUUAAUUCCACAAAAUAUUUUUUAUAUAAAAGUUUAGGAUGAAGCGAGGCUUUCCCAUUCCAAAGUCAGGGAUUUAUAUUGGAUUUAAAGAUUAUUGUAUCAUAAUAUAUAAAUUCAUAAAUUUAUCGUUAGAUACAAUUAAAAGAGUCAUCAUCACUAUUUUUUGAUUAAAUAUGAUUGACCACUUAGAUGAAUCUAUUUAUAUUCAUUUUAAGGAUGUCUUAAACUUAACUAAGGGUCUUUAAAAAAAUGUUUUGGUUUACUAAUCAGAAUAGGGUUCGAGAGUUCAAUUACAUACGAAAAAAAUUAUAGCAUCCUUACAACUCUCAUCCUAAGAUGAUACCAUUUAAUUUUAAGAACUAUGGAUCAUGUGCUAUGUUGGGCUACGCUCUUAAUCUUCAUAGACCAUAUCGGCACGAUAUGUUAAAUAAUAGCAUUGGACCAUCACAACUUAUUAAUACAUGAGAUGUUUUUUUAAUGGGUCAUGUCAGUCCAUCACAAACUCAUGAUAGAUAAUAGAUUAUAAUUUUGUAGAAUUUUUUUUCAAAGGUAAUAAUAAUGAUAAUUUGUUAGGAUACAAUAUAAUCUAAAUUUUUUAUGCUAAAUAAAUUUAGAUUUAUUUUUAAACUAAAAUUGUGAAUAUAUAUAUACACACACACACAUACUAAUGGUAUAUAUAUACACACUAAUGGUAAAGUGAUUGAGUUGUAGUCAUGAGUUAACCAAUUGGUAAAUUUACAUUAAAUCCAAAGUUAAAAUAGAAUAACAAUAUAAAUUUAAGAUUUAAAAAAGAAAACUUUUUUAAUCUUAUUCAAAAAAAGCUACCCACCCAUAAGGUAACAUCCUAUAAAAAAAAUUAAUUUUUAAUGAAUUUUAUUCACCCCACAUGAAUAUAUCAAAAUUUGGUACUUCUAUAAAAUUUUGAAUGAUACGGUCCAAAAUAAAUUUAGUAAUUCAUAUAUUUAUAUUAUGUUAAUAUCAUUAUAAACAUGUAAAAUAUGAAAGUUUUUAUAUCAAAUUUGUGUCAAUAAGUCAAAUAUAAACCACUUUUUUUUGUUCUUGCCAAAUCCACAAAGAAUUUUUGUUAAAAUUCAAAAUAAUAUCACUUUCAUAUAAUUUUCAUAUGAUCGUAUUAUAUUUAAAAUUAUCAUAUAUAUAUAUAUAUAUAUAUAUAUAUAUAUAUAUUGGAAAGGAUUCCACCUAAUGCAAACAAUUCUCUCUCCAAUUGACCCUGACUAAGAAAUUUUGAAGUCAGAAAAGCAAUUGACAUUGUUGCAAGAGCAACAAUUAAUCUAAACCUUAUCAAAUCAAAGCAACCACUAUUUUUUUUUUUUUUUGGAAAUCAAAGCAACCACUAUUAUUAUUUCGACAUUAACAUGUGAAUUUGUAUGGUUUCCAAAAACACUACAGUCUUCAUCUAACUGCGUUCCGAUCUUUUAAUAUUAUACAUUGAAUUUGAUUACUUUAUUAUCAUACCUAGGCUGUCAAAUAAUUGAGAUUGGGUGUAAAACCUCAUAAUUUGUAACCACUACUUUUUUUAAGGUAAGGAAAAUUAAAAGUAUUUAUUACCUAAAUAGGCCAUUUUUAAAUUAUUUUUUCUUUUCAAAGAGUUUUUUUUUUUUUUAAUGAAAUGUCAAUUUUUAUUACCUAAACAGGUAGUCCAAUACUUCUAUAAAAUCUUUGGAUGAAUUUGAUAUCACCAGGCAAUUGAUACCAACAGCCUCGGUCUUCACAAUAAAUAAAAUGAGUCAAGCUUUUGAUUUUGGGCCGUCUAAUUCGCUUUUGAUCUCCUUUUACAAAGCAUAUCUAAAACCAAUAUAUCUUUUUCUCUUUUUUUUUUUUUUUAUGUUGUAUUCAUUGGACUUACAUACUUUGUGAGACCCAACUAGUCAUUUCUCCUUGACUCCGUGUUUCACGCCAUGGACUUGUAUGAAAUAUCGGGCAGUCAUUCUUUUAUAUAAACAUAAAUAUAAAUUAUAUAUAUUUCUAAGAGAUAUAAAUUAUAUUAGGCUAAUUGAUCAUUGAUAAUAUUCAAUAUUGAAAAAAAUAAUUUUAAAAUUUUAAAAUACAAUAUCAUACUCAAACUCCAAAUAAAAGUGAUCUAAUUAUUUUUGAAAAUUUAUUUUCAAAUCAUGAAUUUAUAGAAUAUGAAAGUAUUAAAUUAAUAUGAUAAUAUCAUAUGAUUUUUUCUUUACUUAACAUUAUAGUUACUUUCAGUGGUUAGUAGAAUAUAAAAAGUUUUCAAAUGAAUUUUAUUUAUAAUCUUUUUUUCUUUCAAAAAUUCAUUUUUAGUAUUAAUUAACGGAAUAUGAAAAGAAUGAAGUUAAUAUAAUAAUAUUUUUAAACAAAGUUAUAAAUUAAAAUUUCUUUAAAAUUUGCUAAUAUAUGGGACCAAAUAUUUAAUGCAAUUCUUUUGCAUUUUCAAUUUACCCUUCAAACAAUUCAUAAAAUUUUAUAAAAAAAUUAUAUAUUUUUCACAUUUAUCUUUUUAAUUUAGAUCAAAAUUUCUCUUGAUUUCAUUUAUUUCAAAUUUAUCCAUUAAUUCCAUCGAUAACUUUAAAAAUCAAUGAAAUUUGCUGCGUUGAUAUCAUGUAACUGUUGGUAUAAAUUUCAAUAAAAAAAGUUAAAAAGAUCUUUUUUUUUUGUUUUUGCCAUAUGAACAUUGUUUAGGCUCACUUUUUUUAGCACAAUUUUUUACUUAAUAUGUACACAUUCAAAAAAGGAUAAAGAGAUUUGGGGACAUAUGGAGUGUUAGUUUCAAUUCAACCCUAAGAUAAGUUUAUGAUAGUACCACAUAUCAAACCCGUGAUUGGUGUAAUCCAAAACUGUGCAAGUAAUUCUUUCUCCAAGAAAGAGACAAAAGAGGCAUCAAUAAAGUUAUCUUAUAUUUCGCACACAUAAAAGCAGAUAAAGGAGUCUAAUCAGAAAAGCUAGCAACGUGUUCUAAGCGCCAGGCCUUGGAGCAAUCCAAGUCAUCUUGCUUUCCACAAACAUCAAAGCAGACUAAGAAAUUUUAAAUCAGGAAAGCUAGUGAUCAUUUUCUAAACGCAGGGAUCAAUCAAUUUAUCUUGGUUUCACACACAUCAAGGCAGACUAAGAAAUCUUAGGUGAAGAAUUAAAGCUUCCAAAUGCAAGGAUCAAUCAAGUGGUCUUGGUUUCACACACGUCAAAUCAGACAGAAUUUUCAAGUCAGGAAAGCUAACGAUCGUUUUCUAAACGCAAGCACCAAUGAAAUGAUCUUGAUUUUACACACGUCAAAGCAGACCAAGAAAUUUUAGGUAAAGAAUUAAAGCUACCAGAUGCAAGGAUCAAUCAGUCUUCUUGCUUUUCUCCUGCAUCAAAGCAAAUUAUUAUGUUAUCAUUCCUUGGUUAGGUAAUUAAAUAGUUGAGGUUGGGUUUAAAAGCUUCUAAUUUAUAAUUUUUUUAAGGUAAGGUAAAUUAAAAUCUUUAUUAUAAAAAAGAUAGUAGUUCUAAUUUUUUUUUCUUUAAAAGAUGUAUUUUUUAUAUAAAAGAUGUCACAACUUAAAUAUUGAGAAAAAAAUGUAAAUAUUGAGAUUUAAAUUUCAGAUGUAAUCUUUUAAGAACCAAAUGAAUUUAAUUUUAAAAUUAUAUUGGUUGGGCAACUUGCUUGAACCUGAAAGCCCAUCCUAAAUUUGGAAGGGCUUUGACAUAAAUUUUAAGUUUAUUAAAUGAACCUGAACUUAAAUUUUAGACCUGUUUAAGAAAUGUACUAGUUUUUAGACAUAAAAUUUACAAUUCAAACCUGAUUAGGCCCAAAUAAUUAUUAUAUAUUUAUAUUACAUAAAAAUAAAGAAAAUUAAAUAUAAUAUAUACAAUAAUAUCCUAUGUCUAUAUAUAUUAAUCACAUUCAAAUAUUGAAUUAAGUUAACAAAGUAUUUUUUAGGCUUUACUUUGUUGAUUAUUUAUUUUAUCAUAAUUAAUAUUUAUGAUAAAAAUUAUUUUUUAUUUAAAAAAUAAAAUAUAGGCAGGCUUAGGUAAAGUCUUUUAAAAAUUAAUUAGGCCUCAGCAACAAACUAGGAUUAUAUUUUGGGAUGGACGAGUCUAAACAAACUUGAAAUUUGUUAAUAUCCUAACUAGGCUAUGUUCAAAUAUGAUCCUACUCAAUUCAUGUAUAAAUUUAAUUAUCAGUAUCAUGUGUUCGUACCUAAAUUGCCAAUAUGAGAGCAAAGAUCAUUUUAUUUCUUUUUCUCUUUCUAAUGUAUUUAAUUAAUGAUUUAUUAUUACUACUUUGAAAAUAAUAUUAAUGUUUAAUUUAUGAAAAUUUUUAACCAUAAAAGAAUUAUGAAAAUUGGAAGCAAGAAAAAAGAUAUCUCCAUCUCCACAUUGAGAAUUUUUGUCAUGUAAACACUAUUUUACCGUAUACUAGAUUUUUUGGUUCUUGCAUUUACAAUAUCAACUUUUUUUUAAAAAAAAAAAAAGAAUAUUUAGAAUUCGUUUGGUUUGAUUGAAUUUUUUUUUUUUUUUUAAAAAGUGUUAAAAUAAUAUUUGACAAACAAAAUGCAAAAAUACUCUAAAACAUAAAAAAAAAAAAAAAAUUAAUAAUAUUUUUAUAUAUUUUUAUUAAAUACAAAUUAAAAGGCUUAACUUUAUAAGCAAACCAAUAAAUAAAACAAAGAUAUAUUUUAUUAAUUAGAAAUUAAAAAAUAAAUGAGAUUAAUAGAAAAUUUGGAUCAAGUAAAAAAAAUGUUUGUGAAAUAAUUCAUUUUUAUUAUUUUAUGAAAUAUUAACAAAUAAAUUGAGAAUGUAAAAAGGAAAAAAAAACUAAGCAAUAUAUUUGUUAUUAUACAAUAACACUUCUCCAGGAGCAGAACAAGAACUUGACCUUCUCAGGGGUGAUUUAAAUGGCCAAUGACAUUGAUAUUAGAAAGAGUCGUACUCAAAGAUUUAGCCAUCACUUAUGAAAGGAAAAGCAAACAUUUAAUGAGGUGUGUAACUGGGAAAUUAUCGCCUGGUUGAGUUUCAGCUGUUCUGGGUCCAUCUGGGGCUGGAAAAACGUUUCUUUCAUCUUUAACUGGAAAAGCACCAGGUCGCGUCAUGACUGGUUCGCUUCUUAUAAAUGGAAAGGUUGAGCCAAUCCAAGCAUAUAAGAAAAUAAUUGGUUUUGUUCCACAAGAUCAUAUCGUUCACGGAAACUUGAUAGUGGAGGAAAAUCUAUGGUUCAAUGCUUGAUGCAGAUAUGCUACACUUAUUUCUGUCAUGCAUGACACCUUUAAUUUUUUAUUCCUUUUGGGUGUUUUUUUUUUUUUUUUUUUUUUGAUUUUCUACUUGCAACUGCGACAUUAGAAAAUAUUCUACACUAAAAAGCACUUUCUUGAUUUCCCCUGAUCACUAACAGGAUUGCUAAUUAUUUUAGACUUGCUGCUGACCUUCCAAAACCAGAAAAGGCUCUAGUUGUUGAAAGAGUCAUCGAGUCCGUGGGACUGCAGCCUCUGAGGGUUUCUCUAGUUGGGACAACGGAGAAGAGGGGAACAUCUGGGGGUCAAAGGAAACGGGUAAAUGUAGGGCUGGAAUAGAAAAGAUCAUGGAACCUUCACUUUUGGAUAUUAGAGUGAACCAACAUCUGGGUUGGACGGUUCAUCUUCCCAAUUACUACUUCGAGCUCUUAGGCGUGAAGCCCUUGUAGAAGUAAACCAGCCAAGGUGAGUUUAUUAUCACCGGAAUGUUUGAAUUUUAUGAAAUAUGCUGGUUUCACCGAGGAGUAAACAUAUGUAAAUAAGUAUGUAGCUGAAAAUAAUGGAUACCAAUUUUCUUUUUGUUGCACUUCAGUUAUACCUUGUUCAGGAUGUUCGAUGAUUUGAUACUUCUAGCAAAGGGUGGACUUACAGUAUAUCAUGGAUUAGUGUCAUAAGAGUAUUGUGCUGGCCUUAGAAUUAAUAUCCCCAAACGUACUAAUCCUCCAGCAGCAUCAUCCGGUGAAAAUCCUGCUCAUGGAGAAAGUGCACAUGGUCCUGGCCGGAAGCACACUCCUUUGCUGGCGACUUGUGGCAGGAUGUGAAAUGUUCUGUUUGAGACAAAGAAGGACGACUUACAACAUAAUAUCCUCAAGUCCAUUAACUUGUCACAAAGAGCAAUGCCUGGUGUAAUACAAUCAAUCAAUCAUAAUUUAUAAUUUUUUAGAAUUCAUUAAUAUUUUAUGUGAAAUUUUCACUUUUAGUGAUGGGUUUUUACAUAAUUUUUAUUAUGAUUGGGUAAUUAAAAAUACUUGUAUUAAUAUAAUCUCUAGUAAAAAAAAUUGUAAGUGAUAUAAUCUCCCAUAAUGUGCAACAUACAAUAGAAAAGAAUUAGUAAAGAUCAUAACUAUCUGGUUAUAAUUAUUAUAUCAAUAGAAAAAAAUGAGUUACACACAUAUUUGACCCUGAACCUUAUAUUUUCUGUUACAUUGAUACCUAAAGAAUUAUAUUAUCACAUUGACACUUGAACUUUUAAAUCCAUUAUCACGUUGGUAUUUUAAACUAACGCUGUCAGUCAACUUUGCUGACAUAGUAUAAAUAUCUAAUAAGAUGUUAAAACAUGUCAAAAAUAUCCAAUCAAUGUCACAUCAUCAAUAUUAUGUCAUCUUUAAAAUAAAAAAUUCAAAAAAAUUUAAAAUUUUCAAAUAUUAUAAGAAAUUCAAACAAUUCUAAAAAAUUUUUAAAAAUCCGAACAAUUUUUUAAAAAUUCUAAAAAUUCUAAAAUAAUAUCAAAAAAUUUUUAGAAAAUUAAAAAAAAAUUCUAAAAAAUUUUAAAACAUUUAAAAAAUUUUAAAAACUUUCAAAAAUCUAAAAUUAAAAAAAAAAUCAGAAAAUUCUUGGAAAUUUUUAAAAAAUUCAAAAAGAAUUAAGGAAACAUAAAAAAUUUUUACAAAUUUCCAAAAUAUAAAAAAAUCCAAAAAAUUAAAAGAAAAAAAAUGAUGAUUUUAAUAAAAUUUAAGAACUUGUUAAAAUCCAAAAAAAUUAACAUAAACUAAAAAAAGACAAAAUAAAAUCAUAAGUUUUUUUAAAAAAAUAUAUUAAUUUUUAAAAAAAUUUUCAAAAAUAUCUAAAAAUAAUAAUAUAUUUUUAUAUUUUUUAAUUUAAUUCUUUUGAAAAUUUUGUGGAUUUUUUUAAAAUUUUAAGUUUUUUUUAAGAUUUCUUACUUUUAAAGAAUGUUUCAAAAAUUUUAAAUUAUUUAAUUUUUAAAAUAUUUUUAGGUUUUUUCUUUUUUCUUCAGUUUUUUAAAUUUUUUUGAUUUUUUAAACUUUAAGAAAAUUUUAAUUUUCUUAGUUUUUCAAAAAAUUUAAAAAAUUUUCAAAUUAUGAUAAUUUUUAUAAUUUAUAAAAAUAUUUCAUAUUUUUUAUUUUUUUAUGGAUUUAAAAAUUUUAUAAAUGUUUACAAAUUUUUAAUUAGAAUUUUUUUUGAAUUGUUUAUAAUUUUUUAAAAUUUUUGAGAAAUUUAAAAAUUAAUUUUUAAUAUUUAAAUUUUUUUUGAAUUUUUAAAAAAUUGUUUUAGUAUUUUUAUAAUGUUUUGAAGUUAAAUAUUUUUUUAUAAAUUUUAAAAAUUUUUAAAAUACUUUUUUGUAUUCUUUUCAAAAAUUUUAAAAAAUUUUUAGAACUGCUUAGAAUGUUUUUAAGUUUUUAAAAUUUUUUUGAAGUUUUUAAAAUUUUUUAGAAAAUUUUAAAAUUUUUAUGAUUUUUAAAAUUUUUUUAAAAUUUUAGAUUUUUUGAAAAAAUAAUAUUAUUUUGAUUUUUUUUUAAUUUUUUUUGAAAAUUUCUUUUAAAGAUGAUGUGGCGUUGACUAAAUUUUUUUGACACAUACCAGUAUCUUAUUAGAUGUUGAUGCCAUGUCAGCAAAGAUGACUAACAUCAAUUGUAGGUUCCAACUUGAUAAUAGAAUAAAAAUUUAGGUACCAAUGUAGUUGUAUAAUUCUUUAGAUACCAAUAUGACAAAAAAAUAUAAAAUUUAAGGGCCAAAUAUGUAUUUAACCCAAAAGAAAUAGAUAGAGAUCAUAACUAUCUAGUUAUAAUUAUUAUAUCAAAAUUAAUUUAGUUUGUUAGCUUUAUUCAAAAUUUGAUUCAUUCUAAGGAGAAUGUAUUUUUUUUUCUACAGGGUCCCUCAAGCCUGAUCCCAAGCACCCUUUUGUUUAUCUGACUAUUAAGUAAUACUUAACUGGAUAUGGUUUGUUAUGUUUUCAAAAGUUAGUGUUUUAUUUUUUAAAAAAAUUUUAAAAAUGAUUUCUGGAUGUUGCAGGAGAAAGAUUUCGCAUAAGAAAAGUUCACGAAAAGAAUACAAUGUUCAAAAAGAUAGUAGAAAUAAUCUCCUAGGGCAUAUCGAAUAUAGCAAAGAGUAAUUUUUUUUCAGAGUCAGGAAUGUCUAAUACUACUCAGUAUUACACAGUUUUGCCAGUCAUUUCUUAUAACCAAGGAAUAAUGUUACAAUUAAGAUUAUAGUAAAAUGUGUGGGAAAACACUUAUUUACAGCUGGUUGUAAUCUUGUAAUCUGUAUAUUUAUAUUUGUAUCUCUAGAAUUAAGCAUUUGUAUCCCUAGAAUUAAGGAAGAUUUAGUUUCCUAGUUUAACCCCUAGUUAGUUGUAUAUAAACCUAAGAUUCUUGUAUAAUUCAAAAUAAGUAGUUUUUCAAUAUACAUUCAGUUUCCACAUUGUAUCAGAGCUUUAGGCCCUUCUUGAGAAGUAAAAUUUUUAGCCUUUAUUGUUGACUUUUUUAGGCCUUUAUUGCCGAAUCCUGUUUAGGCCUUCAUUGCCUACCACCCAAUUUGAGGAAAUGUUAACUGAAAAAAUCACUGGAAUACUACAGAUGUCUUAGAAACAAGGAGAGCUUAACAGGAAAGAGAUUGAAAAGUUGAGAAACUUAUUGCAAAUCCUUGAAAAGCCUACUAUGGUAUGUUCUUUGGGUAAAGUUUCUAGUUCAGAUAAAGCUUCCGGUUCUCAUGGAUUAAAUGUCUCGGCUAAGCCUGUUACGAGUUCUUGGGUCAUUGACUUAUGAGCCACAUACCACAUGAUACAUUUAUCACAAAAGUUUAAUACAUAUAACCUGUGUCCUAGUAAUAAGAAAAUUAUUGUUGCUGAUGGUUCACUUACCACAGUGGCAGGAUUAUGAGAUGUUCAAGUUAAUCCCUCAUUUAUUCUCAAAAAUGUUCUUCAUGUUCCUGGAUUGUCUACUAAUCUGAUAUCUAUACAAAAACUUACCAGAGAUAUGAAUUGCAAAGUAACUUUUUAUCCCUCUUAUUGUGAAUUUUAGGACCAGAGUUCGGGGAAGAUGAUUAGACUUGCUAAGGAGAAUGAUGGACUAUACUAUCUUGAGACAUCAAAUAACAUAAAUAGUAUCAAAAAUAGUUUACCUUUGUCAUUUCUUUCUGAAAAAUCUUUCAAUAAAGAUAAAAUCUGGCUUUAUCAUUUUCGUCUUAGACAUCCUUCUUUUGGAACCUUGAGAAACAUAUUUCCUUCUUUGUUUAAAGGAUUAAAUGUUGAAGAUUUUCAUUGUGAUAUUUACGAAUUUGCAAAACAUAGACGUGUGUCUUUUCCAAUCAGUAACAAAAGAAGUUCUACUUCCUUUUACUUGAUUCAUAAUGACAUUUGAGGUCCCUCUACAAUUUUUAAUAUUUUUGAUACGAGAUGGUUUGUUUCAUUCAUAGAUGAUUAUACUAGGGUCUUUUGGGUUUUUUUACUUAAAUUCAAAUCAGAUGUGAAUAGUAUAUUUUUAAGCUUCCAAAAUAUGAUCCAAAAUCAAUUUGGAGUGAGAAUCAAGAGAUUUAGGUCUGAUAAUGCAAGAGACUACUUCAAUCAGAUCUAUCAACCUAUUUCCAAAAAGAGAAGAUUAUCCAUGAGUCAUCUUAUAUUAAUACUCCACAGCAUAAUGGAGUGGCAGAGAAGAAAAACAACCAUUUACUAGCCACAACUCGAGCCUUUUUUUUUCAAGCAAAUGUACCUAAAUCUUAUUGGAGGGAAGCUGUUCUCACUGCCAUAUACAUUAUAAAUAGGUUACCUUCAAGAGUUUUGAGAUUUAAAAUUCCUAUGGAACUACUCUCACAAUUUUAUCUCAACCUCAAUACCACAAACAAUCUCACACCUAGGAUAUUUGGUUGUACAUCAUUUGUUCAUGUUCACAAUCAUAACAGAGGAAAGUUGGAUCCAAGAGCGAUUAAGUGUAUUUUUGUGGGGUAUUCUUCAACUCAAAAAGGAUAUAAGUGCUAUCAUCCUCCUACUAAAAAAUUUUAUGUGUUUGUAAAUAUCACUUUUGAAGAAAAUAAACCAUUUUUUACUCAACCUUAUCUUCAGGGGGAGACUUCAUUCAUGGAAGAUAAGGAUAAAGACUUCUUUUUGCUUAAUUUGCCCCAUUCUUCAACAUUUACACCCAUUAAUUCUUCUUCUGAGUUGAAACCUGUUUCUGUUGAGCCCAAGUCAAACAUUAAAUUUGAGUCUGAACCCAUUCCAAAUACAGAAGAUGUGAUAAAGGAUAAUAUUAUUCUUGAUUCUAUGAAAGAAUUACAAGUGUACUCAAGAAGAAAAGUUUCAGAUCCUGAACCAUUGCCAGUUCAAGAACCUGAUCCUAACUCUGGAAAUGAGGUAACUACAGUUUAACUAUGUUUCUCAAAAUGAGCAUGAAUCUCUUAAAACUAUAACUAGUGAUUAUGAUUUGCCUAUUGCCAUUAGGAAAGAAACCAGAGAAUGUACCAAACAUUCACUAUACCCAAUAUCUAAUUUUGUAUCAUUUGAAAAAUUUUCACCAUCUCAUAAAAAUUUUCUUGUGAGCCUAAACACUAUAUAUGUUCCAACUACAUUAUUUGAGGUAUUAUCCAGUGAGAAAUGGAGGCCUUAGAGAAAAAUCAGACAUACAAACUGGUAGAGUUGCCUAAAGAAAAAAAUCCAGUGGGGUGUAAAUGGGUUUUCACUGUAAAAUACAAGAUAGAUGGUACUGUUGAAAGGUAUAAAGUCAGGUUAAUGGCUAAGGGCUAACUCAAACCUAUGGAGUGGAUUACCAGGAAACCUUUGCUCCAAUUACCAAGAUGAAUACAGUUAGAAUUUUGUUAUCAUUGGCUGUAAAUUACAAUUGGCAGCUUCAACAAUUUGAUGUAAAAAAUACUUUUCUAUGUGGUGAUUUGGAAGAAUAAAUAUAUAUGAAGGUUUCACCGAGAUUUGGAGGUCAUCUAGAAGCAAACAAAGUAUGCAGGCUAAAAAAGGAUUUAUAUGACCUUAAACAGUCUCAUAGAGCUUGGUUCGAGAGAUUUACCAAAGUGAUGCUAGAAAUGAGAAAUAAACAGAGUCAAGAAGAUCACACAUUGUUUAUCAAGCACUCUGAUUCAGGGAGAGUCACAGUUCUAUUAGUGUAUGUUGAUGAUAUAAUUAUAACUGAAGAUGAUGAAAAAGAGAGAGAAUCUCUAAAACAGUAUUUGGUUAGAGAAUUUGAGAUAAAAGAGCUAGAGAGAUUGAAGUACUUCCUAGGAAUUGAAGUAGCUCACUCACGGCAUGGUAUUUUUAUCUCACAACAGAAAUAUGUGAUGGAUCUUCUGAAGAAAACUGGAAAACUUACAUGUAAACCUGUAAAUUCCCCUAUAGAUCUCAAUCAUAAAAUUAGAGAAGCUAAUGAAGAUACUGUUGUAAAUAGAGAGAUGUACCAAAGAUUAGUUGGAAGACUUAUUUAUCUCUCACAUACUAGAUCUGACAUAGCAUAUGCUAUGAGUGUGGUAAGUCAAUUUAUGCAUAGUCUUAAAAAAGUACACCUACAAGCUAUCUACCGUAUAUUACACUAUUUGAAGGUCAAUCUUGGGAAAGGUAUCUUAUUCAAAAGAAAUUCAGGGUUAGUUCUAGAAUCAUAUACAGAUGCUGAUUAUGCAGGUUCAGUAACUGAUAGAAGAUUCACUUCAGGCUACUGUACUUUUUUAGGUGAUAAUCUUAUGACUUGAAGGAGUAAAAAACAGAAUAUGAUGGCAAGAUCAAGUGCUAAAGCAGAGUUCAGAGCAAUGGCUCAAGAAAUUUGUGAACUACUAUGGUUAAAUAUUAUCUUAGAAGAUUUGAAGAUUAAGUAGGAUGGACCAAUGAGACUCUACUAUGAUAACAAGUAUGCAAUAAGCAUUACACACAAUCCUGUGCAACAUGAUAGAACAAAACACAUUGAAGUAGACCAACAUUUCAUAAAGGAAAAACUAGACAGUGGGUUGAUUUGUACACCUUAUGUAUCAACCAAGGGUCAAUUUAUAGAUGUGUUAACUAAAGGUCUCAGCAGUGCAACAUUUCAAGGAAUUAUUUUCAAGCUGAAAAUGGAAAACACCUAUUCACCAGCUUGAGGGGGAGUGUAGGAAAACACUUAUUUACAGCUGGUUGUAAUCUUGUAAUCUGUAUAUUUAUAUUUGUAUCUCUAGAAUUAAGUAUUUGUAUCCCUAGAAUUAAGAAAGAUUUAGUUUCCUAGUUUAACCCCUAGUUAGUUGUAUAUAAACCUAAGAUUCUUGUAUAAUUCAAAAUAAGUAGUUUUUCAAUAUACAUUCAGUUUUCACAAAAUGUUCAAUGUACUAUUUAAUCUUUAAAUAUUUUUAAUGUAAUAGUUAAAUUAUAAAUUUGUUAAUUAAUGUGAUAUUCGAAGUACUGUUUGACAGUCACAUAUUAUUAUUUAGAAUUAAAGAUACAAGAGUAACACAAUAAUUAAUAUAUUUAUAAUUCAGAUAUUACAUUAAAAAUAUUUAAAAUUUAGGUACUAUAUUAAAUAUUUUAUUAUAUUUUAAAGCAAUUCAUGACAUUAAUUAUAUAACCAAUGUAGCCUUAUUGAAGAGGUAGUCUGUCUAUUGGCUUCCUUGCAACCAGAGAAAAAAAGAACACGUUGAAAGAAAAAAAGAACACAAUAAUUAAUAUAUUUAUAAUUCAGAUAUUACAUUAAAAAUAUUUAAAAUUUAGGUACUAUAUUAAAUAUUUUAUUAUAUUUUAAAGCAAUUCAUGACAUUAAUUAUAUAACCAAUGUAGCCUUAUUGAAGUGGUAGUUUGUCUAUUGGCUUCCUUGCAACCAAAGAAAAAAAGAACACGUUUAAGUCAUAUUGAAUCUCUUGAUUGAGUGAAGGAAGGAAUUUGACUAUGCAUAAGCACUUUGAGCAAAAAAUGAAAACUUUAAGGAAUGUGGAAAUCGACAUACAACAUAUUAAAGGUAUGAGCGAUAAAAAUUGAUCACAAGUUAUGAAAGCAAACAUCUGUUUUAGAGAUCUAACUUAAGCAACAGGUUUGCAACUUAAUUUAACUAAUUGUUAUUGGAUUCUUAUGUGAUGUUUUUCUUAAAGUUACUUCUACAACUUUGUUGUAUCCUUAACCAUUGCACCAGAAGUUGAACGUUAAACUAGAACAGCGUGUAAAUUCAACCUUGUGCUCACCAGAGCAGCCCAAGUUAAUUGUUGGUAUAAGAGUCCUGACAGCAAACAUUUUUGUGGACAAUGCAGCAUACAAGGACUUCUUUUUUUCAAACAUUUCACAUUUCAUCCAUGGACAUCAAGAAUGCAACUGUAGUAAUGGUAAGAUUUCUUCCUAUUCAAGUUUCGAUUGAUAACUGUUAGAACGGUUAGCGUCUGUGAACUGUUGGCUUUGGACAAGCGUAAUUUGUUUAAGUGAGGGUAAAGAUUAGAAGAGAUGUCCUAAUUAAUGCUUUUGGAGAAACAUAGAGUUGUGAAUUGUAAGCUGUCUGGAACUAGAGGAUUAUCACUUUUACAAAUAGAUGUGGUUUUAUUGUUUCCUUGUGUAGUAUAGAAUAUAUGUGGUUUUAUUGUUUCCUAGUGUAGUAUAGAUUAGGGAUAAUGUUAAGGAUGUCAAUAGGUAUGGGGAAGGUUGAGCAUUUUUUGUUCUCCAUCCACGAAUUGUUAUAUUAUAUCCAUCUUCGUACCCGUAUCGAAUAGGUAUUUCAAAUAUAUUCUCAUUUUCAUUCUCGUGGGUAUUUAAUGGGUAUAAGCAUUCCCCAUACCUAUAGCAUUCAAACAAAAAUAAAAACCAAAUUUUUUUUAUUUUUUUUUAAUUUGUAUAUUUAGGUAAUUUUUUUAUAAAUAUCUAUUAAUAUAUCUUUUUUUAAUAAAAAUAUAUUUAUUCUAUUUAAUCUAAAAUAAUAAUUUAUAUUAUUUAAUAAAAAUAUUUUUUACUAAUUAUAUAUAAAUAUAUGUAUAGGGUAUAGGUAUAAGGCAGGUGCUAGAUUACCCGUCCCUAUACUUAUACCUAAUUUAAAUUUAAAAUCAUAUCCAUCCCUAUUCUUAUCCCCAUACCUAUAACGUAAUACCUAUUAAUAUCCUUAUUUGAGUGAAAAAUCAGGUUUCUCAUUAGAUAUAAGUAAGAUUGACAUCUCUAAAUAAUGUUACGAAAUACCUCUGAAUUAUAUUAAAAUAUUCAACGUGUAAUUAAAUUUUAAAAAUUUCUAAUGUAAUAUCUCAACUAUAAAUCUGUUAACUAAUAUGAUACUUAGAAAGGUAUUUACCUAAUGUGUUUGUCACCCCAUGUUUGGAGCUAACAACAUUAGGAGUGAGUUUCAUAUUAGUUAAAAGAUUUAUAGUUUAAGUAUCACAUUAAAAAUUUUAAAGUUCAAAUAUUAGAUUAAAUAUUUCACUAUAAUUCACCAAGCUAGUUAAGUCUAAUUACACUAGGAAAAUAUGAUAUAUUAGCUUGAAUUAUAUAUAAGAAUAUAUUUGUGUACUAGGCUUUAGUCGUAUGUAGUUAGAGGAGGGUUAGAUCGAUGUUUGCAGUCUCACCCCUGCUUUUAUGAAAGGAUGUUAAUAUAAUUUAUAAUUGUUUAAAUUUAGGCAAUAAAAUUAGACAAAAGGUUAAAUCCAAGUCUAAUGCAAAUGAAUAAAAUUGGGAAAAAAAUAAAAAUUUGGGAUAAUAACUUUCAUUUUUUUUUCUUUCAUUGUGCAUGUUCACUUUGGGAAUUAAUUGAGUUGUUGGUUUAUUUAAGCUUAAAAUGUUGGUUCUUUUUUAAGACAAGCUUGUUAACUCGCAUCCCUAUGAUUGUGAUUUGAGGGCUAUCGAUUUAGAUACAAUACAACAAGGAGAGAAUGCAAUUGGAAGAUUGGGUCUCUUGCAGCAGUAAAUACAACUAAUUCUUGUCAUAGAUCACUAAACGAAAAUUUUAAAGAUUUUAAAAUCAGGAAAGUCAUCACUAAUUUUUUUAUUAAGUAUGAAUUUUUUUAUUAAGUAUGAUUAAUUACUUAAAAAUUUAUUUUUUAAUAAAAUUUUAAAAUUAAUUAAAACUUAUUAAAAAGAUAAUUUUUGUGUGAUCUACAAAAAUAAAUUUGAGAGUCCAGAAGUUUGAUUACAUGUAUGAAAUGAUUAGUACCCCAUAGUAUCCGUUUUAAAAAUGAUACCAACAGAUCACAUGUUAUCUUUUUAUUUAAAUAAAAAUGAUCUUAAUUUUAAUAUUUAAAAUAAUCUCUUUAAUUUUUUAUUUUUUACAAAAAAUCCUUUUAAAACUUUUUAUUUAACAAUAAGAGGAAUAUCUUUAAUUUUGAAAAUUUUCUUAAAUUUUCCAACGUUGUGAAGGAAUUUUUAAAAAUAUUUCUUCACUUACAAUUUUCAUAACAAUCUUUAAAAUUUGGCUUAAUACACCUUUGUAAUAAUAAUUGUUAGGAUACCCUCAAAUAUCUAAGUAGGCAAGGUACCUAAAUUUAUUUUUAUUUAGAAAUAUUAGCUUUUAUUAAAAACAACUUUUCAAAAUCACUAUUUAUUAAUUUAUAUUUUUUGACAAUGACAAAGUGCAUGAUAUAACAUGAAGCAAACAAAUAAUACAAACACAAAUUAAAAGAUCCAAAUACAAACUAAAAUAUGCAAAUGAUCAAUGUCAUAAUGUGUAUGUCUUAAAACAAAUCCAUUUGACACAUAAAUCAUAGAGUCGUCACCAAUCGUUUUUAACUAGGUGUAAUUGGGCAUGUAAGUGGAAAUACCAUUCUAAGGUUAUUUUAAGCUUGACUAAAGAUUUUUAAAAGAAUAGAUUCUAGUCUUUUAAAUAGAACUAAGUUUGGGAGUUCAAUUAUAUAUAGGAAAAGUUAUAGCACAUCUACAAUAUCCACCAAUUAGUACCAAUUAAUCUUAAAUUAUCUUUAGCUUUAAUUAACAUGGUCAUAAUUUAUUCUUAUUAUUUAAUAUUUUUUUCAAUUUUAGUAUUUAAAUAUUAAACGUAUUUUUAGAUUUUUUCCAACACUUUGGUCGAUCCCUUAAAAAUAUUUAUCACCUUAAAAGUAUUCAAGUAACAUAUUUUUUUCCUUGAAUAUGCUACGUCAUCGAAUUUAUUAAAUAUUUUAUGGAAUUCAAUUCAUAAUAAAAUUUACAAUUCAAUAAAAUAUAAAUAAAAUACACAAUUCAAUAAAAUACAAUAAUAAAAUAAUCACAAUUUAAUCAAUCAUAAAAUCAUCACAAUUUGUUUCUAAUUUUAAUUUUUUCAAAUUAGAAAUAAAUAAAAUUUCUCAUAUUGAGAUUAAUUUUUAAAUCCUCCAAUGCCUUCAUCGAAUUUAGAAAAAGUUCUCUUAGCUAAAAAUUUUUAAGAAAAUUACAAAUCCGUAACUUUUUUAGAAUUUUAUCAUUGGUUGAAAUUUUAUUUAUUCUUAAUAUAUUUAUUGAAUACUACACCAAAUAACCAGUUAUACAAAAAUCUCCAAUUACCUAGUCUAAAAUUUAUUUUCCUCUCAUCUUAACCUCCUUUAUUUAUUUACAAAAUAAUUAAAAAAUAUAUCUAAAAAUUUAAAAGUUAUAUAUGCAUGACAAAAAAUUAUAAAAAAAAACUAAAUAAAUAAGCAAAUGAAUACAAGAUAAAUAAAUAAAUAAACACAUUAAAUAAACAAAAGAAAAGGAAAGAAGAAAACAACUAGAAUGCAAAUACCAUGUAAUUGAAACUUGUUGAAAACCAUAGGUAUCUAAGACCAUAAUUUAUAGGGCACAUCUCAACUAAAGGACUUGACCCCAUAUCACCAUUCAACAGCCCAGGAAGUCUAGUCCAAUGCAAGAAAGAAAAAAACAGAAAACACAAGUGGCAACAUGCAUGUAAUAUAUCAUGGGUUUCAACGUGACAAGUAGGAUCAGGUGUUGAUUGCAUUAGGUUUCAACAUGUUUUGCAUAAAAGAAAUUUGGAAGUAUUGAAAGAACGUGGUUAGUUAUGUCAUGAUCUCGACAAUUUUGCAUAAAAUCCUUGAGACGAUUUUUUGAUUUCUAGUGGUUUUUGGCUGCUACUUUUCUAUUUCGAAAUUUUGGGUAUGGUAGCUACUGUUUAUUGUGAUACCUGCAAAUUGGGGAAGGUAGAAUCAAUACUUUUGUGCUUUUUGCUUGCAAUUGAUUUUUUUUUUCAUUGCCAAUUCUUUUUGAAGAAUUUUUUAACCUGACCUGUUUCUAUGGUGCUAAAUAUAUAAAGGACACAUCCCAAUUGUGAAAGAGUUUCUAAUCAACCAAUUUUCAAUGUUUACAAAUUAAACCAAUUUCAACACUUUUAAUCCCUUACCAAUUCUCCUAUUAAAGUCUAAGCCAAACAAAUCUCUUUUCUUUUUUUUUUUUUUUAAUAAUUACUUUAAACUAAAUAAAAAUAAAAUAAAAUAAAAUAAAAUUCAAAAUCUAAUCUUAAAAUGACAAUCUCAAUAUUCCAUAAACAAACUUAUUUUCAAGAGUAUUUAAAAACAUAAAGAAAACAAAGGCACAUAAUAAUAUAGCAAAAUUAAAAAAAAAAGAAUAAAAAAAUACCAAAUAAGAUUUUUAGGUUUGAACCCAAAUCAACAAAAACAAAAUGGUCCAAGUCUGCUAGGCUCUUGGGUCAGGAAUUGAUGUGAGUUGGGUCGGGUUUGACACCGAGUGGGGUUUUUAAGCUACUCUAAAAGCAAAUUUUUUUAAGCCAUUUCAUUUCCUCCUGCUCACAAAAAAGGCUUUCUUCAAAAAAUGCAAAACAACCGGCCACUCCCUAGAUCCCAAUGAUCGGCCUCCGCGUUGCCACCGCCACCACCGCUGGCCGCUGCUGACAGACUUCUUUUUCAGCCCAAAUUUCACCUAAAGACUCCUUUUCACCUCCUCUUCUCAAAUCUGAGCUCAGAUUUCUCAAAAUCAGCCACCCAAAGUUUUAGAUCUAAGCCAAAAGCCAUGGCACAAAACUCCAAGAAGAUAGACCUGCGCCGCAGGAAACACCACCGUUUCUUGAUAUGUUAUUCCCUCCCCAAGAUCUACCUGUCCUCCAAAAAUGGCUUCCAUAAUCUCCCUAAAACUCCCUAAACCGAGAAACCAAAUACCCCUCUCUUUCUCUCUCUUCGUUUCAAACUUGGUUCUUUUUUUUUUUUUUUUUGUGGCUUCCCCACGGGGAAUGAGGUUGAUUUUUUUUUUUUUUUCUGGGGUAUUUUUGUAUGUUGUUCUGGUGUUAGAAAAGAGAAGCAAGCAUUGUUUUUUUUUUUUUUUGGGUAUGGUUUUCGGUUUUCAAAGAACAAAAGUUAUUUUUUGGUUCGGAUGGUUGAGGGUGGAGUAGUUCGGCUGCUGGUGUGGGGAUUGGGGGCUGUGAUGGUUGGGUGGUCAGUGGUGGCUGUAAGGCGUAAGCAGUGGGCUUCGGCUGGGGUGUCUGCUGGAGUGUUGUUGGUUGAGAGCUGUAGGUUGUUGGCGGGCGGUGGGUCGUGGAGGCAGGGGGGCUGAAUGAGAUUAAUUAAGGGGCUUUUGGGUGUCGGUGUGGCUAGACUUGGUAGUUUUAGGUGCUGGGAUUUUUGUUUUUUCGAGUUUUUGGGUCAAUGAUGGAGAAAGGGGAGGCUUUUUGGGUGCAGGCAGAUUAGUUCUUGGAUUUUUCUGUGAAAAUUGGCUUCCUUCCUCCCGAGUGUCCGAAUCCCCUUGUGCCCAAAAAAUUUUCGGUUCUUGUAGGAUUCAAUUUCUAAAAAAAAAAGAAACUUGGUAAUUCAUUUUAGUUGGAAUCUUGUUGCAGCUGCCAUUGCUGCAUUUUUGGGAGGUGUAGCAUGCUGCACUUUGGGUCCUGAGGACUUUGAUGAAUUGGUGUUAGAAACCAACAGAUAAAAUGGAAGGUGAAAAAUUCAGAGCUUAAAAUGGAGGCAACAGUUUGGGGAAGGAAAAAGUGGAUCUCGGAAAGCUGGCUCCAAGCUUUAGUCUUUUUAUUUUUUUUAAUAAUUAAGGAAAUUAAACUUAAAAAUAAAUUUGGACCUUAAAAUUAAAGGUUGAAUUUUCAAAUUUUGAACUCUAAAUUUUGAUCUUAAAUUUUGGAUUUUAAGCUCAUAUCAUUUAGUUUCGAAUUGACCCAAAAUAAAUUGAAUUGGGUUUUGAACUAUUUAAAAUAGUCGAAAAAUUAUUAAUUUAAAAUAAAUCUAAAUGAAUAUAAUUCAAUUUAAAUGUUUAAAUUAAUUUAUAUCAAAAUAUUUAAAUUAAGUAUAAAAUUAAACAUAUUUAAAUUAAUUUAAGUAAAAUUAGGUGUUUACAAUUCUAUUCUGAAAUUUAUUGGCAAGCUACUAGGACAUGCUCAUGAUACUCGUUGGACACUUUGUUUCUCUUUAAUCAGCCUAAAAGCUGCAAAAAAAGUAGAUUACAUUAUGUAAAAUUUACAAUAUAUUUGAGAGUCAGUUAUAUUUUUUGGUAUUUUGAAACUGUAAGAAUUUGAUCUCAAGUAAUUAAAACCACGUAUUCAGUACUUUGCAAGUAAAGGAGAUGAUUGUCGGCUAAUUGCCAGUCAUUUGCUAUAUAGACAAUAGUAGCUUUCAUUGACUAAAUUUAAAUUACACGAAUAAAAGGUGAGGAAAGAGAAUUAAGCUAUUUAUUCAAUUAAAUAACAGUGUCUCAAAUCAUAACUGUCAAUCCUCUAAAUGCAAACAAAUAAUUUGAAUAAUAAAUCUAAAGGAAAAAUCCCUUUUUUUUUGGAACAUUAAUUCUAGUAAGUCUAAGGGGAGAGAGGGGAUUUGAACACUGAAUCUCAGUCCUUUAAAGCCUAAGCUAUUAAACAGAAAUACUCCUUUUGUAAUUUAUAUCACGCAACAGAAUACUAUAAAACUUAUUCCAUAAAAAAAAAAAAAAAACUUACCAUGAAUGGUGUUUUAACUUAAUUGCUAACUUUCAACUGAAUCUUCUGUCAGGCAAAAACUCUAGUAAAAUUCAUUAAAAGUCAUCAUCAGAGUCAUCUAUGCAUCUGUUGACUCAAUCAGAUUGAUCUAGCCGCAACAACACAACAAAUGCACUAUCUAUUUGACAUGAAAAGAAUUAUUUAUUUUGGUAUUGGUGGUGAUAUAAAUAAUACCAUGUCCGUCGGAGAUGUUACCAUUCCCAAGCAAGUUGCCCACAAUUGCAUUUGGGAUAUGGGAUUUACUCAUACUGUCAGAGAGGAUGUCACCCUAUCAAAUCACUGUGGUGGUCAGAACCCGUUAGUUGUGCACCAUCUGAUAUUAGGAAGACUAAGAACUCCUUUUGCCAAUGGUCUUCCCCUUGCCAGGAUACCUUAGAUUUAAUGUGGACGACUCCGCAAAAGGAAAACUUUGUCCCGCUAGGUGUGGCGGUGUCCUCCGAAAUGAACAAUGAUUUGUCCUUGCCAUGAUUUCGGGCCUGGUUGGUAUCUGGGAUUCAAACGUUGCUAAACUUUUCGAAAUUAAAAUGGCUCUAGAGGUAUUCGCAAAGACAGAGUGGUCUCACAAGAUGAGUCCGAUUCAAAGUUUGUUUUUAACUGGGUCUCAAACGAAUCUGCUCGACCAUAGAGGCUAUAAAAUGUGUCCUUGGAGAUUGAUUCUUUGACCACAAAGCUGACAGAAUUUAAACUCGUCAAUACCUUUCGCGAAGCUAAGGAGAUGGCGGACGCACUGACAAAAUCGGGAAUGGAGUAAUAUGAUCGGUUCAUGGUGUGGUGGCAGCUUUAUUGGUGCUAAGGUGUUUCAAUUCACAAACUUAUGUCUUGAAUCAGGC
rnacentral:lncRNA from 1 species